rnacentral:lncRNA from 1 species
UCCACGCUCCAAUACUACUCAAGAUCUUUUCUCAAAACUAACCUCUCUGGUGUUACAUGACAUGCCACGACUCAAGAGCUUUUGUCCUAACUUGCCUUUGAAUUUGCCAUUAUUGGAGGAAUUACGAGUGACUCAUUGUGAAAAACUGAGCAUGUUAUCCUUUGUGGCAUCCAUGAACAGAUGGGCUCAAAGAGAUGAUCAACAAGACCUUUCAGAUCAAGAAGCACACUCUUCAUUUGAGAGGGUAUGAUUAUAGUUGCUCUCCCUUAGUUUCUACUUUGUUCUUUAAAGCAGUCACUAAUAUCAUAUCCAUUGCAUAUUAUGUCGCGUUAUGAUGUUAUAGAAAACAUGAUCUCCCCUACCUAUUAGUUUGUUGACAACAUUAAGAUAUUUCUAAUAUCUUACGUACACUUCCAUUUGUGGACAUGCAUAAGAUAUUCCAUUACCUAGAGUUACUAAAAAAUUUACUAUUCUAUUGAUAACAGAAUAUAUUCCUAAUCUAACCUAAUGGUGCUCUUGGGCGACAUCAAUAAGGAUUUGAUGAGAGGUCCUCUCCAUUAUUGACACGUGUUGCACACUUGAACUUUUCUUCUCUAUUUCAUUUUCUAUAAACUCUAAAAAAAUCAAUUCAAACAAUUUUUUUUAUAACAAAAAUAACGUUAGUACCUUAGUGCACUAUUUUCUACUGUAUUUUUUAAUACACUAGUCGUCAUGUUAUCCUGUUAUAAUACUAUAGAAAACUAGAAUCCCUUUCCUAUAAGUUUGCAGACAACAUAAGAUAUUUCUUAUAUCUUAAGCAUACUUCUGAAUUUAUGGACCCCAUAUGUUUUAGUGACAUCUUGAGUGCAUCCCGUUACAUAAGAUUCCAAAGAAGAUAAAUUUUUGUCAACAAGAUAAGAUAUUCCUUACAAAAGAUGAAUUUAGUGAGUGCAAGGAUCUUGAAUUUAGAUUCACUCUAUCCACUUGACCAGACCAACCUCUACAUGAGACUUUUAAAAGCUUGAGUCUUGAACACAAGGUUCUUGAGAUAUAAUGAACUUUAAGAAGAGGACCACUUUCCAUGCGAAUCAUCUUAAUAGGUUUACCUUUUACAGCACGUGAUUUAUUGUCGAAACUUUGUUGAAUUUACUUCUCUUGUUGUAUUGGCAAUUCGACAGGACUUUCCCAACUUGGAGAGACUUUUAUUAGUCAAUAACAAUAUUCAGAUGAUACAAGAUGGAAAUUUUUCGGAUGACAUGUUCAGUAAGCUAAAAGCACUAACACUAGCAUGCUUUCAUGAUAAAAAUGCUGCCUUUCCUUCCAUAUUCCUCCUAGAGAGAUUUCAGAAUUUACAAAGCCUUGAAGUCUUCUGUAGCCCCUUUGAAGAUUUAUUCCCGAACGAAGGGCUUGUUGAAGAAAGGAAACAUCCGGUGCUUGAAAAUUUAAGAGAACUUAAGUUGAACAAGCUACACAACUUAAAGUGUGUGUGGAAAGAAGACUCUUUAGUGUCGAAAAUUCUUCAGAGCAUCAAAACAUUUCAGGUUUGGGAUUGUCCCUGUUUGACAACAAUAUUUCCAACCGAGACAUCCUUCUAGAAUCUGACAAAUUUAGUGGUGAAGAAUUCCUCUGGAUUGGUACAUCUAGUAACGACUUCAGCAGUCACAAAUUUGGUACAUCUCACUUAUAUGACUAUAAUAGGAUGUGAAAGAAUGAAAGAAAUAGUGGCCGACGAUGGAAACGGAGAAGGAAAAGUGAUUUCUUUUGAAAAGCUAAGUUCGUUGACACUUGAACAUCUGCCAAACUUAGAAUGCUUCUCUUCCAUCCCAAGUUGCAUCUUUAGGUUCCCAUCUUUACGGGAUAUUGAAGUGGAAGAGUGUCCGAAAAUAAAGAACUUUUCUAAGGGUACAUUAAGCACACCAGAACUAGAUUAUGUGUCACUGUUCAGAUACAAGUGGGAAGGGAAUUGGGAGAAGGGUGAUGAUCUCAAUACAACCAUACAGAAGUUAACAGCAUAAAUCAAUGCACAUAGAAUUGGUAAGACCAAUUGAUGUCAUUCUCUCAUCCAUUUUUUUUUUCUUUAGUCUUUCGGCAGCGCCGCAACUUUUUAAAAUUUUUCUUUUUGUGACUUUUCUAUUAUUGAUUUCGUCAAAUCAACAUCACCGUCAACCCUAUCGAUGGAUCUCGGCUCAUCCUUAACUGAACAGUAGGAAGCAAAGCGGGUCUCUCCUUCUCCUUCUUGACGCCAAAGGCUCUUUCUCCAUCUUUCUUCUUCUUCUUCCUCCUCCGUGGAGCGAAAUUGGGGGAAGCCUCUGCUGCCUUCACAAAGGACGGAGCAAAAAUGAAGCAUCAGGAAUUGCCAGGACUGCGAGAAGCGAAGCUGCAAUUAGCGGAGCGGAGCCAAGUAGAUUCAACUAGACGCUGUCGUUGUCGCCGUCGUCACCGCCGGAGGUGGCACCACCGAGUCUUGACAGUUUGUCGUCCACUCACUUCAUCAAAGAAGAAGAAGAUCACACUCUCUCUCCGCAUCUGUAUCCGACAAAUCGUAAGUUCAUGUUUCUUCCGAUUUUGGUGUAUUAUUGUGCGUGAAUUAGGGCUCUCUUCUUCAAAUUCGUUCCACAUUCGAGUCUAAAAACAGGAGUUACUCAAACAAGCAAUAUAUUGCCCUUAAAUCUACAUCUUCUGUGCUGCCCUCCCGAGCAUUGGCGAGAUUUCUGCGUGUUUGAGCUCUCAUAGAUGGAGAUGAUAUAUUGUGUUCAAGGUCUCAUGUUGAAAUUUCUUUGGGUAGAGAUAUCUCUGUAACAUCAGGUACAAAUUGCUAUCAUGAAGAAGGGAAAAAUCAUGGAACUUGAAAAUAUUCCGAGAAUUCCAUGCGUUGUCAAAAAUAUGAAAAGUCACUUUUACGCCUUGAUCGUAAUAUAGUCUGGACCGUCUGAGGAAUCACUUGUAAUCUUGAUUGGUUAAGUGAUGCUGGAAGGAUAAAAUUUAUUUCCAAUUUAUGCUAAAAUCUUUUUCAUAGCAAGUCAAACUAAUGAAGUGUACUUAAACUAUCUCUAAAGUUGUCAUUUUUUAAGUACAGGCUGGUCCAAACAUUUGAGCAAAUUGAGGCAUCCUGAGCUGGUUUUUUAAGGUCCCAUGCGCCCAAGGCCUCUCACUGCUCUUACAUCGGCCAACAAAUUUCAAAUGGAGCAUCCCAAUGGAGCAUUCCUUUUUCAAAGGUGGUGAGGAGGCCCUCUUAUGUUGACUUUGGCUUGGUAUGAUUCCACGCUCAUUGACCCAAACUCGCAUGUCUGAAAAUCAAACAUAUGGAUGCUGUUUAUAUCUUUGCUUAUACUCUAGUGUAUUUCCAAGUUGACUUAAUGCAGUAAACAACAUGACAUGUUAUAUUCCUUGAAUUGUUCAUGGGUAUAUGUUUGAAACCAGGUAUAUGUCUUAACAAUGGAGUAAUUGAAGCAGGGGAAACAAUGAAAGGACGGUUAGUGGGACUUAAACUGGUGGUCGAGGUUUGAAAGAAUAACAUUUGUCCCCUUUUUGUCAAUACAUGUGUUGGAAAGCAAUUGCUGAGGCAAGUCCAAAGAAUUAGAAUCCAAUUCCUCUUAUAUGGAGGAACUUGACAAUGUUAUUCAAUGCUGUAAAAGUAGAAUAUAUAUGUAAAUCACACGAGGAGACUAGUUGAUACGGACAAGCAAAUUGCAAAGAAUGUCACUAUCUCCAUAACUAGAGGGAAAGACCUGAAAGAUAAGGGGGUGGCUAGUUAUGGUUCUGAAAUUUCAUUGUAGAUCUAAUGACUGAUAACUUUGUUUUCAAAUAGGAGAUACUAUUUUAUUUUUUUACAUUAAUCGGAAAUUUGAGAAAAAAAGAUGAGUUUACUCUGUCAAAUUGAUUCAGUAUUUUGAUAAAAUUUGAGUUGCGCUUGAAAUAAUUGAACAGCUUAGAUUAAAAUUUUUCACUUCCAUCCGUGUUCCGAUCAUUGACGUCUUUGCCUUCUCCCCUGCUCUUGUGGUUUGUGUGGCUUAAAUUCAUCGUUUCAAAUAUAUAUGGGACAUGGAAGGCUUUUUCUGGUCAUGUACCCUAUUGCUUCUAGGAGCGUAUAUUUUGAUAUUUGACUUUGGGUUGUAGUCUGAGAUUGUCUACUAUCAUUAUAAGGUUUAUUGUCAAUUAAAACUCCUAAAAGUAGCAACUACUGCCUUAUAUUCACGCUGUGUGAUUAGAUUCUCUCAUUAGUGUAUGCUUAUGUUUUGGUCUUUCUUCACCAUAAGUUGGUUUUCAACCUCAUAAAUGAGGAGACUACUCCUGUUCAAUUCAUCAGGCAACAUAAUCAGGAAAACAAGCAAAUUGCAACUCUCAGGUAUUCAGACGGGUCGUGGAUGGUGAAGCUCAGGAGCCAUGGACUUUUUUUUCGUUGCUUGACACCCAAUUGCUAGAGAAGCUCGUUUGCAUUUAGGAGAUGUUUGUGUGUUUGAGCUCAUUGAUAGGGGGGAUGUGUGUUUAGAGUCUACAUUUCCACUAGUGCUAGUAAGGACUUGGUUUACAUUUACCCGAAAUGAAUUUUGGAAGUGUCACUUUAGAUAAUCCAAAAUAAAUUCAGUAUUCAUAGUUAUAUCUCUUUGUUUAGUCUUGGUGAGUCAAUGAAGUGUACGUCUUCCAUUCCCAUUGGGUUUGUGAGUUUCAUAAUAAUCCAGAUGCACACUCAUUAAUGCUACAUCCCAGGUCUAAAUUAACCAAAAAGAAUGUGCUUCAAUGUGAAAGCGAAAAUUAUAACCUAAACGCUCAGCAUGAGAAUUUAGAGGUGUGACUUGUUGGUUUCUAAGUUGCGCUUUUCUGCACAGUGUUGCAUUCUUUUUCUUGGUCCGUCUCAAAAGUUAUGAAAUUUUCCUGAUAAGAUUUUGUAUAUUGAUGGGUGACAUUACGAUUUAGGAGAUGCCAAGUGUAGCUAAUGUGUUUUGUCUAACGUGAAAAACAUGUAAACGUUAGUAACAUGAUUGGAUGCAUUGAUUUGUAGAUCGUUGUAACUUGACAGAAGGUUUACAGCAGUACCUAUGAAAACUCUACUUUUUCUUUUGUGCAAGUUGGACCAAACAAUCUAAAUGUCAAGUGAGCCCCCAUGAGCAGUUUUGCAUGGUUCCGUGUUUCCGCGGCCUCCCCUGCUCUUGAAAAAACUAGAAAAUUUGAAUCGAAGUAUCCAUCUCUGAAAUUGGUGAUGUGGCCACUAUUAUUAAGGAUAGAACUGCGGUAUGGCCCGUGUCCUUUCAUAAUUGGCAUAGCUCAACCAUGACGCCUUCUACAUCUUUCCCUUUAGUCCACUCUUUUCCCAAGUCGUUUUGGUUUUUCAUAGGAAUCAAUGUUAUCUUCCUUGGAGUGUUCAUGGCUUUAUCUGUAAAACCGGGGCAGUUUUGAUUUUGAAAUUUUAUUUUUUAAAUUUAUGGAUUCAUAAGAUUACCAAUUCUAAAAUGAAAGAUUCUAUAUUUUUUUUUUCCAGUAAUCAAGUGUAAAGAAGAUUACUAUUAUAUAUAGACUAAGAGGAUGUGGUGGGGACGAUCAGUGUUAGCAACUCUUGAACUUUUGCCAUGAGAGUUAAAAAAUUAUGUACACUACCGUAGAGUCUACAAGCACUGUAUUGUGAAAUCUCAACUUCAAGUUGCAAGUUGGGAUUGAAGACUUCUAUUACCCAGUUAACACUAUUAAUUGAACUCCCUGAAACUAGUAAAUACUAGCAUAAAUUUACAUUUUGUUUGCGUUUUCCGUUUAUUAUUUCUUUGUAUUUAUUCUUUUCCUCAUUAUACUACAUUGGUAGUGUUCCUUGUGAAUUCAUAAAGAAACAUUCAGAAGAACUAGCAAAUUGCAACUCUUAGGUAUUUGAACAAAUUAUGGCUGGUGCAGCUCAAGACCUAUCAACUCCAUUAUCCAGCUGGUCGGGCCGCAUUUGUGAAAGAAGCUUAUCUGGAUGAAGGGGAUGUCCACAUGUUUGAGCUCAUUGAUAGGGACGAUUUUAUGGUCAAUCUCCAUCUCCAAUUAUGCUAGUAAGGACCUCAUUUAGGUUGAUUGAGAUGGACAUUGGAAGUGUUGCCUGCAAGUAAUUCAUGUCUUUUUUAUUCAGCUAUGACGAAUCAAUUGGAAGUGCACUUACUUUUAGCUUUGCGUCUCUUUCUUGACCUGCUUACAGUCUUACCAGAAUUCUCCUCUUUUUUUUUUGGGUGCAGGUCAGAACAGAUAGUCUAAAUGUCCAGUGAGCCCUCUUGAACAGCCUUUUCAUGGUUUCAAUUGUCUGUGGCCUCUCACUGCCCUUUAGAAUGCUGGAAAAUUCAAGUUAAGAGUAUCCCUUUUUCCAGAUGGUGACAUGGCCAUCGUUUCUUAAGAAAGAAAUAAUGGUGAGGCCCAGAUCUCCAUUCAUAACUGGCAUAUCUCAAUUAUGAAUGCGACCUAUCUUAUAUAUGUGCCCUAUUGUGCAAUUUUUUCUUGCAUUAAUUUGCUUUCUAUAGAAACACAGAAUAUAUUAUCUUCCUUGAAGUGGUCAUGGUUAUAUGUUUAAAACAGGCUCCUUAACAACUAAAGGGACUAGGGAAAAACAAUAAGUCGGACAGUAAUCAGGAAAUUACCUAGUGAUGGGUGUGGAGACAAGGUCAGAGGGUUGAGACAGGCAAUAACAACCAUAAAUUAGGAAUUUAAUGAUUUCUAAUUGAAGUAUAAAUUCUUCCCAAAGAUGACUACUUGGUACUUUCUCUGUCUUCUAGUUUAAGUAUAAAUUCCUUCCAAAAAUGACUACUUGGUACUUUCUUUGGCUGCCUAGGCUUGGGAAGAAGAGGCAACACGAAAUGUCCAGCUUAAGCAAUAGCUAUUGCAACAAGCCUAGGCUUGGCAUGACUAGGCUCACUGCAAUAGCACGGCAACACUAAUCGGAUAUUGCUCCCUGGCAACAAAUGGUUUACAAGAGCUACUAUUGCAAGCAGGUUCAAACUUGCGAUCAGAAAUGAAGCGAAGGUAGUGUGGCCCUAGACCUCAAAAAUUAGUCCCACCACCUCCGUGGUAUGAAAAAAAGAAAGGCAGCUAUUUUUUUUUUUUUUUUGCCAGGCGAAUGAAGAUCACUUUUUGUGUAUAUGUAUCCAUCUAGGAUGCUAGGUGUAGCUUUUCAUGUUUGUUCAAUGCAUAUCGCGAUGCAAGAUUGGUGACUUGGAAAUCCACCAGAUUUGUGCAUGUCUCUAUAUUGAUCACACGUACUUAGUGUAGAGUCUAAGAGCACAGGAUUGUGAUAUUUUGAUUUCAGAUUGCAAGUUGUGACUAAAGACCAUCUCAUCAAGCCUUUUAGACUGCUAAUACAGAUCUCUGGAAACUUCAAAUAGUAUCAUAAAUGUACAUCUUGUUUGCCUUUUCACUUUAGUGUAUGCUUACAUUCCUUUGUCUUAUCAUACAUUGACUGGUCAAAUGUCUUCAUGGGCAGAGCGUUCCUUAUGAAUUUAUAGAGACAUGCAGUCAAGAAUACCAGCAAAUUGUUACUCUUAGGUAUUCAGACACAUUGUGGCUGGUGACCAUCAGGAGCUAUGAGUGCUACGCUGCAGUGAACUUCUCUAUUGGUUGGUCCAAGUUUGUGAGAGAAACUUAGUCUUGAAUGAAGGGCAUGUCUGCAUGUUCGAGCUCCUUGAUAGGGAUUAUUUUUAGGUUGAAUUGGGAGGUGAACACUGGAAGUGUCACUUUAGGCCAUAUACUAGUUAGAAGCGAUCUCUGCCUCUUUUCUGUUGUGAUGAACCGGAUGAAAGUCCACUUUUAUUUCUGACUCUGCUUUUUUCUGAACUAGCUACAAACUUAUAAUUUCUUGGCCUAGCCACUCCAUUGAUCGGAUAUUGUGAUGAAUAGCCUUGCACACAUUUUCUACUUUGGGUAUUUCUCUUGCGCUUGUAACGCUUUUAUCAUUGCCUUCUUGGAAAGGACCUUAGUUCAGCAUUAUCAUGGUUCUGGUUAUUCAACCUGGUUUCGUAGAACAAAUGAAAUUUAUGCAGUAUGCCAUCAGUCAUGGUCACCUGAUAGUUUUCAAAGAUGGGAGAGAUGGACUCUAUACUCAUGUAAUUGUAUUUGAUUAAAGUGCUUAUAUAGAUACAUUAUCCUUUCAAGCAAGAUGAAAUAUAAAACCAAGAUGGCGAAUUCCUCGAGAAGAAAAUGGGAAGAAUCCAAAGACCUCACGGACCUUGAAGAUUCAGAGGGUUCCUGGCCAUGUUGGAAACCAUUGGCUAAACUGCAAUUACCUUCUUAUCUGCCUUCUACGGUGAUGAAUUCCUUUUCAAUUUGUGAGUUUCAAAGUGAUUAAAUUGCACACUCAUUGAUGCGACUUUGCAAAAUAAUAUGCUUGGAACCAAAAAGGACUAAGCUGCGAACGUCAAAGAGUGACAGAAGUUCCAAAUUGUUCCUCAAGAUAAUUUGGAGGCGCGUGCACAUGACAUAGUUUUCUUAGUCACUCUUCAAAUUUUAAAAAAUUUGAUGAGAAGCUUUUGGUAUGUUGGUUGAUGGCAUUGGUUUGGGUGUUCGAAGUUGUAGUCAAUCAGUUAUAUCCAAUACGAAGAGCGUGCGAAAUUCUGUUUCAUGUUCGCACUUGUUGAUUUCCAAACUAUGCUGGAUCUUUUCAUAAUAAAUCGAAAAAAUUCACAUAUGUGCCCAUGAGAGUUCUUUUUUUAACCGGAGGUCAGACCAAACAGCCUAAAUGCCCAGUGAACAAUGUUGAGCCGGUUUUUCAGUGUUUUACUUGUCCAAGGCCUCUCCCUGCACUUGAAAAAGCUUAGAGAAUUUGAGUCAGAAUAUCCCUUUUUCAAAAUGGCAAUAUGGCAAUUUCUUGUCAUGAAAGGAAAAGAACUGUACAUUCCUCAUCUCCAUUCAUUAUCGGCAUAUUUCAAAUAUGAGACAACAUGACAUGUUAUUUUCAUUGAAGUAUUUGUGGCCAACCGACCAUCCUAAUGGCCGAGUAAUGGAACUUGGUAAAAUGGCAAUCAAAAUGGUAAUUGUGAUAUAACCUUUAUGGUUGUGUGUGUCGAUUCGGAUUAUUAACUAGUGCGUCUACCUUGAAACAAUCAACUUCUCUAGUUGCUCCAUCAAUUUGUCUUUUGUUCCCUUUUUUAAAGUGGAAAUCAAGGUGUCGACUUUUUUAAAUAAUAUCUCAAUAUUUUUUGAAUUUUUUUUAUUAUUUUGUUAUUUUGUUAAUUUUUUUUUUCAUGCCCUUAGGGUCGGCCAGGAUGUGGGCGUGCAGCACCUCGCCCAGACCAAGUGAGGGCUGGCGAGGGUGUGCAGGGAAAAAAACAACUAAAAAAACCAAAAGAAAAAAAAAUCAAAAAAAUAUUAAAAUAUUAUAAAAUGUCCACAUCACUUUCAGCAGUGUCAUGUCAGCGCAUGCUGAUCAAUAUUAGCAAAAUGGACUUAACUGGCACAAAUGCGAAAAGUUUAGAAUUGAAUUGACUAAAAAAAAAUAGAUUCAAUUAGCACAAUUACAAUAAGUUUAUGAGUUUUUUGAUAAUUCUCCCGACAUUGUUUUCUUAUUAAUGAAUUUUGUCUCACAAUUCAAGGUACAAAAUGGUAUUGUUCUUUAGAAAAGCUUGAAAACUUAUAUAUAUUAAAAUAAUUUGGUGAGAACGAAAUAUCUUUUUUAUCAAGGAAUAGAAAAGGAAAAGGAAAGAAAAGCAAACAAGAAAAUAAAAAUAAGAAAAAUUACUCUUUGCCAUGCCAAACCUAACCUAAAGGUAACAAACUGUCAACACGAUACAACUUUUAUUUAUAUCACAAGAUUCUAUAUGCUCUUCGUCCAUUUAUUACUUGUCAACUUUUACGGACUUGAUACAUCAAUGACCCUUUUCCUCUUUCUUUCUUGAUUCAACAAUAGGGGGAGAAAAAAACACAUCAGACCCUUUUCUGCAAAUAUGGACUCGCGGUCUCAUCCAAAUAUGAAGGAAUCGAUUAAUUGCUCAUUGAAUUCAUAUUGCUCGCAUCUAAUUCUAUAGUCAAAAAGCCGAAGCUAUGCUUCGGCAUUGAGUGUGCACAACUCUUUAAUUUGACCACAAGCGAAAUCCAUGCAAGUAGUACAGUCCAACUACCCCAGCACGAUAGCACACUAUCCACGGCCGAAGCAUCUGGCGUUGCUGUAAGAGGCACUGGUGCAUUAGUUGAAUCCCCCGAUCGCGGUGUCAAACCUCAGAUCGGUCAAAACUUGACCCGAAGCUUGUGCAAAAUCGUUUGGGUACCGCAUGCCGUUGCAUAUCUUGUACAUAAGCAUCACAUCCAGGUCACUUCUUACGAGUCAGACCCCUACAAGAGCCCCAUGAACAUAAGUGUGAGCGUAUGCGAUGUGGACAAGGUCAUCCAAGAGCCCUGUUUCCUCCCUUUUGGUCUCUUUGGUUUGCUACGAGGAAACACACACUUGAGAUUGGCUAUAAAAAGAUUUGUCUCCAUAGUGCUAUCCAUCAUUUAUUCUUUGUUAUUAGGCUAAGCUAGUACCAAUUUUAGUAAUUUAUGACGUCACAUGGAUUUUUUUUAUAACUUCCAAAGCUUUUUCUAUGAAUUAUUUGUUCAUUAGUGUAAUAUGUUGUUGCUGUCCUUGCAAACCCUAAUCUCAUAAUUUUUAAUAAAAUCCCCCCCUCUUACUAUGCAUGAAAAUUUUUAAAUUGGAAUCCUCUAAGUCUACGAAAUAAAUUCACAUUACGAUAAAUUACUCACUUCUUCUUUUUCUGUCCUCUUUCUCCUCUUACUUUGCACAAACGUGUCAACCUCAUGUACUAGUCUUGAAUAUAUUUCUAUAUGUAACAUUGUAAAUUUUAGGCCAUGUAAUUAAUGGAGUUCAUGAUAGUUAUAUAACCCGAAUAACACGAUACUUCUACCACUACUAAUACUACUACUAGGAGUGUAUUAAAAAAAUAAAAAAUAAAAAAGUCCGAAAAGCCGGAUCGAACCAUCCAAAUUGGCCUGAUAAUUUUGGGCUCAAAUAAUCCUGGGCCGGCACACUUGACCUCAAACUAUCCUUGAGUUUGGGACUUGAAUGAUUGCCAAACUAGCCCGAUUCAUAGAUCAGAAACUGUACAUAUAUAUGGCCCCUAUGUCAAUUCCCAUUCCUGCUAGUUGAGUGCUUGACUUCUCUCAUUCUCCCAUCUCUCACACUGGUUGAGAUCCGGCCACCGUUGAGCUGCCAUUGCCACCACCGUCGAGCCCCAUUUAUGCGGCCAUCAAUCCCCACACUCACCAUAUGCCCUUCGUCCAAGACGUCUCGCUCACUCCGUCAGUCCCUCUUCUGCUUGCUCACGUCUUAGUCUUCCUUAUGCUCCCUCACUCUAAACCUGUGAUAAAUUUACUCUCUAUCAAAUUUUAUUGUCAAAUUAUUAAGUUGGAUAACACGUGACAAUUGACAAUGGUAUCAAUUUGGGGUUUUCUCCUCCAUUUGUUACAAUCAUAGUAGUUUGUGAUUUUUUAUAGUAUUAAUUCAUUUUAACAAAAACUAACAAAUAGUAAAAUUAUCACAAAUGUAUCAAUUUAUUAUUUUUAAUGGUCAAAAUACUAAUUUGGGGCAAAUGUGUGAUGUACCAAUUUGGAGUUUUUGUUAGUCAAAAAAUUAAUUUGAGAUAAAUUUGUUGCAUAUAUACUGAUUUUAGAUUUUUUGUGACAUUAAUUCUUUAUUAUUUUUUUGUUUAACACUUUAUUAGUUACAUUUAGAUAGUAGAUGGUAGUGGAAAGUGGCCGUUAAUGACGAUUGGCACUUUUUAAGUGCUAAAUGACGAAAAUCGCCUCUGAAUUAGUCUAAAAUCUAAUCCGAGCUAUCAUCAUAAUUUGGAUUUUAAGGCAAUCUAGAUCGAGAUAUCAAAAGAGGAACCUCUCCCUUAAAGAAUCUACAAACAUGGUAAAGCUAUUUUAUAAACCAUAUUCUCUAAUAUCCUUAUGUUCAAAUGAAAAUUUACGUAGAAUAAUAAUCGAGUUGGGAGAAUCAUUACCUACACCCAGUGCAAACAAUAUUCCUCUCAUAGCAUGUAUGAAGGUCUACUAGGAGUGAAACUCAGUCAAAUUAUUCAUGAGUCGUUGGAGCUUGGGUUGAUGACCAUUUGAGAACUAAUAUUUAGUCGAGCUCUAACUCGAGCUACUUGAGUAUCUUGCCAAUUGAAAGCUCAAGCUCAUCAAUACUUAGCUCAAUAAACUUUGUAAACCCGAUUCAAAAAAAUCAAUUGUAAAUAAAAUUAAAUAUUAACAUCCUCAUUUGCACACACGUAAUAUAUAGUAUAUCAUCUUUUUUUUUUUGGUAAAGGUAAUAAUAUUAUAGAGAAGGACAAAUGUACAAAAGAUCAGUUCCAUAACCGACACUCUUAACCGAUUGGCAAAAGUGAAGGGGAGCCGAUGUAAAAGAAACAAGGGCCGAGCCCGCUAGCAAACACUAAGGCGACACCCAAGGAGCACCGGCGCGGUGAUGGACCCAUCAACCCUCCAGUGAAUAGCCUGAGAAUGCGGAACGGAAAUGAGAGCAGCACAUAGCGAUUAAGGAGCAUAUCCACUUAGAAACACGCCCGGGUCGAAGCCCCAUCCUCUUUGAAGUCUUUGAUUCCUCGGAGAGGGAGAGACAUUCUUAAAGGUGUUGGCUUUAUCUCUAACCAUCUUGAUAAGGUGAUUUUCGAGCGCCGGAAGCACAAGAGAUUCACCUCUGAAAAGGAUUGCAUUCCUCUUCUUCCAGAUGAGAUGGCAAAGGCCACCAAAGGAGAACCGAACUAUUCUGUGAUAGAAGUCAUUUCCAGAUAGGAACUUCCGGGCCCAAGAGAGUACCUCAUCCCAGCAUCGGUUUCUCCAAGGAAUGUUGCAUUUGGCGGCCCAGAAGAAGGCCAAAGAAGUCGAGAUGCGACAUCCGAAGAAAAGAUGAUCUCUUGAAUCAGGGACUUCACUACAGAAGGCACACACGACCAUAGGAUAGAAGCAUUACCUGGGUGGGAAGGCGAUUCUUUACAAUUAGCUAGAGAAUGAACUGGUAGCGAGGGACUAUAGCGGAAUCCCAUAUUAGAGGCGCCCAGUUAACCGAAGAUUUCUUGGCUCUAAUAAGGUUCCAUGCCGAUGAAACCGAAAAUAAACCGGAGGGAUGAUUGCACCAGAAAAACCUGUCAUUGCCCGAAGUCAACUCUGGAAGAGAUAUACCGCAUCUCACCAAGCAUUCCUUUAAGGGCCGGCCCAAUGGAGAGAAAAGGUCAGCAACAACCGCAUGGUCAGGGAUGCGAAGUCUAUUUCUGAAUGAUGAGGGCACGAAUGCAUCAAGCGGGCCACACGAUAACCAGUAAUCAUACCAUAGGGACACCGUGUAGCCGUUUCCAACCUUCCAUCUAAAGGAAUUUCGAAAAUAACUUCUAAGUUGGAGAAUAUUUUUCCAAGACCAGGAGCAUAAUUUGGGUUGGGACACAAUCCAGAAGUUCCUUUUGGUUAAGAAGAUGGAAUGGAUCCAACGACACCAUAACGAUUCCUUAUCGUGGAAGAGGAACCAUAUAAAUUUUACCAUUGAAGCUUUGUUGCAAUCCCUCAGAUUCCGGAUACCCAAUCCACCUUCAUUUUUAGGAAGACAAACGUCCUUCCAUGCAACCUUAGCUCCACCACGGCCCAGGGCCGUUCCUUUCCAUAGAAACUGUCUCAUGAUUCUUUCAAUAUUGUCUAGAACCGAGGAAGGAAGAGUAAAUACACUCGUCCAGAAUGAUUGAAUGGCAUGGAGCACCGAACGGAUGAGUUGUAAUCUACCCGCAAAUGAUAAGAACCGGUGAGUCCAAGAUUGGAUUCUAGCAGUGAUGCGGUCCGUCAAAGCAAUACAAUCGGCUUUACUCAGUCUAGAGGAAAUAAUAGGAACUCCCAAGUAACGAACAUGGAGCUUACCUUCUUGAAAUCCGAAUGCCCAGAGGAUUCUAUUUCGAAUGGAGAGAUCACCACCAGAUAUAAAGAUCUCACUCUUAUUCUUGUUAGGAAGGAGACCACUCCAAGAAGAGAAGAUGUCAAGGCCUCUCUUUAGCAUGGACACCGAGGACCAAUCCGCUUGGGAAAAUAGAAAAACGUCAUCGGCAAAGAACAAGUGAGAUAGUCGAACCGGUUUACACCUCCAGAAAUAUUUAAAGUCCUGGUUCGCCGUGCGGGAAGCCAACACUCCAGAAAAUACUUCCAUUACUAAUGUAAAUAAGUAUGGGGACAUGGGAUCUCCUUGUCUAAGGCCACGGCCGCUCGGAAAAAAACCAUGAAGAUCACCGUUAAUGGCUAUCGAGAAUCUUGGAGUCCGAACGCAAGCCAUAACUAAUUUGAUGAAUCCUUCCGGGAAUUGGAAUGCACCAAGAACACUUUCCAAGAAGUCCCAAUCUACCGUGUCAUAUGCUUUGUGAAAAUCAACCUUAACCGCACAUUUUGGAAGAUAAGGAUGAAGAUGGAAGCCCGCAAAGAGUUCUUGGACAAGGAGGAUGUUAUCUCUAAUUCUCCUGCCUUUCACAAAUGCAUUUUGAGAUUCACUGACCACCUCAUUCAACACGGCUGCUAUUCGAUUAACUAGUAUUUUAGUGAUAACUUUGUAAAUGGUAUUACAGCAAGCAAUCGGUCUGAAAUCCGACACAGCACUCGCAUUGGGAAUUUUAGGCACAAGAGCAAGGAUCGUUGCAUUUACCUCUUUGAGUAGUCUCCCGGAGUGGAAGAAGUCCCGAACAGCCAGCAAUACCGAGGGACCUACAAUCUCCCAAUUAGACUUGAAAAAUUCCGAUGGGAAACCAUCCGGGCCUGGGGCCUUGCCCUUUGCAAGUGAGAAUAGAGUGGAUUUGAUUUCAUCAUCUGUGACUGGUUCAUCGAAGACACGAAUCUGCUCAUCAUUAAGGGGUCGGCGUAUAGCACGUUUCAACUCCUCAAAAGAUGGUUUAGAUAAAGCCUCAUGCGGAGAUAGCAAUGAGGAGAAGAAAUUAAUAAAAACCUGGGGCAGCGCCGAGAGAUCAGUUAUAAUAGUCCCAGAGGAAUCUUUAAUGGAUAGAAUUCGGUUACUGAGUUGCCUCCUUUUGACCGAUUGGUGGAAAAAUUUCGUGUUUUUAUCUCCUCCUUUUAGCCACUGAAUUCUGGAUUUUUGACGGUAAAAGGACUCCUCUUGAUUCCUUAGAUCAACAAAAUCCCGACGACAACACCUCUCCCUUUCAGCAAGCUGAGGAUUCAUCGGGUCAGAUUGGAGAUCAGAUUGAACGGCACUAAGGGCCUCUCUCGCUUCCAAUGUUCUUUGUGAGAUCUCCGAGAAAGCUUCUCGGUUGAGGAGCUUGAGGCGGGCCUUUAACAACUUGAGCUUAGAUACUAGCUGAAACAUAGGAACACUAUCACCAACGUAUCCCAUACCUGACGGACAAUGGACUAAAGUCCGGAUGUUCAUCCCAAAAUUCAAAGUACUUGAAUGGCUUCCUUGAGCGAGGCGGUUCAAGAACUUUCACUAUCAUCGGAGUAUGAUCCGAUAUGCCCGGGUUAAGGAAAGCCGCCUCAGAAAAGGAAAAGUCCACGUUCCACUUAUUAUUUACCAACACUCGAUCAAUCUUCCUCAACUUCCUUGAGCUGCCUGCCGAAGUAGACCAUGUAUACCGGAGGCCCACAAAUCUGAGGUCCGUCAACUCAGUUUGAGUUAAACAGUUUGCAAAUUCAUCAAAAUAGGGAAUCCAAUUGGUAGAACUACCAACUCUAUCUGAGGGGUCUUUAAUUGCAUUAAAAUCCCCCCCAACCAGCCAUGCCUCAUUCUGAAAGAUAGCAUUAUAGUGUUGAAGGUCUGACCAAAGCGGUCUACGACGAACAAAAGAAUGUUGCCCAUAUAUAGCAGAAACACAACAACUGGAACCAGUAAUAUUAAACUUAAGACAGCCAUGGAUAGCUUGCUCAUUAAUAGAGAUAGGGGAGAAGGAGACAAAAUCCGGGUUCCACCCGACCCAAAUCCUCCCCCGGGGAGAGCAAUUAUAGUUCGCAACCCAUUUCCAACCCCUAAUAAGGGUGAAUGAGAUUUCAUCAAAACGGUCUUCCGGAACUUUCGUCUCGAUCAGGCCAAUAUAACAAAGAUUAUUAACCGCAACAAGGCGCCUAAUUUCCGCACGCCUUAACGGAUCGAUAAUACCCCUAAUAUUCCAGAAUCCAAAAAACAUCCAAAAAACAUGGAGGAAAUGGCUUACCUCUUCCUAGCGGUCUUGGAGCCCUUAACAGGCUUCUUCGCACCAACAGGGAGAGGCGAAUCUUCCAGCAGCUUAGCAAGCUAAUGUUGCAGGCUUUCAGUCAAGUGCAGAUUCGGUUUAAUGCUUGUGGGUUCUUCAACAUUCGAAGGGUCCUCAUCAGAGGAAUCAUGAACACUUGAAUUACAAAUAUCUUCAGAGGUCUCUUGGACCAUAGAAGGAUCCGAUCCAGGAGGGUCAGCCACAGUAGGAGAUUGAGCGUUUGGGGACUGCAACUCUACUUGAGAGCCUUCUUCUUGGAUAAUAGUGUCACUCUUUUGCACCUGACCUUCCUCCGUAAUAGGCGAUAAGCCGAAGGAUACCGUGGAGUUCGCCGCCCUUCGAGCAGCCUCAGCAGCUUCUCUUGCUGCCUGUUUCUUCCUUUUUUUUUUUGGUCUUUCGUUUAAUCUACUUCCAGCCCAUCUCGGCAUUCUCAUGCUCAAUUAAAUCAGCAUUGAUCAGAUGAUCAUUCUCAGCUGGGCGAGAAGGCACCAUACAAUGAGUGCUUGAUUCUCCAAUGAACAGAGAUCUUGAAAUAUCAGUACCAGCAACCGUAUCUGCAGAAACCAGGUCUCGCCUAGGAGCGUGAGAGCUAUCAUCCUUUUGCUCAUAUGAGGUCGGAACAACCACUUCCUUCCCCUUGGUGGAUACCGACUUAGGCUCAGAGUUCGCUUUAGAAUUAGAUUCUGAAUGAUCCACAUUAGCAUCCUCUACUGCAGAAGGAGCAAGAACAGGAACAAUAUUUUUGCAGCUAUGGCCAAACAUUCCACAUUUGGUGCAGACUAAUGGCCUCCAUUCGUAUUCAACUUCAACCACAUCUGUUUUCCCUUCCGUAACCAAGUCUAUAGACUCGUACAAGGUCUGCUGAACCGUUAUUUCAACACACACACGGGCAAAUGUGAGCAUAGACAUCUGCUCCGUUCUUUGGUCAACAUACAAAGGUCUGCCAACAGCACUAGCUACCUUUCCAAUCGCCUGGGCUGACCAAUACGCAAAAGGAAGGUUCCUUAAUCUCACCCAUAUCGGAACAGCCAUGUGAGUGUCUCUCUUAAGUUCAACUCCCGGCUGCCAUUGCUGCAGUAUAAAGGGGAUUCUCGCCAUGGUUAUAGGACCGCCUUCCAGGAGUUUCCUCCUGAAAUCCUUAUUAGGGAUCCAUAGGAGAAACAAUCCCCUUCCGUUAGACAGGACUUCAACCAAUGCUGGUCCCCAAGCUCUCUUGAGGGACUCUUCAACAACGUUAAACGGUAACUUUCUACCGAUAAAAUAGCCAACAAGACAGUCAUAUAGCUUUGGAUCCGCAGCCUGCAAGUCAGAUUCAUUCAUAUGCACGACUGGUUUGUCACUUACAAUCUGAGGAGGCGAGAAUUCCAGAUCAUAGCCUUUGUUAGCAGCACUAGCUACGGAAGCCCAUGAACGAGGAGCAGGCUUUCUUGAUUCGCCCCUUGAGCGGGGUCGAACAGAUUUAGAUCUACCCCUGAAAGCCGAACGUCCUCUACGAGCUACAUUGGACGGUCGUGAAUUCGCAAUACCAGCAGAAGCAGACGGGACAUUACGAUUCUCCACAGCCAAAGAGGGAACAACCGAAGGAAGACGGUCAGUUCUAGGCGAGGAGCCACUUAAUCGGUUCUGCAUCGGAUCAUCCAUCACAGCAGAAUUUGCAGACAACAGAUCGCAAACCCUAAUCCAUCAGCUUCAGAUUAAUCCGUAAAUAGGAAACGUACCCGGAGCUUCUUGGAAGGGGUUUGUAGAGCAGCGAAAGGCACCCCUUGACAUCUUUUUGUUUGAAUCAAGCUCCGGCAUUAAAUUAGUGUUUGGUUGAGCUCAAAUCUUGUUUUAAACAUCGAGUAUGAAGUUGAGUCGAUCUCGAGUUUGGCAUUGUAGCAGCUCAGGUGGCUCAAUUAGAGACCCCUAGGCCCUAGCUGUGUUGACAUCCGAUUCGAUUAAUAAGAGUCUAUGUAUUCAUUGAAGCAAUUAAGAAUUCCGACGUGCAAAUUAUUAAGAAAUCUCAUUGCUCAAGAUUGGGUUGUGAUCUUCAUCACGCAAGUUUUAAAUCCCCUAUAAUUUUCAAUCCCUAUAUUAACCAAUAGCUUAGAUGAUAAAAGUAAAUGAACAUUAAUAAAUGUAGGAAAUCUUCAAAAGUCACCUUUCCUAGGUCCUAGCUGUAAUCUCGUGGGGGACGUAGCUUGGCUUAAAAAAUCCUUCCUGCAACUUUUCUCCGACAAAAUGGCACUCCAGUUCUCUCUCCUCAGUUCUAUGUAUUUGUUUGUUUACUGAAAAGAGGGCUUUUGCGGCAAUUUUUGUCUCAAUAUAAUUUAAUUUCGGAUAACCAUUUGACAAUUGAAAAAAUCCCUCGGCCGAUAAGAAAUUUUUAAUAUCAAAUGUCCACCUUUGCGUUUUUCAUAUAUUAACUUGGAGUGUACAAAGAGAGAUCCUCGAUAAUUUCAACUUUUUUGAUUAAUUGGUAAAUCACUAAGUUCCGUCAUGCUAGUCUCUCUCAACAAGUACUUCUUAUCAUUUAAAAAAAAAAAGUUCCACUUUUAUUUCUCACAACUUCAAUUCUUAAAUUUUUUCAAUUUUCCUAGAUCUUUAAUUGAAAAAUUAACCCAAUUUCAUUCCGGUUAUCAUUAUAUAUCAUCAACAUAAACUAAACAAUCACGAUAAAUGAAUGUCCUCUCCUUGAAGUAAAUAGGGAAUAAUUAAAAAAAUCAACAAUUGUUAACGUCUGAGAAAUUAAAAAGGGAAGAAGAUCCGUCAGGUUUUCCAGUUCUUGCGUUUCUAGCAUUCGGUCCUCUCUACUUCCUCUCUCUCUCUCCCUCCAACCCUCGAGCCGAGCUGCACCGCCUGGUAGCGGCCUUCGACCGCUACCGCCGCAUCUACACCGUCGGGCCACCUCGGCGUUCAGCAGCAGCGCCGCCCCUCUCUCCGCCUCCUCCGAACACAAACCCCACCCCCGGGCAAAAAAAAAAAAAAAAACAAACCCCUAGUUCCCUCGCUUCGGUUCUCCGGGAUUGCGUGAAGAUGGACGAGGACCAGGAGAUGGAGAGGUUUGGGAUGGAGAACGAUUACGACGACGGGCAGUGGAUCGACGGGGAGUUCUACUACCGGCGGCGAAGGGAGAAGCGCGCCCAGACCAAGGGCGACGUGCUCUACGGCGUCUUCGAUUCGGACUACGACGAGUCCUCCAAGAGGAAGCGGAGGAAGAACAGGGACCUCCUAGGUAACGCCGAUUCGUCGAAGCCCGUGAAUUUCGUGUCCACCGGCACGGUCAUGCCGAACAGAGAGAUUGACGAGAACUCGAUGACAGAGAAUGAGGAUGAAGAAUCCGCUGUCGUGGAUGGGGAUAGGCCGGGCUUGGGGGUCUUGAGAAGAACCAACAAGGGAUAGUGACAUUCAUUGAAGCAAAGUUGCAUCCUAAGAAUAUGGGUGUGGGUUUCAACGACUUACAAGGAAACUCUUGCAAAGGCACCUGUUGCCUCGUUGGGGCCAGAGGAAAAGAAGCCAUCACCUGACGUGCCCGGUAAGGAGAAGCUUUGGUCUAAGCAAGCGAAGAAGAAGACGCUGAAAAACAAAGCGAAGUAUAUUACGGCAGAAGAACUGUUGGCGAAGGAGCGGGAACAGGGCGUUGAAGUUGUGCAAAAGGUACUCGACAUGCGCGGACCUCAGGUUAGGGUGUUACCAGACUUGGAGAAGCUGAAUGCAGAAGAGAAGGCGAGGGAGAGUGAUGUUCCUAUGCUCGAGCUCCAGCACAAUACAAGGUUGAUUCUGGACCUGGCUGAGUUGGAUAUUCAGAAGAUCGAUGGGGACCUGAGGAAUGAGAAGGAGACAGCUCUGAGCUUGCAAAAAGAAAAAGGAGAAGCUGCGAGCUGAGGCAGAACUUCAGAAGAAACAACUGAAUAACAUGAAGGAAAUAAUGAAUACGCUAGCCAAAUCUUUUGGUGACAUGCAAAGAAGGUUUCCUGGCGAUUAUACACAUUGUAACUUAUCCUGCAUUGCUUGCUCAUUCGCACUCCCUCUGUUUAUCAGAGUAUUUCAGGGAUGGGAUCCUCUUCGCAAUCCCUCACACGGGUUGGAAGUUUUGAGGUGGAAAUCUCUUUUGCAAGGACAGGAAUGUCUUGAUAUAUGGCAUUUAGGAUCCCCUUGUACCCAGUUGGUUUCAGAAGUUGUCUCGCUUGCUGUGAGAGGCAUUGACACUUUUUGCGAGCGGUUGGACCACUGGCCCACUGCUAGAUCCCACUCAAAAGUGAAUUAAUAUAAUCUCAAGCAAAAGUUAUAAUGGUCCAACAUAGAAAUAGUGAAUUGAUCCAACUCACUUUUUCUGAGAUCAUAAUAUACAGUAUUUAGUCUAGUUGUUACGUUGCCCAUGCCUUUGCAAAUACAAAAAUUUUCCUUAAAUAAAAAAGUAAAAAACUUGUAAACAAUCUAAGUUAUUAAUUUUUUUCCCCGGUUCGCCAUCUAAUAUUGAUGAUGCUUCGAACUUUAUUAAUUAGAAAACAUCUUUGUGGCGUUGUAUGAAAUCAUAUCUACCCAAAAUGUGAGCGCCAAAAACCUAACAGCCACCGGGAGGGCCAUGGCGGCUCUAGUAGGUAAAGAGCUCAAUAAUCCAACAACUGAGCUAUGCACAUGAAACAAGGGAAGCACAAUCAGGGUAGUCUAACUUUGUUAGUUUGUACACACACUUGAUGUUCUGAACCAAUGAUGCCAAAUUGCGCUGAGUUAGCAGCAUGCAAUUGGGGCGACCCGUAGCGUCGGAGGUGUGCCAAGAGCUACAUCUGAGGGAUCAUUGACAACUUUGGACAUUGAGCCAAGGGACAUUGAGCCAAGGCUCGGCUCUACAUCGGUCGAAGAGAGUGAUUUUGGAAUCGGUGGACUGAAGCUUGGCGGUUGGGUGGUGGAUGUUAAGCUUGGAAGCAGCGGAUUGAGCCCAUCGGUUUCCUUCUUGCGGUGUCAAUAGAAGCUUCGGUUCCGAGUCGGAAAGGUAGAACUUGAACUCCUUAGCUGUGUAGUUGGGGUUGAGCGGAGCUGCAGCGACUCGGCAACGGAUUACAGCCGGGAAACAGCAUCACAAACUGCAAAACGAACACGUAUUUCCAAAUUAGCAAACUGCCCCACUAGUCCGUGCAGAUUGGAGAUAUACAUAUGCAGAAUGUGCAGACAACUAGUUUGUCAUCGUUUGAUUGCAUUAAACCAUCCAUCUCCUUUAGAUAAGCUUUGACUUUGUUUUACGAUGAAGCGUUGCUUAUACAUCCCAAAAAAACAACCUUUGGACGCGACAGAAAAGGCUCUUCAUGCUCUUUCCAAUUCAAUUUGUUCCUGCUCAAUUGGCACCACGCGCUUGCAGAAAUUUCACGCCUCAGAUUCUUUUUUCUUUUUUCGAGCUAUUUCCCACUCGAUCUUUCAUAAACAAUCGAUCUCAUCAUUAGAAAUUUAUUGUUACCGCAAUCUUCUUGAUAUUGCAUUCUCGAAUUUAUACAGCUUCAUCAAGGAAAUUUCUGCAUUUGAAUUGUUGGAUGCAAAUUGCGCAACCCCAAAUCUUCAUAACCAGACAAAAACAUGCAUAAUUGAGUAGAAAGAUUAAUGCACCUGAGAUCCAUCGAACAUAAAACGGAAGCAGGAAAAAGGAAUUACCCACAGGGGAUCCACAAAUCAAGUCAUUCUCCUCUAUUACCCUCCGUAUUACUGGCUCAAUGAGGUGGCCCUCACGUUUAGCAUUAGGUAAACGCUCCUUAAAUGAGGACAUGUAGCGUUAGGUUAACGCUCCUUAGGUGAGGACAUGUGAGAAUUAGGGUUAGAUAAGAGACUUGACCACUAUUUAUAGAGUUUUCAACCAGUUCCCCUCAUUACGGGCCAGGCUCAACUCGGUCCACAUUAGCCAGUUCCAUAUUAGACUAAUUAAGAAACCUUCUAUCUCACUUUAAACCAAAUCUCAUAAAACGAUAAACGUUAAACGGUAAAUUAUAAUAUCAAUUAAUGUAGUCCACAAUUAGGAAAGCUCUUACAUGGAUUCCCAUCAUCACACAAACUGAAAACAUGCGACGUCGUACUUGCGAGGAGAUUCAAUGAUCGGGGGACAUAGAUAUCUCCAGUCGGGGAAAUCCGACGCCACCUUCUUCAACAGGCUCGCGAGACGGAGUCCCUCCUUGGCGAGAUCGCUAGGCUGAAGCUUCAGAUUCAUGCCAUACGGCAUGGAAUUCAGAUUCCGCAAGGCAAUCCGGGGGAGGUGGCGGACGUGGCUGCUCUGUUGCAGGUUUUGCAGGAGAGGAAUUUAAUCCCGGAGAGUGGUUGAGCGCGAGUCUGAUGCUACUGGAGAAGAGAGAGGAGAAGAAAACUGUAGUGGAGGAGGAGAGAGAUGAAGAUUGGGGUUUUCUGUGGCGAUUUUGAGAGAGGUGAGAAAGAAGGGAGAGAAAAAUAAAAACGGUUAUUUUUUUUAUUAUCCGAAUUGAAAAUAAUGCAUGAAAUUUCAGUUAAGUUGCAUUCUAACACCCCUAUUAUAAAUGGACAGCACUAGCGUCGUUAAAUGAUUUUGAAAACAUUCGUGAAAAGAAUCUAGAAUUUAGUUUUCCAUAGAGGAACAAUGGGAUUGACACUAGACUACUCAAGAACACAAGCUAGUAUUGCUGGAAGCCCAGAUGGGAAAGGGCAGUAUGGAAAUAAGUCUCUCUAAGGGAACUGGGACGUCACUUUGUAUAGCAGCAGAACUUCUCAGGCAGAAACAUUGGCAAAUUGGCAGUUUCGCGAGCAUUUUGAAUGAUGCAGGACAUAUAGCAGAGGAUGUGAAAAUGAAGCCUUACAUAUCCAAGAAUUUAUUUACUGUUCAUGAUGCUGCUUCUGCUAUCACAAUUCGAACCUUAAAAGAUCGGAUGAAGCAAAGAAAGGUAAGGGACCACUUUAUUGAGCUAAAUACUGUGCAUAACACAUAAUACCUUGGUAAAAAGAAAAACAGGACAUCAGGUUAAGAUCUCGACAGUAGAGGGAAAGCAAGUCGCACCUUUGAUGUAAAGGUUUCUUCUCGAUACGUAGAGCAAGCACCCUCGAGUUUUCCUGUUUAGAAAGCUCGUCGAUGAAAACCUUCAUUUGUACAACCUGAUUACAAACAACAGAAAGGAUUAAGGAAAUUUAUAAAUAACAUGUCAAAAAAGCUAUAGAAAAUAAUGGUUUAAAGGAUAUGCAUACCGAGAGGUUGCUAUUACGAAACAGAUUGAGAGGGCAACCAACCACAAUUCCAAAUAGUGAUAAUUCAGAUAUAUGCAUAUAUACAAGGAAAUAAGAACCCAAUCAAGCCCCAAGUAGAAACGUGUCCAAGACAAUUUGUCACAAAACUAACACUAUACUACUACUAUUAAUAUUACAACAGGGGGCGUGCCAAAAAAUAGAAAAGAAAUAAAAACAUGAGCCCAAAAACCGAGACUGAACUGCUGGGCUGGCCCCAUUUUUUGUGCUAAAAUAGUCACAAGCCGGGCCACCAUAUCUCAAAAUAUCUUUCAAUUCGACCCAAUAUAAGCAAUUUGGGUUUCAGUUAAAGCUUAAAAGGCCCAUACCCGCCCAGUUCACAAAUUAGAAACAAUGUCUCAUUUUCCUUCUCUCCGGGGCUUUGUCAUCUUACCUUUUCAUGAAUAUUUAGGUCUUGACCUGUCUCAUUCUUUCUUCUCUCACGCUUAACGAGUCAUCGAGCCCCCACCAAGUCGCCACUGCGGCAUCAUCGAGCCCCCACUGUGCGGCCAUUGAGCCCCAACACUCACCAUAUGCCCACCCGGUCAAUCGCAGUCUCUCUAUCUAUCUCGGCUCUCCGCUCCCCCACUCUCUAGCAGCAAAACAAGUUCUUACUAGCCUGUUCUGAUGUCUUCAAAGUUUUUGGUUUUAGGGCAUGCUACUUGAAUUUUUUUUAUGGAAUGUAAAAACAAAAACAAAAUAAACUAAACAAUUUUUUUUUUCUAAUUUUAGAUUGCGUGUGAUCCUAUUGAGUCUAGGCCAAAUGGCAUGGCUUUGAUUCGAGCCAGGUCCUUAGGCUAGAAUAUUCUAAGCCACAUAUUUUUGGACGGGCCAAAAAAUUGACAAAAUCCCACUAGGCCCGCAUUUUAACUCAUUCAUAAAAAGUGUGCUAACUCAAUAUAAAUUUGGAUACACUGCACUAGCGAAUCUAAAUAAUCGAUACAAUGCUAAAAAAAAAGUGAUGACAUGAAUGCACUAAAUAACUUCGUUUGGGAGCACAUGGGACUUGCCAUAUAGUUAUUACUAUCAGUUACCCUAAAUAUUUCAUUUAAUUCAUGUAAUUUCAUAAUUUACUACUACAUUCUUCUUCUUCUUCUUUUUUAUGUCUUUAGCUCAUCGAUAAAGCAAACUAAGCAACUUCCGCUCAUCGCUUCAUUCAGUUAAACCAGUCGUGGGUCGGUCUAUCGAUACAUAGCAUCCAUCAUGUAACCUCACUGGCGUCCUACCGUUCCUCAAACCCCUCGUUGCUCAUUUUGAAAUUGUUCCUCAAACCCCUCAUUGCUCAUUUUGUCACUUCGCUUCAGUGUCUUUUUGUCAAGCAUCUUGGCCUUGGUCACUAAGCAACUUAAUUCAGACUGUAAUGAAUAUAAAUAUCUCCAUAGGAUUCUCAAUCGAUUGUCCUAAACCAAUUGUGAUAAAGUCUAUUAUGCAUGAUUCAGAUUUCCACGACAUCUUUUCAAUCAUUAUUUCCUAAUCUGAAAAGAAGAGCGUAAAUUUCUUACAAGAAAAAGUGAAAAAAUCAUGGAACUUGAAAGUUGAGAGGAUUGCAUCCCUCGUCAAACUAGAAGAACAUGAAUAAAAUGAAAUUCAAAUUAAACUACUCUUAAAAUAUAACUACCGUUGCAGCAGAAACAAAUGAUGACCACAGCAUCAGAAAAGGUCAUCACCAAAGGAUUAAAAUCCAGUCCAAGUUUGGGGCAAGGGCGAUUCCUUCACAGAUUGUAUAAGUGCAUAGAUCAAUGGCGAUUCUGACCCUCCAUUCUUUGCAUUCUUUGCAUGCAGAUCUUGCGUUCCUUCACAACAGAAUACACAUUCAAAACUCUGUUCAUAUAGAACACUUUAACUUGAACCAGAGACAUCAGCAAGCCACGAGACAACAAUUUUCAUGUCAUGCGUCGAUCAUACGAGACGAGAAUCCUAACACCAUUUGACAAACUAUCAUCCUAUUCCAACAAGGUCGGCCAUAAUAAAGGUUUGAUAAGUUAGAACAAAUCGAAUUUAUGUAAUAUCAUUUUGCGGUUCUAGGAUUGAAUCGAAUUUACAUACUGAUCUAGUUCGAGCAUUUCCUCGAACGUGAUACACAUUUCGAUUAAGGAGCUCAUACGCAAAUACAAACCACUGAUUCAAUUUCAGAUACUCACAACAACAACAUUAUUACGAGGCCGAGUUGUUAAUCGAGCUUCAAUCUCAACUGAUUUACUCACAGACAUCAUUAGCUAAAGCUCACUGGCUCUGUUUCGUUUGUAAGCGGCAGAAACAGAAUGUGCGGGAGUUUUUGACCUCGAACGGUGAUCAGAUCACAAAAAAAGUUCCUGGUGGUGUCCACGUUGAUAAUCGCGAAUGGCGAAGGGGGAAAAACCAAGGGCUCGUGCACUUUUGGGCGUCCUGACCAGAAAACAGGGCAGAACGACAGUUGGCCUUGCUGCAGCGAAACCGGCGAUGGCGGAGCGGCUACAGUGGCAGCUAACGGUGUCUGAAGGACGACGGAGAAGGAGAACUGACGAAGAAGCCUCGAGAAUUCCCGAGAAAGAGAUGGCGGACGGUGGAUUCCUGGUGACGAUUAGCGGUGGAGAAUCUUCUGCAACUCGGCCGAUCGAUCGAAAGAGAUUGUGGAUCGUGGGCUGCGGUGAGGCAAAUUGUCUAGGCUGAGGCUUACUCUGAUGGGCCCGGCGCGCUCGUUCGGAAGAGGAAUCCACGAAUGGGAGCUCAGCAAGAGAGAAUUUCUUCAUCGGGUCAACCCAUUUCUAGAAGCGUCUCCAUCUUCGCUCCCACUCUGUCGCCUCGGUCCCCCCGGCAGCCACCGCCGCUCGUCCUCCAUCGCCGGCCACGACAACACUCAUGCGCUCAGCACAGAUCACACAGGGCAGAGAGGCUCAAGGAUUUCUAAACAUCCAGAGAAUUAUCUCUCUUGGCUCCUUGCUUCGUCUGUUGACCUCCAACUGACCUCCCGGAUCGCUAAACCACCAGGCCGUAGCUCUGUUAGCACCGUUCUCCGAUCAGUUUGCUUUGGCUGCUCUGAAUUUGUUCGUUUCUCCUUCGCUGGCUCCGAUCCUCAACGUCAUUGUCUCGCACAACCUCUUCCUCUGAUCCGAUCGUCCUUCGUGCAUCAGAUAAAAUGAACACUAUAAUCUUCCUUCUUCGUUCUUAGCUUCGUGAAGAGAGACCCAGGCAUAUUUGUGUGAUUUUUGUUGUUCAAAUUUACUGCUGGCGUGUCAAUGCGCGCACUAUAAGUGCUUUGUAUGAUCCAUCGCAUGAAGUGCUCACUGUGACAUGUUCAUAUUAAUAAUCUGAAUCUCAAAUCAAUGUUCACUGCAAUGCGUGUUCGUCUGUUAGAUGGUCGAUUCUUGUUUAGUUCUCCCUGCCAAAAAUCUUGCAAAGAUGAUUCCAUCUACAUCUAUGUUAUUUUGGCGGUUUCUGGAUUAAUGUUCCGUAUGUUAGAGGAUCAAGAGCUCCAUCCUACUCUGCUACAUCAAGAGUCAGCCACAGGGGAUCCUCAACUCUGGUAGAUGUAGAUCACCAAAAGACUAUCGUGAAGUAAAUAAGCUGAAGACAUGGAUAACCAGUCUUAUCAACGGUGGAGAUUUUACAAUGCCGAAGACGUGGAUUGCCAAGUCUUAGGAUUUGUCAAGACUGCUAUUCUGUUAUAAAUAGCUGUAAAAGUUUGUUAGUUUGUGUCGGUUAGUUCGUUUAGUCUGUUAUUAGUUUUCCAGCUUCUCUCUAUAUAUAAAGAUAGAAUUGAGCUCAGGAAAAGGUGUGAAGAAGAGAGGAGAGGGAAGAACAGGAGAUUCAAUAUUGAUCUGUUGUAUUUGAUUUCUCUUUGUUCAAAACUUGGAUACAAUGAACUAAGAAUUGAAUACUUCUUGUUCAGAUCCUUUUGCAACUCUAUCGAGUUUAUUCUCUAUCAUCAUCAUCAUUCCUCAUCUUCAUCUUCUGCAUUCUUGGAUUCUCAAUUUCUCAUGGUAUCAGAGCAGAGAGCAUCUGAAUGAAGAGAUCCGUCCAGUAAUAAGUUCUUGCAUCAAGACAGAAGAGAUGAACGAACAAUGAAGCUCUCUGGAUCAAGGUAAUCACAUAAGAGCUCAUAGUAUUACUGUUGUCAUCUUCUUCAAGCUAAAGGAUCGUAAUAAUGGCAAUUAGAACUCCAAAGUACCCUUUUCCGAUACAUAUGAAUAUCUCGAAUUUUGUCACAAUCAAACUUGCUGAAGACAACUUCCUAUUGUGGCAAGCUCAAAUUCAAAGGUUUUUGAAAAGUCAAGAUCUUUUUGGUUUUGUUAAUGGAGACAUUCUUUCACCUCCUCGAAUGCUGCAAAGAGAGGAUGAAGGUUGUGAAACUGAUCUUAUCAAUCCAGAUUACACUGAUUGGACUAGAACAGAUCAGUUGAUUUCAUCAUGGAUCUCUGGAGCUGUUACUGAAAACAUUAUGAGCUUGAUAAUCGGAUUAGAAACAUCAUCUGAAGUAUGGCAAACCCUUCUGAAAAGGUUUACACAGAAGUCAAUUGCUAGAGAGUUCGAACUAAGGGGAAAACUGCAAUCAUGCCAAAAGCAUGAACAAACCCUUGCUGUUUAUCUCAGGGAAUAUAAAUCCAUAUGUGAUCAGUUGAAUGCAAUAGGCAAACCAGUGGAUGAAAUAACCAAAAUGUUUGGUAUAUUGGAAGGUUUAGGUCCUGAGUAUGAAAACUUUCGAACUACCAUAUAUUGUUUAAAGCCUCAGUAUGAGUAUGAUGAGGUUAUUGCCCAAUUAGAAAGGUUUGAAUCAAGGCUCAAGUCCUUCUCCAGGAAUCAAUUCAACCCGAAUUUGGCCUAUUUUGGACAAAGACAGUCUCAGAUACAGUCUAAAGAUACCACAAAUGAAGAUUACAUCUCUCAAGCUUCUGGAUUUAUAUCUCAAAGAGGAGGUUACAGAGGUGGUCGAAGCUAUGGUCGUGGCAGAGCUGUAAACAAUAGAGGUCGUGGUUUUGAAAGAUAUCAGAAUUACAGAACAGAUAUCUUAAAUCCAGGACAAGGAGAUCAACACCCCAGACAGAGAAAUGUUAUCUCUACAACAAAUCAAGGAUUUAGACCCUACACCACUUACUCACAAAGGUGCCAAAAUAUCAAAACUUAUCCAUAUGUAAACUCAAAUAAGAACUUACAGGAUGAGAAAGAAACAAGUAGCAUUCGACUCGAAUGUCAAAUAUGUAAAAGAUCUGGACAUGAUGCUCUUCGCUGCUGGUAUCGGUUUGACAAUUCCUAUCAAGCAGAAGAUAUUCCAGCAGCAUUGACGGCAAUGCAUAUUGAAGACUCAACAGGAAGUGAGUGGUAUCCUGACUCUGGAGCUACAACUCACAUCAGUGCCAAUCCUGGUAUGCUCCAUACCCUUUCUAAAUAUCGAGGACAUGAUACUGUUAUGAUAGGCAAUGGAUCAUGUUUACCUGUAACUCACAUUGGCAACACUUGGCUGAAAACAAAGAGUAGUACAUUACCACUUAAUGAUGUCCUAAUUGUCCCAGAGAUAAAGAAGAAUCUUCUUUCAGUAUCUAAGCUCACAGAUGACUAUCCUUGUUCUUUUAUCUUUGAUAAAACUGGUGUUUAUGUAAAGGACAACAAUACCAAAAUAAUGGUGAAGCUCGGAAGGAAAACUAGAGGGCUUUAUCAAGCUAAUCCACAGACUACAGAAGCCUUCUUUACUCAGCGGCAAAAGACAGUCGAUGAAGACACAUGGCACCAGCGAUUGGCUCACACAAAUACACAAGUAGUUAAACAUUUGCAGAAACAUAAGCUUAUACAAUUUGAUUCACCAUCUAAGAAUGUAUGCAGCAGCUGUCAAAUAGCUAAAAGUACAGCUCUAUCGUUUCCUUUAUCGGAUUCUACAUCAAGCUUUCCAUUAGAAAGAAUUCAUUGUGACAUUUGGGGACCCUCACCAGUCUGUUCUUUUCAAAAGUUUAGAUACUAUGUGAUUUUUGUUGACAGUUUUUCUCGAUACUGCUGGUUAUAUCCUAUGAAGUUGAAGUCUGAGUUCUAUGACAUAUUUGUUCAAUUCCAAAAGUUAGUUGAACGACAGUACAAUCAUCAGAUUAAAAUCUUUCAGAGUGAUGGAGGAGGAGAGUUCGUAAGCAACAGAUUCCAAACUUGUCUAAGACAUCAUGGAAUAAGACAGCUUAUAUCAUGUCCUCACACACCAGAACAGAAUGGGGUCUCAGAAAGGAAGCAUCGACACAUCGUAGAACUGGGAUUAGCUAUGCUAUAUCACUCAAAAGUUCCACUAAAAUUUUGGGUGGAUGCAUUUGUGACAGCUAGUUACAUCAUAAACAUUCUUCCCACACCAAAGCUGAAGAUGGACACACCCUAUAAUAAACUUCAUAAUAGACAGCCAAGGUAUGAUCAUUUAAGGGUGUUUGGCUGUGCAUGCUAUCCUUGUUUGAGACCAUAUGCUGUCGCGACCUCUUUUUUUCUGGCGCCCGCAAUCGGGUACGAGCGCCUAAGGAGGCUAAUGGCUCGGCUGAAUUUAUUAAGCCUGGACUCUCCCAAGUCCACCAAUUCACGACUUUAAUAAUUUGAGUUUUUAACCCAUAAAUCAAUUUUUAAAAUGGAGUCGCCACUAAUCGAUUUGAGGUGGGUUGAUUAGAAACCCAAGUGAAGUAUCGGGAGAAAUACUCACUUCUGCGCAACUAGAGAAAUUAGGAUCGGGGACUUGAUUACACUAGUUAAUCACUAAUGCCAUUUCGGUACCUAAUCUUGUUUAAACCCUAAGGCUUUUUGGAUUUUUGAGAGAUUUUCCAUGCAUUUUUGGGAGGAAAAACAUUUUUUGAGUAUUUUUCUCAUUUUUUUUGGACAUAAAAGGGAUUUUUGGUAUUUUUGGUAUUUUUUGGAAAAUAUGGAAUAUUUUUGAUUUUUUUGAUUUUUUUUCUUUUCUCGGAAAAUAAAAUAUUUUUAAAUAUUUUUUCAAAAUAUUUUUGGAAAAUAAAUUAUUUUUUGAUUUUUCUCGAUUUUUUAGAAAAUAAAACAUUUUUCGACAUUUUUAAAUAUUUUUCGAUUUUUUGGAAAUUAAAACAUUUUUUUAUUUUUUAUUUAUUAAAAUAUUAUUUUUAUAUUAAAAUAACAAAAUAAAACCGACCCGGGUCGGAUCCGCGGGUUGGGUCCGACCCGGGUCGGCGACCCAAAUGCGGACGGGCCCGCGUUGCGGGCUCGACUCGGAUUUUUCAUCUUUUCUUUUUUCUUUUUUUCUUUUUUUUUUAAAAACGACGCCGUGGCCGGGCGUUUGGGGACGCCCGGCCCAGCCCGACGACCCGGGUCCACGACCCGCUCCGCGACCCGACUCCCUGCGAACCCUACCCGACCCGGAUCCGAAUUCACGACCCGGCUUCCGCCGCCCCGGAAUCUCGCGAAACCCUACCCGGUUCCGAGGUGUUUGGCGGCGACGGCGACUAUGGCGGCGACGUCGAAGGUGACAACGGCGGCGGCAACCACUGCAGCCACGACGGCGGUGACAACGUCGACGGCGACGACGGCUAGGUCAACGGAAAACGGCUGCGAUGAACAAUAACGCCCCCCUUUUUACCUUCUCUCGGAUGGGGACGGCGACGGCAGGAGAGCAGUUCGCGAUGGUGGAGGCGACGACGGCAGCAACUCAGCUUCCCGAUCUGGCGCGGCUUCGGCGGAUCGAUCACGGUAAUGGCUCCGCGAGGUGAGGCACGACAACAAGCCGUCGAAGCAACGGCGUCGGGACUGAGGUGAACGGUUGCAGCACGGCGUUCGGCGGCAACAACAGCAGCAAAAAAAACCAGAUCUACUGCGUAGAUCUCGGCCGGACCCUCCUCGGCCUUGAUUCCUCCUCACUUAGGCCAGAUCCGAGCCUCCACAGGCCGGAUCUGACCUUCUCGAAGUCACUCGCCGCCUGCCUUCCCCGAAGUCUCUCGGUGGAAGGUGGGCUAAGCUCGCGACCCGAGCUCUCUCCUGCGCUCGCCCUUCAACCCUUCCCGAUGUCUCUCAGUGAAGGAUUUCCGAGCUCGCCACACCCUCCGACGAUGCUUGCGACCACCUAUUUAUAGGCGAAGGAACUCCGGUCGACAGAGGGGCUCGGUUGCCGGCCUCCGGCUUGCCCACCGGUUCUGCUCGGCCGAACCGGUGUCCCAUCGAGCUUUCCAGCGAAGCUCGCUCAGCAUUGAUGGCGCCUGCGAUCUUAUCCCCUCCGGCCGACGUCGCCCUACACUCCUCGGCCGUAGGCCGUCCUUGGCGCGCGUCGCCGGCCAUCGCGCGUGAGAUGCAAGCGACUGAGGAAGAAGAAGACAGGAGGAAGAAGAAGAGAGAAAAGGGGCCGGGCCAAGGGUGAAGGAAAAUGGGCCACAUGGGCCACGCGGAGGGGGAAGAGAAAGGGAAAAGAAAAAAAGGGCUGGGCUUUUGUUGUUUUUUUUUUGUUUGUUUAUUAAUUAUCUUAUUUAUCCGAAAUAAAAUAAAAACUUAAUUAAAUAAAAUUAACCUAAGUAAAAUUGAGGUGUCAACAGCUGCCCCUCUUUGAAGGUGAGCUCGCGGAGGUUGCAUUCAAAGACAGACUGAUGCCUCAAUUUUAUCCAUACAUGCAUAGCAGAUUAUAUUUUAUUUGGGAUCUAUUAUUCUAUGUAGGAAAAGAGCAAUAUAACUUUACAUAUACUAAGACAGAUAAGAAGAUACCUGUAGUUACUUACCGGGAGUGAGUGAGAUAGGGUGUGAACCCCGAGUUUUGGCAAGUAUCAAGGCGUCAUCUUACCUGGUGAUAUGAGGAGGUUGCUUUUCCAGGGCUCGAACCAUUCUUCGGUUACCUGUUAAAACAAUCAAUGAUUUUUCUAGGGCCCGAACCUUUCUUCGGUCGCCUUGACGGGAGACUGCUCUUCCAGGACCCAAACCAUUCUUCGGUCGCCGUGACAGGAAGUUGUUUCUCCAGGACUCGAACCAUUCUUCGGUCGCCUGUUAAAACAAUCCAUGAUUUGUCUAGGACCCGAACCUUUCUUCGGUCGCCUUGACGGGAGAUGCACCGACCUUUCUCAGGGCAUCUCAUUUGUGGGUGCCUGAUUUGUAUCAAGGACACCAGUUGGAACCCGACCUUUCUCGAGAGGAUGCGCCGACCUUUCUCAGGGCAUCGAUUUGUGGGGCGUCUGACUUCUGUCGAAGACACUAGUUGGAACCCGACCUUUCUAGGGAGAUGCGCCGAUCUUUAUCAGGGCAUCGAUUUUGGGGGGCGUCUGACUUCUGUCGAAGACACCAGUUGGAACCCGACCUUUCUCGGGAGGAUGCGCCGACCUUUCUUAGGGCAUCGAUUUGUGGGGCGUCUGACUUCUGUCGAAGACACCAGUUGGAACCCGACCUUUCUCGGGAGAUGCGCUGAUCUUUAUCAGGGCAUCGAUUUUGGGGGGCGUCUGACUUCUGUCGAAGACACCAGUUGGAACCCGACCUUUCUCGGGAGGAUGCGCCGACCUUUCUCAGGGCAUCGAUUUGUGGGGCGUCUGACUUCUGUCGAAGACACCAGUUGGAACCCGACCUUUUUCGGGAGGAUGCGCCGACCUUUCUCAGGGCAUCGAUUUGUGGGGCGUCUGACUUCUGUCGAAGACACCAGUUGGAACCCGACCUUUCUCGGGAGGAUGCGCCGACCUUUCUCAGGGCAUCGAUUUGUGGGGCGUCUGACUUCUGUCGAAGACACCAGUUGGAACCCGACCUUUUUCGGGAGGAUGCGCCGACCUUUCUCAGGGCAUCGAUUUGUGGGGCGUCUGACUUCUGUCGAAGACACCAGUUGGAACCCGACCUUUCUCGGGAGGAUGCGCCGACCUUUCUCAGGGCAUCGAUUUGUGGGGCGUCUGACUUCUGUCGAAGACACCAGUUGGAACCCGACCUUUCUCGGGAGAUGCGCCGAUCUUUAUCAGGGCAUCGAUUUUGGAAGAUACCUUGGAUAUUUGUGAAGGUCUCUCACCUCUUGGUAAUGGGAAUGUCGAGGGUGUGCCCCGCUUAUUCAUGAAGGUGUCUCACCUCUUGGUAAAGGGGAAUAUCGAGGAUGUACCUGGGAUAUUCGUGAAGGUUUCUCGCCUCCUGGUAAUUGGGAAUAUUGAGGACGUACCUGAGAUAUUCGUGAAGGUCUCUCGCCUCCUGGUAAUUGGGAAUAUUGAGGACGUACCUGAGAUAUUCGUGAAGGUCUCUCACCUCCUGGUAACAUAAAUUUGAGUGUAGCACAAGACUUACCUGGAUGGCCGCAGGCACUUAAAAGGGGUGGAAAACCUGGAUAGCCACAGGUGUACAAAGUACUGGAAUACUUGGAUGAACACAAGUAUUUAAUGAUAUAACAUGGGACUACUCAGUUGGUCCAAGUGUAAGAAAGCAUACCUGGGUAGGUGCAGGCACACAAAGCAGUGGAAUGCUUGAACAGCUGAUAUUAUUUGGGGACAACUCGGGCAAGUUGAGUGUCAUGAAAAGGAAGUACCUAGACAAUAGUGGGUACUUUGAUGAUAUGGGGAUACCUAGACAGCAGUAGGUAUUCCAAGAGAUACUUGGUCAGUCACAAGUAUCAAUACUCUGGGGACAACUCGGACAGGUCGAGUGUCAGAAAAAGGGAGUAUCUGAACGGCGACCGGUACUCAAAGAUAACAGGGAUACCUAGACAACAGUAGGUAUUUAACAAUAAAGGGAUACUUGGUCAGUCACAAGUAUCAAUACUUUGAGGACAACUCGAAUAGGUCGAGUGUCAAGAAGAGAGUACCUGGACAGUGAUAGGUACUUUAAGACAAAUGGGGAUAGAGAUAUGCUUACCCGGCAAUAUCUCUGAUCUCUAAGAGUAUGUCUGCUAUUUGCAUAGUAUGCACACAUGAUUGUAUAUGCUGUAAAUUCAUGAGUUCAAAUGAGAUUCAUGCAUGAUAAUUUUGUCAGUUUUGCAUCAUCUGAGUUCCACUGGGGAAGAUUUUGAAAGACAACCUUCAUUUAGAAUGUAGAUGUCUUGAGCAUGCCAGACGAGGGACUUUCAGUCUGAAAGGACUUUCCGCUCACUCUCAUGGAAAAGGCUAUCCUGACCAUUGAUGCAGGAUUUAUAAGGACCACACUAUCUCACUGUCAUCAUGUCAGCAGGGGUCUGAGUAUUCUCGCAAACAGUACGACUUUACCAAUGUGAGAGGUCUUUGUUGAAAUUGUGAUGAAGACUUGGUCAAUAGCUCAUCAAAUGGGACCGUCGAGGUCAAGGCUCAUGAAUGAAGUGCCGCACGAUCAUCUCCAGGUUUGCAAGUCAAGAGUCCUGCGAAAAGAGAUAGAAUAGUCUUGCUCGUACUUCUUCGAGCGAUGCUUAUAGACAUAUGAAAUCCUACGUUAAUUGAAGUGCCCCUAGUCUGAAGAGACUUUUACAAUGGGAUGCAAUGUAGGAUUGAUUCAUGUGUAAAAGGGUGAGAGCUGGUGAUUGUCUUGGCAUUUGUCACCAGUCUUCCUUCUCACUGUCAAAUGGAGGCUCUAUCAAUUGAACCACAACAACAACUUUUCUUAACUGUAUUUUUUACUGGGGGGCAUUGGCCUUGCUUUUACCAGGCACACUGCUUUUUUCAUGCCCCUAUUUUUAUUCCAGUUCUCCAUUCAUGGACAUUGACCUUGCUUUUACCAGGUACACUGCUUUUUUAUGCCCCUGUUUUUUCAUUCUUGUUGCUUGAGAGCUGAUCUUGACAAGUUCAAGCAAAUGCCUUUGUUAGACUAUUGAGUCUUCAUCUUUUGCCGGCGCUUCUGAUUAUGCUGCUCAAACAGCAGUGGCUUUUGCUUUGCCUCCAUGUGAGGGUGAAUUUACAAACUCAAUUGAGUUGUACAAUGGAUACAAGUGUAUAAAGAAAGAGCUGCUCUUCAUGACUCUAGGGCACUUAAAUUAACGCGAGUGUUCAUAUGUAAUAAAGACACUCAAAGAUUGAUGCAAGUGCAAGCAAGAAAAUUUCUAUCUCUCUUCUCACCUUGUGAUGCUGCUUUGUCUCCAAUCUGCCCCAGUGUGGGGUGGUUCUUGACGGGGGUAUGAAAGAAACUUCACCAAUGUAUGGGGCUCAAUGGGGUGAGCGAUGGAAUGCCUCUCACUAUUUUGGUUAUCGUACCAUUCGCGAGAGAACUCUUUGCCCUGCAGUCAUGGAAUCUUCUGCACUCAUCUCACAAGUGUAUAGAUGGGGGACUGUGUGUAGGAUAUGGCUUGUCUUUCAUCAUUCUGACGUGCCUUACCCAGCACGCUCAAUUAAUCUUGUAUUAUUCACUUAGCUGUCUAUUCUAAUAAUUCUCAGUGGAAUCAGUGAUUUAGACAGACAAAAUCAUCAUGCAUAAUUCAUCUGGAAACGACAUGCAACAUUUUGAAUAUGAUGGAGUUUGAACUCUUCAAAACAAGUGAAUGGUUUUGACUCGCAAAAGACCCUAUUGACAACUUUAGGGGCUAACAUAAUAGUGUUUCCAAAUAUGUUAGAUUUUGAACAUCAAAAGGGUUAUUUGCAAAUGGACGUCGAUGGUUGUCCCUAUUGAUUAGGAAUAUGACACAUGAAUGAUCAGUCGGGGUUGGGAAUCUGAUCGGGCAUCUCUGCUUUUGCCCCUGCAGAAGAGAAGAUGUACAAGUAGAUUAAUUAGUCUGGCCAAAAUCAAAUGUGAGUUGAGGCCUGAAGGAUCUCUGUCAUUUGCUUUGGCAAUACUUGAGACGCCAUUUUGCUUGGGAGAGUUUGUCAUGCCUCUCAUUGAUUUGUGAUUUUUGUUUUUGACAGUCAGUUAAUCCUGCAACAAACAAGACAUGCUUCUCAUUGAUUCGUUAUCCUUGCUUUUGACAGUCAGGUGAUCCUGCAACAAACAAGAGGGAAUGUGUUAGUCAUGAACUCUUUCAAGAGUCAAAUAACUGGAAUCGAUACAACUUUACCCUUCACUGGUUUGCAGAUGAUUGGGUGAACCUGAAGUGAGAGGGGGACAUGAAGUCCUAUGUCCCUUGCUUCAUUAGGUCAAUUAUUCUCUGAAUUAGCUCCUGGAUGACAUGUCUUUUUACACGAAGCCAGGUGAAUUUGAUGUGGGUCAUUUCCACGUACUAGCUUGGCCAAUAUUGAUUUGCCUAACCAUUGAGUUUGGUUCUUGAGUUGUGAUGCUCCCUGCCAAUAGGGGGAAUAUGUCAAAAAUGAAUUUAAAGAAGGGGGAGUAUUGGAAACGAUACCAAAUUACUCUUCUCCAAAGUCUUGAUAUUUGAAUGUCGAUGACAGCCUUUUCGUCUUGGCAUAGUUUGACAUUUCUUUCAAUUGGCCUUCCUCACUUGUGACCAUGUAUGCGUGAUUGUUGGUCGUUGAUUCAUCUUCAACGCCUUCCUUAUAUGGAAUUUCUCUUUCUGUCUUUAACUAUAGCAUCAUUGGGCAAAAGUCAUGUACCUCAAGCUUUUAUGGAAUCUGAGAUCAAAAGUCUCAAGCUUUCUGAUGGCAAUUACUCCUCGGAAGAAUACGCGUUUGGAGUGAAGUUUCUAGAUUCCAAGAUCAUUGUCCAGGGUGUGGGGCUAUAGAUUGCUUUGACUGUCUAGAUUCUCUCCCUGUUGACAGUAAUCACUUUAAAGGAAGAUAAGCAAAUCCUUCUUUGUGCUUCUUGGCUUGUUGGAGCUGGAAGUCCUGUCAAUGAACUCGGGACAUCCUGCCUCGAGUUAUCAUGCUAUGCAUGCUUCAAGUUUGAUAAUAUGCAUGUGCCUAUUACAUCCCAUCCUUCGUUUCCUGUAGAUGGAAGAGAGAGGAUGUUAUUUUCGACAUUAUGUUCAGGGAAUAGGACUUACCAUUUUGAAACGUGAUGAUCAUUUAUGUUUGCCCUCGCUUUCUUGGAAGGGUGUCUUUGAAUUUGGUGGGUUCACCUGAUGUGCUUGCUUCAAAUGCCCGCUGUCACACUAAGUUAAAGGGGACGGGAAUGAUCUUCUGAGACAUAAAGUGAGUGAGUCAGAAAGACAGACAUGAUUAAAUUUAUCAUCUUUUUUGAAAGAUUUUGGUGAUGAAGUGUUUUCUAUUUUCAAAAUAUGUAUUCAGGGGAGAAAAAAGCAUGAGGAAGCCCAGCCCUCAGUAUUCUCCUUGGAUAUAUUUUUUCAUGGUUGGAUAGCAUCACCGGGCAGGUUUGGAGUACCGCCUCAUGCUCUUAAACAAAAUAUUAGAAUUGUACAUUAGAGUACUUGAAUGGAAAAUACAACAAUAGCACACUAUACAAGAUGAGAAACAUGAAAUUAUAAAAACAAGUAAAACUCAUGAAAACCCCUGUGUAAAGGAGCGCUUUGAUAGUGCUGAUCUUGAAGCUAAGCGUCUUUGAAUUCCUCGCCUUCAGUAGACUCGAAGUAUUCGCAUGCGAUGACUACCUCGUUGAAGUUACGGAAGUGUAACCCAUGCAGCCAACAGCGAUGCUUGCAGGACAAAACUUCUAUGAACUGCUUCAUUAACUCCUCUUCAGCCAGUUGAGGGUGGGUUUGCAUCAUGAAAGCCCUCCACCUCCUUGCGUAUGCUCGGAAAUCUUCCAUUGGUUUUCUUGUGAAGUGAGCCAAGCUCUCACAAGGCAGUUCAGUUCCGAUCUGGCUUUGGUACUGAUGCAAGAAUGUGGAAGUCAGCUCAUUCCAAUCCUUUAGAAGAUAAAUGUUUGCUGUGAUAAACCAUUGCAGUGCAGACCCCGUAAGAGUUUCUUGGAAUGCCUGAGUUGUGAACGACAUCGGGCCAUAGUACCGACUCAUUUCGGCAUGGAGAUACUGCAAGUGGGCCAUGGGACAGGCUGUGCCGUUAUAUUUGCGGAGAUUUGGUAUCCACAUUUCUAUGGGGCUCAUGAUCCUACGAGGGCAAGACGGGCUUGAUGUAUCUUGGUUAGGCCACUGGUUUUCCCACUGCAUAUCUGUGGUGGUGGUGAAUUUUUCUGUUUCAGGGAAGCUGGACUCUAUCGAGAUUACCCCAUUGCUUUCUUCCGGGUCAAAGUUACCGAAGAAGGAUGAGGGAUUUAAGCUAUCCUCAUGGUCAGGUGACGAGCUUAGUACUUCGUUAGGAUCGUAGCGGAUAAAGACGUAUGCUUCUUCUUCUAACGGGCCUUCAUCCCCGGAUGAGAGUAGGAAACAGUUAUACGAUGAAUCGUCAGUUGCAUUGUCGAAAUAACGCUGGAAGUCUUUAGGAUUGUAUUCUAGGGCCGGGAAGUCUUCAAAGCUGUAUUCUUGGGAAUGCUCGAAGCUUUGGUGCGGUGGCUCAUCGAUAGAUGCUACAUUGAUUUGCUUAGGCUUUCUUUUCUUGGCUUCUGGUCCAGACCUUUUGAGUAAGGCUCUUCGUUUUGCCAGCUCGAUUCUGUCAAAGGAAGUGAGAGACAUUGGAGUUUCACUAUCUGAUUCACUUCCCAGGUUGAUAGGGGUUGGUAUUCUUUGGACCCUAGCUCUUGGAGUAAGCUUGGGGAGUUGUCCAGUCGUGCCCCGAUCUUGAACAGGCUCUGUGUCUUUGAUCUCGUACAAAGGCUCCUUGCCUUUCAUAGUGGGAAAUUUUCCAGUAACAGGGUGUUGUUCAGUUGCCCAUUUAUCAUGCAAGGCUUUAUUGACAUGCUCUUCUCCUAUCUCAGCGACUAACGGUUCCUCGUGCUCCGCGAUCAUCGGCUCUUCGUAGGGUAGGGUGAUGUCAAGAUUAUACUCUUGGUGAAAAACAUGAAUUAGUUCCCUCCAGGUUUUAAGGGGAUUAAUCUUCUUGAUAAUGUACCACCGCAAGGCAGGGCCAGUCAAGCUCGAUUGGUACGAUUGAAUCAUCCUUCGGACCAAGUAGGCCUGUAGGUAGGUCUCUGGGCGGGAGGUAUCAGCAUACCUUUCGCAUUCAGGUGCUUUGAGUUUUUCAGGGAUCUCAAUGCCGGCGUAAUUGGAUAGGUCCAUGGGAUUCUGCUCCUGUAGCUGGCUUAACUUUUUCAUAAUCCUUUCAAACUGUCUAUGGUACUGGCUAUUUUCUGGCAAAUUUGCAGGUGUCAUGACGGUGUUUGAGGCAACUAUGGAGUUGGGCUCAGCUUGAGUGGAUUUCAUUUGUCUUGAGAGUUGUUGAAGGACAAUUGACAUCUGUCCUACGUCGUCUUCAAUGUUAAUAAGGCGAUUUUGUGCAUCAUUCUGAUCGGGCCCUAAUGCAUGAGGCCAGUCGUGAGCUAUUGGUGGCCGGCGAUUCAUAAUUACCUGCUCGUUGCGAAAACAAUGAAUGAGCACGAAAGUAAACAAAGAUUGACCCAUGGCAAUGGUCUAAUUGCUUUUUCAUUUAUCAAAAGAUGAUUUAUAGACUGCCAACUCCUAACAUCUAGGACUUGAAAUUGAAAAGACAGGAGGAAAUACUAGAUAUUAAACAAGAGUCCCUAAACAAUGGGACAUAACUUUCACACUAUUUACACUAAGGGGCACAUGAUUGCCAAUUUAUAUGCGACGGGGAGCCUUGUUCUUGCGAGAACACCUGCUUCCUUGAACUGGCUCUGAGGUGUGCAUCCAGUCCAUUCCCGAAUCCCUCUCCAUGAGCUCUGCUUGCUCGUGUUGGCUGCUCUCGCUGAUCAAGUGAGGGACUAAUGGCUUCCAUCUUGUCGGGAUGCGAUGGUUGUGGAUGUAGGACAUGGAGGCGUGGUGGGCUUUUUCUUCUCCCUCAAGCCCUUCAGGUACCACGAUCCUUUUACGAUGGCACUUGUUCCAUGCUUCUUCAUAAAUGUCAACCAUGUAUUCAAAAUUUCGAUGAGUGAAGAGAAGUGGAGGGGUCCUCUUCUUGAAAGAUGGCGGGAUCUCCUGAAGGGCUCCAUACUGUCGUGCCACCCGUUGUGGGAAAUAGGAAAAAGCACCGGUGAGGCCGAGCAGCGGAAUUGGAUGGCGGCGCUUGAAAGCAAAGUGAGCUCUCUUUUCAUAGAACCAACCAGCACGCCAUUGGAAUGCCUCAGGAGCCGGGUCUCUUAGGAAAUUUAUCCAAUUUAAACAGCUUUGAUUGGGAAUGUAUGGUCCUAAAACCAUAAAUUUUUGUAAUGGAUUUUCGAAGUCAUUCAUUCCAGAUGAUCGCAUGAAGCCCUGGAAUUCGCUUAGGUGAGAAAAGAACCAGACUUGUAAAAUUUCAGGAGAGGCUCGCAUGAUUUUCUCCGUGUUGUCUUUAAAACGAUUAAAGGACAAGAAUGUUUCAGUUAAAAUCAUAUUGACAUAAUUUUGCCCUCUCAAGAUUUGAUCAACUAUCCAUGCCAUCUUAGGACUUAUGACAUUUCUUUGAUGGGGGAAAAUGAUGAACCCAAAAAAGCCCAGGAGGAAAAUCUCACUUUUUUGGGUCAUAGGCUGAUUUUGAAAACAGGCGUUCAUGAAUUCUAGUGGGCAGGUAUUGUUGUUGCCUUCAAGAAUUUGUCUCAUGACAUGGAUUUCAGUUCCUAAAAGUCGCGCUAACCCCUGCCACGGGAGGAAGCCUGUCGAUGGCUUAACAAGCUUUUUCUCGAGAGGCAUUCCAGUGAUGAUGCUGUAUUCUUCCAGAGUUGGGGUUAGCUCAAACCCACCAAACAUAAAAGUAGUCGUUUUCAAGCACCAGAAAUGUGCCAUGGCCUGUAUGACUUUGGGACGAACAGUGAUUUGAAUCAACGAUAGGAGAUGACCGAUUUUGGCCUUCACGCGCUCUUGGGCAAGCUGGUCCAAUUGACCCCACCAUCUGAAGAGUUCCGCCUUAGGAGCACGAAUAAACUGGAUAUCGUCUUUCCCCAUUGCAUAUAAACUGAGACUUGAAAAGCUUAUCCUAAAUUGCCAUGGGCCAAAUAAAAAGACUGAGUAACAGUAAAGAAAUCACUUUGCUUUUUAAAAAAAUUGCAAGCACCAAGACAUACAGAUGGGAUGUGCGGCUCGAUUUCUAACUCAGAAGGAUUGGUGAGAUUAAAAGGAUAUCCGCCCGUCGCAGUCUCGCGUUAGCAGCAUACCCUCUUAACCACGUCUAAGAAAUUCGAGGAAAAGAAAGGCGACCUCUACAUCGCAGUCUCGCGUUCGAGGUCGUAUCUUUCUUAACACCAUCCUAGAAAUCCUAUGGCGGCCCAGGUCCGGCGGCCGGGUUGUGUGUGCCAUGUGUAGUGUUUAAAACAGUAAAGCAUGCACAACAGUUUAUGAUCACAAAACAUUUUAUUUUAACAGAAUAAAAAAACUUUAAGCUAUUAUCCUGCACAAAAGAAAAAGACCCAAGUUAGCAAAGUAUUUAAACAAAGAUAAAAAUGGCCUAAGUCCUCAAAGUCCCAAGCGGAGUCGCCAAGCUGUCGCGACCCCUUUUUUUCUGGCGCCCACAAUCGGGUACGAGCGCCUAAGGAGGCUAAUGGCUCGGCUGAAUUUAUUAAGCCUGGACUCUCCCAAGUCCACCAAUUCACGACUUUAAUAAUUUGAGUUUUUAACCCAUAAAUCAAUUUUUAAAAUGGAGUCGCCACUAAUCGAUUUGAGGUGGGUUGAUUAGAAACCCAAGUGAAGUAUCGGGAGAAAUACUCACUCCUGCGCAACCAGAGAAAUUAGGAUCGGGGACUUGAUUACACUAGUUAAUCACUAAUGCCCUUUCGGUACCUAAUCUUGUUUAAACCCUAAGGCUUUUUGGAUUUUUGAGAGAUUUUCCAUGCAUUUUUGGGAGGAAAAACAUUUUUUGAGUAUUUUUCUCAUUUUUUGGACAUAAAAGGGAUUUUUGGUAUUUUUUGGAAAAUAUGGAAUAUUUUUGAUUUUUUUGAUUUUUUUGAUUUUUUUUCUUUUCUCGGAAAAUAAAAUAUUUUUAAAUAUUUUUUCAAAAUAUUUUUGGAAAAUAAAUUAUUUUUUGAUUUUUCUCGAUUUUUUAGAAAAUAAAACAUUUUUCGACAUUUUUAAAUAUUUUUCGAUUUUUUGGAAAUUAAAACAUUUUUUUUAUUUUUUAUUUAUUAAAAUAUUAUUUUUAUAUUAAAAUAACAAAAUAAAACCGACCCGGGUCGGAUCCGCGGGUUGGGUCCGACCCGGGUCGGCGACCCAAAUGCGGACGGGCCCGCGUUGCGGGCUCGACUCGGAUUUUUCAUCUUUUCUUUUUUCUUUUUUUCUUUUUUUUUAAAAACGACGCCGUGGCCGGGCGUUUGGGGACGCCCGGCCCAGCCCGACGACCCGGGUCCACGACCCGGCUCCCUGCGAACCCUACCCGACCCGGAUCCGAAUUCACGACCCGGCUUCCGCCGCCCCGAAAUCUCGCGGAACCCUACCCGGUUCCGAGACCCGGAUCCGAUUCGACAACCCGGAAAUCGCAAACCCUAGGGUUUGCGAUUCCGCGGCGCCGAAGAGGGGGAACCGAGGUGUUUGGCUGCGACGGCAACUAUGGCGGCGACGUCGAAGGUGACAACGGCGGCGGCAACCACAGCGGCCACGACGGCGGUGACAAUGUCGACGGCGACGACGGCUAGGUCAACGGAAAACGGCUGCGAUGAACAAUAACGCCCCCCUUUUUACCUUCUCUCGGAUGGGGACGGCGACAGCAGGAGAGCGGUUCGCGAUGGUGGAGGUGACGACGGUAGCAACUCAGCUUCUCGAUCUGGCGCGGCUUCGGCGGAUCGAUCACGGUAAUGGCUCCGCGAGGUGAGGCACGACAACAAGCCGUCGAAGCAACGGCGUCGGGACUGAGGUGAACGGUUGCGGCACGGCGUUCGGCGGCAACAACAGCAGCAAAAAAAACCAGAUCUACUGCGUAGAUCUCGGCCGGACCCUCCUCGGCCUUGAUUCCUCCUCACUUAGGCCAGAUCCGAGCCUCCACAGGCCGGAUCUGACCUUCUCGAAGUCACUCGCCGCCUGCCUUCCCCGAAGUCUCUCGGUGGAAGGUGGGCUAAGCUCGCGACCCGAGCUCUCUCCUGCGCUCGCCCUUCAACCCUUCCCGAUGUCUCUCAGUGAAGGAUUUCCGAGCUCGCCACACCCUCCGACGAUGCUUGCGACCCACCUAUUUAUAGGCGAAGGAACUCCGGUCGAUGGAGGGGCUCGGUCGCCGGCCUCCGGCUUGCCCACCGGUUCCGCUCGGCCGAACCGGUGUCCCAUCGAGCUUUCCAGCGAAGCUCGCUCAGCAUUGAUGGCGCCUGCGAUCUUAUCCCCUCCGGCCGACGUCGCCCUACACUCCUCGGCCGUAGGCCGUCCUUGGCGCGCGUCGCCAGCCAUCGCGCGUGAGAUGCAAGCGACUGAGGAAGAAGAAGACAGGAGGAAGAAGAAGAGAGAAAAGGGGCCGGGCCAAGGGUGAAGGAAAAUGGGCCACAUGGGCCACGCGGAGGGGGAAGAGAAAGGGAAAAGAAAAAAAGGGCUGGGCUUUUGUUGUUUUUUUUUUGUUUGUUUAUUAAUUAUCUUAUUUAUCGGAAAUAAAAUAAAAAAUUAAUUAAAUAAAAUUAACCUAAGUAAAAUUGAGGUGUCAACAUAUGCAAGCCACAAAUUUGAUCCUCGAUCUCUCCCCUGUAUCUUCUUGGGUUAUAGUAAUCAGCACAAAUGAUAUCGAUGUCUGGUAUCAACUAAUAAUCGUGUAUACAUCAGUAGACAUGUUGUCUUUGAUGAACAUUCUUAUCCUUUUAUAAAGAAGUUGGUCAAUGAGUAUGGACAGUAUACAAAUCUAUACAAACAAUGGAUUGAAGGAAUACAUUUCCUUGAACCUUCAAGAACCGAGUUAACAGACAAUGGUUCUUUGCAUCAGUCAGCCAAAACCCAGAUCCAUCCUGAUCUAGAUGAUUGCUAUAAUCAUCACCUAUGUCAUAGACAACAAUCUCAGACCAUUUCCUCGAGAACUAUGUAGAAUGAGAGAACAACAGAUGAACAACCUGUCAUGGCUUCAAUAGAUACUAUGCCUACAGAUCUAUCUACCUCUCAGGGACAACAUAUUACCAGCUCUUCAUCUUCACACAAUGAUCUACCAGCUGAAAGUAGUUCUGGUGAAAGGUACUACAAUUCCAAUUCCAUUAUGUCUUCUUCUCAAGGUACUCUUAAUAAUCAUCAUAUGCAAACUCGACUAAAGUCUGGGAUUAGAAAACCAAAUCCAAAGUAUGCUUGUUUAGCUGAGUAUCAAGUUCCUAUGGAACCACGGUCUAUCAAAUCAGCCUUAACUAAUGAAGCCUGGUACAGGGCUAUGAAAGAAGAAAUGGAUGCUCUUGAUGAAAACCAAACCUGGACAUUGAUUCCUAGAACUGACCAGAUGAAUGUGAUAGGCUGUAAGUGGGUAUAUAAGACCAAACUCACACCAGAUGGGGGUUUUGACAGACUCAAAGCUCGUCUAGUCGCCAAAGGCUUUCAUCAAGAAGCAGGACUUGACUUCACUGAGACUUUUAGUCCAGUCGUGAAACACACAACAAUUCGAAUAGUGCUAUCUCUAGCCAUGAUAAAGCAAUGGCAAAUACAUCAGCUUGAUGUUAAGAAUGCUUUUCUUCAUGGAGAUUUGAACGAGACUGUAUACAUGGAACAGCCACCUGGCUUUAUCCAUCCUCAGAAGCCAAGUUAUGUCUGUCUGCUUCAAAAGUCCCUAUAUGGUCUUCGACAAGCACCAAGAGCUUGGUUCGAUAAAUUCAGCAAGUUUUUACUUGAAAGUGGCUUCUUCUGCAGCACAUCAGAUCCAUCCUUGUUUGUUCUUCAUACAGACUCCCAUACAGUCUUAUUGCUACUAUAUGUUGAUGAUAUCAUCUUGACUGGCAGUUCACCACAUCUCUUAACUACCCUUAUUCAGAAACUAGUCUUCACUUUCAUAUGAAGGACCUUGGAUAUCUUCACUAUUUUUUGGGCAUUGAAGCCAAACGAACUUCAUAGAAACUCUUUUUGUGCCAAACAAAAUAUGCCACUGACUUGCUGAAACGAGCUCAUAUGGCAGAUUGUAAACCAAUCUCAACACCCUUGCCACUUCGAUCAAUUUCCAUGGCUGACACUGCAAAUCAACUCACAGACCCUGUGGAGUACAGAAGCUUGGUUGGUGCUCUUCAAUACUUAACCAUUACUCGACCAGACCUGGCGUUUGCUACUAACCUUCUCUGUCAAAAGAUGCAACAUCCUACCGUAGGAGACUUUCAUCAGUUAAAAAGAGUACUUCGAUAUGUCAAAGGUACCAUACAUCUUGGGUUCUAUCUUCAUUCUCAAAGUUCAGUAAACCUCUAUGGUUUCUCAGAUGCUGAUUGGGCUGGUUGUCCAACUACACGACGUUCCACAACGGGGUUUUGCACAUUUCUUGGAUCUAAUCUACUUUCUUGGUCUGCCAAGAAACAACCUACUGUUUCCAGAUCCUCAACAGAAGCAGAAUAUCGUGCACUUGCUUCGACAAUUGCUGAACUCACCUGGAUAACUUUUGUGUUACGAGAUAUUGGCAUCUCUCUUCAAUCACCUACAUUAAUAUACUGUGACAACAGAUCAGCAAUUUCUCUUACAGCCAAUCCAAUAUUACAUGCUCGAACCAAGCACAUUGAAGUUGACUUUCACUUCGUCCGUGAGAAAGUUUCUUCUGGAUCUAUUCGUGUUCAGUAUAUCUCUACUCAUCUUCAAUUAGCUGAUAUCUUUACUAAGUCACUCUCACGAUUAUCUAAUCUUACUCUCCGAACCAAAUUGGGAAUGUGGUCGUUCACCCUUCCCAAUUUGAGGGGGGAUGUUAGAGGAUCAAGACCUCCAUCCUACUCUGCUACAUCAAGAGUCAGCCACAAGGGAUCCUCAACUCUGGUAGAUGUAGAUCACUAGAAGACUAUGGAUAACCAGUCUUAUCAACGGUGGAGAUUUUACAAUGCCGAAGACGUGGAUUGCCAAGUCUCAGGAUUUGUCAAGACUGCUAUUCUGUUAUAAAUAGCUGUAAAAGUUUGUUAGUUUGUGUCGGUUAGUUCGUUUAGUCUGUUAUUAGUUUUCCAGCUUCUCUCUGUAUAUAAAGAUAGAAUUGAGCUCAGGAAAAGGUGUGAAGAAGAGAGGAGAGGGAAGAACAGGAGAUUCAAUAUUGAUCUGUUGUAUUUGAUUUCUCUUUGUUCAAAACUUGGAUACAAUGAAAUAAGAAUCGAAUACUUCUUGUUCAGAUCCUUCUGCAACUCUACCGAGUUUAUUCUCUAUCAUCAUCAUCAUUCCUCAUCUUCAUCUUCUGCGUUCUUGGAUUCUCAAUUUCUCACCGUAAACUGUACAGUCUCUUCUACUGGGAGGAGAAAGAAAUUCUCAGCAUUAUCUCCCGCUUGCUUAAAAUUUAUUCUCAUGUUUUUUUACAUUGAAUCGCUUGACCAUUGAGAUUAAUUUGAUUUAUUUUCUAUUGAUUGCGUCUUUGAUGAAUCCAAGUAACAAUCCAAGGUAAGUUUCGAUUGUUUGCAAUGUGAAUUUGGUGGCUGGGGAGGUUCCGCUGUGAAACGUUGGCCUCAGUCGCUCUGAAUGAAAGAAUACGUUUUCUUGAAUUGUUAUCUUGAUAAGGAAGAGAGUGACACAGGCUACGGUUUGUUGUGAAAAAGAAACAAGCAACAAUUGCUGAAUUUCUAUUCUGCAGGAAAUGGAAGCGAAUUAGAAUAACUAAUGUGCUUUUGGAUGCUGAUUGCCGGAUUAUCUUGUGAACAUAUGGUAUCUUUAUUUCUCUUUCGAAUGUUUGGUAUUUGCUCCGCUCUCUUACUGGUAACCGGUGCCGCGAACUUCUUGGUUGAUUAAUUCCUCUUUCUGCAAAUGACUUUGGCCCCAGUUACAGUCCACUUUCAGUAUACGAGUCAUCAUUGUAAUUUGAGUACCGGGUGAUGUGAUACAGUCUUGAAAAUUUCAAAUACUAAAUUCCAUCAGCCUCAGUUUUUUUUUUUUUUAAAAUCAGAAUUUCAUGUUUGAAAGAAUGGUUUGUAUGAAUGAUCUUUGCACUGGAUUAACUCAAAUGAUAUUUCAUCAUAGAUAUUUAGAACAGAGUAUUUCUUUAGUUGGCUACUUUGCGACCUUUGUUGCUGAUAAAGUAGAUUGACUUGCUAGAAGGAAUUAGUGCUUUGUAAGUGCAGCCAAUUUUUUUGUUAAUUUCGUUGCUGGGUAUUAAUUAGUUCAUGGAAUGAUGCUCAUCAGAUUUGGUAGAUUCAAACAAUGGUAAAUAGCCCAUGCAACAUCAGGAAAAUAUGAAAAAUCAUUUCUUAUUUGUUGAGAAUCAUCAUCAUUCUUUCUCUCAGCAGUGAGAGAUACUGCAAAUAUCGUAGAGUACGAAUUGAAUGAAGAGGUAUCGUAACUUUGGACUUGUCUGUCAAUCUUGCUUAUCUCAUCAAUGGCCAAUGUUAUGCUGAUGUUUGAAUGAAUCCAAGCACUUAUCUUUAGUAGGCUUUGGAAUUUUCACAAUCUAUGGAUCCAACGAGUCUUAACAAUUGAUGUGUCGGGGAAUUUCUUACCUAUACCAAGUCCACUGGGCGGAGUCUAUGUCAGUGGUUGAUCAUCUAAGCCCCAUAUGCAACAUUCAUGUGAGACUCACUUGAACAACUAUUGAAAUGGACCCAAUCUAAGCGAGUGCAAGCACCACCUUGCGGAAGCUAUGCUUUGGCUGAUGGCAUAAGACGUGAAAAUUCUUUAAUCUCAGCCUUCUUUGUGCUCUUGCACUUUGGAUUUAGGUUGUGCCCUGGACAUACUUUUAGUUAUGUUAAUGGGGGAUUAGUACUUAAGGAGAUAUGGAAAUACUCUCCCGAAUUCGAUGCUUCCAAAGGUCAAAGUAGUUCAACCUGGGCAACUAGAAAAGAGUAACAACGAGGUCAAAAUGUUAUGGAGCAUUACCCCAUUGGUCAUUUUCAUCUCAACCUUUUCAAAUGUGGAGACAACUCCCUUGUUCAGGUGAUAAUACUCAAUAAAGGUGCUUCUGAGAUAGAUUAUUCCUCAGGAUCACUGCCUCGGACGACCUCUUCCUCUGAUCCGUUUGUCCUUCGUGCAUUACUAAAAUAAACAUUAUAAUCUUCCUUUUCGUUCUUAGCCUCAUGAAGAGAGACUUCAGGCAUUUUUAUGUGAUUUUUGUUGUCAAAUUUACUGCUGGCAUGUCUAUAUGUGUGCCAUAAGCGCUUUGUAUGAUCAUCACAGGAAGUGCUCACCAUGAAGUGUUCAUAUUAACAAUCUGAAUCACAAAUCAACAUUCACUGCAAUGCGUGUUUGUCUGUUAGAUGGUCGAUACUUGUUUAGUUCUUCCCGUCAAAAGUCUUGCAAAGAUGAUUCCGUCUUCAUCUAUGUUACUUUGAGAUCGCUGUGUAGGUUGCUCUCUUUGGCGGUUUCUGGAUUAAUGUUUUAUAAAUUGUACAAUCUGUGCCACUGGGAGGUGAAAAAAAUCCUCAGCAUUAUCUCCCGCACGCUUAAAAUUUAUUCUCAUGUUAUCUACAUUGGAUCAUCUGACCAUUGAGAUUAAUAUGAUUUCUUUUGUGUUUGAUGAAUCCAAGUAACAAUCCAAGGUAAGUUUCGAUUGUCUGGAAUGUGAAUUUGGUGGCUGGGCAGGUUCCUCUGUGAAACGUUGGCCUCAGUUGUUCUGAAUGAGGGUAUGAUUGCUUGAAUUGUUAGCUUAAUAAGGAAGAGAGUGAUGCAGGCUACAGUUUGUAGUGUAAAAGACACAAGCAACAAUUGCUGAAUUUCUAUUCUGCAGGAAAUGGAAGCGAAUUAGCAUAACAAAUGUGCUUUUGAGCAAUGAUGUUGAUUUCUGGAUUACCUUUGUGAACAUGUGGUAUCUUUAUUUCUCUUUUGAACAUUUGGUAUUUUCUCUGCUCUCUUUCUGGUAAACAGUAGUGCGGACUUCUUGGUUGGUUAAUCCUUCUUUCUGCAAUUGACUUUGGCCCCUGUUAUGGUAUGCUUUCAGUAUACGAGUCACAUUGUAAUUUGUGUACCUGGUGAUGUGAUACGAUCUUGUUGAUGCAUUUCUCAAUAUGUUUCCCAAACUUUGCUUGUUGUAAAAAAAUUCAAAUAUUAAAUUCCAUGAGCCUCAAUUUUUUUCCCUUUUUUUGUUGAUCAAAAUUCUGUGUUUGUAUGAGCUUGAUCUUUGCCCUGGAUUAACUCGAAUGAUAUUUCAUCAUAGAUAUUUAGGACGGAGUAUUUCCUUAGUUGGCUACUUUGUGGCAUUUGCUGCUGAAAGUACAUUGACUUGCUAGAAGGAAUUAAUGUUCUGUAAGUGCAGCCAAUUUUUUGUUAAUUUUGCUGCUGGGUAUGAUGAUGUUCACGGAAUGAAUGCUCAUCGAAUCGGUAGACUCAAACAAUGGUAAAUAAAUAGUCCAAGCAACAUCAGGAAAAGAUAAAAAAGCAUUUCUCAUUUGUUGAGCCAUCAUCAUUCUUUCUCUCGGUAGCGAGAGAUGCUGCAAAUAUCGUAGAGUAAGAAUUGAAUGAAGCGGAGUCGUAAUUUUGGACUUGCAUGUCAAUCUUGGCUUAUCUCAUCAAUAGCCAAUGUCAUGCCAAUAUUUGAAUGAAUUCAAGCACUUAUUUUAAGUAGGCUUUGGGAUUUUCUUACCUAUACUGGGUCCAUUGGGCGGAGUCUAUGUCAGUGGUUGAUUGUCUAAACCCCAUAUGCAACAUUAAUGUGAGAUUCACAUGAACAACUAUAGGAAUGGAACCAAUCUACACGUGCACAGACACCACCUUGAGGAAGCUAUUCUUUGGCUAACGGCAUAAAAUGUAUAAAUUCUCAAAUCUCUGCCAUCUUUACGCUUUUGCAAUUUGGAUUUAGCUUGCGAUUAAUAAGGGCCCUAGACUUACCUUAAGUUGUGUUGUUAAUGGGGCAUUACGAAAGGUCAUAAGUAGUUCAACCUGGGAAACUUGAAAAGAGUAACGACGAGGUCGGAAUGUUAUGGAACAUUAGUCCAUUGGUCAUUUUCAUCUCAACCUUUUUAAAUGUGGAGACAACUCCAUUUUUCAGAUGUUAAUACUCGAUAAAAGUGCUUGUGAGAUAGAUUAUUCCUCGAGCAAUGGCCAAAUAUCAAACCCUGAGGAUCGAUUUUUCUAACAAGAAAGGGAUGAUGUUGUCAAGCUUGAAGAUUUAGAGGGUUUCCGGCAACGUCAAUCGCUUUUACCCUGUUCUGGCGAAUUUUCUGAUUGCCCAUCAGUCACUCAUCAUGAGAAUUUGAUGGCAAUGAAUGGUAGUCUUAUUAGUCACGUUUCUGCCUUUAUCAGUGCAUUUUCUUCGUUCUUUCCAAAUUCUUUAAUGCUUUUUGAUCAGCAUUUUGGAUGUUGAUAUAUACGGUAAUAUUCAGAAGUGCAGAUUGUAAUUAAUCGGUGUGGUGACUAGCUCUAAUGUGAAGGGGAUGUAAAAUUAUUUGAUCAAUUUUAUUUUUCUGGUUUUCCAUGGAAAUGCUAACUACCAAUGUAUGCUGAAUCAUUUCAUACUAAGUCAACGCUCAGUAAUUUCUGGAAAUGGAAUCACCAUAAUCUGAAACUUUACAGAGACAAAGUCUCAAUCGGCAAAGAAUUGGAACCCACCAAAGUUGCGAUCUUGAAAAUCAAUGACGGCAGAGCUUUACUUGAAGGUGAAAAAGUUGAAGCUAUUUUGAGAAUUCUUCGCAACGGAACGGGAGCUCUACUGGAUGGCUCUACUACGAAUGUUCCAGCAUUGUCGGCGUUUUAGACGGAAGCCACUCGCUUGCUCGAAGCAUUGAAACGUUUUCGGUCAAGGCGAGAAAGUGUGUUGGAGCUCGAGUCCGACUGCGAAGAGCUGGUCAACGUAGUGCUUAUGAAGACGGCUCUAAUAGAGAAAGCCCAGCUAUCUUUGGCCCAAUUGUACUUUCUCUCCCUGGCCCAUUGCCACCGGUCCACAAACAAAAUGGCUGAUUGGGCCGUGAAAACCAAACGUAUGAAUGCUCUCCCUCCCUCUUGAGUGGCCCAUCCCUCCAAUCUUUAUGGAAUUAUUUUACGUUUGGAUGCCCCUUUGUUGGGCUUUUGUUUUAAAGACCCCCGGGUUUUAAUUCACGCCAUGUCUUCAAAUUUGAAAGCUUGCCUCGUAUAUUAGUUUGUCUUAAGCUCGAAUUGGUCGACGGUCAAAACACAAGUUCAAAAUUACAUGGAAAGUAGAUGAUCAAGCAAGUCUUAAGAACUAGAAUCUGGAGAAAUUGGACAAAUUCCAACUGAGGUUGUUGACGCAAUUUGACUUGAAAAACUAGAAAACUGAAAUUGGACCAGCAAGUGAACGGAAAGAUUAAUUAAACUGGAUUUUCAUCCCUAUCCUCUUGGGAAAAAGACAAAUAAUUUGUGGUUGAAUCUUUUCAACUACUUCACACCUCGGCACCAAGUUGUCGAAUCGGUGUUUUUUUUAUAACUCAAUAUCUAUAUAAAUGAUUUUCGAUUGAAAUAGUCUCGUAAGCAAGAUCAUUUCUCCAAUCUAAUGAAGUAAAAUAACCUUCACUGCAAUCAUGAUGCCUCCUCUAAUAAAAAAAGAAUAUCCCAUUGAUGUCAAGAUGAAAGCAACAUAAUGACUAUAUAAAUAAAUAAGUUAGCCGACUCGUUUCAUUUAUAAUAUUCAAUUGUUUGUAAGUUAACAUUCUUGUCUUGGUUGAGGUGGCCAACAAUGGUCUUUUUUAUUUAUUUUUUUAAUUUAUACAUUGGCCAGUUUCGACUUGUAGCAAUGUGCUACCAAGUUUUCAGCUUCCUAAGGAAUCGAUUUGUGUUUAGGUGAGGCUUAACUAAGUCAGGUUACCGAGCUCCAUCGUCCAUGCCCAAGGAAGUCACUGGUAUUUUUAUUUGAUUAGUCUAUAACAUUUUUAAUCUUCUCACUAUUUCUUUUCAUACGCAAUAGUUGUGCUCUUUUUCUAGUACUGAGUAAACAAAUAACAAUUCAAAAUGUAAAUAAAAUUGCCAAAAGAAAAACCGAUAUAUGCAACGUCUAGGCCGUACCAUAGGUCUCUGGGUAGUCGCGUCUCAACUUUUGUGCCCAUUGAUCAUUAGAAGAAGUGGACUAAAAAUUCUUCAUCGUAGUUUACUAACAUGAAAAUUGAACAUGCACUUCCUUUUUAGUUAAAUUUCCUUAUUAGUCAAAAAUAAACUCUCAUGUGUCAUGUAAGCCACCAAAGGGCGCCUCAAUUAGCGAAGAUGAUUGAAUCAUUCCAAAGCAUGAGAGAAUAAUGUGACCUUAUCACUUGCCGCGUUAGAUAAUUAUGUUGUCGUCUCUUUUCCCUUUACCUAACCUAUAAAAAACGAAAGCAGUAAUCGAAUAUUCUUUACAUCUAUAUCACUUAUAUUCUCUUUAUGUAUAUAUGCACCGCAGUAGCAUUAAGAUAUAGCAAAUACUUGAUUGACUAUUUAAAAAUAUCGCAAUGGUGGGUUCACAUCCACAUCAAUCAUAUGCAAAUCAAUCACGAAAACAAGCAAAACUAACCAUUUAACAAGAGAUUAUCUUUUCUUAAGAAAUUUUGCCAAACGCGAUAUACAUUAAUUCUUUAAUAUUAAAAAAAAAUCAUAUUUACGUGGCAUCUCUAUUUUGCAAUUAUUGAACAAUAGUAAUGUGAUAGUAUUAUGUUAACAUUGAUAUUUUCGAAAUGACACAUAAUGCAAAUGAGACUAUUCUUUAGAAUAAGAAAUUAUGCUUAAUUAAUCCCAUGAUUGAUAAUGUUGGUUGGGGAGUUGGUUUCUAGCUUAGGAACCGGAGAUCUCCCAUUAGAAUCCCACAAAUGCACGAAAACUGUCUCAAUUAAUGACGCAUCUUCUCAGGGGGGAUUGGGGUGAGGACGAUUCAUUUCAGGAGUGGGUUUCGACUCCCACGGCCUGCAAGGAGGCUGGGCAAAAGUCUGAGAGUGAGUGUUAGAGUAGGAUUAGAGUAGGACCGACCAAAAAAAAAAUAAUAAUAAUGAAGGCAUCUCUAUCUUGCAAUUAUUGAACAAUAGUAAUAUGAUAAUGUUAUGUAAACAUUGACAUUUUCAAAAUGACACAUAAUGCAAAUGAGAUUAUUCUUUAGAAUAAGAAGUUAUGCUUAAUUAAUCUCAUGAUUGAUAAUGUUGGUUGGGGAGUUGGUUUCUAGCUUAGGAGCCAAAUAUCUCCCAUUAGAAUCCCACAAAUGCAUGGAAACUGUCUCAAUUAACGAAGGCAUCUCUAUCUUGCAAUUAUUGAACAAUUGUAAUAUGAUAAUGUUAUGUUAACGUUGAUAUUUUCAAAAUGACACAUAAUGCAAAUGAGAUUAUUCUUUAGAAUAAGAAGUUAUGCUUAAUUAAUCCCAGGAUUAAGAAUGUUGGUUGGGGAGUUGUUUUCUAGCUUAGGAACCGGAGAUCUCCCACUAGAAUCCCACAAAUGCACGCAAACUGUCUCAAUUAAUGAAGGCAUCUCUAUCUUGCAAUUAUUGAACAAUUGCAAUAUGAUAAUUUUAUAUUAACAUUGAUAUUUUCAAAAUGACACAUAAUGCAAAUGAGAUUAUUCUUUCGAAUAAAAAGUUAUGCUUAAUUAAUCCCAUGAUUGAUAAUGUUGGUUGGGGAGUUGGUUUCUAGCUUAGGAACCGGAGAUCUCCCACUAGAAUCCCACAAAUGCACGCAAACUGUCUCAAUUAACGAAUGCAUCUCUAUCUUGCAAUUAUUGAACAAUUGCAAUAUGAUAAUUUUAUGUUAACAUUGAUAUUUUCAAAAUGACACAUAAUGCAAAUGAGAUUAUUCUUUAGAAUAAGAAGUUAUGCUUAAUUAAUCCCAUGAUUGAUAAUGUUGGUUGGGGAGUUGGUUUCUAGGUUAGGAACCGGAGAUCUCCCAUUAGAAUCCCACAAAUGCACGAAAAUUGUCUCAAUUAACGAAGGCAUCUCUAUCUUGCAAUUAUUGAACAAUUGUAAUAUGAUAAUGUUAUGUUAACGUUGAUAUUUUCAAAAUGGCACAUAAUGCAAAUGAGAUUAUUCUUUAGAAUAAGAAGUUAUGAUUAAUUAAUCUCAUGAUUGAUAAUGUUGGUUGGGGAGUUGGUUUUUAGCUUAGGAACCGGAGAUCCCCCAUUAGAAUCCCACAAAUGCACGCAAACUGUCUCAAUUAACGAAGGCAUCUCUAUCUUGCAAUUAUUAAACAAUAGUAAUGUGAUAAUAUUAUGUUAACAUUGAUAUUUUCAAAAUGACACAUAAUGCAAAUGAGAUUAUUCUUUAGAAUAAGAAGUUAUGCUUAAUUGAUCCCAUGAUUGAUAAUGUUGGUUGGGGAGUUGAUUUCUAGCUUAGGAACCAGAGAUCCCCCAUUAGAAUCCCACAAAUGCAUGCAAACUGUCUCCAUUAACGAAGGCAUCUCUAUCUUGUAAUUAUUGAACAAUAGUAAAAUGAUAAUGUUAUGUUAACAUUGAUAUUUUCAAAAUGACACAUAAUGCAAAUGAGAUUAUUCUUUAGAAUAAUAAGUUAUGCUUAAUUGAUCCCAUGAUUGAUAAUGUUGGUUGGGGAGUUGGUUUUUAGCUUAGGAACCGGAGAUCCCCCAUUAGAAUCCCACAAAUGCACGCAAACUGUCUCAAUUAACGAAGGCAUCUCUAUCUUGCAAUUAUUGAACAAUAGUAAUGUGAUAAUAUUAUGUUAACAUUGAUAUUUUCAAAAUGACACAUAAUGCAAAUGAGAUUAUUCUUUAGAAUAAGAAGUUAUGCUUAAUUAAUCCCAUGAUUGAUAAUGUUGGUUGGGGAGUUGGUUUCUAGCUUAGGAACUAGAGAUCCCCCAUUAGAAUCCCACAAAUGCACGCAAACUAUCUCAAUUAACAAAGGCAUCUCUAUCUUGCAAUUAUUGAACAAUAGUAAUAUGAUAAUGUUAUGUUAACAUUGAUAUUUUCAAAAUGACACAUAAUGCAAAUGAGAUUUCUUUUUAGAAUAAGAAGUUAUGCUUAAUUAAUCCCACGAUUGAUAAUGUUAGUUGGGGAGUUGGUUUCUAGCUUAGGAACUGGAGAUCCCCAUUAGAAUCCCACAAAUGCACGCAAACUGUCUCAAUUAACGAAGGCAUCUCUAUCUUGCAAUUAUUGAACAAUAGUAAUAUGAUAAUGUUAUGUUAACAUUGAUAUUUUCAAAAUGACACAUAAUGCAAAUGAGAUUAUUCUUUAGAAUAAGAAGUUAUGCUUAAUUAAUUCCAUGAUUGAUAAUGUUGGUUGGGGAGUUGGUUUCUAGCUUAGGAAUCAGAGAUCCCCCAUUAGAAUCUCAAAAAUGCAUGCAAGCUAUCUCAAUUAACGAAGGCAUCUCUAUCUUGCAAUAAUUGAACAAUAGUAAUAUGAUAAUGUUAUGUUAACAUUGAUAUUUUCAAAAUGACACAUAAUGCAAAUGAGAUUAUUCUUUAGAAUAAAAAGUUAUGCUUAAUUAAUCACAUGAUUGAUAAUGUUGGUUGGGGAGUUGGUUUCUAGCUUAGGAACUGGAGAUCCUCCAUUAGAAUCCCACAAAUGCACGCAAACUGUCUCAAUUAAUGAAGAUUAUUGAAUCAUUCCAAAUCAUAAGAGACAGUAGGACCUUAUCACUUACUGCGUCAAAUAAUUUUGUCCUUGUCUCUUUGUGCUUCCCCUAACCUAUAAAAAAAAAAAAAACGAAACGAGUAAUCGAAUAUCCCCUAUAUCUAUGUCACUUAUAUUCUGUGUAUAUGCAUUGUACUAUCAUUAAGAUAUAGCAUAUAUGUGAUUGAUUCUAUUUAAAAUAUCACAGUGGGGGUUUCCAUCCACAUUAAUCAUAUGCAAAUCAAUCACCAAAAGAAGCAAAACCUACGAUUUUAUUGAGAUUAUCUUUUCUUAAAAAAUUCUGCAAAAUGUGACACACUCUUAAUCUUUAUAAUAAAAAAAAAAUUAUGUUUACGUGGCAUCGCUAUCUUGCAAUUACUGAACAAUGGUCAAAUGUGAAUAUAGUCAUUUUCAAAAUGAUGCAGAAUGCAAAUGACUAUUACUUUUUAAAAAAAAUUAUGUUUAAUUAAUCCUAGAAUUGAUAAUGGUGGUUGGGGAAUAGGGGAUUUCCAGCUAAAAAAAUUAAAAAUCCCCCGUUAGAAUCCCACGAAUGCAUGCAAAUUGCUCUGGAUUAGAGCCACCUACAUAGAUCGAAGGGUUGAGCUUAACCAAUUCACGAUACUUGUAAGAUAUUUCAUAAGCUUCUAGGUAGACGGGUGUCCAUGCCUAUGCUCCUAGAUAAUAUAUAUAUAUAACGCUUACUUUAGGAGAAUCCGCAUUUUAUACACUAAUUAUUUUAGUAUAUACUUAUUCCUCAUAAACUAGGUAGUUUUUAUGCAAAAGGUCCUUAUCAACUAAAUUACAAAGAGUACAUCCCCCAUGACUUUAAUUAGUAAUAACACUUUUAUUCAUCAGAAAUUAGUCAUAACAUUUUCAAAUACUCCUAAUAAAUAUACAUAUUUAGGACUAAUUUGACAUUCUAAUCUAAAAAUUAUGGUUGGUAAAAAAUUACAUAACCUCAAUAUUUCCUUCUGAACUGACUUUUUAUUUUUAUUUUUUUAACGGCCCUUCUCAUGUGCAAGCCAUAUCAGGAAUAGCAAGUGAAAUUUGACAACUGAGAGUGGACUCACACACGAAAGGGGCAAGUAGAACUUGACCAUAAUACCAUGUUAGAAAAUCCAAUCCAAAGAUAUAUAAAGAGCAUAUAAACUUCAUUAUCAUGCAAUGGGGGAUAUUUCAAUACAUGCCAACCAAGGAUAGAGCAGAGCCCCUCUAAUGCAUUUGUAGCUCCUAAUGAGCUUCACAAAUCAUGAUAUGCCGAAAUGCCUAUGAGUUGCUCUUUGCUUUUCUUCAAUAUGUUCCUUGAUGAAUCCACCUAGAAUAGUCUGCAAGCAUACAUGUGUGAACAGCCCAGAUGUGAAUUUGCUUAAGUGGAAUGAGAAAUCCAAGGAUAAAUUUGAAGACAAAGAGCAAGAAGGUAAUGAUAUGAGAUUAAAGAAAUCUAAUGAUAAAUUUAUUCUUUUGAAAGUGCUCAAGGAUGAAAGAAAUUGUUGGCUGACAUUGUCUCCUAAUACAUGUCAUUAGGAGACACUAUGUAGACGAAAGAAAACCUGCAAGAAGUGGACAUCAAAAGCUAUGACAUGGUAGUGCUAGCGUAGAGCCGCUCGUGGGGAUUAUUCAAGUGACUAUCUUUACUCCAUUUUUUUAUUUCCUGGCUCAUGUUACUCCAAUUAGGAUACCCCAUGGACACAUUUAAAAAAAAAAUACCAUGUCAUGAUUUCCCACACAAACCAAAUCAACUUGAAAAGCACAAUAUUGAGUCAUAACAAUUAAUGCGUUGGGGAACUCCUUGCCUGUAUCAGAUCCAUUGGGCAGAGGAAGGAUCCAGGUGGACCCUCCCUUAUUUCCAGGUGCGACAGCCUCCCCAUCACUUCGUUGGCCGGCAAGAUUGGCCGCGCUUGCCCCCGUUCAACAACCUGCAGACGCUGUAGCCCCAGAUCAAGCAGGUGGUCCAGCAGUAGCAUCCGAUCAAGGCUCCUUCCCAAAAAGAAUAAAAAUAAAUACUUUUAAUGUAAAGCUUGUGGUUAUAUAUGUUUCUGAUUUGUGAUAUCACGUCAUUAUAUCAUGACUGGAUUACCUGUGAGUUUCUUUUCAUUCAAUAAGUAAAGGUGUCGUGCCAGGGAAAUUGAAAAUAAAAUAAAAUUGAAGAGGCUCUUCUUUUUGGUGAGAAAACGCGAGAUGGUUCUCUACUGCCUUUGUUUCCUUUUAUUUUGGUCCUUGUUGGAUAGGUCUAAGGACAAUCUAGGAGUUCUAAUUUCAAUGGAAAGCUGUUCUUCUUAGCACAUUUUGCCGAGCCGUUCUCUUCUCAAGGUUUGUCAUAUUUUUGGCACUUUGAGUGAGAUUGAAUUAUUCACUUAGAAAGUUUAGGUGAUGGCAUCUCAUUUAGAAUGAGUACUGCAUUAUCAGUAGAUAGAUACAAGGGUCUAAGUUAGUCCAAGUAUAAUAUGUCAAGAAGAUUAACAUGAUCAAAAUUUGGUAUUUACUCCACAAAUCAAUAAUACGGCCAGCGAAUCAAUGUUUGUCCAUUAGCAGUCAAGGAAAGGAUGGAGAAUUAAUAAAUAUUUGUCCACCAGCCGUGGAGGAAAGGAUGGUUUACCAAAUCAAAGUUUGUCUAAUCACGAAUUGUCUAUGAGCAAUACCAGUUCGUCCAUUAGCAGUGGAGGAAAGGAUGGUUUGUCUAAUCACCGUUUGUCUAAUCACCAUUUGUCUCUGAGUGGUGCAUGAAAGAAUGGAUAUCUAAUCAAUGUUUGGUCAUAAGCAGUGGAGUAAAGGAUGGAGACAUAGACAUUGGUGAUGGUUACUGGUUAAGGAAUCAUCCAUCUCUAUAUGCGUAUUAGAUGGGGACUAGGACAUCAGGACUAGUACCUAACCAAUAUUUGCAUCACUCGAUUGUUUAUGUGUCCACAUUAUUGUCUUGAUUGAGGUAACCGAGAGUGGUAUUUUUUUUUUUGGCUGAUAACGGCUUGGCACAUUUUGCUACCGAGUUUUCAGCUACCCGAGGAACUGACUCGUGUUUAAAUUAAAAAUGGGUUUGUAAUGCAUAUUGAGACAAUUAUUACACAAGCGGUGAUUACAACAAGCUAAAAUUAAGUUUCAAGUCAUAAUCUCAUUUUGACGAUGACAGACUAUAUGAAGUACUUAUUACACAGGAGACGAUUCAAGUCAAAUCAUUUUGGUACUUUAGUAGCUAGUAAUCAUAUGAUUUUUACUUUCUCUUUAAGCCACUCGGUGUUAAAAAAUGCAAAGAAACCAAGCUAAGAGCUUGCAUACCAUGUAGAUAUUACUUGAUUGUUGAUAAGCUGCGGGUCGAAGGGUCUAAAGAUAAUUUCUCGAAUUGCUGGAAAAGCAAAUGCUGAAGCAAGUCUUAAUAAUUAUAAUCCAAGCCCUCUUGUAUGGAGAAAUUUGACAAAGUCAUUCGAGAAGAAUAUACGUGUAAAUGACACAGACUGUUAAUAUGGACCAUCAAAUUAUAAAUAAAUUCGCUGCUUCCAUAACUAAGGAAAAAAACCCAAAAGAUAAGGGGGUGGCUAGCUAUGAUUCUGAAAUUUCAUUGGAGAUCUAAUGACUAAUAAUUUUAAUAUUAAAUAGGAGGUACUGUUGUAUUUUGUUAUAUUAAUAAGAUAUUUGAACAAAGAAGAUUGCUUUACUUUGUCAAAUUGAACCGGUAGUUUGAUAAAACAUUAUUUGAGCUAUAGAAUCAAACCUCUCUAUUCUAUUCUUUUUCUUUUCUCCAUAUAUUUACAUUCCGAGCUUGAGCUAAUAAUCAAAAUGAGUUGAAUAUAAAUUUGGGGCAAACCUACAAAGACCCGCAUAAUAUAUUAAGUGACUCGAUAGAACUAGGCACAUUCUUACCUUAAAAAAAAAGUAGAACUAGAGCACCAUAAAUUUGAGUUGAUGACAUGCUGCUAACUUACAUGCCAUGUAUGAUAAUAAUAAUAAUUAAAAAAACAAACGUACAUAUCACGUGGGUGUGGCCUAUCCUUAUUUGUAUGUUCUCUUCUAAUAAUUACACUUUGUUCUUUUGAUGAUAACAAAUUGUAUAAAGUGCUUAUUACACGACGAAUAAUGUAACUCGAAUCAUUUUGGCAAUUUUAACAACUGAUAGUUAUUCAUUUUUCAUACUUAUAAACCACUUGAUGUGCAUGCAAUAAUUUUGGUUUGUUUAUAUUUCCAUUUUGUGGCCUUGAUUGAGGUGACUGGUCUUUUUUUUUUUUUUUAAUUUUAAUUUUUGGCCAAUGACGACUUUUGCUAUUAAGGAAGAAGAUUUCAUGGUUUACUUGGUAGUGGAACCAUGCUUUAAAUUUUAAAAAAUGCAAAGAAAUCCUACAAACAGCUCACCGUCGUUACUUUUGAUUGUUUAUAAUUUCACGUCGUGGUCCUGACGAAGGCGACUGGUCUUUUUCAACUUUAAUUUUUGGCUUAUGCCAACCUGCAAUUUACGGUAAAUGGAAUCAUAUGAAGAGAAAUAUCAUUGACGGCCACAUGCUCAUUCUCAUUAGGAGUCAAACCAUAGUUCGUUAAAUAUCUUAGAGUCCCAAGGCUACUCACUUCUCUUUUCCGACUACUCCACACCAUGCCAACAAGUCGUCAAAUUAGUGUUUGUUUACAACUCAAUUUCUGUACGAUCGAUUAACAGUUGAAAUAGUCUCAUAAGCAUCAUCGGUUCUCCAAUUUAAUGAAGUAACAUAACCUUCAUUCCAAUCAUUGCUCGAGUAUUUUCCAACUGCUCUACAUAAUGUCACCAAGUCAUCGAACUAGUGUUUCUUUACAACUUAGUAUCUAUGUGAUCUCCAAGUAGCUAAAAUAGCCUCGUAAGCAUGAUCAUUUCUCCAAUCUAAUGAAGUGGAAUAACCUUCACUCAGAUCAUUGCUUGAGUCUUUUCCAACUACUCCAUACCAUGCCAGCAAGUCAUCAAAUUAAUGCUUCUUUGCAACUCAAUAUCUAUAGGAUCAACUUUAAGUUGAAAUAGCCUUGCAAGAAUGAUUAUUCUCCAAAUCUAAUGAAGUUAAUGUAACCUUCACUUUGAUCAUUGCUCGAGUCUUUUCCAACUACUCCACACCAUGCCCCAAAUCAUUUACAACUUAGUAUCCAUAUGAUCAACUUUCCCUUGAAAUAGCCUUGCAAGCAUCUGAUCAAGCAAAUGUUGAGGCAAGUCUUAAAAAUUAUAAUCCAAGCCCUCUUAUAUGGAGAAAUUUGACAAAGUCAUUCAAGAAGAAUAUACAUGUAAAUCACAUAGACUAUGUUAACAUGGACUAGCAAGUUGUAAAUAAAUUCCCUGCUUCCAUAACUAAGUAAAAAAACUCAAAAGAUAAAGGGGUGGCUAGCUAUGAUUCUGAAAUUUUAUUGGAGAUCUAAUGACUAUUAAAUAGGAGAUGCUGUUGCAUUUUGUUCUAUUAAUAAGAUAUUUGAACAAAGAAGAUUGCUUUACUUUGUCAAAUUGAACCGAUAGUUUGAUAAAACAUUAUCUGAGCUGUAGAAUUAAACCUCUCUAUUCUGUUCUUCUUCUUUUUCUCCAUAUAUUUACAUUCCGAGCUUGAGCUAAUAAUCAAAAUGAGUUGAAUAUAGAUUUGGUGCAAACCUACAAAGACCUGCAUAAUAUAUUAAGUGACUCAACAGAACUAGGCACAUUCCGACCCCCCCCCCCCCCAAAAUACCAGGAUCGGUAGUUGCUAGAUCUGUUCCCGAGAAAGGGUACAUUUUUUCUAAACUGCAUCCGCUGAUAUCUGAAGAAACUUAUAUUCACCACAGCUCUGCUUUCAUGAAUCAGAAUGCGCCUGAGGUUCACUUAAUUCAUCUUUAUUGGUGACCNNNNNNNNNNNNNNNNNNNNNNNNNNNNNNNNNNNNNNNNNNNNNNNNNNNNNNNNNNNNNNNNNNNNNNNNNNNNNNNNNNNNNNNNNNNNNNNNNNNNCCCCCGGUCCCCAAAAAAUGAAGAACCGGGGGGGCCUUUAAAUCGAGUUGAUGACCUGGUGGCGUAACCAUACAUGCCACGUAUGAUAAUAUAAAAUAAAAAACGUAAAAUGUCACGUGGGUGUGGCGUAUCCUUAUCUGUAUGUUCUCUUCUAAUAAUCACACUUUGUUCUUUUGAUGAAUAGGAAAGAAAUGUCUUAUAUAUAACCGUGCAAAAUGAGAGUGUGUUGUGUUCUCUCCUUCCUUUUAUUCUCUAUCGUUUCUAACACUUCCUUUUACUAGUUUCACGUUUGUCAUGGCCGACCUUUCUUCUGUGGCGGCCGAGAGAAUCUCUCAUAUAUUAAUCAACUUGUCUAUAUUUUUCUAUGAGAAAUUCAGGUGAAGGAAUGAAUUUUAGUGUCUUUUAGCAGAUCAAUUUACUCAUGGAGCAACUUUCUUCUGAUGAAAUGGGGUCCAAAUGGAUGGAAUAUGUCAACAUUCUCCGGAAAAGUUCUAUAAUGUUCUCAGGUUCGAGACCUCGAUAUUGUUUCGCUCUUUGGUUCGAUAAACCCCCGGCCAAGGCGUAGGGAGAAAUGGGCAUGGACUUUGAUGCUCGGCCUCGAGAGCCUAUUGCCCAUGCCCACUUCUCUAGCUUUCCAUGCCCAAGUCACUAACGUUCGCAUAAUACGUCUAAUUAGAAAAAAAAAAAUCUUUUCAAACGAUGGGAAAUAUUUUUCUUUUCAUUUUCAAGUUGCAGCCAAAUAUCACAAAAUAUGGUUAUUUUCCUGAAAAAUGAUUUAUUAGAAAACAUAUUUCAGAAAUUAUCACUUUUUUUUUUUUUGUGAAAUAAACAGAGCAUAAGAAUUAAUGAUUUUUUUUUUUUAUGAACAACUCUGUCAAGUUUAUGCACACAUUCGAAUUGUACAAAGCAAGCUUUUUCUCAUUCAAGUCCAUCAAACCUCUCACCAAUAAUGGGGACUCAGAAUAUCAUGAACCAUUGAUAACCUUAGGAAUCGUUAGGAAAAAGAAUGGCUAGAGAACAAAUUUCUUCUCCUUCAAUAGAAUUAGUUUCUUGUCGUGUCAUAUCUAUUCCACAAGCUGCACUCUCCGUUCUCAAAUUCUAAGCACCUUUUUUCUCCCUCCAAAACUUUCAUGUUCAUUCAGUAUGAAACAUUCAAAUGGCUGCUUAAACAAACUCGUGUCGGCAUAAAUAAAGAAGGCUUCAGUCGUGAGUUUAAUGCAACGCUGCAAAGACAUUACACUUCUUUUUUGGGUCAGAAAAGACAUUACACUUUCGAAAGACACAUUUGCCUAGAAGAAAACUUGAAAAGGAAGGAGCACUUCAUAGACAAAACCAACAUUAUCAGCAUUAUAACUACGUAAUCCUGAUUGCUUCGUCUAAGAUUUCUGUCUUGUGACUUUCAGAAUCAUCUCAAAGGCCGUCCAACCUGGAAAGAAGCUUUUUUACAGUAGACUACUGAUUUGCUGUAUUUGAAGAAGUGAUGUAUUCCUGAUGUCUGAGCAGGAAACUCAUGGAGUGAAUGACAAAGAUCCUGGCCAAGACAGAUCUACUGAACAACAAAUCCUAGCGGGAGUGCUGACCAAGUACAGCGUAAACGGUCUGUGUUAUGGUGAGAGCUAUGAUCAAGAAAGCAGAGAAAACCGAUAUGACUGACCAUGGACUGGAAAAGUAAGUGCGUAUCAUGCUCGCCCAGUUGCUGUAGUAGUAUGAUUCCAGUUCCUCAAACUGCUUGGACAGAUAACAGUCACAAACAUUAAAAUCGAUACUCUUCCCAAGCUUCUCGAAUAAAUUAACCACAUACUGGUCAUGGCGAGAAAGUGUUGAGAUGAUCCCAUCUGAACAGAGAAGUGAAACGUCCUUCGACUGUUUGAUGAGGCAGUGCAUGAAGGAGACAUAAUCGGUGAUGUGCUUGGAGCUGUUUUCUUGGCAUUUUUCUAGGGCGAUGCAGUUUAUUAGCACGGUGGUCAUGAAGUCAUCGAUGGCGAUGGGUGGUAUCUCGAGCACCCGUUUCGGGAAACUUAUGUCCAGAAAGCUCUCUGUCUUCUUGGACUUGAAUUUGAUUCCGGAGGGCCUAAGCUGGGUCACACACGGUAUGGACUGAUCCGAUGGCCGGUACUUCUGUUUGCGGUCGCAGUGGACUGGGUUUGUCUCGGGCACCCCUUUUCGGAAAAUUAUGCCCAGGGAGCUCUCUGUCUUCUUGGACUUAAAUUUGAUUCUGGAGGACCUUAGCUGGGUCGCACACGGUAUGGACUGAUCCGAUGGCCGGCACAUCUGUUCGGAGCCGUGGUGGACCGGCUUUCUCGGAAAGAGAGUAAAGUUAAAGAGGUCAAGUAAAUGCUUGUAUGGUCGACUCUUAAUUUCAUCAUAAUGCCGGUAUCGUAGAUCCGUAUACUCGUCCUGAAUCGCCAUGGGUCUUGGAUAGGCCUGAUUGAACACUCUCAAAGCAAGCAUGCACAAAAAGGGAGUCUUCGCCUCGACCCUUGUUGAUCUCGAGAAGUCAAAGAGCGACUUGAGAAGGGAGUACGGAACCUGGUUUUCGAGCUUCAGUAAGUCCCUGAUGAGAGUCCGGAUUAUCAACGGCCGUGUAAGGAUGGGGUCCUCUACGUCAAUUGCAUGGCCGCUCCUAAAAAUGUGGAGCAUGAAUUCCACAACAAAGCAACCGUCGAGUAGCAUCAUCUCCACGAACUCACUACUCGACAUACCCACAACUUCAUCUUCCGAGUAGCAACCCCGGGCAGAGCUUUCUUGAUCUGCCACUAAUUUGAUGAGACUCUCCUUGUCGGAGUCCGUGCGACGAAGGAAGAUUUUGAGGAAGAACCAUUUGUGCUCUUCGAACUCGCACAAAUGCUUCUGGCCCCUGUGCAACGGGCCUAUAGAUACAAUCUCAGGCUGUUCAAACUGAUGAUUGAUAUCGCGAAGAACCAGAGGGAUCCUAAAGAUGGUGCAAGUCGAGGCCUGGGCUUGGAAGGGUCUCACCUCUUCCCCUAGUCGGCGCCUAACGUGAUCCAAGCAGCAAGUUACUGCAUCAUCGUGCGAUCCUGCGUCAGCAUCACCUGGGCCGGCUUCAUCAUAGUUUCUCGGGGGUGAAGUUAGUGCUUUAGGCAUAAAUUGUUCCCGGUUUGUCAUAGACCCGAGCUGAUCCUCUCCAGUCGACUCUGCAGCGGAUCUGGCUGUUUCGUUUUCAACUGCUGGACAUUUAACUUCCUCGAUCUCGACUGCAUGAUAAUCCAUGACACGCACCCUCUCUCUGUCCCUGAAACAAAAUUAAAACAUAGACCGUGCUCCGAAGCUGAAUGAAAAUUUAAGAUCAAAUUUGACCACCCAUUUCCAAGAAAUUACCAGCACAUCAACAAAUAAGACAAUAGCAAGAAUGAAAUGCUGAACUGCUUUUGUCGGAGGGCGUUUCGCCCCUCUUCCUUAAAUUUGUGAUAAUGCAGUUAAAGCAGCAGACUUUAGAACUAACCACGGAAGAUCGGACAGCGCUCAACGUCAGACCAGAAAUUUGAUCUUUGAGAUUGAUGCUCAUCAAGUGUGAAAGAGUCUUCACGCAAAACACUCGUGUUCCCAAAGCAAGAUUUGGAUUGUUAGAGGUCGGCACUAUCUAGUCUCCAUUUAUUUGUGCUUCUUCUUUUUGGUUUUUUGAGAUAUAUGCAACAACAAAAGUCCUAAAACUUAUAAGGAAAGUGUAAUUGAGUCCUAAAACUUACAAAACGUACAAUUAAGUCCUAAAACUUGUCAAAAUGGUUCAAUUGAGUCCUAAAUUUAAUACCGUCAGAUUUACUAACGAAAAUUGCUGACGUGGUGCUGAUAUCAUAUUUUAAAUUAAUUUCUAUUUUCCAUAUGGAUUUUUUAAAUUAUUUUUUAUUCAAAAUAUUUAAAAUUAGUUUUAAAAACUAAAAAGGAAAAAGUAAAAACUGUCGAAAAAAAAAAGAAAAGAAAAUGGUGCCACAGCCAUUGCCCAUCGCCGGAGGGGCUGACGACCGAAGCUCCACUAGUGCCUUUUUUUUUUAAUGGUUUUGUUUUGUUAAAUAAAUUUAGCUUUUCCUUUUUAUUUUUUAAAUCUAAUUUAAACAAGAAUAAAAAUAAUGUUAAAAGCCGCGUGGAAAAUAAAAAUUCAUUUAAAAUGCCAUGUCAGCAAUUCUGUUAGUAAGUUUGAUGGUGUUAAAUUUAGGACUCAAUUGAACUAAUUUAAUACGUUUUAGGAUUUGAUUGAACUUUUUAUAAGUUUUUGAACUCAAUUGUACUUUCCUUAUAAGUUUUAGGACUUCUGUUGCAUAUAUCUAUUGUUUUUUCGUUUUCAAAUUCUUCUCGAGUUGGGACAUAUUUGGGAGAUGUCAGUGAAGAAAGCAAAUCGACCCAGGCCAACUCUAAGUGUGUGUCUACAUACAUACAUACAUACAUAUAUAUAUACAUAUAUAUAUAUAUAUAUAUAUAUAUAUAUAUAUAUAUAUAUAUAUAUAUAUGCCAGCACCUAAUCAAUGUUAGUUUUACUCUAUUCACCGUGAGUCCACAUUGUGGUCAUCCUUAAGGCGACCAGUGCAGUCUUCUUUUUAUUUUUAUUCUUGGCCAGUGACAACUUUGGACAGUCUACUACCAAGUUAAGGCCUUGAGCAAAUUAGGUGAUCGAGCUGUUCGAUAAAUUGAUAGCUCUUUGACACUCCCUUCCUUCGUCCUUUUUUGCACUCAAAUCUAUUCACACUUCUUCGUCUUUUAUUGUUCUUGCUCUGUUUUGCUCUUUCUUAUCCUUGGCACAACCACUCUUCUUCAGUGUCUGCUUCUCUUUUUUAUCACUCUCUCUGUCUUUCUGUUUUCUCGCUCUUUCUUUCUAUUACAAAAAUCAAAGAAAUGGCGAUCCACUUUGUCGUUCCUAUUGCAAGUCGUCUCUUGGAGUACCUAGUUAAUCCGAUCAAGCGUCAAUUUGAAUAUGUGAUCUCCUCCGAGAGCUACGCUCAGGAUCUUCAAAAGGAAGUAGGGAAGCUCGCGUACCAGGCUGAUUCGGUCGACAUUGCCGUGGAAGAGGCCAAAAUAAAUUUUCGGGAUAUCAAGAGAUCUGUCACGAACUGGCGAGAAAGUGUUGAGAAGGCCUUGAAGGAGGCGAGAGACUUGUUGGGCAACUUUGAAGAGGCGAGCGAGACUUGCUGCUACGGGACCCUUCCCGACCGCAGUCAUUGCUAUCAGUUCAGCAGAAAGGCCAUGGGCAAAAUCGAGGAAAUUCGGGGACUCACUCAGACCGGCAAAGGAUUCAAGGAAUUGAAGGACGUUUCCUUCAAUCCUGAUCUGGGGAAUGUCAACUCGACGACAACUGAGCUUACGGAAGAUGGCGUCUUCGAAUCCAGAGCUUCUAUCAUAGAGAAAAUCGUGGACGCUCUUGCCGAUAACAGAACUAACGUCGUUGGGGUUUACGGGAUGGGUGGGAUCGGCAAGUCCAUCCUUUUGGCGGAUGUUGAAAGGAGAAUAAUAAAAGAAAGGUCGUUUGAUUUCGUCCUUCAGGCCAACGUGUCGAUGUAUCCAUACAUCAAGGAAAUUCAAGCUGAGAUUGCAUACAGGUUGGGGCUUCGCUUGAAGAUUACACAGAAUGUCAAAACGCGAGCAGAUCGUCUGCGCAAGAGGUUGCAAAAUGAGAAAACGAAGGUCCUCAUAAUACUCGACAACCUAUGGGAGGGGCUCGACUUGAAAUCAGUGGGCAUUCCUUGCGGAGAUGACAACAAAGUCAUAGGAUGCAAGUUGUUAUUGACGUCAAGAGAUCGAAAUGUUUUACGAAGGGAUAUGCACUGCGACAGGGACUUCCAUCUUGAUGGGCUGACGAAGAAAGAGGCAAAAAAAUUGUUCGAGAGGGCGGUGGGAGACAAAGUUCAUGACGACGACUUCAGACCCUUGAUGGAAGCAGUACUCAACAAAUGUGCAGGUGUUCCUUUCCUAAUUAUUGCAAUGGCAAAACGUUUUAAAUACGCUGAUUUAUCUGAAUGGAAGGACACUUUGUUAAAAAUCGAGAGGUCUAAACACGACGGGUUCAAUGAGAUAACAAAUGUGAUGUUACAAUUAAGUUAUGAUCGUUUAAACGAGAAGGAGAAGUCAUUUUUACAACUCUGUGUGGUUUAUGGCGGCUCGGAGCCCUCUCUUGAAAACUUGGUGAAGUGCGGUAUUGAUUUGGGGUUAUUUCAAGAAGUUAGCAGCAUGGAAGAAGCUAUAGAGAGUCUGAGCUCUGGGAUCCGUACUCUUAAGGCCUGCUCCCUUCUGUUAGAGGAUGGAGAAGCUGAUGGUUUCAAGGUACAUCCCUUGGUUCGUGAGUUUGUGAACGCUGUCGCUCUAAGAGAUCACUGUUUUCUUAUGUUGAAUGAUAAAGAUAAGGAGGUAAUGGAGUAACUCGAGACCAAGGGCACUUAUUGAGAAACUAAUUAAAGAAAGUUUACAGUUUCAAAAGUAUUUAUUGUCCGUAUGUUAUGCACAAUUUGUGCCUUGGAACUUGGAAUUUUCAAAAUAGAGGAUACCAACAGCAUUUGUUCAUAGCUUUACCAAAAAACAGCAUUUGUUCAUAGAGCCCUUGUGAUUUAUUAUCAUAAUAACUCAUUACUAAUUCUUGUCAUUGUAAUCUUUUUUAGAUCAUUACAUCUUUUCAAUUAUAAGAAAAGGAUAAUUCAAUGGCAAACAAUAGCAAUGAGAAGAUGAUGUCAACCGCGACCAUGAUAAUGAUAGUAGUCUUUUUUUUUCUUUCUUUCUUUCUUUCUUUUUCUCUGAUUAUAAUUGGUCUACUCUCAUCCUAGAACCGUUUAUCUUGUUUCGCAUCUUCUAAUGAAGAUGCCCCACUGCCCCUAAAGAAGUUGGUCUUGCUCGUCUUAGUCCAAAAAGCGGUUUGAUCUAUCCACGUUAUUUUAAUUAUCUUAUGCUUAAUUGAAUGAUCGCUCAAUUUGAUUUCUUUGCGAUUUCCCUUUUUCUAGUUACUUAAGCAUUCCUCUAGUUAUUUAGUUUUUCUUUAAUCUUUCUUUUUCGCUUAGAUAAAUUAUGGUGUGUUAGGUUGAAAAUUACGAUAGAACAUAGCUAUGUGCUGUUAUCAUCCAUGAUCCGUUUAAAAGGCAAUGAAGGAGGCUAUAAGCAAAAUGAAAUUUUGGACAAUUCUAUGAUAGUUGUAAGUGCUUGGGGUAUACUUGAAAGCCUACUGUAAGUUUAGCUCUUCAAAAAGUCAACCGUAUAACUUUUCACUUUUGUCAUAAACUUCUUCUUCAAGGUCAUUGGAAUUUUUCCCUCAUUUUUCUGUAUUAAUUUUGGAAAUUUUUAAUUUACUUUAGCUCAUUUGGAGGUCCAAGGAUGAUUUGACUAAGACAAAUAAAAUAAAAUAAAAAAUUACACUUUACCGUUGAAAAUCGCAUGUAAAGGGCUUGCAAAUUGUGAAAUGAACAAAGGAUUGAUAUUCACAAUCAAAUAAAAGUUGAAGGAAUUUAUGUACAGAAAUUUACGAUUAAAUGUGUACUGCCCUCAAAGUUCAUGAUGGGUUUUCUGCAAUUUCCCUUCAAUAUUUUCUAAAUAUAUGAAUUUUAUAUUGAUGUAAAAUUAGCAUCAUUGAAGAAUGAGGAAACAUAUAAGUGUUACAAUUAAGGUUCCGUUUGUUUUACAGAAAAUGUAAUAUUUCUGAAAAAAAAAAUUGUAAAAAUAUAUUUCAAGAAAAUGACAAUAUUUUCAUGUGUUUGGCCAAAAACUUGAAAAUUAACCGGUAAAUAUUUUCCAUUGUUUAGUAAAAUUUCCAAUUUUUAAUAAUUAUUUUUAUUUUUAUUUUGUUUUAUUUUAUUUUUUUCCUUCCUCCACUAGUCGCCAACCCUUAGCGACCUCUCUUGUGGCCGGUUGUGAUGCCUAGCAACCGGUGGAGGAAGGAAAAAAAAAGAAAGAAAGAGAAGAAGAAACUAUAAAAUUAUUAAAUAAUUCAAAUUUGGUAAUAAUAAAAAAUUAUUAUUAAAAAUAUAAGAAAAUAUAAGACAAAAUUAUUACUAAAAUGAUGGACCUCGGCUCAGUCUUAAUGGACUCAACCUUGCUACCAAGGGCUUGGGAAUGAGCAUUGAGGUUUCUAUGCCUAAGCACAAAGUUUCUGGAAAAUGAUUUUUGAUUUUUUAAAGAGGAAAUCUUUUUUUAGAAUUUAAAUGUUAGUAGGAAAAGGUUUUUUGUUAAAUAAGAAAACUUUUUCCAUUGACUCAACUUCAUCAAACCAAAUGCUCGAAAAUGAGGAAAAUGUUUUUUGCGGAAAAAAUGAAGCCUAAGGUUGCAUUUGGCAGUCAAGAUAAAAGAUAAAAUUCAUCAUAUCCUGUGUUCGGUGCUUACUCAAAAUGGGCUAAAGUCGGAUAUAAGAGGAAUAUAGAUUGAAUAAAAUUAUCCCAUGAUGAGGUGAGAUAAAUAUGGAUAGGAUUUCUAAUAUCCAUAAUAAGAAUAUCAUUUUUCUCGAAUAUCAAGCUUCUUAAAUUAACAAAAUAAAAAUAUAUUUCAAUAUAAAUAAUAUUAGAAUUAUAAUACAAGAAAUUCAAAAUAACAAAAAAUAUUAUUUAUUUUUUAAUUUAGGAUUUUUUUUUUUUGGGUGACCUAGGAACCCAUACAGCCGGCAGCCGGCCAAUAAACCUGGGGGGACAUGUAAGCGGGAGGACCCACCACCCCCGGCGUCCCACUUAAGACCCCAAGCGACCGUGAGGAGAUUUGAACUCCUCCCCUUUGUGAGGGGGAGAGAGCCCAAACCAUCAUGGCUACCAAGGCGGUGGUAUUUUUUAAUUUAGGUUUGAUACCCUAAAAAACCUCCAAAUAGAUACACACAUGACAAAUUUACUAAAAAUUAAUUUUUUCAUCAUAAAAAAUCCAAAACUGGUACACUUUCAACAAAUUUACGCUUAAAUUGGUACAUUUGUGAUAAAUUUACUCUAUAUUAAUUUUCGUUAAAAUUUACUGUAAAAAACUAAAUUUGAUGACACAUGACAGUUAAUUGGUAUAUCAAUUUGAGAUUUUGCUCUAUGUAUGUCAUAGUUGUACCAUUUUUAUGGUUUCUUGUGGUAUUAAUUCACUUAAAUGGAGAGUAUAUUUAUCAUAGAUGUACCGGUUUAGGAUUUUUGGCAGUCAAACAAAUUAGUUUGGGGUAAAUUUGUCACAAGUAUACCUGUUGGGGUUUUUUGUGGUCAUUCAGGGUAAAUUUAUCAUAGAAAUACCGGUUUUGGGUUAUUUGUGAUCAAAAAAUUAGUUUAAGGCAAUUUUGUCAUAAGUGUACUAGUUUAAGAUUUCCAUAAUAUUAACCUAUUAAUUUAAUCUCAUUUUAAUUUAUAUAGUCGAAUUUAAUUCUAUCUUAUAAUAUAAAUUCAAAAAAUUAUUAAAUAUUUUAGGUAUUUUGAAUUUGAGGUAUAUUAGUAUAGUUUGCUAUUUAAUAAAAUUUUAUUAGAGAAGAUGUAAAGGGAAAAAAGAAAUAAAAAAAAUAAAUGAAUUAAAAAAGAGAGGGAAAAUAAAAUAAAAUAGGCAAGAGUAUUGUGAUAGAUUUUGACCAUCUCCGUUUGUGAAUUUUUAAAGGCAUUUAUACUAAUAUGCUAUUUAAAGCAAACAAUAUACAUGAUAUGAUAUAAAUAUAUCCAACUUUAUUAUUGUAAUUACCAAAUAUUAAAUAGGGCAUAGUAAAAUCCUUAGAUUUCAUACCAUAUUCUAUCCAAUUAUAUCCUAGUCAGAAAUCCAGACGACCAAUAGAUAAUGAGUGCUUGUUGAGAGAGGAGUUCUAAUAUUGUUGAACAUGCAAAAUGGACAAAAGUAGCAUUAAAGCUUUAAGAUAACUCCAGGACAAUAACUCUAAUUCUUUGUACUGAUGUAGUUAAUGUAAACAAUAGAUAGAGAUAUGUUAGGGGAAAUGUGCCAUAAGAGUCCCAACAUUAUCAGUGGUGCCGGUUAGGAAUUCACAUUGAUUGAGAUGAACAUCAGAGUGUUAUUCUAAGCCAUUCUCAGUGUGGAUCUGAACUCAGGAUUCCUUAUUAUACCUCCUUUGCUCUUUAGUUGCGAAUCAAUGAAAAGUAGACGCUUUUCUGUUUAAGUUUUCUUCUUUCCUGCGCUAGUCUCAAUUCUGUAACUUCCACUAUGGAAAGAAACUCUCAAAUUUGGCGCUUUUUUAAGGUUUCUGGUAGCUCCACCUGAUAUAUAGAACUAAUAAAGUGUCAUGAUGUCAAUCGGACGCUCCUUUAGCAAUCCGUGGUCAUACGAAGUCAGUUUCUAUUUAAAUCACAUUUUUUACGUCCUUUUCAAAUUCUUAAAGAUUUUAUGCAAGUCUUUUUGCAUGUUGGUGCGACCUGUAGUUUUUAAGUUUCUUUAGAUAUGAAGAGCAUUUAAAAUUUAUUCCGUCAAAUUAACUGAAUUUUGAUUUUCAUGAUAACAGUAAUUUUCAAUCUACGCAAAAAAAUUUCAUAGCCAGUCAAUUAAAGAGAUGCUCCCUCCAACGUCUAUUUUAGUUCUCUUGUUUCACUACAGGUGAGAUCGAACAUUCUACAUGCAAAGCGGGCCAUUCUAAGCCGGAUUUUCAUGGUCAUACAAUUUCAAAGCCUCUCACAUCUCCUGAAUUGGCCAGCGAUGUCAUACCAUACCAAUAGCUCUACAUAACUAUGCGCUUUUCCCAAAAAAAUCCACAGAGACUUCCUCGCAUCUCCAUGAUCUGUAUUUCCAGAGUCUUUAUGCUAAUCUGCUGUCACUAGAUUCAUGUAUAAGAAACAGAUUCCGCAAAAUAACGACGUUGCCUAGGAGGGAGCUUGAGGAGUCCACCAAUUUCCUACACCGCAGUAUGACAAAGUGAACAACAUUUAAUACUCAUGCAAAUAAAUAUGAAGCAAAGCAGACCCAAAUAAAAAUUCAUUCAACCCCUAGAACACCAGAGCACAUAAGUUAACAAAUCUAUUUCAAUAUGAUUGAAUCAUUGAUUAAUUUAAAGAAUAGCGACUAAGCUGUGCAACAAUAGGUCACCGAUCAAAGUUUAUGAGUGCAAAGAGUGUCAUUGAAUAAUGAAAGCAAAUUACUACUUAGAAACGAGACGAGCAUGUCCAGUCUGCGAAUGAUUGCUUACCCUUUCUGAACAAAAAAAUGCAGGAAAAGAGGACGAAGGAGACAUGAAGCUUUCUGAGGCUAAUACCAAACAUUUUUAAGCUAAUGAAUUCAGUGUAAUAACAAUGGUCCGAUCCUGCACCCCACAUACAAAUAAUGAAAAAGCAGAGUAAAAGGAAAAACUUUGGUUGAAGGAACAUGCUAGGGAUGUUACACAGUUCAUGAGCAAACUUUCAUUUCACACACCACAAAUGAUUCUUGCAUCCAAUAGAUCCAAAAAGUGAUGAGUGAUCUAACAAGGCCAGAUUCGGUAAAGCUUCCUGUUAAUCCGAUACUCAAACGAUCGAAUAUCGAAAACGAACACAAAAAAUAUGCCCAGGAAACAUGUAACACUGAUCGAAAGAUAUAUCACGGAUACGGACUUACCUUGUUUACCACAUAUUAAGUACCGUUGCAGUCUUAGGGGAAUCCUUUGAAACCUUGGAGUUCUAUUCGUCAAGAGGGAGGAUACUACUUCAAAGGGGAGAAAAAAUAGCAAUGCCUAUUUUCUCUAAUACGCUACAGGUAACCUUAUCCCCUUUUAUUUUAUUUUUUUAUUUUUUAUUUAUAGGCCCUUCACAUACGGGGCGGGUUUUGGCCCAACAUGGGCGAACGGGCUUAACUUGGUCCAUCAAAUAAACAACCUAUCACUUCCUCUAGAUGGAAUGGCGACGUCUUCGCAGGGCUUGGGAGUGUUGGGCACUGACUCCUACUGCAGCUCCUCUUGGAACGAUAGGUACUAACAUAUCGCUAGCCAACGUAGAGUUCAUCUUUGCAGUAGAAUUUAUAACGUGUUCAAUUGGCUGCAAAAUCGAAUGUCAUAAACUCUACGCCUGAGACCAUAGAAAGCAGCGUUGACAUCAACUCCAAUGAAACCAGCCUCUGUGAUUGUAGUAUCAACAACCCUCUCAAGUCCACACUUCUGCCGAAAAAAUGAACUUUUAGACACAUUGAAAGACUCUAGGAUCUAUAGACAUUUCCUCAUCAAACGCAGCAUCCAGAGUCUCUCACAGUUCUUUUUCUCGCAGUAGCAUAACUAAAUAAGGGCACUUCUGCGGUACGACUCUGUUAUAGAUAAAGCCAAAUAUUUGUUUUUAGGGGCUUUUUUUGUCUUUUCUAUUAUAUUUCCUUUUAGGUUAAAAGUGGUACCUAUAUAUUAGCGAUGGCAAAACCCUAGCCGUCAAGACGCUGAAAAAGAAAAUAGAGAGGCAAGAAAAAGAGAGAAGAAAAAAGUGAGUUUUUUUUUCUUGAUGAGAGUUCUCAAUCUCUUUGUGCCCUGAUCUUAAGAGAAUAUCGUCGUUGUAUUCCAACUUUUUCCGAAGUCUAGUGGAUUCGUAGAGUGCCUCUACGCGGAGACGUAGCCCAGGUUUGGGUGAACUUCGAUAACAAAUUUUCUGGCGUGUUCAUUUGAUUCUGCCCUUUUAUUACUAUAUUUUGUCUGGUGAAUUGUUUGCGAGCGUUAUUUUUCUGGAAUUGACGUGUGAUUUCGUAACAACUGGUAUCAGAGCCUGGGUUGGCUAAUCGAAAACAUCGAGGGUUUUCGGUGACGUUCGAUUGAAAGCAAACAGGAUGGCAGAAGAUAAAAUCAGAAUCGAUAAGUUCAAUGGAGAGGAUUUCGGAUGGUGGAAACUACAAAUAGAGGAUUAUCUUUAUCAGAAAGAUCUCUAUGCACCACUUGAGGGUUGGAAACCCGAGAUGGCGGAAGUGGAUCCGACAACAGAAGCCGGAUGGAAAAUUCUUGAUUGAAAGGCGUUAGGUGCGAUUCGUCUAGGGUUGACGAAAAAGACAGGAUACCACAUCGCGAAAGCAAAAACUGCAAAAGAAGCCAUGGAUAUUCUAACGAAUAUUUUUGAGAAGCCGUCCACAUCAAAUCAGGUAUUUUUGCUGAAGAAACUAGUUAAUAUGAAGUUAUUUGAUAGAGGUUCUGUGGCAGAGCAUAUUAAUAGUUUCACGCAAGUCACGGGUCAAUUGGAAUCCGCAUGCAUAAAUUUAGAUAUGAAGCUUCAAGCUUUAUUAUUUUUAUGUUCUCUUCCAGAAAGCUACAAUAUCGUAGUGCAGGGAAUUUCGAGCACCAUGAAUGAUGAUUUAACUCUUGAUGAUACUGUGAGUAGUAUCAUGGAUGAAGAGAUGCGAAGGAAAGUCUCAGGUGGAGAUAAUUUUUCUGUAUCUACAUCUUCAACGGCACUUGCAGUGGAGAACCGUGGAAGAAGUAAAAGUAGAGGAAAUUUCAGCGGUCGUGGUAGAUCACAAUCAAGGGGUAAGAGACAGGUUGCAAAAGAUGAGUGUUGGUUUUGUCACAAAACCGGACACCGGAGGUUUCAGUGUGAAGCCUACAAAAAGAAGCAGCAAGAUGAGAAUCAAGGUGCUAAUGUAGUUAGCGAUAAAUCUUUGCUAGAUAACUUGUGUUUGUCUGCAGGGUUUGACUUGACAACAGAUAAAUGGUUUAUUGAUUCUGGCGCUUCUUUUCAUUGCACCUCACAAAGAGACAUAUUUGAUGAUUAUGCCAGUGGAAAUUUUGGACAAGUGGUUGUGGGAAACGGUCACAUGUGUCCAAUUGUUGGGAAAGGAACUGUGACUAUGAACAUCUCAGGUGGAGGACGUCUAGUUUGCGUGAAACUAGGCAUAUUCCGGAAUUAGAGAAAAAUCUGAUUUCAACUAGUAAACUUGACCAAGAAGGUUUGGUAAUAACCUUUGGCUGCAGAGAGUGGAAGAUAACCUCAGGGGUAAGAGUAGUAGCAAAGGAAAAGCGUACAUGUACACUUUACCUUCUCCAAGGAGACAAUAUUAGUGAUAUGGUUGCAACUACAAUGGCUACAGGUAAUUUAUCUACUCUUUGGCAUUAUCGUUUGGGACAUCUUGGCGAAAAAGGUGUAAAGCAAUUACACUCGAGAAAAUUACUCCCAGGUUUGCAAAAAGUUGAGUUAGAUUUUUGUGAGAGUUGCAUUUAUGGAAAACAGAAGGCUGUUAGUUUUCAAUUGAAUGGGCGACAAAAUAAAGGCCAGAAGUUAGAGUUGGUUCAUACUGAUGUAUGGGGACCUGCUCAGGAACUCUCUUAUGGUGGUAAGAGAUAUUUUGUCACAUUCAUUGAUGAUGCAACAAGAAAGACUUGGGUCUAUGCUCUUAAAGAAAAAUCAGAAGUAUUCGGGAUGUUCAAAAUGUGGAAGACCAUGGUAGAAAAAGAAACAGGUUAUCAGAUUAAAGCUUUGAAAUCUGAUAAUGGUGGUGAAUACACAAGUAAAGAAUUUGCAAAUUAUUUGAGCCGAGAAGGCAUACAUGGGCUAAAGACUGUUCCUAGAACUCCUCAAGAGAACGGUGUAGCUGAAAGAAUGAACAUGACUAUUCUAGAACGUGCGAGAUGCAUGAGACUACACGCGGGUCUCCCGCUACACUUAUGGGCUGCCACAGUUGAUGCAGUUGUUUAUCUUAUCAACAUAAGUCCAUCUAGUGCAUUGGAUAGAGAAAUACCACAAGAGUAGUGGUCAGGUAAGAAGAUUAAUUAUUCACAUCUAAAGGUGUUUGGUUGUAUUGCAUAUGCUUUGAUUGACAUAGAGGAUAGAAAAAAGCUUGAUGCUAAGUCCCAGAAGUGCGUCUUUAUCGGAUACGGUGGCGACGAGUAUUGCUAUAGGCUUUGGGAUUAUAAGAAUAACAAAGUUAUCCGUAGUCGCAAUGUGGUAUUCCAUGAAGAAAAGAUGUACAAGGAUCGUCAGACAGAGACAGAGCAUGAGAAGGUAGUACAACCAGAAUAUGUUGAACUAGACACAAUGCCCGUGAAGAUGUUUCCAGUAGAUCAAAGUUCACCUGAAAGAGAGGUUCAAGAUGAGCCUAAUAUCAGUGAAGAGGUAGUUCAAGAAGAACGCAAUGAUUCGGAGCAAACGAAUGACCCUGAAGUACCUGUCUUGAGAAGGUCUACACGUGUGAGAAAGCCAAAGGUAAUUUUUGAUCCAUCAGCUAAUACUGUUCUAAGCCAUGUCUUAUAUACAGAUUCGGGGGAACCAGAGACUUACGAUGAGGCAAAGGUAGACACGUCUCACUUGCAAUGGGGGUGUGCUAUUAAAGACGAGAUGAGCUCGUUAUUUCAAAACAAAACUUGGGAGUUGACCAAGUUGCCCACAGGUAAAAAAGCUUUAUUAAACAAAUGGGUGUAUAGGGUUAAGAAUGAAUCAGAUGGUAGUAUUAGAUACAAGGCGAGACUUGUAGUCAAGGGCUUUUCUAAAAAAGAAGGGAUCGACUACUCCAAGAUAUUUUCACCUGUAGUGAAAAUGACAUCAAUUAGAGUUCUGCUAAGUAUAGUUGCAGUGGAGGAUCUUCAUCUUGAGCAGAUAGACGUAAAAACAACGUUUUUACAUGGUGACUAGAUGAAGAAUUAUACAUGGCACAACCUAAGGGUUUUGAAGUCAAAGGUAUGGAGCACAUGGUAUGUCGCUUGAAGAAAAGCUUGUAGGGCUUGAAACAAGCUCCGCAGCAAUGGUACCUAAAAUUUGAUGGUUUCAUGCAAGAAAAAGGAUUUGUACACUGUGAGUCUGAUCACUGUUUAUUUUCGCAAAUAUGAUGAUGGUGACAUUGUGUAUCUAUCUUUAUAUGUGGAUGACAUGCUUAUGGCUAGUUCCAAUAUGAAGAGAAUCGUAGAAGUGAAGAAGAUGUUAUCAUCACAAUUUGCUAUGAAAGACUUGGGAUUGGCCAAGAAUAUUUUAGGCAUGAAAAUCAUCAGGGACAGGAAAAAUAAGAAAUUAUGGUUGUUGCAGGAAGACUAUGUGAACAAGGUGUUAAAGAGAUUUAACAUGGACAAAGCAAAACCGGUUGCAACUCCUCUAGCGAGCCACUUCAAACUUUCCAAGGAUAUGUGUCCAAGCACUCAAGCUUUGAAAGAUGAGAUGGCGGUAGUUCCAUAUGCAUCAGCAGUAGGGAGUUUGAUGUAUGCCAUGGUGAGCACGAGACCAGACAUUGCACAAGCAGUGGGAGUUGUAUAUGCAGAACCUAAGUAGAGAGCAUUGGAAUGCAGUUAAAUGGAUAUUGAGAUAUCUAGCAAGUACUUCCAAUUACUCACUUUGUUAUGGUGGUACAUCUCUAGAGUUGCAAGGUUAUGUAGAUGCAGAUCAUUCGGGUGAUCGAGAUAGUGGUAAGAGUACCACUGGAUAUGUCUUUACAGUUGCAAGUACAUCAGUGAGUUGGGUAUCUCAACUACAAAAAGUAGUGGCUUUAUCAACAACAGAGGCAGAAUAUGUAGCGAUUACAGAAGCCUCCAAGGAAAUCAUGUGGUCACAAGAUUAUAUGGAGGAGUUACAUCGAAAACAGCCAGUCAGUACACUAUGGAGUGAUAGUCAAAAUGCAGUGCACUUAGCAAAGAAUGCAGCUUAUCACUCAAGGACUAGACAUAUCAAGAAGCGUUAUCACUUUAUCAGGUCAGCAUUGAAAGAUAAUGAAUUAAAGCUACACAAGAUUGAUGGCUCAAAGAAUCCAGCUGACAUAUUGACCAAGGUAGUAGACAGAGAGAAGCAUAUUUUCAGAACUACUACUAUUGGUAUUACUCCAUGUUGAUUGAUGAGGAGUAUCGCAGAGGCACAAGUUUUUCAACUACUAUUUUUUGAAGAAGAUGGAUACAAAGUUGCUUGGUGCUUUGGUAUAUUUGUCUUCAAGUGGGAGAUUGUUAUAGAUAAAGCCAAAUAUUUGUUUUUAGGGGCUUUUUUUUUUUGUCUUUUCUAUUAGAUUUCCUUUUAGGUUAAAAGUGGUACCUAUAUAUUAGCGAUGACAAAACCCUAGCUGUCAAGACGCUGAAAAAGAAAAUAGAGAGGCAAGAAAAAGAGAGAAGAAAAAAGUGAGUUUUUUCUUGAUGAGAGUUCUCAAUCUCUUUGUGCCCUGAUCUUAAGAGAAGAUCGUCGUUGUAUUCCAACUUUUUCCGAAGUCUAGUGGAUUCGUAGAGUGCCUCUGCGCGGAGAAGUAGCCCAGGUUUGGGUGAACUUCGAUAACAAAUUUUCUGGCGUGUUCAUCUGAUUCUGCUAUUUUAUUACUAUAUUAUGUCUGGUGAAUUGUUUGCGAGCGUUAUUUUUCUGGAAUCGACGUGCGAUUUCGUAACAGACUCUUCUUCAGCCUUUCUAUAACUUCGUCAUUCCAUUGAACACCUUCCUCGCAAACUCAAUUCCCUCCUCCACAGCACAACCGAUGGCAAUUGAAUUUCUGAAGACAGCGAGAGAAUUGGGAGAAAAAACAAGAUCGAAAUAGAAGUCAAUAGAAAAUUUUUGAAUGAAUCGAAAUUCAUCCUAGAGUUCAGCACGAGAUGAUGGAUUUCGUCGUCACUUCAGUGUCACGAGGAACCGUCUCUAGAGAUCUCUUGAAGCAACGAUCGUCGGAGAUUUCAAUCGACAGCUUCACUCCUUCAUGGUUUCGUAGAGAGAGAAAGAGAUCCUUCUGUGAACUUUAGACACCUUGUUCUUUUCUCCUAUCUCUUUUCUUUUAUUUUUAUUUUUGUUAUUUCUUUUUUUUAUAUAUUUCUUUAAUUUUUAAUUUAUAAAUAACAAAAGUACAAUUUUAUUAUUUUCUCCCAUCUCUUUUCUUUUAUUUGUAUUUUUGUCUUUUAUUUUUUAUUUUACUAAUCUUUGAUUUGCCCGAUAAAACUAAUGCUACAGUAAAAAAGUUGAAGCCAUGCUCCAAUUUCGGAAGGGCAUAACUCUAUAAUUUGUCCAUAAGUGAAAUCCAUUCAAUUAGCACAUUCCGACUGUGCCAGUCCAACGAUGCAUGCUCCAUGGUCGAAGCAUUGGGCAUCACCAUAAGAACCAUGGUUGUAGUGGUCUAAUCCUCAUGCCCCGGUGUUGGAUUCAAAAUAUCUUUUGGUUCUGCCCAAUCUAGGCAAUUUGGAUUCCAAUUGAAGCUAGGAUUGCCCAUAUCUGUCCGAUUCGUAAUACAGAAAUAACAUCUCAAUUUCCUUCUCUCUGGGCCACUAUCUUUUUUCCCUUUCCCGCAGGUUGAGGUCUUGACAUUUCUGGUCACUCUUCUCUCACCCUCGUCAAGUCAUCUAGUCCCCACCAAGCCACCAUUACGCUAUCGUCGAGCCCCCACUAUGCUCGCUUGGUCAAUCUCUCUCUCUCACUCUCACUCCACUACCCUCGGCCAAAAAAAGAAAAAUGAAAAAACGCUUGCUCUCCUCUUUAUUGUGUCUUACUACAUGUUAUCAAAGUACAAAGCAAGCGACGCGACUCACACUUUUGCUCGUGUCAUGGUCUCUGUCAUGCUCCCCCAUCUCCAGCACUAGCUUGGUUCUUACUAGCCUGUUAUGAUGUUGUUGACACCUAAAUUUUAACUAUUUUUAUUUUUUUAUUAGGGUAACAAUGAUAUUUAACUCAUCUCUUAAAAAAGGUUGUUAAAAAAAAUAUUUUGUGGAGGAAUGAGAUUUUGAAGGAUUUUCGGAUAACGAAGUCAUAUCAAAAGUUGAGUGAAUUGUCUUUAAAAAAUCUUCAUAAAGAAUUUGGGAUUAUUUUCUUGUUGAGCACAUCUCUCCGUUUCUUCGAAUGAUCCUUAGCGAUUAGGUCAAUAUAUGCAAAUCUUCGUAGGUUGAACAAACCAGGGUUUUCUCUGUAUAAAUAGGGGGGCUUUUUCGUUUUCUCUUGGUCAAAAAAAGAAGAAAAGUCAAAGGAAAAGAGAAAUUCUUUGAGGCUUUCUUCUGCUGGCUUCGAAAGUGAAAAGGAGGGUGCAGAAAGUACAGAGAGAAGAGACAGGUGAGUGACGGAGAGGGAGAGAGAGCCAGAAAAGAAAAAAAGAAAAACAAAAGGAAAGGGAAAAGCAGAGCAGAAAACGGGGGACUGUUAAUCGUCUUCUUCAUGUAGCCGCUUCCCCCCCCCUCCCCCCGCCUUCCGCCUGCAACCCUUGCGCCGUCGCCGCGCCACCGCACCCUUGUGCUGUCAUCGCUGCGCCGCCUGCGUCCGGUAGCCAGCCUCGGAUGCUCCGCCACCGCUCCUCGCCCCGGAAGACGCCGCGCCCGUAACGCCGCCUCUGCUCUGGUUCUGCUCGCAAAACCGCUGACCACCGCCUCGAUUGCAGCCCAUCGCCGACGUCAGCAGCUCCUGCGACCUGCCCCGAUUACGACUCCAGACGCCGCGUCCCGCCGACGUUUCGUCCUGCUCGCUCGUUGCUGCCCGAGCUGCCAGCAGUCGAAGCCCGCGCCGUCUCCCUCGCCCGCGAGCUUAUGUCGCUGGUCUGCCCAGAAGCCGUGAAGCCGCUGACCCCCGCCGCGCUCACACCGCCGAGCACCACCGUCGCUACCCCUGAUCCGAGUCUACUGCUGUCCUCGGUGCGCCAUCAGCUACUGCCCGAGCGAUCUCCUGUUUUGUUGCAGGUUUACCUUUGCCGAACCUUGUCGGAGCUCCCACAUCCGUGCCCAUCACUCUCACCGGAGCCCUAAAUUAGCCAUACCGUCAAGCUGAUCUGCUUUCUGUUGCAGCCCAUUGCGACCCGCAACGCCCAAGCCUGCCGCGCCCACACUGCCGAGCACCGACGCCGAUCCACCCAACGCUGGCCCUGCCCGUCCAGACCCGAGCUUCCCUAGCUCCGCUCCUGUGUUGCUGCCGUCGCCGGUUCACCUUGGCCGGAGCCUCCUUUGCCGAGCCGAUUAGUCGAUUCCCCUUGGAGAUACACAAGCGAUGCCUGGAAAAGAAAAACAAAAAAAAAAAAAAAAGGAAAGAAAAGGAAAUUAGGUAGUUUUAUUUUCUUUUUCUAUUUACUUUAUUUAUUUAUUUCUUUUAAGUUUAGUUGUUAUUGUGAAAAUUUAAAGUGAUCUUCAUUUCAUGAAUUCAAUAGGCAUUAUCCGCAGGGUCUUCCCCAUAAUUAUUGUAAUUAUUAAUUUGAUCCGUAAGAUAUCGGAUCAUUUUUUUAAUUAUAUUAAUUUUUGGGGUUUGUCGAUAGUAUUUUAAGUGUUGAAUCAAUAUAAUUAUUAAUUUGAUCUGUAAGAAUUCGGAUCAGAUUUUUAAUUAUUUUGAACUCUUUGUCAUGAUAAUUAGGGUUAUGAUAAUCGUUAAUUUGACCUGUGAGACAACAGGUUAUUUUUUCGAUUAUUUUAAUCCUUUAUUUGAUUAAAUAUCUUGAUUGUUUAGAUUUAGUUGAUAAUUGUUUUUUUUUUUUGUGAAACCACUAAAAAAUCUAAAAAAUAUUUGAAUUAGGAUUCAGUUUGUUUUAGAAUAUUUCUCGUUAUCUUGCAUAUCUAGAAUAUGGAUUUUAUUCCGAAUUUAGAAAAAUAUAAAAUAAAAUAAAAAAACAAAAAAAGUGCAUCCAUUUAGGUUGUUAGUUUUAUCAUUAUUUGAAUUGCAUGUGAAAUUUUAAUUUUGAAAUUAAUAUAAAAACACAAAAAAAUCAUCAUGCAUAUAUCAUGUUGAAUUAGGGCAUUCUUUGCACGUCAUUGCAUAUUAGAUAAAUUGCAUGUUAGAUUAAGAUAAUAUCUUAGUUUAAAUUAGGAUUUAAUGUGACUUGAUCCUUAGUUUAAAUUAGAAUUUUAAUCUAGCUAGAUCAUUUUUGCAUUUUUAAAUAGAAAUAUCAAAUGCACGUCAUUUAGUUUUUAUUAAUUAGAAUUUCCUCGUCAUUAGACUAAGUCAUUUAAUAAAUGUCGCAUGACAUAUAACCCGCAUACUAAAUUGUAUGUUGCGUGUCAUUUUAGUUAAAAUAAUUUUGUAUGUCAUUGCAUUGCAUUACCUGUCAUUAAAAUUAGGUCAUUUGAUUAAUUUACAUUGCAUAUUUAAUUGAUGCAUUUCUUUAUUUUCAAAUUUCAUGAAAAAUAUAAAAGAAUUAGAAUGAAUUCAUUUCAUGCUUUUAGGAUAGAUUGCAUGCUUAUUUAGGACAUACAAUUUUGGUCAUGUUAUCAUAUUAUUUCAUGUUAGAAUAGUGAUAUGCAUCGCAUAAGUCGUGAUUUUCAUUAAAUAAAGUGAAAAAAAAAUUGAAAUUGCGUGUUAAUUAGAAAUCAUAUCUAGGGUUGCUGAUGUGAAUUCUGAUUUAACAAUGCAGAUGAUUUUGUUGCUUCUAAGUAUGAUUUUGUUGCUUCUAAGUAUGUUUUGCAAUAUUUAAUUGCUUUCUUGAGUGUUAAAUUGGUGGUAUGCGCACAUGUAUGAUCACCUCACAUGUUAGGAAGUUAAAUUAAAAUCAAUUCAAUUGCCAAACAUUUUUGAAAAAUGAAAUAAAAAGGUACCGAAAUGGCACUAGGAUAGUCUAGUGUAACCAAGUCCCAAAACUCAUAAAUCUCUAGUUCGUAGGAGUAAAAGUAAAUCUCAUGUUACUUUACUUGGGUUUCUAAUCGACCCACCAAAAAUAGAUUAGUGGCGACUCCUGAUUGAAAAUCAUUUGCAUGUUAAGAAUUCAAACCUAAGUCGCAAAUUGGUAUGGGCUUGGGAGAGCCCGAGCUAAGCUUAAAGACUUAAUAAUCCAUUAACUUAGUUUUAGGUGGUGAACCGAAAAAAUUAGGUCGCGACGGCUUGGCAACUCCGCUGGGGACUUGUGUUAAAACACUUAGUGGACUUAGGCCAAUUUUUCUUUUUAAAAAUAUUUUUUGUUUGGCAGCGAGGAUCUCAGGUAUGUCCCUAACAUUUCUAAGGUGUUAAAUGUUCUUGCAUAUUGGAGGUAUAAGGGGAGUAGUCUUUGCUAACCCUUGUCUUGCAGGGAGGUGUUGAGAUUAAUGAUUUAUUUUUCCUGAUUAGAAGUGUUGUUUGCAUUUAAACUGUUGUGCAUGCUUUAUUGCUUUAGCACCACACUAUUUGCACACAAAACCUGUGGUCGGACCUAGGCUGCGAUAGGACUUCUAGGAUGGUGUUGAGAAGGAUACUUCCUCUAAAGCGAGAUUGCUAUGUAGAGGUUGACAUUCUCUUCCCCGAAAUUUCUUUCAUGGUGUCGAAUGUGUUUGUCCAUAUCCGCGAGACUGCGUGGUUAUUAGGUAUUCCAUUCGACUGAGCCGGAGUUAGGGGGACCUGACACGUUAAUACGAGACUGCAAUGGUCAAAUCAUCCUUUUAGCUCCACCUUGUUAAGCCAUCUAGACAGAAAUCGAGCCUCACUUUUCAUACAUGUGUCUAUGCGGUUGUCAUCCAUUUCCAGUAAAAGUAAGUUGUUUAAAUUCUUUGCAAUUUAUUUACUUUAUUGUAAUUUUGUCGGUCCAUGGGGGAUUAGGUUUCGUCGUCAGUCUUGUUUUAUAUGCGAUGGGGAAAACUGACAUACAAUUCAUUUCUACUCCAAAAAAAAAAAGCUCAAGAAGUGGUUGGAUCAGUUGGAUCAAGAUGGCCAGAGAUAUGUGAAGGCCAGGAUCGUUCAACUUCUCCCACUGUUAGAGAUCAACGUCCACUCUGGUGUGAUUCAGGCACUUCCUCACUUCUGGUGUCCACAAACUUCCACCUUCAUAUUUGGUGAGUUUGAAUUAACUCCAACACUUGAAGAAUAUAGUGUCGCCAUUGGAAUGCCCUUGGAAAAGGAACUUGUUAGACCGCCUAUCGGUAUAGAUUCUAUUUCUGAAUUAUCACAGUUUUUAAAAAUUAAAGCCGAAAAAGUGAGGAAGGUUGUUAAAGCCAAUUGCUAUACAUGCCCAUUUUCAUUUUUGGAAUGCUGUUUUUCAAACCAACCAAUGACUUUAAAAGCUAAGAUUUCAUGUAGCAUUUUUUGGACUAUCGUUUUCUAUCGAAAAAUGCAUUNNNNNNNNNNNNNNNNNNNNNNNNNNNNNNNNNNNNNNNNNNNNNNNNNNNNNNNNNNNNNNNNNNNNNNNNNNNNNNNNNNNNNNNNNNNNNNNNNNNNNNNNNNNNNNNNNNNNNNNNNNNNNNNNNNNNNNNNNNNNNNNNNNNNNNNNNNNNNNNNNNNNNNNNNNNNNNNNNNNNNNNNNNNNNNNNNNNNNNNNNNNNNNNNNNNNNNNNNNNNNNNNNNNNNNNNNNNNNNNNNNNNNNNNNNNNNNNNNNNNNNNNNNNNNNNNNNNNNNNNNNNNNNNNNNNNNNNNNNNNNNNNNNNNNNNNNUAUGGCAUACUAAAUGGUUUCAAGUUGAGGAGGCUCGUUUCUCACACAAGCAUGAUGAGCCAAUUACGUUGUUGGGCUUUUCUAGUGCAACUUCUUACUAUCCUAUAGGGUGGCUCGUCAGUACAAAGCUCUUCAAGAAAUUCCUCUGCCACUCAAAACAGAGUUAUUCCAAGUUCGUUUUAUUCGAGCAAACUAUGACUACUUCAAGGAGAUCCGGAUGAUCAUUGUUGCAUGGAAUGAAUGCCACCUACAGAAGAUUUUGGUGCCCAAGAGACUAAAAGGCGAGAAGGAGAUUCACCAUCCGUCGACAUUCUACAUCCAACAACAUUGGAUUUCUGCCGCCCUACGUCCAGUGGUCCCUGAUGUGACUAAGAAGCCAACCCAAUGAGCACAAAUUGAGCAUCUUAAGCGGAAAGUGGAAAUGAUUGAAGCGGAAAAUAAGAAGUUUCGCAAGGCGUUGAAAUCCCGAAAGCAUAUAAAAUGAGACGUCUUGAAUUUUGAUUCUUAGUUCAAUGUUUAGGGACUUUGAUUUCUAGCUCAAUGUUUUCAAUUUUUAGAUUAAAUGUUUAGGGACUUUGGAUUUCAAUUCUUAGUUCAUUGUUAGGAAACUUGGUUCAAAUUUCAAAUAAAAUCAGGUGAUUAGACCAUUGUCAUGAGCCAUUUUUCCUAUCUUGUCAUUGGUUCUUACAUUACUUUUAUCCGAUUAGGUGAUAAUGGAUCCUCCACGUUCGCCCAUCAUUACACGAUCGAGAGCAAAAAUGGCCGACCAAGCCGAAAUGCGAGAUUGUAUGUCUGUCGUAGAAGACCAACUCAAACAGUUGCUCACCUCUAUGCAACUUAUGACAACUCAAAUGCAAUCUCUCCAAGUGAAUCAAACCCUUGCAUCCGCUCUCCCCGAGAUUGUAGUCCCAAAGCAAAUGAACAAGACUCAAAUUGAUGAUGACGACACGCCUGAACUGGAGGAUGACCCACUGUUUGUCACUACCAAAAAGGUUAAGCCCGAUAAUAUCCCUAAGGUGGAGCAGGAUGAACGCUUCACCAAACUUGAAGAGAAACUGAAAUAAUUGCAAGAGUCGCGAAGUUCACUUCCAUUUGACUUGUCAGUUUAUGAGAAAGUCAAGAUGCCGAAAAAUUUUAAGAUGUCGGAGUUCGAGAAAUACGACAGUAUUUCAUGCCCAAAGGCUCAUUUGCAGAGGUACCACGUACGCAUGGCCUAGUAUGUCAAGAAUGANNNNNNNNNNNNNNNNNNNNNNNNNNNNNNNNNNNNNNNNNNNNNNNNNNNNNNNNNNNNNNNNNNNNNNNNNNNNNNNNNNNNNNNNNNNNNNNNNNNNNNNNNNNNNNNNNNNNNNNNNNNNNNNNNNNNNNNNNNNNNNNNNNNNNNNNNNNNNNNNNNNNNNNNNNNNNNNNNNNNNNNNNNNNNNNNNNNNNNNNNNNNNNNNNNNNNNNNNNNNNNNNNNNNNNNNNNNNNNNNNNNNNNNNNNNNNNNNNNNNNNNNNNNNNNNNNNNNNNNNNNNNNNNNNNNNNNNNNNNNNNNNNNNNNNNNNNNNNNNNNNNNNNNNNNNNNNNNNNNNNNNNNNNNNNNNNNNNNNNNNNNNNNNNNNNNNNNNNNNNNNNNNNNNNNNNNNNNNNNNNNNNNNNNNNNNNNNNNNNNNNNNNNNNNNNNNNNNNNNNNNNNNNNNNNNNNNNNNNNNNNNNNNNNNNNNNNNNNNNNNNNNNNNNNNNNNNNNNNNNNNNNNNAAAUGACCAAGACAACACAACUACUGCGUCAUCAUUUGCCCAAGCAAUAUAGAAGCAUUUCUCUCUCCUGGGUCUCCAUCCCAAGUGCUGACAAUCUCCGAAAGAAAGCUUUGCUUACUAGUGAACCAAAACGUCCCAACCGCGAAAACAUUCACGGUUAUGACCCGACAAAGAAGUGUGACUACAUAACGGUGAAUUUGGGCAUUUAACUGACGAAUGUUUCACCCUCAAGCAUAAGAUCCAAAAUCUCUUGGACACAAAGGCCUUCUCAUUUCAAACUGCUCGGCCAAACGUCUAGAAGAAUCCGCUACCGGAGCAUGAGGGUACAGUGAAUGCUAUCCUAGAACCUAAAGUUAGACGGAUCAAGAACUCGAAGGUGCGUGUGGCAGAUGCCUACAAUGGACUGGUGAGAGCUGGAUAUUAUUCAGAUCAAGAAGAUGUUCCCCCAUCAUUGAUGAAAGAAAGAGUUGCUAGAAUGGUGGAUGAUGGUAUCAUUAUGUAUGCUGACCAUAACUGCAUAGUUUUCACUAUUUCUCAUAUCAUUAUCAAUUAGGAGGAAGAGCAGGCUGCUCUCGAUGAUAGUAAGGAAGAAGUAGAUCCGUCACUCGCAGAUAUGCCCCCGCUAGAAGAUGCAACUAAUGAGGAGAUUGUGAUCGAGAUGCCUCAACCAUAUGAGUAUGUCAACAAUAAGGCAGUGCCUUGGUCCUAUGAUUUAGAUGUUGACCUCGUUACAAGGUCUGGUUGAACUUAUACUCAAGUUAGUGCUCAACCUGCAAAGCCUAUCACUGACGAAGAGGCUAAGGAAUUUCUGACUGUGAUUAAAGCAAGUGAGUAUAAUAUCGUCGAUCAGUGACGAAAUAUGCCUGCUCAGAUCUCUUUGCUCGAGCUCUUCCAAACCUCCUCUGUGCAUCAAAAGUCAUUGAUGAAAGGUGCUAAGUGAAAUUCGUGUACCCGAAAACAGUUGAGGCAGAUAAGCUGGAGGAUNNNNNNNNNNNNNNNNNNNNNNNNNNNNNNNNNNNNNNNNNNNNNNNNNNNNNNNNNNNNNNNNNNNNNNNNNNNNNNNNNNNNNNNNNNNNNNNNNNNNNNNNNNNNNNNNNNNNNNNNNNNNNNNNNNNNNNNNNNNNNNNNNNNNNNNNNNNNNNNNNNNNNNNNNNNNNNNNNNNNNNNNNNNNNNNNNNNNNNNNNNNNNNNNNNNNNNNNNNNNNNNNNNNNNNNNNNNNNNNNNNNNNNNNNNNNNNNNNNNNNNNNNNNNNNNNNNNNNNNNNNNNNNNNNNNNNNNNNNNNNNNNNNNNNNNNNNNNNNNNNNNNNNNNNNNNNNNNNNNNNNNNNNNNNNNNNNNNNNNNNNNNNNNNNNNNNNNNNNNNNNNNNNNNNNNNNNNNNNNNNNNNNNNNNNNNNNNNNNNNNNNNNNNNNNNNNNNNNNNNNNNNNNNNNNNNNNNNNNNNNNNNNNNNNNNNNNNNNNNNNNNNNNNNNNNNNNNNNNNNNNNNNNNNNNNNNNNNNNNNNNNNNNNNNNNNNNNNNNNNNNNNNNNNNNNNNNNNNNNNNNNNNNNNNNNNNNNNNNNNNNNNNNNNNNNNNNNNNNNNNNNNNNNNNNNNNNNNNNNNNNNNNNNNNNNNNNNNNNNNNNNNNNNNNNNNNNNNNNNNNNNNNNNNNNNNNNNNNNNAAAGCCCUAUUAAAGCCCUAUGAAGCCUAGAGUCUCGAUUGCUGGGUUAGGGUACGAGGUGGAGGAAGUUCCGGAAGACAAAGACAGGGAAGGCGUAACCCGCCACCUGAGCAAGGGCGAGAGAGGCAAAAUUUACCACCUCCAAACAUUCAUGAGACGUUCCCUGGUCCUCCAAUUAUGAUGCAAGAUGAAGCUGAAGUCAUGGAUACUCUAGGACAACCAAGUGGGAAAUUCGACUAUAUGGUGAAGUAUUCGGCUCCUGCCAGCUUUUACUUUGACGCCCGCAAUAUAGUUCCAAGUGGAUGGGAUGGCAUGGAUGAUCCGACGCCUUCAAAGAUAGAAAACUCUGAUGACACCUUGGAAGGAAUUUCAAGUUUGUUCGAUGACCUCUCCAUUGGAGCCAUUGAUGGAGAACCUCUGGAAGAAACAGACCCUCGCCCACAAGAGUAACCCAUUUAUCACUUUUGCACAUUCCCAUGCGUGGGAAUUUUUAUUGCUUUCUAGGAAUUGUUUUUGAUUUCUUCUUUUUCACUUUCUUCUUAGGACUUGAAUUGCAUUUUCCAUUCAAUAAAUUGUAAUUUAUUGAUGAAUUUCAAUGAAAUUACAAGUUUUAUUUGAGGGCAUGAUGAGGUACACCAAACCAGCCUAGUGAUGAUAUCCAACCGAUAGAACAAAAUCAAAAUCCAAGGAGAACUCUGAGGCCUGGGCUUCAUCAUGUUUCUUCAUGUCAAAAACAUGAUUUUGCAAAAGAAUGUCAAAAAAAAUUCACAAAAAAAUAAAAUAUGAUUAACCCUGUCUGUCUUUUUUAUCCUUCUAUUUCCUGUUUCAGGGACGAUCAUAUAACAUGCAAAGGUGUGGAAAUGGUCCAAUCCAAUGCAACAAGUGAUGAUAAUGAUGAUCCUGAAGAUUCAAUCGAAGAUUCCAUUGAGGUGCAGCAAAGCUGGGAACAACAUGAAAAAGCCAAGACUCUCACAUCCGAGCAUACCGUCACUAUUAAUUUAAGUGACAUUGAAGAAGCCAAUGAGGUGAAAAUAGAGGCGAAUCUCCCCAAAGACGAGGCUAAGCGCCUAAUUCAGUUACUGAAGGAAUAUAAGGACAUCUUCGCAUGGACCUACGCCGACAUGCCUGGGUUAGACCCAUCAAUCGUGGAGCAUUAUUUGCCUACUAACUCGGACGUGCCUCCUAAGAAGCAAAGGCUGCGAAUAACUAAGCCUGAGCUCUCGAAGAAGAUAAAAGAAGAAGUGAUGAAGCUUUUAAAAGUCGGAUUUAUUGAAGUCUCGCAAUACCCUGAAUGGGUAGCAAACAUCAUGCCGGUGAUGGAGAACGAUGGUCGAGUUUGAGUUUGUGUCGAUUAUCGGGAUUUGAACAAGGCUAGCCCAAAAGAUGACUUCCCGCUACCUCACAUAGAUGUCCUUGUUAAUAGUAUUGCCAGAUUUGAACUAUUCUCAUUUAUGGAUGGUUUUUCUAGGUACAAUCAGAUAAUGAUGAAGGAGGAAGACACGGAGAAAACUGCAUUUAUCACCCCGUGGGGGACCUUUCAUUACAAGGUUAUGCCAUUCGGGCUCAAGAACGCAGGGGCAACUUACCAACGAGCCAUGGUAUCAUUAUUCCAUGAUAUGAUGCAUCAGGAGAUCGAGGUCUAUGUUGAUGAUAUGAUCGCAAAGACUCGACCUAGGAAAAGCCACAUCGAAACCUUGAAAAAGUUGUUCGAUCGACUCCGUGAGUUCAAGCUUCGUCUAAACCCCACUAAGUGCGUGUUUGGAGCAACAUCUGGUAAAUUACUUGGAUUCAUUGUAAACAGUAAAGGGAUUAAGAUCGACCCAGCUAAAGCUAAAGCCAUAUGUGAGUUGCAACCUCCAUCAACGGUGAAAGAAGUCCGAAGUCUUUUGGGCAGAUUGAAUUACAUUGCUCGAUUCAUUUCCCAACUUUCUGAAAUCGGCAAGCCAUUCUUCAAGCUCUUAAAGAAGAAUGCACGAGUCAACUGGGAUGAUGAGUGCCGAGAAGCAUUCGACAAGUUGAAACAGUAUUUGAUGAAUCCACCAGUUCUUGUCCCGCCAUCGCCAGGGCAUCCUUUGAUUCUCUACCUCACCAUUCAUAGUGAGUCAUUGGGUGCGAUGUUGGCACAGGGAAGUCCCGUCGACAAAAAAGAACGAGCCAUUUAUUACCUAAGUAAAAAAUUCACCAUGUCAGAGCUGAAAUUUUCUGAUGUGGAAAAGACUUGUGCUGCACUAGUGUGGGCGUUGCAUAGAUUGAGAUAGUACACACUGCAUUACCAGACAUUCCUUGUAACUGAGAACGAUCCUAUCAAGUACCUACUUGAUCGGCCAGCUUUGGUGGGUAGGUUGGUUAAAUGGCAAAUUUUGAUAUCAGAAUUUGAUGUGCAAUAUAUGCCACAGAAGUCGGUUAAGGGUCGAGUGAUCGCCGAUUUAUUGGCUGAGAAUCCGGAAGCCUCAAAUAGUGAUGAUCAUUCCCUAGAUGACCGUAUCUUGACUGUAAAUGAAGACUCAUGGACAAUGUUCUUUGAUGGAGCUGUGAACUUGUCUGAUUCUAGCAUUGGGGCAGUUUUGAUAUCCCCAGACAGACAUCAUCACCCAGUAGCUACGAAAUUGAUAUUCCCAUGCACUAACAAUACAGCCGAGUAUGAAUCUUGCAUCCUCGGGCUUCAAGCUGCAAUCGAGAUGGGUAUAGCCAAAUUAAAAGUGUUCGGGGAUUCCGCGUUAAUCAUACUGCAGACCGUAGGUGAAUAGAAGACUAAGGAUGCUAAAUUGCUCCCAUAUCACAAGUACCUAGAAGAUUUGAUCAAGGAAUUCGAUGAAGUUUCAUUUGAAUACUUACCGAGGUCUCACAAUCAAUUUGCAGAUGCACUCGCAACUUUAUCAUCCAUGUUGCAAGUCACUGACUGAUUAGAAGUCGAGCCAUUGAAGAUAGAGGUUUUGCCAAGGCCGUCUUAUUAUAUGGUAGUGACUGAAGAAUCUAACAAAAAACCAUGGUAUUACGAUAUCAUGAACUACAUCCAAAAAUAAGGAUUCCCCGAGGAAAGUACUCCAGUUGAUAGGAAGUACAUUAUGAAGAUGGCCUCAAAGUUCUUUGUCAGUGGUGAAAAUUUGUACAAGAGAACUUAUGAUUCAGUUUUGUUGCGGUGUGUGGGUGAAGCUGAAGCCACUCAAAUUAUGCAGGAGGUUCACGAAGGAGUGUGUGGCCCCUAUAUGAAUGGACACAUGAUGGCUAAGAAGAUCAUGAGAUUAGGCUAUUAUUGGCUCAUGCUAGAAGGUGACUAUAUUCAGCAUGUCUGGAGUUGCCAUCGUUGCCAAAUUCAUGGUGACAUGAUAAAUGUUCCUCCAACAGAGCUACACCAGUUUUCUGAGCCAUGGCCCUUCUUAAUGUGGGAGAUUGAUCUGAUCGGCCUGAUAAAUCCUAAGGCUUCAAAUGGAUAUCGUUUCAUUUUGGUGGCGAUAGAUUAUUUUUCCAAAUGGAUAGAAGCUAUGUCAUUUGCAAGUGUCACUGCUUGCAAUGUUGCGAAAUUCAUCAAACGUGACAUAAUUGCUCGUUGUGGUGUCCCUGAAACGAUUAUCACUGGCAAUGGAACAAAUUUGAACAACAAGCUUGUUGAUGAGUUGUUCAGCGAGUUCAAGAUCAAGCAUUUGAAUUCAUCCCCUUAUCGCCCUCAAAUGAAUGGGGCUGUUGAAGCGGCCAAUAAGAAUAUUAAGAAGAUCUUGGCUAAGACAACCGAGAAUUAUCGAGACUGGCAUGACAGAUUACCCUUCGCACUGAUAGCGUAUCGGACAUCGAUUCGUACUUCUACCAGGGCAACUCCUUUUGCUCUGGUAUACGGCAUGGAGGCAGUUUUGCCUGUGGAAGUGGAGAUUCCUUCCCUGAGAGUAUUAUCCCAAGUAGAAUUAUCUGAGGCAGAAUGGUCGCAACAAAGACUUGAACAGUUAAACUUGAUCGAUGAGAAAAGACUGAAGGCUCUCUGCCAUGGCCAAACAUAUCAACAGAGAGUAGCCAAAUCUUUCAAUCGAAAAGUGCGGCCGAGACAUUUCAAGGUAAAUGAUCUUGUUCUAAGGAAACUGUUGCCAAUUUUUCCAGAUCCUGGGGGGAAGUUUGCUCCAAACUACAGUGGCCCAUAUGUGGUAAAUAAGGUACUUCAUGGCGGUGCUUUAAUCUUGGCAUAAAUGGAUGGUCUGUGUUUUUCACUCCAGUUAAUUCAGAUGCUGUCAAGAAGUAUUACCCAUGAUAGAAUUUGCCAUGUUAGGUUUUGAAUUACAAACAUUUUAUGAUGAAUAAAUUGCCUCCUUGAAUUGCAAAUUCAAACUUGUUGCAAAUAUUGCAUGUUUUCCUUGAUGAAUAAUGUGAGAUAAAUUGAAUGUGUCAAAUGGGAUACUUUGGAAUGACGAAAGGCAAACCCUAUUCCAUACACUGACCCCUAGUGAGUUGUGUGAAAAAUUCCAUGCCUACGAGAAAAAGGAUGAUCUCGCAAAGGGUACGUCAACCAAGGUGAUGAGAGGCAGUUUUUUCUACUACCCGAAACACUACAGGUAAAUCCAUUGUUCAGCCCUUUGAGCCCACACACAUAAAGAGCUUUUUAAAUUAUUCCUGUCAAGAAUCGUCCCAUAUUGGGACAAGAUUUGAAAUAAAUGAUAGGAAUUUUCUUACUCACACUUGCAUCAAUAUUCGAGUAUUGCUUUUACAGUGUGACUUGUACGAUAAUUUAAAGUGCCUUAGGACGACGAAGAACAGUUCUUUCUCUAUCCUAUACACUUUAUCCAUUGCAUAGCCCCCUUGAGCCUAUGAAUUAAUUUCACAUUAAACCCAGUUGGUGAUCAUCCCCCACACUGGGGCAAGGCAAGAAAAAUUAAACCACUCAAGUAGCAUGAUUUACAAUGCUAAUAAAAAUGGAGACUUUGUCCAAAAAAAAAAAGAGUGCAAAAGUGGGGCAUGAAAAAGCAGUGUGCCUGGUAAAAGCAAUGACAAUGCCCAAAGAAAAAUCAAACACUUGAUGAAUGAGUCGUAAAAAAAAAGAAAAAACUCAAAUGUUGAGAUGUUGCAAUUAGUGGAGUUGUGAAGUGAAGAAAAUCUUCGACGAUGGAGAGGAAAAUUGCUGGAAAUGUCAAGAUGAUCACCAACUUUGACCCCAUAAACACUUUUUGAGCCAAAUGAUCCUUUCAUUUCCCAACCCAUGAACCCAACCUACGUUACGUCCCUUACAAAGUCUCUUCAGAUUAUAGCACUUGAAUUAACGUAAAAGUUCAUAUGUUUGGAAGCAUCACUUGAAGAAGUGUGAGUAAGAUAAUUUCUUCUUCAUUUCUCAUGUUUCUUGGCUUGUAAACCCCAAGAUGAUUGUGAAAUAUCAUUCAUUUUUUAAUAGCCUUGGCUCAAAGAGUCUCAUUUGCUAAGCCGUUGACCAAGCCAGCGUUGCAGUCCCUGUUAAAGACCUCUUAGAUUGGUAAAUUUCGUACCACUUGCGAGAUUGCUCAAACCCUUGUUUGGCAUGAUAACGGAAAGAUAGAGUGAUUGACAAAAAUCAUGUAUCAAAAGUCAGGAUAAAAUAGCUCAUUUUAAUGAGGAUGAGUGAAAAGUCCUUUCAGAUCGAGAGAUCCCCCAUUUGACACAUCCAUGACACUCAUGUGUUCAGAUUGGAACAUUUUUUUGAAAUAUUUCCCAAUGGAAAUUAGGUGAUGCAGGCUUGAUAUAAAUCAUAGUGCAUGAACCUCCCUUAAAUUAAUGCAUGUUUGUCAUCACAAAUGUAUAUUGCUUUUCCUAUGACCAUGUUUUGCAGAAAACAUUUCCCCUAGGAACAGAGAUGUUACCAGGUAAGUAUAUCUCUAUCUAUACCUUAAAUACUUGUUGUUGUACAGGUAUUUUCCCUUUUGAGUACACUGACACUCGAUGGAGUUGUCCCCAAAGAUUUUUCCCUAGAUUGCAAUGUUAGGCGACCGUAGAAUGGUACGAGUCCUCGACAACACCUAUUCCCUAUUUAGGCGACCGUAGAAUGGUACGGGUCCUAGAAAGUGAAUCCCCGUUUAGGCGACCGUAGAAUGAUACGGGUCCUAAAUAAAACCUAUUUCCCUAUUCAGGCGACCGUAGAAUGGUACGGGUCCUGGAAUGUAAAUCCCCGUUUAGGCGACCGUAGAAUGGUACGGGUCCUAGAAGGUAAAUCCCCGUUUAGGCGACCGUAGAAUGGUAUGGGUCCUAGACACAAUCAAACACUGUCAUACUGGGUGACCGUAGAAUGGUACGGGUCCUAGGAAAGCAGUCUCUUUGCAAAGUCAUGUUACUAUUCUAGGCGACCGUAGAAUGGUACGGGUCUUGGACAUGUAACACAAACUAUCUUGAAUCACUCUACCCUCCUUGAAGGUAAGAUAUUCUAGAUAAGUCUUUUUUUUACCAUUUUAUACUCUUUAAGGAACCCGAGUGAGAGUUAGGUACUUACAGAGUAAAUGGGGAUUUAUCAUGUACCUCAAGAUGCUUUACCACACUGACCGGUAACUAAUUACAGGUACGUCUUUUCCUUUCAGAUCAUGCAUUUGCAUUAACAUUUCCAUGAAUCAUUACAUUACAUGGGGUUCAUUUUCCGAAAAAAAAAAAUCAUUUAGUGCAUGUGCAUAGUCAAAAUUUAUGUCUCAAUUUGUCUUUGAAGGCAACCUCUUCGAGCUCACCUUCAAAGAUGGGCAGCUGUUGAUACCUAAAUUUUAACUUUUUUUUAUUUUUUUAUUAGGGUAACAAAGAUAUUUAACUUAUCUCUUAAAAAAGGUUGUUAAAAAAAUAUUUUGUGGAGGAAUGAGAUUUUGAAGGAUUUUCGGAUAACGAAGUCAUAUCAAAAGUUGAGUAAAUUGUCUUUAAAAAAUCUUCAUAAAGAAUUUGGGAUUAUUUUCUUGUUGAGCACAUCUCUCCGUUUCUUCGAAUGAUCCUUAGCGAUUAGGUCAAUAUAUGCAAAUCUUCGUAGGUUGAACAAACCGAGGUUUUCCUCUAUAUAAAUAGGGGGGCUUUUUCGUUUUCUCUUGGUCAAAAAAAGAAGAAAAGUCAAAGGAAAAGAGAAAUUUUUUGAGGCUUUCUUCUGCUGGCUUCAAAAGUGAAAAGGAGGGUGCAGAAAGUACAGAGAGAAGAGACAGGUGAGAGUGACGGAGAGGGAGAGCGACCCGGAAAAGAAAAAAAGAAAAACAAAAGGAAAGGGAAAAGCGGAGCAGAAAACGGGGGACUGUUAAUUGUCUUCUUCGUGCAGCCACUUCCCCCCCCCCCCGCCUUCCGCCUGCAACCCUUGCGCCGUCGCCGCAGCUCCACACCCUUGUGAUGUCAUCGCUGCGCCGCCUGCGUCCGGUAGCCAGCCUCGAAUGCUCCGCCACCGCUCCUCGCCCCGGAAGACGCCGCGCCCGUAACGCCGCCUCUGCUCUGGUUCUGCCCGCAAAGCCGCUGACCACCGCCUCGCUUGCAGCCCGUCACUGACGCCAGCAGCUCCUGCGACCUGCCCCGAUUGUGACUCAAGACGCCGCGUCCCGCCGACGUUUCCUCCUGCUCGCUCGUUGUUGCUCGGGUUGCCAGCAGUCGAAGCUCGCGCCGUCUCCCUCGCCCACGAGCUCAUGUCACUGGUCUGCCCAGGAGCCGUGAAGCCGCUGACCCCUGCUGCGCUCGCACCGCCAAGCACCACCGUCGCUACCCCUGAUCCGAGUCUACUGUUGUCCUCAGUGCGCCAUCAGCUACUGCCCGAGCGAUCUCCUGUUUUGUUGCAGGUUUACCUUCGCCGGACCUCGUCGAAGCUCCGACGACCGUGCCCAUCACUCUCACCGGAGCCCCAAAUUAGCCGUACCGUGGAGCCGAUCUACUUUUUGUUGCAGCCCAUUGCGACCCGCGACGCCUAAGCCUGCCGCGCCCACACCGCCGAGCACCGACGCCGAUCCACCCAACGCCGGCCCUGCCCGUCCUGACCCGAGCUUCCCUAGCUCCACUCCUGUGUUGCUGCCGUCGCCGGUUCACCUUGGCCGGAGCCUCCUUUGCGGAGCCGAUUCGUCGAUUCCCCUUGGAGAUACAUGAGCGGUGCCGGGACAAGAAAAACAAAAAAAAAAAAGAAAAAAGAAAGAAAAGGAAAUUAGGUAGUUUUAUUUUCUUUUUCUAUUUACUUUAUUUCAUUUAUUUCUUUUAAGUUUAGUUGUUAUUGUGAAAAUUUGAAGUGAUCUUCAUUUCAUGAAUUAUGUAGGCAUUAUCUGUAGAGUCUUCCCCAUAAUUAUUGUAAUUAUUAAUUUGAUCCAUAAGAUAUCGGAUCAUUUUUUUUAAUUAUAUUAAUUUUUGGGGUUUGUCGAUAGUAUUUUAAGUGUUGAAUCAAUAUAAUUAUUAAUUUGAUCCGUAAGAAUUCGGAUCAGAUUUUUAAUUAUUUUGAACUCUUUGUCGUGAUAAUUAGGGUUAUGAUAAUCGUUAAUUUGACCUGUGAGACAACAGGUUAUUUUUUCGAUUAUUUUAAUCCUUUAUUUGAUUGAAUAUCUUGAUUGUUUAGAUUUAGUUGAUAAUUGUUUGUUUUUUUUUAAACCACUAAAAAAUCUAAAAAAUAUUUGAAUUAAGAUUCAGUUUGUUUUAGAAUAUUUCUCGUUAUCUUGCAUAUCUAGAAUAUGGAUUUUAUUCCGAAUUUAGAAAAACUAUAAAAACAAAAAACAAAAAACAAAAAAAAAGUGCAUCCAUUUAGGUUGUUAGUUUUAUCAUUAUUUGAAUUGCAUGUGAAAUUUUAAUUUCGAAAUUAAUAUAAAAACACAAAAAAAUCAUCAUGCAUAUAUCAUGUUGAAUUAGGGCAUUAUUUGCACGUCAUUGCAUAUUAGAUAAAUUGCAUGUUAGAUUAAGAUAAUAUCUUAGUUUAAAUAGGAUUAAUGUGACUUGAUCCUUAGUUUAAAUUAGAAUUUUAAUCUAGCUAGAUGAUUUUUGCAUUUUUAAAUAGAAAUAUCAAAUGCACGUCAUUUAGUUUUUAUUAGGUUAAUUUAAUUAGAACUUCAUCGUCAUUAGACUAAGUCAUUUAAUAAAUGUCGCAUGACAUAUAACUUGCAUACUAAAUUGUAUGUUGCGUGUCAUUUUAGUUAAAAUAAUUUUGUAUGUCAUUGCAUUGCAUUACCUGUCAUUAAAAUUAGGUCAUUUGAUUAUUUUACAUUGCAUAUUUAAUUGUUGCAUUUCUUUAAUUUCAAAUUUCAUGAAAAAUAUAAAAGAAUUAGAAUGAAUUCAUUUCAUGCUUUAGGAUAGAUUGCAUGCUUAUUUAGGACAUACAAUUUUGGUCAUGUUAUCAUAUUAUUUCAUGUUAGAAUAGUGAUAUGCAUUGCAUAAGUCAUGAUUUUCAUUGAAAUUACGUGUUAAUUAGAAAUCAUAUCUAGAGUUGCUGAUGUGAAUUCUGAUUUAACAAUGCAGAUGCUUUCGUUGCUUCUAAGUAUGUUUUGCAAUAUUUAAUUGCUUUCUUGAGUGUUAAAUUGGUGGUAUGCGCACAUGUAUGAUCACCUCACAUGUUAGGAAGUUAAAUUAAAAUCAAUUCAAUUGCCAAACAUUUUUGAAAAAUGAAAUAAAAAGGUACCGAAAGGGCACUAGGAUAGUCUGGUGUAACCAAGUCUUCGAACUCAUAAAUCUCUGGUUCAUAGGAGUAAAGUAAAUCUCUUGUUACUUUACUUGGGUUUCUAAUCGACCCACCAAAAAUAGAUUAGUGGCAACUCCUGAUUGAAAAUCAUUUGCAUGUUAAGAAUUCAAACCUAAGUUGCGAAUUGGUAUGGGCUUGGGAGAGCCUGAGCUAAGUUUAAAGACUUAGUAAUCCAUUAACUUAGUUUUAGGUGGUGAACCCGAAAAAAUUAGGUCGCAACAGAUGUCUUAAGGUUUUUGGUUUUAGGACAUAGUAUUUGAAAUUUCGAUGGAAAGUAACAAGAAAAAAUUAAAAGAAAAACACUUCUUUUUUUAAAAAAAAAAAUUCGGGCUGUGCCCAAUCCUAUUGGGUCUGGGCCAAAUGGGGUGACUUCGGUCCUAGCUAGGUCAAAUCCCAAGCCACAUUUUUGGACGGGCCAAAAAAGGGGCAAAAGUCUGCCCCACUCACAUAUUAACUCAUUCAUAAAAGGUAUGAUAACUGCAUAUGAAUUUGGAUACACUACACUUGCAAAUCUAAAUAAUCGAUACAUAGCUUGGAAAAGGAUCUAAUAUAGUUAGCCAUGUCGGCUACAUUAAAUGUUUUGUAAGCUCGUCCAAGGAGAAUUGACAUAGUAAUAUGGAUGGUAUAUCUUUUGAUCGUGUGAUAUCAAUCGUAUAUGUUUGGCAGAGCAAAUAUAUAUGCAAUUCUUGAGCCCACACGACUUUAUCUUCCAUAAAUGAAAAGACAGAAUUAAAAUAAUUUAGAUGGAAUGCUUUUAUUUGAAAUUAAAAUAAGUGCACUAGAAACUUUAAAAUUUUUUUAAUAAAAGUGUGACCAAAUUUUAAAAUUUAUUGAAUAAUUACAAUUGAGUAAUUUAGUUAGUUUCCCCUGUUAUGACUGACCGAACGACCAAACAAGUGCUCUUUUAAAUAUUCCCAGGAAAUGUUGUGUCAAUGUAACCCCUAGUGAAAAAAAAAUAAAUGUAACCCCUAGUGGGCCCCAUAUCAGCAAAAUAGCCCCAAUAAAAUUCCGCUUUUACCCAAGUGCCGCAUUGUUCGUCGUGCCUCUCUUCAACAGCCGAUUGAUGGUGCGCAUCACACCGUUGGCACUUAUCGAAUUCUUCCAAUCUACCUGUUGGACAGAAUCAAUUAUGAAGAUUUCGAGCUAUUUAAAGAACAUGACGAUAGCCCACCAAUCCUGCUCGCUCAUACAAUCAGGAUCUAGGUUUCCAUAAGUAGAACCUUCCAAGUAUACUUCGCUAAUCAACGGAUCCAAGAUCCCUAAAUCAAUCUUGAUCUGAAUAAUGGAUUCCGACAUGUUGUAUCCAGAUAAGAGAUCUUCUUUAGUCGACAUAAUCAAAUCUUUAACGAAAUACUCUGUUUCAGAUAAGCCUUCUUCGACGGUCUAGAAACUGUCAAUGAGGAUAGACUUUGAGUCUUGAGUCUGGCAGUCCGAAGGUCUUCAGACUUUGAUGGAAGAGUCUAUAAGUUUUCAGGCUAGAUUGAUGGAAACAUUUUGUCAACUUCAAAACACUCAAGGAAGUUUUCUCUAACAAUCUCCCCAUUUUUGAUGGUGACAAAACUUUCCUGCAGAUUUGGAUAACUUUGACCUGCAAAACAUUACUCAAGCAAACAUGGAUAUCUCGCAAAAGAUAAAUGGCUUAGUAAAGAUAACAUUAAAAUCUGCAUCCACAAAAAGUAGGUUAGUUCUAUAAAUGAGCAAAGCCAUAAGAUAUCAAUGGUGCUUAAGACAAACAUUUAAACAAUCAAAUCCAAACCCAGUCCAAAUCAAAACAGCCAAACACAAAAGUCAAGUCAAUCAAACAUAAUCGUCACAAAAGUCAAGAGUUCAGAGCUCAGAGUUCAAAGUCAAAUAUGCACCACAUCUCUCCCCCUUUUUGUCAUCAUUAAAAAAGUAGAGAUGAAAAGAGAAUGGAAUUAAGAUUGCUUGGGAACACGAACAAGUUGGAAAUCUCCCAUUGACUGGACAAUCCCUUCCAUCUUUUUCAAAUCCUCCUUCAAUUGCGCCACAUCUUCACCCUUAGCAUUUGCUUGAACUUGAAGAGCAAGGGCAUUGAUUUGAUCAUACAAAGAAACUGAAGAGGCUUGUCCUGCAUUCUGCAAUUUCUAAAUUUCGUAUCCUAGAGUAUAAAUUUGGUCGCGCAUCUCCAAGAGAACAUCAAGCACUCUACGAAAGUCCGCUGAAUUAUCAGUCUGAAUACUGGCUUUUGCACGAUCAGACGGUGUAUUGGCAGAUGAUGGCAAAUCAGCAUGGUCACGCAGAUUGGGCGAUGAAAUAUCAUGUCCCUCCUCAGGAAAUUGAGAGGCAUAGAUGUCCUAUGGAUCUGCUGGAGAACGAUUUACUCAUUCACUGGUGGUAGGAAAUGAGGACGUACCCCUUUUCUCAAGAUCUCCCCCUAUUUCAAUGCCUUCAGGUGGAGAAAAAUGUUCCUCAUGCUCUGCUUCUGCUUGUUCUCCUCUGCCCUCUUCUUCUUCUUCCUCAAUUCUUUCCUCCUCUGAUUCUUUCUCCAAUUCUUCUCUCUCUCUCUAGUCCUCUGUUCUGUCUCAUCCUUGUCUUGUUCCUAUCUCUCCGUUAUCUCUAGAACAGAACGACUCAAGUUCUUCAAUGCCAUCGCAAAAAUGGUGAUAUCAUCCUCAUCCUCUUCAUCCUCAAUGAUGAGUGCUUUUCUUUUCUUGGAUGGAGCAAUCGUGGGCUCAUUACCUUUUCGCUUUGCAGCCAAAGAGACUGGAUGAGUCUUGACAGGGGUUUUCACCUUGAAUUGCUCCAAAGCCUUGUUGAGUUCCUUCAGACGCAUUUUAGAGACCAUUCUCAGUCCCACCACCAUUUGAUCGCAUGUUCGAACACAAAGAAUUCGGGAAGGCUGAAUGUUCAAAUGUCUGAAUAACUUGGUCACAAGUGCUGAGUAUGGAAGUUGACCCUUAUCCUUCAUCAUUAUUCUGUACAUGUGAGACAUAAUAGUGUGUGGAAGAGAGAACUUUUUGCCAGCAUUGAUGGCAUACAUCAACUUUGCCUCCGAGUUUGAAACGUCGGUUUUUGAAGUUGAUUUUGGUCUGAGGUAGUUAAUCACUAUCUUGUGAAGCAAAAUGUUGGACUCAUUCAUUUGAAUAAGAAAUCUUUCCUUCCGUUGUUCUAUCCUGAACAAGCUCUAUCGUUGCACGAGCAAUAGACACACUAAUAGGUUGAUAUCUCCCUCUUUCAACCCCAAUCAUAUCAGCCAAUGUAUUCAUGUCAACCACAUAGUCCUGAUCUCAAACACUGAAAGAGAAUUUAUUCGCAUCCAAGAAAUUGAGAUUCGAAUAGAAGUAAGUAGCAAGUUCAGCAUGAGCCUCUGUCGUUUCAGAACAAAACUGUUCGAGUUGAAAAAAAUUGAAUUUUUCUCGUAGAUUGACAUUCAGAGAGUCGAGAAAAUCAAAGUCCACAAUUCUAGGGUUUAUCACACCACGCUUUAGCAACUUAGAGUACAGUUGCUUGUGUUCCUCCCAUCGAAAUAAGUCUAUCUUUUUGCUUUAGAUUUUUGCCGCAACACUCAUUCUAGGUUUAAACUGACUGUACAUCCUAUUAUCAUCAUUCUCAUAAGGUUGACUCAGCCCUCCAACACGUGGAUCGCUUGGGAUAUUUGCCAAUGCUUCUUCCGCCAACCCCGCAGGGGCAAUUCCCAAUCGUUUCAUUGUGCGUAAAAAGAAAGUUUCAUUUCUAUACCCUUUGUCUUUCAGAAAUUCAUCAAUAUAGUUCAACGGAGUACCACUCCUCUUCAAAGCACAGUAAAGCUUGUAAGUAAAAGCGGGCUUAUGAGUUCUUAUAGGUUAUGCAUCUUCGAUGAUUUCUUUCUCUUCUCGAUGUGCAACAUCCUGAGGUCUAGAUGGAGGAGAUGGACUUUGCUGAGAAUGUUGUGGGCUUUGUUGUUGUCUAGGAGAUUCUUCUUCCUCGGUGAGAUCAAAGUGCGUAAGCCCCUCACGCAUUUGCUGUGGUCCCCUAUUCGCAAUCCUCAAAGACUUUCUUUGAGACGACAUCUUUCACAGUCUUUGAGAGAUUCCAAGCUUGUUUCUCAAGAAAGAUGAAAACUUUUCAAGGAUUAAACAAGAGAAGAAGACAGAAAUGGAAGAUCUAUGCUCUCUUAGGGUUUUUGGGUUUUUGUGUGUAAAACGAAGAAGAACCGACAGUAUAUAAGGCAGUUGAAGCGAAGCAUACGGAACGUCGUAAAAAGGAAAUAUAAAAAAUGCCUUUUAAAAAUAACUGCAUUUUCAAAAAUUAGAUAACUAUCGUUUAAAAAUAACUUCUUUUUCGAAAAGGAAGGAUUGCAAUAAUCACGAAAAUUGGGAAAUAACAUCAAUCAAUUUCGGAUAGAAGAUCAUACCUUUUCAAGAUUUGAUCCGAGAGAUAAAGUUUCUAAAAUAGAAGAACUAACAGUCGUAAAUCUUGAUUGUCUGAGUCUGAGUGUCUUUAGACUUUCAGUCCUGAGUCUGAACUUUCUCAGACUUUAAGAUAUUGAGUUUGGAACGAAUAACUUCAAAUUGAUUUUUCUCCAAAGGCUUUGUAAAUAUAUCCGCCAAUUGAUUCUUUGAAUCAAUAAACUGAAUUGAAACUUCUCUAUUUUGAACAUGAUCUCUAAUGAAAUGAUGUCGAAUCUCUAUAUGUUUUGCUCUUGAGUGAAGAAUCGGAUUCUUGGUGAGAUCGAUUGCACUGGUGUUGUCACAUUUAAUCUCAGUGUAUGAAUCUUCAAUUCCAAAGUCUCUUAGUUGUUGUUUUAUCCACAGAAUUUGUGAACAACAACUUCCAAGAGCUACAUACUCUGCUUCUGCCGUAGAAAGAGCUACUGUACUUUGCUUCCUUGAAAACCAAGAUAUUGUCCUGCUUCCAAGUAGUUGACAGGUGCUCAAGGUGCUCUUUCUAUCAACUUUGCAUCCGGCUAGGUCUACGUCUAAGCAUCCAAGAAGAGUGAAGUCUCCUUCUUUCGGUACUAGAGACCCAAAUUUGAAGUUGAGGCAAUGUAUUUGAUAACACGCUUUGCAGCACUUAAAUGAGACUCUUUAGGUUCUAAUUGAAAUUUGGCACAAAUACAAACACUAAACAAAAUGUUAGGUCUAGAAGUAGUUAGAUAAAGAAGUGAACCAAUGAUACUCCUGUAUAGCUUCUGGUCAACUUUCUUUCCUUUUUCAUCUUUGUCCAGUUUCAAAGAACUUGACAUUAGUAUAUUAGUCUUUUUGCAAUUUUCUAGUCCAAACUUUUUGACAAGUUCUUUAACAUAUUUUUCUUGAUGAAUAAAGAUUCCCUCCUUCAGUUGUUUCACUUGAAGCCCGAGAAAGAAGGUUAGUUCACCCAUCAUGCUCAUUUCAAACUCAUCCUACAUAGAUUUAGAGAAUUUUUUACACAGAUUUUCAUUAGAAGAUUCAAAAAUAAUAUCAUCAACAUAAAUUUGAACAAGUAAAAAGCUUUUGCUUUCUCUUUUAAUAAACAAUGUAGUAUCUACUUUACCUUUGACAAAGCCAUUUUGAAUUAAAAACUUACUUAGUCUGUCGUACCAAGCUCAAUGUGCUUGCUUUAAACCAUAUAGAGCUUUUUUCAGUCUGAAUACAGAGUCUGGUUUCCUUGGGUCUUCAAAACUGGGUGGUUGUUCCACAUAGACUUCCUCUUGGAUAAAUCCAUUUAGGAAAGUACUUUUGAUGUCCAUUUGGAAUAACCUGAAAUUCUUAUGACAAGCAAACAUAAGUAAUAAUCUAAUUGCUUCUAACCUUGCUACUGGUGCGUAAGUCUCAUCAUAGUCUAUCCCUUCUUCUUGCGUAUAUCCCUUGGCCACGAGUCUUGCUUUGUUUCUUACGACUUUUCCUUUCUCAUUCAUCUUGUUCAUGAAAACCCAUUUAACUCAAAUGAUGGAUUUACCUUUCGGUUUAGGAGUCAAUUCCCAGACAUCAUUGAUGCUGAAUUGCCUGAGUUCUUCUUGCAUAGCUUCAGUCCAUCUUUCAUCAGUUAAAACUUCUUCUAUGCUUUUGGGUUUUAUUUCAGAAAUAAGAGCCACAGCACUAGACUCUUCACGCCUUUUGGAUCUUGUGCGAAUUCCUUCAUUAAUAUCACCAAAAAUAAGAUAUUUGGGAUGACUAGACUUAUGCUUCUAAUUGCUGGUUGAUUUGUCAGAUUGUUGAUCUUUUUCCUCAUUUGAAUCUUCAUUGAUCAUUUGUUGCUUGUCUUCUGAAGUUUGAGCUACUUCUGGAGAUUUAGACUUUGUAGAGUCUGGAGCAAGUUUAGAUUCUUCAAGAUUAGUGUGAAUCGAUUGAUUUUGCAUAAAGUCUUGAAAUUUGACAUUCAUUGAUUCCUCCACAGAUUGAGUCUUUUUGUUGUAAACUCUGUAAGCUUUGCUUGUGAUAGAAUAUCCAAGGAAAAUACUUUCAUCUGAUUUUUCUUUAAACUUACUAACUCGAUCAUUUGCAUUUUUCAAUAUAAAACAUUUACAUCCAAAUACAUGAAAAUAUGAAAUAUUGGACUUUUUUCCUUUGAAUAACUCAUAGGGAGUUUUCUUCAGAAUAGGCUUUAAAAAGACUCUAUUAAUAAUAUAACACGCUGUAAAAACUACUUCAGCCCAAAAACUAGAAGAGAUGUUACUUUCAAUUAAAAGAGUUCUAGCCAUUUCCUGAGUGACCUAUGCUUUCUUUUCACGACUCCAUUUUGCUUUGGAGUAUAUGGUGAAGAGAACACAUGCUGAAGACCAAAUUCAUCACAUAAUUUUGUAAAGUCUUGAUUUUCAAAUUCACCUUCAUGGUCUGUCCAUAUACUUGAAAUAACAUACCCUUUCUCAUUUUAGACCUUUUUAGCAAACUUUAUAAAAUAAGAGAAUGUUUCAGACUUACUUGCCAGGAAAUAUACCCAAGUGAAUCGUGAAAAAUCAUCCACAAUUACUAAACAGUAUUUCUUAUCUCCAAUGCUCUGAGUUCUGGUAGGUCUGAAGAGAUCCAUAAGCAAGAGCUGUAGUACACGAUUAGUGGAUACUUGAUUUAUUGGUUUGAAUGAGUUUCUUACCUGUUUUCCCAACACGCAGGGUGUGCAUAGAUCAGACUUUUGAUAUGUCAGAUUGGGUAGUCCACGAACAAGCUUCUUUGCUGAGAUUUUGGCUAUUUACUUCAUGUUGAUGUGUCUAAGUUUUCUGUGCCAUAAGUUUGUUUUUUCUUGAAUUGAGAUUAGAUAUUGAGUUUCAUCUAGUUUGAUAUCCAAGAGGUAGAUAUUCACAUGUCUUCGACCUGUGAAAGACUGAGAGAAGUCUUUAUUGGUUCCUGAACAUAUUCCUUCUUGAAAGUUGAUUUUGAAAUCGGUGUCGCAUAGCUAACUGAUACUCAAUAAAUUGUAGUUGAGUCCUUCCACUAAGGAAACAUUACUGAUCGUGAGGCUUCCAAUCUUUACAGUUCCGUAUCCCACAAUUCUUCUUUUGCCGUUUCCUCCAAAAGAAACUUUUCCAUCAUUGACUUGUACAAGCUUUAUGAAGCAAUUUGAAUCUCCUGUCAUAUGUCUUGAGCAUCCACUAUCUAGGUACCAUUUAACAUUUUUCUUAAUAGUGACCUGCAUUUAGAAAGGAGACUUAAGCUUUCUUUGGUACCCAUAUUUUCUUGGGUCCAUUGGUGUUAGUGUAAUAUAUGGUCUUUGCCCAAACCUUCUUAAUAGGUUUCCAAACCAUAGGACAUUCUUUCUCAAAAUGAUCUGAGCUAUUACACUUAAAACAUUUAAGAGCACUGCGACCUACUAGUUUUACAAAAACUUUUUGGAAAUUAUUUUUGUAAGAAUCUCUUGUAGAUCUUUGCUUAAUUCUUUCCUUUACUUUAGGAAAAUCAAUUAGAAGAAUGGUUUCAACAAUCGUUCCUAAACCUGAUUUGUUGAAGUAAGGUCUUUGUGCUGAAAGAAUUUUUUAAAGUUUCUCUGAUCCUAUAGAAAAUCUUUUAGAAAUACUUGAGAUAUCAUUUUUCAAGAAUUCAUUUUCUUUUGAAAGAUUGUCUGCAUUUUCUUUCAAAGUAGUAACACUUUUAUCUAAACUUUUCACCUUUUCUUUACAAACAUUUUCCUAUUGUUUAAGUGCAUAAUUUUCUCUUUUAAGUUCGGAAAUCUUUUUGAGAGAAGUUUUGAGAUUAAGACACAAUUCAUCAAUGUAUCUAGAGACUUUAGUAGGGAUUUUCAAAUUACUUAUCUCGAUUUCACUAUCUGAAUCUAUGUCUGUCUCGGAGUCUAAAUCUGAGUCUGAUUGUGCCAUGAGAUAAAUAUUGGCAUAAUCAUCAUCACUUUCCUCACAUUUUGUAUUACUCCAAGUUUCUGCUUUAAGUGCCUUUCGAUAUUUCUCAGCUUUUCCUUUCUUUUUCCUCAGAAGAGGACAAUUGGGUCUAAUGUGUUCCUUUUUCUUACAUUCAAAGCAGACUACAUCUUUAUUGGAUUCAUCAUCCUCAACUGACUUAAUCUGUUGCUUUUGAAAACUUUGUUUCUUUGGAUUGAAUAUUUUCCCCUUUCUGUUUAGUUUUCCGAAUAUUCUUGUCAUGAAAGCAAGCUCUUCAUCAUCCAUAUCGUCUUCAGAACCCGUGACAUCAGAAUCAUCAUUAGAUUUUAAUGCAAUGGAUUUCUUACCUUUAGGAUUUUCAUCUUCGUUGAUUUGCUCCACUUCAUAAGAUUGAAGAGUCACAACCAAUUCGUCAAUAGAGAGUGACAUGAUUUUUUGUAUCUCUCUUAUUGCGGUCUUUAUGUGAUUCCAAUCCUUGGACAGUCCACGCAGUAGCUUAUUUACCUUUAUGGGUCCAGAAAUUGGUUGACCCUGAUAUUCAAGACCAUUCACAAUUUCUGUAAAAUGGCUAAACAUAUCGGUGAUAGAUUCUCCUGAUUUCAUUUUGAAUGCUUCAUAUUGAUCGAGUAGAAUGUUGAUUCUGGUUUCUUUCACUCGAUCAGUUCCUUCAUAGGUGAUGUGUAAUCUAUCUCAGACUUCUUUAGCUGUUUCACAAGAAGAUAUUCUAUUAUAUUCAGUAGGAGAUAAUGCACAAUAUAAAGAAUAAAUUGCUUUCGCAUCAAGAGCUUGUCUCUUGGUUAUCUCUUUUUGAGUCAUUUCAUUAGACUCAACGGCUUCUUUUCCUCUUUGUGAGACUGGUGCAGCUUUAGGAAUGAUUCCUUUGUCUACCACAUCCCAUUUCAGAGGAUCCUUUGAUCUUAGAAAUGCCUUCAUCUUGUUUUUCCAUAUGUUGUAUUUCUUUCCAUCAAAAUAAGGCGGUUUGGUAUUACUUUGCCCUUCAACCAGUCCUGGAGCAACAUACUAGCCAUGGAUCUUUAACUCUGAAGUAAAACACUUCAACUUAAGUGAGUACACAGGCUCUGAUACCAAUUGUGAAAGCUAGUAUGAGCACCUUGAGGGGGGUGAAUAUGUGUAAAAACAAAUUUCCGAGAUAAGUGUGCAACACUAAUCAAUAAUAGAUGAUGAAAAUGAAGUUAGGCUCUUGCAGACAAAAUGAAUUACGAUCAAAGUAAAAUAGCGUAGGGAAGAGAAUAUGAACACAUGGUUUAUAGUGGUUUGGCUUAAUCCAAGCCUACAUCCACUCUUCCGCACUGACAGCCCACCGGCUGGAUUUCACUAUGAAACAAAAGAGUUGUUACAGUAAAGCUCUUCCUUGAUUCCACAGUGUAGAGACUCUGCUACACUUCCUCAAGAUCUCUCAAAGAUAUAGACUCUCUUUUGCAUACAAUAUUUCGCUUAAUAAUUUAAUUGAUUAAGAACAAGGAGUUUCAGACUUUGGAAUUCUUUUAUCGCGCACACACUCGAACAACUGGAAUGUCUUCCUUAUAUACUCAUUCAUGUCAUCACACCCGUUGGCACUUAUCAAAGGAAUUCUUCCAAUCUAACAGUUGGACAGAAUCAAUUAGGAAGAUUUCGAGCUAUUUAAGGAAUAUGACGAUAGCUCACCAAUCCUGCUCGCCCAUACAAUUAGGAUCUAGGUUUCCAUAAGUAGAACCUUCCAAGUAUACUUCGCCAAUCAACGGAUCCAAGAUCCCUGAAUCAAUCUUGAUUUGAAUAAUGGAUUUCGACAUGCUGUAUCUAGCCAAGAGAUCUUCUUUAGUCAUCAGAAUCAAAUUCUUAACGAAAUACUUUGUUUCGAAUAAGCCUUCUUCGACGGUGUAGAAACUGUCAAUGAUGAUAGACUUUUAGUCUUGAGUCUGGCAGUCUGGAGGUCUUUAGACUUUGAUGGAAGAGUCUGCAAGUCUUCAGAGUAGACUGAUGGAAACGUUUUGUCAACUUCAAAACACUUAAGCAAGUUUUCUCCAACAAAAAGUAAUUGUUGAGACAUCUUAAGAAUUAGAAUCUAAGUCAUCUUGUAUGGAGAAAUUUGAUAACGUGAUUCGAUGUUGUAGAAGUAGAUUAUAAAUGUUAAUCACACAAGGAGACUAGUUGAUAUGGACAAGCAAAUUGCAAAGAAUGUUGUUGCCUCCAUUACUAAAGGGAAAGACCUGAAAGAUAAGGAGGUGCCUUGUUAUGAUUAUGAAGUUUCGUUGUAGAUCUAGUGACUAAUAAUUUUAAUAUCAAAUGGGAGAUAAUGUUGUAUUUUGUUAUACCAAUCAACUAUUUGAAAAGGGGCGAAAAAGCUUACUUUACUUUGUCAUAUUGAGCCAAUAGUCUGAUAAAGCAUUAAUUUAGCUGUGCUUGAAAGAAUUGAAAAGCUUAAAUUUAAAUUUUCGAUUCCAUCCAUGUUCGAGUCAUCGAAAUCGUUGCUUUUUCCCCAAAACUUACGGUCUGCAUGGCUUAAAUGCAUGCAUGUUAUAUAUUUAGACAUGGAAGGCAUCUUUUGGCCGUGUACCCUAUUGUAUAUUAGGUGCGUAUAUUUUGACAUUUGACUUCAGAUUGCACAUUGAGAUUGAUGACUUUCAUUGUAUGGUUUAUUGUUGAUUAAAACUCCUUAAGGUAGCAACCGCUGCCUUAAAUUCACACCGUGUGUGAUUUGAUUCUCUCAUUAGUGUAUGCUAAUGUUUUGGUCUUUCUUCACCAUAUGUUGGUUUUUCAACAAUGUAAAUGGGAAUACUGUUCUUGUUUCAUUCAUCAGGCUACAUAUUCAGGAAAACAAGCAAAUUGCGACUCUCGGUAUUCAGACAGGUCAUGGAUGGUGAGGCUUGGGAGCUGUGGAUGUGACCAGGGGGCAUUUCUUCUGUUGGUUGGCCCACAUUUGCAAGAGAAAAUCAUCCGCAUGCAGGAAAAUGUUUGUGUGUUUGAGCUCAUUGAUUGGGAGGAUGUUGUGUUUAGAGUCUAUGAUUCCAUUAGUGCUGGUAAAGACUUGAUUACAUUAAUCGAAAUGAACUCUCGAAGUGUCACUUUGGCUCAUCCAAAAAUAAAUCACUUUUUCAUCAUUUUAUCUCCUUUGUUUAGUCUCGGUGAAUCAAUGAAGUGUACUUCUUCCAUUCCCAUUGCGUUUGUGAGGUUCGCAAUAAUCCAGAUGCACACUCAUUAAUGCCGCAUCCCAAAUCUAAAUAAACCGAAAAGGAUGUGCUUCAAUAUCAGAAAGAAAAUUAAAACCUGAAACGCUCAUCAUUAGAAUUUAGAGGUGUGACUUGUUGGUUUCUAAGUUAUGCUUAUUUGUACAACAUCAUGUAUUUUUUCUUGUUACAUUUUCCUAAUAAGCUUUUGUAUAUUGAUGGGUUACAUUACUAUUUAGGAUAUGCUAAGUGUAGUUAAUUAGUUAUGUCACGUGAAGAACAUGUACUCAUUAGUAACAUUAUAACAGGUAUUGAUUUGCAUAUUGUUGUAACUCGAUACAUAAUAGAGCAGUACCUAUGAGAACUCUUCUUUUACUUCUGUGCAGGUCGGACCAAACAGUCCGAAUAUCAAUUGCGCCCCUCUGAGCAGGCUUUGCAUGGCCUUACAUUUCCGCGGCUUCCCACUGCUCUUGAAAAAACUAGGGAAUUUGAAUUAGAGUAUCCAUUUUUGAAAUUGGUGAUGGGCCAACUUUUAUGAAGGACAGAACCACGGUAAGGGCCCUAUGUCUUUCAUAAUUGGCAUAUCUCAACCAUGACGCCAUCUACAUCUUGUCCUAUAGUCCACUGUUUUCCCAAAAUGUUUUGGUCUUUCAUAGGAAUCAUGUGAGAUGUUAUUCUCUGAGGUGUCCAUGGCUAUAUGUGUAAAAUCAGGAAAGUUUUGACUUUAAAAUUUCUUUUCUUUUCUUUUCUUUUUUAAUUUAUGGAUUCAUAAGGUUACCAAUUCCAAAAUAAAAGAUUUUAUUUUUUCAAUAAUCAGGGGUAAAGAAAAUUACUAUUAUUCAUAGACUAAGAGGAUAUUGUGGAGACAAUCAAUGUUGGCAACUCUUGAAGCAUUACCAUGAGAGUUCAAAAAUUGUGUACACUAUUGUAGAGUCUAUGAGCAUUGUAUUGUCACAUUUUAACUUCAAAUUGCAAGUUGGGAUUGAAGACUUCUAUUAGCCAAUUAAGAUUGUAAUUGAAUUUCCUGAAACUAGUAAAUACUAUAUUUACAUUUUGUUUGCCUUUUCUAUUUAUUGUUUGUUUGUAUCAAUCUUUUCCUCAUAAUACGAUAUUGGCAAAGUGUUCCUUGUGAAUUCAUAAAGAGGUACAUCCAGGAGAACCAGCAAAUUACGACUCUUAGGUAUUUGAACAAAUAAUGGCUGGUGCAGUUCGUAACCCAUCAACACCAUUAUCCAGCAAACACAUCUGUGGUUGGCCCACUUUUAUGAGAGAAGCUUAUCUGGAUGAAGGGGAUGUCUGCAUGUUUGAGCACAUUGAUAUGGACGAUUUUAUGGUCUUAGUUUCCGUCUCCAAUUAUGCUAGUGAGGACCUCAUUUAGGUCGAUCGAGAUGAAGAUUAGAAGCGUCACUUAAGGCUGUAUAUUAAUGAAGCAAUUCAUGCCUCCUUUAUUUAGUUGCGACAAAUCAAUUGAAAGUGCACUACUUUUGGCUUUGCUUCUCUUUCUUGACCUACUUACAGUCUUAUCAGAGUUCUCUUAAUACUUUUGUGCAGGUCAGAACAGACAAGUCUGAAUGCCCAGUGAGCCCCCCUGAGCAGUUUUUUUCGUGAUUCCAAGUGCCUGAGGCCUCUCACUGCCCUUGAGAAAGCUAGAGAAUUUAAAUUAGAGUAUCCCCUUUUCCAGACAGUGAUGUGGCCAUCUUUUCCUAAGAAAGAAGUGGCGGUAAGUCCUAGAUUUCCAUUCAAAAUCGGCAUAUCUCAAUUAUGAAUGCCACCUAUUCUAUAUAUGCGCCCCACUCUGCAAAUUUUUCCCAUGUUAAUAUGCUUUUUAUAGAAACACAUGAUAUGUUAUCUUUCUUGAAGCGUUCGUGGUUAUAUGUUUAAAACGGGCAUCUUAACAACUGAGUAAAGGGACUAGGGAAAAGCAAUAAGUCAGGCAGCAAUCGGCAAAUAACCUAGUGACAGGUGUGUGUGGAGACAAGGUCAAAGGGUUGACAAAGGCAAUAACAACCAUAAGUUAGGAAUUUAAUGAUUUCUAUUUUAAGUAUAAAUUCCUCCCAAAGAUGACUACUUAGUACUUUCUCUGGCUGCCUAGGCUUGGGAAGAAGAGGCGACACGAAAUGUCCAGCUUAAGUCAUAACAACUGCAACAGGCCUAGGCUUGGGAUGAUUGAGCUCUCUGCAACAACAUGGCACCACUAGUCAGAUAUUGCUCCCUAGCAAUGACUGGUUUUGUGAGAGCUACUAUGAUCGGAAAUGGAGGGACGGUAGUGCAGCCCUUGACCUCAAAAAUUAGUUCCACCACCUCGGUGGUAUGAAAAGAAGAAAAGAAGUAUCACUUUUUUUGUUUUUUGUUUUUUUGUUUUUUUCCAGGAAAAAGAAGAUCACUCACUUAUUGUGUAUAUAUGCCCAUCUAGCACACUAGGUGCAGCUUUUCAUGUUUGUUUCAAUGCAUAUCGCAAUGCAAGAUUAGUGACUCGGAUAUUGACCAGAUUCAUGCAUGUCUCUAUUGAUUACACGUACUUGGUGUAGUGUCUAAGAGCACAGGAUUGUGGGGCUUUGAUUUCAGAUUGGAAAUUGUGAUUAAAGACCAUCUCACCAAGCCUUUUAGACUGCUAAUAUGGACUCUGUAAACUAACAAUUACUAGCAUAGACUUACUUCUUGUUUGCCUUUUCACUUUAGUGUACGCUUACAUUCCUAUGUCUUAUCAUAUAUCGGCUGGUCAAAUAUCUUCAUGGGCAGAGCGUUACUCAUGAAUUCAUGAAGACAUGCAGCCAAGAAAACCAGCAAAUUGCUACUCUUAUGUGUUUGGAUACAUUGUGGCUGGUGACCAUCAUGACCUAUCGACGCUAUGGUUUGGCGAACUUCUCUGUUGGUUGGUCCAAGUUUGUGAGGAAAACUUAGUCUUGAAUGAAGGGGAUGCUGCAUGUUUGAGCUCCUUAAUAGGGAUGAUGUUUAGGUUGAAAUGGGAUGAACAUUGGAAGUGUCACUUUAGGCCAUAUGCUAGUUAAAAGCGAUUUAUGCCUCUUUUCUGUUGUGAUGAACCAGAUGAAAGUGCACUUUUAUUUGUAACUGUGCUCUUUUUUGAGCUACUUACGAUCUUAUAAUUUCUAGGCCCGGCCACUCCCAUACAUCCGAUGUUAGUCCUACACACAUUUUCUACUUUGGGUAUCUCUUGAGCUCGUUACGCUUUUAUCAUUGCCUUUUUGGAAAGGAUCUCUUGUUCAGCACUCGGUCCACUUCCAAGUUAUCGAACCUAGUUUUGUAUUACAAAAGAAUGUCAAAAGUGACGUGUUUUAGUUCUAGAAGGGAUGUGGAAAUUUAUGCAUCAUUCCGUCACUCAUGGUCACCCAAUAGCUUUUAAAUAUGGGAGAGACACUAUACUCAUGUAAUUAUAUUUGAUAAAAAAAAAAACUUAUCUAGAUACAUUAUCCCUCAAGCGGUGAUGAAAUUUAAAACCCUGAGAGUGAAUUCCACCUACAUCUGGCCUAUAGUCCACUGUUUUCCCAAAUUGUUUUGCUUAUUCAUUGGAAUCACAUGAGAUGUUAUUUUCCUUCAAUGGCUAUAUGUGUAAAAUUUUGAUUUGGAAAUUUCAUUUUUUUUUAAAUUUGGAUUCAUAAGAUUACCAAUUCUAAAAUAAAAGAUUGCAUUAUUUAUUUUUUUAUACUAAUCAGGUGUAAAAAAGAUCACUAUUAUUCACAAACUAAGAGGAUGUGGUGGUGAAGAUCAGUGUUAGCAACUCCGGAAGUGUUACCAUGAGAGUUCAAAAAUAGUAUACACCAUUGUAGAGUCUAUGAGCACUGUACUAUGACAUUUUGAAUUUGAGUUGCGGGUUGUGGUUGCAAACUUUUAUUAGGCAGUUAAGACUGUUAAUUGAAACUCUUGAAACUAGUAAAUAUAAAUAAUUUACGUUUUGUUUGCAAGAUUCUUAUACGCUCUUGCCCAUUCAUUACUUGUCAACUUUUGUGGACUUGAUAUAGCAAGACCCUUUUUUUUUUCUCUUUCUUGAAUCAACAAUGGGGAGAAAAAAACAUAACGAACCCUUUUGCGAACUUGACACAGCACAACCCCUUUUUUCUCUUUCUUGAAUCAACAAUAGGGAGGAAAAAACGUAUUGAACCCUUUUCCGAAAAGAUGAACUUGCAGUCUCAUCCAAAUAUGAAGGAAUAGAUCAAUCAUUAGUGAAUUCGUAUUGCUCACAUCUAAUUCUACAGUAAAAAAGCUAAAGCUGUCCACUGACACUGAGCGUGCACAACUCUUUAAUUUGACCAUAAGCGAAAUCCAUGCAAGCAGCACAAUCCAAUUGUGCUAGCCCGAUGGCACAAGCUCCAUGACCGAAGCAUUUGGUGUCGCCAUAAUAAGCACUGAUGUAGUAGUUGAAUCCCUCGGUUGCGGUGCGGGACCUCAGAUCAGUCAAGACUUGAUCCAAAGCUCAUAAGUAAUCGUCGGUGUACUGCACGUCGUUGCAUAUCUUGUAGAUAACCAUCACGUCCAGGUCACUUCUCACAAGACUCGAACCCCAUAGAAGCCUCAUGAACAUAAGUGCAUGUGAUGUGGACAUGGUCAUCCUAGCCCUCUUUCCUCCCUUUGGUUCUCUUUUGUUUAAUACAAAGAAACAGACAAUUGAGUUAGGCUUUAAAAAAGGUUCGUCUCCACAGUGCAAUCCGUCAUUUAUGCUUUGUUUUUAGGCCAAGUCAAUCCCAAUUUUAGUCAUUUAUGAUGUCACAUGGAUGUAUUCUUGAUAACUUCCCCAGCCGUUUCUAUGAAUUGUUCGCCCAUUAGUAUACUGCAUGGUUGCCAUCCUUGCAAACCCUAAUCUUAUAAUUUUUUAUGAAAAUUUUCCCUCUCUUACCAUGCAUAAAAAAUUUAACAUUAGGAUCCUCUAAGUUUAUGAAAUAAAUUCACAUUAUGAUAAAUGACCAACUUCACUUUUUUUGUCCUUUUUAUUCUCCUACUCUGCACACAUGCAUCUGCCUCACAUACAAGUCUUGAAUAUAUUUAUAUCUGUAACAUUGUGAACUUUAGGUCAUGUAAUUAAUGGAGUUCAUGAUAGUUAUAAAACCCGAAUUACAUUAUACUUUUGCUGCUGCUAAUACUACCAUGUGAGUGUAUUAAAAAAAGGAAAAAGAAAAGGAAGCCUGAAAACCCGGAUCGAAUCACCCAAACUGGCCCAAUAAUUUUCGGCUCAAAUAGUCUCAAGCCUGCCGAUUUGGCCUCAACAUAUCCUUGAGUUUGGAACCCGAAUGAUUGCCAAAUCAGCCGUCAAUUGAGGGCUCAACUACUCUCGUUCUCCAGUCUCUCAUGCUGGCCGAGAUCCAGCCAUCGCUAAGCUGCCAUCACCGCCUGCCGUCGAGCCCCACUUAUGUGGCUAUCGAGCCCCACUACUCACCGUAUGCCCUCCGUCCAAUAUGUCUUACUCGCUCCCUCAGCCCCCUUACGCUUGCUCACUUCUUGGUCACUUCUUGGUCUCCUUUUUGCUCCCUCGCUCUCUACCGGUAGAAAAGAGGUUCUGACCAGCCUGUUUUGAUGUCUUAAGGUUUUUGAUUUUCGUACAUUCUAUUUGAAUUUUUUAUUAAAAUUUUUCAAAUGAUAGAUAGUCCCUGUUAAAAAGAUGCAAUUACGCUUUUUAUUAUUUUUGUUUCACAAUCUAUUAGUUACAUUUAGAUAGCGGAGAGUAGUGGAGAAUGGCUGUUGAUGACAAUUUUCACUUUUAAGUACUAAACGGCGAAAGUUGCCCCGAAUUUGUCUAAAAUCUAUUAUCAUCACAAUUUGAUUUUAAGGUAAUUUAGACCGAGAGAUCAACAGAGGAAUCUCUACCCUUAAAGAAUUCACAAAUUUGGUAAUGUCAUUUUACAAAUUCUAUUCUCUAAUAUCCUUAUGUUCAAAUGAAAAUUUAUGUAGGAUAGCCAACUAGUGCUAGUGCAAGAUAUGAUCCCUCAUCGAGCUAAUCGAGUCACGAAACAUGUUACCUAGACCGAGUGCAUACUCUAUUGCUCUCACAGAAAGCAUAUAUGAAGGCCUACUAAGAGUGAAACUAAGUCAAAUUAUUCAUGAGUUAGUUCGAGCUAGGGUUGAUGAUUAUAUGAGAACUAAUAUCUAGUUGAGUCCUAACUAUAGCUACUCCAUAAUCUUGUCAAAUUGAAGCUCUAGCUCGCUAAUACUUUUGUAAAUUUAAUUUAAAAAAUCUAAUUGUUAUAAAAUUAGCCAUAGACAUAUCAUCUGCACACACAUGUAUAUAGCCUAUGGACUUCUCAUUUGAAUCAAGCUCCUAUAUGAAAUUAAUUCUUGGCCGAGCUCUAAUCUAGUUUUAAACACUGGCUACGAAGUUGAGACAAUCUUUUGUUUGGCACUAUAGCAGAUUGAUUAGACUCGACUCCUAAGCCCCAACCAUGUUGACACCUAAUUCGAUUAAUGAGAGUCAAAGUGUCCAUUAAAGCGGUUAAGAAUUUUGAUGUGCAAAACUUGAGUGCAACGUUAUCGUUGAGAAAUCUCAUUACUCAAGAUAUAGUUGGAUCUUCAUCAUGCAAUUUUUAACCCCCCCUAUAAUUUUCAAUCCAUAUAUUAACUGAUAGCUCAAAUGAUGAAAGUAAGCGAACACUAAUAAAUGUAAGAAAUCUUCAAGAGUCGCCUUUCCUAAGUCCUAGCUAUAAAUCUAGUAGGGACGUAGCUUGGCUUAAAAAAUCCUUGCUGUAACUUUUCUCUGACAAAAUGACACUCCAGUUCUAGAGAAAAUUCUAAAUAAGGAAUCAAAGUGUUCUCAUUUUCUCAAAUAAAGGCAAGGAAUGGCCUUUAUUCAAUAAAGGCCUGCAAUGGCCAUGAUUAUUUCAAAUAAGGACUUAAAGUUACCAUGGUUGUUUGAGAUAAGGGCUCAACCUCGUCGGUUAUUGGUUGGCUAAAUAUUUGACCAGUUAGGGGCAUUUUCAUCCAAUUACAAUUUUAAUUUUAAAUUAUUUUUUAUUCUUUUCUUCUUCUUUUCUCCACUCUUUUUUUCCCCCUUUCUAAAGAGAGUUAGCAGUUGCAAACAAAUACUCAGCAACCCUCGCCAGCCAUGGGUAAGGGUCGGCAUGAACUUGGCCACCUUCGUUGGCCGUUGUUAAGGGCCCAUGAGGGCCUACAAGCCCUCGCUAGAUUAGGCGAGAAUCAACCUCGCCUAGGGCUGACAAGGGUUCGGUGACCCUUGCCAGACACAAGCGAGGGCCAACCUCACUAAUGACUACAAGGGCAACCCGCCCUAAGGUGAAGGUAGCUUGUCCAAACAAGAACGUCCCUUGCUAGCCGCUAAGGAGGUCACCCUCACCCAAAUCUAGUGAGGUGACUCUUUCGAGGCUGGCCUCACUCGCAGCAGCCUCCCUAGGGUAGGGGUCGCCUCGCGUUACAUUGAUGAGCACAACCUUCUCCCAGCCCUUUCCGACAUCGCUUGCGGGUGGUCAACCACCAAUAAAUAAGAAAGAAAAGCCAAAAAAAAUAAAGGAAAAAAUAAAUAAAUGAGUAAAAUGCCCUUGACCAACCAAAAAGUCAAGCCACUUUUUGAAGUAGACAUAGUUAGGGCCUUCUUUAAAAUCAAAUCUACUUCAAGUUCUCAUUUGAGAAAAUGAUAGCACUUCAGGCCUUUAUUUAAAACAAGAUCUACUUCAAAUCCUUAUUUGAGAAAAUGAAGACACUUCAAGUCAUUAUUUGAAAAUUUCCCCCAAUUCUAUAUAUAUGGUGUGUUUAUUGAAAAUUGGGUUUUUACUGCAAUUUUUGGCACAAUAUACCUUUAAUUUUGAAUAACUAUUUGACAAUAAAAAAAUUCCUUGUUGAUAAGAAAUUUUAAAUACCAAAUAUCCUCCUUUCCAUUUUUUCAUAAAUUAACUCGGGGCAUACAUAGAGAAAUCCUCAAUAAUUUCAAGUUUUAAGAUUAAAUAAAUCAUUGAGUCUCUGUCAUGUCAUUCAUCUUCCAACAAGUACUCCCUAUAGGAAGUUUCACUUUUGUUUCUUGCAACUUAAAUUCUUAAAAAAUAUAUAUUUUUUCAAUUUUUGAGGUCUAUUAAUGAAAAAUUUGCCUAAUUUCAUUUUCGGUCAUCAAUAUAACAUCAAUAAAUAUCAUGAUAAAUGAAUUUCCUCUCCUUGAAGUAAAUAGGGAAUAAUAUAUAAAAAAAGUCAACAAUUGUUAACAUCCGAGAAAUUAAAAGGGGAAGAAGAACAACAACAAGAAGAAGAUCCGUUAGGUUUUCCAGUUCUUGCGUUUCGAGCAUUCGGUCACUCUGGGAGCGCAUGGAAACAUUUCUGCUCUUUUUUUGUUCCUGGGAACAGAAAGAAAAAAAAGUGUUUCUGUUCCGGAGAACAGUUUUUGAACAAAAGAACGCGUUUAGUAAGUGUAAAAAAAAACUGUUCUUGAAAUAAAAAAAAGAACAGAAACACGUUUGGUAACUGCAGUCAAUUUUUGUUCUUAGAAUAGAAAAAGAACAUAAACAUGUUUGGUAAACGACAAAAAUGUUGAACUAACUUGUGUAAAACAGAUCAUACGUUGCAUUUUGAGCUACAAGAAAUACAUAGUAAUGCUACAUAUAGAAUGCAACCAUGAAAUUCAGCCAACAUAAGGCAGCAUUACCCUUAGUUAUUACCUUCUUACGAUGCCACACAACCACGCUGCGGCCCGACUUCGGCUGGUUCUCCCCCUUGGUGGUGAAAUCGUCGUUGAACGCCCUCGCCACGUGCUUCACCAGCCUGUCCAUACCACAUCACCAUGAGCAACAAAACAACAAUCGAAGGAAACCCCAAUCCAAUCGAUGAACUGAAAUUCCCCCCUUCCAAAACUGAAUCAAGCAACAACACAACAUCACUUGAAGAUCCUGCGGAAUCGAAGGAUCCACCUGGCUGCUGCUCGAGCGAGUUGGCUGCUGCUCGAGCAGCAGUUGGAGCUGUUGCGCGAGCAGCAGCUCCAGCAGCUCCAGUCGAGCUGCAGCUCUAGUGGAACUGCAGCUCCAGCAGCUCCAGUCGAGCUGCAGCUCCAACUCGAGCAGCAGCUCGCUGGAGCUGCUGCUCGAGCAGCUCUAGUCGAGCUGCAGCUCCAGCAGCAGCUCCAGCUCGAGCAGAGCAGCAGCAGCUCCAGCUCGAGCAGCUGCUCGAGCGAGCUGCUGGCAGAGCUGGCAGAGCUGCUCUGCCGCUCGAGCUGCUAGCAGAGCUGCUCUGCCAGCUCGAGCUUGCAGAGAGCUCGCUCGAGCUGCUGGCAGAGCUGCUCUGCCAGCUCGAGCUUGCAGAGAGCUCGCUCGAGCUGCUGCUCGAGCUGGCAGAGAGCUCGCUCGAAGCAGCUCGAGCGAGCAGGCGUCCCAGAUCUGCCGCAGAUCUGGGCGAGCACACUCGCUUGAGGCUCGAGCGAGCAGCCGUCCCAGAUCUGCCGCAGAUCUGGGCGAGCAACGCUCGCUUGAGGCUCGAGUGAGCCAUCCCAGAUCUGCCUCGCCGAAGCCCAUCGUCGACCGGAGAAGGAGGAGAACCAGAAAACCUACCUGGAUUCGGAGCUUCAGCCGGUGGAGUCGCCGGAGUGAGUCGCCGGAGAGACGAGGCCGAGUGGGAGUCGCCGGAGAGAAGGGAGACACGCCGGAAAGUUGCCGGAGACAGCCGGUGCGUCGGCGUCGUUCUUCGCCGGAGCGUUGGCCGAGUGAGGAGUCGCCGGAGAAGGAGGACGAACGAAGGAGAGCACGAACGAACGAAGUGUUCCCGUUUCGUUUUUUUGUUCUUUUCAUUUUUGUUCCUUUCGAGCGUCCAAGAAGUGUUUCUCAAGGCCAAACAACAAUUUGUUGUUUCUUUUUUUUGUUUCUAUUUUGUUCCGAGAACCAAAAAACAAAAAAAGAACAGAAACCCAACUAAACGCGUUUCUAUUCUUUUUUUUUGUUCCCGGAAACAAAAUCCGUACAAAAGUGUUCCAGAAACACUUCUUUGGAGCGUUUCCAUGCACGCCCUCUCUAUUUCUUCUUCUUCUUCUUCUUCUUCUUCUUCUUCUUCUUCUCUCUCUCUCUCUCUCUCUCUCUCUCUCUCUCCAACCCUCGAGCCGAGCUACACCGCCGUAUUGCGGCCUCCGACCGCCGCCGCCGCCAGGCCACCUUGGUGUUCGGCAGCAGUGCCGCCCCUCUCUCCGCCUCGUCCGAAACACCCUCCCCGAAACCCUUAGGUCCCUCGCUUCGGUUCUCCAGGAUUGCUCGAAGAUGGACGAGGACCAGGAGACGGAGAGGUUCGGGAUGGACAACGAUUACGACGACGGGCAGUGGAUCCACGGGGAGUUCUACUACCGUCGGCGGAGGGAGAAGCGCGCCCAGACCAAGGACGACGUGCUCUACGGCGUCUUCAUGUCGGGGGACUCCGAUUUGGACUACAACGACUCCUCCAAGAGGAAGUGGAGGAAGAAUAGGGACCUCCUAGGUAAGGCCGACCUGUCGAAGCCCGUGAAUUUCGUGUCCACCGGCACGGUCAUGCCGAACAGAGAGAUUGACGAGAACACGGAGAGAGAGAAUGAGGAUGAAGAAUCCGCUGUCGUGGAUGAGGAUAGGCCGGGCUUGGGGGUCUUGAGAAGAACCAACAAGGGAUUGUGACAUUCAUUGAAGCAAAGUUGCGUCCUAGGGAUAUGGGUGUGGGUUUCAACGACUUACGAGGAAACUCUUGCAAAGGCACCUGUUGCCUUGUUGGGGCCAGAGGAAUAGAAGCCAUCACCUGACGUGCCCGGUAAGGAGAAGCUUUGGUCUAAGCAAGCGAAGAAGGCAACGCUGAAAAAACAAAGUGAAGUAUAUUACGGCAGAAGAGCUGUUGGCGAAAGAAGCAGGAACAGGGCGUUGAAGUUGUGCAAAAGGUACUCAGACAUGCGCGGACCUCAGGUUAGGGUGUUAGCAAACUUGGAGAAUCUGAACACGGAAGAGAAGGCGAGUGAGAGUGAUGUUCAUAUGCCUGAGGUCCAGCACGAUAUAAGGUCGAUUGUGGACGUGGCUAAGUUGGAUAUUCAGAAGAUCGAUGUGGACCUGAGGAAGGAGAAGGAGACAGCUCUGAGCUUGCAAGAGGAAAAAGAGAAGCUGCAAGCUAAGGCAGAACUCCAGAAGAAACAAUUGAAUAAUCUAGCAACUGAGUUGUGCACAUGGAACAACGGAAGCACAAUCACAAUAGAGUCUGAUUCUGUUAGUUUGUACCCCACCUGAUGAUGCCAAAUUGCGCUGAGCUAUCAGCAUGCGAUUGGGGAGGGGUGACCCAUAGCGCCGGAGGUGUGCAAGAACAUAGCUACAUCCGAGGGAUCAUUGACGACUUUGGACAUCAAGUCGAGGCUCGGCUCUAUGUCGGUCAAAGAGAGAGUGAUUUUGGUAUCGGCAGAGUGAAGCAUGGCGGUUAGGUGGGGGAUGUUAAUCUUGGAAGCAGCGGAUUGAGCCCGUCGGUUUCCUUCUUGCGGUGUCAGUAGGAGCUUCGGUUCCGAGUCGGAAAGGUAGAACUUAAACUCCUUAGCUGCUUAGAUGGGGUUGGGCGGAGCUGCAGUGGCUCGGCAAUGGAUUACCGCCAGAAACAAGAUCACAAACUGCAAAACGAACACAUAUUUUCCAAUCAGCAAACUAUCAUACUAGUCCCUGCGGAUUGGAGAUACACACACAUGCAGAAUAUGCAGACAACUAGUUUGUCGACGUUUGAUUCCAUUAAAACCAUCCAUCUCCUUUAGAUAAGCUUUGACUCUUUUUUUUUUUUUUUACGAUGAAUCGAUGCUUGUACGUCCCAGAAAACAACCCUUGGACACGACAGAAAAUGCUCUUAAUGCUUUUCCCAAUUCAAUUUGUUCCUGUUCAAUUUGCACCACGCGCUCACAGAAAUUUCAUGCCUCAGAUGCAAUUUUUUUCAGUAGAAAUCGAUGCCAAUUCCUUUCUCUGUUCUCGAAGUACUGUAAAACUCCCAAGAAACCAUCUUCCUCUUUCUUUUCCAAGCUAUUUCCCAGUCGAUGUUUUGCAAGACAUCGAUCUCAUCAUUAGAAAUUCAUCGUCACCGCAAUCUUCCAGAUAUUGCAUUCUCGAAUUUAAACAGCAUCAUCCGUACUUGCGAACAGACCGAGAUGACACAGACGUACCUCGAUGUUGUUGAGGAAAGUGAGUGCGACGGUGUCGGUGCGAGGCAGUGAUGAGCGCGGUGGCAUGGUUGACAAGCUCCUGCAGCUGCAUGUGUGUCAGGUCGAGCUCCUCGCAGGCGGAGACGGCUCUCUUGUUGGGGAAAUCCGACAUUGCCUUCUUCAAUAGGUCCGUGAGCAUAAGUUCUCCCAUUGCUAACCACAGGGAACGAAUCAACGGCAAUUGGCUUCAGCUGAAACCAAUCCUCGAUCGAACUGAAGAGGGGCACCACAAUCGCUUAGCGAGACAAGAAUGAAGGAUCGACAAGAACAGGAAUUCGCACGUAUGCAUAUGAGAUGGAAAUGAGACCAGAGGGAGGGAGGGAAGGAAGUUGAUGCAAUCGAGGUGGCUCCGCGGCCAGUGCGAGCUCGGUUAAGGUGGCGACGGAGACUUAACGGAUCAAAGGCUGUAACUAGUCUCACUAAUGUCUUCGCAAGAAAAUGUUUCAAUAAACUAAGAUAGCCAUGUAAUCAAUACAUUUGUCCAUUCAGUGGACGACAAGUGGCACUAUGGGGGCCCGCUCUAUCAGCAAGUCUGCAAGUCCAUUCUGCACGACAAAACAAAUGUCGUCCAAGUUUGAGAUAAAAAAUGAAAACCGCAGCAUCAGAAAAGGUCAUAACCAAAGGAUUAAAAUCCAUUCCAAGUUUGGGACAAUGGCGAUUCUUGCACAGAUUGUAUAAAUGCAAAGAUCAAUGGCGAUUCUGACAGUCCAUUCUUUGCACGCACACACGCAGAUCUCCUGCUCCUUCACAACAGAAUACACAUUCAAAACUCGAUUAUGUUCAUACAGAACACCUUUAACUCAAACCAGAGGAAUCAGCAAGCCACGAGACAGCAAUUUUCAUGUCAUACGCCGAGCAUACGAGGCGAGAAUACUAACACUAUUUGACAAAUGAGCAUCCUAUUCUGACAAAGUCGGCCAUAAUAAGUAUUCAAAAAGUUGAGAACAAAUCGAAUUUAUGUAAUAUGAUUUUGCGGUUCGAGAAUUGAAUCGAAUUUACAUACUGAUCUAGUUCGAGCAUUUUAUCAAACAAGUAAUGUGCAUUUUAACCAAUGAGCUCAUACGCCAAUACACAGCAAGGAUUUACUUUCAGAUCAUCACGAAAAUAACAGCACAAGUCCGAGUUGUUAAAUAAAGCUUCAAUCUCAACUGAUUUACUCACAGACAUUAGCUAAAGCUAACCGGCUCUGUUUCGUUUAUGAGCAGCAGAAACAGAGUGCGUGGGAUUUACCUUGAUGAGAGUGAGUUUUUCACUUCGGUCCGUGAUCAGAUCGGAGAAAAGUUACUGGAGCUCUCCACGUUUGGGCGGCGUGACCAGAAAACAGAGCAGAAGGAGAGGAGGCCUUGCGGCAACGGAACCGGCAAUGGUGGAGCCGCUACAGCGGCGUUUCGAGCGUGUCGAAAGGACAAUGGAAAAGGAGAACCGAUGAAGGAUCCUCUAGAAUUCCGAAGAGAGAUGGUUUCUUCGUGAGCUUCAGUGUGUGCGUUCUAUCGUGUCAUCUCUGAGCCUGUGGUGGCCGUCGAUGGUGGUGCGACGGUGGCUGUGGUGAUUGUAGAUGGCGGACGGUGGUCUGGGCUGCGCCUUCUGGAUAAGGUCUGGGCUAGACGAAUUAAACCAGGCCCAACAAACCGGACCAGCUCCUUUCGAUUAUGAUUUUUUUUUUCUUUCAUUUCUUUCUUCGUUUGUUAUUUAUUUUUAAUAUUAUUUUUACUUUUUAUUUAUUUAUAUUUACCCAAAUGCAUGUUCGAAUUGUUGGCAAAAAUUCAUGAGUCGAUAGGAGCAAUAUUCCAUCAUUUGGCCUAUGAACAACUUCACACCAAACUCAAUUACAAUUCAUUGUUUGUGCAAUAUUGCGACAUUAUUCCCUUAAAGAUUAGUCCUUGUACUUAACUCUUCCAUCCAUGAGUUGAAUUUGAGCGCCGAUAGCAUGGCUGCACUUGUACUUGAGUUGAUUUCUUGUAGAAUCGAUGCACACAGUACAGUUUGCAUCUUGAAGCGCACUUCGCACGUUCCGUGCACGCAACACAUCGCGAUAGAAUCAUCAUACUCCUGUAGUAGUUGUACCCAUGACUCGCCAUCUUAGUUAAUCAUCAUAUGGGUGAUGCGUGUACUUUUAAGAUUGCCACUUUAUCUGUGUUCUUAGCACGUAUCUCAGUAUUGAUUUGUGCAAGUGCGUGGCACAUAUUCCGUCCAUGGUCUCCUCUGUUGAAUACUCUUGGCCAAGAGAUUACAAUGUCCUCUUUUGACUAACAUCCUCGUCUGUGCUUUGUCGUAUACGGUUUGUUAGGCAUUUAUACAGGUUCGAUACUUUUUGUGAUCAAGAACAGUACAUUCCAUCCUAUAACAUCAAUGAUCUUGUGGGAUUGUGACGAACAUCACAUCAGGUCCAUUUUCACAUUCUUGUUCUAUCGCCCUUCGCCCGCCACUUGUAUCCGGCAAACUCAAUAAGAUAGCUCCACCACCCGUCAUUUCUCCGGCCUGCCAGAAUUUCUUCCAAUUUCCGUGUCUUGUUGCGCGCGAAUCAGUUGAAGUCGGAAGACGGUUUCGUAAAAAUCUCCCUUCUCAAUCUUCAUCGUCGUCUUCUUCUUCAGCUAGGGCUUUGUUUUCAAAUUCGUCCCAUGUUCGAGGUUGUCUUAUGUUUUAUUUUAUUUUUGUUAUGUUUUUCCACUCGCGCCAGUGACUUCAGAUCAUGGUAGGCUGCCUUAGAGUGUCAAAAGGAAAAGUUCCGAAACUAGCUGAAAAGGACGAGGAUUGAGAGUGUAUAUAUGGGUCUUUCUUUAUCAAACUGGCUGUUUGAAAAUGCGGAUGAGCAGACCACUCCUUGUGGCUUCAUCAAGAAACAUCUUCAUGACAGCAAAGUAGUUGCCACUCUUCAGGCAUUUAGACAGAUCGCGGCCGGAGAAGUUAAGGAGCUAUGUGCACGUGGCAAUAAUAUCACGUCAAGUGUAGAUGUCUGCAUGUUUUGAGCUCGUCGAUGGAGAUGAUAUCGUGUUCAAAGUCUCAAUUUUCGGCCCUGUGGGUGCGUACCCGAAUUUAUUUGGGCAAAUCAACUGAAUCUUGAUAUGCAUGGCCAAGCAAUUUUCAAUCUACGCUACAACUUUUCAUAGUUAGUCAAUUUAAGAAACUUUCACGCCAAUGUCUUCUAAAUUCCUCAUCGUUUAAUUGGGAGAAAAGGUUAAUCAACCGAAGCUUGAUCCCUAUCUCUACCAGUUUUGGAUCUAAGUGCAACUUGGUCUCCUUGUCAUGCAAUCCCCAUCGCUAUUGACCUCCAAGAACCACAUCUGUCACUAGACAUUGGACGAUGCAGGAACGUUAUUGGAGGGGCUUAUGACAUCUCAAAGUCAGAAAAUCGGAUGGGAGAGAGAGAUUUCAAGAUAAAUAUCCUUGUCUGAAUGAUCAUCACAUUAUGCAGUUACUCAAAGUGUUAUUUUUUAGAGUGGAUCAGAUGGUUAAACCAUUAAACGGUAAUACGGACAUCCAACCAAUCAAGUUUUAAAAAAGACUGAAAUUGGAGAAAAGGAAGGUAGUUUUAAUAAAUAAAGAGGCAAAGGUUUCGGAAAAUAGCAAAAAGUGGAUAAAGUAGCUGAAGAAGGUCCUACAAACGCUCUCUGCCCGAUCGAAUGCCAUUGCUCACCCGCUAGCAAGUGGACCAACUCUUCAUAGCUACAAAGGCUACGCGCUUGCACCCUCUCUCUUGGAAAAGUGGGCUCUUGUGAGCACCACAUGCACCUGAGUCCCCAACUAGCCAGGUUGGAAGAGGAAAAUUAAACACAAACGUUUUGAAAAAGCCUUUUUCUUAAAAAUAAUUGAUUAUAUCUCAAAUAAUCAGUCAAAAAAAUGUUUUAUUACAAAUAACAAUUUAAUCAUUUUCAUUUAUUCAAUUUUGCAAGUGAUAAAAGCGAUUGUUUAUAGAGAAAUAUUUUUCAAAACAUAAAUUUUUCACAAAACAAAUGAAUCAGUUUUCAUUAUUUUUAUUUAUUUAUUGCCAUCAAGUUCGUCUCACCAUUGACUAAUAAGUCAUAAUCUUACUUGACUCUAUCCUCUGAAACUUGAAAAAAAUACAAUAUUAAUACCCCAAAACUCCGGCAACUUUUUAAAAGCCCACUAACGAUAAUGUUACGAAAGAAAUUGGUAUAGCCUUUUCAUUUCCAGUAUGUUUCAUCUACAAAAUUGCAACACCGAAAUCUAAUUCCCGAAGUAAAUUGAGAGAUUCAUGCGGUCGCAUUGAUGACAAGCAUGCAGUGUAUCCGAUCCUUUGUAGUUCUUGAACUGCAACAAUUUGGUAUAGUAGAAUGAGGAAUAUUGUCUCUCUAAUAAACAUGAAGAAAAGCAAACCCAAAUAAUAAUUCAUUCAAGCCCUAGAGCACCAGAGCACGUAAUUAACAAAUUGAAUUCAACACAACUGACUAAUUACCCUUGUUGCCAAACGGAAUAACAAUUUAGAGGAUAGUGGUUAAGCUAUACAACAAUAGGUCACCCAUCAAAUUUUAUGAGGGCAAAGAGUGUCAUUGAAUAGCAAAAGCAAUUGCUAAUUUACUAUUUCGUAACGAGACGAGCAUGUCCAUAAUCUGCCAAUGAUUGCUUACCCUUUCAGACAAAAUAAGGUAGGAAAAACGACGAGGGAGGCAUGAAGCUUUCUGAGGCUAAUACAUUAGCCUCAAAAAGCUUCACGCAAAUUAUCCACCCCUUGACGACAACGCAUACAAAUAAUGCAACACACUGCAUGUAAAAAUAAGCUGACUGCAAAUCUGAAAAAAGCAGUGGAUUAGGACGAACUUGGUAGGAGGGACAUAUCGGAUACGUUAGACAGUUCAUGAGAACCUCUCAUUUCGCACGCCAAGGAUGAUUCUCACGUCCGAUAGAUCCUGAGGGUGAUGAGCGAUCUAAUGAGGCAAGAUCCAGUAAAGCUUCCUCUCGGUGGGAUGGCGACGUCUUCACAGGGGUUGGGAGUGUUGGGCACUAAAUCUUGCUACAGCUCUUCUUGAAACUAUAGGGACUGAUAUAUCGCCACAGCCGACACGCAGCAUAGCAAAAUUAAAUGUCGUAAAAUCCAUGACAAGCCUGAGGCCAUAGAAAGCAGCGUUGACUUCAACUCCAGCGAAACCAGCCUCUGUGAUUGCAGAAUCAACAACCCUCUCAGGUCCAUACUUCUAAAAAGAAAAGAAGCUUUAGACACAUUGAAAGACUCUAGGAUAUGCAAACAUUUCCUCAUCAAACGCAGCAUUCAUGGCCUCUCUCACAAUCAUCUCUUUCCCAUAGUAUCAUAACUACGUAACGGCAUUUCUGCAGCACAACUCUUCCGUGGCCUUUCUCUUGACAACAUAGCAUCCGAGCCUCCGGCAUUGGCUUUUCGUAUUAGAAUCGAUAACAUCAUGCGCUCUUGAACUCUCUCUCUCUCUCUCUCUCUCUCUCUCUCUCUCUCUCUCUCUCUCUCUCGGACGGGUAUCCUUGGAAACAAAGUCCAGCUUCGUCAUUCCAUCGAACACCUUCCUUGCAAACUCGAUUCCCUCCUCCACAGCACAACCAACGGCAAUUGAAUUUCAGAAGACAGCGAGAGAAUUGGGAGAAAAAACAAGAUCGAAACAGAAAUCAACAGACAAAUCUGGAACGAAUCGAAAUUCAUUCUAGAGUUCAACGGGAGACGACGAAUUUCGUCAUCGCUUCAAUGUCACGAGGAACCGGCUGUCUCUGAAGAUCUCUCGAAGCAGCGAUCGUAAGAGAUUCCAGUUGACAGGCUCACUCCCUCAUGGUUUCGUAGAGAGAGAAAGAGAGAGAUUCUUCUCUGAAUUUUGGACAACUUGUUCUUUUCUCCUCUCUCUCCUUUCUUUUAUUUGCACUUUUGUUAUUUCUUUUUAUUUUGUUUUGUGUCUUUGAUUUGUAUUUUAUAAUAACAAAAGUACAAAUAAAAUUCAGCUUCUUCAAUGAAGGAACUGAAUUUUAAUAUUUUAUCCCCUCUUUUCUUUUAUUUGUAUUUUUGUUUUUUGUUUUUUAUUUUAUACAUCUUUAAUUUGCCGAUAAAACUAAUGAUACAGUCAAAAAGUUGAAGCUAUACUCCGAUACUGGAUGGGCAUCACUCUUUAAUUUGGCCAUAAGUGAAAUCCAUGCAAGUAGCACGUUCCAUCCAAGUACGCUAAUCCAACGAUGCAUGCUCCCUGGCCAAAGCAUUGGGCAUCACCAUAAGAACCACCGGCAUAGUGGUCUAAUCAUCGGGUCUCAAUGUCAGAUUUUCAAAAUAUCGUUCAGUUGCGCUCAAUUUAGGAAAUUUGGAUUUUAGUUAGAGCUGAGAUGGUCAUUAUUCGCUUCAUUUGUAAUUUAGAAAUAAUGUCUUAUUUUCCUUCUCACCAAGUCUCUUUCAUCUUUCAUUUUCCCCGAUCUCUCGUUCUCUCUUAUCUCAUGAUCAUCGAGUCGUCCAGUCCCCCACCAACCCGCCACCGCGCCACCUUCGAGCCCUGAGCCCUGCUACUCACCGUAUGCUCGAGAAAAUAUUGGGUACGUGAGACGCUCCAGCCUGUCAAACAAGAAGGCGUUCGGAGCGCGACACGUAUCCUCCCGUGGGACCCAUCAUCUUUAAAUAUUGGACGAGCAGGGCCACCAGAAACCUUUCCCUCCCGGUCAAAUUUGAAAAAUUCGGGGCGCUCUCUCUCUCUCUCUCCUCCCAAGAAAAUAUUAGCUGGGCCCCACGACAGAUCCUUCUCUCUUACAAUUAAUUUGAACGGAAGCGUUGGACUCUCUCUCUCUCCAUUUUUUCUUUCGACUCUCGCCCGGUUGCUCUGCCCUCCGCUUCUUCUCCGAUCGGACACGGAGCCGCCGGCCGACGAAUCACGCCACCGCCGCUGCUUCCGCAUCCGCCUCGUCGGCCGCCACUGCAUCUGAGCUAGAGCUAGUAUUUUCUCGUUCGUUCUGCCCCUUCGUCGCGCUGCUCCUCCGGCGAACGACGGAGCCCGCCGUCCGACGAACCACACCGCCGCACUUCCGCAUCCGCCUCUUCCGCCACCUCCGCAUCUGCAUUCUCCUCCGUCUUCAAUGGCGACCGGGCUCUUCCUCUCCCAGUCGCCGUCGAAGAAUCCGUACUCGAAAUCAACGUCCGGGCUGAUGCAGGGGAUGCGAGGGAGACGGAAGCGGGACCUCUUGGAUGCUCCGGGUCGAUGCAUCUUGACGUGGAAGACCAGGGUCUUGUCGAACGAGAGCUCGCGCUCCCCUUAGCGGAUAGGCAUCGAGCUGCGGUAGCCGCAACCGCCACCGAUGCCCUUGACAAAUCCAGCCACGGCGAGACGGAACUUGAUCACGAGGAGCCGCCUGAACGCCCCGCCUCUCCUCGGCCACAGCAGCGCAAGGCGGACCACGUCCCAAGCUCUGCGAGUGACGCCGGAGUCCCCGCUUGCCAUUUCCGAAUGCAGAACGUGUUACAGAGAUGGUGAGGACGGCGAAUCGCAAGCGAGCGGAAGCCCAACGCCGGAGUCCCCGCUUGCCAUUUCCGAAUGCAGAACGUGUUACAGAGACGGUGAGGACAGCGAAUCGCAAGCGAGCGGAAGCCCAACGCCGGAGUCCCCGCUUGCCUUUCCUGCUUUACCCAUCUCUCUCUGUUGGUCGGAGCGAGCUUGAGAUGCAUAACAAUGGAAGCUGCCGACAAGGCCACGGAGAAAGCAUUGGCCGAUUCCCUCUCGCGGGAAGUGAACCCUAUCUUUCUCUUUGUUUUUCUUUCUUUUUUCUUGUUGAACAAACGUGCGAAGCUCUCUGCAAAAGCAGUUGUCAUCACUGAAUUUCAAAUAGGCCUGCUAUGCAUGUAAAUGAAUUGCUUAAAUCCAUUGACCCAUUUGUGAUCAUUCAGUGAAUCAGGCUUUGGCUGGCGUUAGAGAUUAUAACUCCCUCAUUGCUUCCUUGUUUCUGCUCAAUUUUAAGAUCAAGGUUAUGUGGGUGAACGGUUCUUGCUCUGUUCCAGAGAAUACUUGCCUUGAUACCAGAAGUUGCUGCUUAUUAUGAUAUCAAAGAUUCUUGGAUUGUGUUUUGCUAUAAUGAUUUACAAUAUACUUCUAUUUGGCCAGAAAAUAUCGAUUUGAUUAUUGUAUCUUGGUAGACUGAAGCUGCUUUUCUUAGAUUGAUGUGCGAACUCCGAGCAAUAGGAAAAUACCGACUAGCACGGUUCAAACAAAUGAUGGUGUUGCCCACGGCAAUGUUCAUUGCUUGUGCAUAAUGGUGCCUUCAUUCUUUUAGGUCGAUAAUGCCGUGAGAAUAACUGAACAAGCCCCGCAAGCUCAUCACUGGAGACGACAAAAUGGCAAACAAUGCCAUAAUAGAUAAAACAAAAACAAAGCAUAUUGAAAGGGCAACCAUAUAUGCCAAAUUCUAAAAGGUUGGUAAGUUAGACUAACAAUGUUGGUAAAUUAUAAGAGAAGCCGGUAAGUUCAGAGCGAGCAAAUGAACAUCAAGCUAGAAAAGUUUUUAGAAAAGUCAAGUUGGUAAGUUAGACAAACAAUGUUGGCAAAUUAUAAACGGGUUCAACAAGUGACAAAAGUUUUUAAAAAAUAUACCAACACGGAAGAGCAUUCUAUACUUUGUGUACCAUAAAGCUAGAAAUCAGCAAAAAGUAAACGAACAGCAUCAACAAAAUUGCAAUAUUAUUAUUGAUGAUUGUUUCAGAAAACAACACAUUUCUUCGAACUUAGGGACUUAGCUACACGCUUUCUCUUCCAGAUCCAAAGGACUUAACAAUUCCUAGUUUUAUUUUUUCAUCGAGAUCCCCAUGAUCGAGUUCAGACCUCGGUUACAGACGAAUAAAGAAGAAUGCAGAGAGCCAAACAGUGCUCCAUGAAACAGAAGGAAGUCUAGGUCGACGAUUUCCCGUCUCUCGGGGGCUUGUCUGCAUACCUCCACGAGUAACAAGAGAACCCUUCUUGAAUGCUGCCACCGACGACCUCCUCGAUCGGCAUAGCAUCCGCUAUCUCUCUCACAUCAUCCUCUACAAGAUGGAGUUCACUUCCCGCGAGAGGGAAUCGGCCAAUGCUUUCUCCGUGGCCUUGUCGGCAGCUUCCAUUGCUAUGCAUCUCAAGCUCGCUCCGACCAACAGAGAGAGAUGGGUAAAGCAGGAAAGGCAAGCGGGGACUCCGGCGUUGGGCUUCCGCUUGCUUGCGAUUCGCCGUCCUCACCGUCUCUGUAACACGUUCUGCAUUCGGAAAUGGCAAGCGGGGACUCCGGCGUCACCCGCAGAGCUUGGGACGUGGUCCGCCUUGCGCUGCUGUGGCCGAGGAGAGGCGGGGCGUUCAAGCGGCUCCUCGCGGUCAAGUUCCGUCUCGCCGUGGCUGGAUUCGUCAAGAGCAUCGGUGGCGGUUGCGGCUACCGCAGCUCGAUGCCUAUCCGCUAAGGGGAGCGCGAGCUCUCGUUCGACAAGACCCUAGUCUUCCACGUCAAGAUGCAUCGACCCGGAGCAUCCAAGAGGUCCCGCUUCCGUCUCCCUCGCAUCCCCUGCAUCAGCCCGGACGUUGAUUUCGAGUACGGAUUCUUCGACGGCGACUGGGAGAGGAAGAGCCCGGUCGCCAUUGAAGACGGAGGAGAAUGCAGAUGCGGAGGUGGUGGAAGAGGCGGAUGCGGAAGUGCGGCGGCGUGGUUCGUCGGACGGCGGGCUCCGUCGUUCGCCGGAGGAGCAGCGCGACGAAGGGGCAGAACAAACGAGAAAAUACUAGCUCUAGCUCAGAUGCAGUGGCGGCCGACGAGGCGGAUGCGGAAGCAGCGGCGGUGGCGUGAUUCGUCGGCCGGCGGCUCCGUGUCCGAUCGGAGAAGAAGCGGAGGGCAGAGCAACCGGGCGAGAGUCGAAAGAAAAAAUGGAGAGAGAGAGUCCAACGCUUCCGUUCAAAUUAAUUGUAAGAGAGAAGGAUCUGUCGUGGGGCCCAGCUAAUAUUUUCUUGGGAGGAGAGAGAGAGAGAGAGUGCCCCGAAUUUUUCAAAUUUGACCGGGAGGGAAAGGUUUCUGGUGGCCCUGCUCGUCCAAUAUUUAAAGAUGAUGGGUCCCACGGGAGGAUACGUGUCGCGCUCCGAACGCCUUCUUGUUUGACAGGCUGGAGCGUCUCACGUACCCAAUAUUUUCUCGAGCAUACUCUCUCUCUCUCUCUCAGUCUUUCUUCUCGUGUCUCGCCCACAUGUCAGCGAGUUACAAAGCGAGUGAUGGGACGGACUCGCUUUUUUGCUCGUGUCAGGGUCUCCCUCCCGCUCCCCCUCUCUCCAGCAAGUGGCAAAACAGGUUUUUACUAGCCUGUUCUGAUGUCUAGGGGUGAGCGGUUCCCAGUUCCUUACAGGUUUCAGGUUCCAAGCGGAACCUGGAACCUACCCUCGAGUACAGGUUCUUCAUUUUUUGGAACAUGAAACUUACCCGUCAGAACCAAGAACCUGGAACCUACCCUGUCACAGGUUCCGGGAUCGGUUCCAAGUUCCAAUAGGUUUUUUUUUUUUUUUUUCAUUUUUAGUUUAAGAAAAAUGGAAAUGAAUGCAGCAAUAAUAAACAAACUUGUCAUUCAUCUAAGAUAGGACAAUAAAAGGAGGAAAAUAACAGAUGAUGAAAGUGCUUUGAUGGAAGCAAGUUCAUCAGAUUUGAUUGAACAACGCAUAAACAAAUUUCAUGAAUUUAGAUGCCCAUAACCUCAAGCUAUAGACUAACUGACCAAGCAACGGAAGCAGUAUUAGUAGAAUGGACAAGAGAGCUUCAACAGCCUGAUUUCUAUUCAAUGAAAAAAUGUCACUAUCCAACAAAGUACAUACAGAUGCGCCUCUUGCUGAGAAUCAUCAGUUCCCCAUAUAUAUUCCACAAACUGACUUCCCUACUUUUCAAAAAGGAAGAACAAAGCAACAAUAAUUCAGGAAGCCGAUUGGGCGUAUGAACCCUCAUCAAGCACCCUUUACGUUGAUAUUACAAUGGAGAUUGGGUAAACUUGAAUGUUAGCUCUACAAUUGGAAGAAACGGUGUACAGCAGAAUGAAUUCAAAAUAAAAAAGUUAAUUACCUCUGGCAUAUCAUUAGGACAGCCAAACUUAUGACAUCCGUCCACAUACCCUGCAAAGAGGCCGGUAUCAUUCGUCUCUCAGCUUUGAAGUCAGAAACUGGAUAUUCAAGAAACUAUCAACGCUCUUUUCCUGGAUUUGAUGAACCGGCAUGUAUGGAUAUGCCCUCUCCCGGCUUUAGCUCUACUUGACAUAUAGCACACAUGAACAGCCUAAACAUGUUGCAUAGGGGGUAUUUUGUAUCUAGUCUGCAUUUUACAAGCAUUUCUCAGUCAAAGAAACAUUGAUACGUCAUGCAAUCACAGUUAGGCAUACAAGAGUGGUCCACCAAAUUACUGUAAAAAAAGAUCCAUUGUUGUGACUGAAAGUGGAGGUUAAGAUGUAGACCUUUAUGAGAGCAUUGCGGAUCCGUCCUCAUAUAACUCCUCCACUACAUCUGGCUCAAUAUAUUCUUGAUCAAUCUGAGAAGAUGAUUCGGAUGACUUUUUACGAAACAUUGACUUGAAUACUCCUUUUCCUGGCUUCUUUGGUGGUGGCAAAGAAGCCAUUGGUUUAUCUUGCGGUAAUAUAUCAAUAACAAUGCAUGUUGUAUCAUCUCGAAGUCUUUUUUCAUGUAAAGCUUCCUGUAAUAAAAGAGGCCGUGAGUUUACAUCUAAUAUAAAGUACAUCAAGCUACGUCAUGUACCAGAUACAAUUUCACCACACAAUAUUUACCACAAACAAAUUAAAUGUUAUCCUAUUAAGUAGGGUUAGCCAUAUGAAUUCUUCCAAUGCCAUUGCACUUUGUGUCAAGACUUCCAUAAGAUCUAAGUGGUCCACAUCUUUUCUUAUAAUCUCCUUCCUACGUCUUCCCUCUUCCCAUUUAACUAGAGUCUUCAUCUCAUACCCACAUCUCCUCACUGGAGCAUCUGAAGGCUUCCCGUUUCAAACAUAUAAGCCUUGUCUAGGUUGUCUCUUCCUCUCCUCCUGAGCAUGAACAAGAGAAUGCAAACUACUCUUGUAGCAGGCGUGCCACAUAUUCCAUGUCUUUCAGUGAACAUCUCUUUCCACCAAUGUUGGUAGGUACUUAAGGUUAAAGCUGCAUUCACGAGGGAAGAAAUAUUCAAGAAUGUUUUGCUCUCCUUUAAACAGCUUAUGAGAAAUGAACCUAUUAGGGAUAGAACAUUGCAUAAAGGGGACUAUAUCAACCAAAAUCAAACAUUUAAAGCACAAUUCAUUACAGCAAAUAAGUAAUCAUCACUCCCAAACCAGGGUCCAUAAACCCCGAUGGAAUUACUCCUGUAUUGAGCUUACUAAAAGAGCACACCUCAACGGCAUAAGGACUAAAGACUUUCAGAAUUAUAAGAAAACAUCAUAUAUAUUGGCCAUCAGGUUAAAGAAACAAAAGAGACAGCAAAAUGGGGGCUUCUUCUCUGCACUUAUCCAGUAAAGUGCAACCAAGUAAGCACGUCACUGAAAGACAUUUUGUUUUCACAUGUUCUACUCAGAUUUCCAAAACAUCAAGCCCAACUAACUAAAAAACAACAACGAGUGUUAGACGAGCACCACGAAAAACAUAAGACUCUAAGCAAUGUUUCUAUUUCGAAGAUUAAAAGAAAAGACAAGGCAGAGCUGCGGCAUCGUGGGCUUUGGGGGCACGGCUUCGGGCGCGACUUCAAGUCACGGCGAAGGCAGAGCAGCGACGUCGCGGGCUGCAGGCGAGGUGCGGCAAAGGCAGCAGCGGGCCGAGCAGGAGCGACGUCGGGGCACGGCAGAGCAGCGGCGUCGCGGGCUACAGGCGAGGCGCAGCGAAGGCAGCAGCGGGCGGAGCAGGAGCGACGUCGGUGCGGGCUGCAGGCGAGGCGCGGCAGGGAUGCUAUUUGGUGGCGUCGAGCAGAGGGCGAAGAGAGAACAGACUCGUGGGUGAAGCAGCAGCCAGCAAGAGGAAGGAAGAAGAAGAAGAAGAAGAAGAAGAAGAAGAAGAAUGGGGGGUUUCGGCCGAGAGAGGAGGACAGAGGAGAGAGAGAAGAAAAGAAAAAAGUAGGGGUAGGGGGGCAGGAAGUGACGUGUGAGAAGGAAAAAGAAGAGAAAAGAAAGAGAGAGAAAAAAAAAAGAAAGGGGAAGGAGGGAAAAUCGAGGGGGAAAUCACGUGGGGGAAGGGGAGAAGGGGAGGUUUUGGGUUUUUUUUUUUUGAAUUUGACCGGUUCCGGUUCUUGUUCCAGGAACCGGAACCGGAACCGAGAACCGCCGGUUCCCAAGAAAAAGGAACUGGGAACCGGAACCGGCCACUUUAGAACCGGGAACCGAACCGGACCCUCCCGGUGCGGUUCCGGUUCCCGGUUCUACCCGGAACCACGCUCACCCCUACUGAUGUCUUCAAGGUUUUUGAAUUUAGGAUGUGUUAUUUGAAUUUCUCAUAGAGAGUUAAAGCAAAAACUAAAAUAAAAUAAACACAUUUUUUUUUUAAUUUCGGGCCGUGCCAAACCCUUGGAUCUGGGCCAUAUGGUAUGGCUUCAGUCCGGGCUAGGUCCUCAGUCACACGUUUUUGGAUUGACCCCCAAAAUAAAAGAAAGGUUUCGCUCCGGUCCUUUGGCCACAAGGCCUUUAUUGGCUUCCACAGCUAAUAGGCUAUGUAGCACGGACAUUCUCCGGAAGCCUUCGUGUCGUAUUCGACACUCCGACACAUAUCCGACACGCUCCGACACGUCCCGACACGCUCCGACACGCGAGUCCAGAAUUCCGACACGUGAUUCCGACACGCACGGGGUCAAUUUUAAAAAAUUUCUAAUACUUGAGAGAUCAAAAUAUAAAUAUACACUUUUGUAAUAAAAGAAGUAAUAAAAUUACUAUAAAUAUACACACAUGGGGUCAAUUUUUUUUUUCAGUUUUUUUUAGAAUUGUUUUAUUUUUUUUAAAGUCUUUUACUAUGAAAGAAGUAAUAAAAAAAUGCCAUAUAUGAUAAAUAAAUAAAUUUAAAAAAAUAUUAUUUCAGAAUUUUUCUUUAAACAAUGUUUUUUUCCUUUAAGUUUUGUGUAUUAUUGUAACAAAUUAAAAUAAUGAAUGAUAUUAUUUAAUAUUUUUCGUGUAAAUUAAUUCUAGGCUAUUAUUAUUAUUAUUAUUAUUAUUAUUAUUAUUAUUUAUGUAUUUAUAUAUAAAAAUAUAUUUAAUAUAUAACGUGUCGGAACGUGUCGAAAUUCUCUAUUUUUAAGAAAUGACGUGUCGGCGUGUCGUGUCGUGUCGUGUCGCGUGUCGCGUGUCCGUAUCGGUGCUAUAUAGCUAAUAGGUGGUCCAGCGAAUGACUGCGGAGCCGUUGGAGAUGAUAAGGGAUGCUAUUCUUCCAUAUCAGCUAACCUCACAAGUUUUCGGAGAACGGUUUGGUUUCGCCUCUUCUCUGUGUUUUUCCCCUUUCUGGGGUUCCUUUUUUCUCUCCCCUUUCUCUCAGCAUUGUGUAAUAUCAGCUCAUGCGAGCGAGCCAAUUGUGAGAAUUGCUUGUAAUUUUCUUGUUUUUUGUUUCUUUUCUUGGCAAAUGGAGCAACACCUAAAACUCCAAUCGCAUUUCAUUAAAUUGGGUAUCAUUAAUCCGGCCAAACCUACAACUUGAGGUGAGUUGUUUUCUUUCAUGACAAAGGCAGGAACACUAGCAUCUUACUAGUCGAAAGUUAAAAAGACUUUUAUCAAGAUACGAUAGUUGGAGCUAUAUAAUUCGUGAUAAAAUAUCGUGCUCUUCUAUUUCCUAUCGAUCGAGUGACAUGCAAAGACUAACAUAAUUUCUAAAAUAAAGGGUUUAUUGUUAUUAGCCCGUGAGAAGACCCAGGAAAAGGGCGAAACAAGAAUUGAAAACUUGUCAAAGAGGACAAAGGAAGAGCAAAUUCUUAUCUGGAUGUGGGGAAUCAUGACCAAAGGGGUUCUCAUCGUUGUCGUUAAUCGUUGGAGCCCCGCACUUGAUUAACGGCUCGAUCUCGGGUGCACGAAUCCGGAUCCAAGGCGAAAAGAGGGAAAGGGCCCCGUCCUGAGGAUGAUCGGGCGCGGGAGGAGGGAGGGAACACGGUAAAAGCGGUGGGGUGGCGGGGCAGGGGAGUGCACCGGCAGACUACUCCUGUUCAAUUUCGAUUGGGUUUGUGAGGUUAAUAAUAAUUCAGACGCACACUCAUUAAUGCCACAUUCCAAGCCUAAAUGAACUGAAAAGGACGUGCUUCUGGAUGUCCUUAUCCUUUCUCGUUAUGUUGUUCUUCAUUUUGAAUUUGAAAUUAAGGGUCAUGACCUAGUUAAAAUUAUGGGUUUUAUUUUUCCCACGGGGAACACCAAAGAGGUUCAUGAGAAAAUAUAAUGAGAAAUCUUCCAAUGGCCUGUGGAAUUGGAAAAAUGUGAUGAGAUGGUUUGGUUAUCAAACGGUUGGGAUGAAUUCGUAGAGCAUUACUCUAUCUGUGUGGGACAAUUUUUGGUCUUCAAAUCUGAAGUGGACUCCAUUUUCCAUGUAAUCAUAUUUGAUAAAAGCAAGUCCAAGAUAGAAUAUCCACCAAUAAAUGCCAAUGGGAGGAACCGACCCUCAGCAGUUGGGCAUUUGUCUGGUUGAAAGUGGAAGAUGCCGACGAUUUCCGUGAUGUUUCGGUCAAGCUUGAAGUCUAGGGGGAUGAAUUGCAUUCACCCAAGUGUCCUCGGCUUUGUAAGGCAAUGGAAUCUGAUCGGGUUUGUGAAGUUCAUGACGGUUCCUAUGCACACUCAUCAGCACAGAGUUUGCGAAGAGACGGAAGUUCGAACUCCUUAUCAUGAGAUUUUCAAGGUAUGAAUCUUAAUCUACGAGCUGGUUCUCCAUAUGAUUGUGUUCUCGUGUUUGAUUCCAAUUCCGUAUUCCGUAUAGGAACUCUCCAUGUGAUUUGGCUAAGAGAGGGAGCGUUAAAGCUAAUUCAACCUUGUAGGGCCCAUUUGGUUCACCUUUUGAGAAAUGCAUUUGCCAAAAUGCAAAUACCUUUAGGUGAAUAAGGUUUUCCGAAAUGCAAAUAUCGUUUGGUAAAAUUUGCAUUGAGAUACAGCUUUUGCCAAAAUAUCGUUUGGUAAAAUUUGCAUCUAUAAAUGACUUUUAUUAAAUUAAAAAAAACAUUUGUAUUUUUUUUUUGAAGUCCAGUCACCGGACCGCCGGAUCUGGCGGCUGAACCGCUGAAUCUAGUGACUGAAUGGCCGGAUCUGGCAGUGCGACCCUAGGCAACGCUCAGGCGCCUGAGGUCGCGCGACCCAGGCAACGGUCGCCUAAGGUGGCGCGACCUCGCCGGCGGUCGCCUAGGUCACGCGACCUCAGGUGACCGUCACCGAGAUUGAGCGGCCUUGGCGAUCGCCGCCUGAGGUCACGCGACCUCAGGCGGCUGCUUGGGUCGCAUGACCCAGGCGUCACCUGAGGCCCAGCUACAGUCGCCGGGGUCGGGCGACCCUUAGGUGGUACUCGCCAGAGCCUUGUCGACACACGCAACUCGAGUCGCCGACCUCCAGUCAGCUUCUUCCGAUGGUGUGCGGUGGUUUUGGAGAAGAUGAACAGUACCGGACUUGCAUUCCGGAGAUGCAACUUCCGAAAAGUACCUCCAGAGCUGCAUUGGGCUAAAGGCCCUUAAAGCCACUUAGAGAUGCAAUUGCAUCUCGCCAAAGUUAUUCAAAAAAACGAACCAAACACCUUUGCAUUUGGCCAAAGGACUUUCCAAAUGCCCAACCAAAUAGGGCCGUAGUGCUUAUCUAUCUCUAGCUUUCCCAUGUGUGCAUAUGUAUGUUUUAGGGGAUCUCAUAAAUGUCAAGCCAAUGGAAACAGGCCGAAUGAGUCAUAUCGGAUUUGAUUGUGCUGAAAUUGACAUUGGUGUGCAUAUAGGCCUCGAAAGCUAGACCAUUAGAAAGACCUAGAUCCAUCAAAUUGGGGUUGAUGUAUCAGGAGAUAUGAAUUUCACAUAAUAAGAAUAGCAUAUGCCUAAGCUUUCUUCAUGUUCUAAUUUGUGACUGUUGCAGAUAAACUGAAACAACUGGGCUUGCGCAGAGUUGUCAAAUCAUAUAGCAAAAUUAAACCCGACCACAUUGCGGUGAGGUGAAUAUAUCUAAAGAAAAGCAAUGUGGUAUGAUCCUCAUGACAAUGACAACACUUGAAUUUAAAUCACAGAGUCGCUAGACUAUAUUAGCUCUAGAUUGAUUGUGCAUCGGGUCAUUAAUUUCUGUUUUUAUCCUUGACAUGCUUUGAAAAGGAUCCUCGUACUGUCUUGGUGAGAAAUCGUUGGUUGUCUUCUUCUUUCUGAUGACAAAACUGCGGAACGUGCACUUGAGUAAAGAGUUCCCGAUCCAUUCCCAAAGAUGCACUUCAAGAAAAGCCUGUAGACUGUGGCUCUUAUAUAUCAGGACAAAUCGUGGCCGGUGAAGCGCAUUAGCCACGAACAUUAUGGAAAGUCAUCUAUUGGUUGGGCUACUUUCUCGAGAGAAACUUCUCUGAAGGAGUGAGGCUUGUGCAUGUUUGAGUUCUAUUAGAAGGGGCAACGUCGUGUUCAGAGUAUACAUCUUCAAGACCACUAGCCAGAGGUAGCUGAAAAAUCCUAUGCAAUAGGACACGGCAAAGGAAGCAUCACUUUAGCUCAGAAUUGCUUGGCUAAAAUCUGCUUCAAAUUUGACAAAUCAGAAAAAAGCAUGAGUUUUAUUCUAAUGAAUGGAAAGAUACCUUUAAUCGAUCCUAGUGUUACAGUCGCCAUGUGGGGAUGAGUCAUGAGUCAUGAGACGGAGGAAGCUAAUUGCUUCUAGUACAAGUCACACAACCUCAUUUCCUUACUCCUCCCAUAGUAGAUUUCCGUUGUCAUCCAACCACUCUUUAUACUUCAAAACACAAAAGGAAAUUUAUAUUCAUUUAAGCAAACAGAGAGAAUAAAAGGAUGUAAAAGCCAUCCUUCGAGUCUAUAUUAAUCAAAAUAUUUAGUGCUCUCUGGUGGUUUUUUUUUUUUUUUUUGAUCGGUCCUACUCUAACACUCACUCUCAAACUUUUGCCCUUACCUCCUUGCAGGGCGUGGGAGUCAAAACCCACUCCUGAAAUGAAAUCGUCCUCACCCCAAUCCCCCUUGAGAAGGUGGGGAUUUGAACUCCCAACCUCCCCCUUCCAAGUUGGAAUGGUGGCCAUUGGGGCGAACCCCCAAUGGUUCUCUCUGGUGGUUAAUACAUAGAUUUUGAUUAUAAUCGGACAUAUACUGAGCACAACUGAAGAAGAGUUCUAUAAGCCAGCAAUGACCUAAAAAAUAGUUCCACAAGAGGGCUCAACCUCCUCGACUUAUUAAAUGAAUCACAAGGCAAGGAAAAGAGAACUUGGGCAAUUAAUGGCAUUAAACGCAAUUAAUGCGAAUUAUGCAGAAAUUAUUAGAAUUAUAGUGAGCUGGGGCUUAGAUGGUGUUCCUUACUCUUGUCAAUUGACGAUGAUAAAGAAAAGUAAAUAACUUGUGUGAAAGUUACCGAAUCAUUUAAAAAUUUAGUGUCUUUAAAACUUACAAAAUUUAUUAAUCAGAUAAAAAAAAUUUACAAAAAAAUUUUACAAAUUAUCUAUGGUUACAAAUUACUUUCAAUCUGCAAAAUGUUACUUACAAAUUUGAAAAACUCUUUUAUGCAUGUGACACUCCAAAUUUCAUAUGGAUUAGAAGAGGGAUAAUUGACCAAUAGAUAAGUGUGAAUGCAAACCACCACCACUAGAUAUUCACCUCCCGAAAAACUUAUUUAGGGGCUUAGAUCAUAACAAAUCGGAUUGUUAAUAUUAGAAAAUUCCAUGCCUAACUUAUAGCUCGAACUUGCACAUUAAUUAAAGAUAUUUAACUUUUUCUAGCCGAGAGAAUGGACAAAUCUAGGCGAGCAAUUCUCUACUUGGUAUUUGGCUCAAAUAAAAGUUGUACUCUACAAUGCUAACCUAAGAAAAGUAUAUAAUUCUCUCAAAUUAAGAUAGGUAAUUUCGCACAAAAAUUGUUAAGCGUGAUUGUGGUUGGUGGAGGAGAAACACCUAUGUAGAUAAACCAAGAAAGCAAAUCUUCAUAAUACAAAAGUAAUUUAUACUAGCCAUUUAGCUUAAUUCUCCAAAAAAGCAUCAACUUUAACUGGAGUAUCAAUUUAGGCCUGACCCUUUUUUUUGUAAGGGAAAAGACCAUCAAAAAUCCCAAACUUUGCCUAAAGUGACAAAUUUACCCCAAACUUUUUUUUUUACGUGAAAAACCCCAAACUUUUCAAAUUGUGGCACAUUUACCCCAUCAAGGACAUUUUUGUCUUAUUUUUUAGGUUUUUCCUUUUUCUUUUUUUCUUCUUCUUCCCUUCGUUGGCCAUGGCGGAGGGAAGCUGGAGUCCGGCAAGGGCUGCCCUCGCCGGCGUUGGGCGAGGGUUGCCCUUGCCUAGGCUGGCUAGGGCCACCCUCGCCGGCGUCGGGUGAGGGCAGCCCUCAGCUGGGCUGGCCCAAUGCCAGUGAGGGCCUCCCUCGCCUGACGCUGGUGAGGGCACCCCUCACUCGAUGCAAGCGAGGGCCACCCUCGCCCGGCGCCGGUGAGGGCCGCCCUAACCAGCCCAGGAGGGGCGACCCUCACCCGACGUCGACAAGGGCAGCCCUCGUCGCACGCCAGCUUCCUUCCACCAACUCCGCUAUGGCCGACAAAGGGAAGAGAGAAGAAAAAAAAUUAAAAAUAAAAGACCAAAAUACCCUUUAGUUUAGGGUAAAUGUGUCAUGGUUGACAAAGUUCGGGGUUUUUCAUUUCACAAAAAAAAAAAUUUGGGUAAAUCUGUCACAGUUGGCAAAGUUCGGAAUUUUUCACGUCACAAAAAAAAAAGUUUGGGGUAAAUCUGGCACUUUAAACAAAGUUUAGGCUACAUUUAGUCGUUUGGAUAAGAUAAGAUAUGAAAUCCUGGGAUUUUUUUAUAUCCUGUCAAUUGUUUGGUGAAUCGCAGAAUUAAAAUCGGAUAUAUUCACAUUAUAUUAUAUACAUUUUUUAAAUAUAAAUGGCAUAUCAUUAUAAAUGAAACUAAAUAUUCAUAAACGAAGAUGGUGAAAAUCUCACGCAACACUAUUCCUUAAUUUAUUUUUAUUUUAUUUUUCCUCUUGUUUUAUAUUAUUUUCUUUAUUAUUUCUUUUUUCCCCUUUCAUCAUUCUUUAAUAAAAUUUUAUCAAGUAGUAAACUAUACUAACAUACAUAAAAUACAAAAAUACAUAAAAUAUAUAAUAAAUAUAAAUAUUUAAUUUAUAGAUUGAAUGUUUAUUAUAAGAUAGAAUUAAAGUUGAAUAUAUAAAUUAAAAUAAGAUUAAUUAAAAUAAAUUUCUAUUUUUUAUUUUUAAUUUCUUAAAUUAUAAUUCAAAUAUUAUUUAUAUUGAAAUAUAAUUUCAAUUUUGUUAAUUUAAUAAGUUUGAUAUUCGAGAAAAAUAACUUUCGUACUAUAGACAUUAGAAAUCCUAUCCACCUUUAUCCCAUCUCCCCCAUGGGAUAAUUUUCCUACAUAUAUUCCCCUUAUAUCUGACUUUAUCUUGUUUUGAGUGAGCACCAAGCGCAGGAUAUGAUAAAUCAUAUCUUAUCCUGAAUUUUAUCCUGUCUACCAAAUGCAGCCUUAAAGUUUUUCGUGAUUUUUCCCUUUUUGUAAUAAAAAAUCAUCAACUUCCAUGCCCAAAUCUAACCCCGCUUAACUUUCCGUCAACUAAUGGUGUUAAAUGUUUGAUGCGUCAAUUUCAAGUCAUUAUCUUUUCCCAAGUCAGAAUUUAUAUAUAUGAUGUCUUUCUUUUUCUUUUCUUUUUUUCUUUUGUCCUUUUUCUUUCUUCUUCUUCCUCUCACUGGACGACAGCCUGACCACCGUGAGUCAGCCGCACGAUCCAAUCAACGGCCCAGCCCUCCGUCCACCACCACCUCACCGCCGUCCUAGCCCUCUAUCCACCACCACCUCGCCACCUUCCACAACCCCAGCCGUCCAUCCUCGCUUCCGCCCUCGACCUCCGCUAAGAUUUUUGUUUUCCCCAACCUCUCGCCAUAUAUCUCCACCACUAGCGCCUCUACUCUUGGCCAAUGACCCCCUGGCUUCCGAUGUCCAGUAGCCCGGCCGCGGCUCGUCCUCGCCGUCGUCGAGCUCGAGUUCGGCCGGUGCUCUCGAGCCUCAAAUUUUGGGUCCAAGCUCAAGCGAGCCUUAGAUUCCAGAUAUGGGGAUCAGCUUGACCUCAGAUUUGUGUUGAUUAAGGUUGAGUAGGGUCGACGGUAGCCACAACUAGAUUUUUGGAGGUCAAUAUCCGUCCGUCCAUGGCUUUUCAAUCCGAGUCUGUGCAUGUUUCUUGACUCAAAAUGGGUGAAUCGGCAGAAAGUUCAGAUUUCUUUUGUUCAGAAUAAGAUCACGACCAGUUUUAUUUAAAAUAUAAGCAAAUAUAAAAUAAAAUAAAAUGCAAUGACAAAAGAGAAGCAUGGUGUAGUUUGUCACUUUUUUUUUUUUUGGGUAAGAGGUAAGAAUGUGUAGUUAGUCACUUUGGGCGCGUUUGGUAACGUUUCUGUUCAAAAAUUUAUUCCAAGGAACAUAAAUAGAAAAAACUAUUUUUGCUCCGGGAAACAAUUUUUGAAUAGAAGAAGGCGUUUGGUAAACUUGUUGCGGGAAUAAAAAAUGAACAGAAACACGUUCGGUAAAUUUGUGUUCUUUUUUUGUUUCUUUUAAUUUUUUAAUAUUUUUAUUUUAUUUUUUUUCUUUUUUCUUUUUUUCUUCUUUUGGCCGGUCGCCGACCUCAGCCAUGGCCGACGACCGAUCGACGAGGGCUGGCAGCCUCGCCCAGCCACGGCGAGGCUCACCGGCCCCCGGCGAGGGCCUCACCGGGCUCGCCUUGGCUGGGUGAGCUCGGGCUCGCCCAGAUCCGGCGAGCGCAAGCUCGCCCAGCCUUGCCCCGCUCCGACGAGGCUCGUCGUCACCUUGGCGGGGCGAGCUCGGGCUCGCCCAGAUCUAGCAAGCCCGAGCUCGCCCAGCCACCAGUGAGGCUCGGCCUCGCCGGGCCACCGCCAAGCCGGUAAGCCUCACCGGUGCGGGGCAAGGCUGGGCGAGCUCGGGCUCACCGGAUCUGGGCAAGCCCGAACCUCGCUAGGAGCUGGUGAUGCUCGGCCUCGCCGGGGGCUGGUGACGCUCUGGUGAGGUCACCGGCCCUCGACGGUGUCGCCGGCCUUGGCCGAGGCCUGCGAACGGGCAAAGAAAAAAGAAAAAGAAAAGAAGAAAAAGAGAGGAGAGAGAAAAAUUUGUUCUUAAAAAUUAUUCCAAAAACAAGAAAAGCGUUUUUCUUGUUUCUUUUUUUUGUUCCAAAUGUGUUCCUAGGAACAAAAAAGUAGAUUUGGAACAAAAACGCAAACAAAUACGUUUCUGUUCUUUUUUUGUUCCCUGGAACAAAAAAACAGAAAAUUUGUUCAUAAACAAAAAUAAAGAGCAUUAACAAACAAGGCCUUUGUCUUCAAGAAACUGAAAAUUAAAUUGGAAAUGGGCUAUGGAAUACAGAUUUAGCUCAUUCCACUGAAGAGUACAAAGAAAUGUGUGCAGACGGAGUAGAAGGCCGCCGAGAUAGGAGGUCUGGAUGCCGGGGUUCCAUCUGCGGUUGCCGCCGACAAAUGUGGUCGGUGGCAGCGGCGGAGGCCGGAGACACUACGGCGGCCACAAGGAGGAAGUGGAGGAUGACAGGGUGGGAUGAUGGUGGCCAUGGACGGAUAACCUUUAGGUAGCGAAAGGAAGAAGGAAGAUUAAAAAAAGAAUAAAAAAAGGAAAAGCUAUAUAUAAUUCUGAUUUGAGAAAAAAAAAUGAGUGGAAUUGACAAUUGAGACGUUUAAGGAUGCUCUUCGGACGGACAAAAAGUUAACAGAGGUCAGAUUUGGAUAUGAAGUCAAAGUUGGUGACUGUUUAUGAGAUACUAAAGAAAAAAAUAUUUGGGGCCAGAAUUGAGAUUUGAACUAAUUGGUGCUAUUUUGAGGAUUUAAUCCCUUGCUAUUUAGAAUAUUUGUUUUCGACUAUGUUUUAAAAAUGGUAGUGUCUAUAACAUGAUAACAACAUGAACAGUAAUAAGCAAGAGGAUGGAUUAGGGCAUGGCUAUUUCCGUAGCAGAAAAUGCUGCAGGCAGUCUUUCUAUUUGAAGAGAUGAUUCUGCCCCCACGGACGAGGACACUAACACCUACAAAACACGAACGGGGCGAGGGGGUUUCUAUUGGUGGGUUCCAUCAACAUUAAAUUUAUCUAUGUGAUGUAGAUGUUUCCGUAAUGGGUUCUCCAUUCUUUUCUUUUUCUUGAGUUUAAGCUUCCAUCAAUUAUCUGAAAAUGGAGGAGCUGGACUCAGAAAAACUUAUGAACUACUACCAAAUAAAAAAUUAUUGGAUGAUGAUUAAUAAUGUUUCAUUAUUUCAAUUUCAAAGAGUUUUGAUGGCUUAAAUCUUAUUUAUCAUAAAUUCUGUUUCUUUGCAAUCAAGAUUAUCUGUGAAGAACGAUGGAUUCAUGAGUUUGUGAUUAUGAAGGGUAUUUGCCUGCAAAAUUUCUUUCCUUGAAUCAAAAGGAGGGUUUAUCUGAUCCCUUCGUGCAUAGAGAAAGGUAGAUUCGUGCCCUCAAAUCUAGCGAGGCAUAUUUUUGCUUAUCAUUUUUGUAAAUCCAAUGAGAUUUUGUUAUAUAUGUGGGGUUGCAGGGGAGGUGAUUGAUUAUAUGCAUGAUCAAGUGACACAGAUCAUUGUUUACUUAUUUAUCCAUAAAAUCUCACACACACAAAUCGUUUAUCAACCAACAUGCAUGGCGGACUAGAUCAGGCUUUCUGUUGCAAAAUCAUUUCCUAAUUCUCUCCACUUGACUUUAGACCUAGCAGGAGGGCUUGAGAGAAUGUGAGUGAGUAUUCACGCUUAUAAUCAAGUUUACUUAACACGAAUCCAUUGGCUUGAUGGGAUUAUUUGUAUAAGUUUAGUUACUGUAUGGAGAUGCUCGAGUUAUAUAUUAGAGAAGUAUCUGCAUCGUCUACGUGAAAAAAUUUUGAGGCUCAUUCCGUCAUAGCACUAAAUAUCUAAGUCCAUAUGAAAACAGAAAUCUGCUAUAGAAAAAGAUAUCUGCCUCUUUCUACUAGGCUUAAACUCGUGUCCGGUUUCAUACAUCGGUCCAAAGCCCAAGCACCAAAUCGGUCCGUAGGGUCUAGCCCUCAACAUAAGCUAAGGUGAGCUCGUUCCUAAAACAUCCUAUCUUCUAGGCAUUAUUUGACGAUGUUAAGCCCAAAGGAGCAAUUAAUCCAAAAGGAAGACUUUCCCUGCUUGAGGAGCAAAGCUUCCCGCAUCUCGUAUGCUCUGAAUUUGAUUAUGCUUAUCAUUGUUUGUUGGGUGUAAAAUUUUCUUUUCAGAAAUUAUACUUUCCGACACAAAUUAUGCACCAACUUCACAUACAAAAUCAAUUGGAGAAUACAUAUCUACAAAAUUAUACAAUAACUGCUUUUUUCUAAGAUUGAUACACAACACUCUAAUAGCUAAAAAGGACUUCUCCUUGUUUCAAGAAUUAGAUUUGCAACGUUCUCUAGAAAAAAAAACACAUAAAUAAUGUGGCCACUUAGGCUUUACCUGAGCUAAUAUUAUGCACUACUAACUAAAUAGAUUACUCAAAUGAAAAUAUUCUUACAUGUAGUAAUUCCAAAAAAUCUUGACUAGACCUCAGAAUUUAAAUUAGGGGCAUGUAAAUCGCCAAAUAUGAUGAGUGUUAUAGGAUCAACGGCUGUGAUUCAUGUGAUGAGUCCGUGUAAGAAUUUGUCAUUCCAAGCGGGGAGGACAGACACUCCUGCGAUCUUACAUGGGGAUCCUAGAAAAGGAUCCUAGAAAAGGAAAAAGCGACGCGAGUGCAUUUUCAAAAAGAGAGAGAGGCUAAGGAUAACUAAGGAUGAAAGUAAAGCAGUGGGGACCAUAACUAUUUGGCAUUGCCUCAAAAAGGUCAAGAGAUCCAUCAAUUAUAUUGGGUUUGGUGGAUUAUGAGUUGAUUUAGUGCUUUGAAGCAGUGUGAAUUGGAUUCCAAAUAGAGAGCAAAAGAGGUGGAAAAAAAACAUGCUUUGGCUCAAUUGAACACCGACAACUCAUUACGUUACUCAUCACUUCCAGAACUAUGCCUAUGUAUACUAUUUUGCUUUUCCUUAAAGUGUUAGACACGACAUGACCGCUUCAAUGUCCACAUUAGAACUAGUCAUCUUCUUCACAAUUAGGAUAUCCAUUAAAAAUGACCAUGAACCUCCUUUAAAGAUUCACCCACAUAAAGUCCCAAUCCCUUUAUCAACUCAAAUUAAUUUUUUGAAAUUCCUUACCGUGGAGACUACGGGAGUCCGGAGCAAAAGUAAUGACAAUGGACGUCGGCAUCAACUUUUUCUAGUGGAAAAUAAAGCAUGUUUUUUUUUUUUUUUUUGGUAUAGUAUUGCCAAAUGCAUAAGGUAGGUUCAUCAAAUGUAUGGCACUUGGUCAAUUAGCUAUCCCAAGGUGGAUGUCUCCGUCGCUAAGAUUUGCAAAGCCUCAUUGAUAAUGACUCAAACGGGCAUAGCUAAGAUAGUGAACAGUAAAAAAUUAUUUAGUUACCUAUGAACUUUUUAGAUGGUUGUACAAUUCCUUAUUAAAAUUAGAGAGUAAAUGUGACUUCUAUCGGUAAGGUAAGGUUUUAAAGAUUUUGGCAUUUUCACUUAAAUAAGUAUGAAAGCAGAGUACGAAGAUCAUGUUUCAUCUUUCAAUUGAAAAUUAAAACUGUCCAAGCACUGGAAAUCUGACCUUCAACAAGUCAGAGUACCACGGCUGGAAACAAAACUUAAUCCAGAAAUCGCGCAUCAUGGGGACCUCCAAAAGAAGGAAAAAAAGCACGGUAGAAACAAUUGGUGAAAGCGAAUGGUGAACCGACCGAACAACCUCUACAUAUGCAUAUAUUUCCAAAGAAUAACCCCGCAUGAAACAAGGUUCAUUUUCCCAGCUAGAACUAGGGAUGGCAAACAAAUAGAGAAGAUUGUGGAGCAGAUAAGAAAGCUCACAAUGGUUUUUCUUUAUGUGAGGAUUGUAGAAUCGAUAUUUCAUGGGAUUUUAAAUAGACGUGUCUACACGUGCAUACCCCUAAAUUACCAAAAAAAAAAAUGCUUACUUUAGGAAAAUGCUAACUAUAUUUGGUAACUUUUUUUAUAUACACUUAUUCCUCAGAAACUAGUAGCUAUUAUGCAAAAGUUCCAUAUGACCUUAAUUUCAAAGAGAAUGUCCCACAUGACUUUAAUUAGUCAUAACCUUUUUCUUUUGUUAAUUAUUAGUCAUAAUUUUUUCAUAUAGUCAUAAUAAAUAUAAGGAUUUAGGAAUAACAUGACAUUAUAAUUUAACAAUUAUGCUUGGCAAACAAAGUUAAACAACUUCAAUUUUUACUUAUGAAGUAAGCUUUUUCUUUGUUCUCACUUAUAGGGAUGAUUAUGAGGGGCUCUCUUUCAACAAAUCUGUGAAAAAUUGAAGGACGAUACAUGAAAAGUCAAAACUUAUUUUCUACUAAUGCUUAACAUUAGCUGGGUAGAAGGCUCCAAGUUGGCUCGAGUCAUAUAUGUCAAUAAAUAGAAUCUCACCAAAAGUUGCCAUCCAAUAUAUAAAUCAAUAACACGGCCAAUUUAUGUUUUCGAUUUGCAUACCAUUUCAAAAGUAAAACCUCAAUUUUUUCCCAUUCAAUUAGCUUGAUUAUAAUGUUACUUCUCUAUUUUAAUAUGAUUUCAUGCCAACACGAAGAGAGGGCUUAGGAAUAGUACCUAAUCCUUUUUUGCGCUCAAAUCUCUUUGCCUUCUUUGUCCCUAAUCAUUCUUGCUUUGUUUCACUCUUCCGUUAUUCUCUCUGUCUCUUUGUUUUUUUUUUUCCUGGGUUUUCUCAACUAAAAAAGAAAAUCAAAGAAAAAUGUAAAAUCGAUGAUACUGUCGAGAAAAAUGGGAAUCGUCACAUUAAAUUCAUCUCAAGAAGUAAAAUUAUUGAUAUAAAGGUAUAAUUCGUGGUUGAAGAACAAGAGCAAAAAAACAUUAGAAAAAUCUCAUUUAUAUCAUCAAAUGAUAUUUUUUUUGAUAAUGUUCUACUUGGACUAUGAGUGCAUCAACCUCGAACAAUCCACGUCUCUGCUGGCUCCAUCAAUUUGUCUUCUUGACUCCUUUGAAGUCAUGAUGUUGUUUUUUCUUGGAUUGCUACAAAAUUUAACAGUUAAUACUUUUGACAUUUCACACAUAAUCAAUGAUGAUAUGGACAUCCAUCUUCAAUCUUCCAUUGCUGCUUUGUUGCACCGAAAGGUGAAAUUCCCAAGACUAAAAGAGAUAGAUUCCUCUGGUGGGCCUUCCUUUCCACCGAAACCCUUGAAAAAUAGUCAGGAGGAUCUUCUAAAGUCGUUGUGAUGAUUUGGUGUAUACAUGCAUAUUCACACACAUUGGGCGAGGCUAUUCACGCUCCCAAUUUAGCUUAAAAUCACAUCCUUUUAAGUAAACUCAAUUAUUAAUAGACCUGCCUUUUAUUUAAAAAUAAACAAAUCUGCCUUUUCCAAUUCCUCUCUCAUCUAUUGUCUAGUCUAUUUUCUUAUUUACUAUAGACAGUUGAUAAGAGUUUCCGAUAUCAAUCUUGUCAUGUACUCCUUUGAUUUCAAAGUUUUGUUCAUGUAAAAAUUUACCUAAAAAACGUCUUCAACCUAUGAAUCAUGAAAAAAAGAAGAAAAGAGAGGCUGAUUUAUUUAAAAGAUUGGAGCAUAAGCAUGUUCCGAAAUAUCAAAUUACACUCAUGCUUUCAUCGAGCUUUAGCUAUAAUUUUUCCAAUUUAUUAUGACCAAGUCUUCAGUUCUUUGAUCUGUCAUGUUCGAACUUUCAUUAUUUUGUAGAAGAGAAUAUUUCAACAAGUUAAUUUGGUAUAUUUUAUUUACGAGCUUAUAAGUCAAUGAAUAAUUAAUCCUCUUUAUUCAAAUGGUUAUAGACAAGGGUUUUGAGACAUUUAAAGUUAAUUUUCUUAUUGAUAAUUGGUUUUUCUGAAUUUAUCAUGCUAGUAAAUUUGGGAGAUCAUUGAGUGAGAGUUUCAUUUUGAGCAAUCUAAAUUUUUUUCACACUGCAUCUCUAGAGUUAUUUCAAAGUGGUGAAGUGGCCGUUUGAUAUGAAGAGAUUCAUGGAAAGGUCCCAAGCUUAAUUCAUUAGUAGCAUGUUUUCAAAUUGAAAAGCUUGCUCGUAUUUUUAGUUUGUUUUUGAGUUUUCAUUUUGUUUGCUUUAUUCCUUAUACCUAUAGCUAGGACUUGAGAUUAUAUUACGUACCCCAUGAAUAGUUCAAGAGCAUAAAUUUUGACAGGUUUAAGAUUGAUGUCUUUCAGAUUUUGCACCAUAUUAUAUAUAGUUAAGGUUGCUGAUUAUAAUUCUCGAAACUAACAAACUAUCAAGUGUUGUGAAACACACACACACACACACACACACACACACACACACACACACACACACACACACACACACACAUAUAUAUAUAUAUAUAUAUAUAUUGUGUUCUCUCAUUCUGUGUACUUAUAUUAUGGUCUUUCAUAUCCGUACAUUGCUUGCUCAAAUAUGCAUGUAGGCAAACAAUUCUCUUUACAUUCUUCAAGGAAUAUAUUGAGGGAAUAAUCAAAUCACAACUCUUAGACAUUUAGACAAAUUGUGCAUAGUGAAGCCGAGGAUCCAUCACAUCUUGUUGAAAAAUGAUGACUAAAUUACAUUUACCCUGUUCCUUGCCAAGACCGAAUUGCAAUCACAAGAAUUUGGUGGUGUUACUUGUAGUUUGAUAAGCCAUGUUUUUGCUCACAUUGUGUUGUUUUUAAUUGGUAGUUAAAUCACGUCUUUUACAAAUGACAAGUAAUUGAAAUUAUGAGUUCCUACGAAUGAUAAGCAUUAACAUGACGAAUGAUUUGAUGAUAGCAUUCGAGGCUCUUAGUUUAUACUUUUGUUUUCUAUGACAAUUUGAUUAAAAUUAUUAUUUUAAAGAAAGCAGCCAUGGAUUCUUACUGGAAUCCCAAUCCCCAUGAUUGAACCAUGCAGUCAAAAAUGGGGUCCAUAUGUCAUUAGAAGAAAGCUAUGCACGUUGCUCAUGCUUGCCUGUGGUCAUUCACUCGUGAAAGGGUUAAUAGUAAGAGAGUGGCUAAAACAGCCAAGAAUAUGCAAUAAUUUGACUAGACAUAAAAUAAUGGGAUGUCCUAUCUCCCCUUGAGUCUAUCUUAGUAUUAAUAUUACAAAAGCAUUGAUUAUUCAUCAAUGGCUUGUUAUAAGGAGCAUCAAACUCCCAAAACUUUUUUUACAAAUCUCAGUUAAUUUUUUUUUUGUUGAAAUUAUAACAUUCAAAUAAUUGAAAAAAAAGUUAUGACACUCAAGUUUAUGUUUUUUAGAAGCCAUGAUACUCAAAUAAUUGAAAAAAAAAUGUGAACACUUUACAAAAGUCAUGACACUUGCAGUGUUUUUUUGCUAUUCUUUUUAGGAUUUUCAUCCUAUCAUUUUCUCAAUCUUUCUUUCUCAAAAGAAAAACAUCAACGGAUGCUGCCAUCAAGAAAAAUGCGAAAAAUCACAGUAAACUCAUAUCAAGAAGUAAUUGUUGAUAAAAGGGUCUAAGUUAUGGUUAAAAGAGCAAGGACAAAAGACAUUAGAAAAAUUCCAACCGUAUCAUCAUAUGGCAAUUUUUUACAACGUUCUACUUGGACUAUGAGUGCAUCAACCACCGACAAUCUACUUCUCUAGUGGCUCCAUCAAUUAAUCUUUUGACUCCUUUCUAAAGGGGAAGUAAUGAUGGGUUUUUCUUGGAAUGCUACAAAAUUUAAUAGUAAAUACUUUUUGGCCUUUGAUGCAUAAUCAAUGAUAAUAUUGAUAUGCAUCUCCUAUCUCCGGCUGACAAUUGCUUCCUUGCACCGAAAGGUGAAAUUGUCAAGACUAAAACAGCAAGAUUCCUCUGGUUGACAAAUAGUUGUUGGGAUGAUUGGUGUGCACACACACAUUUGGUGGAGGUAAUUAUGCACCCAUUUUACACGUGAUACUUUGUUAGGGUCAAAUUUGUCUCUAUGUAAUAUUUCCUUAAGAGAACCCAAGGACAAAAUGCUAAAAUAGCCAACCUCUUAUAUUUCCCCUUAUUUCACUUUUUUAGCUUGCCAUCACCUUUCUUUUGUCUCCUUAAUGUUUCCGUUUUCACAUGUAGUAUCUCUCUGUUGGAAAGGGCUUUGAAUUUGAUUAUGCUUGUCAUUGUGUAUGUUGGGUGUAAAUUUUCUUUUUUGAGAAAUUAUACUUUGAUACAAAAUUAUUCACUAAUUCACGUACAAAAUCAACAUGAGAGUCAAUAUCUAUAUAAUUAUGCAAUAACAGUCUCUUCUCUAUGCCCUGCCUCUAAGGUUGACACAUAGCAUUCUAAAUAGCCAGAAAAGACUUCUCCUUAUUUUAAGAACUGGAUUCACAACAUUCUCCAUUAAAAAAAUGUGCCCACUUAGACUCCACCUAGGCUAAUAUUUUGCACUACUGGCUAGAUAGAUUAUUCAUAUAUCAUGAUGUACUUAUAGGCACUAAUUCCUUAUUAGCUACGUGAAAUCUACUCAAUCUAAUUACAAGGAGAAUGUCUCUCAUGACUUUAACUUGUUUCUAUUUAGUCAAAAUGUUUUCAAACGGUCAUAAUUCAUAUAUGGGAUUAGGGGUACAUUGACAUUUCCAACACAACAAUUUUUUUUAUGGGCAAGUCUGUCAUGUGAAACUAAUAAAGAGAAUUUCAGCCAGCUUAAUAUUCAAAACAGAUCGGAGACCAAUAUUAUGCCUAUCUAUCAUAUGAUACUAUUAUUUUAACGUUAUACUUACUUAGCAUCUCUAUCUUGCACUUAUUGAAUAUUACUAUAUUAUAAUUUUAUGUUAACCUUGUCAUUUUCUUAAGAAAUGGUUCAGAAUAGAAAAUACAAUACUCUUUACUAUAAAAAUUAUGCUUACAUAGCCCCAGAAUUGGCGCAAUUGGUUGGGUCAUUAGGGAUUUCCAACUUAGGAACUAGAGAUCGCCAGUUCGAAUCCCACAAACUAUAUGCAAACUGCUUUGGGUUAUAGUCACCUACAUAGACCAAAGAUCUAAGUUUAAUUGGUUCAUGGAAUUGGCACGAUAUUUCAUGAGCUUCUAGGUAAAUGGCUCUCCACACUCCUACCCCGAUAUUACACAAGUGCGCGCACGCGCGCACAUACACACACACUCACUUUAGGAGAAUGCUAACUUUACAUGGUAUUACACUUACUUUAGGAGAAUGCUAAUUUUAGAUGGGAUUUUUUUAUAUGCACUUAUUCCUCAUAAACUAGGUAGUCAUUAUGCAUUAGAUCUUUGUCAACUUAAUUGCAAAGAGAACAUUCCCAUGACUUUGAGGAAUAUUACCCAUCGAUCUUAAACAUAUUGUACGAAUACCAAUUUAGUUCUAAACUUUUCGAUUUUGCCAAUUUAGUUAUAAACAUUUGUGCAAAAUUCCAAUAUAGUCCUUUUGGCCAAUUUUCGACGUUGAAAUGGUCAUGUGUUAUUUAGAAUGGUCAGCGAUGACUGGAUUGCCACAUCAAUAAUUUCAGGCAAAAAUUCAUCAAAAGGGUUUUAUUGAAAUUUUCCCUAAAGGUGUAAAACUAAAUUGUCAAAAAAUUGAAAUGAUUAAAACUGAAUUAGCAUCUGUAUAAUAGAUCUUAGGACUAAUUAAAUAAUUUUUCCCAUGACUUUAAUUAGUCAUAAUAUUUUCUUUGUUAUAAAUUAGUCAUAACCUUUUUAAAUAGUCAAUACAAAUAUAAGGUUUAUGAGGUAAUUUGAUAUUCUAAUCUAACAAUUAUGGCUGAGUUUGAGAAAAGGAGCGAGGAAGUUAAGCAGCCACCUGGUGUUCCGGUUGAGCAAGCCAGCGAAGAAGACGCGUGAGUUUACUUUUUGCUUUUGUCUGAGUAUACGAGUAGUUAAAGAAAAUCAAUGUCGGAAUGCACUCAUUCGAGGAGCUAUGCGUAAUGACUCAGCAAGUUGCAUAUGAGGGAAACGCCUUCAUAGUUAGUGGAAUAUCCCCUUUCAACGAGAUUCACGUGGCACUCGGCAUAACAUUUUGUUGUUGUCCCAUAUGAUUGUCAUGAAAUAGGAAUACGCAAGAGUGAUUUUGAAAAAAUUCCAUGAGUUCCAUGGUCACUUUGGUCGACUUCUAGUUCUAUUUGCUUACACUUAUAUAUAAAAAAAAUUCUGCAUUUUGCUCUCCCUCGAGAAAAUUAAAAAUGGAAAAAAAAAAUAGGUUUCAUAAAUUAUGAAAAACCAUGUAAUAGCUCUACUUGUCAAUAAAUGUAUAUUUUUGAAAAUUCUAAAUUUCAAUAUUUGAUAACUACAAUAUUUGAAAAAUAAAUGUGAAAAGGAAAAGCUCUGGACAGAACCAAGCAUUUGGGAAGAAAUAAAAAAAAAAAGAAAAGAGGGUCUUUUUGGGGGGGGGGGGGGAGGGGAGACUUCAAUAUGAAUGAGAGCUCAUGGAGCAAAGUUAGUCCUUGCUGGCAAUGAUUUUGCAUGUUAAUUUUGUUAUGUAAAGAGUAACAGUGGUCACUAUGAUUUUGCCUAUUAAUAUUAUCAUCUAAAGAGUAGUAGUGUUCGAGAUAGUAAAUUAGUUUAAAAUGUUAAGAGGAUAGCAAAAAUUUAAUUUCCUUAGAAGUUCUAACCUAACAAUUACAGCUGCAGUUAAAUAUAACCUAGCAAUCAUAAUUGGCUUUAUAUUCUAACAAUUAGCCUAACUAUCAUGUUAAUUCGAAAUUUUUAACGUGAUUUCACAGACCAGCACAAUGAGCGGGGGUAAGAUUAUAUUACCUAACCAAUGUUUGUCCAUCAGACGUGGAGGAAAAACUAGAUGCCCAAAUUAUGUUUGUCUAAAGCGGUGAAGGAAAGGAUGUAUAUCUAAUCAAUGUAUGUCCAUUAGCAUCGGGGGAAGGGGUGGUGAUUUCGAAAUUGGUGUUGGUGACCUGCUCCAUGUAUUAAUAUAUUAUUUAUUAGACUACCAUCAUUGUCUUGAUUGACGCGACCGACAUCUUUUUUAAAUUUUUUUACUUUUGGCCAGUGGAGGCUCUAAGGACUUGGAGCCCUUUGCUCCCAACUUGUAGAGAGUGCAUGACAACCAAUAAUUUCUAUUUUAUAAAUAAUUUUUUUUAUUCCAAAUCUGUUUUUGGAAUAAAAAUUUGUUUGAUAAAUUUAUUUCGUUUUGAAUUUUUCUACUUCUCUAUUUCUGAAACAGAAAUGAGAAAUAAAAAAUUUUCUCAUCAUUCGUCAACUGGUCCUUCAUCCAAUGUUGCCGACCACUGUCCAUCGAUCGCCCGUCGCCCGCCGGCCCCAGUCGCCACCGGUCGCCAUCGCCCGCCGGCCCCAGUCGCCACCGGUCACCGGCCGCCAGCCGACCGCCAUCCACCGGUCCGCCAUUGUCGGAAAGGAAAAAUUUUUGUGUCGUUAUCAAACGAAUUUUUAUUUUUAGAGUAUAAAUUUUGUAUCGUUAUCAAACGGUUAUUUUUGUUUAGAAACUCUUAUAAAAAUAAGAAUAAAAAAAUCUAUUUCUGUUCUAAAAACUAUUUCUGAAAUAGAAAAAUUGUCAUGCGCGCUCUUAGCUUCCGAAGGAAUUGAGUGAGGUUUAGUUAAAGUCUUAACUGAGAUUAGAUUACCGAGCUCCAUAGUACAUACCCAUCCCAUCUUUCUUCUCGUGAUUUGGGCCUUUGUUAAAGGCGAAGAGACAUGUUAAGGUCCCAUCUAGUAGUACAUUUUAGUUUUUUGGUAAAACGUACAUCUCAAUCGUUGUUGAUCAAAUAUUCCAGCAAAAAGUUACCAUGUCUCUUUCUCCAUUGAUUGCUCUUUGACGCUCCCCUUCCUUCAUCUUUUAUCGCACUCAAGUUUCUUCGCCUUUCCGUCUUUCAUCAUUCUUGCUCUGUUUCACUUUUUCUUCUCCUUGCUACAGCCAUACUUCGUCCUCUUUUUCUUAAGUAUGUACGACCCUUUUUCAUCGUUCUCUCUCUCCCUCUCUAUGUCUCUCUGCUUUUCCUUUUGAGGGGUUUCUAUCCAAACGUUUUCUAGCUCUUUCUUUUUCGAAAUAAAAAUCAAAGAAAAUGUCAGAUCGAUACUGUUGUUGAGAAAAAUAGAAAAUUAUUAAACUCAUAUUAAUUAAUAAUUGUUGAUACAAGUGUUCUGAAUACGUAGCAAAAGUUACCAGCCAAUGUGGUGGCUGCGUUGGCUCAAGCUCCCUCCCUCUCACGAAAGGAAAGGAGUUCGAAUCCCAGCAUGAUCACUAAUGGUCUUAAGUAUGGUAUCGUGGUUGUGGUUUCUGUGCUAGUAUCACUUCGGAUUUACCUCGCUGACUGUUGAUUGUACGUGAGUUCUUGGGUCACCAAAAAAAAAAAAAAAAAACGUAGUAAAAGUUCAAUCCCUUUAACUGGAGAGGUCAUCAAGAGAAAGUUUAAGUUUGAGCCCAUUACAUAUUCAGUUGACCCAUCUCUAUUAAAAAUAAUGAGCUAAAAAGUUAUUAAUCAACUAUAAUAAUAUUAACUGCUUAAUACAAAAUUAAUUAUCUAUUGUGAAACUUUUCUAACCCAACUCACAUAUUCAUCUUAACAUUCACCUCUCGCGUGUUGGCUUAGUAUUAUGUCUGCUUCCCCUUGAUUCAAGUAUCGUUCUCCAUUAACAUGACUCAAUUAGAAUCUUCACUUAGGUGCGUGUGCUAACUAAAAUAACAACAACGCCCAUCUUCAUCCCUAGUCUCUUUCUCCAAAUUGAAUCAUGAAGGUUACCAUUAGAACCACAUUGCUACACAAAAAUGCCCACCUCCAUUCCAAGUUUCUUUUGCUAGAUCGAACUAUGAAGGUUGCCCAAAAACUGCGUUAAUCAUGAGAUUCCUUUCCUGAGAUAUUCUCCAAACAUUAGUAUACAUUGGAAUUGGCCAUUAGCUAUCAAUCAUUGGCUCUGGCAUCAUUUCUUAGGAGUGUCUUGCAGAAAUUUGAUACCUUUAACCAAAGAGAUCGCCAAAGAAAAGCACAUGUUUGAGCUAGCCAAUAUGUUUUAUUGAAGCCAAAUUCACUCAAAAACUAGGAUAUAUUAAUUGCUCUAUACCAUACUAAUUCUCCGGUAUAAGACUUUCUAACAUAACUUACAUAUAUAUCUCAAUAAGAAGGAUCUAAGUAAUGGUUAAAAGAGUGAGAACGGAGAGAUAUUAGAUGAACCUCAACCACAUCAUCAUAUGGCAAUUUUUGAUAAUGUUCCACACGGAGUCUGAAUGUGUCUGCCUUAAAUAAUUCACUUCUGUAGUGGUUCCAUCAAUUUGUCAUUUGACUCCUUUUUUGAGUGGAAGUCAUGAUGGGGUUUUUUGGGAUGUUACAAAAUUUAACAGUAAAUGCUUUUAGCCUCUAGCGCAUGAUCAAUGUCGAUACUGAUAUGCAACUCCAAUUUUCCAACGGGAAUAUUUUCAUCAAGUGACUAGUGUGGGAUGUUAACAAAGAAGAGUUCCGCUAUUGCGUAACCGCACUGUCCCUUCCAAUAGCGACGGCGCAAAUGGGACCACGAAUUCUAUUAUGCUUGUAAUGCGCAACCGGAUUACAACUUUAAAAUGGGAAAUCUUUACGAAAAUCCUUAAAAUAACUUUUAUCCCUUUCUGAAUGAAAUGUCAAUCAAAAUGCCCUCCCUCCAAAUUGAGCACCAAGUAAAGUCAUCACUCAUUUCUUUUCGUUUCUCUUGAAAUCAUAAAACAUUCAAUAUACAUACUAGUGUGCAACUAACUUAUAACCGCACACAAUCUCGUCAUAACUAUGAAUAUACAUACGUAUGUAUGUAUGCAAGCACACAUGAAAUUUUAAUUACCUCUUAUUUAGUUAGAUAUACAUCUUGAUCACAAAAAACUUUUUUUUUCUUUUUUUUAAACUUUAUUAACAAAGAAAAAGCUUCACCACGCAUUGUUGCAACUGUUUCUUCCUACUUCCUUAUUAAUUGAAGAAUUAUUGUGUACAGCGGACUUAAAUAACAAUGGCUCUAUACUUGGUUACCGCGAAAUACUAUACAGCCUAUUAACAUAUCGUAAAAUAAAUAAAAAAAUCACCUUUAACCUCUUUCAGUUAAUUAAUCUAGUAAAAAAAAAUGGGGGAUAUCCAAUCAUUGCAAAAUAACGUAAUAUAAGGUGUUGACUUGCAUAUUGAUUUUUUUUUCUUUUUUGAGAAACCCCUUUUCAGAUAAGUGAAGUUCAUAUUAAAGGUAAAGUGAUUGAUGAAAAUAAUGCCAAUACCAAAACGAGACCAAAAAUAUGAUAAGAGAAGAAGGACUUUUAACACCAAAAGAAAUGGAAGUUGGGUUGUAUCGAAUAAGUAUGUAGCUUUUUUCUUUUUUUCACUAAGCAGAGAGGAGAAUCAAAAUACCUAUCAUGGGCAGGGGUGUGGAGUUUAACUCUUAUGAGGAGGCUUAUGAAUUUUAUAACAAUUAUGAGAAAGAAGUAAGAUUUUGUAGUAGAGUUUCAAAAUUGUAGAAAAGGAAGAGAGUAGAGAGGAAAAGUGAGGCAUAGUUUUUUGGGGCUAGCUCCAAAAAAAUAAAGCACCAACUUUAGUUUGAGGGACAAAUCUAACUGAAUUUUUUUUUUUGUCUUGUAAAAAAGCACAUAUUUUAGGUUAAGGGACAAAUCCAGUCUAAAUUGUUUUUUUGUCUUGUAAAAAAAUGUCAAUUUUAGGUCAAGUGACAAUUCUAGCCCCAAGUUUUUUUUUUCUCAUAAAAAAUUACAAACUUUCACCAUUAUUCAACUUUCUAUUUGAAGUUAACCUUGUUUCAAGAAAAAAGGUUCUAGCCGUGAGCUUGGCGGAUCUUGUUCAUGGGGUCUCUCAAUGGGCGGUGGUUUAUAGCUUCAUUUUAAGACAAAAUGACAAAGUCUAGCCAGACUAAUUCAAUUUAGAGCUUUUUGACUUGCUAGUGAAGUGUAGGAGAUGAUGAACAAUUUACCGUUAUUCUCCAAGCUGUGGCUCAAACAAGAAGAUAAUGAAUAGUGUUUUAAAUCCAGCCAGCGAGUGCACGUGGAUUUAUCGCUAAAAACAAUCAAUGGAUCUAAAUUAAAGGGGGCUAAAUUUAGGAUUUAAGUGAAAAUUGGUGAUUUUUUUUAGACAAAAAAAGUUAGGAUUAUAAUUGUCACUCAUCCCAAAGUUAGUGUUUUUUUAUGUGAUAAAAAGAAGAAGCUUGAGCCAAAUUUGUCACUCGACUUAAAAUUAGUGCUUUUUUACAAGACAAAAAAUAGUUUGGGUUAGAUUUGUCCCUUAACCUAAAGUUUGUGCUUAUUUUUGGAAUUAGCCCCAGUUUUUUGCUGCAUUUGUCAAAGGCUAAAAAAAAAUAAAAAUGGGUCAGUUAAGUCGAUUCAUUUGAAAAGGUUAGAAUUCAAUAUUUUUUUUAAUUACUCAAGCACAAAGAAUGAGAAGCCCCAAAAAUGUACAAAAAUAUCUUUAUUAUUCUAAAAACAACGGUUCUGGUGUUUUUCUUUUCUAUUUUAGAAAUAUAAGUCAUAUUUAUAAUAAAAUUAAUAAUCUCUUUUUAGUGAUAAUUUUCGUACUUGUGAUUCUUAUAUUGUAGCAUUCAAUUUCCUUCAAGUCAUUUUUCCCUUGCUUUCGAAAGGAUGGAAAUUCAAGAAAUUAAUUGGUGUUUAGUUGAGGCCUUAAUCAAGGUUAGGUUAUAGACAAGAAAAUAGAACAUGCACUCUAUUUUUAGCUAAAUUUCCAUAUUGGUUAUGUCCAUAUUUUUAACCCACCAAUCAAAGAAUUAGUAAGGAUGGAAUAAACUCUGACUUAAUAUAAACUCGCAUACAUUAAGGAAGCCAUUGCUCUCAAUUAACAAAGAAAUCCAAUGAGAUGUAAAUACUGAAUCAUUCCAAAGCAUGAGAAGAAAAUGUAACCUUAUCACUGCUGCGUCAAAUAAAUUUGUCCUUGUCUCUUUCCACUUUUCCCUACCUAUAACAAUUGAAACGAGUAAUCUAAUAUCCGCCAACCUUUGUAUCACUUAUAUUAUGUUUGUGUAUAUGGGGCAGCGCACUAUCAUUAAGAUAAAGGAAAUGUGUGAUUGGCUCUAUUUAAAAUCAAUUAAAUGGGAUUCCUAUCCACGUCAAUAGUAUGCGAAUCAAUCACCAAAAGAAGACCGACCAAAAAAAAAAAUCACCAAAAGAAGCAAAUCCAGACCAUGUAACUAGAGACAAUUUUUUUUUUUUUAAGAACCUCUGCGGAAUGCAAAAUACACUUGUACUUUACAAGAAAAAAAAGUAUGCUUACUUAACAUCACCAUCUUGCAAUUAUUAGACACCAAUAAUAUUAUAAUUUUAUGUUAACACAGUCAUUUUCAAAAUGAUAUAGAAUGCAAAAUACACUCAUUCUUUAGAAUAAAAAAAAAACAUGCUCACUAAAUCCCAGGAGUGACAUAGCUGAUUGGGAUGCUAGGGGAUUUCCAACUCAGGAAUAGGAGGUUGCUUGUUAGGAUCCCACAAACUGCUUUAGGUUGGAGCCAACUACACAAGCCAAAGCCCUGAGCUUAACCAAUUCAUAAAGCCUACAGGAUAUUUCAUAGAAUUAUGGGUAGAGAGGUCUCCAUACCUAUGCCCCCAUAUCAUAAGUAAAAUUAUAUGCUUACAUUAAGAGUAUCCCAAAUUUAUAUGGUACUCUUUUUAUAUGCACUUAUUUCUCAUAAACUAGGUAGUUAUUAUGCAAAAGGUCCUGAUCAUAUUAAUUACAAAUAGAACUUCCCUCAUGACUUUAAUUAGUCAUAACAUUUUUUUUUUGUUAAAAAAGUAGUCGUAAUAGUUAUAAAUAUAUGGACUUAGGCCUAAUUUGAAAUUCUAAUCUACCAAUUAUGUUGGUAAAAAAGGAAACAACUUCAAUUUUUUUCUUUAAAACUGAGUUCUUUUUCCCUUAAACGGAUGAUUCAAGGGGCUUUAUGUCAACAAAUACGUGAAAAUUUUGAAUACUACAUAAAGACUCAAGAAUUAUUUUCAUCCAAUGGGCAAUAUCAAUUAGAUAUGAGGGUCUAAAUUAGCCCAAGUCUAUUUUGUCAAUAAGUAGAAAACUUACAAAAAAUUGCAAUUCAACUUAUAAGUGAAUAUCAAUAAUAUAAUAAUUUUACGUUAAAAUUGUCAUUUCUUAAAAAUGAUAGAUAAUACAAAAUAUACUUAAUCUUUACAAUAAAAAUUUAUGCCUGCUUAACCCUGGGAUUGGUUUAGCUAGUUGGGACGUUAUGGGAUUUUCAGCUCGAGAACUGAAGAUCCAUUAGAACCCCACAAAUUGCGAGCAAACUACUCUAAGUUACAGUCUCUUACACAGGUCAAAAGCCUAAGCUUAACCGAUUCAAGGACUAUAGGAUAUUUUCUAGGCUUCUAAAUAGAUAGGUUUCUACGUCUAUGCACUUAGAUUAUUAAAAAGAAAAUGCUUACUUUGGGAGGAUGCUAAUUUUAUAGAAAUUUUUCAUGUGCACUUAUUCCUCAUAAACUAGGUAGUUUUUAUGAGAAAAGGUCGUUAUCAACUUAAUUACAAAGAAUAUGUCCCUCAUCAUUUUAAAUAGUUAUAACCUUUUUUUUGUUAGAAAUUAGUCAUGGUUGGCAAAACAAUUAAACAACUUCAAUUUUUUUCCUAUGAACUGAGGUUUUUUUUAUUUAUUAUAAAUUUAAGACAUGAUUUGAGGGGCUUUCUGUCGGCAAAUAUAUGAAAAUUUGAAAGAUAACACAUGAAAAAUCAUAUGUCACUAAGUAGAACAUUAUCAAAAAUUGAUCUUCAAUAUAUAAAUCAAUAACGCAGCCGGUGAAUCCAUUUUUGUGUUUAGCCGUGGAGGAAAGGAUGGUCCCUAUUGAAUGUCCAUGAGCGGCUGAGGAAAGGAUGGAGACAUAGACAGUGGUGUGGUGGCCGGUCAAUUAAUUAAAAAAAUCAUCCAUUUCUCUUUAUAUAAAUGUUUUUUUUUUAAAUAGUUCAGCAAUUUCUUUAUAUUGCUCGAUUGUUUCAUUCAUAGUUCAUUGCCUGAGUGACAAGAGGACUAUGCAAGAGUCUUGGCAGUUGGGUAUUCCUUCCCAGUGAAAAUUAAUUCAUAAAAUGACAAAUAAAUUCUUAUUAAUUAUUGAUAAGACGAGUGAUGACUCUUGCAGCUUCUCAUAUCUCUUUAAAAAUAAUCUUAUAAAUGAAUCAAAUGUCUGAGGAUUAGUCGACAUCCAAUAUCAUCAAUCAUGUUAGAAACUAUCAUCGAUAAAUUGUAUUAUACAUUUGGCUGAACAAAAUCGUGUUCUAUAAUUAAAAUACUAUUUUUGUACAAUCUUUGUUGGAACAUUUAUGGUACAGCAAAUUAUAUAAAAACUGCCGAUUAGUAAGGAUUUACACAUUGAAUGAUAUAUUUCCCUCUACUUUUUUGUAUGGUUGCCAGUAUAGAAAGUAAAGUUUAUGUAAGUAUCUCAGUUGGCUAAAUUCUCAUCAUGAAAGCACAAGGUCAUCAUAAUGUUUCGUGUGUUACUUGACUUUCACUGUUAUAAUGACUAAAAUGCUUAGUAGCCUGCAACAACUAAUUUCAUAUAUGUAUAUAUGUAGGCUAACCUCUUGCUGUGGAAGGUUAUAAAAGUGAAAAAAAAUUAGGGUUAUAAAUUAUCAAAAGCCACAUAACUUUAUUAGUCAAUAAUUGUAUAUUUUUGAAUAUUUUAGGACCGAUUUGUGAUAAUUGCAAUAUUUGAAAAAUAAAUAUUAAAUGUAAAAUACUCCAAACAGACCCAAGCAUUUGAAAGAAAGGGGGGAAACUUCAAUAGGAACAAGAGAGACGCAAAAUAAUGUUAGCGGUGACUUGGGAUCGUUCCCCAUAUUAAUUUUAUCUCGUAAAGAGUAGCAAUACUCAAGAAAAUAAAUUGGUUUAAAAUGUUAAAAAAGAAGGCAAAAGUUUAAUUUACUUAGAAGUUUUGAUUUACAAUUCCAAUUCAAGUUACGUCUAAGGUAACAAUUACAAUUGACAUUAUAAUUUAACAAUUUGCUUAAUUACAAUGUUACUUAUGUAUUUUAAAUAUGAUUUCAUUGAUUCGCACAAGGAGUGACUUUAGGACUAGUACUUGAUCAAUGUUUGUCCAUUAAUGGUGGAGCUAAAGGAUGCGGAAACUUACCCAUUGGUGAUGAUGAUUGGUCAAAGUUAAGAAACAAGAAACCCAUUUCUAUUACCAUAUUCAACUUUUAAUUAAAAGUAUUGGGGGACACUGAAAGGAGAUAUCACCCAUGAUAGUAGUAAUAAUUUAUUUGCUUAUUUUGCUAGACUCACAAUGGGUUGAAAAUGAGUCUGGUGCAGACCCACGUAGGCUCACGUGGAAUUGGUGAUACUUUUUUCAUAUCAUUUCAACUGGCUUAAAAAUUUCAAGUGUCGCACCAAAAUUUUGAUAAUGGGUUUCAGAUACAUACUGCCACCUCUGGAUGAAACUACAUGUCACGUGGGUUUUGAUCCAUCCUCGUCCUUUUGUUCUCUUUAUUAAUUACAUUUGCUAUAGCGAAGAAUGACAAACUACAUAAAGUACCUAUUAUACAUGAGCGAUGAUUUAAAUCCAAUCAUUUUAAUAAUUGCGUUUUGAUCGAAGGUGUUAUAUACGAUUCGGAUUCUAAUCGUCACUCCAUGUUGAUUCACAAAAGUGCCCACAUACAAAUAUUGAUGAAAAUAUUAAUAUUAUGAACAAGAUUAAGGGAUAAUAUUAGGAAAAAUCUUAAACUGAUACACAUGCGACAAAUUUACUUCACAUUAAUUUUUUUUAUCACAAAAAACCCCCAAACUGAUACAAUUAUGAUAAAUUUAUUCUAAACUAAUUUUUUAACAAUGAAAAAUCUCAAACUAGUACACAUGUGAUAAAUUUACUCAAAACUAAUUUUUUUACCGUCAAAAACCAUAAAUUGAUACAUUUCUGACAAAUAUACCCCCGUUAAAUUAUAUAUAUAUAUUUUUGGUAAAGGGUAAGAACCCCGUUAAAUUAUAUUAAUACCAAAAAAAAAAAAUUACAAAACCGAUACACUAUGACAAAUAGAGAGUAAAAUCUCAAAUUGGUACACUCGUCAAUUACCACAUGUCAUCUAAAUCAGCAAUCUAAUUGAAAAUUUUAACGAAAACUAACAGAUAGUAAAUUUCUCAUAAAUUUAUUAGUUUAGAGUAUUUUAUAGUCAAAAAAUUAGUUUUUUGUAAAUUUAUUAUAAGUGUACCAAUUUAAGAUUUUUUGUAGUAAAAAAAAUUAGUUUGUGAUUAAUUUAUCAUGUAUACCGGAUUAAAGAUGAUAUUUGUCAAGUGCAUGGUUGGUGCGGCCUCUCCUUAUCAAGUGGGCGCCACCUAUUUUGCUAUUUGUUGCUCUUUCUUAAUUACAUUUUGUUAUAUCAAUCUGACAGGGUAUAAAGUAUUCAUAUAAUUUUAGUCAAAUCAUUUUGUUACUUUAGAAGUUGGUAAUCAUUCGUAUUUUAUUUUUUUAAUCCACUUCGAUGAGCGUGCAAUUCAAAUAAUGCAAAGAAAUCAAUUUACUCCACAAUUGUGACGUGACGGACAACUACCGUAAUUAAGUUAUAUAUUGAUGUUUAGUUAUGGCCUCAACUAAGAUUAGAUUUUUCUAAGAUCUAAAGUCUGUUGUCCACGUGACUAGUGGAUCAUGCAUAGUCUUGCGAGUUGGGUUUUCCUUCCCAGUAAAAAACUACUUCACAAAAUGAUAUAUGAACUCAUAUUUAUUAUUGAUAUAACAAGGAAUGACUCUUGCGGCUUCUCAUGUAUUUUUAAAUAUCAAUUUUAUAAAAUGAACCAUGUAUCCCUGGGUCAGUCUACAUCCAAUAUCAUCAAUCAUGUUAGAAUUAUCAUCCACAGAUUGUAUCGUUGUUUAACUCAUAAAUGGAUUCCAACCUGAGUAUUGAACUAUCUUCAACCAAAAGAUAUAUCUUUUAUUUUUAUGAAAGGGGUUCAGUGGCGAUUUUAAACAUGAGUUGCAAUUGGCAUGAUAAUGAAGAUGAACAACGAAUUUAAAGGUAAAAGGUGAUAGUAAAUGUUGGAAAUUAACAUGACAUUAAAACUUAUAAAAGUACAUCAAAAAAUAUUAGUAAUCAUGAUGAUCCUUGCAAUAAUUAUAUGUUGCCAUUUUAUACUCCGCCAAUCAUAAUCGCUUAUUAAGACUUAACCAUACUAGAUGCAGUUGUAACUACAUUCCCGAGAUUUUAGGACUCCUAUCUGCACAUCAUCCUAUCCACAAGCUGUUACAACUCUUUAAGUGUCACUAGGUUAACCGUUGCUUGGUGCCCUUAUCUUUAGUCGACAUUUUCACCAUCUCCUUUCUUCUUAGUUGAUAAUUGUCGACCAAUCAUCGUGGUACAUCGACAAUGGUAUCUCUCAAUCGUCUAUAAUUACUGUCCAUUGUCAUUGAUAUGCGCUUCUAUUGUCCUUAACUUACCAAAAACCAUAUCAAUUGUUACAAACUCUAUACCCACUUAUAUCAACAUUACGUCGUUCACAAAAAACUUUAUCAUUUUUUGGUGUAAACAAUUAUACAUAUGGCUAAAGAAAAUCUAAUUAAGCGACUAUCAUGUGAUUUAAAUACAAUCUUUAUUCUAACAAUUAUGGUACAACAUAUUACAUAAAAUGUACAACCAAUCAUAUGGGAUUUACACAUUGAAUGAUAUGUUCCUGGCUACUUAUUUGUGUGGUUGCCAAUUUAGAAAGUUAACUUUACAUGAGUAUAUCCAUUGGCUAAAUUCUCAAAGUGAAAGCACAAGGUGAUGGACUCAAUUUUGUAUUGCAUGCUACUCAACUUUCACUACUAUAAUGACUAAAAUGCUUAGUAUCCUACAACAACUAAGUUCAUUUACAUAUUUACAUAAGCCAAACUCUCGUCAUGGAAGGUUAUAGACCUGUCAUGCAUCGCAUGUUGUGAUGCAACUUGACUUAUGCACCAUAUUUAUAGUGUCAUUAAUAAUUAUGCAUUUAGUCAUAUUUACUUAUGAUAAAUACAUACCUGCGUAAUAUAACCCUCUAAAAAUUUAUAAUUUUCAUUCUAUAGAAAAUUUGUAACAAGGGAUAGUUUUUUCUCUUAUUGAUUUGCUAUCAGUUGUUUCUUUUAAUUUUUAAUAUUUAUUGCAAAGCAUGUACUGUAAUUUCGUUUUUAUGAUGAUAGAUAAUUUUUUGAAUUCUCUAAUAUCAUAUAUUUGUCAAACAUAGACAAUCAUGGAAUAAAAGAUGUUUCUACAUUAAGCAUCUUAUUUAUCACAUACAUGAUAAAUAUUUAUAUUGUCGAUUUGUUAUAUAUAUUGGCUAUCCCAUCACGUAAUUUUUCUAAAAGUUUGUCAAUGAUAUACCUGAAGAAGGGUGCCCAACGUCGAACGAGCGAUCAAAAAAGAUUCCGAAGCAUCUUCAUAGCACGACCCAGCAAUCAUGUUCUUUGGGGGUCCUCAGGGUAUAAAGCCGAUUUCCUUCCUUUUGGUCCGUCUGUAAAAGGCAACCAUACAUUUAUUUAAUUAUAAAAUUCGAAAGUUAUUGUACACUUAGUUAUAUCUUACUUUUGAAAUAUCUAAAGUCAUGUAGUGAAUCCUAUAUAUAUAAAGUGGGUAUCCAUGCAUUAUUGAACUCCUUUGAGAGCUUGUCAAAAUUUGUAAAUCAAAAUAUUAAUGGGGAUAUGUUAAAGUGGUCUUCAAAACCAAUUUGCUAAAGUGCAAAAUAGAUUGAUAUUCAAAUAAACAACAUAUGUUUAGGAAUUUGGGAUUUGUUAAAGUGACUAUCGAUAUCAAAUUAUUGAAUAAAGCUUACACGUGAUUGUGCUGGCUCAACCCUUAAGAGAGUUUUACCAUAUAUGUAUAUAUAUUGCUUUCCUAGGUAAAUCAAUUUAUUAAAAUGACUCAAUUUGUCUACCAUUUAAAUACAAUGAGGAAAAAAAAUUAAUUUAUCCAGGUCAAUCACAUGUUUUGAACAUUAUGAGUCUCACCUAUGACCGAAAUAAUUUAUAGUGAGAUUUGGUAAGUCCAAGCAAGAACUUGCAUGGUAAAAGAUUUACCAUCCUUUAGGAAAGAGAUAUUAUCAGGUAGAGAGUAUCAUUGUACUGCAUAUUAGUCGGAAAAAAAGUUGUUUUCCGGGGCAUUUUUCCUGACAUUAAAAGCUUACCGAAUUACCAUCGGACAGUCCUCCCAAAAAAAAAAAAACCAUUAGGACUUAUUCUGAGAAAGAAUAUAGAUGCCGUUUUCAUGUAUUUUCUGAAGUACUCUGGAAUUUCCGGGGGACCACUUGUGCUUCUCUGCCUUGGCCAUAUGGUCCACAUUAAAAAUUGAGUUGAUGGCAGACUGUAAAGUCACGUGGGUGUGGCCAGUCCUUGUCCAUUCAUUUUCUUUAUUCAUUACCUUUUAUUAUAUCAGUGCUGACACGCUGUUUAAGUCGACUCAUUUGUUUACUGCUACUUGAACAGCUGAUGAUCAUCUCUUUCUUUCUCGGUUCAUCGCUAUUCGACGCUCCCCUUCCUUCGUCCUUCUUUCGCGCUCGAAUCUCUUCGCCUCGUUCUUCUCUUGCUCUGUUUCACUCUUUCUUCUCCUCAGCACAAUCAUUCUUCCUAUUCCUCCUCUUCUUCAGUAUCUUCUCCUUCUUUUCAUCAUUCUCUCUCUGUGUCUCUCUUUCUUUCUUGGAAAAAAAAAAAUCAAAGAAAAAAUGUCGGUCGAUUCUGUCGUUGCUAUUGCGUAUGAUGUCUUCAAGAGCUAUGUAGUUGAUCCCGUCAAGCGUCGAUUCAGAUACGUGAUCUCCUCCAAGAGCUUCGCCGACGAUCUUCGGGAGGAAGUCCGGAGCCUGGAGAAGGAGGCUCAGAGGGUCCGUAUUUUGGCAGAAGUGGCCCGAAACAACCUUCGGAAUUUCUAUGAUUACUUUGCAGAGUGGCAGCAAAGUGCUGACAAGGCCUUGCAGGAGGCGGGAGACCUGUUGGGCGACAUGGGUGAGGCGAGGAAGACUUGCUGCUACGGGACUCUUCCCGACGCCAAAUGUCGCUAUCAGUUCAGCAGGAAGGCCGAGGGCAAGAUCGAGGUCAUUAAGCGACUCGCUCGAAAAUGCAGAGAAUUCAAGGAAUUGAACGACAUCUCCUUCAGCGAUCCUGCUCCGGGAAAUGUCACUGCUUUGAAUCCAUCCAGGAGAGAAGGCAAAGAUGUCGUCCAGUCGACCACCGCAACGGCCUCCGCUUCUCCUGUCUCAACGUCAAAUGAGCUUAGUAAGGAUUGCGUCUUCGAAUCCAGAACUGCGAUCAUAGGGGACAUAAUGGGCGCUCUUGCCGAUAACAGCAAUAGUGUGGUCGGGGUUUACGGGAUGGGUGGGGUCGGCAAGUCCACCCUUUUGGACGAUGUGGUAAGCAGAAUAAGAGAAGAGAAGCGGUUCGAUCUGGUCGCCAAGGCCGACGUGUCACAAAAUCCUGACAUCAAGAGAAUUCAAGGUGUGAUUGCCCAUGUGUUGGGCCUGGACAUGAAGGAUUAUGAGUAUGAGAGCUUGCGAGCGGAUCGUCUGCGCGAGAGGUUGGGAAAUGAGGAAAAGAAGGUCCUCAUAAUACUGGACAACCUAUGGAAAGGGCUUGACUUGAAAUCUGUUGGAAUUCCUUGCGGGCAUGACAACAAAGUCAUGGGAUGCAAGUUGUUAUUGACGUCGAGAGACCGAAAUGUUUUGCAAAGGGAAAUGGGCUGUGACAAGGACUUCUUUCUUGAUAGGCUGGAGGAGAAAGAGGCAAAAAUAUUGUUUGAGAGGAUGGUGGGAGAUAAAGUUCAUGAUGAUGAGUUCAGAUCCAUGGUGAAUGAAGCACUCCGCAAAUGUGCAGGUUUGCCUUUGUUAAUUGUCACAAUGGCGAAACAUUUGAAAUACGGUCGUUUGCCUGAAUGGAGGAAUGCUUUAAAUCAAAUUGAGCGGUGUUCAAACAAAGGGUUAAGUGCAGUGAUCAAUACGAUGUUGCAAUUAAGUUAUGAUCAUUUAGAAAGCGAGGAAAUGAAAAAUUUGUUACAACUCUGUGUUGCUUGUGGCGUCUCUAAUCCCUCCGUUGAAGACUUGGUGAGGUAUGGCUAUGGUUUAGGGAUAUUUCAAAAAGAUAUCAGCAUAAAAGAAGCUAGAGAUGAAGUGAGUACACUCAUCCACACUCUUCAAGCCUCCUCCCUUCUGUUGGACAAUGGAGAUGACAAUGCUUUCAAGAUACAUGACUUGGUUCGUGACUUUGUUGCUCAGUUCAUUUUAAAAGAUCGCCCUCUUCUCAUGUUGAAAGAUAAAGAUGUGUCGGCAACACAAUUGCAGAAUGAGAGGCUCAAAAGUUGUUCAGCGAUAUGCUUUCCCUAUAUUGAUAUGAAGGAGCUUCCCAAAGAAUUAGAUUGUCCCGAAUUGCGCAUCUUUUUGCUUUUUAACAACAAUAUAUCUCUUGAAGUUCCAGAUUCGUAUUUCAACUCUAUGAAGAAACUUGUGGUUCUAAAUCUAACUGGCGUACGUCUCACUCGUUCAUCGACGCCAUUUCAGUUCUUGGAGAACUUAUGUACUCUGUGUCUUCAAUUUUGUUCACUAGAGGAUGUGACCAUUCUGGGCAAGCUAAAAAGGUUACAAGUUCUUAGUUGUGCAAAUUCCAACUUUCAACAAUUGCCGGAAGAAAUUGGGCAACUAACAGAGUUGAGGAUGUUGGAUUUGAACCAUUGUCCACAUCUUCAGAUAAUUGAACCAGGUGUUCUUGGAAGAUUGAUCAAAUUGGAGGAGUUGUAUAUGGAGAAUAGCUUUAAUAAAUGGAAUUUCGUGGAGCAAACUCAACGAACUAAUGCCAGUCUGAUUGAGUUGAAUCACUUGAAGAAUCUUUGCACUCUACAUGUCUCCAUUCCCGAUCCGAGUGUGCUCCCAGAGGACCUAGAUGUCAAGAAAUUAACCAAGUACAAAAUCCGAAUAGGUAAUGUAACACACUGGAGCAAGGACCAAGGAUUGAGGAUUUUGUACCUCAAGUUGGAUCCAAUAAGUGAUGUUCUUCGAAAAGGAUGUAUACAAAGUCUUCUAAGCAAAACAGACGAUCUGUUUUUGGCCGAGUUGAACGGAAGCAAGCAAAAUAUUUGCGCAUUAUCUCAAGAAGGCUUUCCAAAAUUAAAGCAUCUACAGGUCAAGGAUAGUCUUUCCAUCCAUCACAUCCUCCAAUGGCGUUCCCUUAGUGCUUUUGAGAUGUUGGAGUCAUUACUUCUCAUAAAGCUUAUCAACUUGACGAAGAUAUGGCCCAACCAUAUCUCCUCCGCCAAGUCCUUCAGUAAAUUAAAAGUAAUUCGAGUCCAAAGUUGUGACAAGAUGGAAGUUUUGUUUCCUCUUUCAUUACUGAGAGGACUUACAAAUCUGGAAGAGAUUGAAGUUGUCUCUUGCAAGUUAUUGCGUGGGAUUGUAGAUGCUGAUGAUUGUGGCAAAGUGGAAUUGCAAAAUUUGCAUGUAAUAAAAUUGCACCACUUACCAAAUAUCAAGAAUUUUUUCACUGCCGGGACAGUUCCUUCAAAUAGCACAUCAGAGGACCAAGUUGGCACUCAAAUUGCAUUCUUCAAUGGGCAACAGGUAACUCUCUGUCAAAAGAGUAUAAUAUUUAUUCUUUUUCCUACCUUUGCUAAUUAGAUGCAACACAUAUUAUGUUGCUUAAUAAUUUUGUUAUUUUUAGUUCAUAUUUUUUCCUAAUAAUCUUAUCCAUUCAUGCCUUCUCUGCAAUUCUCUUUAUUGCAUAGAAAUCCAACUAAUUGUAUGAAAUCCAUGUACAUUUAAUUUGUGAUAGGCUUUGAGUUAUUUUCAAUUUAAAUGCUGCAAGUAUAUCUAUAUUAAUACGGUUUCAUAAAGCAAAAUUGAAGGGAAUUUCGUCACUAAAGUAAUACCACAAGUAAUUUUAAAUAUUUUGAAAUAGAUUCUAUUGAAUUUACUUAUCAUAAGAUAGCUGACUCUCCAAAAAAGCGAUACGAAAAAUGCGAAGGAGGACCGGGUUUUUUAAAUAAAAGCAACUAUAAUAAUCUAAUUGAUGCAUUAUAAGAGUAUGGAGUUUUGUGCAUGUCCAUGCAUGCAUAUUGUAUACAUAGAUAUCUUUGUACGUAUUUUUGAUAUCACAAAAGCAAAUCCACAAUUUGUGUUUAAUAUCCUAUUAAAUUGGUUAUUUAUAGUGAUUUGUUAAAGGUAAAGAGAAGUUAGCAAAAUAAGGAUGAUCAAUUGCCCAAUUAAGAAAAGCACAUGGCUAUUUUACAUGGGGAAGAAUUGCUGCGAAUAGUACCUUUUAGUUGACUAGAUAAGAUUGCCCUUUUAUAGUGGCGCAAUAUUGCUGAAGUUGAUCAUGAGGCCUUAGACACACAAUAGAUUAGCUUUCCCGUUCAUAAAGUCUUGGAAAUUUAAGUUGUAGGUCCCACGUGUUGGUGUGUGACUUAUCUUCUUCCCCUGCUUUGAGCUAUCAUGGAGAGAGCGCUCUCAAAGAUAAUGGAACUACAUUGGAGAAAUUUUACAAAGAGCCUUUAUGGCUUUGCUUUUUUCUUUUUACAUCGUAAUCUUGUAUAAUAGAUCCUUUUGGUAUCAUCUCUACACCAAAUUUAAAGAAGAUGAUAAAUUAUUCAAGUUCAACAAGGGGGAGCAAUUGUAGAAUUGAUAAAGUAGCUCAUCACAACAACAACAAUUAAUGGCAUUCAAUUGAAAUUGAGGGCGAAUAUUUGUAGUAUAUUAAAUUCUAGACUAGCAAGUGGAAACGUAGUUAAUAGUUUAACUAGCUUUAUUGACAACAUUUUAUAGGAGAUCUUUUUGCUAUAAUAUCUACAUGAAGUUCAUAGAAAAUGACAAAUCAUGCAAGUUCAAAAAGGGCAGUAAUUACAGAUGAAAAAUUCCUUUGUUAUUUUUUUUUUAUCAAUGGAAAUGAUGUUACUAUGCUGUAGAUAUAUUUUAUGGUCCUAUCUCGACUUCUACGGAUAGAAUUUACUAUGAUGAAAGAGAAACAAUAAACUAAGGAUAAAUAAUUGCCCAAUUAAAGAGAGCUAACGGCUAUAUUUUAUUUGGGGAAAACUACUGUAAAUAAAAAGUUUUAUUUGACUAGACAAUAUUACUCUUUCACAGUGGUGCGGGCCCAAGGCUCAUGCCAUACGUUAGUUUCCCUGUUUAUACUUAAUAGAGAGCGAUGGAGACCUAAUUGGUGGGUCCCACAAGGUUAUGAUGUCAGAGUGUGACUUCUUUCAACCCAUGCUUUGAGCUCCCACGGCGAGAGCUUGCUUUAAAAAAUAAUGGAGCUAUUACCCUUUGCCUUUUUUUUUUUUUUUUUUUUUUUUGCUGUAGUUUUUGGGGCUUUUAUCUUUCUAGGAUUCUAAUUCUCAUAAAAGAGUUACUCUUGCCUUAGUACUUCUUUUUAUUUUUAUUUUUUGUGUAAAACCGACAUAUGCAAAGAUCUAUGGGGUUAUAAUGAAAUUGCUUCUUAAACCUAUAAUAAAUCUCCUCCGAUAUUAUAAAGCACUGGCAGCCUCCACAAGUAGUAAUCUAGGGUUAGCUUGUCGGGGAUGAGAAUAGUCUAAUGAACGAAAUACAAAAAAGUUAAAAAGCUGUUGUAUGGGUUGGAGCCAGGCUGACGGCGAGAUAAAUGGGAGACUGUGAGCAACUUGGCAGAAGAUGGAUUCUCUAGAGUCAUAUAGCAAUGAACUUUUGGGGGAAAAAGAACAAAAAGAAAAUAAAGCUUUCCAUCAUCAUUAGGGACAGCUGGAUCCCUCACCUCUAAUGUUAUGGUUUCUGACAUGUUGACUGUGGAUUUAGACUCACCGCAAGGAAAUUAUGACAACAAGUAUGAUUAAUUAAGAUAGGCUACAUAUGCCUCUGAAUUUAAAGGGACACUCGAGAUGAUUUAUGAAGGAUAGGGAAAAAGAAGUCCAGUACUCAGUUAUUGUAAUAUCACAACUGCUGAAAUGUCCAAUUUCAGGUUAUUUUGUGGGGAAAUUAGUCCCAUUUUGCCUGAUAAAUUCGGAGAAAUUGAAGACAUCUAAGAAGGAAAAGAAAAAGAAAUGCCCGUCUUGUAGGAUUAUAAAUGAAUGGCAGAAAAAAAGAGUUCUCCUGACCUAAAUGAAUGAGGAAUGAUGUCAUGUUCGGCUAUCAACUCUCUAUGCCCAUAAGUCUUUUUCAUAUGCCACCGUUUGCCCAAUGUUUAUUUUUUGAGUUAGGCUCCUAACAAGAUGAUAUAUAGAUAUAGAAGGCUCAAUCUCGCCGGGACUCAUGGGACAUGAGUUGUAUACAUCUCCAUCUAAUCGAUAUAAUUUGACAAUUAGAUAAAUACUUCUUGUAUCAACAGAUUUGCAUUAGUAAUCAGAACGAGUGCUAAUUUUUUAUCAUUGCGAUUCCUGAUUUUGCUAGUAAAAUGCAAACAAAAUCUAAUCGUGACAGGAUCCUUGUUAUAUCGUAAAUAAAAGGUAAAGUUGAUUAGUUGUCUUUUGAGGUUGUAAAUUAGCUUUUGUUUAUCAUAGAUUUCCGUACAUGCAAAACUAUCCUAAAGGUUGUACAUUAUCUUUUUUGUAAAUUUCUUUCGCCAAUUGAAUUAAUAUACUAUAAAUAAUUGCCCUCAAUUUCAAUUGAAUGCCAUUAAUUGUAUUGUGAUGAGUUAAUGGCAUUCAAUUGAAAUUGAGGGCAAUUAUUUAUAGUAUAUUAAAUUCUAGACCAAUAGGCAGAAAUGUAGUUAAUUGUUUAACUAGCUUUAGCAAUAACAUUUAAUAGGAGAUCCUUUUGGUAUAAUCUUUACAAUAACCUUAAAGAAGAUAAAAAAUCAUUCAAGUUAAAAAAGGGGAGCAAUUACAUGUGAAAAAUGCUUUAUUAUUUGUUAUUAUCAAUGAAAGUGAUGUUAUGCCGUCAUAGAUAAAUUAUAUGGCCUUUAUCUGCACUUCUACGAGACUAAUCCCAUAUGCAACAUCAGUCAUUGAAUUUAAAACAAAAAACUUUCCACUUGUUAAAUUGAUCAUUGAUAGUAAGUUACUAACAUGAAAGAGAAUUAGUAAACUAAGGAUAAACAAUGCUCCUAAUUAGGGAAAGCUCACGGCUGUAUUUUAUAUGGGGGAAAACUGCUGCAAGUAGAGGGUUUUAUUUGGCUAGACAAGAUUGCUCUUUUACAGUGGCGCGAGCCCAAGGCUCAUGUUAUACGUUAGUUUCUCCGUUAAUAAAGAGCGGUAAUAAAGAGCGGUGGAGAUAUGAGUAGUGGGUCGCACGAGUUUGUGAUAUCAGAGUGUGACUUUUCUUCAACCCAUGUCCUGAGCUCCUGUGGAGAGAACUGGCUUUCAAAUAAUAAUGGAACUAGAUGGGGAAGCCUUUGUGGCUUUGCUUUUUCUUUUUCUUUUUUUCUUGUUUUUGGUAGUCUUUGGGGCUUUUAACUUUCUAGGAUUCUAAAUCUUUAUGAAAGAGUUACUCCUGCUUUAGUACUUCUUAAUAUUUUUAUUUUUUCUAUAAAACCUACAUAUGCUAAGAUCUAUGGGUUUAUAAAAUGCUUCUUAAACCUAUAAUAAAUCUCCUCCGACAUUAUAAAGCAGUGGCAGCCUAUAAAAGUAGUAGUCUAAGGUUGGUUUGUCAGAGAUGACAAUAGUCUAAUGAACGAAACACAAAAAAGUUCAAAAAAACUUGUUGUAUGGGUGGGAGCGAGGGCGAUGGCAAUAUAAAUUGGAGAUUGCGAGCAACUUGGCAGAUGAAGGAUUUUCUAGAGUUAUAUAGCAAUUGGACAUUUGGGGGAAAAAAAGAAGAAGAAAAAAAAAAUAAAGCUUUCCAUUGUCAUCAGGGACAGCCGGAUCCCUUCACCUCAAAUGUUAUGGUUUCAGACAUUUUGACUGUGGAUUUGGACUCACCUUAAGGAAAUUAUGGCAACAAGGAUAAUUAAUUAGGAUAGGUUACAUAUGCCUCUGAAUUUAAAGGGACAAUUGAGAUCAUUUAUGAAAAAUAAGGAAAAAGAAGUCCAGUACUCAGUUAUUGCAAUAUCACAACUGCUGACAUGUCCAAUUUCAGGUUAUUUUGCGGGGAAAUUAAUCGCGUUUUGCCUAAUAAAUUUGAAGAAAUUGAAGACAUCUAAGAAGGAAAAGACAAAGAAAUGCCCGUCUUGUAGGAUUAUAUCAAGAAGCAGACAAUUUUAGUGUGCGAUAAGUCCUCUAGACCUUAUGACCCAAAAAAAAAAAAGUCCUCCUGACCUAGAUGGAUGAGGAAUUAUGUCAUGUUCGGCUAUCAACUCUCUCUGGCCAUAAGUCUUUUUCAUAUACCAUCAUUUGCCCAAGGUUUAUUUUUAAGUUGGGCUCGUAACAAGAUGAUAUAUAGAUAUAGAAGGCCCAAUCUCGCCUUGACUAAUGCAACAUGAGCUGUAUAUAUCUCCAUCUAAUCGAUAUAAUUUGCCAAUUAGAUAGAUAUUUCAUGCAUUAAUUGAUUGUCAUUUUUAAACGGAACAAGUGCUAAUUCUUGAUGGUUGCAAUUCCUGAUAUUGCUAGUAAAAUGCAAACAAAAUCUAAUCGUAGUAGCAUCCCUUGUUAUAUUGUAAAUAAAAGAUAAAGUUCAUUUGUUCUCUUUUGGGGUCGUAAAAUUCUUUUUUGGAUUGGAAAUUAGCCUUCGUUUGUUAUAGAUUUCCGUACAUGCAAAAAUUAUACUAAAGGUUGUACAUAUCUUGCUUGUGAAUUUCCUUUGACAACCAUUUAUAAUACUUGUUAUACUGUGUAAAUUUCCGACUGUCCUUUAUAUGUGUAAAUGCUAAUGUUGAUGGGUUUGUUCGUUAGAUUUCAAUCCCAUCCUUGGAGUCCUUGACAAUGGGAGGACUUCCCAAUAUAAAAGAAAUAUGGAGUGAUCAAUCUCUAUUGGGGCUAAGCAAUCUUCGAUCUCUUAAGGUGGUGCAGUGCAAAUCUAUGUCAAAGGUUAUUAGCUUUGAGUCGCUGGUAAAACUACACGAAUUAAACAAUUUAAGCAUAUCAAAUUGCCAUUCGGUGCAAGAAAUUUUCGAUCUUGACAGACCAAGCACAAGUGGAGAUGUUGAGACUCUGUCUGAGUUGACCACCUUUGAUUUAAGGGGACUAGGGAGCUUGAGACGCAUAUGGAACAAGAAUCCUUGUGGAAUAGUGAGUUUCCAUAAUUUAAAGAAGUUGGAGGUGCAUGACUGUCCCAACCUUAGGUUUAUGUUUUUCCCAACCAUGGUUAAAUCUCUCGAACUCUUGAGAGAUCUAACAGUAAAACGUUGCAAGAAAAUGGAGGCAAUCAUUAUGGAGGAAGAAGGGUCGGGAUUGGAAACAUCAAAAACUCUGGCAUUCCCGAUGUUGACCAACUUAAACUUACAACGUUUGGAAAGUUUGAUGUGCUUCUCUUGUGGAAAGUGUAAGAUUGAUUUAUUUUGUUCUCCUCACUAAAGAUCUUCUUGUACAUAGAUUCAUCCUUGCAAUGCAAAUGGUGACAUUCUUUUCAUCCAAUGAAAAACCGACGACAGAUUCACGAGAAGCUCGAAGUCAGGACUGCAUCAAAUCAAGCUCCAAUGCACUCUUCGGUCGACAGGUACAUGAUUAACGUUAUGUCAAAAUAUCAAAUAUUACAGAAGUAUCAAAUAUGCAUGAGACAAAGCAUAGCGAAAAUAUUUUAAAAGAAAAUGAGUAGCAUGCAAGCAUUAAGUGUUCAGAGUUGCCAACAUGUAUGAGUUGCAAUGUCUUACCUUUAAUUUCUCUGGAAAUAGUUUUCAUAAAGAUGGUUGAACAUCUCUUAUGUUACCUGCACAAAGCAUGAAUGGUAGUACAAUUGCCAAGCAGGAUCCUUAAAAGCUUUCUAAUAUUCACAAGAAACUUAGAACACUCAUGAGCCUCACAUGUACAGCCUAGACAUUGCACGCACGUACAUUGAAAAAGAUUGAAAAAACAAUUGAGAGGAAAGUGAGCAGUGAGGUUCAAGAGGCUGGAGACGAAGGGCCUUUGAGACGCUCACUUUACUUCAUAUGCACUCACAAGAUCUCUCUCUGUCUUCUUUUUCUUAGUCGAAUGAAGCUUUAUUCUCUCUUCAUUGUACCAGCAAAAGGAACUUGAGCUCUCCGCCGCCAAACUGAGCAAGGCCUCUGGGGUCCAGGGCUUCAGAAAUCACCCCUUUUUAGUUUUUACAUGAAUUGCAAGACCAUUCUUGUUAAAGAAAUAAAUUACAUUCCGCAAAUCAGCCAUUUCAGCUUAGCUAUUUGACUUGUCGAGUGAAUAUUGGAAGAACAUUUGAGUGGAAAAUGAAAUAGAGUAAUUUAUGGGCGGAUCCGCUUUGACUAAACUAAAAGUAAUAUAGGACGUUUACCCAAAAUGUUGUUUAUGCCGCCGAAGAGGCUUCGAAAAUGGGCCCUCCCCCAAGAUUAACAUGUCGACUUUCUUAAAUAAUUUUAAUUUUCUAUAGACAGGAAAAUCUUCAAUUAUUUGACUCGAGUUUUUGUAUAAUCUGUCGUUGGUAUCUAACUAUUGGAUCCUCUAGCAUGGAUAAAAGAUCACUGAAUUUUAAAAGGAAAAUUAAAUCGAUUAAGUAUAAUGAGUUCUUUCAAGUGGGGAAUGGUGUAAGUAAGAUUUGUUCAUUUGACCCAAACAAUUCCUUUUUCAAUUCCUUUUUCAAUUCCUUUUUCUUAGCCUCACUUUAUAAUUGCUUUAGAGUAAUAUAAUAUUGAUUUGAGGCAUUCAGUAUUAGAUAAAAUCACACCUCCUACUGUAUUCCACCUUUCGAUGGAUGAUUGGUUGGCUCUUUAAAAUCAAUCUCUCCAUCAUUUUCUUUCUAAUUGCUAAUAUUCUUCCUCAAGCGAUCCUUAGCUGCAUUUUUCUUUUACCACAUCAAUUUAGUGACUUACAAGUUCUAACGUUAAUGACCCUUUUAACGUGAUUCUUGUUUCUUUAAAUAGAAUUUUCCUCCUCUCUAAGUGAUUUAACUAUUGCUACGUAUACUAGCUAAUUCAUUAUAUUAGGGAAGUAAUUAAAUUGAAGAGAGGAAGAGAUUUUAUCUAACUUUGGGAUCUGCGGGAGACGUGAUUGUAUGAUUAUUAUAUGAGCAUAUCCAAAUUACUAUUUUGUCCAUUGUCAAUAGAAUUUGGCUAGACCAGAAUUCUUAAUUUUUUUUUUUAAUUUUUCUCCGGUAAUUCCAAUGGCCUUCUCAUCCUAGAGUCAUCAAUAUUAGUACGGAGAUUUUUUUACUAACUUUUUUUUUAUCCUUUUUGUCCUUUUGUGCAACUUAAGAUAGAAUCAUCGAUUCUGUGAAUUCAUAAUUUAUAACUUGCUACUCAUCCAUAUUUACAUCUUGAAAAUUUAUGAAUUUGUAAUUUAAUUGAAUCACCAAUUUCAUGAGCAAAUACCUGCAGGUUGCUUUUCCUAGCUUGGAGACCUUACAUAUCAAUGACAUGGAUAACAUUGAGAUGAUAUGGGACAAUCAAGCUAUUGCAGAUUCUUUCCCCAAGCUAAAAUCACUUUUUGUGGAUAAAUGCAAUAAGUUUGUGACUGUUGUUCCUUCUUACAUUCUAGGACGACUCUUAUGCCUGGAAAGUUUAAUGGUAAAAGCAUGUGCUUCACUUGAAGUUGUUUUCCAACUUCAACCACCGAAUCCUCUAGAUGGACAUCAUGUUGCUCUUUUGUUAAAAAAGUUAAAGCUAUCAAAUUUACCAAUGCUAAAGUGUAUAUGGGAUAAGGAAAUACACCGUCAAGUUAAAUUUCAAUGUCUACGUUCUAUCAACGUUUCUGAAUGCAAGAGCCUCACCUCCCUAUUUCCAGCCUUAGUGGCUAGAGAUCUAAUCCAACUUGAGGAGUUGGAGAUCUAUGAGUGUGGCAUUGUGGAACUCAUUGAGAAGGAAGAAGGACCAGGUCCUAGGUUUGAUUUCCCCAAGCUAACCUCCCUUAAGCUUGAGCUUCUUAUAGAGUUGAAGUGCAUCUACACCAAAAGACAUGCUUUACAUUGGCCGGCAUUGAAGACCUUGGAGGUCCUUGGCUGUAACAAAGUGGAGAUACUUGUUUCACAACCUAACAAUGAGAUGCCACUUCAUAAGAACCCUCUCUUCUUCAUAGAAAAGGUACGAUGCUAGAUUAUUUGUUUUGCUUCAAUGGUGAAUAUUUGAACUAAUGAUUAAGCCAAGCAUCUCAUACAAGUAGCUUUUACAUACGAAAAUAUAAACUAUACAACUCUCCGUGAAUCCAUAGAAAUAUUACAACAUUGAAACAUCAUGUGUUCUUCAAGUAUUGAGUGAACAUUCUUGUCAAUGUCUGGCAUAACAAAUGCAUACUCGUUGAUCUCCUUAAAAAAAAAGAGAGGCUAAUUCCAAUUUUUUAGCUCUCUCUUAAGUGCCACAAAGAUCGGAAACACGUGGUAUGUGGUGUGAUCUUACCAUGGCACAAGUGUGUUGUCUAAUUUGAACCCUAUAAAAAGUGCUGAUCUUAUGCUAACAAUUAAAAAAGGGGACACUAUUGUUGACGUUCAAAACUGAAAUUAAUGCAAUUGUGACUGUAAUUGAUGCAAAAGUUAUUUUCACAGGGGAUAUAUCUUUAGAAAUGUGAAUUUAAGGAGUUAAUCAAGUUCAAAUAUGGAUACAAGUCAAAUAUAAAAUAUUAGCGAUAAUGUUUGUUUCCUGAAGGCACGUAUCUUUCCAUUGAAUCACAUGAGACUCAACAAUUUAAAAUGUAGUUAUUGUGCUCAAUAUGCAAGAUUUAUAUCAUAAUACAUGAAUACUCUUUUAGCUAAGCUGGCUUUAGGUUCUGAUUUGACUAUUUUCUCAGGGUGCAUUCCCUAGCCUCCAAGAGUUAAAAUUGGAUUUAUCCAAACGGAUGGAGAUAUGGCAUAGGCAUUUUCAUGAUGGAGAAUUCUUCAACAAGCUUAGAUUUCUUGAGCUCCGUCAUCUCUCCCAGGAGUCUUCAAUAUCCACAUCGUGUUUUGUUGAGAGUUUACCCAACUUGAAAGAGCUAGUUGUAUGUGAAUCUUAUCUAGAAGACCCAAGUAGCAUUAAAGAAGCCAUAGAAGGCAGAAGUCAUGAGCUAAAAGUGAUAUUACCAUUUUCAAGAUAUAUUCGACAUCUGAAAACUCUAGAUGUGUCACUUUGUGAUGGGUUAUCAAAUAUGUUCACAUGGACAAUAGCUGAAAAUUUGGUGGCACUCACCAAAUUGAAGAUAAGUAAUUGUAGAAUAUUGACAGAAGUCAUUAGUGAUGACGAAGGUGGGGAGGGGCAUGUAGUGGCUUUCAAUCAAUUGAAGUAUAUGGAGCUUGACAGGUUGGCUAGGUUGAGAUGUUUCAGCUCAGGUGGAUACACUUUGAUGUUCCCUCUCUUGGAAGAUAUCAUUGUGAAUAGAUGUCCCAAGAUGAAGUUCUUCUUCGAGGGACCAAUGGAGGCGCCAAAGCUGGAUAGAGUAGGAACAAUUUUGAAUGAAAGGUAUAGAGCAACAAAGUACCAAUAUUUUUGGAAGGGAAACCUCAACACGACCAUCCAAAAUAUGUUCCAAGAAAUGGUAUGCUUUAGUUACUAAAUUCUGUGCAAUUUGAUUUUUUUUUCAAUCACCAAUGAAGUACUUGUUUUUUUUCUUUUUUUUUGCUAACUAGAAUUUUACGUUUAAUGAUGCAUUUUCUAAUAGGCUACAUUUGCUGGGACUAAGUUUAUGAGGUUGUCUGAGUUCCCGGAGCUGAUUGGAAAAUGGCAGAGUGAACUCAAUCCCAUCACGUCAUCUUGGCAAUUAGAAUCAUUAGUGGUGGAUAAAUGUUCAUCAUUUAUUAACGCUAUUCCAUCCAGUUUGAUGCUUGUUUUAGAGAGAACGACAAGCUUGCAAGUGCGUGAUUGCGAGCCUUUGCAAGAAAUAUUCGAUCUUGAAGGGCUUGAGGCUGUGGAUUACACUCAGGUGUUGCCUCAAUUGGAGGAUCUGCACUUGGUCAAUCUACCAAAGUUAAGGCAACUGUGGAAUAGAGAUCUCCAAGGAACGACAUGCUUCAAUUGUCUACAGUAUCUUAGCCUUUAUAAAUGCAACAACUUGAGACAUGCUUUUGUUCCAUCAAUGGCUCGGUGCCUUCCCAAUCUAUGGGAGAUGGAAAUAAAGGAGUGUGAUCAAAUGGAAGGAGUGAUCGUAGACGAAGAUGGGCAGGGAAGCACGUUGGAGGAGAUUACAUUCCCAUAUCUUAUGUCGAUAUAUUUGGAAUACUUGCCUAAUUUGAGUAGUUUCCUCUCAUGGAAGAAUCAUAUGCUAGAAUGCCCUACUUUAUCAACGCUGAGCAUUGCCCAUUGCCCGAAGAUGAGAAGUCUAACUUGGCAAUCUUCGGUGGAGAUUAGCAAUGGCACCCCUUCGCUUUUCACUUCACAAGUCAGUCUCUCAAACAAAUGCAUUUAUGGCAUUUCAUUUGAAUAUAUUCAUUCGCGUAUAAUUGGACAAUGCAUGGUAUGCAAACAAAAGUGCUAGAUAUAAUUGUUUGUAAUAUCAAUCAUCAAUGCUUUGCUCAAAUUUGACUGGGACUCUGUUUCAUACCUAAACAAAGAUAACCAAAAUAUUUGCCUUCCCACAAUAAUCCAUGAUCACAUCCAUAAAGUAUUAAUGCAAAACAAUUCAGACAUUGAUAAUCAUGUGCAGUUUUAAAAUCAUUUAAUUAUACAUAUAUAUGUACAUAAUCUAUUAAUAUUUACUUAAAAGAUUAAAAUUUUUCUAAUCCUCAGCAAGUAUAACUAUUAAUUGUCCAUCUCCAUAUAUUUUUAGAAGUGUUAUUCUUGUGAGCUCAUAAAAUCAUAUUGUGUGCAGUACCUCAAAAUAUAUUACAUAGGAUUUUAAAAAUGUUAUGACAAUAGCCAUAUGAAAUCAUUUACUUUUUGUAAUUUCAACUAUAAAGAAUAUAACAGUAAACAUAGAAUAGCAUUUAAAAAUGGCAAAAAAAAAAAAAGAAGUAUUGCCCACUUCAUAUUUCUUGCAUGGAAGCAAACUGGCAUCAUUCUAUUAAACAUGAAGAAAAGAGGAAAAGAAAAUUUCAUAAUUAUAAAAGCUUAAUUCACAAAUUGCUUAGCUAUUACAACUCAUUGUACCAUAAUCAUCUUUCCAAUCAAUGAAAUUGGAGGAAUUAGAGAGAAUUUCUCCUUUAAUUGGAGUGCUUUAAACUUCGAUAAUGAUCAGUGCUGUCAACUUUUUAUAUCUUAAUAAUCACUAAUGCUUGAGCUGGGUCUUGAUAAUAAAAUAAAUAAAAAUAAAAAGGCCAAUAUGUCUGAAGUUUUUUUUUUUUUUUGUAAAUCAUAAUUGAAUCACUGUACUCCAACAACCUAUCAAAUUAUGUACCUAUAUUAUACAAUAAAUAUUAACUCUAGAUUAUCAUGUUGAGUGAUAAUUAGUGUGAUACUGCGUACAAUCUAUGUUUGGCUAGAGGAAAAUAUAGAUUGCUUUUUCCAAAAAAAGAAAUGGCAAUAAAAAGGAAAAAAAAAUAAAAGAGAGAAAAGGACAGCGGUUGCCGACAUUGCAAGUUUUAUUUCGUCACUAGAUGACAAAAUUUAGUCAAUGUCCUAGCUAAAAUAAAAAUUUAAAAAAUUAGAAUAAAUUAUCCAAUCAACAACACUACUGAAGAGAAAAUAUCAGGUGCAUUAAAUACACCAUGUAGGAUCCAUAUUAAAUCAUCUGCAAAUCGACAUGUGGUAAAGUCGGGCCCACCUAUCAGUUGAAUGAUCAAAAUAUUUGCUCCCCCUCCCUUCAAUAACGCCCUGUUAUUGGAAACCUCUCUUUCCUCUUUUCUGGUGUGGCUUUGCUCCCUCCUCUCUCUCUCUCUUUCCUUCCUCGGUGGCCUUGGCCUCCGUCUGUUGCAGUGCUGUUGCGAUGCGCUCACUAGACAAAGGAAGAAAUUAGACAAAGUCUAUUUGAUGAUUUCGCUUCUCCCCCUCUAAGAAAUGUUCGCUCUCAGUCAUUUCGUUUCACCUUUGAUCCUCCUCUUCGCGACGAGGGGAAAAAAGAAAGUGAACCAAAUCUACAGAGUCAAGUAAUAAUAACUCUUCUUCCUCCCCCUCCCCCUCAUCCUCUUACCUUCUGUUUUUUUGGGGCGAUUGAUUGGGCGGUCUGUCCAAUGGUUGAAUCGGAAGCUUCAGAAUCGCUUCUCUGAAGCUCGCCUCCUCUCUGUGUGCGUGCUUCCAUGGGUUCCGAGUGAUUGCGCGAACCGGAGCUUGUUGGUUAUGGUGGGUCGAAGUGGAUCUCCGAUACGGAAGCGAUUUCGGCAUCGAUUCGGUCGGGGCGUUGAUUCCCGGCGAAGAAAAAUUAAAAAAUCUUCUCUUCAGCCCUCUCUUCCUUCUCCUUCGUCCACAGCCGCCCGACCUCCGCCCCUCUUCCGCUGUCGCCAAUGGCGGAGUCACCGACGCCUUGAUUAGGCUGACCCCCGCUAUGUCCAAGCCGAGCAUGGUCGGCUUACCUCUGUUUUGUCCGUCUCAUAGUUCUACAGAUCUCGAAAUCUGGCUGUCCAUAGCGACGGAGUUGCAGAUCUGGAAGUCGACCACCGCCGCUCGCAGCCAUGGACGAGCCGCUGUCGCUAGAGACAUGGUUGCAGAUCUGGAAGUCUCGUCGCGAGCAACGACGGCUUAUGGACUGCCAUUAUCCCCUCCGUCGUCGCUCGCGAUUGGCUCGCGGUCGUUGCCCGUCCAAAUCUGGGCUGGAGUCGUGCCUUCAGAUCUAGUAUCGUCCAUGGACGCAAGCCUAGCUCGUCCAUGGCUCGCCAGGAGGCUCCUCCACAGAUCUGGCGACCGUAGCUUGUCCAUGGCCAUGAGUCUUGACGGCGAGUUUGAGAUCCCUUCGUCCAUGGACUGCGAGGUCAAACGGCGAAAGAGAAAACAGAGAAAUAGAUGUCAGGGAAGAGCGGCCAUGGACGAGAGGCGUCAUGAAUGGGUAGACCACAGAGACGAUGGAGAGGGUUGGACGAGAGGCAAUGGUCACCUUGGACGCGACGCCGGCAACUCCACCGGUGGUGAUGGCUGGGGGAUGCGGGAAGGUUGGGCUCAAUGUGGCUGGAGAUGGAGGAGAAAGCGUAGAUGGAGAAGGAAAGUGAGGUGGAUUGAGAUUUUUUAUGUUUAGUCAUCCGACCAAGAAGAAGCCAAAGUUUAGUCAAUGUCAUAGCGUCCAGUCAACACUUCCAUUUCGUCUCAUGAAGUUCUCCUCAUGUGAAGACUAAACGCAGUAAAUGACGACCUCCUCCAGCACUUUUUUUUUUUGGGUUGAAACUGAGGCACUUGAAAAUGCGCGAUAUCAUUUUUUUAUUACAGAUUCUAUACAAGUUUUGUUUUUUUUUUCCACGACAAACGAAAUCCUUUUUUUUUUUCCUUAUUCUAAUACUUUUGCGCAAUUCUUUCUAUGGUUUUAUACUAGUAGAAUAGAAUGUUUAAUUAUAACAAGUAUCUACACAUCUGGUUACUUUUUAAUUGUAAGAAUUAUCACUAAUUAUUUAUUGAUAAUGUCAUUUGCAUGGAUAAGUUGUUAUAUAAUACCUAGCCCCACAUUCUAAGAAUAUUUCAAAAAGUCAGUAUAACACUCAAUCAACGAUACUAAUAAAUUUGGGGAAGUAUGAAAAUAGUCACCUGAUCUUUUGGUAGUGACAAGUUGUGAUAGAAUUGUUUUCAUUUUAGUGUCAAAUAUGAGCUGUCAUAUAAUAAUUGAUUUCUCCCACAUUAUUAGAUAAUUUCAAAAACUCAUCAAAAUCCUCAAUUAAGAAUAUUGAUAGAUUUAAGGAAGUGUGGAAAGUCUUUUUCUUUUUUUUGUGACAAGUCGUAAUUGCAUUAAUUAUAUUUUAACCAAAUGAAAAAUAUCAAUACUUACUUUCCAAUGGACAAUUCAUCAAGGUCAUGAUGUAGCGAAAAAAAAAAAAAAAAAAAGCACUCUUGAGUUUCUCCAUACAAACAAAAUGUGAUCAGCGGGUGCACACCCACUUUUUGCCAAAGGGUGGACCACUCGUACACCACAAGAUUCUAUUUUUAUUAUUUCACCUCAAAUCUGAAUAAAUAUUAUUUCAAGGAUGUUAUUAAUGCUCCAAUGUAAAACUAGUAAAUUGUCCCAACGUGCUUUUGCUGAGAUCAUAACAUUAUGUUAUUUAUUCAAGUGUUAUGUUGCCCGUGCCUAUUAAGAAAUUAUUUUCUUUCAAUACAAAAAUUUUCCAUGCAUAAAAAAAAAAGAAAAGGUUGUGAACAAUUGAAGUUACUAUCUAUCCAUAUAUAUGCAGUUCGCCAUAUAAAUUUCAAGACUCUUCUCUUUGGUGAACUGUAUUAAUUAGAAGAUUCAUAAAUACCAUUCGCAAUUUAGUAUGAAUAAGUAGCAGUGCUCAUGGUAAAUAGAGGAAAUAAUGUUGAGCCAAGCAUCGGUUUCAUCCAUUCCUUCUUCAAUACAUACACUAUUUAAGUUCUCUGCACCCGCUAUUCAUAUCCUUAGUUGACUGGCUCAUCAUCACCAUGCCUGUGCUUUUUCUCUAAUUGUUAUGCAUGUUCACCUUGAAGCAAACAUAUCUAAAACAUAACUGAUCUUUGCCGACGAAACUAACGUAACGGAAAUUUUCAGUCUGUAUUAAUGAAUCUAAAUGUUGCUCUUUUCAAUAUUUCUAUCGAACUGCCUAGCAAGCUCCCUAAACUUUUUGCCAAUCUUCGUGCUUAUUCAUUACAAAAAAAAUACAACUUGUCACUCCUCCAUGGCAUCAACAUUGUUUUGUGAGAUUCAUAUUAUGUUCUUCUUCGUCUUUGUCCUCAUUUAAUUGCGUAGAGAAACAGUUGAGUGAGCUAUCAUUGAUGUUUAGUCAAUGGCUCCAUUCAUGCAUCAGCAUAUAGGAGGGCUCUCUUCUCUCUCUCUCUCUCUCUCUCUACGCGAGCUACUAUAAAAAAAAAUGAGGACUUAGGAGGGGAGGAUUAGGAUGAAGUUGAAAGGUAGAAAACUGGAAUUCGGGAGACCUACUUAGCAACCAUUUGAACGAGCCCAAGUUCCACGUGCAUCGGGCCCAUCCGCCUAAUUCCUGAACUUUUAAGUUAUCGCUAUGAUUGUGUUUUUUUUGGUAAGGGUUAUCGCUAUGAUUGUUGAGUAAUCAAGAAAAGUCAACAUUGGCUCAUCACUCUAAAAUCUACGUACCCUUAAUCAUCAAUUAAGCCACUCAAAAAGUCGAUGCUCAACAUACUAUUGAUUUAUAAAAGCAUUAUAAUUCCAUGCUUGUUGCAAUGCAAUACCCUUGGCCUUAGUCAUCAGUCAACUUGUAUAAAAGCAUCAAUCAACCCCUCCCUGUUUAUAUCACUAACAAGAUCUUGACUUCUCAUGAUUUGUGAGAACGAGGGAAGUUUGGCAAUUCGUUCUUUAAGGUCAUAAUUCAAUGCAAUAACAUUCAUUGUGUCAUUCUUUUCUCAAUAUGGCAGGUACAAUUUCCUCAACUUAGGUGGAUGCAUCUCUCCCACAUGGACGAUUUAAGCAAAAUAUGGACUGACGGUCCUCAAGAAACUCUGACUUUUGAUUGUUUAAGGGAAGUGAAGGUUCGGAAUUGUAAGAGCCUUGAAGCUUUGUUUCCGUAUUGGGUGGCUACAAGUUUAACCCACCUUAAAAAACUUCAAGUGGAGUCUUGUGAGAUCGAGGAAAUUGUUGCUAAUGGGGGUGACACUCCACACUCCAAUACUACUGAAGAUCUUUUCCCAGAACUAACCUCUUUGGUGUUACAUGACAUGCCACGACUCAAGAGUUUCUAUCCUAACUUGCCCACUUUGCAUUGGCCAUUAUUGGAGGAAUUACGAGUGAUUCACUGUAACAAACUGAACAUGUUAUCCUUUACGGCAUCCAUGAACAGUUGGGCUCAAAAAUAUGAUCAACAAGACCUUUCAAAUCAAGAAGCACACUCUUCAUUCGAGAGGGUAUGAUUAUAGCUACUCCCCAUUAGUUUCUACUUUGUUCUUUAAAGCAGUCACUAAUAUCAUAUCCAUUGCAUAUCAUGUCGCGUUAUAAUGUUAUAGAAAACAUGAUCUCCCUUACUUAUUAGUUUGUUGACAACAUUAAGAUAUUUCUAAUAUCUUAAGUAUACUUUCAUUUGUGGACAUGCAUAAGAUAUUCCAUUACCUAGAGUUACAAAAAUAUUUAUAGUAUUCUAUUGACAACGGAAUAUAUUCCUAAUCUAACUGAAUGGUGCUCCUUGGUGACAUCAAUAAGAAUUUGACAAGAGGUCCUCUCAAUUAUUGACAUGGGUCGCACAUUUGAACUUUUCUUCUCUAUUUCAUCUUCUACAAACUCUAAAAAAACACCAAUUCAAACUUUUAAAAAAAAAUAAUAAUAACAUCAGUAUCUUAGUGCACCAUUUCCUAAUGUAUUUUUUUAAUACACUGCACAGUCGUCGUGUUGUAACAUUAGUAAUAUUAGUACCUUAGUGCAUUGCAUAGUCGUCUUGUUGUCCUGUUAUAAUACUAUAGAAAACUAGAACUCCUUUCCUAUAAGUUUGCGAACAACAUAAGGUAUUUCUUAUAUCUUAAGCACACUUCUAAAUUUGUGGACCCCAUAUGUUUUAGUAACAUCAUGAGCGCAUCUCAUUACAUAAGAUUCCAAAGAAAAUAUAUUUUUGUUGACAAGAUAUUCCUAACUAAAGAUGAAUUUAAUGAUUGUAGGGGUCUUUGAUUUUAGAUUCACACUAUCCACUUGACCAGACCAACCUUCCAUGCAAAUUAUCUAAGUAGGUUUACUUUUUACAACACGUGAUUUAUUACCAAAACUUUGCUGAAUUUACUUCUAUUGUUGUAUUGGCUAUUUGACAGGACUUUCCCAACUUUGAGAGACUUUUAUUAGUCAAUAACAAUAUUCAGAUGAUACAAGAUGAAAAUUUUCCCGAUGACAUCUUUAGCAAACCAAUAGCACUAACACUGGCAUGCUUUCAUGAUGAAAAGGCCGUCUUUCCUUCUAUAUUCCUCUUAGAGAGAUUUCAGAAUCUACAAAGCCUUGAGGUAUUCUGUAGCUCCUUUGAAGAUAUAUUCCCGGACGAAGGGCUUGUUGAAGAGGGGAAACAUCCGGUGCUUGAAAAUUUAAGAAAAAUUAAGUUAAACGAGCUACACAACCUGAAGCGUGUGUGGAGAGAAGACUCUUUAGUGUCGAAAAUUCUUCAAAGCAUCGAAACAUUUGAGAUUUGGGAUUGUCCCUGUUUGACGACAAUAUUUACAACUGUGGCAUCCUUCCAGAAUCUGAUGAAGUUAGUGGUGAAGAAUUCCUCUGGAUUAGUACAUCUAGUAACAGUUUCAACGGUCACAAAUUUGAUGCAUCUCGAUAACAUGACUAUAAUAGGAUGUGAAAGAAUGAAAGAAGUAGUAGCCAAUGAUGGAAACGGAGAAGGAAAAGUGAUUUCUUUUGGAAAUCUACGCUUUUUGACACUCCAAGAUCUGCCAAGCCUAGAAUGUUUCUCCUCCAUCUCGAGUUGCACCUUCAGGUUCCCAUUCUUAAGGAAUAUUAAAGUGGAAGAGUGUCCGAAAAUAAAGACAUUUUCUAAGGGUACGCUAAGCACACCACUACUAUGUGCAGUGAGCCUGUUCAGAUACAAGUGGAAAGGGAAUUGGGGGGAGGGUGAUGAUCUGAAUACAACCAUACAAAAGUUAUCAGCAUGAACAAAUGCACAUAGAAUUGGUAAAGAUUCAACUGAUGUCAUUUUCUCAUCCAUUCGUUUUUCUUUUUCCUUAUUUUUUUCGGUAGCACGGUAAGUUUUUAAAUUUUUCUUUUUGUAUCUUUUCUAUUAUUGAUACCAUCGGAUCAAAGCAUCACAAACCCUUAUCUAUCGAUCGAUCGAUCUCGCCUCCUUCACUGAACAGCAGGAAACGAAGCAAGGCUCUCCUUCUUGAUUCCAGAGGCUCUCUCUGCUGCAUUCACGGAGGACGGAGCGAAAAGGAAGCGACGGGAAUUGCUAGGACUUGAGAGAAGAUGGCACUGCCGAGUCUGGACAGUCGGUCCUCCACUCACUUCAUCAAAGAAGAAGAUCAUACUCUCUCCGCAUCUGUAUCCGACGAAUCGUAAGUUCACGCUUCUGCACACAUCAUUUCUCCUGUCUGCCAGAAUUUCUUCCUGACUUUCGUGUCUUGUUGCUCGUAAUUUUCAUCUGGUUUUCGUAGAGACCUUUCCUUAAUCGUUGUCAUCUUCUUCAGCUAGGGCUCUGCUUUUUAAAUUCGUUUUGUGUAAAUUUCUCAGUCCACUACUUCAGAUCAUGGACCAACAGAGGUCCUCCACUGACAUCAUCGAAGAAGAAGAUCUCGCUCUUUCUCGCACUUGAACCCAGCAAACUCGUAAGUUCACGUUUCUUCCGAUUUUGGUGUCUUAUUGCGCGUGAAUUAGGUUGAAGUCGGAAGCUGGUUUCGUAGAGACCUUCCUCAAUCCUCGCCUUCUUCUUCAGCAAAGGGCUUUGUUCUUCAAAAUUCAUUCCACAUUAGAGUCUAAAAGCAUAAGUUCCUCAAACUAGCAAUUUUAUCUUAACAAUGGAGUAAUUGAAAUAGGGAAAAGAAUGAAAGGACUAUUAUUGGGACAUAAGCUAGUGGUUGGAGGUUCGAAAAGAUAACAAUCAUCUCCUUAUUCAGUGGAUACAUGGGUUGGAAAAGCAAUUCCUAAGGCGUCUUAGAAUUAGAAUCCAAGUCCUCUUAUAUGGAGAAAUUUGACAAUGUGAUUCAAUGUCGGAGAAGUAGAAUAUAUAUGUUAAUCGCACAAAGAGACUAUGUUCAUAUAGACAAGCAAAUUGCAAAGAAUGUUGCUGCCUCCUUAACUAAAGAGAAAGACCUAAUCGAUAAGGGGCUAGCUUGUUGUGAUUAAGAAAUUUCAUUGUAGAUCUAAUGACUGAUAAUUUUGUUUUCAAAUAGGAGAUGCUGUUGUAUUUUGUUAUGUUAAUCAGAUUUGGGGAAGAAAGAGAUUUUACUUUGUCAACUUGAACCAAUAGUUUGAUAAAACCUUAUUUGAGCUGCGCUUGAAAGAAUCAAACUGAUUAAGUUUAAAUUUUCAAUUCCAUUGAUGUUCCAGUCAUCAAUGUAUUUGCUUUUUCCUUUGUGAUUAUGAUUUGUGUGGCUGAAAUUGAUAUGUUUUAAAUAUAUAUAUAUAUAUAGGACCUGGAAGGCUUCUUCUGAACGUGUACCCUAUUGCAUUCUGGGAGCACGGAUUUGACCUUGACUUUGGAUGAAUGACUUUUGUCAUUUGGUUUACUGUCUAUUAAACUCCUGAAACUAGCAAGUAAUGCCUUAAACUCACUCUGUGUACGAUUUAAUUCUCUCAUUAGGGUAUUGCUUAUGUCUUGGUCUUUUCUUCACCAUAUGUUGGUUUUCCAACCGUGUACAUGCGCAUUUGGCUCCUGUUCAAUUCAACAUGCAACAUAUUCAGGAAAUUUAGCAAAUUGUGACUCUCAGGUAUUCGGACAGGUCAUGGAUGGUGAAGUUAAGGAGUUGUGGAUGAGAUUUUUUUUUUUUUUUUGGGUGCGGUGGGGAGGGGUGUAUGUUCUUUUCUGCUGGUCGGCCCACAUUUGCAAGAGAAGGUCAUCUGCAUGUAGAAACUCAUUGAUAGGGAUGAUUUUCUAUUCAGAGUCCACAUAUUCACUAGUGCUGGUUAGGACUUGAUUUACAUUGAUCUAGAUGAACUCUGGAAGUGUCACUUUCGCUGGUCCAAGAUGAAUUAAGUAUUCCAAAUAACAAACUCCUUUAUAUAGUCUUGAGGAAUCAAGGAAGUGUACUUGUAUGCCAAUUGGGUUUUAUGAGGUUGAUCACAAUCCAGAUGCACACUCAUUAAUGCUUCAUUCCAACUCUGAAUGAAUCGAAAAGUAUGUGCUUCAAGACGUACUUUUUGGUUUAUGCAUUCUUCAUUUUGAAUUUAAAACAAGUCUCAUAGGCUUAUUAAGAUUAUGGGUUUUAUUUUUCCUACAGGAAUAUUAAAAAGGUUCAAGAGGAUGCUUUUGAGAGAACAGUGCAAUUGUUUGGCCUGUAGAACUGGAAAAAUGUGAUGAGAUGGUUUGGUUAGCAUAGGGUUUGAAUGAAUAUGCAGAGCAUUACUCUGUCUGUAAGGUUCAAUUUUUGGUCUUCUAAUAUGAAGGGGACUCCAUUUCCCGUGUCACCAUAAUUGAUGAAAGGAUGUCCGAGAUAGAAUAUCCACCAAUCAAUGUUGAUAUGAGGAACCAAGCCUCAGCAAUUAUGGAAUUGUCUUGCUGAAAGUGGAAGAUGCCUUCAAUUGCCGUGAUGUUUCAGUCAGGCUUGAAGUCUGGGGGGGUGAAUUGCAUUUAGCCAAGUGUCCUCGGUUUUGUAUGGAAAUCGAAUCUGAUCAGGUUUGCAAAGUUCAUGGUGAUUCCUAUGCACAUUCAUCAGCAGAGUUUGGGAGGGACAGAAGUUUGAACUGCUCAUCUUAAGAUUUUCCAGGUGUGAAUCUUAAUAUUUGCUAAUUCUGCCCUUGAUUGUAUUGUUCUUGUGUUUGAUUCAAAUACCGUACAUGAAUUGUCCAUUUUGUUAGGCUAAGAGAAACUGUGUUAGAGCUAACUCAUUCUCUUAGUGUUUCUCUGUCUCUAGAUCUCCCGUGUAUGCAUAUAUAUGUGUUGAGACUAAAUGUGCCGGCAAUUGCUGUGAUGUUUCUGUUGAGCUUGGAGUCUUGUAAAUGAAUUGCAUUCAGUCAUGUGUCCUCAGCUUUGUAUGGCAAUGGAAGUUGAUUAGGUUUGCAAAGUUCAUUGCAGUUCCCAUGCACAUUCAUUAGCAAAAAAUUUGGGGAGGAACAAAGUUCAAACUGCUCAUCAUGAGAUUUUCCGAGUGUGAAUCUUAAUAUAUUAGCAAAUUCUCCCCUUGAAUGUGUUGUUCUUGUAUUUGAUUCGAAUAUCAUGCAGGAACUCUCCACGUUGUUAGGCUAAGAGAAACUGUGUUAGGGCUAAUUCAUUCUUGUAAUGUUUCUUUGUCUAUAGCUUUCCCGUGUGUACAUAUGUAUGUGUUGGGGGUUCACAUAAAUAAUGGAAACAAACCAAGCCAGUCAUAUCAGAUUUCAUUGUGAUGAGAAUGGAUUGGUGUGCGUAUAGGCCUCAAGAAGCUAGACCAUUAGAAAGACUCAGAUUUAUUGAUUUAGGGUUGCUAUGUCGGUAGAUAUGGGUUUUACAUAACAAGAAUAGAUUACGCCUAAAACGCUAAAGCUUUUUUCAUGUUUUGUUUGUGGCUGCUGUAGGUAAGCUGAGAGAGUUAGGCUUGUGAAGAGCUCUUGAAUUGGCCAGAAAAUUUGUACUCAAUUAUCCUUUCCUCCAAAUUGCGGUGAGGUGAAUAUAUCUGAAGAAAAGCAAUAUGGUAAGAUCCUCUUGACAAUGACAACUCUUGGAUUUAAAUCACAUAGAGUUGCUAGACUAUGUUAGAUCUAGAUAUUAAUCACGUGGCUAUAUAUAUAUAUAUAUUUGGUCCUUUACAUGCUUUGAAAAGGAUAUUCAUACUGUCUUCCUUAGAAAUCAUUGGUUGUUUUCUUCUUUCUGAUGACAAAAUUGCGAAAUGUCUCCUUGAGCAGAGAGUUCCUGGUUCAUUCCUAAAGUUGCAUGUUAAGAAAAGCCUGCAGACCACGGCUCUCAUAUUUCAAGACAAAGCAUGGCGUUGAAGCUCACCAGCCCUGAACAUUAUGGAAAGCUAUUUGCCCGCAGGGCUGCAUUCAUGAGAGAAACUUCUCUAAAGGCAGAAGAUGUGUGUGUGUUUGAGCUCUACUGAAAAGGACUAUAUCAUUUUCGGACUAUCCAACUGCAGAACACUGAUAAGACUUGGCUGAAUGAUAAUACUAUGCAAUACAAUAUGGCAGACGAAGUUUUGGCUUAGCUCACUUUUGGCGAGAAUGUGACUUUCAGAAUGGCUAGGCUGAAUUCUACUUCCAAUUCAGCAAAAUGGAUAAAAGCAUGAGUUUUGUUCCAAUGAAUGAAAUGGUCCUGAAUGUGCACAAUGCCUUUCCUUGAUCCUAGACUAAAUAAUCACCAUGAGGGCACGAGUUGUGAGCCGGAGGAAGCUGAUUACUACUUUUGAUUCUAUGACUUCCAUUUCAGGAGACAAUCUCUUAAAUUUGGGGCUUCUUCAAGGUUUCCAGUGGCUUAACCUGAUCUUAAUUGUCUCGUUGAUUUUUUCUUUCUAGCAAUUUUUGCAAGUUUGUAGAUUGAGUUCAUGAUAUAGAUAUCCUUGUUGAUUAAAGGGUGAUAUAGAUAUCCUUGCUGAUUAAAGGGUUGUACAGGUGUCUGUAUUUCAUUUUACGAAGUUUGCUUUUUUGUUUAGGCCAAUCAUCACUCUACGAGUUGCCCUUGCAACUCCUGAGUAUCUGGCUUAUGAAUGUGACAUGUAUGGUGAUUUUUUUUUUUUUUUUGAAAUGUCAAAAUCUCAAAAUUAUGUACAUGACAUAAAUUUUUCUUGUGAUACCAAGAACUCCAAAUUUAUAUCUGUGUGACACAUUUGUCCUCCAUCAAAAUUCUAUCAAGUUUUCCUGUCCAAAAUUACAUCGUUUUUAUUUCACUUAAGUUACGUGGGGUGCCGAGUCAACAUUGUUUGUCUUUCCAUCAACUAUUAGGUAGAUUUUAAUUAGAAAUACAGUCCAUCUGCUUGCCGUCUAUAGCCACCAUUGAGUCACCACCACGGUCCCUCCGCUCUAUCCCUGCUAGAUGUCCUUGGCGUGGAGCUCGUUUUGAGGUAGUAUAGCUCGGUUUGAGGUAGUAUUCCUGGUAGUAUAGCUCGGUUUGAGGUAGUAUUCCUAGUCCUCAUAGUAGUAGUAUUACUUCUAUCGAUACACAUGAUUGGAUGAGAUAAUCGCAUUGCUGUGCCUUCUAACAUCACGAUUAGCCAUUUUUCAUGCUAUUAUUUCACAUUGAGGCUUCGCUUGUUGAGCAUCCUUCUCGAAUCCGACUUGAGCUUGAAUCAUUCGUCUCUUAUUGUUUUCAUUGCUCAUAUUGAUUAACGUCGAUUAUGUUUGUUGUUCCUGUCCCUGUUACUAUUAGGAAGGCACUUUCAUCUUGCUCAUAUCUUGAAUUCAUGUCUUAAAAUCUGCUCAAUCAAAUCAUGUGUGUUAGCUAUCCGCGGUCUAUUCUCGCUUGAAUGAACAAUGUUUGAUGUGAUUUGUGAAAGGAUUUAUUUUAUUUCUCACAACUUCAAUUUCAUGGAAGCAUUUAAUUUUUCCUAGGCCUUUCAAUUUGAGAUUUGUAUUUGAAUUUCCUUUAACUGGAAAAUUUGACCUGCUGUCAUUCUCGGUUAUCGAGGUGUCAUUGACAUAAAUUAACAUCAUGAUCAAUGAAAUUCCUCUCCUUAAGGUCAACAAGAAUCAAUCCACAAUUGAUUGCUUGAAUCCUAAUUUAGAAAAUGUCUCGGAUGAACUUGCUUUAUACCUUUCAAUACUUCCAUCACUCUUUUAACUUUUGUAACAAGGGAUAUCCAGACUAUUCGCCUUAACUAGUCCUACGGUUUCUAUCAUAUGUUUGCUGACAUAUGACGUGAGUACUCACCGCUCGUGUGGCCCUUCUAUGCUUUGUUCACAGGAAGCGCCUCGUCGUUCUGAAAAUAAAUAUUGCUUGUACCUAAUUCCAUAAUCUUGGAGUUCCAUUCGGGCCCCAGUGCUGUGUCCGCUUUCGUUUUUAUUGGACACCACAUGUUGCUCAUGCAUGCAGUACAAUCCAGAUCGUUCAAUGCCUUGUCGCACGCUCUGCGGCUGUAACAAGACUCCUCACCAUCUUCGGAUUUAUCGCAGUAACUGUAUCCAGUUAUUCGCCGUUUUAGUACUCGGGUCAUUCACGACGUUACGUCGGGCAGUUUUGAAACCAUAACAUGCUUACCGUUGUGUAGCACAGCCAGCAAUGUAAAUUCUAUAGAGUUUGAGCUUCAUGGAUUUAUUCGCCAAUCUCACGUACGAUGACGUUUGCUUUAAGAUUUAUUUUUCGUUUUGAUUCUAUAUUAUUCGUUUAUUAUUUUAUUUUCACUCAAGGACUCCAAGAGAGAGAAAAAAAAAAUCUCCCCUUGAGGAAACCUUGGAAUAUGAGUUUCACAUUUCAUCAAAUAACUUCAAUAGUUUGUCUCGAUAUUUUCCGUGCUAAGCUAGCUUCACAUUCUAUAUGAAAUCAAUAAUCCCUCCUGCUGUAUGUAGUAAUAUCUUAGAGUUGCAUUGGACAUGACUAUUGAGGUGGUCGAUGAUAUGAAAAGUGCUAGAUAUAAGCAAUUGGUCUGCCCAAUUGGUGUGCAAAUGAGAUUUUUUCCCAUCAUGUAAUCAUUUUGUAUGAUCAAGUCACUAAACUUUGAUUUCAAUCGCCCGAUGCACUAAUGAUAUUUUCUUUUCCAUUUUACACUCAAUGCAUUAUGAAGACUUUUCGAACAAUUUUUUCUAGGUAAUAUUGACAUGGUGCUCUUACAUGUCUGAUUAAAGAUGCUAUAAUGACGACAUGACAACACGUGAAUCUCAACUAAGAAGAAAUGAAAAAAAAAAAGUUUAAUAAAAGAGAGGGUUACGUGGUCCUUGUGUUACAAGGGGAGGUUCCCAAGGUGUAACCUGAUCGGGAGGAAGCUAAAGUGAUAAUGAGUAUCUAAAUCUUGUUUUAUCCCCAUUGGAUUUUCUAAAAAUUUAUAUAACUGAGUCCAUAAUGGCUAUUUUCAUUUCAGUUUGCCCCCGCAAAUUGAUAAAGCUCAAUAAGCAAUUUUAGAAUCAUGAAAAUCUAGUUGUCAUAAACAAACCAAACUGACACAACGGUUAUUUCAUCACAUAUUUUUAAGCUCAAGAGCAUCAGUUUUUUUUUUCUAAGAUAAUCAUUAAUUACCAAAGUCUGCCCCCACAAAGAAAAUUAGUAGAUACAUCCAUGAAUUGGCCAUAAUUUGGUCGGUUUUUGAUUAAUUGCAAUUUCGGGGGCUCAUUCGACGAUUGAAAUCAAAAUUCAAUUAACCGAUUGCAAAAAUACGCCAAAUAAUUUGUUCAUCACAAUUGAUUUACCCUGAAUAAGUAGGCCUUAUAUUUUGAAAGUCAGUCUUAGUGUGUCUUAUAUAAUUCCUCAAGUAAUAAAAGUAACAUUUAUGUUCCUUCGGAUAUACAUCGAUAGGAUAUAAAUCCGUCUAUGUUCUACAAUGUUCUCAUCUGUUGCUCUCUUUAACAAAUUUGAACGUCUAGCAUCACCCGAUCAAACUUUUACAAAAUUCCCAUCAAUCCCUCUCCUGUCCCCCCUUCAACCGAGCGACAGUCGCAAUCACUGACUUCUCCCCAUCUUCAGUCGAAUGAAGACCUGCUGAAUGACCGCUAUGUGGUCUUUCAAGGCCAUUUUGGCUCCAUCCUUGAAGGUUGAGCCGAAAACUUCUGGGAAUAAAUAUCUAAAAUCAUUUGAUAUAGGACUGCACGGUCUACUUCUGCUCUGGAGUAGGAAGUAACUGAUAGUUUUUGAAUUUGUUUGUGAAAGAUGAGCCACUCAUGCAUCCAUCUUUAACUAUCGUAGUAUCUGCCACAGGCAAAGAGAAGAAAUCAAAUUUUUUUCUUUUUCUACGUGAAAUAAAGAGUUGAUUAGGUGCAAGUGUUCUGCCUGAGUUUGUCACGUGAAAUCUAGGCAAGGCAGACAACCUCAAUGUAAGCUGUAAUUUCUCCUUUUAUUUGGGACGCUCUUGGUAUAGGAGAACAUAGAAGAAAUGACAGUGUAAAAUAAUUCUUUUUUCUUUUGGGCGUUUCGAGAAAUUACUUGGACAAGCUCUAGCUGCUGAAAAAUCUGUUGUUUUAACCUAUGUGCAAUCCUAGAUUUUUUUUUAUAAGUACCAAGAUACAGGAUGCAAUGGCUUCUCAAAGAAGGUGUUGAAGUACUUUUUGGUGUUCUCAUUUUGACAUCUAUCAAGCUAAAGUAGAAUGAAAUGAACAAAGAUUCGCUAGCAUACCUGCAGUUUUCUUUUUCUUUCUUUCUAUAUCAUUUUAAACUCCUCCAUUUUUUAUUGUUUUCUGUGAUUAUGUUUGUCUCCCUAUUUCUGAUGAAUGUCUCUUUUAAUGUUCCAUGGACUGCCGUGGACGGACUCUUUCUGCUUUCUCUUCCUAUUUGGCUGGAUCAAAACGCUGUCUUCUACUGUGUUGAUCCAACCGCAAUGUCGUAUGCUUCAAUAUUUCUCAUUUCUGGACUUGCUGAACGGUCAUUCUUCAAUUUUUAGUGUGGCUUCACUUCUUGCAUUUGAUCAAAUUAGGUGCUUUGGUGGUGGGAAUCUACUAUUCAUACCUAUCAUUUUAGUAAAUGUUAAUUUUGUUGCAACAUGCGGACUAUAUAUGCUAGUACUUCAGUCUCUCUUUCUUUGGUUCUUGCAUGUGUGGAUGGCUUCUAGUAUUGGUGCCUUUAUUUUUGCAUAAACAGAAGGGAUACAUGCUUACUUCGAUUAGAUCCCACCUAAAGUAUCCUUCUCCCUCCGCACUCCCACCCCCUUAUUUGCUUGAGUUUUCUUCCAUUUAUAUCAGUUUCUCAAUUGAGAGUAUUGGAAACUAAGCAAGAACAGACCUGAGAGCACGAAGAAAUGAUAGCCCUUGGGGUGGUCACUCUUGCUGGUGAUAUUUCCCCAAUCCACUUCAUACCUACAUUGUUAGUACACUUAGUAGUUCCUCAUGAAGCAAUCAAAAAACUGCAUAUAAAAGAGACAUGCUUAAAAUAUAGAACAAAGCAAAAGGAAGAGAACUAUAAAAGGUAUAUCUAGGAAAUGUUGCAAUAUUCAGUAAGGUAAAACCAACAUAGCUAAGAAACUCACCUAGAUUGCACGCCUAGAACAUCUGACAAGCCAUGAACGAUUCGUAACUGAGCCUCCAUAAUAUGAAGCUUUCAGUAGGAAAGCAAUGUCUAGAAAUGAAAGACUUUGCUCCAAGGAUUGGAAGCACAUAGAAAACUGCUUUUUCAAACACGCCUCGAAUGGCCAGCAAAGCUGAAUGAUCAGCUUUGCUCAGUUCAGCUUUGCUUAGCAGAACAUGCUUCUACAAUUUGAUUCUGAUCAAAGUGAUCAAAACACAUUUAUAACUUCCACAAUGCAAUGUUAGAAGGGUAGAGAACUCGUGUGUGUACAGGAGUUAGAUCUCUAGUGCAUGCACUUAAAAGUUUAGCGGACCGGUGAACCUCCUUGUUUGUCAUAAAUCUGAUCUGACUACAUCAACAGUCGAACACACAUCAACAUAUUAGUGACCAGUAUUAUAUGACACAACCUCUUGGUUGAAGUGAUUCAUGGAGAACCAAAACAUACCCUCCAAGUUCUCGGUUUGUUCCUGUUUGUAAUGCCUAGCAUGGCAAUCAUGAAUAUGGUGACUACAUUCCCACCAAACGCCAAAACUGAGGACACCGUUAAGAAGAAGCCAAUCCAAGAAAAGUGAAACUGUCAUACUAUUCCAUUUGAACCAGAAGACAAGGUACUAAAUUUUGAAGGAUAUAUGAAGAACUUGGACAAUCUAUUUCCAUCCUACAGUUGAAAAGCUACAAACAGAGAUGUUCAAUCAAAAUCCACCAAACCAAUAGAUGCUCCAUUAACUAGAUGACAAACGAAUGAAACUACUUAAACAUUAAUCAUCAAAUUAUUAACUUCCACAAAAAUGGACCAAAACUGGGGCAUAGGGACGAGAGAGAAGUGUGUAGGAAAGGUUGUUUAAGUGGGUCCUUUGGUCAUUAUUUUCCUCUACAGUUUUAGUGAAACUUAGCACUUUUGGAGAUAUAUUAAGACCGGUCAGUGCGGAAGCUAGCUCAGUGAUUGCCAAGUCAAACUAGAAAGGGCUUAGCCAUAAAUUUGAAAGGCAAAAGCAUCACAUGAUUGGUCCUAAAGCUAGCUCCAAAAGUGAUUGCAUCGCUUAACAUUUCUAAAUAUACAGAGUUUACAUAUUGAGAAAUGAUGAUGAAAAUAUGUAGCUAGAAGCCCAGAUGAAGACAACGAGACACAAGCUGGUUAAAAGCUUAAAAGUGAAAAAUCCUAUGCGAUUUCAUUUCCACUAUGGAUACGAUACGUUCCUCGGUGGGUAGCAGAAUAAUUCAAGAGUUACAGAUUCCGCAUCGAAUUUGAUAAUAUAAUCUAGCCCUAUACGUAAGAUCAGGAACCACCAUGGUUCGCAUGUGAAGACACUGGAAUGAGUCCUAUUCACCUGAUCUGAUUUGAUACUUUGGUUCCGCAGCAACCCAGAUGUCAAAUCCCGCAGCAACAUCAUCACCAUUUAAAAGAAGAGAAGGAAAAAAAAAAUGAUAAAUACAUAGAAUCUAACAUCGAACGAAAGUGAAUUGACAAAUGUCAAAUUCCAAGACCUCAAUUUCGCAUUAGAAGCAGCUUAAGAAAAAUUACAGUACUUCAUCCUCUCUUUCCAUGGUUCUUGCAUGCAUGGGUGGCUGCUACUAUUGGUGCUUUUUCCUUUGCAUGAACAAAAGUGAUGCACACUCACUUAUUUUGAUUAUCUCCCACCCAAUGUAUGCUUCUCCCCCUGCUCUCCCACCCCGUUCUUUGCUUUCCUUCCUAUUUGUAUCAGUUUCUCAAUUAAGAGUGUUUGAAACUGAGCAAGAAUAGACCUGUGAGCACGAAGAAAAUGAUAGCCCUUGUGGUGGUCACUCUUACUGGUGAUAUUUGUAUAAUCCACGUCAUACCUACAUUGUUAGUACACUCAGUACUUCCUCAAGAGGCAAUCAAAAAACUACAUAUGAAAGAGACAUCCUUAAAAUAUACAAGGAACCACAAGGGCACUUCAAGACCAGUGUUGUUAUGCCUGUAAAGCAGAAGGAAGAGAACUAUAGAAGACAUAUCUAGGAAAUGCAGCAAUAUUGAAUGAGGUAAAACCAACAUAGCUAAGGAGCUCACUUAGACUGCAAACCGAGAAAAUCUGAAAAGCCAUGAAGGAUACAUAAUCAAGCCUCCAUAAUAUGUAGCGUUUAGCACGAAAGCUAUGUCUAGAAAUGAAAGACUUUGCUCUGAGGAUUGGAAGCACAUAGAAAACUGCUUUCCCAAACAUGCCUCGGAUGGACAGCAAAGCUGAAUGAUUAGCUUAGUUGAGCAGAACAUGCCUCGCCUCUGUGAUUUGGUUCCUAUCAAACUGGUCAAAACACAUUAAUAACUUCCACAAUGCCACAUUAGGAGGGUAAAGAACCCAUGCAUGCACAUAAGCUAUAUGCCUAAUGCAUACAGUUAAAACAUUUGGUGGACCGGUGAAUCUCCCAGUUUGUCAUGAUUCUGAUCUGACUACAUCAGCAAUCAAACCCCACAACGGCAUAUACAUAAACAACAUUAUAUAAUACAACCUCCUGGUUGAAGAGAUUCAUGGAGAACAAAAAUAUACCCCACAAGUUCUCAUUUUUUUCCUGUUUGUAAUGCCUAGCACGACAAUCGUGAAAAGGGUAACUACAUUCCCACCUAAUACCACAACUGUGGACACCGUUGAGGGGAAGCCAAUCCAAGAAAAUUGAAACUGCCAUACUAUUCCAUUUGAACCAGAAAAGACAAGGUAUCAAAUUUAAAGGAUAUACAUUACUAAAGCAGUCAAACAGUCUAUUUCCAUCCUACACUUGAAAAGCCACAAAAAGAGAUGUUCAAUCAAAAUCUGCUAAAACAACAGAUGCUCCAUUAACUAGUGAAGGAACGAAUGGAACUAUGUAAACAUUAAUCAUCAACUUACUUACUACCACAGAGAAUGGGCCAAAAAUGGGGCAUAAGGUCAAGAGACAAGUGAGCAGUGAAAGCUUGUUUAAGUGGAGUCCUUUGAUCAUUAUUUUUCUCUACAGUUGUUGUGGAACUUAGCACUUGAGGAUAUACAUAUAUUAAAACCAGUCAGUGUGGAAAACAACUCAACGAUUGCCAAGUCAAACUGGAAAGGGCUUAACCAGGAAUUUGAAAGGCUAAAGUAUCACAUGAUUCGUUCUAAAGCUAACUCCAAAAGUAAUUGCAUCACUUAACAUUUCUAAAUAUACAUAAUUUACAUAUCGAGAAAUGAUGAUGAAAAAGUGUAGCUAGAAGCCCAGAUCAAGACAAUGAGACACCAGCUGGUUAAAGCUAAAAAGUGAAAAUCCUAUGAGAUUUCAUUUCCACCAUGGAUACGUUCCUUAAAGGGUGGCAGAAUAAUUCAAGAGUUACAGAUUCCACAUCAAAUUGGAUAAAAUAAUCCAGCCCUAGACAUAAAAUCAGGAAUCACUAUGGUUUGCGUGUGAAGCCACUAGAAUGAGCUACAAAACAAUUCUCAUACAACUCAUCUGAUUUGAUACUUGGGUUUCACAGCAACCCUGAUGGCGAAUCCUGCAGCGACAACAUCACCAUUUAAAAGAAGAGAAGGAAAAAAAUGAUAAAUGCAUUGAAUCUAGCAUCGAUUGAAAGUGAAUCAACAAAUGUCAAAUUCCAAGACCUCAAUUUCACAUCAAAAGCAGCUUAAAAAUCCACAAAGAUACUUCCUUGGAUCUCCAUUAUCUGUAUUUCCAAAGCCUUUAAGUUAAUCUGACGUCACUAGAAACAUGUAUACAAGAGAAACAAAUGCCCCAAACAGCCUAUUAUCAAUGACAAUGUUGCCUAGGAGGGAGCUUAAGGAGUUCACCAAUUUCCUACACCGCAUUAUUACAGAAUAAAGCAACACAUAAUAUUGAUAUUAAUAACCAUGAAGCAAAGCAGACCCAAAUAAGAAUUCAUUCAACCCCUAGAAUACCAGAGCAUGUAAUAAACAAAUCGAAUUUGGCAUGACUGAAUCAUGGACUGAUUUAAAGAAUAGCGGUUCAACGAUAGGUCACCGAUCAAAGUUCAUGAGGGCAAAGAGUGUCAUUCAAUAGCAAAAGCAAUUACUACUUCGGAACAAGACAAGCAUGUCCAGAAUUUGCGAAUGAUUGCUUACCCUUUCGAACAAAAGAAGGCAGGAAAAGGACGAAGGAGACGUGAAGCUUUCUGAGGCUAAUACCAAACAUCACAAGCUGAGUUAAUCAGUGUAAUCACAAUGCGCCUACAUUAUUAUAUUGAGCAUAUGGGUCAUUUCGGUACCCUCAAAUUAUCAACUGAAAAGGAGACUUGAGUAAAUGCCAAUUAGAUUUGCAACCACGCAGCCUAUCCACUCUUUGACGACAAGGCCUUCAAAUAAUGCAACUAAAACACUGCAUUAAGAAAUUGGUGACUGCAAAUCUGGAAAAGGCAGAGGAUGAGGAAGAACUCCGGUUGGAGGGACAUACUGGAGAUGUUACGCCGUUCAUGAGCAACUCUCAUUUCGCAUGCCACAGACAAUUCCUGCCUUUUAUAGACCCUGAGGGUGACAAGUGAUCUAAGGAGGCCGGAUCCGGUAAAGCUUCCUUCAGGUGGGAUGGCGACGUCUUCACAGGGCAUGGGAGUGUAAGGCACCGACUCCUGCUACAGCUCCUCUUGAAACUGUAGGGACUGUUAUAUUACCAGUCAACAUGCAGUUCAUCUUUGCAGCAGAAUUUAUAACGUGUUCAAUCACCUGCAUAGCAAAAUUGAAUGUCAUAAACUCCACGACAGGCUUGAGACCAUAGAAAGCAGCACCGACUUCAACUCCAGUGAAACCAGCCUCUGUGAUAGCAGUAUGAACAACGCUCUCAGGUCCAUACUUCUGCCAAAGAAAAGAACCUUUAGACACAUUGAAAGACUCUAGGAUCUGCAGACAUUUCCUCAUCAAACGCAGCAUUCAUAGCCUCUCUCACAGUCAUCUAUUUGCUCACAGUCGCAUUACUACGUAACAACAUUUCUGCAGCCUCUCUCGACAAGACAGCAUCCAAGCCUCUGGCAGUGGCUUUUCGUAUUAGAAUUGACAACAUCAUGCCCUCUCAAACUCGAACUUGCUCUCACCGCCAGAUAAAGCUCGCUAAUUCUCUCUCUCUCUCUCUCGAACGGGUAUCCUUGGAAACGGAGUCCAAAUUAGUCAUUCCAUCAAACACCUUCCCUGCAAACUCGACGGAUUUUUCUCCGACCAAUUUUUCUUUUUUUUUCGCAUCUCUCUUUGGCUCUGGAUUCCCCUGAUUCAUCUCCAGCAAUUUAGAUCAUCCCCACAGUAAACCACACCAUUAGAUUCCACAUUCGAGUUGCGGCCACUCUGAUUCAAGUCCUCGCCUUCCUGUCCUUGCCCAUGUCUGGACUAGAUUUAUCUGUCGCGGGACCACCUCGGGCUUACGCUACCAUCGCCGCUGAACCAUCAACAGGACCAUUCCAUGUCUGAUUGAACUUCCGAGUCAAAUUCCAAUUCACUCCAGAAUACGUCCCGUCGACUCUUGCUUCGUUAUGCUCGCUCCCACUUCAUUGCCGCCUUUUCGGAAUUCCAUUAUUCCGCCCAUCUAUGCCGCGCGCAAAGGGGGACGCGGGGUGGUGUUCACUGUUUACAAGAGCCUUAUCCGAUUGCCAAGGCCGAGGUUGGAUGGAUGGAUCAUCAUCAUCAUCUGGAUACGAUCCGCCGAUUCGAAGGAUGAGAUUCUUUGGGUUUCGCUCUCGGCACCUCCACCGGUCCGGCGUUGCUCUUUCAACGGCAGCAGCCGAGGCCAAUCUGAGUCUGUCAUCAUCCGAGACGAUAUGCCGAGCGUGAAGAUUGGCAGCGGCAAGCACGAAGAGAAAAACGAUGGAGAAUAAAAAAACAAGGCGGGAAGCGAAGCGAGGGGGUGGAUGGAGAUGAUUUGGAUUUUGUGUGGGAAAACGGGGCAAACAGGUGAAGCCAGUGCCCAUUCCCAGUGGUUGUUCUUUGGAUUAAAAAGGAAUUGAAUUUGAAAAUAAAAGAGAAUAAAAAGGAAAAAUGAACCCACCGUCGUUUCCCGAAAAAGCCGGCAAAAAACUCCAAAUUAUAUUUAUUUUUAUCGCAUUUAUUUUUCUUUUUGUUACGCAAAAACUCAAAAUUAUGUAUAUGGCAUAUUUACUCUAGUUCUUAUGACGUCAAAAUCCUAAAUUUGUAUAAAUAUGAUAUAUUUACCUUCUAUCUAUAUAUAUGUUGACACCUAAUUUUUCAACUAGAUUAAUUAAUUUAAAAUAGUAUCAAAUGUUGGGAAUUAGUCACAAGAGAAAAUUUUAAAAAAUAUAUAUGUAUAUUAUUUAAUUAAGUUGUUUAAAAAAAAAAAAAACGAAAAUGGUCGGGUCGGGCCGGAUUCGACCAUGGCUCGACCAGCCCCUCUAUUUUAUUCUCCUCGCAUUGGGCCUGGCCCAAUCUCCUUUCUCUUUCAGUUGGCCCAGCCCCUUUUUCUUUUCUUCUGUUGGUCUUCGCUUGAAGACUUGCAGAAGACAGGGCAGCAGCACAGCAGCGAGAGCGGCAGCAGAGGAUCGGUGUGGCAGGUGCGCGGCAUGAUCCGCGGUCAGGAGCAGCCGACCGGCAGCUGGCUCGACCGUACCUUCCGAAAUGUGCUGUUAAGGUAGACUUUCAAAAGGCGUAUGAUACUGUAGAUUGGGAUUUUUUGGAACUCACUCUGCAAGCUUUCAGAUUCCCGGAAUGGAUCAUCCAUUUGAUAAUGGUGUGUGUGAGAACACCCAAGUUUUCAGUUUCUAUUAAUGGCGAACUUCAUGGCUUCUUUUCCGGAGGUCGAGGCCUUCGCCAAGGGGACCCUUUGUCGCCGUACCUCUUUACCCUUGUUAUGGAUGUGUUCUCAGGGAUUUUAAAUGCCCGUACUUCGGUGAAAGGCUUCAAAUACUUUUGGAGGUGCAAGAAGGUAAAGUUGACCCAUCUUUUCUUUGCCGACGAUGUAUUUCUCUUUUGUCAAGCUGAUUGGAUCUCCGCCACGAUCCUCAAGAGAAGUCUUGAUAUAUUCUCAUCUUGGAGUGGACUGAGUCCGAACAAAAACAAGAGCGAGGUGUUUCUCUCAGGAGGUCCUGUUUCCAUCAGAGAGAAUAUUCGACUUGCAUUUGGCUUUCAGGAAGGUCGACUCCCAGUCCGGUACUUAGGGGUGCCCAUCAUUACUUCAAGACUUGGGAAAGCUGAUUGUGCUUCAUUGAUUGAUCGUAUUACCGCAAGAAUUCAAUCGUGGGCUCACCGCUUUUUAUCCUUUGCUGGAAGGCUCCAACUUAUAAGGUCGGUGCUGCAUUCUAUCCAAGCCUUUUGGGCUAGUGUGUUUUCUCUGCCUAUCUCUGUUCUUGAUAGAAUUGAACAACUGCUAAGACAGUUUCUGUGGAAGGGCACCUCGCUUGGCCGAGGCGGUGCCAAAGUAUCUUGGGAUGACAUUUGCCUCCCAAAAAAUGAAGGUGGUUUGGGUAUUCGGAAAUUGAGAGACUGCAAUACUGCUUCCUUGCUUAAGUACAUCUGGUUUCUCUUCACCGAUAGAGAAUCUCUCUGGUGUCGUUGGAUCCAUUCAUAUUUUUUAAAGAAGGACAACUUUUGGAACUCCUCCACACCCACUACGUGUUCAUGGGCGUGGAAAAAAAUCCUUCAACUUCGAAGACACUUUAGGCUCUCUUUCUUUUGGAAGAUUGGCCACGGUUCCUCUGUUUCCUUAUGGCACGACAAUUGGCUGGAGUGUGGCCCGCUUAUCUUACUUAUCCCACCGGACCUUGUGGAGAGCUGUCGCCUUCCAAGCUAUUCUGUAGUGGCGGACCUUUAUUCUCCCAUGGGUGCUUCUUUGAGAGAAUCCCUUGCAAAUAUGGGAAUUACUAUACCCAUUCUUUCUACUAAUUCUGACCGCUUUACCUGGCAAGAAGAUCCAUCAGGUUCGUUUUCUGUUGCCUCUGCCUGGAAAUACAUCAGGGUUAAAAAGAAUCGAGUGUCUUGGGCUCCUCUUAUUUGGGACAAUGACCUUGCACCCAGAUUCCAAUUUCAUUUGUGGUUGCUCGCAAAAAAUAGGCUGCCAACUCAGACUCUCCUUCUCUCUUAUGGGAGGAUUGAGUUCUCUGUUUAUGCUUUUUGCUGCUUCGUUCCCGACUCCGUGGACCACUUGUUCUUUCAGUGUACAACGUCUGCGACUCUUGCGUUCUUUUGGGCUUCUAGAUGUAAUUUACCUUGGAAGAACAGAGUUUGGAAGGACAACCUCUCUUGGGCUCUCAAAUUCCUAUCCGGCAAAGAUUUCUUUCACAGUAUUGCCCGUUUCUCUUUUGGGGCUUUAUGCCAUUUCAUAUGGAAAAAAAGGAAUUCUAUCAUCUUUCAAGGUGAUUCUUUGGCAAUUCCGGCCAUGAAGAAUCACUUGAUCAAGGUUGUGAAGGAUAAGGCUCUUUUGUUCUCUAAUGUCCCGCCUACUCCAAGAAACAAGCGACUCCAGAGAAGUUGGGGGUUCGAUCCGUCCAUCUUCAACUCGGCGUCCUCUUCCUAGCUCUCCUCCAUCUCUUCAAUCUUUGGAGGGGUGCCUGAAGGUCAUUAGUCUGUUUUUUAAUUGUAGUUCAGCCGAGUAGUUGCUGCUUUGUUUCCUGCUCUCUGUAUCUUUUUGUUUCGGCACCCUCACACUCUCCCUGCCCCACAGCUAAAGUGUGAGUUACGGUGCCGAAUUCUUGUUCAGUUCUCCAAAGUUUAAUAUAUAUUCUUACCUUUUACCAAAAAAAAAAAAAAAAAAAAAGAAGAAGAAAAGGAGAGAUAGAGAGAGAGAGAGAACAAAAAGGAAAGCAACGGGAAGAUGAAGAGGAGGCGAGGCGGAGGAUCGGCAUGGCAGGGCUUUCGGCGCGAUCCGCGGGUCGAGGAAGCAGAACGAUCAACCAGCUGGCACGGCAGGGGGUCUUCGCUCAGGAUACCUGCAGGAAGUAUAAGAACACAGAGAAAGGGAGGAGGAAAAAAAGGAAAAAGGCAGAAAAACGAAAAAAGAAAACACCAAGGACGAAACAUAGAGAGAAACAGAGGAGAGAAACCAGAAGGAGGAGGAGAGCUCGAGGAAACAGCUGGCUGUUGCCGGAGGCCUGUCCGCCCGCCGUUGUCCACCGCAACUCUUCCCCGAACGAGCUCAGCAGAAGAACUCCACAGAGGACAGCACACCACACACCAGAGCACAGGGAGAGAGUGAGCGAGAGAGAACGAGCUCGAGAUAGUGGUUGGUCGUCGCCGGAGGUCCAUUCUUCAACCGCCGUCCAUUGCAACCUUCCCCUCAAACCAGGUAGGCUUGUUCCGACCGUGCGUCCCUUGUUUCCGGAAGACGACGUGCCGGAGCUUGCGUCGACUAGUUCGCGCAAGUUUCGGUCCAAGCCGGUCCUCCCUGAAAGCUGAUAGUUGUUCUAGAUGCAUCGUUAGGGAUUUAGAUUUGUGCCCGUGCCCGCAUCAAGUCGAAAAUCCCCUGUGUUAAUAGCGUACACCAAGUGCUUGUGAAAAUGUCCCGCAAAAGACCGGAAGCCAGCUCACGUUUUAAAUGGGGAUCGAUCCGUGUUUGCGUUAAUGGCCGUUGAAUCAUGUUUUCUCUUUGUAUGCUUAUUGCGUUUUGGCGUGGCUUUCGCAAAAUAAUUGUGUAUCGUCGAGAGAGCAAGAGUUUUCGUCGUUUUGAUGUUUGGAUUAAUGGUCGCCGGAGUUCGUGGCCAAUGGUGGUUUGUACCGGUUGGAAUGGGCGACCGGUAGAUGGUGGUGGUGCGGUGGUGGAACGCCGGUUGCGUCGGUCUGUGUCGCCGUUUGGACGAGCUUCAGCGAGGAACAAGAUCUCGAUGAAAGAAGGGUCUUUGAGCGUGCAGAGAACCCACGAAGAAGAAGGAGCCCAGAAAAAGAAAAGAAAAGAAUAAAAAAGAAAAAAGAGUAAAACAAACAAAAAAAUAGAAAACUAUAAAAAGGUUAAAAAAGAGAGUAAAAGGGGCUUCGGGAAAGAGGAGUCGCAGAAGCAGAGGGUGCAGGGAAAAGGGGUGCAGUGAGAAAAGACAAACAAAAAAAUUAAUCAAUUAGUUAAUUUUUAUUUUCAAAAAAAUGAAAACUUUAAAAAAAAAAUAAAAAUCCAAAAGUGUUGGAUCCGGGUUUGGGUUAGGUCCACGGGCCGGAUUGGGUUUACCCGGUCCGAACCCAUUUUAUUGAAAUAUAAUAAUAUUAAAUAUUAAAUAUAUAUUAAAAAUAAAAAAAAUUUAAAAAAAGAAAAUUAAAAAAAAGAAAGUUAAAAUUUUCCGAAAUUUCAAAAAACUCAGAAAACAUUAAAAAAAUUCGAAUUUUUUAAAAAGAAAAUUUUAAAAAAAAUUUAAAAAAUUAAAAAAUUAAAAAUUAAAAAAUUAAAAAAUUAAAUUAAAAAAAUUUCGAAAAAUCCAAAAAUGAUAGGGUUUGGUUAGGAAUUGCCAUGUAUUGCCGCUUUAGUGUAAUUAAGCCUUUAUUUUCUUGUAUGUUGUUUUUAUUGUAUGUUUAAUUUGCGUGUUUUGUGUUUAAUUUGCACGUGUUUAAUUUUAGGGCAAAUAGGAGCUUGGUAGGUAUAAUUAUUACUUUAUUGAUUGUGCACUUGCAUGCUCACCUCCUAUGUUAGUGGAUAGGUAUGAAAUCAAUCUAAACUGCCUGAUGAAAAUCAUUUUGUUAAAAUGAACAAGAAGGGCACUAAUUAGUCAAUUAGUGUAAUCAAGUCCCCGAUCCUAGACUUUCUGGUUGCGUAGGAAGUGAGGCACGCUCCCAUGUCUCACUUGGUUUCUAGCCGACCCCAAUAGGCUAGUGGCGACUCCUUUUGUACAAAUUUAUUAAGAAUAUCCCAACGUCACGCGGGGUAUGGGCUUGGGAGAGCUCGCGCCUAAUCAUGGGCCUUAGGCCCGUCCUUUAGGCAAUACCCUUAAACCUGUUCCCUCCCCCCGAGGGUAGGUCGCGACAAUAUAUAUAUAUAUAUUUUGGUGGAAGUUGUUCUUAUUUCAUUGACGUCAACACCGUUUACAUUUCGUCGUUCAUAUAGGCAAUCUUUUUUUAAACGAUACUCAUUGAUAGAGAAUAAAUAUUUCAAGUAAAUAUAGUUUUGAGUCUUUGGUGGCAUUAAAAAAAAGAAGAAGCUUAAGAUGGAUGUGUCGUAGUGGGCAUAUUUUAGUAUUUUUAGUGAUUUUCCUCCUCUCUUUUUUCUCAACUUCAUCAAUAAUCAAUCACAACUCAAAACCAAAAAUGCAUCGAUCUCUCUCUGCUUGUUGCCUAUCAGCCAUUGCCGAGCUUCCAUCACCCCGUCCCUCCUAGAUGUCCUUCUUGUCCCCUUUGUUGUUAGGAAGACAUUUUCGAUUGCUCGUAUAAUGAAUUUGCGGCUUCAAAUUUGCUUUCAUAAAUUGUAAGAAUAUGCUGUCCGUGACUUGUUCUAACUUGAAUGAACAAUGCUUUGAUAUCACUUGUGAAAGGAAAAUUCCACUUUUCUUUCUCGCAACUUCAAUUCCAAAGAAAUAUAUUUAAUUUCUACUGGUCUACCGGCUUGAGAUUUCUAUUUAAAAUUUCCUAUUAUUAGAAAAUUGACCCAAUGUCAUUUCCAGUUAAUGGCCUACAACGAUUAAUGACGUCGGAAAUGAUGGGAUUCUGAUUUUAAGCGAUCUUUGGCUGGGAAUGGGUUGUGGCCUUAUUAGCAAAUAGGGUGGGCCAGGGGGACGAUGGCCGACUAGGCUUGAUGCACUUACGACAAAAUUUCAUCUAGGGAGAGCUAAGUGAGUUGGUUAUUUUUUAGUUUAUUAUUUAUUUGUUUGUUUAUCCAUUCUUUUUCCACUGCUUUUUGUUGGUUUUUUUUUUUUUUUUUUAGUUUAUCAUUGCAUUUGUUAAGUGUAAAUUUUCUUUUUGAUAAAUUAUACUCGUUGAAUCAAAAUUAUGCACUCUUCAUUUUUUUGUCGGCAUAUUCUAUUUUUACUAACUCUCACUCUUAAACUUUUGAUUUACUUCCUUAUAAAACAUAGAAGUCAAAAUCCAUACAUAAAGAUGAAUUCAUCCCUAUCCUAAAUCCCAUGAGAAUGUUAGAAUUCGAACUUCCCACUCUCCCUUCCCACAUGGAAAGGGUAGCCACCGAGGCAAAUCUCAGUAAUUAAAUUAUAUAUUGCCUUCACACGAAUAUUAAUGUGAUGAUCUAUAUCUACAAAAUUACAUGAGAACAUUCGUUUCCUUAAGAGCAGCCUCCGAGGUUGAUAAUAGCACUCUAGAUAACUAGAAAGGGUUUUUCCUUCUUCCAUAAAUUGGACUCGCUACAUUCUCCGUAAAAAAAAUGUAGCCACCAAGGCUCCACCUAAGCUAACGUUAUGCAAUACCGACUUAAAAGUCCACUGCCCGGAUCACAAUUUGUUUACUAUUUGGAAGUGCUGGCGAACUUUGUAUGCUGGUCAUGUGGUCAUCAUAUCUCUCUAUUCAUUUUAAACAAAAUUGUGUGGAUGAAUUUCUGUAGAACUAGUAAGAUGGCUCUUCAUUGCACGGGUUUAAGACUAUUUUUAUGGGUUAAAGACUAUUUUUUAUAUUAUUUUAAAUGCUAUUUUUAAUCUAUUUUGCCUUUGUUCCAUUUCAAGUUAGUUAUUUUUCAUAAUUUUUAAAUUAAUUUUGUUGCAUUGUGAUUAUUUUGUAAAUUCCUUUUUAACUUACGUUAAUAUAUUUAAUGAACUACACGGACAUUCGUGUCAAAAUAUUUGACAGCCCGUACUUUAACUUUCCUACGAGGAAUUUUGGUAUUUAAGAGAGAGAGAGAGAGAGAGAGAGAAUGAGAUAUUGUAUAUAAGUUAAAAUAGAAUUUGGAUAAUAAUAUAACUUAAAGACUAAUGUAGAUAAUACUUUGAACUUGAUGUUGCCAUAAAAAUGUGCUCUGGAAUAUUAAACUACACUAUUAAUUAAGAAAAUGGAUGACCACUCAACAUCACAUUCUUACAAGGAUUUGACUGGCGCUUAUAAACUAAGGUGAGAUUACCGUGCUGGAUGGUUCAUACCUAUCUCCUUUUUCUUUCUCGCAAUUUGGGUCUUUGUAAAGGUUUUUAAUCGUUCACUCUCUAGAACCGAUUGUUGAUUUCACAUCCAACAGCAAAAAGUUGCUGUGCUUCUAUCACCAAAUUAUCAAUCUGUCAAAAACCGAAGACUUAAUGGAAAAAAGAAAUAGUAAAUGCUCAGGUGUAGUCACAUAUCUAUCUCCAUCACCUUCAAUUAAAAAAUAGCAAACAUUAUUGUUUGCCCCUUUAUUCCAAUAAAUCUGGAGUUAGACCCCUACUUUUUCCCUUAGAAGAGGCUUGGUAUUCAGGAAUAUAUAUAUAUAUAUAUAUAUAUAUAUAUAUCUUACCAUUAAUGUUCGCUGCAGAGGAAGUGUGUGUAAAGGACUUCAAGUCCGCAAAACUUUACCUCUAUAAAUAAUACAACCGGCAUUUGACGCCAAGCGCCAGGUCAUACUUUGUAUAAGUGUGUCCAUCUUCACUAGCCAUUGCCAAGCUUUAUCUCCAUAAAUAUAUGAUUCAAGAAAAAGUGCGUGUAUAUAUAUAUUGAAAAAAGGCUAGCUAUCGCGAUCAAAAUUUUGAGUGCAUCACCUAAAAUUAGACUAAUUGACUACUAAGUUUAAUUUAACUCGGGCUCUCUAGUUCAUAUCAAUUCGCGAUCUAGGUUCAAAUAUCUAACAUGCAAAAGGGAGUCACAACUAAUCAGUUUACUGUAAGUCGAUUAGACACCUAAGUAAAAUAAUGAGAGAAUUAUUUUACUUCUACGAACCAGAGAUUUUGGGUACGGGGAUUUGAUUAUACUAGACUUUUCUAAUGCCUUUUAGUAUCUUUUUUUUCUUUCUAUUUUAUUUUGGAAAAAUAUUUUGCAAGCAGCUUGAAUUAAUUUUAAUUCACUUCCCUAACAUGUGAGGUGAUUAUACGGGUGUACAAACCACCAAUUUAAUACUCAAGAAAACAAAUAAUAAAAAUGCAGAACUUAUCUCGUAGCAACGAAAGCAUUUACGAUGAUUUCUAAUUAAUAAGCAAGCGCUCAAUUUUUGUUUUCACUUAUUUAAUGAGAAUCUAAUCAAUAUGCAAUGCAAUGUUAUUAAUCUAACAUGAAAUGAUAUGACAUAGCAGUAUAGCCUAAACUAUAUGAUAUGAAUAAAGUAAUUUUUUUUGUUUUUAUUAAUGAAAUUCGAAAUUAAAGAAAUCCAAUAAUUAAAUGUGCAAUCUAAAUAAACCAAAUGACCUAAUUCUAAUGACGGGCAAUUUCUAAUUAAAUGAACCUAGCAACAAUCACUAAAUGACGUGCAUUUCAUGAGCCUAAUUCUAUAUGACAUGCGCAUAAUUUUUUUGCAUUUUUUUUAUAAAAAUUCGUAAUUAAAAUUAUUAAAAAAUAAAAAUCUAACUAAAAUUAGACAUUAUCUAUUUUAAGUUAGGAAUAAACUAAUCUGAAUUCUAUCUUAACUUGGAAAAUUAUCUCAUCAUGCAAUUUAAUUCAAAAAUAUUAUCUAACCUAGAUACCAUCUAAACAUGCAUUUAAAAAAAAAAUCUAACUUACCUAUCAUGCAAUCAAUUCUAAUCUACACAGAAUGCAAAUGCAAAUUUUUUUUGUAUUUUUGAGAUAAAUAAAGCGAUUAAAAAAUAAACACCAAUUCAUCCAUGGUCAUCAAAGAACUAUGCAAAUUUAGAAACGAUAAUUAAUCAAAUCUGAUUAUUUUGCUAAUAAAAUCAAUAAAUUGAUCUUAAGACUUAAAUAACAAUAUAUCACUUUUAUUCUCACAUGAUUAAUUAUUCCAUUUAAAAUCUUAUUGGUAGAGUAAAAAAUUUGCGUGCGGUUGCGAAUUAAGUGGUGCAUCGAGAAUUUCAAUCAAGAAAUAUUUCACAUAAAGAACGCAAUAAAAUAAGAUAAAAUAAAUUUACCUAAUAAAAUAAAUUUCUACCUAAAUUGGAAUUUUUUCCAAAAUCCGCACCGCUCAAGUGAACCACAGUGGAGGCUCGGCCGCUCGGCGCGGGCCGCGGCUAAGGAUGGUAGCUGUGAUGGUAGUUCACCGGGGGUGAUGGGUCGCCGUUCGAAGUGGGGGGUUGUCCGUCGGAGCUCUGGCGAGGAGGCUCGGGCAGUAGAUGAUGGCACAGCGAGGGGGAGCAGCAGGCGAAACAGGGGAGUCGCUCGGGGGCCGCGAGCAGCAAGCGAUAAAGGCCGGCGUCGCAGGGCUGCAGCGGCGUCGGGGACGUUUGCAGGGAGGUGCGACGUCCGGUUAGGAACCUGCUGGCGUCGCUUGGUUUCUGGGUCGAAGGGCGGCAGCUGCAGAGAAGUCGGGAGCAGGGGAGCCCAGCGUCUGGCGGAACGGCGUGCUGGUCUCGGAGCAACGGCGUCAGGCGUCGCGGCUGGGGCGCGGCGGGAGCUAGCGGCUGGGGCGCGGCGGGAGCUAGCGACUGGACGCGGGCGGCGCAGGGGUGCCGGAACAGCGGCAACCGGCGACUCAGGCGAGAGGUGAACGGGAGACGCACCGAGGAAGAAAAACAGUGCCCUUUCCCCCUUUCCUUUUUUCUUUGUUUUUUUCCUUCUUUUUUUUUCUGUCUCACCAGUCCCCUCACACGUCUCUCUCUCUGCCCUCUUUCUGCACAGCUUUGACUUUCCCCUUCCAGCCUUUUCCUUGCCUACGAAGGAGGAAAAAUAAACCCCAAGCAAAGAGCUUUUUAUUCCUUUCCCCUCUUUGUGCGUUGCCUUUUUUCGACCUAAGACUCCAUAAGAACCCCAAAAUCCUAUGCGUGGCCACGGCUUAGGAUUUUAAUUUUUCUAAAUCCAUAUCUACAAGAUUCAUUUUUUCGAAUGCAAUAUUUAUUUUUUAAAUACAAUAUUUACUUUUUUGAACGCAAUAUUUUUUUUUUAAUACAAUUCAGGAUUACAAGAGGAUUCUUCUCAAGUUUGAAAUCUCGCACAGAUAAAUUCGUAAAAUUUUCUCGAGGAUACGGGCCUUGGACAAUUUUCUCUUCGUGGGCUUAGCCCAACUCAUCAAAUUAAAGUUCUAAACCAUCAAUUUGAACCCAUCUGUCAUCGCCCAAUGUAAAUGGAAAAUAAUAAUAAAUGCACCUAAAACUAUAUGCCAUGCAACUUAAUUGAAUAAUUUAAAUUUUUGUAUGAAAUAAAUAAAUGACUAAACGGGUUGCUAAAAUUUUAGGUAUUGACACUAACUGUUAAGGAAAAUUAUAGUAUGCAAGUUCCGAAGAAGAGACCUUGUGCACGUUGUAUUGGAAUAUAAAUAUAAAAGUUGUGUAGAGCUUGAAAGAAUAAAUAGAUAUUGCUAACUUAAACCAUAGUAAUAAUAGAGACAGAUGUUACUGUAGCAUUCAAAAUAUUUACCAUGAAAUCGGUUUAUACAAUUAGAGAUACAAAACAAGUAGCAUUUGUUCAGAGUAAAGUGAAUUGGUUAAAAAAUGAAUGGCACAGAUUACUUGGAAUAUUUUUCAAUGGUAAGAAAUCUUACCUAAUUGUUGGGUCACUUGAAGAUAGAAGCCCCUCUUAUAAUAUUAAGCAAAAUUCUUGAGGAUGUAUUGACCUUCAAAUUUAUCCCUAAAUAAUAUUUCCUGAUGCCGAAAUAGCCAUUCUCUUAUAGUUAUCUUCCUACAUUAUACAUUUUUAGAUUGCCAUUACCUUUCUUUUGCCUUCUUUAUUUUUCCAUGAUCACCUACAAUAUCUCUUUGUGUGGAAAGGGCCAUAAAUGUAACUAUGCUUAGUAUUGUCUAUGUUGGGUGUAAAUUUUCUUUUUUGACUGAUUUUACUUUUGGAAAUAAAAUUAUGCGCUCACUUCACACACAAUAUUAGUAGAAAUAUGCGGAAGUGAUCUUGAAACUGAUAUGUUAACGUGCAGGACACAAUUGAUAUUCACAUAAACAACAUAUGCUUAAGAGUUAAGACUAAAGUAGAGUUAGGGAUUUGCUAAAGUGCAAAAUAGAACAAAAAAUAGACAAACAGCAUACACUUAAGAAUUAGAGAUUGUUAACGUGAUCACUGUUGAGUAAAGCUUGCAUGCAGACGUGCCAUAUAACUCAACUUCACAAGAGUUUUAUCUGAUAUAUAUAUAUAUAUAUGUGUGUGUGUGUGUGUUUUUAAAUUAAAUUAUCUAAAUGACUUAGCUGGUCUACCACUUAAAUAUUAAGAUGAUGCUCAAUAGCAAAUAACCUUCAAUUUUUUUUUCGCCAACCAUACAUUUUGAACAAUAUGGAUCUCAUGAGAGAUCAAAAUAAUCAAAUUGUGAGAUUCUCUUAAUCUAAGUGACUAACUUGCCUAGCAAAAUAUCUUAUCAUACUUUUAAAAAGAGAUUUUUAUUUUUUUUGUCAGGUGGAGAAUAUUACUGUAUUGCAUUUCAGUCGAAAAGAGUUGAUAAUCCAUCCAUUUUCUCUGUCACUAAAAACACAACCGACAUAAUCAUGGAGGAUGUUCCUGAAAGAUCCCUAUAGGGACUAACAUUUUUUUGGUAGUGUGCAUGCUCUAGAGAAGCAACUGUUGGGCUCGGAGAAUUUGCACAUCAACAACACCAAAUAAAUAUCUGUGAAACAACCAUAUUAAUCAUAGCUUCCAUCUUAUUGAAGUGUUCUCACAUAUGACAUUUAGUAGCACAAGAAGUCGAAUUUACCACCGGUUGUAUGGAUAUAUUUGAAACUAUCUGGACCUAGUUUGCUCAAAGUUAUGGUACCAUUCGUUGGUACCAAGCAGAAUUUCUAUUGCUGAAUGCUUUAUUGUAUAAUCAACCAGCUAUUGCAAUCAGUCUUUGUAGGUGCUAUAUACAUUUCAAUUUCAAAUUCAUGUGCGAGCACAUGCAUCAAUCGAUGAAAACGUUAACAUUAUGAGAAAGAAUAAAGAUGCCUUUUUCAUGUAUUUUGUUAAGUCCUCUAGAAGUUCCAAGGGUCCCCUUGUGCUUUCUGCGUUGGUAUAUAUGGUCCACAUUAAAAUUUGAGUUGAUGGCAGAGUGGUGCAAAGUCACAUGUCACAUUUUCUCUUUGUCGAGCCGCACCAUGCGAACGAUCUGUCGAUUGUCUCCACCUUUGGAAAUUAAAAUCCUAAAAAAAUCACGGUAAGUGACAAUGUGGUAAGAGUUAGAACUCCAUGUCACGUGGGUGUGGCCAGUCCUGUCCAUUCAUUAUCUUUUUAUUAUAUUGGUGCUGACACGCCGACCGUGUAGAGCUACAUUCCGAAAGCAAUCGUUUAACGAUCAAAACGGCUCAUCUAUUUCUUUCUCCAUUCCGAGGGCGAUCGUUUAACCAUCUAGUCGAAUCACCUGUUUACUUUGAACGGCGGAUGAUUAUUUAACCAUCAAGUCGAAUCAUCCAUUUACCUUUUUUUUUUGUCGAAAAGAUAAUUAUUAUUUAAGUAGUUGCAACAUUACAGAUAGGUGUAACAUUACAUCUAGAAGCUAUUCCAUCGGCAGAUACCAAAGCUUGCAAAAUAAAAGGAGGAAAGAUAUUCCAGUCGCGGGCCAGGUCAGAUCUGCCGUCGGCUUUAGCAACCCAAUCUGCUACUCCACUUGCCUCCCUUCUACAAUGCCGCAGCUGCAAAUUAGGGUAAAGGGAUAGCAAAGCUUCAAUUUCAGGGAACAUCGCACGUUCUUCCCACGGUGGCUUCUGUCUCGCAUGAACUGUGUCGAUCAAGAGCAAGCAAUCAGACUCAAUCACCAGAUUUUCCUUAUUGAGGCCUUGGUGCAGCAGGUGAUGAAGAGUAAAGGUAAGCGCCUGCACUUCCAUUUGAAAAGCCGAAGCUGCUGUGAAUCUUCUGGUGUAGACAUCUGUAAGAAUACCCUGAUGAUUUCGACUUAUACACGCCAUUGUGCCCUCUUGACUGCUAGGAUGAUAAGAUCCAUCUAUAUUGCAUUUCAGGAAUCCGCGAUCCGGGGGUUUCCACAAGGUUGCUGUUUUGGGAGCAGAGUCCCCUGUUCGCGAGUCCCCUGUUUGCUGUUGGCUCUUAGUAGAAAUGUGCUGAAUCCGUGUUUGUGCCAAGGCGUCUGCAACCCUCGGUUUGGAUCGGGGCGCUGUCGGCGAAAUAUGCUGUUGUUGCGCAGACACCGGAUCUGCCAUAAGACUUGUGCAAUUGUCUCCAGUCCAGGUAAAAGUCUGUGAUUUGUUGCUCUUUCUGUGAUCCACGCAUCCAGACGAUGCACAGUAUGAGGCGAUACAGAAAUGUUGAGCUGAGGAUGACUCCAUACUCCUUUAGUCCACGAACAGAAGAAGAAUAGGUGUUCUAUGGUUUCUGGAGAAGAAUAGCUCACCAAGAUUAGCUUCAGGAUAGAGAAGUCACAAAUCCGUUUACUUUGAACGGCGGAUAGUCAUCUCUUUCUUUCUCCAUUCGUUACUAUUCGAUGCUCCCCUUCCUUCGUCCUUUUCUUUGCACUCAAAUCACUUUGCCUUGUUCAUCUCUCGCUCUGUUUCGCUCUUUCUUCUCCUCCUCUUCAGUAUCUGCUGCUCUUUUUUUCAUUUCUCUCUCUCUCUCUCUCUCGGCAUAAGAAAACAACGAAAAAUGUCGGCCGAUUCUGUCGCUUCUAUUGUAUGGGAUGUCAUGAAGAGCUGUGUGGUUGUUCCCAUCAAGCGUGGAUUUACAUACGUGAUCUCCAGCAAGAGCUUCGCCGAUGGCCUUCGGGAGGAAGUCCGGAAUCUAGAUAAUGAGGCUCAGAGAGUCCGCAUUUUGGCAGAAGUGGCCAGGAGCAAUCUUCGGAAUUUCUAUGAUUGCUUCACGGAGUGGCAGCAAAGUGCUGACAAGGCCUUGGAGGAGGCGCGAGACCUGUUGGGUGACAUCGACAAGGCGAACAAAAUGUGCUGGCACGGGACUCUUCCUGACCCCAAAUUUCGCUAUCACUUUAGUAGAAAGGCCGAGCACAAGAUCGAUAUCAUCAAGCAACUUGCACAAAAAUGCAGCGGAUUCAAGGAAUUGAACGACAUCUGCUUCAGUGCUCCCGCUUUGGGGAAUGUCACUGCUCCGACUCCGGCGAGGAUAGAGGGCAAAGAUGUCGUCCAGUCGAACACCACAACAGCUUCCGCUUCUCCUGCCUUGUCAUCGAUUAAGUUUAGGGACAAUGACAUCUUCGAAUCCAGAGCUUUAAUCAUGCGGGACAUCAUGGACGCUCUUGCUGAUAACAAUAAUAGCGUGGUCGGGAUUUAUGGGAUGGGCGGGGUCGGCAAGUCCACACUUUUGAUGGAUGUUGAAAGAAGAAUAAGGGAAGAAAAGUUGUUUGAUUGGGUUGCUAAGGCCGACGUUUCAGAAAAUCCUGACAUCAAGAAAAUUCAAGGAGACAUUGCGGAUGCAUUGGGCCUUAGUGACAUAAAGAACAAAGAGUAUGUCAGUGGGCGAGCAGAACUUCUGCACAGGAGGUUGGAAGAUGAGGAGAGGCAGCAAAAGAAGGUCCUCAUAAUACUGGACAACCUAUGGGAGGACCUCAACUUGAAAUCAGUUGGCAUUCCUUGUGGACUUGACAACAAAGUCAGAGGAUGCAAGUUGUUGUUGACGUCCAGAGAUCGUCAUGUUUUGCGAAGGGAAAUGCGCUGCAAUAAGGCCUUCCUCCUUGAUGUGUUGAAGGAGGAAGAGGCAAAAAGAUUGUUUGAGACGAUGGUGGGAGGCAAAGUUCACGUAGAGUUCGAACCGCUGGCGGAUGAAGCACUCCGCAUAAGUGCAGGUUUGCCUUUCCUAAUUUGCGCAAUGGCGAAACUUUUUAUAGAUGCUAGUUUAUCUGAAUUGAGUGAUGCUUUAAAUCAAAUUGAGCUGUCUACAGACGAAGGAAUAAGUGCAGUGAUAAAUAAGGUGUUGCAAUUGAGUUAUGAUCAUUUGAAAAGCGAGGAGGCAAAAAGUCUGUUACAACUCUGUGCUGCUUAUGGCAUCUCUGAACCCUCCGUUGAAAACUUGGUGAGGUACAGCUUUGGCUGGGGGAUAUUUCAAAAAGAUAGCAGCAUGAAAAAUGCUAGAGAUAGGUUGUUCACACUCAUCCGCACUCUUCAAGCCUCCUCCCUUUUGCUAGACAAUGGAGGCGGAGAUGGUUUCAAGAUACAUGACUUGGUUCGUGACUUUGUUGCCCGGUUCAUUUUAAGAGAUCACCCUCUUCUCUUGUUGAAAGAUAAAGAUAUGUUGGCACGAUUGCAGAAGGAAAAGCUCAAAAGUUGUACGGCAAUAUGCUUUCCCUAUAUUAACAUGAAGGAGCUUCCUGAAGAAUUAGAUUGUCCUGAAUUGCACAUCUUUUUGCUUUUCAGCAAUAAUGAAUCUCUAGAAGUUCCAAAUUCAUAUUUCAAUUCCAUGAGGAAACUUGCGGUCUUAAAUCUUACUGGUAUACGUCUCACUAGUUCGCCGAUGCCAUUUCAGUUCUCCGAGAACUUACAUACUCUGUGUCUUCAGCGUUGUCUCCUAGAGGAUGUGGCCAUUCUUGGCAAGCUAAAAGGGUUACAAAUUCUCAGCUUUGUGGACUCUGAAAUUCAGCGACUGCCAAAAGAAAUUGGGCAACUGGUAGAGCUGAGGUUGUUGGACUUGAGACGUUGUUCACAACUUGAGAUAAUUGAACCGGGUGUACUUCAAAGCUUGAUCAAAUUGGAGGAGUUGUACAUGGAGAAUAGCUUUGAUCAAUGGAAUGCUAUGGAGCAAACUCCACCAACUAAUGCGAGUCUAAUUGAGUUGGAUCACAUGAAGAAUCUCUAUACUCUGUAUGUGUCCAUUCCCGACCUGAGUGUACUCCCAGGGGACCUAAAUGUCGAGAAACUAACCAAGUACAGAAUUCAAAUAGGUAAUGCGUGGCGUUGGCUAAGUGAGUGCAAAGGAUCAAGGACACUGGAGCUCAAGUUGGAUCGAUUAAGCGAGGUUCACCGAAAAGGAUGCAUACAAAAUGUCUUAGGGAAAAUUGACGAUCUGCUUUUAAAUGGAUUGGAUGGAAGUGAGCAAAGUGUUUGUGCAUUAUCAGAAAAAGGUUUUAUAGAAUUAAAGCAUCUACAGGUCGAGAAUAGUCCCUCUAUCCAUUACAUCCUCCAACGGCCUUCCCUUAUUGCUUUUGAGAUGUUGGAGUCAUUACUUCUCAAGAAGCUUAUCAACUUGAAGAAGAUAUGCUACAACCAUAUCUCCUCCUCCAAGUCCUUCAGUACCCUAAAAGUAAUUCGAGUUGAAAGUUGUAACAAGAUAGAAGUUCUAUUUCCACUUUCUUUAUUGAGAGGACUUCCACAACUAGAAGAGAUUGAAGUUGUAGGUUGCAAGUUAAUGCAAGGCAUUGUAGAAGCUGAUGAUUGUGGCAAAGUGGAGUUGCGUAAUUUGCAUACAUUGAAAUUGCGUGACUUGCCAAAUAUCAAGAAUUUUUUCAGCACUAGAAUAGCUCAUUUAAGUAGCACAUCAAACGACCAAGUUAACACUCAAGUUGCAUUCUUUAAUGGGCAACAGGUAACUUUCUAUAAAUAAAAAAAAAAUUACAUUUAUUAAUUUUUCUUUCCUUUGCUAAGUAGAUGCAAUACUAUGAUGCUAAUUCAUUUUGUCAUUUUCAGUUCAUUUUUUCUCUAAUUACCUUAUUUAUUCAGGCCUUCUCUACAAUAAGAUAAAGCAAUAUUCUAUUCCUCUUCAUUGUGUAGAAAUCCAACUAAUCGUGUGACAUCCAUGUAAAUUUAGUCUGUGAUAGGUACAAAGUUAUUUUCAACUUACAUGCUUGAAGUAUAUCUAUAUUAAUAGGAUUUCAUUGUGCAUUAAAGGGAAUUUUGGCAUUAAAGUAAUGUGACUAUUCUAGAAAAUUAAGUAAAUUGAAGAGAGGGAGAGAUUUUAUCUAAGUAUGGGAUUAUAUGAUCGUUAUGUGAGAAUAUCCAAAUUACUGUUUGCCCAUUGUUGACAAAAUCUACUUAGAAUUCGUACUUUUUGUUUUGUCUCCAGUAAUUCCAAUAGCCUUCUCAUUCUACGCUCAUCAACGUUAGUAUGGAGAUUUUUUAUUAACUUCUUUUUAUUUUGUUCUUUUUUACUAUUGUGCAAUGAAUUCAUAAUUUACAUCUUGGCACCCAUCUAUAUUCAUAUCUUGAAAGUUCAUGAAUAACUCAAUCACCAAUUUUGUGAGCGAAUAUUGCAGGUUGCAUUUCAUAGCUUGGAGACAUUAUAUAUCACCGGUUUGGAUAACAUCAAGAUGAUAUGGGACAAUCAAGUUUCUGCAGAUUCUUUUUCUAAACUAAAAUUACUUGUUGUGGAAAAAUGCAAUAAACUUGUGAAUGUGGUUCAUUCUUUCAUUCUAGAACGGCUUGUGAGCCUAGAAAGAUUGGAAGCAAGUUAUUGUGGUUCGGUUGAAGUUGUUUUUGAACUUCAGCCACUAAAUUGUUUAGAUCGACAUCCUAUUAAUCUUCCAUUAAAAGAGCUGAUAAUAUCAGGAUUACCAAAGCUAAAGUGUGUAUGGGAUAAGGAACUCCACCAUCACGUUAAAUUCCAAGGUUUACAUUCUAUUUGGGUUUUCAGAUGCGAGAGCCUCAUCUCUUUGAUUCCAGCCUCAGUAGCCAGAGAUCUAAUGCAACUUGAGGAGUUGAAGAUCGACGAAUGUGGCAUUGUGGAACUCAUCGAGAAGGAAGAAGGAUUAGUUCCCAAGUUUGUAUUCCCAAAUUUAACCUUCCUCGAGCUAAAGCAUCUGUCCGAGUUGAAGUGCCUUUACACCGGAACACAUACUUCCCACUGGCCAGCAUUGAAGACCUUGAAGGUGGAUGGUUGUAACAAAGUGGAGAUACUUGCAUCCCAAACUGAGAAUGAGAUGCCACGUCAUAAACAGCCUCUCUUCUUGAUGAAAAAGGUACGACCCGAGAUUAUUUGUUUUGCUUCAAUGGUGAAUAUUUGAAGUCGGCCACAGCCAAGCAUCUCAUACAAGUAGCUCUACAUAUGAAGAUGUAAACUGCUGAUUCACCUUGAAUCCAUAUGAAUAUUUCAACAUUGAAACAACAUAUGCUCUUCAAGUAUUGAUUGAACAUUCUUGUCUUUGCUUGAUGUAUUAAAUGCAUUUUCGUUGAUCCCCUUUAAAGAAAAAGGUUUGGGCUAAUUCCGAUGGUUUAGCUCUCUCCUAAGUGCCGCAAAUAUUGAAAACAUGAGGCAUGUGAUGUGAUCUUACCACGGUGCAAGUGUGUUGCCUAACUUGAAUCCUAUGAAGAUUAUUGAUGUUAUGCUAAAAACAGAAAGACUGGACAUAAUUGUUGACAUUAAUCACUUAAAUUUGUGCGAUUGUGUUUGUAAUUGGUGCAGUAGUUAUUUUCACAAGGGAUACAUCUUUAGACACGUGAAUGUAAGGAGUUAUAUAAGUUCAAUAUUGAUACAAGUCAAACAUAAAAUAUUAACGAUAAUGUUGAUUUGAUGUGGGAACAUUUCCUUAUGUUGAAUCACAUGAAACUCAGCAUUUUAAAAUGCAGUUAUUAUGAACAAAAUGCAUGACUAAAAUAAUAAUGCAUGAAUACUCUUUCAAUUAAGCUGGUUUCAAAUUCUGGUUUGAUUGUUUUCUCAGGGCGCAUUCCCUAAUCUCCAAGAGUUAAAAUUGGAUUUAUCAAAACGGAUGGAGAUAUGGCAUGGGCAUUAUCAUGAUGGAGAAUUAUUGUGCAAGCUUAGAGUUCUUGAGCUUCAUCAUCUGUCCAAGGAAUCUCACAAAUCCACAUGUCGUUUUGUUGAGAGUUUAACCAACUUGGAAGAGCUAGUUGUAUGUGAAUCUUAUCUAGAACAGCCAGACAGCAAGGAGGAAGCCAUAGAAGGCACAAGUCAUGAGCUAAAAGUAGUAUUACCCUUUCCAGGAUAUAUUCAACAUUUGCAGACUCUUGAUGUGUCGCAUUUUGAUGGUUUAUCAAAUAUGUUCACACCGACAAUAGCUGAAAAUUUGGUGGCACUCACAAAAUUGAAGAUAAGCAAUUGUAGAAUAUUGACAGAAGUCAUUAGUGAUGAGGAAGUUAAGGAGGGGCAUGUAGUAGCUUUCAAUCAAUUGAAGUAUAUGGAGCUUAAUGGGUUGAUAGAGUUGAGAUGUUUCAGCUCAGGUGGAUGCACUUUGAUGUUCCCUAUCUUGGAAGAUGUCAUUGUGACCGAAUGUCCCAACAUGAAGUUCUUCUCUAAGGGAACAAUGGAGGCACCAAAACUAAAGAGAGUACGUGUAUCUACAGAUGCAGCAGCAGCGUUAUUUUGGAAGGAAAACCUCAAUAUCACCAUCAGAAAUAUGUCUGAAGAAAUGGUAUUUGCUUUUUAUCACCAAUAGAGUAAUUGCUUAUUGCUAACUAGAAUUGUAUGUUUAAUGAUUCAUUUUUCUGAUAGGCCACAGUUGCUGGAGUAAAGGAAAUGUGGUUGUCUGAGUUCUCUGAGCUAAUUGGAAAAUGGCACAGCCAACUUAAUCCCAUCAAGUCAUCUUGGCAAUUAAAAACACUGGUGGUGGAUAAAUGUCCAUCAUUUAUUAACGCUAUUCCAUCAAAAUUGAUGGUUGUUUUAGAGAAAAUGACAAGCUUGCAGGUGCGUAAUUGCGAGUCUUUGGAAGAAAUAUUCGGUCUUGAAGGGCUUGAGACUGUGGAAAGUACUCAGGUGCUGCCCCGGCUACAACAUCUGAACUUGGUCAAUCUACCGAAGUUGAGGCAACUAUGGAACAAAGAUCUUCAAGGAAUGAUGCGCUUCAAUUCUCUUUAUGUUUUGACCCUUUAUAAAUGUAGUAACUUGAGACAUGCUUUCAAUCCAUCGAUGGCUCAGUGCCUUGCCAAUCUUGCACAGAUUGAAAUAAAGCAGUGUGGUAAGAUGGAAGGAGUCAUCAUACAGGAAGAUGAGCAAGGAAGUGCAGUGGAGAGAAUUACAUUCUCGAAUCUUUAUUGGAUUAAGCUAGAAUGCUUGCCCAAUUUGACCAGUUUCCUCUUGGGGAGGAAUCAUAUGCUGGAAUGUCCUAGAUUAAAGCAGCUGACCAUUGUCCAGUGCCCCAAGAUGAGAAGUUUGACUUGGCAAUCUAGGAUGGAGAUUGAUCACAACACCCCCUCACUAUUCACCCCACAGGUCAGUCUUGUUUUUCUUUAUCUAAUGCUUUUGAUUUUGAGAUCAAUCAUCUUUUCAGAUCAAAGUACCAAUGAAUGGGGUGUCAGUAAUUGGAAGUUGGAAAUAAAAUGGUGCUUCGCAUGCGUCACAUAAAACAAUUUCAGUUCCACUUUUUUCUUCUUCUUUUUCGGCCAAAGAAACCUUAAAAAACACGGCAUCAAUCAUGGAUAAGAAUUUAGUUUUCCCUUACUCACCCAAUUUUUGCCAGCGGUCGGAUCACUGCGCCCCCCCCCCCCCCCCCCCAGAAACUUAUGGAGCUGCCGACUGCCAAGAGACUACUUUUAUAAUAAAAAAGAAUUAGGAAAAAUUCUUUACUUUUUGAACCAACCCAUUGCCCCCCCUAAAAUGGAAAGGGAAAAAAAAAAGGGGGUUUCCCCGGGCCCCAAAAAAAAAAUUUUUUUCCCCUUUUUUUUUUUUUUUUUUUGGCCAAAAAAACCCUAAAAAACCCCCCCCCCACCCAGGGAAAAAAAUUUUUUUUUCCCUUCCCCCCCAAUUUUUUCCCGGGGGGGGGGAAGGGGGCCCCCCCCCCCCCCCCCCCCCCCCCCCCCCCCCAAAAAAAAGAAAAAGAAAAGAGAGAAUGAAUAUAGUUCCAAGCAAGUUAUUAAUAUCCCAUUGGAUCUUGAUUUGGAUCCGAAUCUUUUCAAUGUAAGACUAGUAAAUUGACUCCAUUUGCUUUUUCUUAGAUCAUUUAAGUCUUUAUGUUGCCUCUACUUGGUUGCUAAUUUAUUUUCUUUCAGUACAAAAAUUUUGUGCACACAAUAAAGAAAAAAACUUGUAAACAAUUGAAGCUAUUUUUUCUUCUUAUCUGCCAACAAUUUUUCAUGACACUUCUCAUUAGUGAACUUACUAAUUACAAGAUUCAUAAGUAAUGUUCCCAAUUAAGAUUAGCAUUGAAUUAGUAGUGGUGCUCAUAGUAAACAGAGGAAAUGACCUCUGUCUCGAGAAGACACAUGGAAUAUUGUCGUACUUGAGUUGCAAAUUAAUGUUAAGUGAGAUGCUCAACUCUCAUUUGUGCUCCCCUUCCGUAGCUUAUUAAGCUCAGCCAUUGAUCUAUAUAAAAAAGAGUAGUUCUGGAAUUUAUUGCUCAAUACAUCAAUGAUUGAGGAUGAUCAAGGUACCCUAUGGCAAAGAAACAGGAUGGGUCUCCAUCAUUUCCAUCUAUACAUGGACAUGGUUACGUGAUCAUCUUCCAAGUCCAUGCUAUAACAACCAAAUAAAUAUCAUAGUAUAAAUAAAUUUUACCUUUGUAACCAUAUGAUACUAAGAUAGUGUUACCGAUUCGCUUUUGCUAAUAAUUUUUGGAUAUUUCUAAAUCUACUAGAAAUGAAAAUGGGAAGUUAAUUUCUUUCAAUUGAUAAGAAAGAUAUGUAGAACCAUCUUAUACCUAUCGCUGGAACAUCGUAAUCUUGCACCCACCAGCACAACAUUGGAGCCGACAUUAGGAAGAGAGAAGAAGAAUAUAUAUAUUUUCCCUAUUGGAUUGAAUCACAUACGUCGAAGCUGCGUUGAACCGUGCUUUAGCUUCGUUCAUUCCUUGAAGUAAAGAAAUCUAAGAAAAUCUCACCUUAUCUAAUGUUGCAUUAUCAAAAGAUCAGCGCAACCUUCUAAUAAUGAUCGGUGCAAACAAAUCUAACGAAUUGCAGGAAAAUUGGAGAAUCCGAUAAUUCAUCAUUGCAACUUUCCACAAAUUAAAGGGAAAGGCGUUGCUAGUGUUUACUGUCAAUUAAGUCAAUUAAAAGCAGUGUUCAAUAAUUAUUGUAUCAUUCGACGGAAAUUAGGGGACGUCGUCAUCAGAGUAGAAUAUUAAGGAAUGUGUGGAAAUACACGUCAUCAUCUAAUUUUUUAAGAAUUAAAAUCAAAAUUUAAAUUAAUUUCGAUGGAUUCAGUAAAUACAAGCUAAUACCUUUACAGAAUUUAUUUAUAUUUGCAUCACUUCUUCAAAAGGCAAUUAACACAUAUCAAACUGAUCAUGUCAGUCUUUUCCCUCCGGUUUUUGACCCGUUUUGUUACAGGUACCGUACAAGUUUCAAUUAUUUUCUUUUCUGGCAGAGGAAAUGCUUGUGUGUAUUUUUUUCAUUCUAAUGCUUUUGCCCAAUUUUAUUAUUAUUAUCGUUAUUUGUGAGUAGAAUGUUUCAUUGUAUCGUGGAUUCACACGUGUUUACUCUUUAAUCAUAAGUCGUCAAGAAUUAGGAGCUGUGAUGUAAUAAUAUAUAUCCUCCACAUAAUUAUAAAUUUGCAAAAGGUCAUCAUAAUAGGCACCUUAGAGUACUAAUAGUUGUUGGGAAGUACGAAAAUAAUCAUAUAAUUUGCUCCUUGUGACAAAGUGUAAUAUUGUUAAUUUCUUGUUAAAUGCGAGCCGUCAUGCAAUCAUGGUUGUCCCCACAUUGUUAACUCAUCAAAAUCCUCAAUCUACAAUAUUAAUGGAUUUAGGAAUGUGUGGAAAUAAUUCUGUUUAUUGUUGUGAUAAGUCGUAAUUGCAUCAAUUUAUUGUAACAAAAUAAAAAAGUCAAUGCUCGCUUCUCAAUGGACAAGUCACAAGAAGUUAUAACACAGUUGAUUCUCUCCAAACAAACAUAAUUUGACUGCAGCAGAUAUCUUGGUGGACCGUUUGAUACUUGUCACAAACUUUUCUAGUUUCAUGGUCCAUGGACCUAGGGAAGUACGGAAAUAUGCAUAUGGAAACAAAGGUUGUACAUAACGUAAUUUCAUUAAUUUCAUCAUACCCAAUGAAAAUUCUGCAUGAGCUGUUACAUGAACAAUUCAUUGCAACUCAUACUAUGGUUUCGUUUUUUCGUACCAUGUUUUAUUUUGUCAUAACAUAUUUCAUGUGUUCAUGAACACUAAUUGUGUUAGUCUAUGGAUCCUUGUUUGUGUGAAAAAUUUGCCUUAAAAUUCAUGUCACACGAGAUAUAGGAAAUCCCAAAGUAUUCAUUUGGUAUUUGAGUUCGUGAUUGCGUUCUUUGUGCCGUAACUCGAUGUAAAAUGGUCUGCUAUCUUUUGUGUACACGAGUAUUAAAGUGUGGCAAGCACCGUAAGGUAAUUCAAUUUGUCACACCGCAUUACAUGAUUAUUGGAAUGCAAUAAACUCGGCCUUAAACAUCGGUCAGCUGAAAUAGAAGCAUCAAUCAAUCUCUCCCUAUUUAUCUCAGUAACAACCUCGAGGAUUUUGAGAGCUUGAAAAAUUUGUAAAAUUCUUUUUUAUGGCCAUAACUCAAUGUAACCACAUUCAUUUUUCAAUUUUGUCAAUAUGGCAGGUGCAAUUUCCUUGCCUUGAAUUGAUGAUUCUCUCCCACAUGGACAAUUUGAGCAAAAUAUGGACUGACGUUCCUCGAGAAACUCUCGUAUGUAAACAUUUACAAAAACUGGAGGCUCAAAACUGUAAGAGCCUUGAAAAUCUGUUUCCAUAUUGGGUGGCUACAAGUCUAAACCAACUUGACAAACUUCGAGUAGAGUCUUGUGUGAUUGAAGAAAUAGUCGCGAGUGGGGAUGACACUUCAUACUCCAAUAUUGCUCAAGUUCUUUUCCCAAAACUGACCUCUCUGGUGUUACAUGAUAUGUCACAACUCAAGAGCUUCUGUCCUAACUUGCCCACUUUGAACUGGUCACUCUUGGAGGAAUUGCGAGUGACUCAUUGUGAUAAAGUGAACAUAUUGUCUUUUGCAACAUCCAUGAGCAAGUGGACUCAGAGAAACAAUCAGCAGAACCUUUCAGACCAAGAGGCACAUUUUUCUUUUGAGAGGGUAUGAUUACCAUUGCUCUUCCUCAAUUUCUACUUUGUUCUUCAACGCACCCACUAAUCUUAUGUCCCCCUGCAUAAUCAUGUCACGUCAUAAUACUAUGAAAAACAUUAUCUUCCUUACCAAUCGGUUUGUUGACUGCAUAAGAUAGUUCUGAUAUCUCAAGUAUACUUUUCAUUUGUGGACACACAUAAGAUAUUUCAUUGCAUAGAAUUACAAAAAUAAUUACAGAUUUUUGUUGACAACACAAUUUGAUCAUAAUCUAAUCUAAUCUAAUGGUGCUUCUUGGGGAAGUCAAUGACAUUUGGCACGAGAUCCUCUUGACACACAUUGCACAUUUAAACUUUUCUUCUCUAUUUAUUUUCUACAAACUAUAAAAGAAUAAACUAGAACAUUUUUCUUUUUUUAAAAAAUAUCAUUCUUCAAUUCAUUAUAUUCUACUUUAUCCUUCAAUUCACUCCUCACAUUUCAUGUCCACUAAGCAUGUCACAUUAUAGCACUAAAAUCCCGAAACCCCCAUAUAUAAAUUUGCAGACGAAGGAAGAUGUCUCUUUAUCUUAAGUACACUUUUAAGUUUGUGGACACUAUACGUUUUAGAAACAUUAUGGGUGCAUCCCAUUACAUAAACUCCAAAGAUGACAAACUUUUGUCGACAAGAUAAGAUAUUUCUAAUAAAAGAUGAAUUUGGUGAGCUGGAGGGCUCUUGAAUUUAGAUUCACUCUACCAACAUAACCAUACCAACCUCCACUUGAGACUUUUAAAAGCUUGAGACUUGUUUGCAAGGAUCCUUACAUUUGAUUAAAUGCCCUUCCAUGUGAAUUAUAUGAACUAGCUUUACCUUUUACAACACAUGAAUUAUUGUCAAACCUUUGUUGAAUUUACUUCUCUCUUCAUGUUGGUAAUUUGACAGGACUUCCCCAAGUUAGAGAGACUUUCAUUAGACGAUAAAAAUAUUCAGAUUAUACAGGAUGGAAAAUUUACUGAUGACAUCUUUGGCAAGCCAAAAUUAUUAACAUUGGCAUGCUUUCAUGAUGAAAAGGCUAUCUUUCCUCCCAUAUUCUUCCUAAAGAGAUUUCAGAAUCUAAAAAGCCUUGAGGUCUUCUGUAGUUCCUUUGAAGAUAUAUUCCCUAAUGAAGGGUUUGUCCACGAGGGAAGAAAUUCUGUGCUUGAAAAUUUAAGAGAACUUAAGUUAAGCAAGCUACAUAGCCUAAAGCGUGUGUGGAGAGAAGACUAUUUAGUGAUGAAAAUUCUUCAGAGUAUUGAAACAUUUGAAGUUUGGGAUUGUCCUCAUUUAACAACAUUAUUUCUAGCAAAGACAUCCUUUCUCAAUUUAACGAAGUUAGUGGUGAAGAAUUCUUCUGGAUUGGUACAUCUAGUAAUAGCUUCAGAGAUCACAAAUUUGGUGCAUCUCAUUGAGAUGACUAUAAUAGGAUGUGAAAGAAUGAAAGAAGUAGUGGCAAAUGAUGGAAAUGAAGAAGGAAAAGUGAUUUCUCUUGGGAAGCUAAGAAUAUUGAGACUCCAACAUCUACCUAGCCUAUUAUGCUUCUCCUCCAUCACAAGUUGUAGUUUCAGGUUUCCUUCCUUGUUUAAGAUUGAAGUGGAAGAGUGCCCAAAAAUGAAGAUCUUUUCUAAAGGUACGCUAAGCACAUCAGAAUUAAAAUAUGUGAAAUUGUUCAGGUACACGUGGUCAUGGAAUUGGGAGGGUGAUCUCAAUAAAACCAUACAAAAGUUAUUAGCAUAAACAAGAUACAUGUGGCCAUGGAACCGGCAGCCACGUGUGUGCUAAUUCCUCCACUUUGGCCCUGUCGAGAAAUUUCUGUACUCUUUCGUUUCUUCCUUCAGUCAGGCAACAGUGAUACGUCUGAAACGUUUAUCCAAAAAGAAAGGAUUUUUCUUGCGAGAAGGUGCUUUUUGGAGACGAGCUGAACAGUGUGCACUUAUCCUGAGUUGGUUUUCUAUGGUCCCACCACCCAGGUCCUCUCAUUGCUCUUAAAUCGGCCAACAACUUUCAAACGGGGCAUCUCUUUUUGAAGGCAGUGAUGAGGCCGGCUUAUAUUGAUGAUGGCAUGGUAAGACCCCAGCUUUUCAACUCAAACUAGCAUGUCUGAAAAUUAAAUAUAUGAAGGCUGUUUACAAUGUCUAAAACCAAGGAGUAAUUAGUUAGACAUGCUGGAUCUAAAAACUGUGUGAAGCACAUGUCUAACCAAUGCUUCCCUUUGGGGCUUUCAAUGAUAGUCCAGUAACCUGGCACCUAGCUUGGAUGCAUUUCUUAUUUUAACGUGCUAGUACCCGCAUGCCUUGUCUCCCCAAUUGGAGAGAGGGUUUUUCUUCCCUCUUCUUGAGAAUACCUGAAUUUUAUGUCCUAGAAUUCAAACGAAGUAGUUUUAGGACAUACUCAGGUCCACAUAUCUUUGCUUAUACUCUAGUGUUUUUUCCAAGUUGACUUCAUUUGUGUAGGAAACCACAUGACAUGUUAUUUUCCUCGAAAUGUUGAUGGACAUAUGUUUUAAACCAGGAUUAUAUCUUAACAAUGUAGUAAUUGAAGCAGGGAAGAGAAUGAAGGGACAGUUAUUGGGACAUAAGUUGGAGGUCGAAGGUUCGAGAAGAAAAUAAUCAUUUCUUUUUUGGUGGAUAGAUGUCUCAAAUUGUUGGAAAGGCCAAUGCUGAGGCAAGUCUUAAGAUUAGAAUCCAGUUCUUUUUAUAUGGAGAACUUUGACAACGUAUUCAAUGGCGUAAAGGUAGAAUAUAUGUAGGUAAAUCACACAAGGAGACUAUAUUGAUAAGCACAAGCAAAUUGCAAAGAAUGUUGCUGCCUCCAUAACUAAAUGGAAAGACCUAAAAGAUAGGGGGUGGCAUAACUAAAUGGAAAGACCUAAAAGAUAGGGGGUGGCUAGUUACGAUUAUGAAAUUUCAUUGUAAAUCAAAUGAGGAGACUAUAUUGAUAAGCACAAGUAAAUUGCAAAGAAUGUUGCUGCCUCCAUAACUAAAUGGAAAGACCUAAAAGAUAGGGGGUGGCUAGUUAUGAUUAUGAAAUUUCAUCGUAAAUCAAAUGAGUAAUAUUUUAAUGUCAAAUAGGAGAUACUGUUGCAAUUCGUUACCUUAAUCAGAUAUUUGGAAAAGAGAGAGAGAGAGAGAGAGAGAGAGAGAGAGAGAGAGAGAGAGAGAGAGAGAGAUUGUCAAAUGAACCAACAGUUAGUUUGAACAGCUUAAGUUAAAGUUUUUGAUUGUAUCCAAGUUCUGGUCAUCGAUGUCUUUGCUUUUUCCCUUCGCAUGUGGUCCGUGUGCUGGAAAUUCUCGUGUGUGUGUUACCCUAUAGCACUCUUGGAGCAAAGAUAUUAACAUUUGACUUUGAAUUGCAGGUUAAGAUUGAUGACUUCCAUUGUAUGGUUUCCUGUCUAUUAAAACUCAUGAAACUAUUUCACCCAAAAAAAAACUCAUGAAACUAACAACUACCGCCUGAAACUCGUUGCGUAUAAUUUGAUUCUUUCAUGAAUGUAUGCUUAUGUUUGGUGUUUUUUCACCAUAAGUUGGUCUUUUGACUAUGUACAUUGGCAGACUGCUCCUGUUCAAUUCUUCAGGCGGCAUAUUCGGGAAAACAAGCAAUGCGUGACUGUCAGGUAUUCAGACAGUUCAUGGACGGUGAAGCUGAGGAGCUAUGGACACAAUCGAGGGCAGUCUUUUCUUGCUGGUUGGCACGCAUUUGCUAGAGAAACUCUUCUGCAUGUGGAGAAUGUUUGUGUGUUUACGCUUAUUGAUAGCGAUGAUGUUGUGUGCAGAGUCUACAAAUUCACUAGUGCUCGUAAGGACUUGUUUUACAUUGAUUGAGAUGAACUUUGGAAGUGAUGCUUUGGCUGGUCCAAAAUAAAUUCAGUAUUCCAACUAGUAUCUCCUUUCUAGUCUUGAUGAAUCAGUGAAGCGUACUUCUAUUCCUAUGGGUUUGUGAGGUUCAUAAUAAUCCAGAUGCACACACUCAUUAUUGCCACAUUCUGAAUCUAAAUGAACAGAUAAGGAUUUGCUUCAAGAUGUCCUUUUCGGUUAAUGCAUUCCUAUUUGGUUGUUGUUCAUUUUGAAUUUGAAAUCAAGUCUCUUAGGCUUAUUAAGAUUAUGGGUUUUAUUCUUCCAACAGGGAAUGCCAAGGAGGUUCAUGAGAAAAUAGGGUGAAAAUCUCUCAAAAAAGGAUGCUUGUCAAAGUGUGAAAUGGUGCAAUUAUUUGGCCUAUGGAAUUGGAAAAAUGUGAUGAGAUGGUCGAAUGAAUAUGCAGAGCAUUUACCCUAUCUGCGAGGGCCAAUUUUUGGUCUUUAAAUCUGAAGUGGACUCCAUUUUCCAUGUAAUCAUAUUUGAUAAAGGCGUCUCCGAUAUAGAAUGUCCGCCAAUGAGUGGUGAUGCGAGGAACUGACCCUCAGCAAUUGUGGAUUUGCCUUGCGAUGAUGGAAGAUGCCGGUGAUUGCCGUGAUGUUUCGGUCAAGCUAUAAGUCUUGGGAGAUGAAGUGCAUUGACCCAAGAGUCCUCGGCUUUGUAAGGCAACAAAAUCUGAUCAAGUUUGUGAAGUUCAUGGCGGUUCCUAUGCACAUUCAUCAUCGUGGAGUUUGGGGAGAGACCAAAGUUUAAACUGCUCAUCAUGAGAUUUUCGAGGUGUGAAUCUUAAUCACUAGUUAAUUCUCCUCCACACUCUGUUGUUCUUGUGUUUGAUUCAAAUUCUGUAUAGGAACUCUCCAUGACGCUAGUUAAGAGACUGUGUUAGAGCUAAUUCAUCCCCGUAGUUCUUCUCUGCAUCUAGCUCUCUCGUGUGUGCAUAUGUGUGUGCAUACGUAUGUGUUGGGUGGUCUCAUAUAUGUCAACCAAUGUGCUGAAAAUGACAUUGCUGUGCAUAUAGGCCUCAGAAGUUAGACCAUUAGAAAAGCUCGCAUCAAUUGAUUUAGCAUUGUUAUGUCGAUGGACAUGAGUUUCACAUGACCAAAAAUAGUGUAUGCCUAGAAAUGGAAAGCUUUUUAUGUUCUGUUUGCGACUGCUGCAGGUAAGCUGAAAGAGCUGAGCUCGUGCAGAGCUCUUGAACUGGCCAGCAAAUUUAAGCCCGAGUAUCCUUUCUUCCGAAGUUACAGCAAGGUAAAUAUAUCUGAAGAAAAGCAACGCGAUAAGAUCCUCAUGACAAGGAAAACUGUUGGAUUUAAAUCACAAAGAGUUGCUAAACUAUGUUAGCUCUAGGUUAAGCGUGCAUCGUGUCAAUAAUUUCUGUUUUUAUCCUUCAGAUGCUUUGAAAAGGAUCCUCCUACUGUCUGCCUCAGAGCUCAUUGGUUGUUGCAAAAUGUCUACUUGAGCAGAGAGUUACCGGCUCACUCCAAAAAUGCGCAUCAAGAAAAGUCCGCAGACCGUGGCUCUCAUAUUUUAAGACAAAUCAUGGCCGGCGAUGCUCAUCAGCCACGGUUAUCAUGGAAAGUUCUCUGCCGGUUGGACCGCAUUCACAAGAUAAACUUCUCUGAAGGCAGGUGGCAAUGUGUGCUCGAGCUUUAUUAGAAGGGAUGAUGUCAUUUUUGGAGGGUCCUUUAUCAGAACCACUGAGAAGACUUGGGUGAACAAUACUAUGCAAUGGACACAGCAGAGGAAGCAUUGCUUUUAGCUCAAUUUUGGUGAGAACAGAACUGCAGAAUUGCUAGGCUGAAAUCUGCUUCUGAUUUGGCAAAUUGGAUAAAAGCACAAGUUUUGUUCUAAUGGAUGGAAUGCUCCUGAAUGUACAUGAUACCUUCCUUGAUCCUAGUGUUGGCAGUCACCAUGUGGCCAUGGGUCAUGAGACGGAGGAAGCUGAUUGCUAAUGUCGAUUUGAUAACUUCCAUUUCUGGAAACAAUCUCUCGAAUAAGUUGCUUCUUUAAGGUUUCCGGUGGCUCAACCCAACCUUUGGAACUAUUUAAGUUGUAGUAGCAUCGAAUACGCUUCCCUUAAGUCAUGUACCAACUCUGAAUUUCAAGGCACAACCCAUGGUUUUACAAGCUCGAUGUGGACAUACGUUAGAUUCUAUUCAUCGUCGCUUUUCGAAUUCAUAAAGAUUCUAUGACGAGCCUUUUUUGGCAUGUGGGCGGCACAAAUUGAAGUUUUCUUAGUUUCUUCUCAUGUGAAGAGCAUUCGGAACUCAUUUUGUCAAAUGAACUGAAUCUGAUAUGCCUGGCCAAGCGAUAAUCCAAUCCAUGCUGCUUCUUUUCAUGGUUAGCCAAUUAAAGGAACUUUCACACCAAUGUCUACUGAAUUCCCUCAUUGUUUUAAACGGGGAAAAGGGUAUUUUCAUGCCUCUCUUGCAGCCAUCUCUUUUGCUGCAGUAGCAUAACUCUGUAAAGGCGUCACUGCCACACAACUCUUCCGCAACCCCUCUCAACAAAACAGCAAUCAAGCUGGAUAAACAUCGCCGAUUCUCCGUCUCUCUUGAACGGGGCGUUCUUCGAAACAGAGUCCGACUUCGUCAUUCCAUCAAACACCUUCCUUGCAAACUCGAUUCCCUCCUCCACGGGGCAACUGACGGCAAUGGAAUUACGCCGGGGGGGAGGGGGGUGAAGAGAGUGAGAGAGAGAGAACAAAGGCGAAAUAGAAAAUCAAACAGACAAAUUGGGAAUGAAAACGACCUGGGAAUGGUGAAUAUCGAAUGAUGGAUUCCGUCAUCGCCUGAACGUAGCAAGGAACAGCUGUCUGCAGAGAUUUCUCGAAGCAACGUUCAUCGGAGAGAGUUCGUGGGCAAAGGGAAUGUCUGGAUACUGUCUGCCAAUUCAGAGGAUGGGAUUUUUUUGGGUUUCACUCUAUCGGCCGUCCCGCCGGUGCAGCGUCCCUUCAUCGACCGAUGCAAUCUGAGGCCGAUCGAGUCGUCAUUGUCCGAGACUGAUAGGCCGAGAGCGUGAAGAUCGGUGGCGAGGCUGAAGAGAAAACGACGAGAGCUAAGCCGGUGGAGAUGAUCGCGUUGCCGCGUUCUGUUCCCGGUUUGAAUGAACAGUGCUUUAAUGUCAUUUGUGAAAGCAAAAUUCCACUUUUUUUCAAACAACUUCUAAUUCCGUAGAAAUAUUUUAAUUUUUCUUAAGUCUUUCAAUUUGAGAUUUCUAUUAAAAUACAUCCUUUAAUUGAAAAAAUUAACCUAUUUCAUUUCCGGUUAUCGAGAUAUCAUCGACCUAAAUUAACAUCGUGAUAAAAUGAAUUUCAUCUCGUUAAAGUAAAGCAGGAGUAAAUCCUAAUUUAAACAAUGUCUUGCGUAAAUGUGCUUAAUACCUUUCAAUAGUUUAUCUGCACUAUUUGCCUUAAUUAGUCCUACGGAUUUUUGUUGACAUUGGUCGCACGGUCCUUACCACCAUAAAAAGGAAGGAAAAAGCAGCUUCUGUCCAGGGGUCCUACCAUCCUUCGCGGGAAACACUUCAUCAAUAUGAAAAUGAGUAUUUCUGGUACCUAAUUCUACAACCUCGGAGUUGGAUCUGGCCCCAGUGCUGCGUAAAUAAUAAAGUUUAUUCUAGUUGAUUUCUUCGACUCACAUAUCACGACGUCGGCUUGAAGAUUUAGUUUUCGUUUUGAUUCUUGUUUUUGUUUUUGUUUUUUUUCCACUAAGGACUCCAAGAGUUAAAAAUCUCAACUCCAAUAAACCUCGAAACAUAAGUUUUCCGUGCUAAGCUAGUUUCACGUUCAAUAUGGAAUCCAUCUAGAAUGUAAUAAUCCCUAGCUUUUAAUGUGAGAAUAUCUUAGAGUUGCAUUGUACUUGAUGGUUGAUGUAGUUGAUGGUGCGGAAAGUGCUGGGUAUAAACAAUUGAUAUACCAAAUUGGUGUGCAAAUGAGAUUUUUCGGUAAUUGGGGUAAAUGUCAAACGUAGUCACUUUGUACAAUCAAGUCACUAAACUUUAAUUUUAAUCGCCCGAUACAUUAACAUCAUUUUUUUCCCAUAUGUAAUCAAUGAAUUAUGAAGAUUUUUCCGAAAAUUUUCUAUGCAAUAUUUACAUAGCAGUCUUACAUAUCUGAUUAAAAAUGUUAUAACAGCAUGACAUCAUAUUAGUCUCCAUUAAGAAAAAACCGAAAAAAAUAUAGAAGUUUAAAAAAAGAGAGGAUAGGGAUUCAUUCACUCCAACUCACGUCGAAACCCUCUGUCUCAUUUGGGUUACAUGGCCCUGUGUUACAAGGGAGGUUCUCAAGGCGUAACCCGAUCGGGAGCUAGCUAAAUUUAUCAUGAGUAUUUAAAUUCUCUUUUAUCCCCAUCAGAUUUUCUAAAGAUUUAUAUAAUUGAGUCCAUAAUGACUAUUUUCAUUUCAAUUUGCCCCCGCAAAUUAAUGAACCUCAAUAAGCAAUUGCAGAAUCAUGAAAAUCUAGUUGCCAUAAACAAACCAAACCGACGCAACUGUUAUUUUCAUCUCAUAUUAUUGAGUUCAAGAGCAUCGGUUUGUUUACUAAAAUAAUCAUUAUUUACCGAAGUUCGCCCCCACUAGGAAAAAUUUCUAGAUACAUCCAUGAAUUGGCCAUGGUUUGCUUGGGUUUUGAUUUGGUACAAAUUCUGAAGUUCAUUUGACGAUUGAAAUCAAAAUUCAAUGACCCGAUUGUAAAAAUGCGCUAUAUAAUCCAGUCGUCAAUAAUUGAUUCCUCAUCUGUUGUUCUCUUUAACAAAUUUGAACGCCUAGCCUCAUCCGAUCAAACUUCCACAAAAUUCCCAUCAAUCCCUCUCCUUUUCCCCUUCAACUUGGCUGCUACUCGUAGCUGCAAUCACCGCCUUCUCCCCGUCUUCAGUUGAAUGAAAGCCUAUUAAAUGAGCGUUAUGCAAUCUUUCGAGGCCAUUUUGGCUCAGUCUUUGAAGGUUGAGUUGAAAAAUUUCGAGAAUAAAUAUCUGAAAUCAUUUGAUGCAGGACUACGCAGUCUGCUUUUGCUUUAAAAUCAUAGAUAACUGUUAAUUUUUUAAUUUUUUUGUCAGAGAGAUGAGUUUCUCAUGUAUCCAUUUCUAACUAUUGUAGUUCCAUCUUUAACUAUUGUAGUUUCUGCUGCAGGCAAAGGGAGGAGAUCAGAUUUUUUUUGGUGAAAUCGAGAGUUGAUUCUUUUUUCUUGGUCGAAGAAAUCAAGAGUCGAUUAUUGUAGUGUGAAAUCUAGGCAAGCCAAACAACCACAGUGUAAGCUGUAAUCUCUCCUAUUAUUUGGGAUGCUCUUGGUACAGGAGAAUAGAAGAAAUGACAGCGUAAAAUGGUCCUUUUUUCUAUUGGUUGUUUUGAGAAAUUACUCGGAAAAGCUAUCUUUUAAUUGGUGGUUGAAAAGUCUGUAAUUUUAACUUGUGUGCAAUCCCAGAUUUUUCGCUAGUACUAAGAUAGAAGAUGCAGUUGCUUCUCAAAGGUGGUGUUGUAGCACUUCUUGGUGUUCUCAUUUUGACAUCUAUCAAGCUAAAGUAGAAUGCACGGACAUUCGUUAGCGUACCUACAAUUUUCGUUUCUUUCCAUAUCACUUUAAAUUUCUUCAUUAUGAUUGUUCUAUCAUUUUAGUUGUAUCCCCGUUUCUGAUUAAUGUCUCUUCUUAUGUUACAUGAACUGUGUGGACAUACUCUUUUUUUUGUUUUCUCUUCCUAUUUUGGCUGGAUCGAAAUGCUGUCUUCUACUGCGUCGAUACAACUGCAAUGUUGCAUGCUUCAAUAUUUUUGGAAUCGCUGAAGCUCUUGAAUUUUUUGUGGCACAUUACUUCUUGCAAUUUAUCAAAUUUUGGUUUUUCUUCCUUGUUUAUUCCUGUAUGAUUCCACCAUUCUCUAGAUGUUACGUCCUGCCUUCCAACAAGUUGGUCCUCAUGGUGGGUAUUUACUGUAUAUGCUAGUACUUCAUUCUCUCUUUCUUUGGUUCUUGCAUGUGUGGGUGGCUGCUACUAUUGGUGCCUUUUCCUUUGCAUAAACAAAAGUGAUACCCCCGUUCUUUGCUUGAGUUUUCUUCCUAUUUAUAUCAGUCUCUCAAUUAAGAGUUUUUGAAACUGAGCAUGAAGAAAAUGACACCCUUGGGGUAGUCACUCUUGCUGGUGAUAUUUUGUCCAGUCCACGUCAUACCUACAAUGUUUAUACACUUAGUACUUCCGAACGAAUCAAUCAAAAACCGCAUAUAACUUCCACAAUAUAGUCCUAGGAGCGUAAAGCAGAAGGAAGAGAACUAUAGAAGACAUCUUGGAAAUGCUGCAAUAUUCAAUGAGGUAACCAACAUAGCUAAGAGGUUUACUCAGACUGCAAAUCUAGGACAUCUAAAAAGCCAUCAAUGAUACAUAACCAAGCCUCCAUAAUAUGUAGCAUUCAGCAAGAAAGCCAUUUCCACAAAUGAGAGACUUUGCUCCAAGGAUUGGAAGCACGUAGAAAACUGCUUUUAUGAACAUGCCUCGGAUGGACAACAAAGCUGAAUGAUUAGCUUAGCUUAGCAAAACAGGCCUCGCCUAUGUGAUUUGAUUAUGACCAAUUGGUCAAAACACAUUAGUAACUUCCACAAUGCCAUGUUAGGAGAGUAAAAAACUCAUGCAUGCACAGGAGUUAGAUGCUCAACACAUAAACAUUUAGUGGACCAAGGAACCACCCUGUUUGUCAUGAUUCUAAUUUGACUACAUCAGCAAUCGAACACACAUCAACAUAUAUGUAAACAGCAUUAUAUGACACAACCUCUUGGUUGAAGUGAUUCAUGUAGAAUCACAACAUAUCCUCCAAGUUAUCAGUCUGUUCCUGUUUGUAAUGCCUAGCAUGGCAAUCAUGAACAUGGUGGCUACAUUCCCACCAAACGCCCCAACUGUGGACACCAUUAAGGAGAAGCGAAUCCAAGAAAAGUGAAACUGCCAUUCUAUUACAUUUGAGUCAGAAAAGACAAGGUAUCAAAUUUAAAGGAUAUAUAUUACUAAAGCGCUCGAAAAAUCUAUUUCCAUCCUACGCUUGAAAAGCCACAAAUAGAGAUGCUUUAUCAAAAUCCUUUAAAACAACAUAUGCUAGUUAAUAAACGUACGAAACUACGUAAACAUUAAUCAUCUUAUUAUUUACUUCCACAAAGAUUGGACCUAAAAUGGGGCAUAGGGACGAGAGAGAAGUGUGCAAUAAAAGCUUGUUUAAGUGUAGCCCUAUGAUCAUUAUUUUUCUCUAUAGUUCUAGUGAAACAUAGCACUUGUGGAGAUAUAAUAAAACCAGUCGGUGUGAAAGACAACAACUGAAUGAUCGUCAGGUUGAAGUAGAAAGGGCUUAACCAGAAACUUGAAAGGCAAAACGAUCACAUGAUUCGUUCUAAAGCUAGCUCCAAAAAAGCGAUUGCAUCACUGACAUUUGUAAAUAUACAGAAUUUACAUAUCGAGAACUGACGAUGAAUAUAUGUAGCUAGGAGCCCAGAUCAAGACAAUGAGACACAAGCUGGUUAAAGGCUAGAAAGUGAAAAUCCUACGAGAUUUCAUUUCCACUAUGGACACGAUUCGUUCCUUGGUGGGUAGCAGAAAAAUCCAAGAGUUACAGAUUCCGCGUCAAAUAGAAUUAAAUAAUCCAGCCCUAGACAUAAGAUCAGGAACCACUAUGGUUCGCGUGUGAAGCCACUAGAACAAGCUACAGAAUGAUUCUCAUCCAAUUGAUCUGAUCUGAUACUUCGGUUUCGCAGCAAUCCUGAUGUUGAAUCCUGCGGCAAACAUCAUCAACAUUGAAUCUAGCAUCGAUGAAAGUGAAUCAACAAGUGUCAAAUUCCAAGACCUCAACCUCGCAUCGGAAGCGGCUUAAGAAAACUUACGGGAAGAGGAGGAGGGGGAGGGGGGGGGGGAGAAUCCGUGUGGUGAAAAGAGGAGGAACGGUCUGCUGUUGGGACUGCGGUGGCGUUGCCGAGGUGGCUCCCGAUCCUCGGGUACAUCGGAGAUCGGACUUCCUGAGGGCGGCAACGGUGGUGUUGAGGGCGGCGACGAUGGCUUGGCGCGAGAGGAAGGAGAUGAAGCAAUGGAGGUGUUUCCAAGAAUUGCAACGGAAGGGACUAGAAAACCGUGAAAUUGAAAAGGGAAAUCUGAUCCCGAUUCGUUGGGGAAUUUUCUUUAUUUUUGGCCAAUCACAAAUUUCGGAAAAAAUUACCUCAAUUUAAAUCGCUGAAAAAUGUGGUGUAACUAUUUGGCUGGCGAGUGACAUCAAAUUUUUAUUUAAUACUGAUUAGGCAAUUUCAUUUUCUUAUUCGAAAUGAAAACGUGACUGGGGGAGGAGAAAAAAAAAAUGGAAGAGUUUCUAAGUUGUGCGACAAGAGUGGUCUGAAAUUGUGAAAUUGAAAAAGAAAACCUAAUCCCAAUUCAUUUUGGAAAUAAAUUCUUAUUUUUUAUUAAAUUACAAAUUUCGCUGGCUUAGAUCUUUAUUUGAGCCUAAUUUGGCCAUUUUAUAUCCUUAUCUAUAACAAAGUCCAUAAUUUUUUUUUCUCCAAGGAGGAACCUUGCUAUAUGAAAAUGGAGGCGCUGGACUCGGAACGAUUUGCAAAAAGACUCAUGGACUUUGACUUAGAAAAACUUUCGGACUAUUAUCACAGGAAAAUUUUUGGAUGAUGAUUAUUGAUCUUUCAUCAUUUCAAUUUUGAAGAGCUUCGAUACUUUAGGAUCUUAUUUCUCUUGAAUUAUUUCUUCUUUACAACCUUAAUUGUCUGCAAAGAGCAUUCAUGAUAUGCACGGCAAAGCAAUAAUCAAUCUAUGCAUCUCUUCAUAAGGAGUCAAUUGAACAAAUUUUUAUACCAAUUUCUAUUAAGGUUCUAUUUGUUUCACGAAAAGUAUCGCGCUUCUGAAAAAUGACAAUAUUUUCUAUUUUUUUUAUAACCGAGGACUCUACCAUGGCCCCCGUGCCCUUUUUUUUUUUUUUUCCUUUUUUCCUCCUUCUUCCUCAUUGGCUAGUCGCCUGGCGACUGGCCAAUGAGGAAGAAGAAGAAGAAAAAUAAAGAAAAAUAAUUUAAUUUUUUUUAAAUAAAAAGUUUAUAGAAAGGGGUGUAUGUAGAGAAAAAAAACAAACAGAAAAGUAAAAAUCGAAAAAUCGAACCAAACCGAACCGAGAUUUCGAUUCAGUUCAGAUCAUAUUUCGGUUCGGUACAAUAAAUUUCCUUAUCGAUUCGGUUCGAUUCGGCUUUUCAAAAAAGCCGAACCAAACCAUUUACACCCCUAACUGUAGCUCCUCUUGAAACUAUAGGGACUGACUUAUCACCACCCAACAUGUAGUUCAUCUUUGUAGGAGAAUUUAUAAAGUAGUCAAUUGGUUGCAAAGCAAAAUCGAAUGUCAUAAACUCCAUGAUAGGCCUGAGACCAUAUAAAGCCACACCGACUUCAACUCCACGACAGACCUAAGACGAUAGGGUCAAAGACUUAGUUACACUAAUUACUCAAUUAAUGCAUUUUCGGUAUCUAAUUUUGCUUUUACAAAAAGAUAUUUGUCAUGUAGUUUGAACUGGUUUUAGACCUAUCCAUUAAUAUGUGAAAUGAUCAUUCGUGUGCAUGAUCAUUAUAAUAACAAUUAGUAACCGAGGACAUCGAAUAAAUUGUAUGGCAAAGCGAGUAUUUAAUGCUAAUAGAUAAGAAAAAUACCAUUCCUAACUAGACUGAAAGUAAAUGACAAUCAAUAUAUUGAAAAGUGCAUAAUCAAAUGAUAAUUCGUCUUAAAAAAGAAAACAUUGAAACCCUAUCGCACAGCCGUAAGAGUUUAUUCAAAUAUUAAGCAUGACUUUUUAUCAAUAAUUUUCCACAAUUUUAAGAGAAAGACUUGCAAGAAGACUAUUUUAAAGCUUUCCAAGGAAUUCUAUAUUUCAGAAGCUUUUUUGAAAAUUUCGGAAUUUUUGAAUUUUUAAUUCUUCUAAUUCUUUAUAUCAUUUUUUUUAUAUUUUCGAUCUUUAAUAAAAAUAAUUUUUUAUUCCGAAAAUAGGGACUUGGCUGGGCACCAGGGCUCGGUCAAAAAACAGGGCUGCCUACUGACACCUCGUGGGUUUGGCGAACCAGGCUUUCAACAAGCUGCAUUUACAAAAUGAACUAAGCCCAUCUUUUGAAAUAAUUAUACUGAGCCCAAGCUCAACUAAAUACCAAAACUAGCCCACAUUUGCCAAGCUUCAACUUGAGUCCAAAGCCUACUAAUCCCAUCGCCUAAGAGGUCAGCCCAAAAUCUCUGAUUUCCCUUCCUCAUUCAUUCUGCCCUCCACGCCCCUCUCCAAUGUUCAGCCUGUCUUACGUUGUUCAGGUCCUCAUCGUCCGGCUCGGAGACGGCGAACGAGCGGGCGAGCUCGUGUCAAAUCGGGCUAAAUGGUAUGCUGCCUUGGUAUCUUCGAGCCGGGAUCCUCGGGCAGGGGAGGUUCGAACCGAAAAAGAGACUCACCAGCGACGCAGAGAUUUGGGGGGCGAAAGAUCGUGUGCUCGAGGGCGUCGGCCAGAGGUCGUCGGAGAGGGUUCGGGCGUGGCAGAGCUACUGGAGAACUCCUUCUCGCUCUCGAGUUUCACUCUCCUCCUCAGCUCUCGCUCGGAUCUCCCUCUGUUCUUCGAACCUUCCUCGUUCGAUUCUCGCGGCCGCGCGAGAGAGGAGCGCACUUGACCAGCCUCCCCUCCGGUCCUUCACCGCCGCGACGUCACCUCCUCCGCCGCCGGAAAGCUGCCACCGCCGAAGAUCUCGAGCACAGUCGCUUCUCUCUCGCUCUCUCUGGCUCCCACGAGCAGAUCUCCACCGUCUCCUUCUCGAGCAGCGCUUGCCCUCUCUGGUUUCCGGCCGAACCCCUCGAGAAGCAGCCCUCACCCUUUCUCUCCUUCUGUUUUCAGCCGAAGAAGAGGCCCUCUCGAUCUCGCUCCUUCUUUCUCUCCCGGUUUAACUGACCGGAUCUCUCUUUCUUCCCUCUUCUCUCCCCCCCGUUCUCUUCCUAGCUCUCCCCCUUUUGAGCUCGUCUCCCUCCAAGGACGGUGCCGGCUGCCGCCAGCCUGCUCAGACCGCGCGACAUUCGCUGUCCUCGCUCGCACGCUGUCCUUUUCCUCCUCAGCUCCCUGGCGACACCCCCGUUUUGUCCCCGACGCAUCGUCCAAAACAAGCGACGAGGGAGAGAGGAGGAAGAAGAAAUGGGGGCCGGGCUUGGGGAAGAGAGAAAGUGGGCCGGCCCGCUCGGGGGAAAAGAAAGGAGGGAAUAAAUAAAGGAGGGCCGGGCAGGCCCAGCCCUGGCCCGCCCAUAUUUGAUUUUUUUUUUACAAUAAUAAUAUUUUUUUGGAAUUUUUUUUCAAAAUGAUAAAAAAUUUAAAUUUCAUUAAGUUUUUCAAAUAUUUUUAAUAAUCACAAUAAUAAUACAAAUGUUUCCAAUGUCUGCGUGCGAUGCAUUUUAAGAACAAUUAUUUACCUUAUCUUUCGUUUUUUUGUGCCUAGAGAUUUUUUAUGCAAUUAAGUCCUAAAAAAAUAAGCAAAAUUUAAGUGUCAACAACCUUUACACAAAAUCCCAACAUAGUUCUUCUAGCCAAUUGACCUUAAUGUAACGUCCAAUUGACGACCUUUCGACACAGCAUGCUAACGUGCACAAUUGUCUUGUCAGUGAUAUAUGGCAGCAAUUAAUUAGAAGAAUUACAUUAGAAUUCCACAUAAAGAUUUAUGAAUAUAUUAGUAAGAUUGGAAAUUUUAUUACUAAAUUAACAUCCAUACAAUAGGUUUAAAAUUGAAUUGGUAAAUUUUUCCCACUCAAUUUGGGUUGGAUUCAUUUAAUGAGUCAAAACUUGAAACAUAUCCUAACAAUAUCUUGUUGCUUCAAGAUCUACUAUUGCGAAUUUUGAGUGUGGUCAAGCUCAAACAUUGUCAGAUCAAAUUGAACCAUUCUUGUAGACAAUUAAUCAAUUCAAACAAAUAUAAAGAUCAAUGGCAUCACGGCAUCUCUCAUUCCAUGUUCAUAUCACACUAUGAUGAGAUCUUAUUAAUUAUUAAUUUUCUUAGAGCUGAUGCAUCAUGAGACAAUAAAAACUCUGGUUAAUUUCUGAAUGCGUAUUGAUCAUACCUAAGCCUACAAUCGCAAAGCUGAAGUCGCGCCCCAAUGUUGUAUGGGCACACUCUCUUGAUUUCCGUGUGGGCAAAAUUCAUGCAGUCGGCAGGUGUCAGCGCACCGUUGCACUUGCCGUGGCCGAAGCACUCGGCAUGGAAGAAAGAAGCGUGGGUGUUGUAGUCGAACCCCUUUUCCACGGUGUUGAACCUCAGAUGGAUCAGGACGGUAUCCAUUGCCUCAGCAUAAUGUUCCCAUUCUGCGUACUCCUCUUGCAUGCCCUGUCCAUAAAAGUCACAUCCAGUUCACUACUAAUGAUACAAAGAAGACAACGUGAAAGUACGAUGAGCAGGACCCGAUAUUCUGCGAUGUGGACAUGAUGAUAGCGAUCGCUGUCUUCCCCUCUAAUUCUCUCGCGUUUAUUAGAGGGAAACACACAAACUGAGUUGGGUAUAAAAAGGGCUCACUUCUCAUAGGUCCUCAGUCAUUGAUUCAUUUGGUUUUAAGAGUCUUUCUUAGUCGUUAUGAUCAAUAUUAGACAUGAUAUGGGGGGCAACAAUUUGUGCCAAAUUUUUCAGAAAUCUUGGUGGAGUCUUCAUUGGAUCAAAAGGGUAUUGCUCCUCAAUCUAACUGGUUAAUUUGUCACAUAUAAUAUGAGUUUGUUGACGUCUUGGCAAACCAUACUCUCGUAUCCUUAUAUAUAUUAUAAAGUGGGAAUUUAUGUAUAAUAGCCAGCUUGUGCUUGCACAAUAUAUGAUCCCUUGUCAUGCCAGUCGAAUGAGAAAAUUCCUUUUCCCUACACCAAACAUAUACUCGAGUAUCAUUUCAAAUUGAAAUUGGACAAUUAAAAAAAAAUUAAUGUUAUAAAAUUAGGCAUAGACAACCCUAGCCAUAAGCGUGCAUCCACACACGUAGAUAUUUAUAUGAAAUUAAUACGUAAUCGAUCGCAAAUCGAGUUUUGAACAUUGAGUAUUGGGGUUGAGUGGAUCUUGACUUGGGCACUAUUGCGGCUCGUUUAGACAACUAGGGCCCAGCCAUGUUGACACUAAAUUUGUCUAAUUGGAGCUGAAGUCUCCAUUGAAGCGGUUGAGAAUUCUCACGUGCAAAACUUGAGUUUGAGGUUUUCAUUACUCACGAUUUCGUUGGGAUCUUCAUCAUGCAAGUAUUAAGUCCCCAUAUUAAGCAACUAGCAAGAUACAUGGGCCUAAGAUUAUAUUUGUUAUAUUACUCUAAAUAUUUGUGUUGACAUCAAUUUUUGCGAGAAAACAAUAUAUUGAAAAUGAUGGCAAUAUAUAUCUUCAUAUCAAUCAAAUCUUCGCUAGAGUUUAUGUGUAGUUUUAUUUAAUAAAGUGGACUCGAACCGCAUCAUGUAGUUUCGAGAUGUGGAAUUGCAAUAUACAUCAAACAUAAUAUACGUGCACGUUGUCAAUCAAUAAGUCGUUUAGGACCACAUUCAACCGCAUUCAUUGUAUUUCCAUACAGACCAUAAAGGUUAUACUGCUGUCCGUUGCAGAUUCUGUUCAGCAUGGUUGAGUCUAGGGUACCCCCACCGUGGUGCACAGAGAAAGGAGCCCCAUAAUUAUGCCUACGACCCCUUGAAACGUCAGCAUGAUGUUAAUAUACGUGAUUUGCCUAUGUCUCAAGUAAAUAUUUCUCUGUAAGUUUAAAAAUCAGCCAGUUUUGACUACAUAUAAGGGGGUCGACUCCAUAGGUUGGGCCGCUACUCUAAUGUCGAUGAAAGAGGUGAAAGCGUCCUUGAUUAUUCAAUUGUCUUCUCUCUUGAAUGUUCUUGGCCAAAAAGAGAUUCACAACUUCCUCGAUUCACUCGUCCUUGUCUAUGCUUUUGUAGUAUAUGGUUAGAUAAGCAUGAAAUAGGUUGGAUACUCUUUAUGAUCAAGAAUAAUAUGCUUCACCCUACAAUAUCAGUUGCUUCUAAAUUUGUCCUGAUUUUACUGUUAGUGAAAAUCGUCCUUGUCUAUGCUUUUGUAGUAUCCGGUUCGAUAGGCAUGAAAUAGGUUGGAUACUCUUUAUAAUCAAGAAUAAUAUGCUCCACCCUACAAUAUCAGUUGCUUUAAAUUUGUCUUGAUUUUACUGUUAGUGAAAUUAACGCAAAAAUUUGACAGGAUCUUGGAAUCAAAUCAAUGCGAAGCCAGAGCAGCAAAUGAGGAACAAUCAAGGACAUAAAAAAUUUAAAUGAUUUAAUCUAAGUAUUGAUAUUUACUCCAUAAGGAGAGUCGAUAGCAAAUAAUCUAUUAAUAAUCGAAAAAUUAAAUUUACAAUAUCCUAUACACUCGAGUGUUUUCCAUGCUUAGAUUAAGUCCAAACCCACAUUAUUUACAAAUAAAUAAUUUAAUUGGAUGUACAGCUCACAGCACGAAUCUCUCGAUGUUUUGUGGCCUAAGAAAGAGCUUCACUGCCGCUUGAAAAGAUCAGAGAAAACCCAUGCACCAUUUCUCUUCCCAGUGUGGGCCGGCCCAUCUCUAUUUCUUCCGGCCCGGCCCGCUCAUCCCUUUUCUUCUCCUUCCUUUGGACAAUGGCCUGAGAACAAAAGAAAGAAAAAACCAAGAGAGGGAGCGUAGAGAAGGACGGGGAAGAGGACAGAAAGGACGGGGCGCUAGCUCGCAUUUGCACAACCGUGAGGUCCCCCCUCCCGCACCGACGCCCCACCAGCAUAUGCACUGAUCUCCGGCGACACUCUCAGCGACAGCGAGCUUCAGGAUUUCUGACGCUGCGAGCCUCAGGUUUUUCGACGCUGGUCAGGACCGUGACACGCCUCAGAUCUCCACCAUCAAGGCGUCCCCACAGUAGAGUUCACCAAGCUCGACCGCUUAGCACCAUAGCCACCGCUCCAGCAAAAUGGACGAGUUGCCACCUUCCCCCGACGCCACCUGAACGCCAUAGCCGCUGCAGUAACAAGCUCCCGCCAAGCUUAUCCUGGCAACCUCGCUGUGACUCGCCCCUGCUCCAACUCGUUUUUCGUCAGCCACACAGCAUGGACGCCGGCUUUGCAAGCUUGUUAUGUAAUCCUUUUGAGCAAUGUGGCCCUAAAUCUAUAUGCUAGUUUCAGCUAUAUAUAAAGGGGUCGAUUCCAUAGGUUGGGCCACUACUCUUAUAUCAUUACAUCAGUGCAAAUGUUGAUGAAAUAGGUGACAACGUCCUCGAUUUUUCCAUCGUCUUCUCUCUUGAAUAUUAUUAGCCAAUAAAUUCACAACUUCCUCAAUCUACUCGUCCUUCUCUAUGCUUUUGUAGUAUAUGGUUUAAUAGGCAUGAAAUAGGUUGGAUACUCUUUAUGAUCAAGAAUCAUAUGGUCCAUCUUACAAUAUCAGUUGCUUCCAAAUCUGUCCAAAUUUUACUGUUAGUGAAAUUAACGUAGAAAUUAACAAGAUCUUGAAAUUAAAUCAAUACGAAAAUUGCCAAAACAAUAAAACAAGAAACAAUCAAGGACACAAGAAAUUUAUAUGAUUCGAUCCUAGCAUCGGUACUCAGGGAGAGCCAACAACAACUAAUCUAUUAAUAAUUGAAUAAUCUAAACAAUAUCCCAUACACUUGAGUGUUUCUCAUACUUAGAUUAAGUCCAAACCCACAUUAUUUACAAAUAAAUAAUUUAAUUGGAUGUACAGCUCGCAGCACGAAUCUCUCGAUGUUUUGUGGCCAAAAGAAAGAGCUUCACCGUCGCUUGAAAAAAUCAGAAAAAAACCCAUCCACUAUUUCUCUUCCCCCGUGCGGGCCGGCCCAUCUCUUCUUCUUCCGGCCCGGCCCGCUCAUCCCUUUUCUUCUCCUUCCUUUGGGCAUUGGCUCGAGGACGAAAGAAAGGAAAGAGCAAAGAGGGAGGGGACGUAGAGAAGGUCGGGGUAGAGGACAGAAAGGACGCGCCUCAGAUCUCCACCAUCAAGGCGUCCCCGCAGCAGAGUUCACCUAGCCCGACUGCUUAGCACCAUAACCGCCGCUCCAGCAAACCGGACGAGUUGCCGCCUUCCCCUGCCGCAGCAACAAGCUGCCGCCAAGCUUAUCCUAGCAACCUCACUGUGACUGCCCCUGCUCCAACUCGUUUUUCAUCGACCACCCAGUGUGGACGCUGGAUUUGCAAGCGAGCAUCCCGUCGUCUCCGGUGACCACCUCAACUAGGUUGACGUCGGUCCCUGUCCGAGAUCCUGACGCUGACGCCUCGCUGCUGCGCCAUUAGAGCCAGCCACGUGUAUUCCACCGCCACCGUGGUCGCGUUGCAUCGACGGUUACCCCAGCGUCACACGUUGUCAAGCGUCACCUCGAGCAAGCACCACCACCACCGUGGCCGAAAGUCAAGCAGUAACACGAUCCACACACUGAGACGUGCCACCGCGAGGUGACGCUGCUGCACCAGCACCUCGAGCUUGCCCUUUUUUCUUUGUGUUUUGCAGAUCUUCCAGCGAAUAUCCAGUGAUCCCGGUGGAUAUCUAACGUGCCGGAAGCCUCCACAUCACGCCGUGAUCCCCGACGUGUGAGAUCGUCCUUGCCUAGCCGCCACAACUGGAUCUUUCUUGUUGCAGGUUUUCUUCAGUCGAGUUGUUGUCCAACCCCGAGACUUCCGACGAGAAAGACACCAGAAAAAAAGAAGGGAAGGGCAACGAGCAUACUUGAGCCAAAUCAAUUCUUGUGUUUUGCAGGUUCACGGUGGUGUUGCUCCUACACGCUGCCAGUUGGACCUCCGGAAGACUUGUUGUUGCCUCUGGUUGGUGAUGGCUCCUGCUAUGCCGCGAAUUUUCAUGCUGUCCGUUGGUGUUCCUUGCUGUUCUGAGACAUGUCUUGCUCCGGCAAGCCCCGAUCCAGUCCGAUUCCGGUUAAAGUUACAAGCGUCCAAAUUAGGUGACGAUUUUGUCCAAUUUGAUUUGAAACUUUAAUCGCUAAUUUUGGAUUGAUUUCAUUAUCUUAUUACAAUAUUUGAGAAUUUAUGUGUCAUCCAGUUAAGGCAGGCAUUAUUGAUAAUAGUCAAUUUAAUUUUUAAUUUGAUCCGUUAAGAUUUCUGAUCAUUUUUUUAAUUACUUCGACUUAAUAUUAGAUAACUGUUGUGCCUAAAAAUCGUGAUAAUUUUAAUUUAACCCAUGAGACAAUGGGUUAUUUUUUCAGAUUAUCACAAUCUCUUAAUUUGAAUUUUUCAUGAAUUGCGCGUGUGGAUUAAGUGAGAUCCGAUCCUUAACUUGGAGGACUGCCGUGUUCUGAAAAUACCACAAAAAAUCAUCCUAGAAUGGAUUAGAUUCCUUUUCUUAGUACAAAUUACAUGUUUGAAUUAGGGAAUUUUUUUAAUUACGAAUUUUAAUCAAAAAGACCAAAAAUAUCAUGUGCUUGUUAUCUAGUUUUAAUUUCAUGUCUAUCUGCUAUGUCAUGUCUUGUGCAUGUCAUAUAGUUUUUAGUUGCAUCAUCAUUAUGCCACGUCAUCGUGCAUACCAUCAUGCCACAUCAUGUGCCCUAUCCAUGUCACCACAUAUGUCAUGUCAUCAUUCGCAUGCCAUUUAGUGAUUGUAUGUUAGGGUUGUUAAUUUAGAACGCAUGUUGUGCUAGGAAAAAAUGCAUAUUGAUUACUUCUUGUCCUUAGAAUUAGGACAUGUAGUCGAAUAUCAUCACUUCUUUACAUCAUUGCAUUUAGAGUAAGCUCACAUUGCAUAAAACAUAAUUUUCAGUAAACAAGAAAAAACCCAAAAAUAAUUGGUUGAAACAGUGUGUUAAUUAGAAACCAUAUAUAGAUUGAAUGUGUUUUUUUUUUCUAAUUAACCUUGUAGAUGCUUACGUUGCUUUAAGAUAAGUAUCAUUUCGUUAAUGAUUACGUACAUGCAUGAUCACGUCAUAUAUUAGUAGAUAAAUUUAAAAUCAAUCUAGACUGACAAAAAUCUUUUUGAAAUGAACAAUAUUAGAUAUUAAAAUGGCACUAAUUGAUUAAUUAGUGUAAUCAAAUCUCUGAUCCUAGAUUCUUUGAUUCAUAGAAAUUGAGAUAUAGUUCCAUACCUCACUUGAUUUCCAACCGAUUCCAGUAGGCUAGUGACAACUCCUCAUUAAAAAAAAAAUUAUAGCUUCAAUUUGGCUUAAUAUUGAAUACCUCAAUGUCACGUGAGGUGUGGCCAUGGGAGAGUCCACACCUAAUUGAGGGUCGUAGGCCCAACUUUUAAGAAAUAUGUCUAAAUCUAUUUUCCUUCCUAUUGAGGGGUAGGUCGCAGUAGUGUUUCCUUUUUUUUUUUUUUUUUUUAAUGAAGACGUCCACUCUGCGACAUUUAAACAAACCACAUCUUGAUCGGUCAAACUAGUCGAGAAGUGAACGUUUAUCUUCUCCAACACAAUUAAGAAAAAAAAAAUCCUUUGUGCCAAAGAGAUAAAACAAAAUCUGCAACUUCCUUAUUUCAAGACCACUUCUCACCGUCAAUUUGAAUUGACUCAGAUUUGCCUCGAACGCCUAGUUCUCGCUACAAUAUAUGGAGUAUAUAUCUUCUAUUCAUAUCGGAUUUCAUAAUACUCAAACUCGAGAUAUAAUUUAAUACUUACAAAGUGGAGGAGUUAUUGCAUGGAUCGAUGAGACACGGUGAGUAAAAAUAUAAAUAACAUGAGUGUUUGCAUAUAACCAUGACAAAUUCGAUAAAAGAUUAAGCAUUAUUGAGAUGCAACUAUAAGUUGUGUUAGAAAAUGCAUGGAGUAGUUAAGAUAUCAUGAUUCGUCCAUACCACAAAGGCUUGAUUUUUUAAGUGAAAGUUGGUCUAAUUGGAUAUAUUAAUAAGCUUAAAUUUAGGCUCCUUUUUUGCAAUCCGCCUAGAAGAAGCUGCGCAUUUCCAAUAAAUGAUAUCAUAUACUAGUAUUUUCCAAUAUGUUGACUGCUUGUGUUAAACAAAUGAGUUGACUGCGGAAGGUUUUACUCAUGGGACUCUCUGCUUUCUUUAUCUCACUUGCCAUCAGUUCGUCUAGUGCCUUUCGAUUGGGGUCCACUUUGGGUAGCCUCCUGCUUGAUCAAUUUCUCGGAGUUGGAAGCUGGCAGUACCUCGACUUAUAGAGUCAGUAGUUGGACAUAUUUUGGGGAGUUGCCAAGAGGUCUGAAUUUACACGAGAAAUCACAGGUAUGUAGUUCAAUAAUUUUAUUUUCUCGUUCCUCACCGAUUAUUAACUAGUAGCCCACUCCUAGUGUAUAUCUAUAUUCGGUGAAUAUCUCAAAAAAGGAAUUUCAUGACCAAUGCAACUUUCUAGCAGCCUUGAUGGUUCACUCUAGUGGAAGAGACUUGGGGUAAAAGUGAACGUUCCAUUGUAACAAUGCGAUCAUGAUGAUAGCUCAUAAUUCGGUGGAGAAAGAGAGCAAAAAUGAAGGUGAGUGUUGAAGAUUUAAGCUUAAGACAUGUUGAUGUAGAAGGGUACCUAGAUUAAAGGAGAGAAGACCUAUACUAACCUCACACAUGAGAUUUAGUUUAAAUUUUCCAAUUUGCAUAUUGACGAAAUCCCCCUUCAACUACUGAACAGAAGUUAAAUUGGGGUUUGAAAAAGAAGGAUCAUUUUCUGAAGAAAACUGAUAACGUGGUCAAAUUUAACUUCAAUAAUAAAAAGUUUCUAGAUGAGGUGUGACUAAUAGGGAUUUUUGCAAGUCAUAACGACUUGAUUGAUGAGGUGUGGUCAAAUUUAGUCAGGCUCCAACUUGAGCUACUCGAGUAUCUUGUCAAAUUGAAGUUCAAACUUGCCAAUACUUUGCUUAGCAAGCUUGUUAGCCUAAUCUUGACUAAUUUGUCCAUUGCCUUAUAUCAUAAUCCUAUAGUACAUUUUAACAAUAGACAUUAGAAUUUCAUGAAAUUUUUAAACAAAAGUCUGGAAUUCAUGUCUAUCGACUUCGAAUGUUGAUUACUUUCUAUUUAAUUGAGAAAACUUUGUACUUGUCAAGAUCUAGCACUGCUAAUUUUGAUUGGGGUCAAGCUCAAACAUUGUUAGAUCAAAUUGAUCCAUAAUGGUAGACUUAAUCAAUUUUAACAUAUGCAAAGAUCAAUGGCACUAACGAAGCCACUCAUGUUCCACAUUUAUAGUACUCUUGUGAUGAAACCUUAUUGAACUAUAGAUUUUCAUAAACGUGCCACCAUUAUGAUAUUGGACAUUUUUCCAAUACAAGCUUGGGUUAUUUCCUAAGCUUGAAUUGCUCGUACCUAAGUCCACAAUCGCAAAGCUGAAAUUGUACGCCAAUAUUAUAUGGGCACACUCUCUUGACUUGUAGGUGAAAUCCACGCAACUAAUAUAUUCUGUGUGCAUCAGUGCACCUUUGCAUGCACUGUGGCUGAAGCACGCGGCAUGGUGGAAAGAAGCAUGGGUGUGGUAGUCAAAACCCUUUUGCAUGUUGGCAAACCUCAGAUCGACCAGGACGCUAUCCCGUGCCAAGGAAUAACUGUCCCAUUCGUAGUAUUGCCCUCCAUCGCACACCUUGUAGGCAGGAGUCACGUCCGGGUCACUUCUAAUGAUGCAAAUACAUCACGAAAGUACUAAGAGAAGGACUGUGAUUGUCGAUGUUGUGGACACGACAACGGGGUUCACUGUCUUUCCCUUCAAUUCUCUUCUGUUUAGAAUACAAAAAUCCCGGAAUUGAGUCGGGUAUAAUAAGGGCUCAUUUCUCAUUGGGUCCGCCGGUCAUUGAUUGAUUAGGUUUUUCAUAGCAUCUUGGUGAAAUCUUCAUUGGAUCAGAAGGCUUUUGCUUCUCUGCUCAAUCGGUGACUUUGGCAUAUAUAUUAUAUAACACAAGUUCAUCGAAGUCCUUGCAAUCCAAAUUUUCUCAUGUCCUUGCGUAUUAAAAUGAAAAUUCGUGUAUAAUAGCCAACUUGUACUCGCAAGAUAUAUUUCGUUGUCACACUAGUCAUGUUGGUAAAAUUACUAUGUACCCAAUAUAUACCCUUUCCCUCUAUCAACGAGCAUAUGCGAAAACCUAGUUGGAGUGAAAUUAAGUCAAGCUCUCAUGAGUGGUCUGGUCUUGGGUUGAUGAUUACUUGAGAAGGGCUCGACUGAUUUCCAGUCAAGCUCUAGCAGGAAAAACUCGAGUAUCUUGUCAAAUUGAACUCAGGGUUGCUAAUACUCAGCUCAACAAGCUUGUGAGUCCAAUUCAAAAAAAUUAAUUGCUAUAAAGUUAGACAUGGACAUCCGUAAGUAACCACACACACACAUAUAUAUAUAUGCAUGAAACACAACAAUACCUCAACUUUUUAUUUGAAUCAAGCUCCAGCGGGAAAAUUAUAAUUGAUUGAGCUGAAAUCGAGUUCCAAACAGAGUACGGGAGUUUUAGUCUAUCUUGACUUGGGCGACCUGUUUAGACACUUAAUGCCCAGCCUUGUUGACACUAGAUUCGGGUAACUGGAGCCAACAUGUUCAUCGAAGCAAUUGCAGAUCUCAUAUGCAGAACUUGAGCGCAAGGUUCUUGUUGAGAAAUCUUAUUAUAAUGAUAUGGAUGCGAUCUUCAUUGUGCAACUUUUAAGUGCCUUGAAUCUUUUAAUCCUCUAUAUCAAGCAACUAGCUAGAUAUAAAAUUGGAAUACUUAUUGAAUUAUAAUAUAUGCACAUGCUUUGAAUCAAGAAGAAACACGAAAGCACUAAGAAUGUCCAUUCCUUUCUCUUAAUAGCUUUUCUGCAUUUGUUGGAAUAUCCAUGCUAUCCAAAUGUGGAAAAGGCGGGCAAGUUAUUUAUGCAUAAUCUUCUUGAGAGCAAAAUUAAUAGUUUCUUCUAUCCUCCAUUUGCUACUUUCAAAAAUUAGGAUCUUUGGAGUUUCAUUAUAGUCGAAAAGAAUGGUAGAUUCUAACUUUAUCUCGGUGCCAGCUUUUAAUAAUGGAAUUUUGAUGCUUUUCUAAUGAAAUAUCGACUUUUAUUACCAUCUUGUUUCGUUGAUUAACCCUCAACAUCACAUUCUCAAAGUGCACACAAGCAAAGUGUAACCAAACCCUCUCCUAGAUCUAGCGAAUGGCAAGGCUGGACCACAGCCGCCGCUCGCCCUUGUGUAGUGGUAGUGCACUGGGGACGAGAGUAAGACAUGUGGGGUUUGGCUGGUCCUAGGUCCUUGUGUUUAUUGGUGCACCGCUACCACGAGAAAGCAAUAGCAAGUAAUCCUCAUCGUUCAGACCAAAAAAAGAAAAGUAAUCAAUCCUCUUCGUAGCCCAUAAAUGCGUGCUUGUGCUCGACGCCGCAGUAAGGGUGGCGAUGGCACCACCAAAUUUAUUUUUUUCAAUAGCUAUUUUGGGCACCACAUUAGCAUUUGCUCGGUGCCUUAUCGAUCUCAACUGACGUAAUUUUUUUUUUUUUGAAAAUGCCACGUUAUAUUUUGUUCACUAAAAAUGGAGGAGAUAAUGGGAAGUAAUUGACAAUUUUUUUAAAACAAAUUUUAGGAAUUGCUAGCACCGCUUGUAAGUUUGAAUUAGUUUGUACUUACACAUUGCUUAAUUGCACAUUUUUUUUUUAUUUAUAAAUUUUACAUCUGUGAUAUAACUAUAUCUGUAGCACAUUUGUCUGUUUUAUUUUUAUGGUUUAACUGAUAAAUGAAAAUAUCAAUAGAUGAAAUACAAGACUAGUGUUGUACUUAUUUCAUUUGAUAACCAAAUUAGUUGUUAGCUCUCCCAAAUGAAAACCAGCCUAAAGUUCUCCCUUGAAGCAACUUCCACAUGUCACUUCAUCGCAACAUGUGCUAUUGUGCCAGAGUUGACAUAUUCGGGCAAAGUAGUCACUGGUCAGUCUAUCAAUUCGAAGCAUCCAUCAUGCAACCCUAUUGGUCGCCCCAAAUGAAAACCAGCCUAAAGUUCUCCCUUGAAGCAACUUCCACAUGUCACUUCAUCGAAACAUGUGCUGUUGUGCCAGAGCUGGCAUAUUCGGGCAAAGUAGUCACUGGUCAGUCUAUCAAUUCGAAGCAUCCAUCAUGCAACCCUAUUGGUCGCUCCAAGUUACGUGCACAAUCUCAGCCAUCGAAUAAAAAGAAAAUUGAUCUCAACCGUUGGACGAUAAGGCUUCUUGACCAUGUGAUAAAGACAAAUUUAUGUCAAUAGUUGGAUUCAUCAUGAGCCGGGCUAUAUCACCAUUGCCUUAAUCAGUGUGUAAAGUGUGGUUUGGAUUCUCUAGCUUUACAAUCUUGAAAUGAAGCAAUCAUCACUAAUUAAAUUUGUAAUAGAUAAUUAAUGUGGAAAGGAUCUCUCGUGCUUCUCCAAGUUCUGGCCGAUUUAACUUGUACUAUAGAACUAGAAAUGCAGAACAAUGACAUGGUUUUGCUAUGGAAAGGGUGGUGGAAAAUUUGUAAGCAUUACUCCAUUGGUCAUGUGCACCUCAUAGUUUUCAAAUAUGAAGGGAACUCCUCUUUUUACCUAUUAUUAUUCAGUGAGAGUGCUUCGAAGAUUUUAUAGUAACAUACAAUUGUACAAAAAUGCAAUCAAUAAUUUAAACUAAGCACGCAAUGCAGUUAAAUUGUGAAACAUUUGAAAGGCUAGUUAACAAGUGCAUGAAUUCAAUCAAACAUAGGCAUGGUUUUAGCAUUUAAUUAAACAAGAUUAGCUUAGAUUGACAUGUGGUUCCAAAGUUAUGGCACCCUAUCACUCAAUUUCAUUCCUCGGUAAGGGAAUCUUACUAUAUCAAAACAUAGUAAUAUAGACAAGCCGUUGUCACAACCUACCCUCUGUAUGGAGAGAAAUAUAGGUUUAAGGGUAUUACCUAAAAGACGAGCCUAUGGCCCUAGUUUUAAACACAGGCUCUCCUAAACUCACACGUCGCACGAUGUUGGAUAUUCAAAUUGAUGCUAUGAGAAUUUUCUAAUAAGGAGUCGCUACUAACUUAUUAGGAUUGGCUAAAAACCAAGUUGGGUAUGAGAGUGUACUUACUUUUUAUGCAACUAGAGAAUUUAUGGUCAAUAACUUGAUUACACUAAUUAAUCAAUUAUUGCAAUUUCAUCUAAUAUUGUUCAUUUUAGAAAGAUUUUUGUAAGGUAAUCUAGAUUGAUUUUAAACAUAUCCACUAACAUAUGAGAUAAUCAUGCGGUUGCCCAACCAUUUAAAUAACAGUAAGCAACCAAAGGAGCAUUACAUAAAUUAUAGAAAAAACAAGUGCUAGUGCUAAGGAAUAAGUACCGGUCCUAACAAAGCAAAGGGAAACCAUAAUCAUUUUGAAAGUACGCAAUCAAGGGCAUACGUUUCUAAGGACUAUCGAAAUCCUAGGGUAGAGCCCUAAGGACUUGGCCAACUUUGAGCGCGAUUUUUUAUCAAAAGGCUUCCACUUUCUAAAAGAAUAUUACUCGAAAACUAUUUUAAAGCUUUUCGAGGAGUUCUAAUUUUUUUGGAAUUUUCUAAAAUUUCUAUGAAUUUUCAAAUUAUUAUUGAAAUUUUUAUAUUUUUAUGCAUUUCCUGAAUUUUCUAAUUUUUUUAAAUACUUUUAAUUAUUAUUUUUAAUGAAUUUUAUUAUUAUAAAAAAUGAAUUCGGACCGGAUCAAGAGACCCGGCCCGACUAAGCCGACCUGAACCCUAUCGGUCCAGGUUGGAUUUUGUCAAGAGAAAAAAAAAAAGGGCCUCUCCAAGGCCCACCCCCAAAUUAACCCAAAAAAAGGCCCAUGAAAGCUUCUUUUGUUCAACCUACUCACAAUUCCCCCCCAAAAAACAAAAGGAUAAAUAAAUAAAGAAACCCAACCCAAAGCCCAUUAUAAACUUAAGCCUGAUAAACCCAAAUUUCAGAAAAAGCCCCAAAGCCCAAUAAACCUAGAUGAGCCCAACAGGCCAAAAAUUCACCCCACGGCCCACUUUAAUGCCAACCUAUUUUCUCCCGAGCGUCUGCCCCAUUUUUCCCUAACUUUGGACUCUUCACAGAGCCAUUCCCAAUCAUUAAGCUCUCUUCUUCCUCUUUUUUUUCUGUUUCAACGUCGAGGCUCGAAGGAAAACACUAAAAGAGAACUUCAUUCGUAGACAAGGAUCUCAAGACAUUAAACGAACGUUCACAGUUAUUUUCUACCGCCUUAAGCACGGCAACAACCAAGAAACACGUAUCCAAAGAAAGUUUGGAUUUGGCCACGGCAACAACGAAAUCUGAAUAAAAUCAUCCUCCAUGAUCCAUAAAGGAUUUCUUUCAUCAGAACAGGAGCAUACUCAUUCUGAAUGAUCUGAAAAUCACGGUUAAACCACAUUGACUUAGUUCAAGCGUUUCAUCAAACAUGUGGUGAGCACUGACUUGGGGGGAGAGGACAUCAACCCAUUUUCAGGACCCGCUCUGAUCCAGACCUAGGGAAAUCACCAAGAAAUGCUCAACAUCAAACAAAUCGACUCGGUUGGACGCAGAAAACUCAAGGAUCGGAGAAAACUCGCCCGGCUAUUCUAUCACUAAAACAGGGCAGUGCUAAAAGGGCUCGUGGGGAUGAGUUUCGGUCACAAAAACCCCUACUCGGCUCGAAGACGGCGGCGCGAGGGCCAAUUCGAGAAGAAUCGAACUUCGGUCGGCCGCCUCGCAAUGUCUCCGAGCCGAGAUCUUCGGGAACGACUGGGUUGAACAAAGGAAACUCACCAGAAAUGCAGAGGUUUGGUAAACGAGAAGUCGAGUGCUCGAGGGCGUCGGCAAUUGGCGUCGAGGAUGGGCCAGUGACGCUCGACCUAGGCAGCUUCUGGCUCUCUCGCUCUCCGUCUCGCUCUCACUCUCUGUCCCUCUCUCUCUCUUUCUCUGUCGCUCUGUGUCAGCCGAAGGACCAGCCCCCUCUCUCGGUUGCUCUCCCUUUGGCCGAACAAGCAAAAAACAAGCCCCUCCUUUUAUGCUCCGGCGCGCAUGGGAUGUGGCGUGCCAGCUGCCUCUGGCCAGCCUGCCCCCGGCCGAGCGUCUCGCGCGAUCGCUCGCCCUGUUCUCCCCGUCCUUCGUCGCGCGCGUCGUCCUUUCUGUCCUUUUGGUCGUUCCUCAGCUAGCGUCCAAGGGAGGGGAAAGGAGGAGGGGAGAGGCUGGGCCGGGAAAGAAAUGAAAAGGAAUGGGCUGAGCCGGCCCAGGUUGGGAGAGAGGCUGCGGUUUUUUAAAUUUAAAAAAUUAAUUUUUAUUUUUUUUUAAAUUUUGAACACUAGUAAUGCAAAUGCUCUUAAAGUAUGCAAUUUAAUGAAAACACGAUGCAUUUUAAUGAAAAUUAUUUACUUUACUUUUCACUCUUUUUUUAGAGACUAAUCCCUAAUUUUUUUAUGAGAUUAAAUUCUAAAAAAAAAGAAAAAUUUAGGUCUCAACAGUCUUAUAGUGACUUGAAAAAAAUUAAUCGAGAGAUGAAGAAGAGAAAAGUGUUGUAACAAUUAAUAUAGAGGAAUGGCAAGAAAAAAAAUACUUCUAGACCUCAAUCAAGUUAGGCCCACUAGCAAACCAGGCCACAUGCCGACAACGAACCGGGCAUGUCUUGAUCAAGGGCAAGGCCCAAUCCUAGUCACAAAUCAAGGUCUGUGUAGUUUUUGCUCUAUUUAAUGAUGAUCAUUAUUUAAAGAAAGUUCUCGCUCUCUACGUGUGAAAAACUUAUUUAUAAGAGAGAAGUGUUCGAUCUACUGAGAAUGCAAAUGACACUAAUUAGACUAUAAAUUAAUGAUUUAAAGGGAGUUCUCAAUUUUCUUCCUUUUUUCACCUCUGAAUUCUUCUCAAUACAUCAGAAUCUGUGUCUUUUCUUCUUCAAAAUGGAGGAGUCGCCAUGAAUAUCCCUUGGACACAAAGCUGAACGGUGCUUCUUACAAUUGGCAAAGAAAACGUCCCUAGUAUCAUGAAAAAUUGAUGGAAAAUCUGGACCAGUGGAGUCUCCACCUUCGACAAAUGCCCUGAUUCUUACUUUGCUUAAGGUUGUCCAUUGUGGCAAGGAAUCAUGUUCAAGCAUGGUAUGAUUCUAGAGAGAGAGAGAGAGAGAGAGGGAGGGAGAGAGGGGGGGGGGGGGGGCUUCAACAGGCCUUUCUGACGUAACCUUCAAAACCGAAAUGGGCCAAGGCUUUGCAUGCAUGCUAGGGCCUUAAUAAAAGAUCACAUUAAUCCAUACCACGAUGGCUUAACAACUAAAUUAGAUGUUGCUUUGAAAUUUAAAGUGAAUAAAGAUAGAAUUUUUCAAUUGAUUAUGGCAUUAGAUGAAGAAUAUAAAAAAAUAGCUAAUUUAUGACAUGAACGAAGUCUCUAAAUGGCAAUUGCCGGCAAAGCAGUGAAUCAAAAGGAAAGGGUAUGCAAAAAAACAGAAAAGUUACUACUAAGAUUUAGAUUUGAUAGUACUCGUUCCUCAUGCAACUCAAAGCAGGCAGAAAAAAGGAGAAGGUAAAGUGCCUUAACAUUCAAAGAUCUUAGCCUAUACUUUCGCUGUCCAUAAUAUCAACAUUAAAGUUAUUAUUUAAAAAAAAACAGUCAUGUAUUAUCAUUGGAAAUCCCAUCAUUAAAGAUGCAAUAAUUUGAAUUGACAUUAGAUAGUGAGGUGUCCCAUCUCCCUCUCAAGUCUACCUUUAAUAAAGAUGCUUUAUAAAAGAGCUAAAAAGAUGAAAACGUUGAUUAUCUUCAUCCCAUGUCUCUCUCGAGUUUGCCUUUAAUAAAGAUGCUUUAUAAAAGAGCUAAAAAGAUGAAACCGUUGAUUAUCUUCAUCCCAUCUCUCUUGAGUGCAACUUUGAUAAAGAUGCUUUAUUUAAAAAGCUGAAUAAACAAAAGGCAUUGAUUAAAGCAAGAAAAGGUAAAGCACCUUAAUAUUUAGAGAUGCUAGUUUAUACUUUCGUUUUCUAUGAUAUCCUUAUUAAAAUAUCUAUUUCUAGGAAAGUAGUCAUGCAUCAUCCUUAGAAUCCUAUAAUUAAAGAUGCAAUAAUUUUAAUAGACAUUAGGUAGGUAGUGGGAUGUCUCAUCUCUCUCGAGUCCACCUUUAUAAAGUUGCUUUAUAAAAAAGCUGAAAGACCAAGUGUUGAUUAUUUGUAAAUGACUUAGCAUAAGCAAAAGAUGUUUGCUACAAUAUGGAAAUAAAGCAAUAGAUUAAUGAUAAGCCAACUUGGUUGGGAAAUAUGGGUGUCCGUUGGCAAUUAUUUUUAGAAUAAGGAACAUCGUUCACUCAUUCGUGAAGGUUAGUAUGACAUUUUCUCUUUUUCUUAUUUUCACAAUUUUUUAAGUCGAAAUAGCUCAUCUUUUCUAUAUUUUCUAAUUUUUCUCAUUCAAUGUGCUUAUAUUAUGGUCUUUUGUAUUCAUACACUGCUUGUUCAAAUAUACAUGCGGCAUAAAAUUCUCUUUGCAUUCUUUAAGGGAUCUAUUAAGGAAAACAAUCGAAUUGCAACUCUAAAGCAUUCAGACAAAUCGUGCACGGUGAAGCCAAAGAUGCAUCACAUCUUCUGAAAAAGGUGAGGACUAAAUUGCAUUUACCUUGUUCUUUGCCAAGUCUAAAGAGCAAUCACGAGUUUGGUAGGGUCACUUGGAUUUCAUAAGCCAUGUAUUUUUUUCGCAUUGCCAUCUUUUAGCUAGUGUUUAAUUAAAUUGCAUCUUUUGCAAAUGGAACUACUUAAAGCUAUAAGUCUCUAUUAACGGUAAGCAUUGCAUGAGAAUGAUUUGAUGAUAGCAUUGAGUAAUCUUAGGGCGCGUUUGGUAACGAUUCUGUUCCCGGGAGUUGAUUCUGAUCAGAACUGAUUCUUUUUUAUUCUAUUCCCGGGAACUGAUUCUGAGUGAAAAAGCGCGUUUGGUAACUGUUCAAAAUUUUUUAUUCUAGAAUAGAAUUGCGUUUGGUACCGUAUUAAUUGAUUCUGUUCCAAAUUAAUUUCUUUUGAUUUUUAAAUAAUUUAUUUUUAUUUUUAAAUAAAUUUUAAAUAAUUUCUUUAUUUUUUACUUUUUUCUUUUCUUUUUUCCUUUUUUUCUUUUUUUCCCCUUUUUUUCUAUUCUUCUUCUUCUUCAUUUGGCCGGUCGCCGAACCGGCGAUCGGCCAGACGAGGGUCGGCGACGCUCACCGGAGCGCCGCCGGCCCUCAGCGAGGUCGGCCUUCGUCGGCUGAGCCUCGCUCGCAGCUGGGCGAGGCUCGCCCAGCCCCGCCGAGCCUCGGCCUAGCCAGAUCUGGCGAGGCCGAGCCUCGCCGGUGGCUAGGCUGGCCUCGCCCAGCCUCGGCGAGGCUCGGCCUCGCCAGAUCUAGCGAGGCCCAGCCUCGCCUGGCCACCGGCGAGGCUGGGCCUCGCUAGAUCUGGCGAGGCCGAGCCUCGUCGGUGGCUAGGCUUGCCUCCGGCGAGCUCGCCGGACCUCGCCCUGGCCUGGCGAGCCUCCGGCGACCUCGCUGGACCGGCGACUGGCGGCGGACCGGGGGCGACGGCGGGCGAUGGCGAAUGGCAACCGAGAUGUUGAAAGAGAAGAACAAGGUUUUACCGUGUUGAUUCUUUUUCUGAUUCUCGGACGUAGAAUCAAUUUUUUUUAGAUUCUCAAAUCUUGUCCAAAAUUGUUCCCAGGACAAAUUUGUUCCCGGAAAUAAAAAAUUUACCAAACGCGAUUCUCGUCCCAAACUGAUUUUGAGAACAAAAAAUCAGAAUCUGACACUAUUGGGCAAGUUGCCAAACAUGCCCUUAUUCUACACUUUCGUUUUCUAUGGCAUCAUGUUCUACGAAGGCAGCACCGCAUUAUUACCCCACUCCCAUGAUUGAACCGUGGAUGCAAAAGUGGGGUCUAUAUGUGUCCUUUUGUCUGAUAGAGUUCUGUCAUUGGAAAAAUAGCUUUGCACGUUACUCAGGUCUAAAGAGAAGCAAUAAUUUAACUAGACAUUAAAUGGUGGGAUGUCCCAUCUGUCUCUCAAGUCCAAGAUGCUUUUUGAAAAAAACUAAAUAGACAAAAGCGGAGCAUCAAACACGAGAUUUUGGCUACAACGUGGAAAUAAAUCAAUAGAUUAAUGAUAAGCCAAAGUGAUUAUAAUGAGAUCCUUGGCAGCAAAAUAUGCAGAGGUACCAUGAAAUUUUGAUUGUUGGGUCCAAGCGCGUCUCAUGCAGCAUGCAACUACUCAGACGUUAUCGACUUUUUUCUACAAAAAGUUGCUAUGUUUUGAUGCUGCCCUUCAUUCUUUUUUUCCCUGAAACCUUUUCACCUUCUUCAUCUAUCUUCGUUCUUGCUCCGUUUCACUCCUUCUCCUAUCGUCCCAACAGUGCGGUAAAUAAAUAAUGUGCACGCAUUUCAUAGUAGACAAUCUACACCCCAUGUAUAUAGUCCACACACGUGAUCAUCAUUGCUGAUGACCACUAGUCUGUAUUAUUGAGUCCACAUGCAUUGUUGGUGUGAGACUCAGUCUUUCUUUCUCAUAAGAAAAGUAAAAAAAAAAAAAUGUCGAUUGGUCAAUGUCUCCUUUUGAGAAUAAUAGAAAAAAAUACAUUAAAUUCAUAAGAAUAAGUAACUUUUAAAAGAGUGAGAGUAGAGAGACAUUAACAAAAUUUCAAACAUAUCAUCAUAUGGCAAUUUUAUGAUGAUUAUUUCACAUUCUAAUCUAAUAAUUAUAGUUGGCAUAAAAAUUAAACAACUUUAAUUCUAUUUGUGAACUAAGUUUUUGGUUUUUCACUUAAAGGGACACACCUAGAGGAGCUUUCUAUCAACAAAUUUGCGAAAGAUAGUACAUGACAAGUCAAGAUUUAUUUUCGUCAAGAAUUAUUUUCAACAAAUGGUUAAUAUUAAUUAGAUAUGAGGGUUUAUACCCAAAUCGAACGUAUUAAUAAAAAGAACAUUAUCAAAAAUUGCUAUUUAAUAUAUAAUCUCUACAUUGACAUAUCAUCGAGAUCACCAAUCUCUUUAACUUUUAAUGGGAUAUUACAAAGUCUAUUUCCUCCUAUCAUCCUACUGGCACGUUAGACAUACGAUGCGGGCGAAUUUCGCAGUAGAUGAUCUACAUCUCAUGAUUAUAGUUUACAUCAUCAUCAACUCCAUUUGCAUGUUUACAUAAAGGAUUUGAAAGAAUAAAAAUAUAUAUAUACAAUGUAGGGACAUGAUUGGCAAAAAAAGAGUUUAAAGACCUACUGAAAAUUUUUGCAAAAAAUCCAAUUGCUACGCUGCCUAAAUCCCUUUAUUAAUUAUCAAAUUACACUCCAAAACUUGUUCAAGCUAUCACUUAUUUUAUUUUAUUUUCGCAAAUUGCAAUGAAGGAAAACCAUUUCUUUUAUCGGUCUUUGGUAAAAUAUGCAUCGCAACUCACAAGAUAUUACUAAAUAUCAUUUGAGGUGUACACACUUUGGGGAUGAAGUGUCUAGAACAGCUUCAUUUCACAUGUUGCCCUAUUGAUUCGUGCAUGAAGUGCAUAGUCCGCAAACUACUUCUACUUUGUGGGCCAAUGCAAACACAUGUCCCUUUGAGCUUUGUUGAUGUGCCAUCAAGUUCCCAUCAGUCUUCACCAAAGAAGAUGCGUUUGUCUGAGAAUCCUCAAAAGGUGCGCGCCCAUCUGCCUGCAUUAAGUACAUUCAAAAGAUCAAUAAUACGAUUCUAGCAUAUUCAUCGGGACAAACUUUUGAAGAGUGGGAAAUGGAACAGCUCAUCAGGGAAUUUGAAAGAGAAAAGGACGAAAGUUUUAACAGUCAAUGAGUACUUCGAGUGAACACAAACACCACACUGUGUAUGUGUAAUGCAUCUUGCACGAUGCCUCAAAAGCCUGUAUUAUUGAGUCCACUAUGCAUUGUUGGUGUGAGAUUCGCUCUCUCUUUCUCGGAAGAAAAAUCAAAGAAAAUUGUCUAUCAAUGUUGCCGUUUGAGAAUAAUAGGAAAAAUUACAUUAAACUCAUGUCAAUAAGUAAUUUUUGGAAGAGCGAGAACAAAAAGACAUUAACAAAAUUCCAACCAUAUCAUCAUAUGGCAAUUUUAUGAUAAUUAUUUCACAUUCUAAUCUAAUAAUGAUGGUCCACACAAAAAAUUAAAAAUUAAACAAUUUCAAUUUUAUUUUGUGAACUAAGCUAUUUUCUUUUCCACUUAAAGAGAUGCCUAGAAGGGCUUUCUAUCAACAAAUCUGUGAAAAAUAAUACGUGAAAAGUCAAGACUUAUUUCCAACUAAUGGUUAAUAUUAGUUUGACAUAAGGAUUUUAAGUUAGUCCAAAUCUAAUAUGUCAAUAGGAAGAACAUUAUCAAAAACUGUUAUUCGAGAUAUAAUCUCUAAAGUGGCAAAUCAUUGAGAUCACUCAUCCCUUAAACUAUUAAUGAAAUGCAUCUUCUUUCCUUUUUAAUGAUCUCCCUUCUAGAGUUAAAAACUUAGUGUUAGUGGAGUCUUCUUUAAUUUAUCAUCUUGAUGUAAGUUCCAGUUUCAUCUUGUAAUAUUUGAACUAUAUUGAUGUGAUGGAAAGUUUGUUUUGGCCCAAAAAAAGAUUAAUUGAAGUGAAGGGAAAGCUUACUCAUCUGGGUCUCAUCGAGACGAUUGUCAGUUUUAGCUUAAUAAUUGGCAACUCUUUUGCUUAAUUGAUCAAUGCCUCAGGAGGGGGUGAAGUGAGAAAGCAAUGUUUCUCAACAGUAAAAGGAAAGAGGCCAAACAAGUGAGUGCACCUGGUCGAUUCAUGCAUUUACAAACACCUAGAUAUUUUUGUCCAGUAGUAGUGGACGAAAAGGACGCCGAGGUAGACAAUGGCGAUGGUGACUGAUCGAGUAAAGGAACAGUCAAAUGCAAAAAACCAUCUCAACUCCUGCGACUACUCUCUCUUUUUCUCCCUCUCCUUCGAAUAUUUAGAUGGUUGUCCAUGAGCAAAGGGAGAAAGGACGUGAAGACUUCCAUUAGUGAUGGUGACUCACAAAGGAACGGUAAAAUGCCAAAUAAAAAUAAAAACAAAAAUCUUUCAUAUAUAUAUCUAUCUUAUGAGUCAUCUAUUUCUAUCAUGAAUCAUUUAUUGGCCUAUUACUGCUCUUGUCUCGAUGGAGCUACCGACAUACAUCGGCCUUUUCUGUAGUUUUAUUUUUGGCCAGUGACAACGUGGGGGCAGUCUGCUUACCAUUCAGCUCCCCAAGUAGAGCUCCAUCCACACCCCAUGUCCUCUUUCUUCCUUGGGUUUUCGAAUCAUUCUUAAAUUGCCAGAUAGUAUAAAAACUCAGCCGUUUAUUAUAAGCUUUUCCAGCAAAAUGUUGCUAUUUUCGAUGCUCCCCGUCCUUCAAAAAAAUUAAAAUUGCAAGGAAAAUAAGGGUUAUAAAUGAUCAAAAGCCACAUAGCUUUACUUGUCAAUAAUUGUAUAUUUUUGUAAAACUGAUUUCUGAUAACUGCGAUUUUUGAAAAAUAAAUAUUAAAAGCAAAAUACUCUAAACAAACCCAAGCAUUUGAAAGAAAAUGGGGUAACUCCAAUCAUAAUGUGAGACCACAGAAAAUAUGUUAGUGAUGACUCGGAAAUAUUUCUCAUUUCUCAUAUUAAUUUUGUCCUGUAAAGAGUAGCAGUACUCAAGAAAGUAAACUAUUUUUGUUUUUUGGUCCAAAAGUAAACUGAUUUAAACUAUUAAUAAAGAUUGGCAAAAGUUUAAUUCAUUUAGAAGUUUUGACCUAAAAAUUCCAAUUGAAGUUAUGUCUAAUGUAAAUUGACAUUAUAAUCUAACAAUCUACUUAAUUAUAAUGUUACUUAUAUUCAUUGAUUUGCGUAAGGAGCGGGUUUAGGAUCAGUACCUAAUCAAUGUUUGUCUAUUAACGGUGGAGGUAAGGAUGCAGAAACUUACACAUUGGUGAUGAUAACGGGUCAAAUAAAGAAAAAAUAAAACCAUUUCUAUUACCAUAUUCAAAUUUUAAUUGAAAAGUAUCGGGGGAUGCUAAAAGGACAUCUCGCCCAUGAUAGUAGUAAUAAUUCAUUUGCUCAUUUAGCUGGACUCACGAUGGGUUGAAAAUGAGUAUGGUGCAAACCCACGUAGACUCACAUGGAAUUGGUUAUGCUUUUUUAAUAUCAUUUCAAUUAGCUUAAAAAUUUUAGAGAAAUGAUUGGGUGACAAUUUUUAAUCUACUAUUAGAAUAACAGUCUGUUUUGGAUUACAAAAAAUUAAAUAAUAAAUAAUUAUAAGUUGUCAUGGGGUCCACUUAUUUAAAAAUUUACAGCUGAUAAAAAUUUAUUAUUUUUACAGUAGUUCAAAAAUUAUUAUGCUAGUAAGUGUCUUAUAUACACCUAGUCACGCUGAAAUUGAGUUGAAAAAGAGUUUUUGCCAUCUCUGGAUGGAACUACAUGUCACGUUGGUUUUGAUCUAUCCUCAUACUUUUGUUCUCUUUAUUAAUUACAUUUACCAUAUCGAUGAAUGAAAAACUACAUAAGAUACCUAUUAUACAUGAGGGAUGAUUUAAGUCCAAUCAUUUUAAUAAUUGCGUUUUGAUUGAAGGUGUUAUAUACGCUUCACAUUCUAAUCAUCACUCCAUGUUGAUUCAUAAAAGUGCCACAUACAAAUAUUGAUGCAAAUAUUAAUAUUGUGAAAAUAAUUAAAGAUGCUACUUAUCACGUGUAUGGGUGGUCUUGGCCUGUCCUUAUCACGUGGACGCCGCCUAUCUUUCUUUUUGUUGCUCUUUCUUAAUUACAUUUUGUUAUACCAAAGUGGCAGUGUAUAAAAUUUUCAUAAAAUUCAAGUCAAAUCAAUUUGUUAUGUAAACAGUUGGUAAUCAUUUGUAUUUAAUUUUUUUAAGCCUCUUUGAUGAGCGUGCAAUUUAAAUAAGGCAAAGAAACCAAUUUACUCCUCAGUUUAAAUAAUAAUGAUCCUUUGCAAUAAUUACAUAUCUCCCUAGCCGCUCAUUAAGACUAUAGCUAUUCUAAGAGUAGUUGUAACUGCAUUCUCAAGAUUUUAGGCCUCCUAUCUGCAUAUCGAUCCUAUCCACAAGCAAUUACAAAUCUUAAAGUGCCACUGGAUUAACCAUUUCUCGGUGCACUUGUCUUCAAUCGACAUCUUCACUAUCUCCUUUCUUAUUUUCCCUUUGUCCAACAUUUAGACAAUCGUCAACCAAUCGAGUCGUACAUCCAUGGCUAUAUCUCUCGGUUAUAUGUAAUCAUCGCUCAUGGUCAUCGGUAAGUGCCUCUAUUAUCAUUAACUUACCAAAGGCAAUAUCAAUCGCUACAAACUCUAUACCCACUUAAAUUGACAUAAUAUCCUUUACAAAGACUUAGUCAUUUUUUCGAUGUAAACCAUUAAACAUUUGGCUAAACAAACUCACAUUUUAUAAUUAAGCAACUAUCAUGUGAUUUAAAUACAAUCUUCAUUCUAACAAUUAUGGUACAACUCAUUACAUAAAACGUGCAACCAAUCAUAUGGGAUUUACACAUUGAUUGAUAUAUUCUCAUCUACUUAUUUGUAUGGUUGCCAAUUUAGAAAAUUAAGUUUACUUGAGUAAAUCCAUUGGCUAAAUUCUCAAAUGAAAGCACAAGGUCAUGUACACAUCAUGUAUUGUGUGCUACUUGACUUUCACUGUUAUAAUGAAUAAAAUGCUCAAUAUCCUACAACACCUAAAGUCAUUUACGUAUCUAUGUAGGCUAAACUCUUGUCAUGGAAGGUUGUAAGCUUGUCAUGCAUUGCAUGCCAUGAUGCUACUUCACUGCCACACCAUAAGUAUUGUGUCAUCAACAAUUAUGCAUUUAGUUAUGUUUGUUUAUGAUGGGAAAAGUAUCAAAAAGUCCUAAAGUUAUUACAUUUGUAACAAUUUAGUCUUAAGCAUGGGACCAAUUUUGUCAUAAACUUUUUCACAUUGAUACUAGUUAAGUCCAUCCGCCCAAUUUAUGUUAGAAAUUUUUGACAUGGAUGCCGAUCGUCCUACGUGGCACAAUUAGUGCUAACGUGGACAUUUGUCGAUAAUAUUUAUUUUUUUAAAUUUUUUUAAAUUUAUUCCUUUUUUCUUUUUUUCCCCUUCUCUUUUCCUUAUUUUCUUAUUUUCUUAUUUUCAUUUCUUUUAUUUUUUUUUGUUCAUGCUUAUUUUCCUCUGCUAGCCUCUAUGAUGGUUGACGGAGGUAGCUAGCUAUCAGUGAGGGUCAACCUCACUUGGAUAGGGCCCCUCGCCAAUGCCAAAGGCCAAUGAGGCCAUUGCUCACUAGAUUUGGUGAGGGGACUCUAUGGCAAGGGUGUCCUCACCGGGAUAGUGAGGAGCCUCAUCUAGGUGAGCUGGCCUCUAGCGUUGGUGAGAGACCGUCGUCCAUGCGAGGCUAGCCCUUGCUAGAGGCCGACAAGGGCUGAUCUCACUUGAGAGCGGAGAGAGCAUCCCAACCCUUACCUUCACUGGCAGCCAGUGACCUCCUUCAACCAUCAUAGAGGCUAGCAGAGGAAAAUUAGCAAGAAAGGAAAAAAAAAAAAAAAAGGAAAGAAGGAAAGAAGGAAAAGAGAAGGAAAAAUGGAAAAUGGAAAAAAAAAGAAAAAAAAAAGAAAAAAUAUUAUAUUAAAAAAAAUUCACAUUAGCACUAAUCAUACCAUGUAAAAUGAUUGUUGUCCGUGUUUGCAGUUUCCAACAUAAAUUGGCUGAAUUGAUUUAAUUGGUAUAAAUAUGAAAAUGUUUAGGAUUAAAUUAGUUCAAUUGAAAGGUUUAAGACUGAACUGGUACCAAUGUAAUAGAUUUAUGACUUUUUUAUUUUAUUUUGUACUUUUCCCUGUUUAUGAUACAUGCGUAAUCAUCAAAUAUAACCCUCUACAAAUAUAUUAUUUUUUUUCUAUGGAUUUUUUGUGGGAAAAUUAUUUAAAAAGUCCUAAAUUUAUUCUAUUUUUGCCGAUUUUGCCAAUUGAGUACUAAAUCUUUUCACAUUUUGCCAAUUGAGUCAAUUCUACCAAAAUUGACUGGAAAUUACUAAUGUGGACGAUUAGCAAGGGACUGUCGAGCCCUGGCAUGACCAAAUCUAGGGAGGGCGUGGAGGCCCUCGUCAAUUGUGCGAGAGGGCUCACGCGCUCUUGCUUUGGUUGACAAGAGUGUUCUAACCCUUGCCUAGAGCUGGCAAGAAACGUGACACUCUCGCUUAGAGCUGGCAAGGGUCAGUUGCGCAAAAUUGAAUGGUUUAGAAAUGAAAAGGAAAAUGUGCAAUAAGUUUAAGACUUUUUGAAGAAUUUCCCGACUUUUUGUAAUAAUGGAUAAUUGUUUUCCUGUUAAUUUUCUAUCAGUUGUUUCUUUUACUCUUUAAUAUUUAUUUAUUUGCAAAGCAUGUGCCAUAAUUUUGUUUUUAUGAUGAAAGAUACUUCUUUUGACUCUCUAUCAUCAUUUAUUGUCAAAUAUAGAUUAUUAUGUCGUAAAAGAUAUUUUGACAACAAGCAUCUUAUUUGUCAGAGAUUUGAUUAUCAUAGAUUUGUUAAAUAUGGCCUAUCACGUCAUGUAUUUUCUCAAUCGGAUGUUAAUGAUUUACUUGUAAAAUAUGAAAAAAAAAAUUGUCAUAAUGAGUAACCACAAAAUUAUUUAAUCAUAACAUUUAUAAGUUAUUACAAAUUUAUUUUUUUUUCUUUUGAAAUAUCUGGGGUCAUUAAGUUUACACCAUCUCUCUCUCCCUCUCCCCUGUCUCCCCCAUAUUACCUUUUUUUAAUGACAUUUAUCUAUUGGGACUAAUUAUCUACCAUCUUAAACUUAUUGUGCAAUUACCAAUUCAGUCACAAAUCUUUAAUUUUCACCAAUUUAUCUAAAAGCUUUGCGCUAAGUUCCAAGGUAGUCCCUCAUUGAUCUCUUAUGAAAGUUGGUUAGAAGGACUGCAUUGAAAUGUUGAGAAUUAUUUAAAAUUAAAUUGACAAAAUUGGAAAGCUUGGGACUAGAUUUGCAUCUGAUUAAUAAGUUUGGGACCGAUUAGACAAUUUCCCCCCAUGCAUUGUUAAGCUAUUUUAAGAACUAUAUAUAUAGAUAUGUUAAAGUGAUCUUCAAAACUGAUUUGCUAAAGUGCAAAAUACAAUUGGUAUAUAAACAAACAAUAUAUAUGCUUAAGAAUAAGAAAUAUGCUAAAGUGCAAAAUAAAAUUCAUAAAGAAUACACGUUUAAGAAUUAGGGAUUUGUUAAAGUGACUAUCAGAAUGAAAUUGCUUUUAGAUUGUGUUUUCUUUUGGAUAAAACAGAGGGAAAAUUUCAAAUAAGGACCUACAGUGCCAUCAUUUUCUCAAAAGAGGACCUGAAAUGAAGUUUGUUUUAAAUAAGGACCCAAAGUGCCUUCAUUUUCUCAAAAGAGGACCUGGAGUGGAGUUUAUCUCAAAUAAGGACCAAAAGUAAUCAUUUAGUCUCAAAGAAGGACCUCAUUUGUCGGCUGGUGAAUAAAUGCAUCUCUAAUGCAUAUUCUGGUAGCCUAAUCAGGGAUAUUUUUGUCCAAUUUUUUUUUUUUUAAUUUUCGGUUCUCUUGUUCUUUAUUAUUAUUUUUUUUUGGGUCAAUGGUGGCACUGUUCAUCAUCUUCUUCGUCUCAUGUUCGUCUUCUUCUCAAGAACAUCGAACUUGGGAAGAGCCAGCGAGUGCUGGUCGUUGGUGAGGGUUGGCGAGGGUUGGACGCCCAUUGCCGGCAAUAGGCGAGGGCCACCAAGCCCUCGCCAGUUGGGGGCGAGGGCUUGCAGGCCGACCCUCACCAGAUCUAGCAAGGGUGGCCUCGGUUGCGGCUAGCGAGGGUUGUCAAACCCUCGCUAGCUACGGGUGAGGGCUUGCAGGCCCUCGCCGGCCCUUAUCAAUGGGCGAUGAGAUGGGCGAGCCCUCGCCCAAGGCCAGCAAGGGGUGACCUCGCUAAUGGCGGUGAGGGGUGACCUCCCCCACCUCCGCCCGCUGCUCCACCGACAACCUAGUCUUCUGCUAGGACUACGAUUGGGAUGCCCAUGUUGCUUUCUUCAUCCCUUCCUCCCACCAUUGCUCCCAGAUCGAUGACUUCUUCGGCUACCCCUUUUGCUCUCGAGGACCUUAUCGUAGGGCCUCGAUCUGGACGACCCCCAUCCCCCAUGGCUAGCAAGGGCUUGAUGGCCCUCUCCUGCUGUUAGUGAUGGGUGUCGAGCCCUCGCUUGCUGCCGCUGAUGGGCGUCGAGCCCUCGCUGACCCUUACCAACGGCUAGUGCUCGCUAGCCUUUCCCCAAGUCUGGUGUUCUUGAUUUGGGCAAGAAGAAGUGAACUGGGGACGAAGAAGACGAUGAACAGGGCAACCAAAAAUGAAAAAAAAAAUAAAAGGACGAAAAUACUGUAAGUAGGCCACCGGAAUAUAAAUCGAAGAUGAAUCUAUUCAUCAGCUAGCGAGUGAGGUCAUUCUUUAAAACUAAAUGACUACUUUGAGUCAUUCUUUGAGACAAAUUUUACUUUAGGUCAUUUUUUGAGAAAAUGAUAGCACUUUGAAUCCUUAUUUGAGACAAACUUCACUUUAGGUCAUCUUUUGAGAAAAUGAUGGCACUUUGGGUCAUUAUUUGAAAUUUUCCCUAAAACAGAUAAUUGGAUGAAAAAUAAGAAAGAAAAAAUAAAUAAAUCUCAUUUGCGUUUAUAUUAGGAUUGCUGUUAGGGAUUAUUUUAUUGGAUGUCUUCGUCUAUAAUAUCGUUAAUAUUUUAUUAGUAGGGAACUCUCUUUAACUAAAAUUAGACUUUGGCUUUUGAUUUUUAUUUCACAGAGAUUCAUGUCCCUAGGCUUAAUAACGAGAUAGUAUAUAUUCUUUACCCAUUUCAUAUCAGGUUACUUUACCGCAUUUUAUAGUGUUGUUAUUUCAUCAUGUUUGAGUGACCAUGAUCUUUUAAUUUUAGUCCACGGGAUCUUGUCAUAGGACGCCUUGUAAUAUUCUUUGUUCAACUCAUAUGGGCUUUACUUUCCUAUACUCUUACUUGUCUUUCAUUAUCUUUUCGAUUUGUUGUUUUGAAUUCCUUACAUGAUUUUUACAUUUCGAUUUCUUUAGCUUCUUUUGACGAUUAUCACCCACUUUAGGAACAAAUUAAAUUGAAUAACUACAAGUGAACACCUAGUGGAAAGAAUCUUAUGAUUCUAUAAUUUGACAAGAUCACAUGAACCCUAAAUUUAAAGUCUUUAAUUUGCACAAAAUAGAACAUUCUCUCACGUUCUACUUAGCUCUUAGCCAAUCCUAAUGCGUUAAUGGCCACUCUUGUUUAUGAUAGAAUCCCAUCUCUAGAUCAAUUGAAUUUGAAUUUCCCAACGUUAUGUGUGAUGAGAGUUUGGGAGAGCUUGCACAGAGUGAUAUCAAGUAAACCUUGAGUAGAAGUAAUGAUAGUUCUUGCUCAACAAUCCAUUAAACCCACUCCACCUCGAGAAGAACCCGCUCAGGAGGAUCGCGACAAACCUCAAGAGAGUUUAACCAUAUGUAUAGAUGUUUUCCUAGCUAAAUUAAUUUAUUUAAAUGACUCAACUUGUCUACCAUCUAAAUACAAUGAGAAACAAAAUUUAAUAUAUCUAGAUCAAGCACAAAUUUUAAACAUGGAGUGAAUCUUAUGUGAGAUCAAAAUAAUUAAAUUUUGAGAUUCGCUCAGUCAAAACAAGAAACUUGCGUAGUAUAAGAUUUUACAAUACUUUAGAAAAGAGAUUUUUUUUGGUAGAAGGUAUUAGUAUAAUGCUUUUUAGUUGGAAAGAAUUGUAAUCUGUCCAUCUUUUUUAUCACCAAAAACACAACCGGCAUAAUCAUGGAGUAUGUUCCUAAAAGGUCCCUACAAGGACUCACGUUUUUGGUAGUGUGCGCGCUCUUAAGGGGCAACUAUUGGGCACAGAGAAUUUGCACAUCAACAAUUUCCAGAGAAACAUAUGUAGAACCAUCCAUAUUGAUCAUAGCUUUCAUCUUAUUCAAGUGUAUUGAUAUACGACAUUUAGUGGCAUGAGAAGUCCCAAUUUACCAUGGAUGGUACAGAUAUAUUUUAAACUAUGAGGACCUUACUUUGACCAAAGUUAUUAUACCAUCAUUGGCACCGAGCGGAACUUCUAUUGCAGAAUGCUUUCUUGUCUAAUCAACCGGGUAUUGCAAACAGUCAUUGUAGGAUUUAUGUACAUUUCAGAAUCAAUAUCACGCAAGCGAGCACAUGCAAAUAUCGAUGAAAAUGUUUAAUAUUAUGGGAAAGAGUAAAGGUGCCUUUUCACGUGUUUUCCUAAGGUCCACUCGUGCUUCUGCCUUGGUGUAUGGUCCGCAUUAAAAAUUUAGUUGAUGGCAGACUCUGUAAAGUUACAUGUCGCGUCUCUUUGUCAAACAACUUUGUGCGAGCGAUCUGCUAAUUGUCACCGCUUUCAAAAAUUUAAAUCCUAAAGAAAUCACGGUAAGUGACAAUGCCAUGUGGGUGUGGCCAGUCCUUGUCCAUUCCCUAUCUUCAUUCAUCUUUAUCUUUUAUUAUACGUGAUACAUGACACGACACGAUACAAUGAUAUGAUAUGAAAAGUCCCGAAGGAGAGUGUGGGUGCUUCUCCGAUGUAAGGUACAUAUAUUCCAGGGCAAUGGUUAGAGUUGAAUCGUUCGUUUCCUUCAACAGUUGAGAAUCGUCUCUUUCUUCCUCCAUUCAUUGCUAUUCGACGCUCCCCUUCCUGUCUUUUUUUCGCUCAAAAUCUCUUGGCCUUCUUUGCCUUUCGCUCUGUUUCGCUCUUUCUUCACCUAAGCUCAACCAUUCUUCUUCCUUCUCCUCUUCUUCUUCUUCGGUAUCUGCUCCUCUUCAUAAUUCUCUUUCUCUCGAUCUCUCUUUUUUCUUGCUCUUUCUUUAUCCGGAAAAAAAAAAAAAAUCAAAGAAAGAUGUCGGCCGAUUCUAUCGUUUCUAUUGCAUGGGAUGUCUUAAAGAGCUAUGUAGUUGUUCCCAUCAAGCGUCGAUUCGAAUAUGUGAUCUCCUCCAAGAGUUUCGCCGAGCGACUUCGGAAGGAAGUCAAUAAUCUGAAGAAGGAAGCUGAUAGGGUCCAGAUUCUUGAAGAAGCGGCCACAAACAAUGUUCGGAACUUUCACAAUACCUUCACGGACUGGAAGGCAAGUUGUGAGAAGGACUCGAAGGAGGCGCAAGAACUGUUGGACGCCUUCGAUGAGGCUAGCAAGACCUGCUGCUACGGGACCCUUCCCGACCCCAAAUGUCGCUAUCAGUUCAGCAUGAAGGCCGAGGCCGAGAUCAAGGUCAUUAGUGAACUCGCUGAAAAAUGCAACGGAUUCAAGGAAUUGAAAGACAUCUGCUUCAUCAAUCCUUCUCCGGGGGAUGUCACUGCAAUGACCUCUGCGUCUUCUGUCUCGACAUCGAUUAAGCUUGCAGACUAUGACAUCUUCGAAUCUAGAGUUCAAAUCAUACGGGACAUCAAGGACGCUCUUGCCGAUGACAGCAACAGCGUGGUCGGGGUUUAUGGGAUGGGCGGGCUUGGCAAGUCCACGCUUUUGGAGGAAGUCAAAAGGAUGAUUAGCGAAGAGAAGUCAUUUGAUUGGGUCGCUAAGGCCAACGUGUCGGAAAAUCCAAACAUCCGGACAAUUCAAGGAGAGAUUGCGGAUGCCUUGGGCCUUACUGACAUAAAGACCAAAGAGACUCCCACCGGGCGAGCGGAACUUCUACAACAGAGGUUGAAAGAGGAGAGUAAGAACAAGAAGGUCCUCAUAAUACUGGAUAACUUGUGGAAGGGGCUAGACUUGAAAUCAGUCGGCAUUCCUUGUGGACAUGACAAUAAAGUCAUAGGAUGCAAGUUAUUGUUGACGUCAAGAGAUCGAGAUAUUUUAAAAAGUGAAAUGGGCUGCGACAAGGACUUCCUCCUUGGUGGGCUAGAGGAGGAAGAGGCAAAAAGGUUGUUUGAGAAGUUUGCGGGAGACAAAGUUAAUGAUAAUGAGUUCAAACCCUUGGUGAAUGAAGCGCUCCACAAAUGUGCAGGUUUGCCUUUCCUUAUUGUCAGUAUGGCAAAAUAUUUUAAAGGCGUAGGUUUGCCUGAAUGGAAGAUUGCUUUGAAACAAAUCAAGUUGUCUAAAAACAAACACCUUCGUGGGGUGAUAAAUGACAUGUUGCAAUUGAGUUAUGAUCGUUUAAAAGGCGAAGAGAAGUCUUUGCUAGCGCUAUGUGUUGUUUAUGGCACCUCUAAUCCCUCUUUUGAAAACUUGGUGAGGUAUGGCAUUGGUUGGGGGCUAUUUCGAGAAGAUGACAACAUAGAAGAUGCUAGAGAUAGGUUGAGAUUGGAGAUUCGUACUCUUCAAGCCUCCUCCCUUUUGUUAGAGAAUGGAGAUGCUUAUGGUUUCAAAAUACAUGACUUGGUUCGAGAAUUUGUUGCCUCUGUUGCUUUUAGAGAUCACCCUCUUCUCGUGUUGAAAGAUAAAGAUAAGUCAAUAAUGGAGUUGUCGAACGACAAGCUCAAAAGUUGUAGGGCAAUAUGCUUUCCAUAUGUUGACAUAAAUGAGCUUCCCCAAGAACUAGAUUGCCCUGAAUUACAGAUAUUUUUGUUGUUCAAAUACGACAAAUCUCUUAAAAUCUCAGAUUCAUUAUUUUACUCUAUGAAGAAGCUCAUGGUCUUAAAUCUUACUGGGAUACAUCUCACUUGCUUCCCUUCGUCAUUUCAAUUUUUGGAGAGCUUACACACUUUGUGUCUUGACUGUUGUUCGUUAGAUGAUGUAGCCAUUCUUGGCAAACUAAAAGGGUUACAAAUUCUUAGCUUUGCGAAUUCCGAUAUUCAUCGAUUGCCAAGAGAAAUUGGGCAACUGGCAGAGCUGAGGUUGUUAGACUUGAACAGGUGUUAUAAACUUAAGAUAAUUGAAUCGGGUGUACUUCGAAACUUAUUCAAAUUGGAGGAGUUGUUCAUGAAGAAUACCUUUGACCAAUGGAAUGUUGUGGAGCAAACUCUACCAACUAAUGCCAGUCUGAUUGAGUUGAAUCACAUGAAGAAGCUCCACACUCUACAUUUGUCCAUUCCUAGUCUAAGUAUGCUCCCAAAGGAUCUAAAUGUCGAGAAAUUAACCAAGUAUGAAAUUCGAAUAGGUUAUGGCAGGACCUGGUGGCAUGAGUGCAAAGGAAUGAGGACAUUAGAGCUCAAGUUGGAUCCAUUAAGUGAUGUUCUCGCAAAAGGAUUCAUACAAAGCAUCUCUGGCACAACUAACUAUCUGCGUUUAGACGAGUUCAAUGGAUGUGAGCAAAGUAUUUGUUCAUUAUCCCGAAAAGGUUUUCCGGAAUUAAAGCAUCUAGAGGUCACGAAUAGUUCCUCCAUCCAAUACAUUCUCCGAUCGCCAUCCCAUACAUAUUAUGAGACAUUGGAGUUGUUACUUCUCGAGAAUCUCAUCACCUUAGAGAAGAUAUGCACCAACAAUAUCUCCUCCAAGUCCUUCAAUACAUUAAAAGUAGUACGAGUCAAAAGUUGUGACAAGAUGGAAGUAUUAUUUCCUCUUUCAGUGUUGAAAGGACUUCCACGGCUAGAAGAGAUUGAAGUUGUCGAUUGCAAGUUAAUGCGCGGGAUUGUAGAAGUUGAUGUUUGUAGCAAAGUGAAGUUGCAUAACUUGCAUGUCUUGAAAUUGCUUAACUUGCCAAAUAUCAAGAACUUUUUAGAUACUAAGUCAGCUCCUUCGAGUAGUACAUCAAAUGACCAAGUUAGCACUCAAAUUGCUUUCUUCAAUGGGCAACAGGUAACUAUUUAUUAACUUUUCCCUCCUUUGCUAAUUAGAUGUAACACAAAUUAUGAUGCUUAUUCAAUUUGUUAUUUUCAAUUUAUUUUUUUCCUAAUUAGCUUAUCCGUCCAUGCUUCUCUGCAAUUAGAUAAACAAUCUUAUAUUUCUCUCAUAGUGUAGAAACCUAACUAAUUGUGUGAAAUCAAUGUAAAUUUAGUUUGCGAUAGGGUCUAAAUUAUUUUCAACUUACAUGCUGCAAGUAUAUCCAUAUCAAUAGGGUCUCAUAAAGCAAAAUUGAAGGGAAUUUUGGCACUAAAGUAAUUCCAUGAGCAAAGUAAUUUUUAAUCUUUUGAAAUGGAUUCCGUUGAAUUGAGUUAUCAAACUUUGCUAUUAUCCACAAAAUGUAUAAUAUAAGUGACUCUUAAAAACUAAUAUGAAGGAUGGGAAGGAAGAUUCGGUUUUUUAAUAAAAGCAACUUUACUAAUCUAAUUGAUGCACGUAUUUUUUGUAUCGUGUUUACACAAGCACUUAGUCAUUGCAUAUGCUCUAUAAUUAUAAGAGUAUAGAAUUUUGUGCUUGUUCAUACAUGCAUAUAGUAUGGAUAGAUGUAUUUGGAUGCACUUUGGCAUCACAAACACAAAUUCGUGCUUGAUAUCAAAUUGGUUAUUAAUAGGCUAUGUUUAGUCGUCUAGGUUUCUAAUUAUGAUAAGAUUGGAUUUUAUAAGAUAUGAAAAUUCAAGGAUUUUACUAUAUCCUAUUUACUGUCUGUUGAUUGUAGUAAUAAAAUUGGAUAUAUUUACAUUAUAUCAUAUACAUUAUUUGAUAUACAAUAGCAUAUUCAUAUAAAUGAACCAAAAAUUUUACAAAUAGAGAUAAUAAAAAUCUCUCGCAAUACUCUUUCAUACUUUAUUUUUAUUUACUUUUUUAUUUUAUUUUCCUCUCCUUUUUUUUAACUAAUUUCUUUUUUAUUUAUUUCUUCCCCUCCCAUCAUUCUCUAAUAAAAUUUAUUAAAUAGUAAACUAUACUAAUAUACCUAAAAUAUGUAAUACAUAUAAAUAUAUAUUUAUAUUUAUAUAUUGAAUUUAUAAUAUAAAAUAGAAUUAAAUUCGAGUAUAAAUAAAAUAAGAUUAAAUUAAAAUAACCAAAUUGAUAUUUUUGUUAUUUUGAAUUUCUUAUAUUAGAAUUCAAAUAUUAUUUAUAUUGAAAUAUAAUUUUAAUUUUAUUAAUUUAAAAAUUUUGUUAUUCGUUAAAAAUAACUUUUCUAUUAUGAAUAUUAGAAAUCUCAUCUUCCUUUAUCCCGCCUCUUCGGAGAUAAUUUCAUCCUAUUUAUAUCUCCCUUGUAUCUAGUUUUAUCUUUUCUAAAGUAAACACUAAAUACAUAAUAUAAUAAAUUUUAUCUCAAUUGCAAAAUGUAGCCAUAGUGUUAUUAAAGAGAAGCUAGUAAACUAAGGACAAACAAUUGCCGUGUCAAGGAAAGCGCACGGCUGCGACUAUUUCGUUGAGUAGACAAAUUUGUGUAUGGAUAGAUGUAUUUGGAUGCACCUUUGGCAUCACAAACACAAAUUUGUGUUGGAUAUAAAAUUGGUUGUUAAUAGUGAUUUAUUAACAUUAAAGAGAAGUAAGUAAACUAAGGACAAAUUAUUGCUUAGUUAAGGAAAGUGCGCGGCUAUUUUGUCCAGCAAAAAUUGCAGCGGCUAUUUCAUUGAGUAGACAAGCUCGCCCUUUUACGAUGGUGCGAUUAUCAUCAGAAGUUAAUGGUGGGCCAAGACUCUGGCAAUACGUUAGUUUCACGGUCAAUAAAGAGUCAUAGAAAUUUAAGUCGUGGGUCCCGCAUGCCAGUGAGUCUGAGUACGACUUAUCUUCUGCCCAUGCUUUGAGCUUCCGUGGUGAAUUCAGAGACAAUGGAACUAGACCGGGGAGGGGAAAGUUUGCAAAGAGCCUUUGCGGCUUUUUUUUCCCUGUCGUAGUCAAGCCGGGGGUGACAAAAGUCCAAUAAAUGAAGCACAAAAAAGUUAAAACUUGUUGUAUGGAUGGGCGUGAUGGGUGAGGGUGAAGUAGAUGGGACUUGCACGUAACUUUGCGGAUGAAGAAUUUUCUAGAGUUAUAGCAAUGAACAUAAGAAAAAGGCUUGUUGGGUCAUUUGUUUGCGUUUCUGUUUAAAAAUUAUUCUAGAGAACAGAAAUAGAAAAAAGUGUUUCUAUUUUAUUUCUGUUCCGGGGAACAAUUUUUGAACCAAAAAACGCGUUUGGUAAACUUGUUCCGGGAACAAAAAAUAAAUAGAAACACGUUUGGUAAAUUUGUAUAAUUUUUUAUUUCUUUUAUUUUUUCUAUUUUUUUCUUAUUUUUCCUUUUUUUUCUUUUUUCUUCUUUUGGCUGGUCGCCGGCCUCGGCCGUGGACUGAGACCGAACGGCGAGCAUCGGGCGGAUCGGCGGCCACAUCCCUAGCAUCACCCCAUUACGUCAAACGUGAACGGACAAAAACUCUGGGAUAAUAGGGCCAUUAGGUGAACCCACGUGCUACAUCACCUAUACUCGGACUAGGACAUACUCCAAACCAGGUAUACUAAUACAGGAAUGCUCGGUGCACUCCACCUACACGUUAGUAGGUAGGCCAUAGAAGGUACCACGCAUAACUUGAGAAAAAGGCGUAUUUUUAAUCUGAAAUGUUAAUUCACAAAAGGAAUGAGUACCACCCUCAGCAGUAAAGAUCNNNNNNNNNNNNNNNNNNNNNNNNNNNNNNNNNNNNNNNNNNNNNNNNNNNNNNNNNNNNNNNNNNNNNNNNNNNNNNNNNNNNNNNNNNNNNNNNNNNNGUCGGCCGGUCGUCGGCCAUGGCCGAGACCGGCGACCGGCCAAAAGAAAAAAGAAGAAGAAAAUAAGAGAAAAAAGAAAAAAGAAAAAAAUGUUUCUCAAAUGUGUUUCAGAAAUAAGAAACACAAAUUUUUGUGUUUCUUAUUUCUGUUUCUUUUUUGUUCCUGGGAACAAAAGAACAAAAAAACAGAAAAAGUGUUUAAAAACAAAAAAAAGAAACACAAACAAACGCUGCCUAAAACUCUUUUCAAAAAAAAAAAAAAACAGAAAAAGGGAUAAUGGGGCUUUUUCACAUAAAAUAUUAUGGUUUCGGACAUGUAGGCUGCAGAUUGAGACUCAUCCUUAAGGAAAUUAAGACAAUGGAGAUGAUUAAUUGGGAUAGGUUAUAUGAGCUUAUCUUGUAGGAAGUAAUUUAGCUUGGAAGUAAUUUCAAAAAGAGGAGCAAUGAAAAUGGUGUUAGGCCGCUGUCAAUAUAUUUUAUGGUCCUAUCCACACUUCUACGGAUGGUAAUUUACUAACAUGAAAGAGAAUCGGUAAACUAAAGGAUAAACAAUGCCCCCAAUUAAGGAAAGCUCAUGGCUAUAUUUUAUAUGUGGGGAAAACUACUGCAAGUAGAGGGUUUUAUUUGACUAGACAAGAUUGCUCUUUUAUAGUGGCGUGGCCCAAGGCUCAUGCCAUACUUUAAUUUCCCCGUUAAUAAAGAGCGGUGGAGAUAUAAGUGGUGGAUUCCACAAGGUUGUGAACUCAAAGUGUGAAUUUUCUUCAGCCCGUGCUCUGAGCUCCCAUGGAGAUUUGGCAACAAGCGUUUGUGGCUUUGCCUUUUUUUUUGGUCGUAGUCUUUGGAACUUUUAACUUUCUAGAUUCUAAAUCUUCAUGAAAGAGUUACUUUUGCCUUAGUACUUCUUUUUAUUUUUAUUUUUUUGUGUAAAACCUAGAUAUGCGAAGAUCCAUGGGUUUAUAAUGAAAUGCUUCUUAAAAAUGCAAUAAAUCUCCUCCGACAUUGUAAAGUGGUGGUAGCUUACAAAAGUAGAAGUCUAAGGUUGGCUUGUCGGGGAUGACAAUAGACUAAUGAAUGAAGCACAAAAAAGUUAAACUUGUUGUAUUGGUAGGAGCGAGGGGUGGUGGCGAGAUAGAUGGGAGAUUAAGAGCAACUUGGCCGAUGAAAGCUUUCCUAGAGUUGUAGCAAUGAACUUUGGGAAAGACUAGUUAUUCUUUACAACAAAAAGUAAAUAAAGCUUUUCAUUGUCAUGGGGACCGUGGAUCUCUUCACCUUUCAAACAUGUUGAUUGAGGAAAUUACAACAACAAGCUUGAAUAAUUAGGAUAGGCUACUAACGCGUCUGAAUUGAAAGGAAUAUCUGAGGUAAUUUACAAAGGAUAGAAAAAAGGAAGUCCAAAUAAUCUCAAGUUAUUUACUAUUUUUCAAGUAAAGUUGGGAUUUCAACCGGUGGCAAUGACUAGUGACCACUCAAUUAUUGCGAUAUCCCAACUGUUGAGGUGUCUAAUCUCACGUUAUUUUGCUGGGAAAAUGGUCCCUUUUUGCCUAAAAAAUUCGGAGAAAUUGGAGACAUUUGAGAAGGAAAUGACAAUAAAAUGCCUGUUUUUUUGGAUUUUAUCAAGGAAGCAGGCAAUAGCAGUGUGUGAAAAGUUCUCUUGACCUAAAUGGAUGAGGAAUCACGUUCAGCUAUCAACUCCGUCCAUAAGUCAUAUUCAUAUACCAUUGUUUGCCCAAGGUUUAAUUUUUGAGUUGGGCUCGUAACUAGAUGAUAUAUAAAAGGCCCGACCUCACUGAGAAUAAUAUAAUUGACAAUUAAAAAAAUAUUUCAUGCAUAAAUUAAUUUUCAUAAGUAACUAGAAUGAUUACGAAUUCUUGAUGAUCGCAAUUCCUGAUAUUGCUUGUAAAAUGCAAACAAAUUCCAAUCUUAAUAGCAUCCCUUUUUAUAUCAUAAAUAAAAGGUAAAGUUCAUUAGUUGUCUUUUGAGGUCAUAAAUUAGCUUUUGUUUAUCAUAGAUAUUCAUACGUGCAAAAAAUAUCCUAAAGGUUGUACAUUAUCUUGCUUAUAAAUUUCUUCGGCAACCAUUGAGAAUACCCACUAUAUCACGUAAAUUCCUCACUGUCCUUUGUAAUUGUAAAUGCUAUGUUGAUGGAUUUGUCCGUUACGUUUCAAUCCCAUCCUUGUAGUCCUUGACAAUGGAAGGACUUCCCAAUCCAAAAGAAAUAUAUUAUCAGACUAAUUGUAUGAAAUCCUUGCAAAUUUAGUUUGUGAUGGCUUUUGAGUUAUCUCAGUUUACGUGUUGCAAGUAUAUUUAUAUUGAUAGGGUUUCAUCAAAACAAAAUGAAGGGAAUUUUGGCAUUAAAGUAAUUCCAUAAGUAAAGUAAUUUAUAAUCUUUUGAAAUUUGUUCCAUUGAAUUUAGUUAUUAAAAUUUGUUAUUAUCCACCAAAUGUAUAAUAUAGGUGACUCUUUUGAAAAGCAAUACGAAGAAUGGGAAGGAGGAUUGAAUUUUCAAAUAAAAGCAACUAUGCUAAUCUUAUUGAUACAUGCCUUUUGUGUAUCAUGUUUAAAUAAGCACUUAAUAAUUGCAUAGACCCCAUAAUUGUAAGAAUACAGAGUUUUGUGCAUAGUUUAUAUAUAUAUAUAUAUAGUAAAAGUAGGCCUUGGCAAUUGUAUGAUUUUUAUAUGUCACAACAAACUCGUCAUUGCAAAUUCGGAAUUCUUGUUCUUGGAGUUCCAAAGUGAUGUUCACCAUUUCUUUUUUCGACACAGCAGAAUUUGAGAUCCCCUAUGGUAAAAGAAAUUACUUUUGUGUAGCUCCAUAUCCCACGUCGAGUAGAGAAUGUCUCGCUAAAUAAUAUAUGAGUAAGAUUCACCUUAAAGAUCAUCUUAUUUGGUGAUCACCCUUAGAUACUCCUUUGGGGAGAUUGGGUCACGUGUAUAAGGCCACAUCUGUAACAAUAUCAAAUAAUGGAACUUGAUGCCUUAAUGAUAAAAUUCAAUAUCUUAAAGUCCAAAAAUUUUUAUAGAGACUUACUUCAUAAGUUUCAACGGGUCUUGUAUUUCAAUUCAGCUACUUAGUAUGUGUUAGUUUAAUUUCUGAAACUUCAAGUGCUCCACAUUACAAUCUUCAAGAAAUUUGUGCCGAAAUUUGAGUUUUCUUGUUGUUGAGUCCAUCCAAUUUAUAUUGUAACUUUUAUGUAUCUUCAUGCCCAGUCUCACAGGAACAUAUGUGCUCAUUGUGGCUUCUCUCCACGGCGAUCUAUAAACUAAAUACCAAGUCAUUUCAACUAAAUGUCUUUGCAUUUGACCUUUAUAGUAUGUAUAGAUAUAAUUGAAUGCACUUUUGGCAUCACGAACACAAAUCCGCAUAUUUAUGUUUGAUAUCCUAUUAAAUUGGUUAUUGAUACUGACAUUAAACUAAGGACAAACAAUUGCCUGGUUAAGAAAAGUGCACGGCUAUUUUGUCCAGCAAAAGUUGAGGCGGCUAUUUCUUUGACCAGAAAAGAUUGCACUUUGAUGGUGGCGAUUAGCACCAAAGUUGAUGGCGGGGCACAAGAUUCCUGCAAUGCAUUAACUUCUCUGUCAGUCAGUAGAGGGUCUGGACAUAUUUGUUGUAGGUUCCAUAAGGCAAUGUGUGUGAGUCGUUACGUCUUUGCGUUUUCUUAAUCAUCGUAGUCUUUGGAGCUUUUGACUUUCGCCAUAGUUCUCCCUAGACACUGGCUAUGGAUAUUGGUUGAACUUUUUUUGGGCCAAAAUUUAAGGUUGAAAGUGUUGUUGGGUUUGCUUUUUUACAUAGAGAGAGAUAACUAAUACUCCACUCGCUAAUACAUUUCUGACGGAGAAAUUCUUCAGAUAGAAUAAAACUAGCUCAUUCAUCAAAUUAAGCUCAUCAUUGCAAGUUUUUUAGCGAAGGAAAGACUAUUAGAAACGAUGCUAGUAUGGAGACUUUUUCAGUCCAUUUUUUUGUUUUAUUCUUUUUUAUUCCUUUUGUGCAACUUAAUUAAUCCCCCUCUCUCCUUGGCACUCGUGUAUAUUUACAAAUUUGAGAUUUAAAUUAAUCACUAAUUUCAUAAGCAAAUUUCGCAGGUUGCCUUUCAGAGAUUGGAGACAUUAGAAAUCAGUGGCUUGGAUAGCCUCGAGUUUAUGUUUUUCCCAUCCAUGGCUAGAUCUCUCACACAACUGAAAGAACUGACUAUAUCGAAUUGUCAAAAGAUGGAGACGAUCAUUAUGGAGGAAGAAGGGUUGGGAAUGGAAAUAUCAGAAAUUUUGGCAUUCCCGAUGUUAACCGAUUUACACUUAGAACAAUUGAAAAGUUUGACGUGCUUCUCUCAUGGAAAGUGUAAGAUUGAUUUUUUGUUUUUAUCAUUGAAGAUUGUCUUGUAGAUAUAUUGAUCUCUACAAUACAAAUGGUAAUAUUCUUUUCAUUUUAUGAAAUACCAAUUACAGGUGUACGAGAAAGUCAAAGUCAAGAUCGUGUCACAUCACGUGCCAUUGUACUCUUCAAUCAAGAGGUACGUGAUUAACAUUACGUUAAAAUAUUAAAUACACUAGAGACAAGCAUGGCCAAGAUAAAAACUAAGUUACUUAUAAUGUAUAUUUUGAUUAAAAUAUUUUUAUAGAAAAUGAGUGUUGUACAAACAUAAAUGUUCAAAGUUGCUGACAUGUAUGAGUUGCAAUUUCUUACUUUCAAUUUCUCUACAAAUAGUUUCCAUAAAUAUGGUUGAACAUCUCUUAUCAUACCUACACAAAGCAUGAAUGGGUAAUACGACUGCCAAAUAGGAUCUCUAAAAGCUUUUUGAUGUUCCAAAAAAACUUAAAACUCUCAUCAACCUCACAUGUAUGGCAUAGACAUUGCACGCAUGUACAUUGAAAGAAAUUGAAAAAACAACCGAGAGGAAAGUGAGCAGCAAAGUUCAAGCGGCUGGAGAUGAAGGGCCUUCAAUACACUCACUUGACAUCAUUUGCACUUGCAAGAUCUCUUUUAUUUUCCUGAUCGAAGGAAGCUUUGCUCUCUCUCUUAAUUGCACUAGUGAAAGGAAUCUAAGCACUCUUCGUCCCCUAACUGAGCAAGAUAUCUAGGGUCUAGGGCUUCAGAAAUCACCCUGUUUAGUUUUCACAUGAACUGCAAGGCCACUCUUAUGAAACUCUUGCUAAAGAAAUAAAAUACAAUUCGCAGAUAAGAUAUUUUAGUUGAGUCAUAUGUCUUGUCGAGUGGAUAGCGAAAGAAUGUUUCAAAGGAAAAUGAAGUAGAGUGAUUCACAGGCAAGUCCACUUUGACUAAACUAGAAGCAAUAUAGGCUUUUUACCUAAAUCGUUGUUUAUGCACCCAAAGAAGCUGUGGAAAUGGGCCCUCCCACAAAAUACAUACAUCGACUUUCUUAAAUAAUUUUAAUUCCUAUAAUGGGAUAUUCAGGAAAACCUUUGAUUAUUUGACUUAUGUAUAAGUAUAAUCUAUCCUUGAUAUCUAACUAUUGGAUCCUCCAGCAUGGAUAAAAAUCAUUGAAUUUUAAAAGGAAAAUUCAAUCGAUUAAGUAUAUUUAGUUCUUUCAAGUGGGGAAUGAAGUAAGUGAGAUUUGUUCGUUUGGCCCAUUCAAUUCCAUUUUUAAUGGCUUUCUCUUAGCCUCACUCUUUAAUUGCUUUAGAGUGAUAUAAUAUUGAUUUGAGGCAUUUGGUAUUGGAAAAAAUUACACGCCCUACUGUAUUGCACCUUUUGAUGGAUGAUUGGUUGGCUUUUUAAUAUCAAUCUCUCCAUCAUUUUCUUUCUAAUUGCUUAUAUUCUUCCUCGAGCGAUCCGCUGCAAUUUUCUUUUACUACAUCAAUUCCGUAACUUGUAACGUUGAUCACCCUUUUGAUAUGGUUCUUGUUUCUUUAAAUCAAUUCUUCCUUGUCUAUAAGAGAUUUAAAGGUACGAUCCAAUAUUAUUUGUCUUUCUUUGAUGGUGAAUAUUUAAAGUGAUGGUUAAACCAAGCAUCUCAUACAAGUUGCUUUUACAAGCGAAGAUAUAAAUUGUACAACUCUCCUUGAAUGCAUAGACAUAUUGCAACAUUGAAACAUCAUAUGUUCUUUGAGUAUUGAUUGAACAUUCUUGUCAAUGUUUGAUGUAACAAAUGCAUACUCAUUGAUCCUCUUAAAAAAGAGGCUAAUUCCAUCAUUUAGCUCUCUUUUAAGUACCACAAAGAUUAAAAAAAAAAAAAAACACGUGGUAUGUGGUGUGAUCUUACCAUGGCACAAGUGUGUUGUCUAAUUUGAACCCUAUAAGAGUGCUGAUCUUAUGCUAACAAAGAAAAGACGGGACAUUAUCGUUGACAUUACAAUUGAAAUUAAUGCAAUUGUGACUGUAAUUGAUGCAAAAGUUAUUUUCACAAGGGAUAUAUCUUUAGAAAUGUGAAAUUAAGGAGUUAAUCAAGUUCAAAUAUGGAUACAAGUCAAAUAUAAAAGAUCAACGAUAAUGUUUGUUUCAUGAGGACACAUUUCUUUCCAUUGAAUCACUUGAGACUUGCCAUUUUAAAAUGUAGUUAUUGUGCUCGAUAUGCAGGAUUCAAGAUAUAUUCAACAUCUGCAAACUCUAGAUGUGUCACAUUGUGAUGGGUUAUCAAAAAUGUUCACAUCGACAAUUGCUGCAAAUUUGGUGGCACUCACAAAAUUGAGGAUAAGUAAUUGUAGAAUAUUGACAGAAGUUAUUAAUGAUGAGAAAGGUGGGGAUGAACGUGUGGUGGCUUUCAAUCAACUAAAGUAUAUGGAGCUUGAUGGGUUGAUAGAGUUGAGAAGUUUCAGCUCAGGUGGAUACACUUUGAUGUUCCCGCUCUUGGAAGAUAUCAUUGUAACUAGAUGUCCCAACAUGAAGUUUUUCUCUCAAGGACCAAUAGAUGCGUCAAAGUUGGAGAGAGUUCAAGUAUCGAAAGCAUCGUGGUUUUGGAUGGGAAGCCUCAACAUCACCAUUCAUAAUAUGUUUGAAGAAAUGGUAUGCACCAGUUACCAAAUUUUGUGCAAUUGGAUGGUUUUGACCACUAACCGAAUAAUCGCUCUUUGCUAGCUAGAAGUUUAUGUUUAAUGAUGCAAUUUUUUUUUUUGAUAGGGUACGUUUGCUGGAGCAAAGAACAUGUUGCUAUCUGAGUUCCCCAAGCUGAUUGGAAAAUGGCAUAACGAACUUAAUCCCAUCAAGUCGUAUUGGCAAUUAGAAUCAUUGGUGGUAGAUAAAUGUCCAUCAUUUGUUAACGCUAUUCCACCUAGAUUAAUGCUUGUUUUAAAAAAUUUACGCUUUUUGCAAGUGCGCGAUUGCGAGGUGCUUCAAGAAAUAUUUGAUUUGGAAUGGCUAGAAGCUAUGGAAAGCACUCGAGUGCUACCUCAGCUACAGGAAUUGAACUUGGUCAAUCUACCACAAUUGAGGCGAUUGUGGAACAAGGAUCUUCAAGAAUCGCUAUGCUUCAAUUCUCUAGUAAAUCUCAUCCUUUAUAAUUGCAACAACUUGAGACAUGCUUUCUCUCCAUCGAUGGCUUGGUGCCUUGCCAAUCUUGAACUAAUGGAAAUAAAGGAGUGUGGUCAGAUGGAAGGAGUGAUCAUAGAGGAAGAAGGAGAGGGAAGCACAAGGGAGAAGAUUACAUUCCCAAAGCUCGAGCAUAUGACUAUGCAGUACUUGCCCAAUUUGACUUGUUUCCUCAUGGGAAAAAAUCAUAUGAUGGAAUGCCCCACAUUACAAGGGCUGAACAUUGCCCAUUGCCCUAGGAUGAGAAGUUUGAUUAGGCAAUCUUGGAUGGAGAAUGACCAUGGCACCCCCUCACUUUUCACUCCCCAAGUAAGUCUUUCAAACAAAUGCAUUUUUGGCAUUUCAUUUUGAACAUAUUCUCAUAGUAUUGGACGAUGCACGGUAUGAUACAAAUGUUGUGCUUUGUGCUGGUUUAUAUACAUAAUCUUCUAAUAUUUAAUACAUAGAUUAAAAUAUUCUUAUCCUUAAGAAAUAUAAAUAUGAAUUGUACAUCUCUGUAUCCUUUUGGAAGUGUUAAGUUAGUGGUGAUUCAUGGAAUCGUAUCAUGCGUGGUACUUUAGAAUUAAUUAGCAAGCUUCUUAAGAAAGUUAUCACAAUUACCAUGAAAAAAAACAUUCAAUUUUUGCAAUUUCAACUAUAAAUAGCUAACAGUAAACAUAGAGUAGCAUCUAAUAAUGGCAACAAAAAAAAAAAAUGUUGUAUCGCCACUUCAUAUUUUCUUGCGCAGAAGCAAACUAGCAUCGUUCUAUUAAACAUGAAGAAAAAGGGAAAAGAAAACUUUAUAAUGUAAAAGUCCAAUUCACAAAUUGCUUAGCAAUUACAGCUCAUUGUACCAUAGUAAUCUUCCCAAUCAACGAAAUUGGAGGAAUUAGGGAGAGCAACUCUUUUAACUGGAGUGCUCUAAACUUCGAUCAUGAUCAAUGCAGUCAACCUUUUUAUUUCCUAAUAAUCACCAAUGCUUAAGUUGGGUUUGGAUAAUAAAAUAAAUAAAAAUAAAAAGGUCCAUAUGCAUGACGCAAUUCAUCUUAUUUGUUCGUAAAACAUACUUGAAUCGCUAUACUCCAAUAACCUAUUAAAUUACGUGCUUGUAUUAUACACAAUCUGUGUUUGGCAAGAGAAAAUGCUUUCAAAAAAAGAAAUGGCAAAAAAAAAAGGAAAAAUGAAAGAGAGAAAAGGACAAUUGGGUAAUAAAUAGUAGCAGUUCCGUGGGCGGUUGCCGACAUUGCAAGUCUAAUUUCAUAACUAGAUCACAAUAUUUAAUCAAUGUCCUAGCUAAAAUAAAAAUUUUAAAAAUCGGAAUAAAUUAUCCAACCAACAACACUACCCAGUCAACACUUCCAUUCCGUCUCAUGAAGUUCUCCUCAUGUGAAGACUAAAUGCAAUAAAUGAUGACCUCCCCGGCACUUUUUUUUUUUGGGUCGAAUCUUCAGGCACUUGAAAAUGCACAAUAUCGACCCAAAUUUGAUUUUUUUUUGACCUUUUGUAUUACAGAUUCCACACUAGUUUUGGUUUUUUUUUUCCUGAAGGAGGAAAUGCUUUUUUUUUUUAUUCUAAUACUUUUGCACAAUUCCUUCUAUUGUUUUAUGCAAGUAGAAUGUUUAAUUAUAACAAGUAUCUACACAUUUGUUUACUUUUUAAUUGUAAGAGUUAUCGCUAAUUAUUUAUUUAUAAUGUCAUUUGCAAUUGUUAUAUAAUACCUAGCCCUGCAUUCUAAGAAUAUUUCAAAAAGUCAUUAUAACACUCAAUCAACAAUACUUAUAAAUUUGGGGAAGUAUGAAAAUAGUCAUCUAAUCUUUUGGUAGUGACAAGUUGUGAUAGUGUUAAUUUUAUUUUAGUGUCAAGUACGAGUUGUCAUAUAAUAAUUGAUUUCUCCCACAUUAUUAAAUAAUUUCAAAAACUCAUCAAAAUCCUCAAUUAAUAAUAUUGAUAGAUUUAAGGAAGUAUGGAAGUCAUUUUUUUUUUUUGGGUGACAAGUUGUAAUUGCAUUAAUUAUAUUGUAACCAAAUGAAAAAUAUCAUUACUUACUUUUUAAUGGACAAUUCAUCGGAGGUCAUGAUGUAGCGCAAAAAAAAAAAAAAACACUCUUGAUUUUCUCCAUACAAACAAAAUGUGAUCAGCAGGUGCACACCCACUUUUUGCAAAGGGGUGGAUCACUCAGUACACCGCAAGAUUCUAUUUCUAUUUUUCCACCUCAAAUCUAUAUAAAUAUUAUUUCAAGGAUUUUAUAAGUGACCCAACUUGCUUAUGUUGAGAUCAUAAUAUUAUGUUAUUUAUUCAAGUCGUUAUAUUGCCCAUGCCUAUUAAGAAAUUAUUUUCUUUCAAUACAAAAAUUUUCCAUGCAUAAAAAAGAAAAAGGUCGUGAACAAUUGAAGUUACGAUAUAUAUAUAUGUAUGUAUGUAUAUAUAUCCGGUUCGCCAUAUAAAUUUCAAGACUCUUCUCUUUGGUGAACUGUAUUAAUUAGAAGAUUCAUAAAUACCAUUCGCAAUUUAGUAUGAAUAAGUAGUAGUGCUCAUGGUAAAUAGAGGAAAUAAUGUUGAGCCAAGCAUCGGUUUCAUCCAUUCCUUCUUCAAUACGUACACUACUUAAGUUCUUUGCACCCGCUAUUCAUAUCCUUAGUCGACUGGCUCAUCAUCACCAUGCCUGUGCUUUUUCUCUAAUUAUUAUGCAUGUUCACCUUGAAGCAAACAUAUCUAAAACAUAACUGAUCUUUGCCGACGAAACUAACGUAACGGAAAUUUUCAGUAUGUAUUAAUGAAUCUAAAUGUUGCUCUUUUCAAUAUUUCUAUUGAACUGCCUAGCAAGCUCCCUAAACUUUUUGCCAGUCUUCGUGCUUAUUCAUUACAAAAAUACAACUUGUCACUCCUCCAUGGCAUCAACAUUGUUUUGUGAGAUUCAUAUUAUGUUCUUCUUCGUCUUUGUCCUCAUUUAAUUGCGUAGAGAAACAGUUGAGUGAACUAUAAUUGAUGUUUAGUCAAUGGCUCCAUUCAUGCAUCAGCAUAUAGGAGGGCUCUCAUUUCUCUCUCUCUCUCUCUCUCUCUCUCUCUCUCUCUAUUUUGCAUUGUAGGUUUUCUUAUGCUUUAGAUGCUCUUGCAUCCAAUUGGAAAUAGCCCCCCCCCCGCCCCUCUCUCUCUCUCUCUCUCUCUCUCUCUCUCUCUCUCUCUCUCGACACGAGCUACUAUAAAAAAAAAAAUGAGGACUUAGGAGGGGAGGAUUAGGAUGAAGUUGAAAGGUACAAAACCGGAAUUUGGGAGACCUGCUUAGCAACCAUUUGAACGAGCCCAAGUUCCACGUGCAUAGGGCCCAUCCGCCUAAUUCCUGAACUUUUAAGUUAUCGCUAUGAUUUGUUGAGUAAUCAAGAAAAGUCAACAUUGUCUCGUCACUCUAAAAUCUACGUACCCUUAAUCAUCAAUUAAGCCAAUCAAAAAGUUGAUGCUAAACAUACUAUUGAUUUAUAAAAGCAUUUAUAAUUUCAUGCUUGUUGCAAUGCAAUACCCUUGGCCUUAGUCAUCAAUCAACUUGUAUAAAAGCAUCAAUCAACCCCUCCCUAUUUAUAUCACUAGCAAGAUCUUGACUUCUCAUGAUUUGUGAGAAUGAGGGAAGUUUGGCGAUUCCUUCUUUAAGGUCAUAAUUCAAUGCAAUCACAUUCAUUGUGUCAUUCUUUUCUCAAUAUGGCAGGUACAAUUUCCUCAACUUAGGUGGAUGGAACUCUCCCACAUGGACGAUUUAAGCAAAAUAUGGACUGACAAUCCUCUAGAAACUCCGACUUUUGAUUGUUUAAGGGAAGUGGGGGUUUGGAACUGUAAGAGCCUUGAAACUUUGUUUCCGUAUUGGGUGGCUACAAGUUUAACCAAACUUCAAAUAAUUCAAGUGGAGUCUUGUGAGAUCGACGAAAUAGUCGCUAGUGGGGAUGACACUCCAUGCUCCAAUACAACUCAAGAUCAUUUCCCAAAACUAACCUCUUUGGCGUUACAUGAUAUGCCACGACUCAAGAGCUUUUAUCCUAACUUACCCUCUUUGAAUUGGCCAUUAUUGAAGGAAUUACAAGUGACUCACUGUAACAAACUGAACAUGUUAUCCUUUGCGGCAUCCAUGAACAGUUGGGCUCAAAGAGAUGAUCAACAAGACCUUUUAGAUCAAGAAGCACACUCUUCAUUUGAGAGGGUAUGAUUAUAGUUGCUCUCCCUUAGUUUCUACUUUGUUCUUUAAAGCAGUCACUAAUAUCAUAUCCAUUGCAUAUCAUGUCGCGUUAUGAUGUUGUAGAAAACAUGAUCUCCCCUACCUAUUAGUUUGUCAACAACAUUAAGAUAUUUCUAAUAUUUUACGUACACUUCCAUUUGUGGACAUGCAUAAGAUAUUCCAUUACCUAGAGUUACAAAAAAAUUUACAGUAUUCUAUUGAUAACAUAAUAUAUUCCUAAUCUAACCUAAUGGUGCUCUUGGGCGACAUCAAUAAGGAUUUGACAAGAGGUCCUCUCCAUUAUUGACACAUGUUGCACACUUGAACUUUUCUUCUCUAUUUCAUCUUCUACAAACUCUAAAAAAAUUGAUUCAAACUAAUUUUUUUUAUAACAAAAAUAACAUUAGUACCUUAGUGCACUAUUUUCUACUGUAUUUUUUAAUACACUAGUCGUCGUGUUAUCCUGCUAUAAUAUUAUAGAAAACUAGAAUCCCUUUCCUAUAAGUUUGUAGACAACAUAAGAUAUUCCUUAUAUCUUAAGCAUACUUCUAAAUUUGUGGACCCCGUAUGUUUUAGUGACAUCUUGAGUGCAUCCCAUUACAUAAGAUUCCAAAGAAGAUAAAUUUUUGUCAACAAGAUAAGAUAUUCCUUACAAAAGAUGAAUUUAGUGAGUGCAGGGAUCUUGAAUUUAGAUUCACUCUAUCCACUUGACCAGACCAACCUCUACAUGAGACUUUUAAAAGCUUGAGUCUUGAACACAAGGUUCUUGAGAUAUAAUGAACUUUAAAAAGAGGACCACCUUCCAUGCGAAUCAUCUUAAUAGGUUUACCUUUUAUAGCACGUGAUUUAUUGUUGAAACUUUGUUGAAUUUACUUCUCUUGUUGUAUUGGCAAUUCGACAGGACUUUCCCAACUUGGAGAGACUUUUAUUAGACAAUAACAAUAUUCAGAUGAUACAAGAUGGAAAUUUUUCGUAUGACACGUUCAGUAAGCUAAAAGCACUAACACUAGCAUGCUUUCAUGAUAAAAAGGCUGCCUUUCCUUCCCUAUUCCUCCUAGAGAGAUUUCAGAAUUUACAAAGCCUUGAAGUCUUCUGUAACUCAUUUGAAGAUUUAUUCCCGAACGAAGGGCUUGUUGAAGAAAGGAAACAUCCGGUGCUUGAAAAUUUAACAGAACUUAAGUUGAACAAGCUACACAACUUAAAGUGUGUGUGGAGAAAAGACCCUUUAGUGUCGAAAAUUCUUCAGAGCAUCAAAACAUUUAAGGUUUGGGAUUGUCCCUGUUUGACAACAAUAUUUCUAACCGAGACAUCCUUCCAGAAUCUAACAGAUUUAGUGGUGAAGAAUUCCUCUGGAUUGGUACAUCUAGUAACAAUUUCGGCAGUCACAAAUUUGGUACAUCUCACUUUUAUGACUAUAAUAGGAUGUGAAAAAAUGAAAGAAGUAGUGGCCGACGAUGGAAACAGAGAAGGAAAAGUGAUUUCUUUUGAAAAGCUAAGAUUGUUGACACUUGAAUAUCUGCCAAACUUAGAAUGCUUCUCUUCCAUUCCAAGUUGCAUCUUUAGGUUCCCAUCCUUAUGGAAUAUUGAAGUGGAAGAAUGUCCGAAAAUGAAGAACUUUUCUAAGGGUACACUAAGCACACCAAAACUAGAUGAUGUGUCACUGUUCAGAUACAAGUGGGAAGGGAAUUGGGAGAAGGGUGAUGAUCUCAAUACAACCAUACAGAAGUUAGCAGCAUAAAUCAAUGCACAUAGAAUUGGUAAGAUCCAAUUGAUGUCAUUCUCUCAUCCAUUUUUUUUUUCUUUAGUCUUUCGGCAGCGCCGCAACUUUUUAAAAUUUUCUUUUUGUGACUUUUCUAUUAUUGAUUUCGUCAAAUCAACAUCACCGUCAACCCUAUCGAUGGAUCUCGGCUCAUCCUUAACUGAACAGUAGGAAGCAAAGCGGGUCUCUCCUUCUCCUUCUCCUUCUUGACGCCAAAGGCUCUUUCUCCAUCUUUCUUCUUCUUCUUCCUCCUCCGUGGAGCGAAAUUGGGGGAAGCCUCUGCUGCCUUCACAAAGGACGGAGCAAAAAUGAAGCAUCAGGAAUUGCCAGGACUGCGAGAAGCGAAGCUGCAUUUAGCGGAGCGGAGCCAAGUAGAUUCAACCAGACGCUGUCGUUGUCGCCGUCGUCACCGUCGGAGGUGGCACAACCGAGUCUGGACAGUUAGUCGUCCACUCACUUCAUCAAAGAAGAAGAAGAUCACACUCUCUCUCCGCAUCUGUAUCCGACAAAUGGUAAGUUCAUGUUUCUUCCGAUUUCGGUGUAUUAUUGUGCGUGAAUUAGGGCUCUCUUCUUCAAAUUCGUUCCACAUUCGAGUCUAAAAACAGGAGUUACUCAAACAAGCAAUAUAUUGCCCUUAAAUCUACAUCUUCUGUGCUUCCCUCCCGAGCAUUGGCGAGAUUUCUGCGUGUUUGACCUCUCAUAGAUGGAGAUGAUAUAUUGUGUUCAAGGUCCUCAUGUUGAAAUUUCUUUAGGGAGAGAUAUCUCUGUAACAUCAUAUACAAAUUUCUAUCAGGAAAAAGGGAGAAAUCAUGGAACUUGAAAAUAUUCCGAGAAUUCCAUGCCUUGUCAAAAAUCUGAAAUGUCACUUUUACGCCUUGAUCGCAAUAUAGUUUGGAUUGUCUGAGGAAUCACCUGUAAUCUUGAUUGGUUAUGUGAUGCUGGAAGGAUAAAAUUUAUCUCCAAUUUAUGCUAAAAUCUUUACAUAGCAAGUCAAAUUAAUGAAGUGUACUUAAACUGUCUCUAAAGUUGUCGUUUAAGUACAGGCUGGUCCAAACAUUUGAGCAAAUUGAGGCAUCCUGAGCUGGUUUUUUAAGGUCCCAUGCGCCCAAGGCCUCUCACUGCUCUUACAUCGGCCAACAAAUUUCAAAUGGAGCAUCCCAAUGGAGCAUUCCUUUUUCAAAGGUGGUGAGGAGGCCCUCUUAUGUUGACUUUGGCUUGGUAUGAUCCCACGCUCAUUGACCCAAACUCGCAUGUCUGAAAAUCAAACAUAUGGAUGCUGUUUAUAUCUUUGCUUAUACUCUAGUGUAUUUCCAAGUUGACUUAAUGCAGUAAACAACAUGACAUGUUAUAUUCCUUGAAGUGUUCAUGGGUAUAUGUUUAAAACCAAGUAUAUGUCUUAACAAUGGAGUAAUUGAAGCAGGGGAAACAAUGAAAGGACAGUUAGUGGGACUUAAACUGGUGGUCGAGGUUUGAAAAAAUAACAUCUGUCCCCUUUUUGUGAAUACAUGUGUUGGAAAGCAGUUGCUGAGGCAAGUCCAAAGAAUUAUAAUCCAAUUCCUCUUAUAUGGAGGAACUUGACAAUGUUAUUCAAUGCUGUAAAAGUAGAAUAUAUAUGUAAAUGCAUGAGGAGACUAGUUGAUACGGACAAGCAAAUUGCAAAGAAUGUCACUACCUCCAUAACUAGAGCGAAAGACCUGAAAGAUAAGGGGGUGGCUAUUUAUGGUUCUGAAAUUUCAUUGUAGAUCUAAUGAGUGAUAAUUUUGUUUUCAAAUAGGAGAUACUAUUUUAUUUUGUUACAUUAAUCGGAAAUUUGAGAAAAAAAGAUGAGUUUACUCUGUCAAAUUGAUUCAGUAUUUUGAUAAAAUUUGAGUUGCGCUUGAAAUAAUUGAACAGCUUAGAUUAAAAUUUUUCACUUCCAUCCGUGUUCCGGUCAUUGAUGUCUUUGCCUUUUCCCCUGCUCUUGUGGUUUGUGUGGCUUAAAUUCAUCAUUUCAAAUAUAUAUGGGACAUGGAAGGCUUUUUCUGGUCCUGUACCCUAUUGCACCUAGGAGCGUAUAUUUUGUCAUUUGACUUUGGGUUGCAGUCUGAGAUUGUCUACUAUCAUUAUAAGGUUUAUUGUCAAUUAAAACUCCUAAAAGUAGCAACUACUGCCUUAUAUUCACGCUGUGUGAUUAGAUUCUCUCAUUAGUGUAUGCUUAUGUUUUGGUCUUUCUUCACCAUAAGUUGGUUUUCAACCACAUAAAUGAGGAGACUACUCCUGUUCAAUUCAUCAGGCAACAUAAUCAGGAAAACAAGGUAAUUGCAACUCUCAGGUAUUCAGACAGGUCGUGGAUGGUGAAGCUCAGGAGCCAUGGACUUUUUUUUCGCUGCUUGACACCCAACUGCUAGAGAAGCUCGUUUGCAUUUAAGAGAUGUUUGUGUGUUCGAGCUCAUUGAUAGGGGGGAUGUGUGUUUAGAGUCUACAUUUCCACUAGUACUGGUAAGGACUUGGUUUACAUUGACCGAAAUGAAUUUUGGAAGUGUCACUUUAGAUAGUCCAAAAUAAAUUCAGUAUUCAUAGUUAUAUCUCUUUGUUUAGUCUUGGUGAAUCAAUGAAGUGUACGUCUUCCAUUCCCAUUGGGUUUGUGAGUUUCACAAUAAUCCAGAUGCACACUCAUUAAUGCUACAUCCCAAGUCUAAAUUAACCAAAAAGAAUGUGCUUCAAUGUCAAAGCGAAAAUUAUAACCUAAAUGCUUAGCAUGAGAAUUUAGAGGUGUGACUUGUUGGUUUCUAAGUUGCACUUUUCUGCACAGUGUUGCAUUCUUUUUCUUGGUCUGUCUCAAAAGUUAUGAAAUUUUCCUGAUAAGAUUUUGUAUAUUGAUGGGUUACAUUACAAUUUAGGAGAUGCCAAGUGUAGCUAAUGUGUUUUGUCUAACAUGAAAAACAUGUAAACGUUAGUAACAAGAUUGGAUGCAUUGAUUUGUAGAUCGUUGUAACUUGACAGAAGGUUUACAGCAGUACCUAUGAAAACUCUCCUUUUUCUUUUGUGCAAGUUGGACCAAACAAUCUAAAUGUCAAGUGAGCCCCCAUGAGCAGUUUUGCAUGGUUCCAUGUUUCUGCGGCCUCCCCUGCUCUUGAAAAAACUAGAAAAUUUGAAUCGGAGUAUCCAUCUCUGAAAUUGGUGAUGCGGCCACUAUUAUCAAGGAUAGAACUGCGGUGUGGCCCCUAUGUCCUUUCAUAAUUGGCAUAGCUCAACCAUGAUGCCUUCUACAUGUUUCCCUUUAGUCGACUCUUUUCCCAAGUCGUUUUAAAUUUUUCAUAGGAAUCACAUUAGAUGUUAUUUUCUUUGGAGUGUUCAUGGCUUUAUCUGUAAAACCGGGGCAGUUUUGAUUUUGAAAUUUUAUUUUUUAAAUUUAUGGAUUCAUAAGAUUACCGAUUCUAAAAUGAAAGAUUCUAUUCUUGUUUUUUUUUUUUUUUUUUUUCCAGUAAUCAGGUGUGAAGAAGAUUACUAUUAUAUAUAGACUAAGAGGAUGUGGUGGGGACGAUCAGUGUUAGCAACUCUUGAACUUUUGUCAUGAGAGUUAAAAAAUUAUGUACACUACUGUAGAGUCUACAAGCACUGUAUUGUGAAAUCUUAACUUCAAGUUGCAGGUUGGGAUUGAAGACUUCUAUUACCCAGUUAACACUAUUAAUUGAACUCCCUGAAACUAGUAAAUACUAGCAUAAAUUUACAUUUUGUUUGCGUUUUCCGUUUAUUAUUUCUUUGUAUUUAUUCUUUUCCUCAUUAUACUACAUUGGUAGUGUUCCUUGUGAAUUCAUAAAGAAACAUUCAGAAGAACUAGCAAAUUGCAACUCUUAGGUAUUUGAACAAAUUAUGGCUGGUGCAGCUCAAGACCUAUCAACUCCAUUAUGUAGCUGGUUGGGCCGCAUUUGUGAAAGAAGCUUGUCUGGAUGAAGGGGAUGUCCACAUGUUUGAGCUCAUUGAUAGGGACGAUUUUAUGGUCAAUCUCCAUCUCCAAUUAUGCUAGUAAGGACCUCAUUUAGGUUGAUUGAGAUGGACAUUGGAAGUGUCGCCUGCAAGUAAUUCAUGUCUUCUUUAUUCAGCUAUGACAAAUCAAUUGAAGUGCACUUACUUUUAGCUUUGCGUCUCUUUCUUGACCUGCUUACAGUCUUACCAGAAUUCUCCUCUCUUUUUUUUUCUUUGUGCAGGUCAGAACAGAUAGUCUAAAUGUCCAGUAAGCCCUCUUGAGCAGCCUUUUCAUGGUUUCAAUUGUCCGAGGCCUCUCACUGCCCUUUAGAAUGCUGGAGAAUUCAAGUUAGAGUAUCCCUUUUUCCAGAUGGUGACAUGGCCAUCUUUUCUUAAGAAAGAAAUAAUGGUGAGGCCCAGAUCUCCAUUCAUAACUGGCAUAUCUCAAUUAUGAAUGCCACCUAUUUUAUAUAUGUGCCCUAUUGUGCAAUUUUUUCCUGCAUUAAUUUGCUUUCUAUAGAAACACAGGAUAUAUUAUCUUCCUUGAAGUGGUCAUGGUUAUAUGUUUAAAACAGGCUCCUUAACAACUAAAGGGACUAGGGAAAAACAAUAAGUCAGACAGUAAUCAGGAAAUUACCUAGUGAUAGGUGGGUGUGGAGACAAGGUCAGAGGGUUGAGACAGGCAAUAACAACCAUAAAUUAGGAAUUUAAUGAUUUCUAAUUGAAGUAUAAAUUCUUCCCAAAGAUGACUACUUGGUACUUUCUCUGUCUUCUAGUUUAAGUAUAAAUUCCUUCCAAAAAUGACUACUUGGUACUUUCUUUGGCUGCCUAGGCUUGGGAAGAAGAGGCGACACGAAAUGUCCAGCUUAAGCAAUAGCUAUUGCAACAGGCCUAGGCUUGGCAUGACUAGGCUCACUGCAACAGCACGGCAACACUAAUUGGGAUAUUGCUCCCUGGCAACAAAUGGUUUCCAAGAGCUACUAUUGCAAGCAAGUUCAAACUUGCGAUCAGAAAUGAAGUGAAGGUAGUGUGGCCCUAGACCUCGAAAAUUAGUCCCACCACCUCUGUGGUAUGAAAAAAAGAAAGGCAGCUAAUUUUUUUUUUUUUUUUGCCAGGCGAAUGAAGAUCACUUUUUGUGUAUAUGUAUCCAUCUAGGAUGCUAGGUGUAGCUUUUCAUGUUUGUCCAAUGCAUAUCGCGAUGUGAGAUUGGUGACUUGGAAAUCCACCAGAUUUGUGCAUGUCUCUAUAUUGAUCACACAUACUUAGCGUAGAGUCUAAGAGCACAGGAUUGUGAUAUUUUGAUUUCAGAUUGCAAGUUGUGACUAAAGAUCAUCUCAUCAAGCCUUUUAGACUGCUAAUACGGAUCUCCGGAAAUUCCAAAUACUAUCAUAAAUGUACAUCUUGUUUGCCUUUUCACUUUAGUGUAUGCUUACAUUCCUCUGUCUUAUCAUACAUUGGCUGGUCAAAUGUCUUCAUGGGCAGAGCGUUCCUUAUAAAUUUAUAGAGACAUGCAGUCAAGAAAACCAGCAAAUUGCUAUUCUUAGGUAUUCAGACACAUUGUGGCUGGUGACCAUCAUGAGCUAUCAGCACUACGCUGUAGUGAACUUCUCUAUUGGUUGGUCCAAGUUUGUGAGAGAAACUUAGUCUUGAAUGAAGGGCAUGUCUGCAGGUUUGAGCUCCUUGAUAGGGAUGAUUUUUAGGUUGAAUUGGGACGUGAACACUGGAAGUGUCACUUUAGGCCAUAUUCUAGUUAGAAGCGAUCUAUGCCUCUUUUCUGUUGUGAUGAACCGGAUAAAAGUCCACUGUUAUUUCUGACUGCUUUUUUCUGAACUAGUUACAAUCUUAUAAUUUCUAGGCCUAGCCACUCCAUUUAUCGGAUAUUGUGAUGAAUAGCCUCGCACACACUUUCUACUUUGGGUAUUUCUCUUGCGCUUGUAAUGCUUUUAUCAUUGCCUUCUUGGAAAGGACCUUAGUUCAGCAUUAUCAUGGUUCUGGUUAUUCAACCUGGUUUCGUAGAACAAAUGAAAUUUAUGCAUUAUGCCAUCAGUCAUGGUAACUUGAAAUUUUCCAAAGAUGGGAGAGAUGGACUCUAUACUCAUGUAAUUAUAUUUGAUUAAAGUGCUUAUAUAGAUACAUUAUCCUUUCAAGCAAGAUGAAAUAUAAAACCAAGAGGGCGAAUUCCUCUCGAGAAAAUGGGAAGAAUCCAAAGACCUCACGGACCUUGAAGAUUCAGAGGGUUCCUGGCCAUGUUGGAAACCAUUGGCUAAACUGCAAUUACCUUCUUAUCUGCCUUCUACGGUGAUGAAUUCCUUUUCAAUUUGUGAGUUUCAAAGUGAUUGAAUUGAACACUCAUUGAUACGACUUUUUAAAAUAAUAUGCUUGGAACCAAAAAGGACUAAGCUUCCAAAGUCAGAGUGACAGAAGUUCCAAAUUGUUCCUCAAGAUAAUUUGGAGGUGCGUGCACAUGACAUAGUUUUCUUAGUCACUCUUCAAAAUUCUUAAAAAUUUGAUGAGAAGCUUUUGGUAUGUUGGUUGAUGGCAUUGAUUUGGGUGUUCGAAGUUGUAGUCAAUCAGUUUUAUCUAAUACGAAGAGCGUGCAAACUUCUGUUUUAUGUUCGCACUCGUUGAUUUCCAAACUAUGCUGGAUCUUUUCAUAGUAAAUCGAAAAAAUUCACAUAUGUGCCCAUGAGAGUUCUUUUUUUAACCGGAGGUCAGACCAAACAGCCUAAAUGCCCACUGAACCCUGUUGAGCCGGUUUUUCAGUGUUUUACUUGUCCAAGGCCUCUCCCUGCACUUGAAAAAGCUUAGAGAAUUUGAGUCAGAAUAUCCCUUUUUCAAAAUGGUGAUAUGGCAAUUUGUUGUCAUGAAAGGAAAAGAACUGUACAUUCCCCAUCUCCAUUCAACAUUGGCAUAUUUCAAAUAUGAAACAACAUGACAUGUUAUUUUCGUUGAAGUAUUUGUGGCCAUUUGACCAUCCUAAUGGCAGAGUAAUGGAACUUGAUAAAAUGGCAAUCAAAAUGGUAAUUGUGAUAUAACCUUUAUGUUUGUGUGUGUCGAUUCGGAUUAUUAACUAGUGCGUCUACCUUGAAACAAUCUACUUCUCUGGUUGCUCCAUCAAUUUGUCUUUUGCUCCCUUUUUUAAAGUGGAAAUCAAGAUGCGGACUUUUUAAAAUAAUAUCUCAAUAUAUAUUUUUUAUUUUUUUAUAAUUUUGUUAUUUUCUUUUCUUUUCUUUAUUUUUUUCCUACCCUUACGGUUGGCCAGGAUGUGGGCGCACAGCCCCUCGCCCAGACCAAGUGAGGGCUGGCGAGGGUGUGCAGGGAAAAAAAACAACAACAAAAAAAACAAAAGAAAAAAUAAAAAAUUCAAAAAAUAUAUUAAAAUAUUAAAAAAUGUCCACAUCACCUUUAGCAGUGUCAUGUCAAGGCGGUUGAUCAAUAUUGACAUAAUAGACUAAUUAGCACAAAUGCAAACAAAUAUAGGAUUGAAUUGGCAAAAAAAAAAGUUAGAAUCAAUUAGCACAAUUACAAUAAGUUUAUGAGUUUUUUUAAUAAUUCUCCCGAUAUUGUUUUCUUAUUAGUGAAUUUUGUCUCGCAAUUCAAGGUACAAAAUGGCAUUGUUCUUCAAAAAAGCUUAAAAACUUAUAUAUAUAUAUUGAAAUAAUUUGGAGAGAACGAAAUAUCUUUUUUAUCAAGGAAUAGAAAAGGAAAAGGAAAGAAAAGCAAACAAGAAAAUAAUAAGGACACAAAUUACUCUUUGCCGUGCCAAACCUAACCUAAAGGUAACAAACUGUCAACACGAUACAACUUUUAUUUAUAUCACAAGAUUCUAUAUGCUCUUCGUCCAUUUAUUACUUGUCAACUUUUACGGACUUGAUACAUCGUGACCCUUUUCCUCUUUAUUUCUUGAUUCAACAAUAGGGAGAGAAAAAAACACAUCGGACCCUUUUCUGCAAAGAUGGACUCACAGUCUCGUCCAAAUAUGAAGGAAUCGAUUAAUUGCCCAUUGAAUUCAUAUUGCUCGCAUGUAAUUCUAUAGUCAAAAAGCUGAAGCUAUGCUUUGGCAUUGAGCGUGCACAACUCUUUAAUUUGACCACAAGCGAAAUUCACGUAAGUAGUACAGUCCGACUACCCCAGCCUGAUAGCACACGCUCCACGGCCGAAGCAUUUGGUGUUGUUGUGAGAGGCAUUGGUGUAUUAAUUGAAUCCCCCAAUCACAGUGUCGGACCUCAGAUUGGUCAAGACUUGAUCCGAAGCUUGGUGCGUACUGCACGCCAUUGCAUAUCUUGUACAUAAGCAUCACAUCCAGGUCACUUCUUACGAGUCAGACCCCCACAGAAGCCCCAUGAACAUAAGUGUGAGUGUAUGUGAUGUGGACAAGGUCAUCCUAGAGCCCCGUUUCCUCCCUUUUGGUUCUCUUUGGUUUGCUACGAGGAAACACACAAUUGAGUUUGGCUAUAAAAAGGGUUUGUCUCCAUAGUGCUAUCCAUCAUUUAUUCUUUGUUAUUAGGCUAAGCUAGUACCAAUUUUAGUCAUUUAUGACGUCACAUGGAUUUUUUUAUAACUUCCAGAGCUUUUUCUAUGAAUUAUUUGUUCAUUAGUGUAAUAUGUUGUUGCCGUCCUUGCAAACCCUAAUCUCAUAAUUUUAAAUGAAAUUCCCCUCCCCCUCUCUUACUAUGCAUGAAAAAUUUUAAAUUGGGAUCCUCGAAGUCUACGAAAUAAAUUCACAUUACGAUAAAUGACUCACUUCUUCUUUUUCUGUCCUUUCUCCUCUUACUUUGCACAAACGUGUAAACCUCAUGUUCUAGUCUUGAAUAUAUUUCUAUAUGUAAGAUUGUAAAUUUUAGGUCAUGUAAUUAAUGGAGUUCAUGAUAGUUAUAUAACCCGAAUAACACAAUACUUCUACUACUACUAAUAGUACUACUAGGAGUGUAUUAAAAAAAAUAAAAAAUAAAAAAAGACCGAAAACCAGAUCGAACCAUCCAAAUUGGCCUGAUAAUUUUCGGCUCAAAUAAUCCUGGGCCGGCACACUUGGCCUCAAACUAUCCUUGAGUUUGGGACCUGAAUGAUUGACAAACCGGCCGAUUCAUAGAUCAGAAACUGUACAUAUAUAUGGCCCCUAUGUCAAUUCCCAUUCCUGCUGGUUGAGUGUUUUACUUCUCUCGUUCUCCCAUCUCUCACGCUGGUUGAGAUCCGGUCACCGUUGAGCUGCCAUUGCCACCACUGUCGAGCCCCAUUUAUGUGGCCAUCGAUCCCCACACUCACCUUAUGCCCUCCGUCCAAGACGUCUCGCUCACUCCGUCAGUCCCUCUUCUGCUUGCGCACGUCUUGGUCUUCCUUACGCUCCCUCACUCUCUACUAGUAGCAAACAAGUACUUACUAGCUUGUUUUGAUGUCUUGAGGUUUUUUUUUUUUUCAUACAUGCUAUCUUUAACAAGAUGCAAUUAUCUUAAGAUAAACUCUAAACUAGUACACAUAUGAUAAAUUUAUUUUCUAUUAAAUUUUAUUGUCAAAUUAUUAAGUUGGAUGGCACGUAAUAAUUGACAAAUGUAUCAAUUUGGGGUUUUCUCCUCCAUUUGUUACAAUCAUACUAGUUUGUGAUUUUUUAUAGUAUUAAUCCAUUUUAACAAAAACCAACAAAUAGUAAAAUUAUUAUAAAUGUAUCAUUUUAUGAUUUUUAAUAGUCAAAAUACUAAUUUGGGGUAAAAUGUGUGAUGCACUAGUUUGGGAUUUUGGUUAGUCAAAAAAUUAAUUUGAGAUAAAUUUAUGAUGUAUAUAUCAAUUUUAGAUUUUUUGUGACAUUAAUUCUUUAUUAUUUUUUUGUUUAACACUUUAUUAGUUACAUUUAGAUAGUAGAUGGUAGUGGAAAGUGGCCGUUAAUGACGAUUGGCACUUUUUAAGUGCUAAAUGAUGAAAAUCACCUCUGAAUUCGUCUAAAAUCUAAUCCGAGCUGUCAUAAUAAUUUGGUUUUUAAGGUAAUCUAGAUCGAGAAAUCAAAAGAGGAACCUCUCCCUUAAAGAAUCUACAAUGCUAUUUUAUAAACCAUAUUCUCUAAUAUCUUUAUGUUCAAAUGAAAAUUUACGUAGAGUAAUAAUCGAGUCAGGAGAAUCAUUACCUACACCCGGUGCAAACUCUUUUCCUCUCAUAGCAAGCAUGUAUGAAGGCCUAAUAAGAGUGAAACUAAGUCAAAUUAUUCAUGAGUUGUUCAAGCUUGGGUUGAUGAUCAUUUGAGAACUAAUAUUUAGUUGAGCUCUAACUCGAGCUACUUGAGUAUCUUGCAAAUUGAAAGCUCUAACAUCCUCAUCCGCACACAUGUAAUAUAUAGUAUAUCAUCUUUUUGUUUGAAUCAAGCUCUAGCAUUAAAUUAAUGUUUGGUUGAGCUCAAAUCUUGUUUGAAACAUCGAGUAUGAAGUUGAGUUGAUCUCGAGUUUGACAUUGUAGCGGCUCAGGUGGCUCAAUUAGAGACCCCUAGACCCCAGCCGUGUUAACAUCCAAUUCGAUUAAUAAGAGUCUAUGUGUCCAUUGAAGCGAUUAAGAAUUCCGACGUGCAAAAUUAUCAAGAAAUCUCAUUGCUCAAGAUUGGGCUGUGAUCUUCGUCACGCAAAUUUUAAAUCCCCUAUAAUUUUCAAUCCCUAUAUUAACCAAUAGCUUAGAUGAUAAAAGUAAGUGAACAUUAAUAAAUGUAGGAAAUCUUCAAAAGUCACUUUUCCUAGGUAUUAGCUGUAAUCUCUAGCUUGGCUUAAAAAAUCCUUGCUGCAACUUUUCUCCGACACAAUGGCACUCCAGUUCUCUCUCCUCAGUUCUAUGUAUUUGUUUGUUUACUAAAAAGAGGGCUUUUGCGGCAAUUUUUGUCUCAAUAUAAUUUAAUUUCGGAUAACCAUUUGACAAUUGAAAAAAUCCCUCGGCCGAUAAGAAAUUUUUAAUAUCAGAUGUCCCCCUUUUCGUUUUUCAUAUAUUAAGUUGAAGUGUACAUAGAGAGAUCCUUGAUGAUUUCAACUUUUUGGAUUAACUGGUAAAUCACUAAGUUGCGUCAUGCUAGUUUCUCUCAACAAGUACUUCUUAUCAUUUAAGAAAAAAAAGUUCCACUUUUAUUUCUCACAACUUCAAAUCUUAAAAAAUAAUUUUUUCAAUUUUCCUAGGUCUUUAAUUGAAAAAUUAACCCAAUUUCAUAUCAUCAACAUGAACAAAACAAUCACGAUAAAUGAAUGUCCUCUCCUUGAAGUAAAUAGGGAAUAAUAAAAAAAAUCAACAAUUGUUAACAUCUGAGAAAUUAAAAAGGGAAGAAGAUCCGUCAGGUUUUCCAGUUCUUGCGUUUCUAGCAUUCGGUCACUCUCUACUCCCUCUCUCUCUCUCUCUCUCUCUCUCUCUCCAACCUUCGAGCCGAGCUGCACCGCCUGAUAGCGCAGCCUUCGACCGCUGCUACCGCAUCUACGCCGCCGGCCCACCUCGGCGUUCGGCAGCAGCACCGCCCCUCUCUCCGCCUCCUCCGAACACCCCCCCACCAAAAAAAAAAAAAACCUAGGUCCCUCGCUUCGGUUCUUCAGGAUUGCUCGAAGAUGGACGAGGACCAGGAGAUGGAGAGGUUUGGGAUGGACAACGAUUACGACGAUGGUUAGUGGAUCGACGGGGAGUUCUACUACGGGAGGCGGAGAGAGAAGCGCGCCCAGACCAAGGGUGACGUGCUCUCCGGCGUCUUCGCGUUGGGAGACUCCGAUUCGAACUACGACGACUCCUCCAAGAGGAAGUGGAGGAAGAACAGGGACCUCCUAGGUAAGGCCGAUCCGUCGAAGCCCGAACUUCGUGUCCACUGGCACAGUCAUGCCGAACAGAGAGAUUGAGGAGAACUCGAAGAUAGAGAAUGAGGAUGAAGAAUCCGCUGUCGUGGAUGAGGAUAGGCCGGGCUUGGGGGUCUUGAGAAGAACCAACAAGGGAUUGUGACAUUCAUUGAAGCAAAGUUGCGUCCUAGAAAUAUGGGUGUGGGUUUCAACGACUUACGAGGAAACUCUUGCAAAGGCACCUGUUGCCUCGUUGGGGCCCAGAGGAAAAGAAGCCAUCACCCGACGUGCCCGGAAAGAAGAAGCUUUGGUCUAAGCAAGCGAAGAAGAAGACGCUGAAAAACAAAGCGAAGUAUAUUAAGGCAGAAGAGCUGUUGGCGAAGAAGCAGGAACAGGGCCUUGAAGUUGUGCAAAAGGUACUCGACAUGCGUGGACCUCAGGUUAGGGUGUUAGCAAACUUGGAGAAUCUGAAUGCGGAAGAGAAGGCGAGGGAGACAGCUCUGAGCUUGCGAGAGGAAAAAGAGAAGUUGCAAAACGAGGCAGAACACUAGAAGAAACAACUGAAUAACGUGAAGGAGAUAAUGAAUACGCUAGGCCGGAUUGAGGAGGAAGAGUUACUGGAAACAUUGACAUUGGACUCGCUAGCCAGGUUUUUCGGUGACAUGCAAAUAAGGUUUCCUGAUGAUUAUGAACUCUGUAACUUAUCCUGCAUUGCUUGCUCGUUUGCGCACUCCCUCUGUUUAUCAGAGUAUUUCAGGGAUGGAAUCCUUUUUGGAAUCCCUGCCUCGCACGGGUUGGAAGUUGUUUCGCGGUGGAAAUCUCUAUUACGAGGACAGGAAUGUCUUGAUAUAUGGGAUUCGGGAUCCCCUUAUGCCCAGCUGGUUUCAGAAGUUGUCCUGCCUGCUGUGAGAAUAUCAAGCAUCAACACUUUUCGCGUGCGGUUGGACCAAUGGCCCACUGCAAGAUUCCACCUCAAAAGUUAAUAAAUAUUAUCUCAAGCAAGUUAUUAAUGGUCCAAUGUAGAACUAGUUAAUUGACCCAACUCGCUUUUUUGGGAGAUCAUAACAUACGUUCGUUAUUUAUUCAAGCCGUUAUAUUGUCCGUGCCAGUGGAGAAUUUAUUUUCUUUUAAUAUGAAAAUUUUCCAUACGUAAAAAUGAAAAUAACUUGCAAACAAUUGAAGUCAUUAAUUUUUUCUCUGGUUCACCAUCUAAUUUCCAUGAAGCUUCUCAUUAGUGAACUUUAUUAAUUAGAAUACAUCUCUGUGGCAUCGUAUGAAAUCAUAUCUGUCCAAAAUGUGCGCGCCGAGAAGCUAACAGCCACCGAGAGGGCCACGGCAACUCCAGCAGCUAAAGAACCCGAUAAUCCAGCAACUAAGCUGUGCACAUGGAACAACGGAAGCACAAUCACGAUAGAGUCUGACUCUGUUAGUACGUACACCGACUUGAUGUUGUGAACUAAUUAUGCCAAAUUGUGCCAAGCUAGCAGCAUGCGAUUGGGGUGAUCCAUAGCGCUGGAGGUGUGCAAGAACAGAGCUACCUCCAAGGGAUCGUUGACGACCUUGGACAUCGAGUCAAGGCUGGGCUCUACAUCAGUCGAAGAGAGUGUGAUCUUGGAAUCAACAGAGUGAAGCUUGGCGGUCAGGCGGGAGACGUUAAGCUUGGAAGCAGUGGAUUGACCCGCCGGUUUCCUUCUUGCGGUGUCAAUAGGAGCUUUGGUUCCGAGUUGAAAAGGUAGAACUCGAACUCCUUAGCUGUGUAGAUGGGGUUGGAUGGAGCUACGGUGGCUCAGCAAUGGAUUACCACCGGAAACAGGAUCACAAACUGCAAAACGAACACAUAUUUUCCAAUCAGCAAAUUAUCACACUAGUCCUUGUGGAUUAGAGAUACACAUGCAUAUGGAGAAUAUGCAGACAACUAGUUUGUCAACGUUUGAUUUCAUAAAACCAUCCAUCUCCUUUUGAUAAGCUUUGACUUUGUUUUACGAUGAAUCGAUGUUUGUAAAUCCCCAAAAAAAAAAAAAAAAAAACAACCACCUUUGGACACGAAAAACGCGCUUUUCCCAAUUCAAUUUGUCCUGUUCAAUUGGCACUACAGGCUCACAGAAAUUUCAUGCCUCAGAUUCUUUUCUUUUCAUUUCGAGUUAUUUCCCAGUCGAUCUUUCAUAAGCAAUCGAUCUCUUCGUUAGAAAUUCAUCAUUACCGAGAUCUUCUAGAUAUUGAAUUCUUGAAUUUACACAGCUUCAACAGGGAAUUUUUCUGCAUUUGAAUUCACAUCAUCACACAAACGGAAAACCUGCGCCGUCCUCCUCGCGAGGAGACUCGAUGAUCGGGGGGACAUGCAUACCUCAACGGUGUUAGGGAAAGCAAGCACAACAAUGUUGCCGGCGUCAACGCUGGAGGCGGCGAGGAGCGCGGCAACAUGGUCGACGAGCUCCUGUAGCCGCACGUGCGUCAGGUUCAACUCCGCGCAGGUGGAGAUGGCUCUCCAGUCGUGGAAAUCCGACGCCGCCUUCUUCAACAGGCCCGCGAGAGGGAGUCCCUCCUUGGCGAGAUAGCCAGGCUGAAGCUUCGGAUUCAUGCCAGACGGCACGGAAUUCAGAUUCCGCGAGGCAAUCCGGGGAAGGUGGCGGACGUGGCUGCUCUGUUGCAGGUUUUGCAGGAGAGGAAUUUAAUCCCGGAGAGUGGUUGAGCGCGAGUCUGAUGCUACUGGAGGAGAGAGAGGAGAAGGAAACUGUAGUGGAGGAGGAGAGAGAUGAAGAUUGGGGUUUUCUGUGGCGAUUUUGAGAGAGGUGAGAAAGAAGGGAGAGAAAAAUAAAAACGGUUAUUUUUUUAUUAUUAUCCGAAUUGAAAAUAAUGCAUGAAAUUUCAGUUAAGUUGCAUUCUAACACCCCUAUUAUAAAUGGACAGCACUAGCGCCCCGUCAUUUGUUAAAUGAUUUUGAAAACAUUCGCGAAAAGAAUCUAGAAUUUAGCUUUCCAUAGAGGAACAAUGGGAUUGACACUAGACUACUCAAGAACACAAGCUAGUAUUGCUGGAAGCCCAGAUGGAAAAGGGCAGUAUGGAAAUAAGUCUCUCUAAGGGAACUGGGACGUCACUUUGUAUAGCAGCAGAACUUCUCAGGCAGAAAACAUUGGCAAAUUGGCAGCUUCACGAGCAUUUUGAAUGAUGCAGGACAUAUAGCAGAGGAUGUGAAAAUGAAGCCUUACAUAUCCAAGAAUUUAUCUAUUGUUCAUGAUGCUGCUUCUGCUAGUGCUAUCACAAUUCGGACCUUAAAAGAUCGGAUGAAGCAAAGAAAGGUAAGGGACCACUUUAUUGAGCUAAAUACUGUGCAUAAUACAUAAUACCUUGGUAAAAAGAAAAACAGGACAUCAAGUUAAGAUUUCGAGGGAGGAGGAAAGCAAGUCACUCCCUUGAUGUAAAGGUUUCUUCUCAAUACGUAGAACAAACACCCUCGAGUUUUCCUUUUCAGAAGCUCGUCAAUGAAAAACUUCAUUUGCACAACCUGAUCACAGACAAUAGAAAGGAUUAAGGAAAUUUAUAUAAUAAUAAAAAAAUGUCGAAAAAUGUUAUAGAAAACAAUGGUUUAAAGGAUACGCAUGUCUUUCAGAAAAAGAAAAAAGAAAAAAAUGAUACGCAUGUUAAGGUUGCUACUAUGAAACUGAUCGAGAGGGCAACCAACCAUAAUUCCAACUAUCGAAAAUUCAGAGACCUGCAUUUAUACAAGGAAAUAGGAACCCAAUCAAGCCCCAAGUAGAAACGUGUCCAAGACAAUUUGUCAUAACACUAUACUACUACUAUUAACAUUACAACUAGGGGUGUGCCAAAAAAUAAAAAAGAAAUAAAAACAUGAGCCCGAAAACCGAGGCUGAACUGCUGGGCUGACCCCAUUUUUUGUGCUAAAAUAGUCGCAAGCCGGGCCACCAUAUCUCAAAAUACCUUUCAAUUCGACUCGAUAUAAGCAAUUUGGGUUCAGUUAAAGCUUGAAUGGCCCAUACCCGCCCAGUUCAUAAAUUAGAAAUAAUGUCUCAUUUUCCUUCUCUCCGGGCCUUUGUCAUUCUUACCUUUUAAUGAAUACUUAGGUCUUGACUUGUCUCAUUCUUUCUUCUCUCACGCUUAUCGAGUCAUCCAGUCCCCACCAAGCCGCCAUUGCAGCAUCGUCGAGCCCCCACCGUAGGGCCGCCGAACCCCAACACUCACCAUAUGCCCACUCGGUCAAUUGCAGUCUCCCUCUCUCUCUCUCUCUCUCUCUCUCUCUCUCUCUCUCUCUCUCUCUCUCUCGCGGCUCUCCGCUCCCCCACUCUCCAGCAACAGCAAAACAAGUUCUUACUAGCCUGUUCUGAUGUCUUCAAAGUUUUUGGUUUUAGGACCUGGUACUUGAAUUUUUUUAUGGAAUGUAAAAACAAAAAUAAGAUAAACUAAACACAUCUUUUUCUAAUUUUAGGCUGCGAGCAAUCCUAUUGAGUCUGGGCCAAGUCCUCUAGCUAGAAUAUCCUAAGCCACAUUUUUGGACAGGCUGAAAAAUUGACAAAAUCCCGCUACGCCCACAUUAUAACUCAUUCAUGAAACGUGUGUUAACUCAAUAUAAAUUUGGACACAGUGCACUUGCGAAUCUAAAUAAUCGAUACAAUGCUAAAAAAAAGUGAUGACAUGGAUGUACUAAAUAACAUCAUUUGGGAGCACAUGGGACUUGCCAUAUAGUUAUUAAUACCAGUUACACUACAUGUUUCAUUUAAUUCAUGUAAUUUCAUAAUUUACUACUACAUUCUUCUUCUUCUUCUUCUUCUUUUUUUAUGUCUUUAACUCAUCGAUAAAGCAAACUAGACUACACAUCUCCUAGAUAAGAAUUGGCCUAAAGUUCUCUUGUGAAGCAACUUCCGCUUAUUGCUUCAUUCGGUUAAACUAGUCGUGGGUUGGUCUAUCAAUACAGAGCAUCCAUCAUGUAACCAUAGUGGUGGUGUUCUACUGUUCCUCAAACCCCUCGUUGCUCAUUUUGUCACUUCGCUUUAGUUUUCUUUUGUCAAGCAUCUUGGCCUUAAUUCAGAUUGUAAUGAAUAUAAAUAUUUACAUAGGAUUCUCAAUCGAUUAUCCUAAACCAAUCGCGAUAAAGUCUAUUAUGCAUGAUUCAGAUUUCCACGACAUCUUUUCAAUCAUUAUUUCCUAUUCUGAAAAGAAUAGCGUAAAUUUCUUCCGAGAAAAAGUGAAGAAAUCAUGGAACUUGAAAGUUGAGAGGAUUGCAUCCCUUGUCAAACUAGAAGAACAUGAAUCAAAUGAAAUUCAAAUUAAACUACUCUUAAAAUAUAACUAUCGUUGCAUUCUUCUACCAUUUUUAUUUAUUUAUUUAUUUAUUUAUUUAUUAUUAUUAUUAUUAUUAUUAUUAUUAUUAUUAUUAUUAUUAUUAUUAUUAUUAUUAUUAUUUGUUUAGUGAAAACAAAAUCGAAGAAUUAAUCUAGAAACAAAUGUCGUCAAAGGAUAAGAAAUGAUGACCACAGCAGCAUCAGAAAAGGUCAUCACCAAAGGAUUAAGAUCUAGUCCAAGUUUGGGGCAAGGGCGAUUCCUUCACAGAUUGUAUAAGUGCAUAGAUCAAUGGCCAUUUUGACGCUCCAUUCUUUGCAUGCAGAUCUCGUGCUCCUUCACAAUAGAAUACACAUUCAAAACUCGAUUAUGUUCAUAUAGAACACUUUAACUCAAAUCAGAGGGAUCAGCAAGCCACGGGACAUCAAUUUUCAUGUCAUACGUCGAGCAUACGAGACGAGAAUCCUAACACCAUUUGAGAAACGAGCGUCCUAUUUCAACAAAGUCGGCCAUAAUAAGGGUUCGAUAAGUUGAGAACAAAUCGAAUUUAUGUAAUAUGAUUUUGCGGUUCAAGGAUUGAAUCGAAUUUACAUAUUGAUUUAGUUCGAGCCUUUCAUCCAACGUGAUACACAUUUCAAUCAAGGGGCUCAUACGCAAAUACAAACCACCGAUUCACUUUCAGAUACUCACAACAACAACAUUAUUACGAGUCCGAGUAGUUAAUUGAGCUUCAAUCUCAACUGAUUUACUCACAAACAUUAUUAGCUAAAGCUCACCGGCUCUGUUUCGUUCGUAAGCGGCAGAAACAGAAUGUGCGGGAGUUUUUGACCUAGUGGUGUCCACGUCGAUAAUCGGGAACGGCGAAGGGGAAAAACCAAGGGCUUGUGCACUUUCGGGCGUCCUGACCAGAAAACAGGGCAGAACGACAGUUGGCCUUGCUGCAGCGAAACCGGCGAUGGCGGAGCGGCUACGGUGGCGGCUAACGGUGUCUAGAGGACGACGGAGAAGGAGAACUGACGAAGAAGCCAUGAGAAAAACAUGGCGGAUUUCUGUUGUCGAUCAGUGGAAUGGCGGAUUUCUGUUGUCGAUCAGUGGUGGAGAAUCUUCUGGAACUCGGCUGAUCGAAUGAGAGAGACUGUGGAUCGUGGGCUGCGGCGAGGGAAAUUGUGUGGGCCGAGGCUUACUCUGAUGGGCCUGGCGUGCGCAUUCGGGACGAGGAAUGCACGAACGGGAGGUCAGCAAGAGAGAAUUUCUCUAUCGGGUCAACCCAUUUCUAGAAGCGUCUCCAUCUUCACUCCCUCUCCGUCGCCUCAGUCCCCCCGGCAGCCACCGCGCUCGUCCUCCAUCGCUGGCCACGACAACACUCAAUGCACUCAGCAAAGAUCACACAGGGUGGGGAGGCUCAAAGAUUUCUAAACGGCCAGAGAAUUAUCUCUCUUGGCUCCUUGCUUCGUCUGGUGACCUCCAACUGACCUCCCGGAUCGCUCCACCACCAGGCCGUAGCUCUGUCAGCACCGUUCUCCGGUCAGUUUGCUUUGGCUGCUCUGAAUUUGUUCGUUUCUCCUUCGCUGGCUCCGAUCCUCAACGUCAUUGUCUCGCACAACCUCUUCCACUGAUCCGAUCGUCCUUCGUGCAUCGGAUAACAUAAACACUAUAAUCUUCCUUCUUCGUUCUUAGCUUCAUGAAGAGAGACCCAGCAUAUUUGUGUGAUUUUUGUUGUUCAAAUUCACUGCUGGCGUGUCAAUGCGCGCGCUAUAAGUGCUUUUUAUGAUCCAUCGCAUGAAGUGCUCACUGUGACAUGUUCAUAUUAAUAAUCUGAAUCAUAAAUCAACGUUCACUGCAAUGCGUGUUCGUCUGUUAGAUGGUCGAUUCUUGUUUAGUUCUCUGCCAAAAAUCUUGCAAACAUGAUUCCGUCUUCAUCUAUGUUACUUUGGCGGUUUCUGGAUUGAUGUUCCGUAAACUGUAUAAUCUCUUCUACUGGGAGGAGAAAGAAAUUCUCAGCAUUAUCUCCCACAUGCUUAAAAUUUGUUCUCAUGUUUUUUACAUUGGAUCACCUGACCAUUGAAAUUAAUAUGAUUUCUUUUCUAUUGAUUGUGUGUUUGAUGAAUCCAAGUAACAAUCCAAGGUAAGUUUCGAUUGUCUGCAAUAUGAAUUUGGUGGCUGGGGAGGUUCCGCUGUGAAACGUUGGCCUCAGUUGUUCUGAAUGAAAGAAUACGUUUGCUUGAAUUGUCAGCUUAAUAAGGAAGAGAGUGACGCAGGCUACAGUUUGUUGUGAAAAAGAAACAAGCAACAAUUGCCGAGUUUCUGUUAUGUAGGAAAUGGAAGCGAAUUAGAAUAACUAAUGUGCUUUUGAGCAAUGAUGCUGAUUGCUGGAUUAUCUUUGUGAACAUAUGGUAUCUUUAUUUCUCUUUCGAACAUUUGGUAUUUGCUUCGCUCUCUUACUAGUAACCAGUGCCGCAAACUUCUUGGUUGAUUAAUUCCUCUUUCUGCAAAUGACUCUGGCCCCAGUUAUUGUCCACUUUCAGUAUAUGAGUCCUCAUUGUAAUUUGAGUACCGGUUGAUGUGAUACAGUCUUGUCGGUUCAUUUCUCAAUAUGUUUCCCAAAUGUUGCCUGUUGUAAAAAAUUUCAAAUAUUAAAUUCCAUCAGCCUCAGUUUUUUCCCUUUCUUUGUUGAUCAGAAUUCUGUGUUUGUAUGAGCUAGAUCUUUGCCCUGGAUCAACUCAAACGAUAUUUUAUCAUAGAUAUUUAGGAUGGAGUAUUUCCUUAGUUGGCUACUUUGUGGCUUUUGCCGCUGAAAGUACAUUGACUCGCUAGAAGGAAUUAGUGUUCUGUAAGUGCAGCCAAUUUUUUUUGUUAAUUUUGCUGCUAGGUGUGAUGAUGUUCAUGGAAUGAAUGCUCAUCAGAUUUGGUAGAUUGAAACAAUGGUAAAUAGCCCAAGCAACAUCAGGAAAAGAUCAAAAAGCAUUUCUCAUUUGUUAGUCAUAAUCAUUCUUUCUCUCGGUAGUGAGAGAUGCUGCACAUAUCGUAGAGUAAAAAUUGAAUGAAGCGGUGUCGUAGUAUUGGACUUGUAUGUCAAUCUUGGCUUAUCAAUAGCCAAUGCCGAUAUUUGAAUGAAUUCAAGCACUUAUUUUAAGUAGGCUUUGGGAUUUUCACAAUUUAUGGAUCCAAUGAGUCUUAACAAUUGAUGUGUUGGGGAAUUUCUUGCCUAUAACGGGUCCACUAGGCGGGGCUGUGUCAAUGGUUGAUCGUCUAUGCCCCAUAUGCAACAUUAAUUUGAGACUCACAUGAACAGCUAUAGGAAUGGACCCAAUCUACACGUGCACAGACACUACAUGGAGGAAGCUAUUCUUUGGCUGACGGCAUAAAAUGUAUAAAUUCUCAAAAUCUCUGCCUUCUUUGCGCUUUUGCACUUUGGAUUUAGCUUGCGAUUAGUAAGGGCCCUGGACUUACUUUAAGUUGUGUUGAUUACGAAAAAGUUCUUGAGGAGAUAUGGCUAUACUCUCCCGAAUUCGAUGCUUCCAAAGGUCACAAGUAGUUCAACUUGGGCAACUAGAAAAGAGUAACGACGAGGCCGGAAUGUUAUGGAGCAUUAGCCCAUUGGUCAUUUUCAUCUCAACCUUUCUAAAUGUGGAGAUAACUCCACUUUUCAGGUGUUAAUACUUUAUAAAGGUGCUUCUAAGAUAGAUUAUUCCUCGAGUAAUGGCCAAAUAUCAAACCCUGAGGAUCAAUUUUUCUAACAAGAAAGGGAUGAUGUUGUUGAACUUGAAGAUUUAGAGGGUUUCCUGCAAUGUCGAUCGAUUUUACCCUGUUCUAGCGAAGUAUCUGAUUGCCUAUCACUCACUCAUCAUGAGAAUUUGAGUCUUAUUAGUCAUGUUUCUGCCUUUAUCAGUGCCUUUUCUUUGUUCUUUCCAAAUUCUUUAAUGCUUUUUGAUGAGCGUUUCGGAUGUUGAUUUAUACAGUAAUAUAGGGGAAGUGCAGAUUGCAAUUAAUUGGUGAGGUAACUAGCUCUAAUGUGAAGGGGAUGUAAAAUUAUUUGAUAAAUUUUAAUUUUUCUGAUUUUCCAUGGAAAUACUAACUACCAAUGUAUGCUAAAUCAUUUCAUACAAAGUCAAUGCUCAGUAAUUUCUGGAAGUGGAAUCACCAUAAUCUAAAACUUUACACAGACAAGUCUCAAUCGGCAAAGAAUUGGAACUCACCGAAGUCGCAAAUCUUGAAAAUCAAUGACGGCAGAGCUUUUUUUGAAGGUGAAACAAUUGGAGCUAUUUUGGGAAUUCUUCGCAACGAAACGGGAGCUCUACUGGAUGGCUCUACUACGAAUGUUCCAGCAUUGUCGGCGUUUUAGACGGAAGCCAUUCCCCUGCUCGAAGCUUUGAAACGUUUUCAGUCGAGAAGAGAGUGUUGGAGCUCGAGUCUGAAUGCGAAGAGCUGGUCAACGUUGUGCUGAUGAAGACAGCUCUAAUAGAGAAAGCCCAGCUCUCUUUGGCCCAAUUUUACUCUCUUUUUGGCCCAUUGUCACCGGUUCGCAAACAAAAUGGCUGAUUGGGUCGUGAAAAUCUAACAUACGAAUGCUCUCCCUCCCUCUUGAGUGGCCCAUCCCUCCAAUCUUUAUGGAAUUAUUUGCGUUUGGAUGCCCCUUUGGUGGGCUUUUGUUUUAAAGACCCCCGGGUUUUAAUUCAUGGCAUGUCUUCAAAUUUGAAAGCUUGACUCGUAUAUUAGUUUGUCUUAAGCUCGAAUUGGUCGACGGUCAAAACCCAAGUUCAAAAUUACAUGGAAAGUAGACGAUCAAGCAAGUCUUAAGAGCUAGAAUCCGGAGAAAUUGGACAAUUCCAAGUGAGGUUGUUCACACAAUUUGACUUGAAAAACUAGAAAACUGAAAUUGGACCAGCAAGUGAAUGGAAAUAUUAAUUAAACUGGAUUUUCAUCCCUAUCUUGUUGGGGAAAAGACAAAUAAUUAGUGCUCGAGUCUUUUCCAACUACUCUGCACCAUGCAUUGUUUCUUUAUAACUCAGUAUCCAUAUGAUUGAUUUUUGGUUGAAAUAGCCUCAUAAGUAUGAUCAUUACUCCAAUCUAAUGAAGUAAAAUAACCUUCACUCCAAUCAUGACGCCUCCUCCAACAUAAAAAGAAUAUCCCAUCCACGUCAAGAUGAAAGCAACAUAAUGACUAUAUAACUAAAUAAGUUAGCUGACUCUUUCCAUUUAUAAGAUUCAAUUAUUUGUAAGUUACCAUUCUUGUCUUGGUUGAGGUGGCCGACAAUAGUCCUUUUAUUUUUUAUUUUUUUAUUUUUUGGAUUGAGCAGUUUCGACUUGUAGCAAUGUGCUACCAAGUUUUCAACUUCCCAAGGAAUUGAUUUGUGUUUAGUUGAGGCCUUAACUAAUGUCAGGUUACCGAGCUCCAUCGUCCACACCCAAGGAAGUCACUUGUAUUUUAAUUGAUUAGUCUAUAACUUUUUUAAUUUUCUCGCUAUUUCUUUUCAUACGCAAUAGUUGUGCUCUUUUUCUAGUAUUAAGUAAACAAAUAACAAUUGAGAAACAUCCCAUAUUCUUUCUGGUCUGCUCAAGCCAUUGGUAAAUUGGCUAGUGCAGUGGGCAAGCCUUUAUAUGUAGACCAGAGAACUGAAUAGAUGAAUAUGUUGUCGUUUGCUCGAGUUUGUGUGGAGAUCACAGCUAAUCAGCCUAUUUGUGAAUUUAUUGAGUUGGUACAUAAUGGCAAAUCUUGUGAAAUAGGGGUGGAACUUGAAUGGAAGCCGGUUGCAUGUUCUAGUUGUGGCAUAUUUGGGCAUAAUUGCAGCCCUCUUGUACCUUGGAGCUCUACUGCUCGUGCUUCUGCAGGUCGACCGGUGGAUACAGUUGCUGCGCCACAGGGCCCAGCUGAUGACGGUCGCUCUACUCAAGUGGUAGCCUCUACUCCUGGAUCUCCCACUUUGUUUGAGGUCCCUAUUGUCCUCCAGAAGCAAACUUUGGAGGAAAACCCAGUGUCUCGGGUUGGUAAACCAGUUCCUGUUCAGUCUACACCGGCGGUGGACUCCUCACAUAAGCAAUCGGUUGAAGCCCCUAUUAAAAAUCCUCCCGUGCCUUCGAGCACUAAGGAUGCUGGUCGACCUGGUGAUGGUCGUGAAAUGGUUUUAGCUACAACCUCUACUCAAGCUACUGCAGAUCCGAACCCAGCUAAUUUGGGUUGGAAUAAGGUGAAAUGCAAGAAGAAAAAACAUCCUCCUGCCAAGGAUAUGGCUUCUUUUGGCUUAGUUUUGCCCAGUAAGGGGGGUGUCAAUCUUUGAAGCUCAAGGCGCCUCUUACUUCAGAACCCCUCAAUCCACCAAUGAAGCCUUCUAAAGGCAGUUUGAAAGCCCCUCCCAAGGCUAAUACGGGUCGUCCUUCCCUUGCUCCUAAGAAGGAAGGUCCUCCUGGCCCUCUGGCCCCUUUGGAAGGUUCAGAUGAAAUUUGCAGCUCUAACGGCAAUGCUGACUCAAGUGAUGAUGAUCUACUAUCGGGUGGCCCCCAUUCGCUGAAAAGCCCCCCACCUCAUACUGGGACGACAAGUUUAUAGGAACAUUUUCUGUUGCUCUGCCCUGAUCCUCCUGACCCGACCCCCUCUGCAACAACAAAAGCGACUUCUACCAGUCGCAAGCCCUCUAAGAAGAGGUAACCUUCUUUCCUCCCUUUGUAAAUAUGUUUUUGGGUUUUUGGAAUGUUAGAGGUAUAAUGAAUCCUAUAAGGCGGGCUAAGAUCAGGAAAUUUGUUUCUUCGAACAAGUUGUGCCUGGUCGGUCUGAUUGAGACGAAAGUCCCUGAGUCCCUAUUCGAGUCUGUCUCUUCUACCUUGAUAAGGGGUUGGAAAUGGGCUUCGAACUAUGAUUUUUCUCCUCGUGGAAGAAUUUGGGUUGGGUGGAACCCGGAUCUCGUUACUUUUGAUCCAUUCGCUUUCAGUGCCCAGGCUAUUCAUGGUUGUCUUAAACUCAACAAUUCUAAUUCUCACUGUUGUAUCUCUGUGGUUUACGGUGAUCACACUUUUGUGCGUCGAAGACCACUUUGGGAGGACCUCAUCUACCAUAAUGAUGUCUUACAGGACACUGCUUGGCUUGUUGCUGGUGACUUCAAUGCCAUUAAAGAUCCCUCGGAUCGUUUUGGAAGCUCGGAUACUUGGAUUCCUUAUUUUGAUGAAUUCGGCCAGUGUUUAGCCCAAACAGAGCUGGUUGAUCUUAGAUAUGUGGGUCUCCGCUUUACCUGGUCCACCUCGGCUGGUGCGAAUAGGAAGAUGAGAAAGAUUGAUUGGGUCUUGGUUAACACCAAGUGGAACCUUGAUUACUCCUUCUCGGAAGCAUCUUUCCUUAACCUGGGGAUCUCCGAUCACUCUCCUAUGAUCGUAAGAGUUCUUAAUCCGGUCUCUAAAAAGAAGCCAUUCAAAUUUUUUGAUUUCUGGUCAAAGCACCCAAAUUUCCUCUCUAUUGUGCGGCAGGCAUGGGACAGCCCGGUAAAAGGUGUUCCCAUGUUCAAACUUGUCUCUAAACUGAAGAUUUUGAAAAGCCGCCUUAAGUUACUUAACCAGGAGUCUUUUUCAAACAUCUCGGUGAGGACAACAGAAGCAAGAGAGGCUCUUCGCAGCACCCAAGUUGCUCUUCAAGCUGACCCUGAAAACGUCCAGCUUACAGACCAAGAGAAAUGUCAGCGGCGUAUCUUUGUCGACCUGAGGAACCAAGAGGAAUCCUUCUAUAGAAAAAAGUCAAGAGUAAGAUGGCUUAAGGAAGGGGAUAGGAACACUAAAUUCUUCCACAACUUUGUCAAAAGAAGACAACUCGGCAAUCGAAUUCUUUCUGUCAAAGAUCCAUUCGGGUCUAUAGUCACGGACCCCUUAUUGGUUCCGCAAGUGUUUGUAUCCUUCUUCACAGACCUUCUUUCACCUCAUGGGGUGCUGUCUAAGCCUUCACUUCAAGAGGUAUAUAUGUCUAUUCGGAGGCCUCUUUCGGAUGCUCAGGUGUGCUCUCUUUCUGCCCCAGUUUUUGAUGUUGAGAUAAAGAACACUCUUUUCUCCCUUCCCAAAGGCAAAGCACCGGGUCCGGAUGGUUAUACAACUGAGUUCUUUAAGAACAAUUGGGAUAUUGUGAGGUCUUUGGUUUUGGAAGCAAUCAAAGACUUCUUCUCUUCUGGUCGUCUUCUCAAAGAGGUAAAUAACACUAUCUUGGCUCUGGUGCCAAAAAUCCCAACGCUUGUGCUGUUACUGACUUCAGGCCCAUUGCGUGUUGCAACGCGAUUUAUAAGGUUAUUACGAAGAUCCUUGCUAAUCGCCUAGCUGCUGUUUUGAAUGACCUCAUAAGCCCGUCGCAGAAUGCAUUUGUGAAGGGUAGAAGAAUCAGAGAUAACAUUCUCUUGGCUCAAGAGCUGUUUGCAGGUUUCCAUUUAGAACCUUAUCUUCCAAAAUGUGCCAUUAAGGUUGAUUUCCAAAAGGCGUACGACACGGUUGACUAGGACUUCUUGGAGCUCACUCUCUUGGCUUUUCGCUUUCCAGAUUGGAUUAUUCGUCUGAUCAUGGUCUGUGUUCGCACUUCUAAGUACUCCAUCUCUAUUAAUGGUGAAUUGCAUUGGGUUUUUCCAAGGCGGCCGUGGCAUCCGCCAAGGAGAUCCUAUGUCUCCUUACUUGUUUACUUUAGUUAUGGAGGUAUUUUCGGGAAUUUUGAACUCGCGAACAACUGCCAAAGAUUAUAAGUAUUUCUGGAGGUGUAAAGUUGUGAAGCUAUCUCACCUCUUUUUUGCAGAUGAUGUGUUCCUUUUUUGUCAGGCAGACUGGCCUUCUGUGGUAAUGCUUAAAAGGGGUCUGGAUACUUUCUCCUCCUAGAGUGGGCUUCUUCAGAACAAGAACAAGAGUGAGAUCUUUCUCUCGGGCGGGCCUUCAUCCCUACGGAACACAAUUCUGUUGACAUUUGGCUUUCAAGAAGGGAAACUCCCGGUCCACUAUCUGGGUGUGCCUAUAAUUUCUUCUAGACUGCGGAAAGCAGACUGCAUCGUCUUGAUAGAUCGCAUAACCGCCAGGGUCCAAUCUUGGGCUCAACGUUUUCUAUCCUUUGCAGGUAGGCUUCAGCUCAUAAGGUCAGUUCUACACUCCAUACAAGCCUUUUGGGCUAGUGUCUUCUCCUUGCCUUCCUUGGUUCUAAUGACCAUUGAGCGUAUCUUGAGACAAUUCCUAUGAAAGGGCACUACCCUGGGCCGGGGGGGUGCUAAGGUAUCUUGGGAUGACGUUUGUCUUCCCAAAGAAGAAGGUGGUUUAGCCAUUCGAAAACUGAAGGAUUGCAACGAAGCUUCAAUGCUUAAGUAUAUUUGGAUACUCUUUACCGAUAAAGAAUCCUUGUGGUGCCGUUGGGUGCAUUCAAAUUUCUUAAAGAAAGUGAAUUUCUGGAUUUCUUCCUACCCCUCUCUUUGUUCUUGGGCGUGGAAGAAAAUACUACAACUCAGAAGGUUUUUUCGGCUCUCCUUCUUUUGGAAAAUCGGUAAUGGGCUUUCGGUUUCUCUUUGGCAUGACCAUUGGCUUCCUUGUGGCCCCUUGGACACUUUUAUUCCGGCCUCUAUGAUGGACAGUAUAAAUCUCCCUAACAAUGCGGAUGUGGCAGACCUGUUUUCUCCUGCAGGAUACACGCUAAAAUCUCUUCUCCAUAGUUGGGGCAUUGUCCUCCCGAAUUUAUCCUUGGCUCCUGAUCAAUUCUCUUGGCAGUGUGAUCCAACUGGUUCGUUCUCGGUUUCUUCUGCUUGGAGCACCAUUAGAGCGAAAAGAGACUGUGUUCCGUGGGCUUCUCUAGUCUGGGAUAGUGCCAUAGCUCCUCGGUACCAGUUCCGUCUUUGGCUUAUUACUAAAAAUCGCCUCCCCACUCAAAUGCUCCUCCUCUCUUAUGGUAGAAUUGAUUAUACGGUGUAUGCUUUUUGCAAUGCCCAACCAGAUUCAAUUGACCACCUUUUCUUUGAAUGUCACAACUCCGCUACGCUUGCAUACUUCUGGGCUUCUAGGUGUAACCUUCCUUGGAGGAGUAGAACUUGGAUGGAUACCAUCUCUUGGGCGCUUAAGUUCUUAGCCAGAAAGGACUUUUAUCACAGUAUUGCACGGUUCUCUUUCGCAGCUAUGUGCUAUAUGAUCUGGAAAAAGAGGAAUUGCAUCAUUUUCCAUGGAGAAUCCUUUGCGAUCUCGGAUUUAAAGAAUCACCUUAUUAAGGCGGUCAAGGACCGAGCUCUUACCUUCAGAAAUGUUCCUAUGUCUCCAAAGAACAAGAGACUCUAGAAAGGUUGGGGUUUUGACCCUUCGGUUUUUGCUCAGUCGCCUGGUUCGUCCUAAGCGUCUAGUCUGUGCCUUGUUUUGCUUUCUAGCCUUCUCUUAGGCUCUCUGUUCUUCGACCCUUUCCCUUUUGUAUUUCUGAGGGUUGCUGGGUUUGUUGGUUGGCGCUUGGCCUUUGGUUUGGGCUGUUUAGCUUUGGUUCUCUUGCUUUUUGCCUGUUUGGCUUGUUACUUGGCUCCCUUUCACUCUUUCUGCUGUUGCAAUUAGAGUAGAAGUUUUUGGUGCCAAUUUUGUAUCUUGUUCCAAAGCUCUAAUAUAAUUUCUUACCUUUUACCAAAAAAAUAAAAUAAAAAAAUAACAAUUGAAAAUGUAAAUGUAAAUAAAAUUGCCAAAAAAAGACCAAUAAAUGCAACGUCUAGGCCGUACCAUAGGUCUCUAGGUAGUCACGCCUCAACUUUUGUGCCCCUUGAUCAUUAAAAGAAGUGGACUAAAAAAGAGAUGAUUUCUUCAUCGUAGCUUACUAACAUGAAAAUUGAACACGCACUUCAUUUUUAGUUAAAUUUGCUUAUUAGUAAAAAAUAAACUCUCAUGUGUCAUGUAAGAGGGUGUCUCAAUUAGUGAAGAUUAUCAAAUCAUUCCGAAGCAUGAGAGAACAAUGUAACAUUAUCACUUGCCGCAUUAGAUAAUUUUGUUCUCAUCUCUUUUCCCUUCACCUAACCUACAAAAAACGAAAGGAGUAAUCGAAUAUCCCCUGCAUCUGUAUCACUUAUAUUCUCUUUGUGUGUACUUGCACCACAGUAAAAUUAAGAUAUAGCAAAUAUGUGAUUGGCUCUAUUUAAAAAUAUCGCGAUGGGAGUUCACAUCCACAUCAAUCAUAUGCAAAUUAAUCAUCAAAACAAGAAAAACUAAUCAUUUAACCGGAGAUUAUCCUUUAUUAAGAAAUUUUGCAAAACACAACAUACAUUUAUUCUUUAAAAUUAAAAAAAAAAUCAUGUUUACGUGGCAUCUCUAUCUUGCAAUUAUUGACCAAUAGUAAUAUGAUAAUGUUAUGUUAACAUUGAUAUUUUCAAAAUGACAAAUAAUGCAAAUGACAUUAUUCUUUAGAAUAAAAAGUUAUGCUUAAUUAAUCCCAUGAUUGAUAAUGCUGGUUGGGGAGUUGGUUUCUAGUUUUGGAACCAAAGAUCCUCCAUUAGAAUCCCACAAAUGCACGCAAACUGUCUCAAUUAACGAAGAUUAUUGAAUCAUUCCAAAUCAUAAGAGACAAUGACACCUCUUCCUCUGAUCCGAUCGUCCUUCAUGCAUCGGAUAAAAUAAACACUAUAAUCUUCCUUCUUUGUUCUUAGCUUCAUGAAGAGAGACCCGGUCAUAUUUGUGUGAUUUUUGUUGUUCAAAUUCACUGUUGGCGUGUCAAUGUGCGCGCUGUAAGUGCUUUGUAUGAUCCAUCGCAUGAAGUGCUCACUGUGACAUGUUCGUAUUAAUAAUCUGAAUCACAAAUCAACGUUCACUGCAAUGCAUGUUUGUCUGUUAGAUGGCCAAUACUUGUUUAGUUCUCCCUGCCAAAAAUCUUGCAAAUAUGAUUCCGUUUACAUCUAUGUUACUUUGGCGGUUUCUGGAUUAAUGUUCCGUAAACUGUACAAUCUCUUCUAUUGGGAGGAGAAAGAAAUUCUCAGCAUUAUCUCCCGCAUGCUUAAAAUUUAUUCUCAUGGUUUUUACAUUGGAUCACCUGACCAUUGAGAUUAAUUUGAUUUCUUUUCUAUUGAUUGCGUGUUUGAUGAAUCUAAGUAACAAUCCAAGGUAAGUUUCGAUUGUCUGGAAUGUGAAUUUGGUGGCUGGGCAGAUUCCUCUGUGAAAUGUUGGCCUCAGUUGUUCUUAAUAAAGGAAUAUGAUUGCUUGAAUUGUUAGCUUAAUAAGGAAGAGAGUGAUGCAAUCUACAGUUUGUAGUGUAAAAGACACAAGCAACAAUUGCUGAAUUUCUAUUCUGCAGGAAAUGGAAGCGAAUUAGCAUAACAAAUGUGCUUUUGAGCAAUGAUGCUGAUUCUUGGAUUAUCUUUGUGAACAUGUGGUAUCUUUAUUUCUCUUUUGAAUGUUUGGUAUUUGCUCUGCUCUCUUUCUGGUAAACAGUAGUGCGGACUUCUUGGUUGAUUAAUCCUUCUUUCUGCAAUAGACUUUGGCCCCUGUUAUGGUCCGCUUUCAGUAUACGAGUCACAUUGUAAUUUGUGUACCUGGUGAUGUGAUACGGUCUUGUUGAUUCAUUUCUCAAUAUGUUUCCCAAACAUUGCUUGUUGUAAAAAAUUUCAAAUAUUAAAUUCCAUCAGCCUAAGUUUUUUCCCUUUUUUUGUUGAUCAGAAUUCUGUGUUUGUACGAGCUUGAUCUUUGCCCUGGAUUAACUCGAAUGAUAUUUCAUCAUAGAUAUUUAGGACGGAGUAUUUCCUUAGUUGGCUACUUUGUGGCAUUUGUUGCUGAAAGUACAUUGACUUACUAGAAGGAAUUAAUGUUCUGUAAGUGCAGCCAAUUUUUUGUUAAUUUCGCUGCUGGGUACGAUGAUGUUCACAGAAUGAAUGCUCAUCAGAUUCGGUUGACUCGAACAAUGGUAAAUAAACAGCCCAAGCAACAUCAGGAAAAGAUAAAAAGGCAUUUCUCAUUUGUUGAGCCAUCAUCAUUCUUUCUCUCGAUAGCGAGAGAUGCUGCAAAUAUCGUAGAGUAAGAAUUGAAUGAAGCGGUGUCGUAAUUUUGGACUUGCAUGUCAAUCUUGGCUUAUCUCAUCAAUAGCCAAUGUCAUGCCAAUAUUUGAAUGAAUUCAAGCACUUAUUUUAAGUAGGCUUUGGGAUUUUCACCAUUUACGUAUCCAAUGAGGCUUAACAACUGAUGUGUUGGGGAAUUUCUUACCUAUACUGGGUCCAUUGGGCGGAGUCUAUGUUAGUGGUUGAUCGUCUAAGCCCCAUAUACAACAUUAAUGUGAGACUUACGUGAACAACUAUAGGAAUGGACCCAAUCUACAUGUGCACAGACACCACCUUGAGGAAGCUAUUCUUUGGCUGACAGCAUAAAAUGUAUAAAUUCUCAAAUCUCUGGCUUCUUUGCGCUUUUGCACUUUGGAUUUAGCUUGCGAUUAAUAAGAGCCUUGGACUUACUUUACGUUGUUUGUUAAUGGGGGAUUAUGAAAAAGUUUUUGAGGAGAUAUGGAUAUACUCUCCCGAAUUCGAUGCUUCCAAAGUUCACAAGCAGUUCAACCUAGGCAACUAGAAAAGAGUAACGACGAGGUCGGAAUGUUAUGGAGCAUUAGCCCAUGGGUCAUUUUCAUCUCGACCUUUCUAAAUGUGGAGACAACUCUACUUUUCAAGUGUUAAUGCUCGAUAAAGAUGCUUCUGAGAUAGAUUAUUCCUCGAGCAAUAAUAUCAAACCCUGAGAAUCGAUUUUUUUAACAAGAAAGGGAUGACGUUGUUGAACUUGAAGAUUUAGAGGGUUUUCUGCAAUGUCGAUCGCUUUUACCCUAUUCUAGCGAAGUAUCUGAUUGCCUAUCACUCACUCAUCAUGAGAAUUUGAUGGUAAUGAAUGGUAGUCUUAUUAGUGAUGUUUCUGCCUUUAUCAGUGCCUUUUCUUCGUUCUUUCCAAAUUCUUCAAUGCUUUUUGACAAGCGGAUGUUGAUUUAUACAGUAAUAUCUGGAAAGUGCAGAUUGUAAUUAAUUGGUGAGGUAACUAGCUCUAAUGUGAAGGGGAUGUAAAAUUAUUUGAUCAAUUUUAUUUUUCUGAUUUUCCAUGGAAAUACUAACUACCAAUGUAUGCUGAAUCAUUUCAUACCAAGUCAAUGCUCAGUAAUUUCUGGAAAUGGAAUCACCAUAAUCUGAAACUUUACAGAGACAAGUCUCAAUCGGCAAAGAAUUGGAACCCACCAAAGUUGCGACCUUGAAAGUCAAUGACCGCAGAGCUUUUCUUGAAGGUGAAAAAGUUGAAGCUAUUUUGAGAAUUCUUCGCAACGGAACGGGAGCUCUACUGGAUGGCUCUACUACGAAAGUUCCAGCAUUGCCGGCGUUUUAGACGGGAGCCAUUCCCCUGCUCGAAGCAUUGAAACGUUUUCAGUCAAGGAGAGAGAGUGUGUUGGAGCUCAAGUCUGACUGCGAAGAGCUGGUCAACGUAGUGCUUAUAAAGACAGCUCUAAUAGAGAAAGCCCAGCUAUCUUUGGCCCAAUUUUACUUUCGCUUCUUGGCCUAUUGUCACCGGUCUGCAAACAAAAUGGCUGAUUGGGUCGUGAAAAUCUAACGUACGAAUGCUCUCCCUCCCUCUUGAGUGGCCCAUCCCUCCAAUCUUUGUGGAAUUAUUUACGUUUGGAUGCCCCUUUGUUGGGCAACCCCAUGGGUUAUAAUUCAUGGCAUGUCUUCAAAUUUGAAAGCUUGCCUCGUAUAUUAGUUUGUCUUAAGCUCGAAUUGGUCGACGGUCAAAACCCAAGUUCAAAAUCACGUGGAAAGUAGAUCAUCAAGCAAGUCUUAAGAGCUAGAAUCUGGAGAAAUUGGACAAUUCCAAUUGAGGUUGUUCACGCAAUUUGACUUGAAAAACUAGAAAACUGAAAUUAGAAUGGAAAGAUUAAUUAAACUGGAUUUUCAUCCCUAUCCUGUUGGGGAAAAGACAAAUAAUUAGUGCUCGAGUCUUUUCCAGCUACUCCACACCAUGCCACCAAGUUGUCGAAGCAGUGUUUCUUUAUAACUCAGUCUCUAUAUGAUUGAUUUUUGGUUGAAAUAACCUUGUAAGCAUGAUCAUUUCUCCAAUCUAAUAAAGUAAAAUAACCUUCACUCUGAUCAUGAUGCCUCCUCCAACAGAAAAAGAAUGUCCCAUCGACGUCAAGAUGAAAGCAACAUAAUGACUAUAUAAAUAAAUAAGUUAACCAACUCUUUUCAUUAAUAAUAUUCAAUUGUUUGUAAGUUACCAUUCUUGUCUUGGUUGAGGUGGCCGACAAUGGUCUUUUUAAAAAAAAAAAAUUAAUUUAUAGAUUGGCCAGUUCGACUUGUAGCAAAGUGCUACCAAGUUUUCAACUUCCUAAGGAAACGAUUUGUGUUUAGGUGAGGCCUUAACUAACGUUAGGUUACCGAGCUCCAUCGUCCACGCCCAAGGAAGUCGCUGGUAUUUUUAUUUGAUUAGUCUAUAGCAUUUUUAAUUUUCUCACUAUUUCUUUUCGUACGCAAUAGUUGUGCUCUUUUUCUAGUAUUAAGUAAACAAAUAACAACUGAGAAUGUAAAUAAAAUUGCUAAAAAAAAAACCGAUAUAUGCAACUUCUAGGCCGUACCAUAGGUCUCUAGGUAGUCGCGCCUCAACUUUUGUGCCCCUUGAUCAUUAAAAGAAGUGGAAAGAGAUGAUUUCUUCAUCGUAGCUUACUAGCACGAAAAUUGAACAUGCACUUCAUUUUUAGUUAAAUUUGCUUAUUAGUCAAAAAUAAACUCUCAUGUGUUAUGUAAGCCACCAGAGGGUGCCUCAAUUAGCGAAGAUUAUUGAAUCAUUCCAAAGCAUGAGAGAAUAAUGUGACCUUGUCACUUGCCACAUUAGAUAAUUUUGUUCGUCUCUUUUUCAUUUACUUAUAUUCCCCCACAUCUAUAUCACUUAUAUUCUCUGUGUGUAUUUGCACCAUAAUAGCAUUAAGAUAUAGCAAAUAUGUGAUUGGCUAUUUAAAAAUAUCGCAAUGGUGGGUUCACAUCCAUAUCAAUCAUAUGCAAAUCAAUCACCAAAACAAGCAAAACUAAACAACUAGAGAUUAUCCUUUCUUAAGAAAUUUUGCAAAACACGACAUAUAAUUAUUCUUUAAAAUUAAAAAAAAAAUCAUGUUUACUUGGCAUCUCUAUCUUGCAAUUAUUGAACAAUAGUAAUAUGAUAAUGUUAUGCUAACAUUGAUAUUUUCAAAAUGACACAGAAUGCAAAUGACAUUAUUCUUUAGAAUAAAAAGUUAUGCUUAAUUAAUCCCAUGAUUGAUAAUGUUGAUUGGGGAGUUGGUUUCUAGCUUAGGAACCAGAGAUCCCCCAUUAGAAUCCCACAAAUGCAUGCAAACUGUCUCAAUUAACGAAGAUUAUUGAAUCAUUUCAAAUCAUAAGAGACAAUGUGACCUUAUCACUUGCCGCGUUUCUUGUCUCUUCGUCCUUCCCCUAACCUAUAAAAAAACAAAAUGAGUAAUGGAAUAUCCCCUAUUUCUAUAUCACUUAUAUUCUCUUUGUGUGUAUCUGCACCGCCCUAUCAUUAAGAUAUAGCAUAUAUGCGAUUGGCUCUAUUAAAAAUAUCACAAUGGAGGUUUCCAUCCACGUCAAUCAUAUGCAAAUCAAUCACCAAAAGAAGCAAAACCUACCAUUUUACUGAGAUUAUCUUUUCUUAAAAAAUUCUGCAAAAUGCGACACGCACUUAAUCUUUAUGAUAUAAAAAAAAAAUCAUGCUUACGUGGCAUCACUAUCUUGCAAUUAUUGAACAAUGGUAAAAUGUUAAUAUAGUCAUUUUCAAAAUGAUGCAGAAUGCAAAUGACUAUUACUUUCAAAAUAAAAAAUUAUGCUUAAUUAAUCCUAUAAUUGAUAAUGGUGGUUGGGGAAUAGGAUAUUUCCAGCUAAAAAACUAGAAAUCCCCUAUUAGAAUCCCACAAAUGCAUGCAAAUUGCUCUGGAUUAGAACCGCCUACAUAGACCAAAGGCUUAAGCUGAACCAAUUCACGAGACUUGUAAGAUAUUUCAUGAGCUUCUAGGUAGACAGGUGUACAUGCCUAUGCUCCUAGAUAAUACAAAAAAAAUGCUUACUUUAGGAGAAUCCGAAUUUUUUACGCUAAUUAUUUUAGUAUAUACUUAUUCCUCUAAACUAGGUAGUUUUUAUGCAAAAGGUCCUUAUCAACUAAAUUACAAAGAGUAUAUCCCCCGUGACUUUAAUUAGUAAUAACACUUUUAUUUGUCAGAAAUUAGUCAUAGCCUUUUCAAAUACUCCUCCUAAUAAAUUUACAUAUUUAGGACUAAUUUGACAUUCUAAUCUAAAAUUAUGGUUGGUAAAAAAUUACAUAACCUCAAUAUUUCUUUCUGAACUAAGUUUGUUUUUGUUUUUGUUUUUUUUUUUAAUGGCCCCUCUCAUGUGCAAGCUAGAUCAAGAGUAGCACGUGAAAUUUGACAACUAAGAGUGGACUCACACACGAAAGGGGUAAGUAGAACUUGGUUAUGAUAUCAUGUUAGAAAAUCCAAUCCAAAGAUAUGUAAAGAGCAUAUAAACUUCAUUAUCAUGCGAUGCGGGAUAUUUCAUUACAUGCCAACCAACGAUAGAGACAGAGCCCCUCUAAUGUGUUUGUAGCUCCUAAUGAGCUUCACCAAUCAUGAUAUGUUGAAAUGCCUCUAAGUUGCUCUUUGCUUUUCCUCAAUAUGUUCCUUGAUGAAUCCACCUAGAAUAGUCUGCACGCGUACAUGUGUGAACGAUCCAGAUGUGAAUUUGCUUAAGUGGAAUGAGAAAUCCAAGGAUAAAUUUGAAGGUAAAGAGCAAGAAGGUAAUGAUAUGAGGUCGAAGAAAUUUAAUGAUAAAUUUAUUCUUUUGAAAAUGGUCGAGGACGAAAGAAAUUGUUGGCUGACAUCGUCUCCUAAUAUAUGUUAUUAGGAGACACUAUGUAGAUGGAAGAAAGCCUGCAGCAAGUGGACAUCAACAGCUAUGACAUUUUAGUGCUAGCGUAGAGCUGCUCGUGGAGAUUAUUCAAGUGACUAUUUUUACUCCAUUUUUUAUUUCCUGGCUGACGUUACUCCAAUUAGGAUACCCCAUGGACACAUUGAAAAAUAAAUAAAAUUCCAUGUCAUAUGAUUUCCCACACAAACCAAAUCAACUUGAAAAGCACAAUAUUGAGUCCUAACAAUUAAUGCCUUGGGACUCAACCACGGGUAGCGCAGUUGGUGUGCAUUCUCUCCCUCAUCAUUGAGGUCAAGAGUUCAAACCCUAUUGUUGCUAAAAUGUCUUAAGCAGGGGGUCCUGGGCUAGCCUCCCCUAAGGUUUAUAUCUAACUAGUGGCUUGCAGCGAGGCACGACGGAAGGUCGUGUGAUUCCCGAAGGGUGAUCUCCGGCUGUUCCUCGAUCAUCAAAAAAAAAAAUUAAUGCGUUGGGGAACUCCCUGCCUGUAUCAGAUCCAUUGGGUAGAGGAAGGAUCCAGGUGGACCAUCUCUUAUUUCCAGGUGCCACGGCAUCUUCAUCACUUCGUUGCCCGGCAAGAUUGGCCGCGUCUGCCCCCGGUCAACAGCCUCCAGACACUGUAGCCCCAGGUCAAGCAGGUGGUCCAGCAGUAGCAUCCGGUCAAGGCCCCUUCCCAUAAAAAAACAAAAAUAAACAAACUUCUAACGUAAAGCUUGUGGUUAUAUAUGUUUCUGAUUCGUGAUAUCACAUCACUAUAUCAUGGUUGGAUUACCUGUGAGUUUCUUUUCAUUCAAUAGGUAAAGGUGUCGUGUCAAGGAAAUUGGAAAAAAAUUGAAGAGGCUCUUCUUUUUGGUGAGAAAAUGCGAGAUGGUUCUCUACUGCCUUUGUUUCCUUUUAUUUUGAUAUUUGUUGGAUAGGUCCAAGGACAACCUAGGAGUUCUAAUUUCAAUGGAAAGUUGUUCUUCUUAGCACAUUUUGCCGAGUCAUUGUCUUCUGAAGUUUGUCAUCUUUUUGGCACUUUGGGUGAGAUUGAAUCAUUCACUUAGAAAGUUUAGGUAACGGCAUCUCAUUUAGAAUGAGUGGUGCAUUAUCAGUAAACAGAUACAAGGGACUAAGUUAGUUCAAGUAUAAUAUGUCAAGAAGAUUAACAUUAUCAAAAUUUGGUAUUUACUCCACAAAUCAAUAAUACGGCCAGCGAAUCAAUGUUUGUCCAUUGGCAGUCAAGGAAAGGAUGGAGAAGUAAUAAAUAUUUGUCCACUAGCCGUGGAGGAAAGGAUGGUUUGCCAAAUCAAAGUUUGUCUAAUCACUAAUUGUCUAUGAGCAGUACAUGAAAGAAUGAAUACUUAAUCAAUGUUCGUCCAUUAGUGGUGGAGGAAAUGAUGGUUUACCUAAUCAAUGUUUGUCUAAUCACCGUUUGUCUCUGAGCGGUGCAGAGAAACAAUGGAUAUCUAAUCAAUGUUUGUUCAUUAGAAGUGGAGUAAAGGAUGGAGACAUAGACACUGGUGAUGGUUACUGGUUAAGGAAUCAUCAAUCUCUAUAUGCGUAUUAGAUGGUGACUAGGACAUUAGGACUAGUACCUAACCAAUGUUUGCAUCACUCGAUUGUUUAUGUGUGCACAUUAUUGUCUUGAUUGAGGCAACCGAGAGUGGUAUUCCCCUUUUUUUUUGGCUGGUAAUGACUUGGCACAUUUUGCUGCCGAGUUUUCAGCUACCUAAGGAACUGACUCGUGUUUAGAUUAAAAAUGGGUUUGUAACGCAUAUUGAGACAAUUAUUACACGAGCGGUGAUUACAACAAGCUAAAAUUAAGUUUCAAAUCAUAAUCUCAUUUUGACGAUGACAGACUAUAUGAAGUACUUAUUACACGGGAGAUGAUUCAAGUCAAAUCAUUUUGGUACUUUGACAGUUGGUAAUCAUAUGAUUUUUACUUUCUCUUUAAGCCACUAGAUGUUAAAAAAAUGCAAAGAAACCAAGCAAAGAGCUUGCAUACCAUGUAGAUAUUAAGUGAUUGUUAAUAAGCUGCGGGUCGUAGGGUCUUAAGAUAAUUUCUCGAAUUGCUGGAAAAGCAAAUGCUGAAGCGAGUCUUAAAAAUUAUAAUCCAAGCCCUCUUAUAUAGAGAAAUUUGACAAAGUCAUUCCAGAAGAAUAUAUGUGUAUAUCACACAGACUAUGUUAAUAUGGACUAGCAAAUUAUAAAGAAAUUUGCUGCUUCCAUAACUAAGUAAAAAAGCCCAAAAGAUAAGGGGGGGCUAGCUAUGAUUCUGAAAUUUUAUCGGAGAUCUAAUGACUAAUAAUUUUAAUAUUAAAUAGGAGAUACUGUUGUAUUUUGUUAUAUUAAUCAGAUAUUUGAACAAAGAAGAUUGCUUUACUUUGUCAAAUUGAACCGGUAGUUUGAUAAAACAUUAUUUGAGCUGUAGAAUUAAACGUCUCUAUCCUAUUCUUUUUCUUUUUCUCCAUAUCUUUACAUUCCGAGCUUGAGCUAAUAAUCAAAAUGAGUUGAAUAUAGAUUUGGUGCAAAUCUACAAAGACCAGCAUGAUAUAUUAAGUGACUCAAUAGAACUAGGCACAUUUCGACCAAAAAAAUAAAAUAAAAUAGAACUAGGGCACCUUAAAAUUGAGUUGAUGACAUGGUGCGUAAUGUACAUGCCACGUGUGACAAUAAUAAUUUAAAAAAAAAAACAUACAUGUCAUGUGGGGGUGGCCUAUCCUUAUUUGUAUGUUCUCUUCUAAUAAUUACACUUUGUUCUUUAGAUGGUGACAAAUUGCAUAAAGUGCUAUCCUCAUUUGUAUGUUCUCUUCUAAUAAUUACACUGUGUUCCUAGAACCACAGGCACUCAUUUUUCCGCUUCCCUUCAAUGUCUUACUCAGCAUCUUUGCCUUGAUCAUUGUGCAAUAUGUGUGUCCUUUUUUAAGACUAAACUUAUCUGAAUAUGGUCAUAAGAUUCCAAAUCGAUAGAGCUCUGUUAUUGGAAAAAAGCUAUGGAUGUUGCUCAUAUCCACAAGAAGCAAUAAUUUGACUAGACAUCGGAUAAAUGGGGUGUCCCUACUCCCUCUCGAGUCCACAUUCAUAUAGUUAAGGCUGUGAAUAUACAUAUUAUUGUGUCCUCUCAUUUUAUGUGCUUAUAUAAUGAUCUUUCAUAUUCGUGCAUUGCUUAUUCAAAUAUGCAUGUAGGCAGACAAUUCUCUUUGUAUUCUUCAGGGGACAUAUUGAGGGAAAUAAUGGAAUUGUAACUGUAAUCAUUUAGAUAUCGUGCAAGUCUGAACUGCAAUAAGAAGUGUUUGGUAAUAUCACUUGUAGUUUUAUAGGCCAUACCUUUUCUCAAUUUGCAAUCUUUUGACUGGUGUUUAGCUAAAUCACAUCAUUUACAAAUGGCAGGUACUUGAAAAUAUGAGUUCCUAUUAAUAAUAAGCAUUACAUAGUGAAUGAUUUAAUUAUUAAGGUUUUUAUUUUCAAGAAGGCAGCCAUGCAUUCUUACCACAAUCUCAUUAUUGUACCAUGCCCACAAAAGUAAGAUCCAUAUGUACUCUUUUGUCUUAUAUAGCUUUGUGUUUGCAAAUUAGUUUUAAACUUUCCUCGAACCUCUUGUUUAUUUGGAAAAUAGUUUUAAACUUUCCUUGAACCUCUCGUUGCUCCUUUUGUCACUUUGCAUCAGUGACGCACGGUCAAGCAUAUUGGCCUCAAUCACCAAGUGAUGUGUUUGUUCUUUUUCAGACUUUAAUGAUAUGAAUAUCUGUAAAGGAUUUGUAAUCGAUUGUCCCGCACAAAUAGUGAUGAAGUGUACUAUGCAUGAUUUGGGUUUCCACAACAUCCUUUCAAUAAUUAUUUACUAUUUUGAGCAGAAGAGUAGUUGCAUAGAUAAAUAGAUUUGACCGACAAAAAUCGAUGUAACAAAGUAAUGUUGGACGCAAAUUGCGCAACCCCAAAAUCUCCAUAACAAGAACAAGAACAUGCAUAAUUGAGUAGAAAGAUUAAUGCACCUGUUUUGGGAUCCAUUGUUCUUGAAGCGGAAGCGGAAACACAAUGUUCCACUCGCAAGUCCUUCUCCUCUAUUGCCCUCCGUAUCACUAGCUCAAUGAGGCAGCCCCCUCACAUAUACCGUUAGGUAAACGCCCCUUAGGUGAUGAUACAAGUGAGAAUUAGGGUUAGAGGAGAGACUUGAGCACUAUUUAUAGAGUUUCCAGCCAGUCCCUCUCAUUACGAGCUAGGCUCAACUCGGCCCACAUUAGCCAGCCCAUAUUAGACUAAUUAAGAAACCUUCUAUCUCACCUUAGACCAACCAUGUUUUACGGUAACCGUAAAAACAGUAAAUUACAAUAUCAAUUAAUUUAGUCCACAUUAGGAUAACUCUUACAUUCUCCCACUUGGUCUAUAUUAAUUGAAAUCGUACUGUAUAUACGCACAUUUGGUCCAGAGAUAAUUCUUAAUAGUCAAUCAUAUCCCAUAAAGUCUUAAACACCGAAUCAUGGCGGUAACUGCAUGUAUACACACAGAGCAUUCCAUGGUCACGAGUGCUCUCAACUUUAUUGAUAUGGAUUCAAUAUGGUAGUGUGGCAAAUGAAUAACAUCUCUCAUAGAGAGAUCCCAUUUGUCAGUCAUCAUUCUCUUACCUUAGGUGUCACAAAAACUUGUGCCACUAGAGAAUGCUUUAUGGUUCCAAUGAACCCACAUAUGUCUUGUCCUUAUGGUUAACCUUUUCUUUAUGUAUCACAAGAUAUAUGCACAAGGCUAAUAACCAGAUGCCCGGAUGCCCCUAGCCUUCACUCAAGGUUUAUACAAUUCCUUGAGACUUUAUCAAUAUGUAUUCAACAUAAUAACAAUACAUUCAAAAAUAUUUUAUUGAAUGCAAAAGUUGAUACAUAUCAAACCGUUACAAAGUGUAACGAACACAGAUGAAACCUUUAUCAGAGUAAAGCCAAAAUAGCUCCCACUAAACAACAGUAUCCGAAAAUACUCCUAGGCCCAUGCUAAUGACAUGUCACUCAAAUACAAAUGGGCGUAUGCCUUUAGUUAGUGGAUCUGCAACCACAUCAUCUGUGAAAAUAUGUUAUAUUAUAAGUCACCUUUCUAUACCGUUUCUUUAUGGUAAAAAAUAUUUGACCACCAUAUAUUUAGACCUCUUGAGACCUCUGUAGUAAAUAAAUAAUACUACAAAUUUGUUAUCUCAAUACAACCCUAUGGGUCUAUCCAUCAAGUUAAAACGAUCAACUCCAUCAUGAGGUUCUGGAGCCUAAUAGCCCAAGUAACAACCUAAAAGAAUGUUACAAACACUGCAUACAUAGUAGAAGAUAACAUAGAACUUUAUUUACUGCACUUCCUACUAACAUAAAUCUGUAUCUUGUUAUUGAUAUUAUAUCAUCCUAAUAGCCAGCAAAGUUAACAUAUGAAUACCUUACUCACUGCAAGAAUUAAACUUGUAUGUAAAUUAACAUAUACUCUCUUGUCCUUUUAAGUACCUUAAAACCUUUUGGCAGCAACUCAGAUCGUGUCCUGGAUUCAACUUAUAUUUGCCUAAAAGUCCCAUCACAAAGGUGAUAUUUAAUCUAGUGCAAAAUCAAAGCAUACAUUAUACUUUUAAGUGCACUAACACAAGGUACACCAUUUAAUUAGAUUUUAUCAAUAUCUAAAUAAGGACAAUGUGAUAGAUUUAGUCUAUCACCCUUAACAACAGGAGCAAUUCCCGGCUUGCAAUGAUGUAUAUUGAAUAUUUCCAAUAUACAAUCAGCAAAUGUCCUCCGAGAAAAUAUAAUAUAAUAUGUCAAAAACAAUCCUUACAGACCUCAGUACAAAAGAUAUAAGAUGUUUCAAGGCCACAACUUGUAAGCAAAAUAUCAUGUAUAUAGAGUAUAAGAAAAAAUAAAUUUCCUCCCAUUGACCUUACAGUAUAUUGAAUUACUUUGUUCCCAAUUGAACAAGAUAACAAUACUAUAAAACUUUAAUAAUAUUGUUUGGAAACUUGCUUAAUGCCAUGAAUUAGAACUUUUGAGUCUAUACACAAGUUUACUUGAAUCUGUUGCAAAAUCAUCUAGUUGCAUUAUAUAGAUUUUGUAUCUAUUUGGCGUAACUCCAUAUCAAAAUAAAUUAUUAAUGCCACGUUCACUCUAAAAGAAUCUUUUAAAAAAAAAUUAUUUCUUCACUAUUAACUAUCCACCCCUCUUUCAGAGUGAAAACUUUAGCUACAAGUUUAGUUUUAAACUUCACAGUUUUCCUUUGAAAUCAUUUUAAUUUUGUACGCCAAUAUGCAACUAAUGAACUUGUGAUCUUUAGACAAGUAAGUUUUUUUUUUUUUUUUGGUAAGGGUAAUUAAAUUAGACAAGUAAGUUAGUUUCCAAAUACUAUGAUGUUUCAUUGAUUGUAUAUCGACUUUUAUGGCAUCUAAUCACAUACUUAAUUGAGAACAAUAAACGACAUUUAUAUAAGUUGCUAAAACAACCAUGUAGUGGAUAUUGUAAUCAUGCUCUCACAAAUAGACUAUAUAGUAUGAUGAUAUAACUGAUCGUCUUUCCCUAACAAAUCUCCUUAAUAAAGCUGCAACCACUUCAUUCUGCACUUGUGAGGUUUAAGAAAAUUUCAUCAUAAACUAUAUCAAGCAUAGUACCUUAAACCUCAACAAGUUUAGUUUAUGGUAUAGGAGAUUCAAUAAUUGUUUGUACCACAAUUAUCUGUAUAGGCAAAGAUAAAGACACAGUGAUUUUCCAUCGUACUAUUAUUCUUAAUAGUCUAAGAGCAACUAUUAUCUACAUUACGUUGAACUGUAGAAAUUUUACAGUAUGUGAUUCCAUAAUACCUAUACCUUCUUUAGGGUCAUAAAAUAUACCUCUUUAACAAUCUAGAUAAGAUACAAAAUAAUUCCGAGUGGAUCUAAAUUCCAACGCACUUUAUAUUGGAUUAGAUAACCUCAAUUUUGCAUGACACUUCUAAAUUUCAUAUGAUUCAAGUAAUUUAUGUCCAAUCUAUAACUCGAAAGAAGUUUAUGAAAUAACUUUGAUAAGAAACACAUUUUGUAUCUGAAAAAGUUGCUUUCAUAAUAUUAGCCCACAAAAAAUCAGAUAAAUUAGUCUUACUAAUCAUACUCAUCACCAUGUUCAAUAUGGUGCAUUUAUGCCUUUCGGCCAAAUCUUUUUGUCAGAAUUUUCAAGUAUAGUAAUUAAAUUACCACCCCAGAAUCUACCAAGUAUUUGACAAAUGACCCUUUAAGCUAUUUCGCAUUGUCAUACUUGCCAAAAUACUCACGGCCACUGUUAAACCUGACAACUUUUUAAGACUAAUUGUAAUUGUUUUAUUCUUUAUCUUGGUCAUUUUCCUUAAAUAGAAAACUUUCGGAAACAACAUUUUAAUCAUAUACGAGAUGUAUAUGUCAUUAGGACUUAAACACAAUCUUUGCAGAUGUGUCCUAAUUUCAAUAUCAGACAAGACAUAAUUUCAAGCAACUAAGGCUUCCAUCAUCUUAUAGCAGUGCAGUCCGCAGGCAAACCUCUUUUCAAGUGUUCCAGAAUGGAACGCUUCAUGGACAGUAAGCAAAUUCAAUUGCUCUUUUCUUAAGCAACAAAUAAUAUGUCCACAACUUAAAAUUUGAAGCAGUAAAAACCUCAAUAAUAAUGAAGUUAUUAAUUACAUAAAAGGUGACUGAAAACCAAGCAAUGUAUAUAAUUAGCAUCAUAUGAGUACUGUGUAACUUGACGUACAAGUACACAUCCAGAGAGUUACACGCAUAAUCAUAUCAUCACCUUUGGGCAGAAUACAUGACAUGCAGUUGUACACUCCCCACAUGAUAGCGGUUAUGAGAAUAUAUUUCAAUUCUUCGUGAAUUCAUUACCUUUGGGCAUAUGAAUCACUAGAAUCAAUCAUUCCUCCACCACACUAUCAUGUAUCCCUCCAUGAACUAAUACACAAUCACCUAUUUUGGGAGUAUGACUACGCAUUAGAUCAGGAGACAUCCCAAUCAUUAUACGAGACCGAAAUUUCUCAAACCCAAUCAAGCGUGCCACUUUGGCGGUCACUACUCAACUGAAUCAUUGAAAUUCUCUCAUACCAUGGAUAUAAACUUUACUUCUCACAUACACCAUAUACAUGUGAUUUUAACUUUAGUGAUAGGGGCAGCAUAUCACCAAAAUCACAUAUCAUGCUAAUUACAUUGCUUUAUUCAUUAAUAAAAUUAAUCAUAUAUAUAUAUAUAUAGCGAACCUGAAAGACAGAUUCCAAUGAGAUCAUUGAUCAUAGUAAUACAAGAAACUUCUCAUAACAGAGAAUAAAACAUCUCUUAUGCACCCCAAUUAUAUAUUACCAGAACAACAUAAAAAGAAUGCUGAUAUAAAAUAUCUCUCACAAAUUAACAUCAAUAGUAAUAUAGGGUACACCAAAUCGACAAGCUUGACAGUUGAUCCAUUAUCACUCAUGAGUUCAUAAGGCAAAAAUGACUCCAAGGCCAACAACUGAUUUAUUAAUCAAUUUUAGGUAACAAAUAUCAUUACUUCAACCAGUGGCCUAUAAAUUGAGUCAAACCACAGAACUAAAUAUCUAAACUAUAACAGUAGAUACUAUUACUCUGCAUAAAUAUUGCCAUACUCCUUUACCAUAAAAAAUAUUUAACUCGAUAAACAUUAACCAGUGACCAUAUGAGUUUAUGUACAAUAUGCAAUAACUUUACUAACAUGCAUUACCUACACUAGGUAUAUGUGUUAAUUAGUACAAUCAGUUUGGUCACAGAUUCUUAAAACGUCCAUCAUUCAAAGGUUACCAACAUGUAAAAGAGUAUGCAUGAGCAAUAAAAAAUUUAAUGACUUUUACUGUUUCUCAUUAUCUCAAGAUAUAUUCAAUUACCAUCUCAUAAUGAUUAUAUCUCAUUAAACCAGCUUCAGUUCACAAUAAAGUUUGAUUUUUAUUGGUAAAUCACACCUUUAUAAUGAUUAUGUGAUAAUAUACCUAUAACCCAACCCUUGUAUUUCCAAAAUCACAGAAAAAUACAAGGAAAAAUACGCAAAAAUUCAUUUAAAAUACACGUAUUUAGGGUUGCAUAUGCAAUUUCACAUCAAUAAAACUAUCAAAAAUAUAAAAUAAAUAUACCACGAGAUAGGAAAUCACCAUACGAGUCCAACGUCGCCAACCACGCGCCAAAAGAAGACCCCACGCGCCCGCAUGCGCCACCUGAGUGAGCAGCGCGUGGGGCUCACGCGCGCGUCUUGAAGCCGGUUAGAAACCGGUCCGACCAGUGGCGGUCUGACCGAUUCCCGGUCUGACCGUCCGGUCUAGCCGCCCAAUCCAAACGGUUGACCGGUCCAGUCAACGGUUGACCGGGCCGGGUCGGUCUAUGGCACCCCUCGACAGCCCCCGAUCUGUUAAGGUCGCCACAGUUCGCUUGCCUUUCACUUUCCCUAUUAACAUGUCACUCUGAUACCAUUUCAAUUGCAGCGGGUCUAUACAACCAUGGGGGUUUACAUUUUUUUUUUUGAUAGGUCCCUUGCGCAAUUCAUAUACGGAAGCACAUCCAACAAACUCCCUUCCCUAUAUUCAGAAAACGAUGCACACCUACAAAACAUCUUAUAUAAGUUAAAGCCGAACACGUUUAUUUACAUAAAGCAUAUGGACAUCUUUAGUCUGUACAUCGAAAUGCCAAUGUUUCUAUACUCGGCUAUACUUCAAAAGAUGACUGACAUCUCUUAUAACAGUCGAAUAUUUAAAGUCCAUCGAUUAGUGUCGGCAUCCAAAAAUUCCUCCAUUUGCUAUCCUCCUCCUCGCAAUCAUAUCCAACCACUUGAUUCAUCUACUGGUAGCAGUGGCAGCAGAGACAUCUUAUCUAGUCUGAAAUGUUAUUCCCCAAAAGGGGUGAGUACAACCACUCAGCAGGUAAAUGAUCAAUAAACCACUCAAUACAUCAUGCCAUGCAAUCAUCACAAUCAUAACAUCACAUGUCAUACAAGCAUCCAUGCACAACAUACCCUGGCAUCAUGCACAUGUCAUCAUACCUCAUGUACCAUCAUCAUCAUAUAGACGUCAUCAUCAUAUCAUACACUUACCAUCAACAUGUCACAUAUGGCAUCAUCCUUACCAUGCAUCCAUGCGUAUAACAUCAUCAUCAUAUCACCAUAUCACAUGUACCAUCAUCAUNNNNNNNNNNNNNNNNNNNNNNNNNNNNNNNNNNNNNNNNNNNNNNNNNNNNNNNNNNNNNNNNNNNNNNNNNNNNNNNNNNNNNNNNNNNNNNNNNNNNNNNNNNNNNNNNNNNNNNNNNNNNNNNNNNNNNNNNNNNNNNNNNNNNNNNNNNNNNNNNNNNNNNNNNNNNNNNNNNNNNNNNNNNNNNNNNNNNNNNNNNNNNNNNNNNNNNNNNNNNNNNNNNNNNNNNNNNNNNNNNNNNNNNNNNNNNNNNNNNNNNNNNNNNNNNNNNNNNNNNNNNNNNNNNNNNNNNNNNNNNNNNNNNNNNNNNNNNNNNNNNNNNNNNNNNNGGCAUCUCGUAUCCCAACUAGCAUCACGAGGCAUCCCCCUGGGCACAAACCUCCAGGGCUUCCGGCAUUUACACUCCUUGGCCGGGCAUCUCGCAUCCCAACUAGCAUUGCGAGGCAUCCCCCCGGGCACAAACCUCUGGGGCUUCCGGAAUUACGUACCGACAUAUCACCAGGAUCCCCCCCCUCCUCUGGAAUUAUGUACCGUAUACCACCGGGCAUCUCCAAACUCCCGAGGAAAUCUCCGGGGCUCGCCAUGAAAAUGGUUUCCCCUACCCUCCGGAAUUACGUACCGACAUACCACCAGGCCUCCCCUGGAAUUACGUACCGUAUACCACCGGGCAUCCCGACACUCCCGGGGAACCGUUGGCUCACACCUCCGACGGCCUUCUCACUUAUCUCAAUUCACAUUUUCAAUUAUAGUUCAAUUAUAACAUGGCAUGUGAUGUGAUGGCAAUCAAGAUCAUAUUCAUCAUUGAAUUCAUACAUGCAUCUCAAAUCAUUAUCAUGCAUGCAGCUAGACACCAUCAUCCAUCACAAUACAAUUCAUGGAGUCCAUGCAAUAUAAAAUGGUCCAUAUCUCAUGCCUUUUCAAAGUUUACAAAAUUCCAGCAUGUACCAUUUUUAGAAAAUAUUUAAAUUAAAUAUCCAUAUGCUUCUCAAAAAUCAUGAAAUUAAGGCUAGUGAUAGACAAGACAAUAGGGUAAUAAUUUCAUGAAAAACACAAGGCCAAUCAAAUUCCACACAAAAUUAUAAUUCACACAAAUACAGCAUGUAAUUUCGGAUAGAAACAGAAUGCACAGUUUCCGAAAUAAUUUUAUUAAAAUAUCCAAAAAACCUCAGAAAAUUAUAAAAUUUUACCAGGUUAUAGCCAAGACACUAAAGUGGAUUUUUCAUGGAGACUUCUAAGACAAAUUAUCUUUAGAUUAUUUUCUACAGUCACACGAAGCUUCUGGAUCUAACACCGAAACGUCCAGUGCAUGCUUCUCCGAAAUACUGAGUUUUCACCUACCUAUUAUUCUUAUUUUCCUCUGAAAUUUGGAUAUGUUUUACUUCAAGAGGUCCCCUACAACUUUCAUUAAGGGAUCUAAGUCAAAAUUCCAGAGUAUAGUCAUCAUUCGGGUCCAUGAAGUCUCGGGUAACCUAUACCGCGUCUCCAGAUCUACGGUUUUCAAGAGUAAGUUGAUUCACUAGGCUACACUUGUUUAUUUUGCUUCAAAUUUGAUUUUGUUAAACUUAAAGAUGUUCUCUACAAGUUUCAUGAAGAAGUCAAAAAGAUAUUCUUAGUAAAAAUCAAUAUGCAACCACAAAUCCACCGAAAGGUCAGUGAAAUCGUUCCAGAUCUGGUGUCUCCGUAGGAUGAGUGUUUGACCCCUAAAAUCUCCAUCAUUUUGUACUAAAUUUUAGUAUGUUAUAUUUUAAGAUGUUGGAUACAACUUUUAUGAAGAGAUAAAAGUCAAAAUCGAACUCAAAACAUGCAUGCAAGCUCUCACAAGAUUCUGGGUCAGGCGGUUCAUGCGAAAACAUUCCAGAUCUAGCAUCUCCGUAGGAUGAGAGUUUGACCCCUUAAAUCUCCAUAAUUUUGCACCAAAUUUUAGUAUGUUGUAUUUUAAGAUGUUGGCUACAACUUUCAUGAAGGAAUCAAGGUCAAAAUCAAACUAGAAACAUGCAUGCAAGCUCUCACAAGAUUGUGGUUCAGGCGGUUCAUACGAAAACAGCAUGCAUCUCCAAGAACAAACCUCAUGUACUUCGAUUUCUAACCACUAAACAUCCAAAAAUUCAACCACACAUGCAAGGGGUGGAAAUCAGUCCCAACUUGCCUCUAAAACCAAGCGGACAUCGACACACAAACGGCACACCGGCGACGAACGGACGGCGUGCGGGCGGCGACGGGUGGACAGCUCCUUCUCUCGGCUCCCCCUUCUCUCUCGCCACUCCCUCUCUCUCUCACUCUCUCAAAACCAGCCACUCUCUCUCUCUCUCUCUCUCUCUCUCUCUUUUUGGUUGCUAUAUAAAUUGCAUGCACCCUCAAUUUGCAUGGGGGACACUUGUCCCUAAGAAGGAGACAAGUGUCUCCUUUGCCGAAGACACUUGGAGGAAGCCAUGCGGCUCCUCCUUCCCCCUCCAUGCGCCGACAAUGGGCCGGGCUUAUGGCCCACUUUAGGCCCAUCUCACUUGGGCCUAAGGUCCAAACUUAAAUGGCCCAAGUUUAUUUUAUUUUAUUUUUAUAAUAUAUCUUAAUCAUCAUUUAAAUAAAUAUCUAAUUGCAUAAAUAAUAAAGGCCAUUAAACUUAUAGUCACAAAUCCAUAAAUUCCAAUUUAAUGAUGCACAUGGCCAAUGAUAGAAUUUUCUUUCCUAUCACAUAAUUAUCCUUUAAAAGCUUGGCCAUAUAUCUUAUUGCAAAUUAUGGAUUAAAUAGCCAUAACUUGAUGGUACUUCUAUCACCUAUUCAUAGACUUUAAUGUAACUAGAGGUCAUUAUGAAUUUUGGGAUGCCACACGGUCAACGGGUCGGGUCGGUCGCCUUCUAGGUCGGGUCAAUGACGUCAUUCAAGCCGGGCGCUGACGUCAUCGGGUCAAUUGCUAACGUCACCGUGACGUCAGCACUCACGUGCGGUGCACGCAUCGGGUUGGAUCCGGGUCGCUAACUUCACCGUGACGUCAGCGGCCGCGUGCGUCGCACGCCCCGCGCGUGGGGGCGAGUGCGGCGUCCUCCAGCGACGCGCCGCCCACAGUUCUGCUCGUAUCGUCGAGCCCAGUCUGAAUUUGCAAUUUAAUUUUAGUUUUAUUGAGCAAAAAAACUCGAAAAUCGCAAAUUAUGGCAAGAUACAUACUAAUUAGGGCAAAUCCAUACAAAUUAGGGUAGAUCCGUACAAAUUAUGGUAAAUAUGUACAAAUUAGGGCAAAACCAAUUGCAUUCAAGUUUUAGGGUUAUGGUUGCUCUGAUACCACGUGUUGGACGCAAAUUGCACAACCCCAAAAUCUCCAUAACUAGAACAAGAAUAUGCAUAAUUGAGUAGAAAGAUUAACGCACCUGUUUUGGGAUCUAUUGUUCUUGAAGCGGAAGCGGAAACACAAUGUUCCACGCGCAAGUCCUUCUCCUCUAUUGCCCUCCAUAUCACUGAUUCAAUGAGGCGGCCCACUCACAUGUAGCGUUAGGUAAACGCCCCUUAGAUGAGGAUACAUGUGAGAAUUAGGGUUAGAGGAGAGACUUGAGCACUAUUUAUAGAGUUUCCAGCCAAUCCCUCUCAUUACGGGCUAGGCUCAACUCGGCCCACACUAGCCAGCCCAUAUUAGACUAAUUAAGAAACAUUUUAUCUCACCUUAGACCAACCAUAUUUUAUGGUAACCGUAAAAACAAUAAAUUAUAAUAUCAAUUAAUUUAGUCCACAUUAGGAAAACUCUUACAAGUAAUGGGCUUGAAGUUACAUGAACGAUCUCAACCAUCGAAUAAAAUAAAAUUAAUGUCAAAUGUUUGAUUUGGCAUGACCAUUUUGUCCUGCCAAACCCUACUAUCCCAUACCUCAGGCCAAAAAUUACAAGUUGUGCCAUAUCUUUAGCUUUACGCUUGUGAAAUGAAACAAUUAUCACUAAAAUCCAAUCUCGUAUUUAGCUCAUCCAAUGAGAAUCGAUGAGUCUAGAACACUUGGAAUGCCAAAACUUGUCACAAUUGGACACUUAAAUGUCAAAAGUUAGGGAAGUGAUACUUAGGGGGUGUAUGACAAACCAGAAUUUAUGUUCUAGAAACAAUUUUUCUAUUCCAGACUUGAAUCUGGAAUAGAAAUCCGUUUGAUAAACUUAUUCCAUUUUUCUUUUUCUGAAAUAGAUUUCUAUUCCAGAAAUAGGUUUGGAAUAGAAAUCAGAAGUAUAAAUUUUUUACUUCUCUAUUUCUAGAACAUAAAUGAGAAAUAAAAAAAUUUCUCAUCAUUCGUCAACCGGUCAUUCAUCUGUUGCUGCCAACCACCGUCCGUCGAUCAUCGGCCCCCACCGCCGCUGAUCGUCGGCCGCCUGCCAGCCCUCGCCGCCGCUGCCGGUCGCCCGCCACCGGCCGCCGCUAAUCGCCGACCACCGGCCGCCGCCAUCCAUCACCACUAUCCGCCGGUCUGCUGCCAUCCGAAAAGAAGAAAUUUUGUGUCGUUAUCAAACGAAUUUCUAUUUUUAUAGUAGAAAUUUUGUGCUGUUAUCAAAUGGUUAUUUUUGCUUAGAAACUCUUUUAGAAAUAGAAAUAGAAAAAUCUAUUUCUGUUCCAGAAAGUUUCUGGAACAGAAUGGUUGUUAUGCGCGCCCUUAAAUACCAAAAUCGGAGUAAAAUUGAUCAGUUUAGUACCAACGGCAAGAAAUAAAGUUUGGAUAAACUAUGACUUAAAGACUAAUUCAAAUAAUACUUUGAACUUAAUGUUGCCAUAACAAUAUGCUUUGAAAUAUUAAUCUACACUAUUUUAAAAAAACAAAUGAACGACCACUUCAACAUCACAUUUUUACAAAGAAAAUUCCGUGAAAAACCCCGCGCAUAUAUUCCAAAGAAAAAUAAGAAGGCAUUCAGUGAAUCUCUUACCUUCUAAAUUCUGAUUCAAAAUACCAACCAAAAAAAAAAAAAAUUGAUGUAAAAUAGUGGUUAAGUAUUCCAUCAAUCUGUCAUCUUUUUUUAAGAAAUUGUGCAGAAUGCAUAAUACACUUAUUCUUCACAAUAAAUUAAAAAAAAAAAACAAAUUAGACUUACUUAGCAUCUCUAUCUUGCAAUUAUUAAAUAUAAAUAAUACGAUAAUUUCGUUAGAAAAAGCCAUUUUCUCAAGAAAAGAUACAUAAUGCAAACUUAACUUAUCCUUUACAAAAUAAAAAAUAAAUAAUUAUGCUUCCUUAACCCCAGAAUUGGGCUUUAGGAGUUUUCCAACUCAAGAUAUGGAGGUCGCAUGUUCGAAUCACACAAAUUGCGUGCAAAUUAGGGUAGAACCACCUACACAGGUCUACAGUCUAAGCUUAAUCGUUUGAUAAGGCUUGCAGGAUAAUAUAUACAAAAUCCUCAUAAACUUGGUAAUCAUUAUACAAAAGAUCCUUAUUAACUUAAUUACGAAGAGAAUGCCCCCAUCAUACUUUAAUAAGUCAUGACAAAUUUUCUGUUAGAAAAUAGUCAUUACCUUUCCAAAUAGUCAUAGUAAAUAAACAGUUCUAGAAGUGAUUUGACAUUUUCCCCUUAUAAACUGAGUUUUUCAUUUCACUUAAAGGAUAAUUUCAGGGGAUUUCUAUCAACAAACAUGUGAAAAAGUGAAAGAGGAUACAUGAAAGGUAAGGCUUAUUUUCAACUAACGGCCAAAAUUAAGUAGAUAUAAGAUGCCAAGUUAGCCCAAGUCCUAAUGUCAAUAAGCAGAACCUAUUCAAAAAUUGCUGCUCAAUAUGUAAAUUAAUUCUGCGUUUUAGACUGUUUCGAUCUUUAUACCAUUUCAAAAUUAAACUUCAAAUUUUUUUCUUGUUCAAUUAGUUAAAUUAUGACAUUAUUUCAAUAGUUUUUUAUAUGAUUUCGUAGACUUGCACAAGGAGUGGGUUUAGGAUUAGUAUCCCAUCAAUGUUUGUCCAUUAGCGGCGGAGGAAAGGAUGUGGAGACUUAGAGGUUGGUGAUGGUGACUUGUCGAGUAAAGAAAUACUAAACCAUUUCUAUAUAAUCUAGCGAAUCAUGUUUAUAUUAUCAUAUUCAAUUUGUAAACUAAAAGGUAUUGGGAGACACUGAAAUGAUAUCCCCCAUGAUAGUAGUAAUCGAUUAUCUACUCAUUUCACUAGAUUUACAUUGAAUUGAACAUGAGUCUGGUGCUAGCCCUCAUUGACCGACAUAGACUUGGCUUUGAUUAUUUAAUCUCAUUUCGGCGAUUUUUUAAAAUUUUAAGUGUUACAUAUAUAACAUGUCACAUUAAAUUUAAGUUUAAAAAAUGGGUUUCUUACGCGUAUCGAGACAAAUAUUCCAACGGCGAUGAUUCCAACAAUUUAAAAUUAAGUCAAAAAAUUGUAAUCUCAUUUUAAUGUAACAGGCGAUGUCAAGUACUUAUUACAGGUCGAUUAUUUUAGUCAAUUUAUUUUAGUAGUUCAGGACGCAUAUUAUAACUAUUUUGUUUAUCUACUUUUUUUUUUCUUGUGAACGAUUUACAAUAAAAAUUUAUUCAACGCAAUUUUUUUUUCUAUUUUUGGAAUAAAUUUUUAGUCUACAAAUAUGUUUGAAAGAAAAAUGAAAAGUAAAAAAUUUAUACUUGUCUAGUUCUAAAAUAAAAAUGAUAAAUAAAAACUCUUCUCAUCACUUGUCCUUACUAUCAAAUAAGUUUUUGUUCCGAAAACAAAAAAUUUGUGUCAUUAUUAAUUGUGUGUUUUUGCUUAAAAACUCAUCCAAGGCAUAGAAUUAGAAAAAUCUAUUUUUGACCAUAAAUUAAUUUCUAAAAUGGAAUGGUUAUCAUUUAUGCCCUUGACAGUUGUUAAUAAUGUAUUUUUUCCUUUCUAUUUAAGUCACCUGUCGUUAAAAAAUGAGGUUAAUAUCACAAAAAAUCCUAAACUAAUAUAUCCGUAACAAAUUUAUCCAACUAAUUUUUUUACCACAAAAAACUUCAAAGCAGUACGCCUGUGACAAAUAUACCACAUAUUGGUACAUUGAUGAUAAAUUUAUUAAUAAUUAGUUUCUAUUAAAUUACAUUGAUAGUACAAAAAAUCACAAACCAGUACACACGUAAUAGAUGGAGGGUAAUUCUCCAAACAACUAUCACGUGUCAUUUAACUCGGCAAUUUGACUGUAAAAUUUAACAGAAAGUAUAUUUGUUACAUGAAUUUUAAAAAUGAAUUUUUGUUGACCACAAUAUUUGAAAAAUGAAUGUGAAAAGUAAAAGACUCUAGAUAAACCCAAUAAUUUCCCAUAUUAAUUUUUUUUUCAUGUAAAGAGUAGUAGUAUUGAAGAAAGUAAACUUGUUUAUAACGUUGAUGAAAAAUAGCAAAAGUUUAAAUUCCUAAUCUAAAAAAAUAUAAUUUAGGUUACGUCUAAACUAACAAUCACAUUAGACAUUACAAUAUAACAAUAAGCUUGAUUAUAAUGUUACUUCUAUAAUUUUAAUAUGAUUUCAUGGGCGAACACAAGGAUUGGGUUUAGGAGUGGUACUUAAUUAGUCAUUAUUUGUGGAGGAUAGGACGGAUUCCCAAUUUAUGUUUGUCUAAUCACUGUUUGCCUAUUAAUGAAUAAUUAUUCAAAAAAUCCUAAACCUAUUGUAUGACAGCCAAUUUAGUUAUAAACUUUUCAAUUUUACUAAUUUAGCCCUAAACUUUUUAACGAUUUGCCAAUAUAGUCCUUCCAACUAAUUUUGGUUGGAAAGCACUUGGCGCUUGUAUCAAUUGUGAUAACUCGCAUUCACUUUAGCGAUUUCCAUUGAAAGUUGGCUGAAAUGACUAAUUGACAAAUCAUCAAAAGAUUUAGAAUUAAAUUGGCAAAAUUGGAAAUGUUAGGGCUGAAUUGGCCAUUGUACAAUAAAUUUGAAAGUUUUUGGACAAAUUUCUAUCUAUAAACACUGGAGAAAAGGAUGGAUAUCUAAUCCAUGUUCAUAAGAAUGGAGACUUGCACAUUGGUAAUGGUGAUGGUCAAGGAACAGUAAAAUGCAAAAAAAUCAUCCAUCUCAAUAUACAUACAUAUUGAGAAAUUAGCAGUAGUACCAAACUGAUGCUUAUAUUGCUCGAUUGUUUAUAAGUCCACAUUGUUGUCUUGAUUGAGCGACUAAAGGCAGUCCUUUUUUUAAAAAAAAUUUCUUGACCAAUGACGACUUGGAGCGGUGUCCUACAAGUUUUCAGCUUCCCAAGGAAUUCAUUGCAAAGGAAGAGUGGGAAAAAUUGUUCAAGUCACUGCUGGUCUAAUUAGGGGUAUGCAAAAGAACUUGGACCCGCCCGGACGAUAUGAAAUCGGACUGAAAUUGCCCAAAACCGGUGGUUCUUAAGGGAACCGGUCCAAUUCCCGGUUCCAUGGGUGGAUUCGCCCACCCAAACCAAAUCAAUUAUAUUAUAAUAAUAUAUUAAUUUUUAAAAUUAAAAAAAUUGUUAUGAUUAAUCUCUAAUUUUGGGAUAUGCCCGAAUUUGAGUGCGCAAGAUAUGCAAUGUCUCCCUCUCCGUCCAUGCCUACCACAUGUUUGAAGAAAUGCCUAAACCAAAUUUGUUAGGAUUAAUCUUUGAUUCCGAAUUGUUAAAAGGAGUACGUGAAUAUAUACAGUGCAUUAUAGGCUUUUGUUGAUUAUUGAGUAUAUUUUCAAUCAGAUUUCAUCUCCACCGAGUCCGAAUCUCUUUAAUCUUUGGUUACCUUUGCUUUGUGCUUUGACCAUAUCUUUGUGAAUGUCCUUUGUAUUUGUGUUGUGGCUAGGAUCAUAAGUCUUGAAUGGAUGAUGGUGAGGAUGAAGGCCGGCAAAUUUCCAUCUGGUGAUCAGAGGCAACCGAAGAUGGAGGUCCGACAAUGGAUAUUUUGUUUUUUUUUUUUUGGUAAAGACAAUGGAUAUUUUGUUUGAGCGUACGAUGUUACAUAAGUUGUGGUGUUCUGGGUUUAAUGUCCUAUUUCUGGAUAAUGGGAUGAAAAAAUUCUAGGAAGAAAUAAAAUAAGAUAAAAAAAGGGAGGAAAAAGCUUCUUGACCGGUUCCAUGGAUUCACUUAGGUGGUCCAGUUCCUGGGUGGAUCCAUGCAACUAAUGGGCGGUUCUCGGUUUCAAUUUUUUGAAACUAAUCCUUAGCGGGUGGUUCCUAAUUUUAGGGUAGGAACCACUCACCCAUACCAUGUACACCCCUAAAUCUAAUUGGCCUCUCCCACCAAGGGCCAAGUUCUACUGCAUAUCAACGAGUCCAUCUUCGCUUACCAUUACCAUGCUUUAUCCUUGUGAAAAAAUCAUUCAAGAAAAGCAGCAUUUCCCUCAUAUAAGGGAGGAAGAGAGAGAGAGAGAGAGAGAGAGAGAGAGAGAGAGAGAGAGCAGGCUGUCAAUGAAAGGGAAAUCAACUUUUAUCUUGCAAAAGGGGCAGCUGUCAUAGAAAUUCACUUCAUGCAAGUUUCGGCGAAGAAAGCUCGUGUACACUAUACAGCAAUAUGAAGAAAAAAGUUGUGAAGAGCUCGAAAAAGUAAACAGACAUUGCUAACUAAACUGUAGCGUGUAAUGGAGACAGAACUUAGGACAUGUGGGUUCUAAUCUAAAGUCGGAUUUCUGACAUCGAAGGCCAUUGCUAUUGUAAGCGCCCCAGCAGGCAUUUCACCAAAUUAUUUUGGAUUUCAACAUUAUUUUUAUUUUAUUUUAAUUGCAGAUAAAUGAAAUUUAACUACAAACUACCUUCACUGGUUUGUUUGACAGUACAAACUGGCCAAAAUGUGUUCUUAUUCUAAGUAAAUAUAUAUUUUAUAAUCUCUUUUUUUUUUUGGCUUUUCUUUUGGUUAAUCAUUAUAUUUUUCUGUUGAUUGAUUUUUGUUGAUAUUACACUGAUGAAAAGGAAGCAUAACUUAAAAAGGACACUUUUUUUGCUAUUAAUGAGUGUUUUUACAACAUAUGGAAUAUUUCCCCAUAUAUGAAAGUCUUUCAGCCUAUACUAGAUACAUUUACCAAGUACAAUUAGUUUUUAUUAAGAGUAACGUGCAAUCUUAUCAAUAUGUUAAGAAAUUAUCGGUAUGGAUUCCCUGUAAUAUUUUUCAACGACAAAAGAUCUAACUUUAACAUUAAGUCAAUUGACGGUAGAUGGCCCUCUUAAAAUGCAAAAAUAAAAAAAUCCCUCUGUAAUAUUUCCUUAAGAGACCAAAAAGAACAAAAUGCUAAAAUACCUGUUCUGUUAUUGUUAACUUCCCACAUUCACAUUUUUAGCUUGCGGUUACUUUUACCUUUUUUUUUCGUCUUUCCAUUUUCACCUACGGUAUCUCUCUGGGCAAAGUGCUCUGAAUUUGAUCACGUUCGGUGUGAAUUUUCUUUUUGGGAAAUUAUACUCUUUGAUAUAAAGUUAUGGGAAAAUUUCAAAAAAGGAUCGGAAGUAUCCUUAUUUUCUCAAAUAAGAGCUCGAAAUAGACUUUAUUUCAAAUAAGAACAAAAAAUGGCUUUGGUUGUUUUAAAUAAGAGCUUGAAGUGGCUUUGGUUGUUUCAAAUAAGAACUUGACCUCAUUGGUCGCCGGCCAACUAAAUUUUCCGAUCAGUCAAGGUAUUUUCAUCAUUUGACAUUUUCCUAUUUUUUCUUCCUUUUUUUUCUUUCAUUUUGUUUUUUAGCUUUUCUUCUUCCUCUUCACCGGUGACCAACCAGCCAUCGGCAAUGCCCACAGAGGGUGAGGCGAGGGUUGCCCUUGUCGGCAUGGGCCACCUAUGCCAACCACAGGCGAGGGAUGGCCUCGCCUAGUUGUGGCAACCCUUGCUCAAGGGCCAUUCGCGAGGUUGGCCCUCGCUCAUGGCAGGCGAGGGCUUUAGGCCCUCACUGACCCUUAGCAGUGGUCGACGAGGUCGCCCAGGCCUUGCCGGCCGCGAGUGAGGCCACCCUCGCCAGAUCUAGCGAGGGUUGGCCUCGCCUUGGGCCGACACAGGCCAACCUCGCGGAUGGCCCCUCGCUGAUAAGGGCGACUCUCGCCCAACUUUCUGUAGGACUAGCCACCAGCAAAAAGGAAGAAGAAGAACCAGAAGAAAAAAAGGAAAGAAAAAAGAAAAUAGGAAGAAAAAAAUAGGAAAAUUGACAAAUGACGAAAAUACCCUUAACUGCUGGUAAGUCAGGUACUUAUUUGAAACGGAUGUAACCACUUCAGGCCUUUAUUUAAAACAAACAUAAAUACUUUAGAUCUUCAUUUGAAACAAUAUCUACUUUAGGCCUUUAUUUGAGAAAGUAAUGGCAUUUUGGGUCCUUAUUUAAAAUAAGGUCCAUUUCAGGCCCUUAUUUGAGAAAAAUAGGACACUUUGGGUCCUUUUUUGAAAUUAUGCAUUAACUUCACAAAUAAAAUCAAUGUGAAAAUCUACCUCUAUAUAAUUUUGUAUUACACCCUCUACCCACCUUCUAAUAUUAAUUUUUGGUAAAUUUACAACCCUUCUAACCCAAAGGGGCUGCAAUUUUAAGAAUUUCAAUUUUCCAUGCCCCUCUCCCAAAAAACAUUGUGGCCCAUCUAAGCUCCACCAUCAAAAUAAUAUUACGUACUACUAACUAGAUAAAUUAUUGACAUAAUUGCACAAUUAGUUUUAAACUUAUUAUAUGGAAACUAAUUGAGUCUUAAAUUAUUUGUAAUUGAACAAAUGUAGUCCUAAACCUUUGAGUGGAAAAUGCAAUCCAAUUAUUCCUACCAAAGUCACACUUGAUAUAUACAACAUGGCAGUCCCCGUCAUCACUGGCAAUCUGACAUGUAAUACUGAGGUGUGAUGUGGACUAUUUCAACAAAAUGAUGCCGUUUUUAUUGAAUAUGGAGUGAAUAUGAUUCUGUUGCAAACCUACAAAGAAUCAUGUACAGCUGAGCUUUGAUGUUUUAAAUUUAUCUUAAUUGGGUUUUUAAAUUUUAAUUGACUCUUAUAUAACCUGACACACUAAAAUUGGGAGAAUUACCAAAAAAAGUCCUAAACUUUUUGUAGUUGUGUCAAUUUAAUCAUAAACUUUUUUUUUUGGUCAAUUGAGUUCUAAACCUUUUACAAUUAUAACACUUUAGUCCUUCCGGUCAAAAUUGGCCAAUACCGACCACAAAUUUUUUAAUAAUAUUUUAUUUUUCGAAUUAUUUUAUUAAUUUUUAAUCUUUUUAUUUUUACCUUUUUUCUCUCUUUUUUCCCCCUCCCCCCUCCUUCCUCUUUCCUCCUUCUUCCUUGGGCUCCGGCGACUGGCCAGCCCUCAUCGAUUGUCAGAUUGAGGUGGCUGGGGGAGCUCCCCCUCACUAGAUCCAGCGAGGGGGGCCUCUCCAUCACUGGGUCUAGCUAGGCGACCCCUCACUAGAUCCAGCGGGGGCUCGCCCUGCCAGUGGUUGGGCGAGCUUGCCCAAUUGCCUCAAUCUGGCGACCGGUGAGGGCUGGCCAAUCGUUGGAGCCCAAGGAAGAAGGAGGGAGGGGAAAAAAAGAGAAAAAAGGUCAAAGAUAUUAAAAAUUAAUAAAAUAUAAUUAAAAAAAUAAAAUAUCAUUAAAAAUUUGUGGCCGAUGCCCACGUCAAUGUCGGCUAGCCAAUUUUGGAAAAAAUGAUUGAAUUAGCACAAUUAUAGAAGGUUUAAGACUCAAUUGGCCAAAAAAAUAAAUUUAGAACUAAAUUGGCACAACUAUAAAAGGCUUAUGAUUUUAUUUAGUAAUUUCCCCCACUAAAAUUAAGUUGAAAAAUGGAUUUAUAACCCAUAUUGCUACUUCUUUAAGAACUACAUUGUGAGUGUGGCCUAUCUUUGUUCGUUUGUUCUCUUUAUUAAUUACAUUUUGUUAUAUCGAUGCUCUAUUGAUGCUAACACCGUGUAAAUCACUCAUUCCACGGGCGAUGAUAUAAUGCGAGUCAUUUUUGUUAUUUUGACAGCUGGUAAUUGUACGUUUUUUAUUUUUUAGUUUGAAGCUACACGAUGCGCGUGCAAUUUAAAUUUUAGGGGAAAAAAAAAAACAAGCUGGUAUCCAAUAUUGUGACUACUUGGGGUUUGGCUUUCGUUACUUUUAUAAUUUUCUCGCACCUAAUCAAUGUUUGUGCAUUAGCGGUGACCGGUCGACCGAAGGAAUAACAAAAUGAAGAAAAUCACCCAUUUCUGUUGGUCAUCGUCUACAACUCCCCCAUUCCAUUCUUGUCUGGAUUGGAUGCUACCCAACUUAUAAAGGAACUGACUGGUGUUUAGUCAAGGCUACCAAGCUCUUCCACGCUUAUAUUGAUUGCUCUUCGACAUUUCCGUCCAUCGUCCUUCUCUGCACUCAAAUCUCUUUGCCUUCUUCGUCUCUCAUCGUUCUUGCUCUGUCUCGCCCUUUCUUCUCCUCAGCACAACCUUUCUUCCUUCUCCUCUUCUUCUCCUCCUUCAAUAUCUGCUUCUCUUUUUCAUCGUUCUCUUUAUCUGUCUCUCUGUUUUCUCGCUCUUUAUUUCUCGGACAAAAAAUCAAAGAAAAAUGUCGACCGAUUCUGCCGUUUCAAUUGCAUGGGACGUUUUGAAGUGCUUAGUUGCUCCCCUCAGGCGUGGAUUCAGAUACGUCACGUCCUCCGAGAGCUACGCCAACAAUCUUCUGAUGGAAGUCGGGAAUCUGAAGUACGAGGCUCAGAGGGUCCGCAGUGCCGCCGAAGUGGCUAGAGAUAAUCUUCAGAAUAUCCACGAAUGGGUCCCAAAGUUUCUGGCAAGUGCCGAGGAGGCCUUGAAGGAGGCCGAAGACCUAUUGGAAAAUUUUGAAAAGGCGAGCAAGACUUGCUGCCACGGGACUCUUCCCGACCCCAAUUGUCGCUAUCAGUUCAGCAGGAAGGCCAAGCACAAGAUCGAUGACAUUAAGAAUCUCAUUCUAGAAAACAGUAAUAGGGAGAUCUCCUUCAGCGGUCCUGCUCCUGGUGAUGUCGCUGCUCUAAUUCCAGCUGGAAGAGAAGGCAAAGAUGUCGUCCAGUCGACCACCACAGCGGCCUCAGCUUCUUCUGUCGACUUCGAAUCCAGAGCUUUGAUGAUACUGAACAUCAUGGACGCUCUUAUGGAUAACCGCUAUAGCGUGGUCGGGGUUCACGGGAUGGGCGGGGUCGGCAAGUCCACCCUUUUGGUGGAUGCUGAGAAGAGAAUAAGGGAAAAAAAUUCGUUCGGUUGGGUUGCUAAGGCUGACGUGUCGCAAAAUCCAGAUGUCAAGAAGAUUCAAGAAGAGAUUGCGCACUGGUUGGGCCUUAACGACAUAAAGAAGGAAGAGAAUGUCAGUUUGCGAGCGAAGCUUCUGCGCGAGAGGUUGGAAGAUUUGGAGAGGAAGAAAAACAAGGUCCUCAUAAUAUUGGACAAUCUGUGGGAGCGGCUCGACUUGAAAGACAUUGGCAUUCCUUGUGAACUGGACAACAAAGUUAUAGGAUGUAAGCUGUUGUUAACGGCGAGAGAUGAACGUGUUUUGCGAAGGGAAAUGCGCUGUGACAAUGCCUUCCUCCUCGGUGUACUGGAAGACGAAGAGGCAAAAAGAUUGUUUGAGACGAUGGUAGGAGGUAAAGUUCAAGUUGAAUUAGAAUCCUUGGUGGAGGAAGCACUCCACAUAUGUGCAGGUUUGCCUUUCCUAAUUCUCGCAAUAUCAAAACUUUUUAUAGACACUAAUUACUCUGAUUGUAAGGAUGCUUUGAAACAAAUCUGGAACGAAGAAACCGGUGAGGUGAUAAAUAAGACGUUGCGAGUGAGUUAUGAUCGUAUAAAAUGCGAGGAGGCGAAGACAUUGUUACAACUCUGUGCUGUUUAUGGUGUCUCUAAGCCCUCUCUUGAAAACUUGGUGAGGUACAGUGUGGGUUUGGGGCUAUUUAGAAAAAAUAGCAGCAUGGAAGACACUAGAAAUAGAUUGAGCUCACUUAUCCAUACUCUUCAAGCCUCCUCCUUGUUGUUACACAACGGAGAAAAUGAUAGUUUCAAGAUACAUGACUUGGUUCGUGGGUUUGUUACCUCGGUUACUUCAGGAGAUCACUUUCUUCUUGUUUUGAAAGAUAAAGAUAAGUCAGUAAUAGAGUUGUCAAAGAAUAAGCUCAAAAGUUGUAAGGCCAUAUGCUUUUCCUACAUUGAUUUGAAGGAGCUUCCCCAAGAAUUAGAUUGCCCCAAAUUGCAAAUCUUUAUGUUGUUCACAAACAAUAAAUCUCUUGAGGUCCCAGAUUCAUAUUUCAACUCUAUGAGAAAUCUCAAGGUCUUAGAUCUUAGUGGGGUACGUCUCAGUCGUUCACCUUCGUUGUUUCAAUUCUUGACGAACUUACACACUCUGUGUCUUGAUCAUUCUUCGUUAGAGGAUGUGACCAUUCUUGGUGAGCUAAAAAGGUUACAAAUUCUCAGCCUUAUGAACUCCAAAAUUCGGCGAUUGUCAAAAGAAAUGGGGCAAUUGGUAGAGCUAAGGUUAUUGGACUUGAAUUAUUGUUCAAAUCUUCAGAUAAUUGAACCAGGUGUGCUUGGAAGCUUAAUCAAAUUGGAGGAGUUGUACAUGAAUAAACUUAAACAAUGGAAUGCUGUGACCCAAACUCUACCAACUAAUGCUAGUCUUAUCGAGUUGAAUAACAUGAAGAAACUCUGGACUUUGCAUGUGUCCAUUCUCGAUCCAAGUGUGAUCCCAGAGGAUCUAAAUGUCAAGAAAUUAACCAAGUAUGAAAUUCAUAUAGGUGAAGGAUGGCAUUGGUCUGGUCGCAAAGGAUUGAGCACAUUGAUGCUCCAGUGGGAUCCAAUAAGCGAUAUUUUUCAAAAAGGAUGCAUACAAAGAAUUUUAGGCAAAACUGACAAUAUGAUAUUGGAUAGUUUGAACGGAAUUGAGCAAAGUAUUUGCACAUUAUCCCAAAAAGGUUUUCCAAAAUUAAAGCAUCUAUGUGUCGAGAAUAGUCCCUCAAUUCAUUACAUCCUCCAAUCGUCAUCCCAUAUAGAUUUUAUGACGUUGGAGUCAUUACUUCUCAAGAAUCUCAUCAACUUGGAGAAGAUAUGGACCUCCAAUAUCUCCUCCAAGUCCUUCAGCGCAUUAAAAGUAGUACGAGUCAAGUAUUGUCACAACAUGGAAGUACUAUUUCCUCUUUCAUCAGUGAGGGAACUUCCACAGCUAAAAGUGAUGGAAGUUGGCAAUUGCAAGAUAAUACGGGGAAUCGUAGAAGCUGAUGAGAGUGGCAAAUUUGGGUUGCAUGAUUUGCAUGUAUUGAAAUUGCAUUCCUUGCCACAUAUCAUGAACUUUUUCACUACCAAGCUGGCUCCUUUGAGUAGUAGAUCAGACAGCCCAGUUGGCACUCAAAUUGCGUUCUUCAAUGGACAACAGGUAACUUUCUAUCAAAAGAAUGUUAAUUAUUUAUUAGUUUUUUUUUCUUCCUUCGCUUAUUAGAUGUAACGCGGAUUAUGGUGCUUAUUCAAUUUGUUAUUUUUAGUUUGUUUUCUUCCUAAUUGCUUUAUCUGUGCAUGCCUUCUCUGUAAUUAGAUAAAGUAAUCUUCUGUUACUCUUCAGUACAUAGAAAUCCAAAUAAUUGUAUGAAAUCCAUGUAAAUUAGUUUGUGAUAAAUUCUGAGUUAUUUUCAACUUACAUGCUGCAAGUACAUCUAUAUUCAUAGGCUUUCAUAAGCAAAAUCAAAGGGAAUUUUGGCACUAAAGUAAUUCCAUUGGUAAGGUAAUAUUUUAUUUUUUUGAAAUGGAUUCCAUUGAAUUCAGUUAUCAAACUUUGUUAUAAUCCAUAAAAUGUAUGAUAUAGGCAACUCUCUUAAAAACCAACAUGAAGAAUGGAAAGGAGGACAUGGAUUUUAAAUAAAAGUAACUAUGCUAAUAUAAUUGAUGCACGUCUUUUGUAUAUUGUAAGAGUAGGAAUGUUCAUGCACGCAUGUAAUAUGUAUAAAUAUUUUUGUACUUAUUUUUGGCAUCACAAACACAAAUCCAGAAUGGGUGUUUAAUAUCCUGUUAAAUGGGUUAUUGAUAGUGAUUUACUAACAUUAAAGAGAAGUUAGUAAACUAAGGACAAACAAUGGCCUGGUUAAAAAAAGCGCACAACUAUUUUGUCCAAAAAAAGUUGAGGCGGCUAUUUCAUUGACUUGAAAAGAUUGCAUUUUCAUAAUGGUGAUUAGCACUAAAGUUGAUGGUGGGCCCAAGACUCUUGCAGUACGUUAAUUUCCCCAUCAGUAGAGGUCCUGGGCAUAUUUGUCGUGGGUCCCACAAGGCAGUGUGUGUGAGCCUUUACGUCUUCGUUUUUUCUUAAUCGCCGUAGAUUUUGGGGUUUUAAACUUGUGCCAUUGUUAGUGGCCACCCUCCAACAUGGAAGGGGGAGGUGAGGGGUUCAAAUCUCCACAUUCUCAGGGGGGAUGGGGUGGGGACGCGUAAGUUUCAAGAGUGGGUUUCGACUCCCACGCCCUGCACGAGGCAGGACAAAAGUCUGAGAGUGAGUGUAGAGUAGGAAUAGAAUAGGACUGACAAAAAAAAAAAAACUUGCACAAUUGUUCUCAUUGGACACUAGCCAUGGAUAUCAAUUGAACUUUUUUUGGGUCGAAAUUUGAGGCUGAAAGCGUUGUCAAGUUUGCUUUAUUAUGCAGAGAGAGAUAAGUAAUGCUCCACUCUCUAAUCCAUUUCUAAAGGAGAAAUUCUUCGGAUGGAAUAAAACUAGCUCACUCAUCAAAUUAAGCUCAGCAUUGCAAGUUUUUUUUAGCAAAGGAAAGACUGGAAAUUAGAAACGACGUUAGUAUGGAGAUUUUUUUUACUUCGUUUUUAUUUUCUUUGAUUCUUGUUUUCUUUUUCUUUUUUCCUUUUGUGAAACUUAAUAAUCCCCCUCUCCCCUUGGCACUCAUCUAUAUUUACAUCUUGAAAGUUCAUGAAUUCGAAUCUAAAUUAAUCACCAAUUCCAUGAGCAAAUUCCGCAGGAUGCCUUUCAGAGAUUGGAGACAUUAGAAAUCAUUGGCUUGGAUAACCUCAGGUUUAUAUUUUUCCCAUCCAUGGUUAAAUCUCUCACACAACUGAAAAAACUGACUGUAUCGAAUUGUGGGAAGACGGAGGCAAUCAUUAUGGAGGAAGAAGGGUUGGGAAUGGAAACAUCAGACAUUGUGACAUUCCCCAUGUUAACCCAUUUACACUUAGAACGUUUGAAAAGUUUGACAUGCUUCUCUUGUGGAAAGUGUAAGAUUGAUUUUUUAUUUUUAUCAUUGAAGAUUGUCUUGUCGAUAUAUUCAUCUCUGCAAUACAAAUGGUGAUAUUCUUUUCAUCCAAUGAAAUACCAAUGACAGGUGCACGAGAAAGUCGAAGUCAAGAUCACAUCAGAUCACGCACCACUGCACUCUUCAAUCAAGAGGUACAUGAUUAACAUUACGUCAAAAUAAUAAAUAUACCGGAGACAAAAAUAGCCAAGACAAAAACUAAGUUACAUAUAAUGUAUAUUUUGAUUAAAAUAUGUUAACAGAAAAUGAGUACCGUACAAGCAUAAGUGUUCGAAGUUGCUGAUAUGUAUGAGUUGCAAUUUCUUCCUUUUAAUUUCUCUACAAAUAGUUUCCAUAAAGAUGGUUGACCAUCUCUUCUCAUACUUGCACAAUGCAUAAAGGGUAAUACAACUGCCAAAUAGGAUUGCUAAAACUUUCUGAUGUUCCCAAAAAAACUCAAAACUCUAAUCAGCCUCAAUGUACCGCAUAGACAUUGCAUGCAUGUACAUUGAAAGAAAUUUAAAAAAUAAUUGAUUGGAAAGUGAGCAGUAGGGUUCAAGAGGCUGGAGAUGGAGGGCCUUUAAGAUUCUUACUUGACAUCAUUUGCAUUGCAAGAUCUCAUUUAUUUUCUUGAUCGAAGGAAGCUUCACUCUCUCCUAAUUGCACCGGCAAAAGGAGUCUAGGCACUCUCCAUUGCCAAAUUGAGCAAGAUCUCUAUGGUCCAGGGCUUCGGAAAUCACCCCUCUUAGUCUUUACAUGAAUUGAAAGACCAUUCUUAUGAAACUCUUAUUAAAGAAAUAAAAUACGUUUCAUAGAUCAGCCAUUUCAUCUGAGUCAACUGUCUUGUCGAGCGAAUAGCAGAAGAACAUUCGAGUGGAAAAUGAAAUAGAGUAAUUUACAGGCGGGUCCACGUUGACUAACCUAAGAGCAAUAUAAGCCGUUCACCUAAAAUGUUGAUUACGCAGCCUAAUAGGCUAUGAAAAUGGGCCCUCGCACAAGAUUAAUUCGUCGACUUUCUUAGAUAAUUUUAAUAUUCUAUAACGAGGUAUUUAGGAAAAUCUUCAACUAUUUGACUCAAGUAUAUGCAUAAUCUGUCGGUGGUAUCUAAUAUUGGAUCCUCUAGUGCUGAUAAAGGAUCAAUGAAUUUUAAAAGGAAAAUUCAAUCGAUCAAGGGUACUUAGUUCUUUCAAGUGGGAAAUGAUGUAAGUAAGAUUUAUUCGUUUGACCCAAGCAAUUCCUUUUCUAAUUGCUUUUUCUUAGCCUCACUGCUUUAGAGUGAUAUGAUAUUAAUUUGAGGCAUUCGGUAUUAGAUAAAAUCAUAACUCCUACUGUAUUGCACCUUUUGAUGGAUGAUUGGUUGGCUUUUUUUUUAUCUCAAUCUCUACAUUAUUUUCUUUCUAAUUGCUAGUAUUCUUCCUCAAGCUAUCCUUAGCUGCAUUUUUCUUUUGCUAUAUCACUUCCGUAUAUAUAUACUUGCUAAUUCAUUAUUUUAGGAAAGUAACUAAAUUAAAGAGGGAGAGAUUUUAUUAAAAUUUGUGAAAUAUGGGAGACUAAUGUGAUCAUAUGAUUUUCAUAUGAGCAUAUCCAAAUUACUAUUUUGUCCAUUAUCAAUAAAAUCUCAUCAGAAUAGAAUUCCUACUUUCCGAUUUGUUUCCAAGUAAUUCCAACAGCCUUUUCGUCCUACAAUCAUCCACAUUAGUAUGGAAAUUUGCUUACUAACUCUCUUGAUUUUGUUCUCUUUUUCCUUUUGUGCAAAUUAAGAUAGAAUCACCAACUCCAUGCUUUCGUAAUUUACAUCUUGGCACUCAUAUAAAUUUUAUUUACAUCUUGAAAGUUCAUGAUUUCAUAUAUUAACCGAAUCACCAGUUUCAUGAGUGAAUACUCGCAGGUUGCUUUUCCUAACUUGGAGACCUUAUAUAUCGAUGGCAUGGAUAAUAUCGAGAUUAUAUGGGACAACCAAGCUAUCGUAGAUUCUUUCCCCAAGUUAAAUGUGUCCCGUAUAGCUGGAAAUUUUGUGGCACUCAUAAAAUUGAGGAUAAGUAAUUGUAAAAUGUUGACAAAAGUCAUUAGUGAUGAGGGAAGUGAGGAGGGGCAUGUAAUGGUUUUCAAUCAUUUGGAGCAUAUGAAGCUUGAUGGGUUAAGAAGGUUGAGAUGUUUCAGCUCAGGUGAAUACACUUUGAUGUUCUCUCUCUUGAAAGAUGUCAUUGUGAGUGGAUGUCCCAACAUGAAGUUUUUCUCUAAGGGACUAAUACAUGCGUCAAAUCUAGAGAGAGUAAAAGUAUCGGAAAAAGCAUGGUUUUGGGAAGAAAACCUUAACAUCACCAUCCAACAUAUGUUUAAAGAAAUGGUAUGCAUCAGUUACCAUAUUCCAUGCAAUUGGAUGGUUUUGAUCACCAACAGAGUAAUUGCUUUUUGCUAACUAGAAGUUUACUUUUAAUGAUGCAUUUUUUACAGGGUAAGAGUGUUGGAGCAAAGUUUAUGCAGCUAUCCGAGUUCCCUGAGCUAAUUGGAAAAUGGCAUAGCGAACUUAAUCCCAUCAAGUCAUCUUGGCAAUUAGAAUUGCUGAUGGUAGAUAAGUGUCCAUCAUUUUCUAAUGUUAUUCCAUCUAGAUUGAUGCUUGUUUUAGAAAAUAUGUGCACAUUGCAAGUGCACGAUUGCAAGUCACUAGAAGAAAUAUUCGAUCUAGAAGGGCUAGAGGCUAUGGAAAGCACACAGGUGCUGCCUUCCUUUAGGACAUUGAGCUUGGUCAAUCUACCAAAGUUGAGGCAACUAUGGAACAAAGAUCUUCAAGAAUCCUUGCCCUACAAUUUUCUAUCUUAUAUAACUCUUUAUAAAUGCAAUGGCUUGAGACACACUUUUGUUCCAUCAAUGGCUCGGUGCCUUGCCAAUCUUGAACAAAUGGAAAUAAUGGAGUGUGGUCAGAUGGAAGGAGUGAUCGCAGAGGAAGAAGGGCAAGGAAGCGCAAUGAAGAAAAUUACAUUCCCGAAUCUUUAUUUGGUGAAGUUGGAAUGCUUGCCCAAUUUGACUUGUUUCCUCUCGGGGAACAAUCAUACGUUGGAAUGCCCCGUCUUAGAUGAGUUGACCAUUGCCCACUGCCCCAAGAUGAGAAGUUUGAUGGGGCAAUCCUUGAUGGAGAUUGAGUGCGAUGCCCCUUAUCUUUUUACUCCACAAGUUAGUCCUUUCAAAAAUGCAUAUUUGACAGUUAAUUUGGAACAUAUUCUAGUAAUAUUGGACAAUGCAUGGUAUGUGUCAUGUGUGGACAAAGUGCUAGAUAUAAAUGUUCGUAAUAUUAGUCAUUAACGCUACGCUUAAAUUUAAAUGGAACUCAUGUUUCAUAACUAAAUAAAUACAAACAUAGUAUCUAGCCACCUACAGCAGUCCAUGAUCACAUUCAUAAAUUAUUAAUGCAAAACAAUUCAGACAUCGACAAAUAUGUGUGGAUUCAAAAUCAUCCAAUUGUAUGUAAAUUUCCCAUAAGUACUAGCAAUAUGGUGCUUUGUGCAAAUUUAUGUACAGAAUCUUCUAAUAUUUAACACGAAGAUUACAAAGAUUCUAAUCCUCAGUAAACAUAACUAUUAAUGUUACAUCUCCAUAUCCUUUUAGGAGUGUAAUUUUUGUGUUAGCUCAUGUAAUCAUAUCAUACACAGUACUUUAGAAUUAAUUAGCGAGCUUCUUAAAAAAGUUAUCAAAAUAACCAUAUAAAAACACUUUUUACAAUUUGAAUUAUAAAGUACUAAACAGUAGUCAUAGAAUAGGAUCUAAAAAUUGCAAAAAAGAGGUCCGCAUAGCCACUUCAUAUUUCUCUUGCGUAGAAACAAGCUCGCAUCAUUCUAUUGAACAUGAAAAAAAAAGGGGGGGGGAAAAUAAAACUUCAAAAUUGUCAAAACACAGUUCACAAUUUAAUUAACUAUCACAGCUCAUUAGACCAUAAUCAUCUUCCCAAUCGAUGGAAUUGGAGGAAUUAGAGAGAGUGGCUCCUUUUAAUUGGAGUGCUCUAAACUUCGAUAAUCAUAAGUGCAAUCAACUUUUAAUUUCUUAAUUAUUCGCCAAUGCUUGAGUUGGUUCUUAAGAUUAAAAUAAUUAAAAGUAAACAGGUUGAUAUGUAUGAACCGAUUCGUCUUCUUCAUUAAUAAAAAUUACUUGAAUUGCUAUACUUGAACAGCCUAUCAAAUUACAAACCUGUUUUUUGCAAUAAAUAAUAAUUGUGGAUUAUUGUAUAUAGUGACCAUUAGUGUUAUAAUGUCUACGAUCUAUGUUUGGAAAGAGAAAAAGACAUAUUGCUUUUUCCAGAAAAGAGAAGGAAAAAAAUAAAAGAAGUAAAAGGACAGCUGGAUUAUUAAUAGUAAACAUUCGGUGUUUAUUUUCACUCGGAUCACGUGUCUACUAAUUCCAUGUCGAUGUGGAAUUUAAGGAAAAAAAAAUCUUCUCUUCUUCCUCCUCCUUCGUCCACAGCCGCCCGAUCUCCGCCGCUCCUCCGCAGUGAACAACGGCGGAGUCACCGACGCCUUGAUUAGGCUGACCUCCGCUAUGUCCAACCCGUCUCAUCGUUCUACAGAUCUCGAAUCUGGCCGUCCAUAGCGAUGGAGCUGCAGAUCUGGAAGUCGACCACGGUCGCUUGCAGCCAUGGACGAGCCGCUGUCGCUGGAGCCAUGGUCGCAGAUCUGGAAGUCCCGUCGCGAGCAACGACGGCUUAUGGACUGCCAUCGUCCCCUCCGUCGUCGCCCGUGGUCGGCUCAUGGUCGGCCUCGCCCAUGGCCAAGCCACCCCUCCAUCGUCACAGCUGUUCGUGGUCGUUGCCCGUCCAGAUCUGGACUGGAGUCGUGCCUCCAGAUCCGGUAUCGUCCAUGGACACAAGCCUAGCCCGUCCAUGGCUCGCGAGGACGCUCCUCCACAGAUUUGGCGACCGCAGCUUGUCCAUGGCCAUGAGCCUUGACGGCGAGUUUGAGAUCCCGACAGCUAUGGACAACGAGGUCAAACAACGAAAGAAAAAUCAGAGGAAUAGAUGUCAGGGAAGAGUGGCCAUGGACGAGACGGUCGGAGCUUGAAUGCGGCCAUGGACGAGCGGCGUCGUGAACGAGCAAACCACAAAGACGACGGAGAGGGUUGGGGGGCCACCAAUGGUCGCCUUGGAUGCGGCGCCGGCAACUCCACCCGGUGGCGACGGCGGAGGGAGGUGGGAAGGUUGGGUUCAAUGUGGCUGGAGGUGGAGGAGCAAGCGUAGAUGGAGAAGGAAAGUGAGGUGGAUCGAGAUUUUUUAUAUUUAGCCGGGUCAAUAUAUAGUCAAUGUCGUAGCUACAUAAAAAAUUUAAAAAGAUAGGAAUCAAUUAUCCAGUCAACACUUCCAUUCCGUCUGAUAAAGUUCUCCUCGUCGUGCGAAGACUAAACGCAAUAAAUGACGACCUCCUCCGGCACUUCUUUUUUUCGGGUCGAAUCCUGUGGCACUUGAAAAUGCGCGAUAUCAACCCAGAUUUUAUUUUUUGGCCCUUUUUUUAAUUACAGAUUCCGUACAAAUUUCGGUUAUUACUUUUUUUUUAUCUCAUGGAGAAAAUGCUUGUGUUUUUUCUCAUUUUAAUGGGAAAAAACCACCAAAAACCCUAAACUUUGUUUAAAAUGACAAAUUUACCCAAAUCUUUUUGUGACACAAAAAAUUCUAAACUUUACUAAUUGUGACACAUUUAUCCUAAUUUUUUUUUAUAACACAAAAACCCUAAACUUGUAUUUGCCGUGACACAUUUACCUUAAAUUAUAGGGCACUUUCGUCUUUUAAUUUUUUAAUUUUUUUUCUUUUUCUCCUUUCUUCCCUCCGUCGGCCAUGGCGAAGGGAAGCUAAACUCAGGGGAGGGCCACCCUCGCCGGCAUCAAGUGAGGGUGGCCCUUGCCAGAUCCGGUGAGGAAGACCAGCAUUGGGCGGCUCAACGCCUAAGUCUGGCUUCCCUCUACCAUGGCUAACAGACAAAAGAGAGAAUAAGAAAAAAAGGAAAAACAGAAAGAGGAGAAAUAAUAAGAUGAAAACGCCCUUAGCCAUGGAGUUUGGGUAAAUGUAUUACAGUUAGUAAAAUUUGGAGUUUUUUUGUGUCAAAAAAGAAUUUCGAUACAAUCACUCGCGAUGGCCGCGAUGGUUAAAGCUUUCUCCCCCAUCAAGGGGGGAGGGGUUCGAAACCCCGCAUCCCCAUUGCACGACUCACCUGUGGCUGGGUCUAUGGUGGCGGUCCAGUUCGCCCCGAGUUUACCCUGCCGGCUGCCAGCUGUUCAAAGAUUCUCGGGUCACCACAAAAAAAAAAAAAAAAUUCGAGAUAAAUUUGUCACUUUAAACAAAGUUUGGGAUUUUAGGUGACUUUUUCCCUAUUCUAAUACUUUUGAGCAAUUCUUUUUUAUUUUGCCUACAAGUGGAAUGUUUAAUCAUGACGAGUAUCUAUACAUUUGUUUACUUUUUUAUCGUAAGAGUUAUCGCUAAUUAUUUAUUUACUUCUAAUGGUGUUUGCAUGUAUAAGUUGCACGUAAUAAUAGGUAUCCCCAUAUUUUGAGGUUACUUCAAAAAGUCAUUAUAACACUCAAUCAAGAAUACUAAUAAAUUUGGGGAAGUAUGAAAAUAGUUAUCUAAUUUUUUUGGUAGUGACAAGUUGUGAUAGUGUUAAUUUCAUUUUAGUAUCAAAUAUGAGCUGACAUGUGAUAAUUGAUUUCUUCCACAUUAUUUGAUAAUUUCAAAAACUCAUCAAAAUCCUUAAUAAAAAUAAUGAUAGAUUUAAGAAAGUGUGGAAAGUCAUUCUGUUUUUUCUUUUCUUGGGACAAGUUGUAAUUGCAUUAAUUAUAUUGUAACCAAAUGAAAAGUACCAAUACUUGCUCCUCAAUGGACAACUUGUCAGAGGUCAUGACAGUUAAAAAAAAAACCACUCUUGAUUUUCUCCAAACAAACAAAAUGCGAUCAGCUGGUGCACACCCACAUUAUGCCAACGGCUGGAUCAUUGGUCCACCGCAAGAUUCUAUUUUUAUUUUCCACCUCAAAAAUUGAAUAAAUAUUAUUUUAUGGAUGUUAUUAAUGGUCCAUUAUAAAACUAGUAAAUUAACCCAACUUGCUUUUGCUGAGAUCAUAACAUACGUUAUUUAUUCAAGUUGUUACGUUGCCCAUUCCUAUUAAGAAAUUAUUUUCUUUCAAUACAAAAAUUUUCCACACAUAAAAAAGAAAAAGCUUGUGAACAAUUGAAGUUAUUAUAUUUUUUUAUCUGGUUCACCUUAUAAUUUUCAUGACUCUUCUCUUUAGUGAACUUUAUUAAUUAGAAGAUUCAUAAGUACUGUUCAAAAUUUAGUAUGAAUAAGUAGUAAUGCUCAUAGUAAAUAGAGGAAAUAAUAUUGAGCCAAGCAUUAGUUUCAUCCAUUCCUUCAUCAAUACAUACACUUCUUAAGUUCUUCGCAGCCACUAUUCAUAUCCUUAGUUGACUGGCUUGCCAUCACCUUGUCCUUGCUUUUUCUCUAAUUGUUAUGCAUGUUCACCUUGAAUUGAAUAAGUCUAAGAAAUUCUUACUUAACCUAAUGCUGCAUUAUCAAAAGAUCAGUGCAAGCAACUUUGAUAAUGAUCGGUGCAAACAAAUCUGGAAGUGGAUAAUCCAAGAAUUCAUCAUUGCAUAUUUCCAAAAAUUAAAGAAACAAGGCGUUUUCUUCAUUGAAAUAAAAGGGGGGCGGGGGGGUUUGGUUCGUUAAUUCACCAGUUCUUUCAGAUCCUACGUGAUUAAAACACAACUUAUCUUUGCCGAUGAAACUAACGCAACAGAAAUUUUCAGUUCAUAUCAGUGAAUCUGAAUGUUACUCUUUUCAAUAGUUCUAUUGGACCGCCUAGCAAGCUCCCUGAUCUUUUUGCCAGUCUUCGUGCUUAUUCAUUACAAGAAUGCGACUUGUCACUCCUCCAUGGUAUCAACAUUGUUUCAGGCAUAUUGUGUUCUUCUUCAUCUUUGUCCCGAUUUAAUUGCGUAUAGAAACAGUUGAGGAAGCUGUCAUUGAUGGUUAGUCAACGGCUCCAUAUAUGCAUCAGUGUAAGCAAGAGGGCUAUCUUUCUUUCUCUCUCUCUCUCUCUCUCUCUCUCUCUCUCUGAUUGUGACGCAAGAGCUACUAUCAGAAAAAUGAGGAUUUGGGAGGGGGGAUUAGGAUGAAGUUGAAAGGCUCAUCACCGGAAUUCGAGAGACCUACUUAGCAACCAUUUGAACUAGCCCAAGUUUCACGUGCACAGGGCCCAUCUGCCUAAUUCUUGGACUUUUAAGUUAUCGCUAUGAUUUGUGGAGUAAUCAAGAAAAGUUAACAUUGUCUCGUCACUACAAAAUCUACGUACCAUUAAUCGUCAAUUAAGCCACUUAAAAGUCGAUGCUCAACGUAAUAUUGAUUUAUAAAUGCAUUUAUAAUUCCAUGCUUAUUGCAUUGCAAUAUCCUUGGCCUUAGUCAUCGGUCAACUAAUAUAAAAAAGUAUCAAUCAACCCCUCCUUGUUAGGUCACUAACAAUAUUUUGAAUUCUCAUGAUUUGUGAGAGCAAGGAAAGUUUGGAAAUUCCUUUUUUGAGGUCAUAACUCAAUGCAAUAACAUUCAUCGUGUCAUUUUUUUCAAUAUGGCAGUUACAAUUCCCUCAACUGAAGUGGAUGAUUCUCUCCCACAUGGACAAUUUAAGCAAAAUAUGGCCUGACAACCCUCAAGAAACUCUGACUUUUGACUAUUUAUGGGAAGUGGAGGUUCAUAACUGUAAGAGUCUUGCAAAUUUGUUUCCGCAUUGGGUGGCAACAAGUUUAAUCCAACUUAGGAAACUUCGAGUGGAGUCUUGUAGGAUUGAGGAAAUAGUUGUUGGUGGAGAUGACACUCCACACUCCAACACUGCUCAAGUUCUUUUCCCGAAACUAACCUCUCUAGUGUUACAUGAUAUGCCACAACUCCAGAGCUUCUAUGUUAACUUGCCCACUUUAAAUUGGCCAUUCUUAAAUGAAUUACGAGUGACUCAUUGUGACACACGAAACAUGUUAUCCUUUGCCGCAUCCGUGAACAGUUGGGCUCAAAGAGAUGAUCAACAGGACCUUUCAGACCAAGAAGAACACUCUUCUUUUGAGAGGGUAUGAUUAUAGUUGCUCUCCCUUAGUUUUUACUUUGUUCUUUAAAGCACUCAUUAAUCUCAUAUCCAUUGCAUAAUCACAUCAUGUUAUAAUGCUAUAGAAAACAUGAUCUCCUUUGCCUAUUAGUUAGUCGACAGCAUUGAGAUAUUUCUAAUAUCGUACGUAUACUUUCAUUUGUGGACAUGCAUGAGAUAUUCCAUUCCCUAAAAUUACAAAAAUAGUUAUAGAUUUUCUAUUGACAACACAAUAUAUUCCUAAUCUAAUCUAAUGGCGCUCCUUGGGGAAAUCAAUGAGAAUUUUGACAUGACAUCCUCUCCAUUGUUAACACAAUUCAACACAAUAUAUUCCUAAUCUAAUCUAAUGGCACUCCUUGGGGAAAUCAAUGAGAACUUUGACAUGAUAUCCUCUCCAUUGUUGACACAAUUCUUACAUUUGAACUUUUCUUCUCUUUUUAUUUUUCUACAAACUCUAAAAAAAAUAAACUAAAACAAUUUUUUCUUUUUGAAAAAAUAACAUUAGAACCUUAACUCACUAUAUUAUACUUUAUCCUUUAAUUCACCCAUUAUAUUUGACUACAUAAUCGCAUCACAUUAUAAUACACAUUAUAAUACUAUAGGAUCCAGAAACCUCUUACCUAUUAAUUUGUGGACACCAUAAGAUGUUUCUUAUAUUUUCAGCACACUUUAAAGUUUAUGGACACCAUAUGUUUUAGUAACAAUAUGAGUGCAUCUCAUUACAUAAAAUUUCAGAGAUGAUAAACUUUUGUUGACAAGAUAAGAUAUUUCUAAUAAAGGAUGAAUUUGGUGAGCAAGAGGGCUCUUACUCUUCAAUUCACUCCACUAACUUAACUAUUCCAGCCUCUAUUUGAGUCUUUAAAAGUUUGAAGACUUGUAUGCAAAGGUCUCUCUAGACAUGAUGAACUUUAAGAACACAGCCACCUAUCAUGCAAAUCAUCUAAAUAGAUUUACUUUUUACAGCACAUGAUUUAUUGCCAUUUUUUUUUUUAAUUUACUUCUCUUGUUGUAUUGGCAAUUUGACAGGACUUUCCCAAAUUACAAAGACUUUUAUUAGUGGAUAACAACAUUCAAAUGAUACAAGAUGGAAAUUUUCCAGAUGAAAUCUUUGGCAAGCCAAAAGCACUAAUAUUGGCAUGCUUUCAUGAUGAAAAGGCAGUCUUUCCUCCCAAAUUGCUCCUAGAGAGAUUUCAGAAUCUACAAAGUCUUGAGGUCUUCUGUAGUUCCUUUGAAGAUAUAUUCCCCAAGAAGUGCUUGUUGACGAGGGAAAACAUCCAGUUCUUGAAAAUUUAAGAGAACUUAAGUUAAACAAGCUACACAACCUAAAGAAUGUAUGUAGAGAAGACUCUUUAUUAUUGAAAAUUCUUCAGAGCAUCGAAAUAUUGGAGGUAUGGGAUUGUCCUUGUUUGACAACGAUAUUUCCAACCGCGACAUCCUUCCAUAAUCUAACGGAGUUAGUGGUGAAGAAUUCCUCUGGAUUGAUACAUCUAGUAAUAGCUUCAACGGUCACAAAUUUGAUGCAUCUCACUAACAUGACUAUAAUAGGAUGUGAAAGAAUGAAAGAAGUAGUGGCCAACGAUGGAAAUGGAGAAGGAAAAGUGAUUUCGUUUGAGAAGCUAACAUGGUUGACACUCCAACAUCUGCCAAACUUAGAAUGCUUCUCCUCCAUCUCGAGUUGUAUCUUUAGGUUCCCAUCAUUGUCUAGUAUUAUAGUAGAAGAGUGCCCGAAAAUGAAGACCUUUGCUAAAGGCACACUAAGCACACCAGAACUGUAUGAUGUGUCACUGUUCAAAUACAAGUUAAGAGGGAAUUGGGGGGAGGGUGAUGAUCUCAAUACAACCAUAUGGAAGUUAUCAGCAUAAACAAAUGCACGUUGAAUUGGUGAGAUCUAAUUGAUGUCAUCCUCUGAUCCAUUCUUCUUUUCUUUUUUCUUUUUGUAAUUUUCUAAUAUUGAUUACGUCCCAUCAUCAUUGCAUCAUCAACCCUAUCUGUGGAUGGAUCUCACCUCCUACUUCACUGAACAGCAGGAAGCAAAGCAGGGCUCCUUCUCCUUCUUGACACCGGAGGCAUCAAAUGAAGUGUCGGGAAUGCCAGGACUGAGAGAAGCGAAGCUGCUGCACUUAGUGGAGCGGAGCAAGUAGGGGAGAGAGAGAGAGAGAGAGAGAUUCAACCAGAUGGAGUGUUAUCUCGUCACCAUCCCUGGAGAGAAGAUCGUACUCUCUUUCUCUCUCUCUCCAACCUUGAACCCGACAAACUCGUAAGUUCUUCCGAUUUUGGUGUCAUAUUGUGCGUGAAUUAGUUUGAAGCUGGAAGUUGGUUUCGUGAAAACCUUCCUCAAUCCUUGCCUCCUGCUUCUUUGGCUAGGGCUCUCUUCUUCAGACUAGCAAUUUUAUUGCCCCUAAAUCCACAUCUUCCGUGCUUUCCUCACAAGCAUUGGCGAGAGAAACGCGUCUGCGUAGGAUUUUUCUGCGUGUUUGAGCUCUCAUCGAUGGAGAUGAUAUAGGGAGAGAUAUCUCUCGAGCAUCAUGAAACUUGAAAAUAUGAAGAGAGAAUUCCAUGCCUUGUCAAAAAUAUGAGGGGGUCACUUUUACGCCUUGUUCUCAAUGUACUCCAGACUGCUCAUCCUCAUGAGAAUUUCUUGUGGUUUGACGUGUCUUUGUUUCUGCUUGCGUAACUCUCUUUCGCAUUGUUCUUUUCAAAUUCUAGAAUAAAUUUUAACAAGCCCUUUUUCUUUGUCUUGAUUGGUUACGAGAUGCUGCAAUGAUAAAAUUUAUUUCUAAUUUAUUGUAAAAUCUUUCCAUAGCUAGUCAAACUAAUGAAGUGUACUUAAACGGCCUCUUCACAGAACCGUCCCUCUCGCUGCUUCGCUCGCCAUCCUCUUGUGGUCAAAUCCAGGUACAGUUACGAGCGUUCUUCUUCUAUGGGUUCAUUUUGCACUUGAUUGGAGUUGCCGUCGCCGUCUCGUGUUUCCUUUAUCUAGAGCAAUAGCAUGGAUUUAGCUUCAGUUUUCAUUUGGUUCCUUUUGAAGAGUAGUUUCUGCUGAGUAUAUUCGAAUUUGAUUCGUACCCUUUCUGUUUCUACAUACUGCAUGUCUGGUCAAUGGGAGGGAAUUCCUGGUGUUCGUCUUUUUUGGUGGGAGAAUGGUUACUGCAAAAAGAGAAGGGUGACUUCGAGCUUCUACUGUUGAAAAGGAUAAGGUUGUGUUCUUAGAUGUGCAUCCAUUACAAAAGGCUUUUGCGGCCUGCGGUACUUGGUAUGAUAAAGUUUUGGAUAGUGGAUGCAUCUAGAGUUAGGUGAUCCCAUUGGUCGAUUGUUCACCCCUUUUGAAGUUGAUGCAACUAGGAUGGUCGUGUAAGAUGUGUGCUUCAUUUCAUUGGCUGGAAGAGAAGAUGUCGAUGCAAGUAGAAUCAUGUGUAGAAGAUGUGGAUAUGCAUGGUGCACUUGAAGAAAAACGACCUCGACUGGUGCUUUGGUUUGGGAUGUAUGCACUUAAGUAGUAAAGCUUCUUGUCUUAUUCUUGCACAGCUUCUGAUAUGAUUGGAGAAUCUGGUAUGCUCUUACACUUCUUGAAUUGCAUCAGGUUUUGUGUGGUAAAAUCGUGAGGCAUGUGCAAUCAACAUUUGUAGAGGUUUAGGGAUAUAUGGAUGAUGAAGCCGAAUUUAUAUUUAUAUUUUCUUGCUGUUGCAGCUAAAGCCGGAUUUCUCUCUGGAUUCCCUGGAAUAGAGUCUGCCCCUGGCCCUCAAUUGCCUCAGAUUGAGGCAUCCUGAGCUGGUUUAUUAUGGUCCCAUGUGCCCAAGGCCUCUCACUACCCUUACAUCGGCCAACACAUUUCAAAUGAAGCAUCCCUUUUUCAAAGGUAGUGAUGAGGCCCUCUUAUAUUAAGAGUGACUUGAUAUGAUCCCACGCUUAUUGAGUUGAACUCGCACGUCUGAAAAUCAAACAUAUAGAUGCUGUUUAUAUAUAUUUGCUUAUACUCUAGUGUAUUUCCAAGUUGAGUUAAUGUAGUAAACCACAUGACAUGUUAUUUUCCUUGAAGUGUUCAUGGGUAUAUGUUUAAAACCAGGUAUAUAUCUUAACAAUGGAGUAAUUGAAGCAGGGAAAAGAAUGAAAGGACAGUUAUUGGGACAUAAGCUGGUGGUCGAGGUUCAAAAAUAUAACAGUUGUCUCCUUUUUGUGGAUAGAUGUUUUAGAAAACAAUUGCUGAGGCAAGUCUUAAGAAUUAAAAUCCAAGUCCUCUUAUAUGGAGAAAUUUAACAAUGUUAUUGAAUGCUGUAAAUUUAGGUUAUAUAUGUAAAUCAUCACACAAGGAGACUAGUUGAUAAGGACAAGCAAUUUGCAAUAAUGUCAUUACCUCCCUGACUAAAGGGAAAGACUUGAAAGAUAAGAGGGUGGCUAGUUAUCAUUUUGAAAUUUCAUUGUAGACCUGAUGACGAAUAAUCUUAAUGCCAAAUAGGAGAUACCGUUUUAUUUUGUUAUACAUACCAAAUAUUUGAGGGGAAAACAAGCUUACUUUACUUUGUCAUAUAAAACCGAUAGUUUGAUAAAACAUUCAAUUUUGCUGUGCUUGAAAGAAUUGAACAGCUUAAGUCUAAAUUUUCAAUUCCAUCCAUGUUCAAGUCAUAGAUGUCUUUGCUUUUUCCCCUGCGGUUGGGGUCUGCAUGGCCAAAAUGCAUGGGUUAAAUAUUUAUAUAGGACAUGAAAGGCUUCUUUCGGUUAUGUACCCUAUCGCACUCUAGGAGCGUAUAUUUUGACAUUUGACUUUGGAUUGCAGAUUGAGAUUGAUGACUUUCAUUAUAUGUGUAUUGUUGAUUAAAACUCCUAGAACCAGCAACUGCUGUCUUAAAUUCACACUAUGUAAUUUGAUUCUCUCAUAAAUGUAUGCUUAUGUUUGGUCUUUCUUCACAUGGAGACUGCUCUUACUCAAUCCAUCAGGCAACAUAUUCACGAAAACGAGUAAGUUGCGACUCUCAGGUAUUCAAAUAGGCUAUGGACAGUGAAGCUCAGGAGCCGUGGACGUGACCAAGGGGCAUUUUUUUUUCUACUGGUUGGCCCACAUUUGCAAGAGAAAUUCGUCUGCAUGUCGAAAUGUUUGUGUGUUUGAGCUCAUUGAUAGGGAGGAUAUUGUGUUCAGAGUCUACAUUUCCACUAGUGCUGGUAAGGACUUGAUUUACUUGAUAAAGAUUAGCUCUAAAAGUUUUGCUUUGGCUGGUCCAAAAUAAAUGUUGUACUUCUAAUAAUAUCUCCUUUAUUUUGUCUUGAUGAAUCAAUGAAGUGUACUUAUAUUCCGAUUGGGUUUGUGAGGUUCAUAAUAAUCUAAAUGCACACUCGUUAAUGCCGCAUACCAAAUCUAAAUGAACCAAAAAUGAUGUGCUUUAGGAUGUCCUGUUUGAUUUAUGCGUUCUUGUUGUUCAAUUUAAAUUUGAAAUGAAGUGUCCUAGGCUUAUGAAGAUUUAUGGGUUUUAUUUUUCUUACAGGGAUUACCAAAGAGGAUCAUAAGAAAAUAUGGUGAGAAUCUCCCUAAAAGAUGCUUCUGAGUAUCAAAUGUUGCAAUUUGUUAGGCUGUGGAACAGGAAAAAUGUGAUGAGAUGGUUUCAUUAUCAAAGAGUUAGAAUGAAUUUGCAGAGCAUUACUCUACUUGUGAGGGCCAAAUUUUGGUCUUCAAAUUUGAAUGGACUCCAUUUUCCAUGUAGUCAUAUUUGAUUAUUGCAUGUCCGGGAUAGAAUAUCCGCCAAUAAAUGCUGAUUUGAGGAACCAAGCCUCGGCAAUUGUGGAUUUGUCUUGCUGGAAGUGAAUUGCAUUCACCCAAGUGUCCUCCGCUUUGUAAGGCAAGAAAUCUCAUCAGGUUUGUGGAGUUCAUGGCCCGUGUACAAUCAUCAGCAUAGAGUUUAGGGAGAGACGGAAGUUCAAACUGCUUUUCAUGAGAUUUUGAGGUGUAAAUCUUAAUCUACUAGCUAAUUCUCCCAUUGAUUGUGUCGUUCUCUUGUUUGAUUUGAAUUUCGUACAGGAACUCUCCAUGUCGUUAGGCUAAGAGAGACUGUGUUAGUGCUAAUUCAUCCUCGUAGUGUUUAUCUUUAGCUCUCCCAUGUGUGCAUAUGUACGUGUUGGGGGAUUUCGUAAAUGUCAAGCCAAUGGAAACAAGCGAAACCAGUAGUAUCAAUUUUGGUUGUGCUAAAAAUGAUAUUUGGUGUGCAUAUACCAUAUAGGCCCUGGAAGGUAGACCAUGAUCUAUUGAUUUACUAUGUCAGUAGAUAUGAGUUUCACAUAACAAGAAUAGUAUAUGCCUAGAGAGCAAAAGCUUUCUUCAUGUUCUAUUGACGGCUGCUGCAGGUAAGCUGAAAGAGCCAGGCUUGUGCAGAGCUCUUGAACUGGGCAGCACCUUUAAACCUGGGUAUCCUUUCUUCCAAAUUGUGGUGAGGUGAAUAUAUCUGAAGAAAAGCAAUGUGGUAAGAUCCUCAUGGCAAUGACAACUCUUGAAUUUAAAUCACAUACAGUCACUAGACUAUGCUAGCUCUAGGUUUAUCGUGCAUCAUGUCAGGGUUUCUGUUUUUAUCCUUCACAGGUACAGUCGUCCUCAGAAAUCAUUGGUUGUUUUCUUCUUUCUGAUGACAAAAUUGCGAAACGUCUAUUUAAGGAGACAGUUCCUGGUUCAUUGGCACAGAUGCACGUCAAGAAAAGUCCGCAGACCAUGGCUCUCAUAUUUCUGGACAAAUCUUGGCCGGUGAAGCUCAUCAGCCAUGAACAUUAAGGAAGUUACCUGCCGGUUGGGCCACAUUCACGAGAGAAACUUCUCUAGAGGCGGGAGACAUACCUGUUUGAGCUCAUUAGAAGGGAAGAUAUCAUGUUCUGAGUAUCCAUCUUCAGAACCACUGAGAAGACUUGGGAUCAGGAUACUAUGCAAAAGGACACAGCAGAGGAAGAAUCCUUUAGGCCAUUUUUGGUGGAACAUAACUUCAGAUUUCCUAGGCUGAAAUCUGCUUCCAAUUCGGCAAAUCAAAUGAAAGCGUGAGUUUUGUUCUAAUGAAUGGAAUGUUCCUGAAUGUGUAUGAUACCUUCCCUUGAUCCUAGUGUUAGCUAUCACCAUGUGGGCAUGAGUCAUGAGAUGGAGGAAGUUGAUUGCUAAUGUCAAAUUAAGUGCUUCUUCAAGGUUUCUGGUGGCUCAACCCGACCUUUGGAACGGUAAAGUGUAGUAACAUUGAAUACACUUCCCUUCAGCCAUAUUACUCUGAAUUUCAAGGCACAACCCAUGGUUUUACAAGCUUAAUGUGGACACACAUUAGAUUCUUUUCAUUUUCUCCUUUUGAAUUCAUGAAGAUUCUAUGAUGAGCCUUUUCCUGCAUGUGGGUUGCGCAAAUUGAAGUUUCUUAGUUUCUUCUCAUGUGAAGAGCAUUCAGAACUUAAUUUUGUCAAAUGAACUGAAUCUUGAAAUGCGUGUCAAAGCAAUUUGGAAUGAAACGACCUGGUAAGGGGGGCUAUCAAAUGACGAAUGUCGGCAUCGCCUGAGUGUCACGAGGAACCGGCUGUCUGAGGAGAUUUCUCGAAGCAGCAAUGUUCGUUAGAGAGAGGUCGACGGGAACGAUUUUUGCUUUAAGAGAGGGGAGAGAGAAAUGGUGUUUCGAUUUGACACGCAACUCUCUCUCUCUCUCUCUCUCGGCAAGGCAACCAUGGGUCCCGAGCUUCAUCAACUCAUAUCAAAUAUGUAGGUCGAUUUUGCUUUGUUCUGUUCUCUUCCACUUCAUUGCCGUCCUUCGAAUUCCAUUGCUAUCGUUUUGGCCCGCGCACAAAGGGGACGUCUAGAUACGAUCUGCCAAUUCGAAGGAUGAGAUUUCUUGGUUCCACUCUCAGCCCUCGUACCAGUGUGGUGUCACUUCAUCGACCGACGCAAUCUGAGGCCAAUCAAGUCGUCAUCGUCUGAGACGAUAGGCUGAGGGUGUGAAGAUCGGUGGCAAGCUUGAAGAGAAAACAACGAGAGAAUGCGGUGCAAAGUGAAGCCGGUGGAGAUGAUGCCCGAUUGUGUUCAUUAGCGAAGGGAAAUUCCCACUUUUAUCUCUCGCAACAUUUUUAAAAAUUCCUUAUGUCUUUCAAUUUGCAAUUUCUAUGUAAGUUUUCUCUUAUUGGAAAGCAAAUUAACCUAAUUUCAUUUCCAAUUGUCAAGAUGUCAUCCACGUAAUUUAACAUCAUGAUAAAUGAAUUUCUUCUCCUUAAAGUAAACAGAAGUAAAUCCUCAUCGAAACAAUGUCUCGGAUAAAUGCACUUGAUACCUUUCAAUAGUUUGUUUGCAUGUUUUGCCUUAACUAGUCCUACGGAUUUUAUCAUAUGUUUGUUGACAUAUAUGACACACAAGUACUCACCGGUCGUAUGGUCCUUACCAUACCGAGAAAGGGAAAAGCUACUUUUGUCCAAGAGUCCAACUAUCCUUCACGGGAAACGCCUAAUUCUACGAUCUCAGAGUUGGAUCUGAGCCCCAGUGCUCCGUAAAUAAUAAAGUUUAGUCUGGAUGAUUUCUUCGCUAAUCUCACGUAUCACGACGUUCGCUUGAAGAUUCAGUUUUUAAUUUGAAACCAUUGAACAAUAUUAUUUAUUUAUUUUUAUAAAUUUUAUUUUCCCUCAAGGACUCCAAGAGACGAAAAUCUCGACUUGAGGAAACCUUGGAAGAACAAAAGGUUUUGCAUUUCGUAAAAUAACUUCACUUUGUCUCGAUAUUUUCCGUGCUAAGCUAGUUUCACAUUCUAUAUGGAAUCUAUCUAGAAUGUAAUAAUCCCUCCUACUAUAUGUGGCAAUAUCUGAGAGUUGCAUUGGAAUUGAUGAUCGAUGUGGUCAAUGGAAUAGAAAGUGCUGGGAAUCAACGAUUGAUCCACCAAAUCAGUUUGUAAACGAGAUUUUUCCAUAAGUGGGGUAAAUUUCAUAUGUAGUCAUUUUGUAUAAUCAAGUUACUAAACUUUGAUUUCAAUUGCCCAAUGAACUAAUGGUAUUUUCUUUUCCCUUUUACAAUCAAUGCGUUAUGAAGACUUUUCAAACAAUUUUUUCUUCAUAAUAUUGGUGUGGUAGUCUUACAUGUAUGAUUGGAGAUGCCAUAAUGAUGACACGACACCAUGUGAGAGGGUUACAUGGGCCUUGUGUUACAAGGGGAAGUUCUCAUGGCACAACUCAAUCAAGAGGAGCUAAAGUGAUAGUGAGUUUCUAAAUCCUUUUUGUAUCCCCAUUGGAUCUUCUAAAAAUUCAUAUAACUGAGUCUAUAAUGACUAUUCAUUUCAAUUUGCCCUCGCAAAUUGAUGAAGCUCGAUAAACAAUUUUGGAAUCAUGAAAAUUCUAGUUGCCAUAAACAAACCAAAUUAACACAACGGUAAUUUCAUCACAUAUUUUUACGCUCAAGAGCAUUGAUUUAUUAAUUUAAAUAAUUAUUAUUUACCGAAGUUUGCCCCCACUAAGAAGAAUUUCUAGAUAAAUCCAUGAAUUGGCCAUAAUUUGGUCGAGUUUCAAUUAGUUACAAGUUCUGAAGUUCAUUUGACGAUUGAAAUUAAAAUUUAAUGACCAGAUUGCAAAAAUGCGCCGUAUAAUUUGGUCAUCACAAUUGAUUUACCCUAAAUAAGUAGGCCUUAUACUUUGAAAGUCAGUCUUACUGCGUCUUAUAUAAUUUCUUAAGUAAAUAAAAGUGACAUUUGUGUUCUUUUGGAUAUACAUCGCAAAAAUAUAAAUCCGUCGUCUUCUACAAUGUUCUCAUUUGUGUUCUUGCGGCCACUCGUAGCCGCAAUCACCGCCUUCUCCCUGUCUUCAGUCGAAUGAAGACCUGCUGAAUGAGCGUUAUUCGAUCUUUUAAGGUUAUUUUGGCUCGGUCUUUGAAGGUUGAGCUGAAAACCUUUGGGAAUAAAUAUUUGAAAUAAUUUGAUAUAGGACUGCGCAAUCUGCUUCUGCCCUGGAAUCGUAGGUAACUGUUGGUUUUUGAAUUUGUUUGUCAGAGAUAUGAGCUUCUGGUGGAUUUUUUUUACGUAGUUUCUGCUACAGGCAAAGGGAAGAGAUCAUAUUCUUUUUAGGUGAAAUCACGAUUUGAUUGGCUGGCAAGUGUUCUACCUGACUUGGUCGUGUGAGAUCCAGGCAAACCAAAACAACCUCAGUGUAAGCUGUAAUUUCUCCUAUUAUUUGGGAUGCUAUAGAAGGAAAGACAGCAUUAAAUGUUUCAAGAAAUUACUCGGAAAGGCUCUAACUUUUAACUGGGGUUGAAAGUCUGUUAUUUUAACCUGUGUGCAAUCCGAGAUUUUUGACUAGUACCAAGAUACGAGAUGUGGUUGCUUCUCAAAGAAGGUGUUGUAGCACUUCUUGGUGUUCUCAUUUUGACAUCUAUCAAACUUAAGUAGAACUUGAUGAAUGGAAAUUCCCGGCAUACCUACAGUUUUCUUUUUCUUUCUAUAUUAUUUUAAACUCCUUCAUUUAUGAUUGUUUUCUGUGAUUAUGUUUGUAUCCUUGUUUAUGAUUAAUGUCUCUUUUUAUGCUACAUGAACUGCUGUGGACGGACUCUUUUUUUCUCUUCCAAUUUGGCUAAAUCAAAGCACUGUCUUCAACUUUGUUGAUACAACCACAAUGUUGCAUGCUCUAAUGUUUUCUGAGUUCCUGAACUGUUGUUCUUCAGUUUUUAAUGUCGCAUUACUUCUUGCAAUGUAUCAAAUUUGGUGCUUUAAUUUUGGUUUUUCUUCCUUGGUUCUUCGCAUGUGAUUCAACCAUUCUCUACCUUGGUUCUUCACGUGUGAUUCAACCAUUCUCUAAAUGUUACCUUCUGCCUUCCAACAAGUUGGUCCUCAUGGGGGGUAUCUACUAGUCAAACCUAUCAAUUUAGUAAAUGUUAAUUUUGUCGCAAUGUGUGGACUAUGUGCGCUAGUACUUCACUCUCUUUCUUUGGUUCUUGUUUGUGUGGGUGGCCAGUAUUGGUGCCUUUUGUUUGCAUAAACAGAAGUGACACGCUUGCUUAGUGCGAUUAGCUCCCACAUGAAGUAUCCUUCUCCCUUUGCACUCCCACCCCGUUCUAUGCUUGAGUUUUCUUCCUAUUUGUAUCAGUCUCCUAAUUAAGAGUGUCUGAAACUGAGAAAAACAGACCUGUGAGCACGAAGAAAAUGAUAGCCCUUGGGGUGGUCACUCUUGCUGGUGAUAUUUUGUCUAAUUCCACGUCAUAGCUACAUUGUUAGUACACUCUGUACUUUGGAAUGAAGCAAUCAAAAACCGCAUAUAAAAGAGACAUCCUUAUUAAAGAAGGCACCACAGGAACAAGGCCAGUAUAAUCAGUGCUUGCAAGGCAGAAAAUAAGAGAACUUUAGAAGAGAUAUUUAGGAAAUGCUGCAAUAUUCAAUGAGGUAAAACCAGCAUGGCUAAGAAGUUCAUUCAGACUGCAAACCUAGAACAUCUAAAAGGCCAUGAAUGAUAUGUAACCAAGCCUCCAAAUAAGUAGCAUUCGGCAGGGAAGCCAUGUCUACAAAUGAGAGACUUUGCUCUAAGGACUGGAAGCACAUAGAAAACUGCUCUUCGGAACACGCCUUGAAUGGAUAGCAAAGUUGAAUGAUUAGCUUAUUAGCAGAACAUGCCUCGCCUCUGUGAUUUGAUAUUGAUUAAACUGGUCAAAACACAUUAAUAACUUCCACAAUGUAAUGUUAGGAGGGUAAAGAACCCAUGCAUGCACAAGAGUUAGAUGCCCAAAGCAUACACUUAAACAUUUAGUGGACCGGUGAACCACCCUAUUUGUCAUGAUUCUGAUUUGAUUACAUCAGCAGUUGAACAAACACAUCAACAUAUAAGUAAAAAGCAUCAUAUGAUACUACCUCUUGGUUGAAGUGAUUCAUGGAGAACCAAAACAUACCCUCUAAGUCCUCGGUCUGUUCCUGUUUGCCUCGCAUGGCAAUCAAGAAAAUGGUAACUACAGUCCCACCAAAUGCCACAACUGUGGACACUGUUGAGGGGAAGCUAAUCAAAGAAAAGCAAAACCGCCAUACUAUUCCAGUUGAACCAGAAAAGAUGAGGUAUCAAAUUUGAAGGAUAUACAUUAUUAAAGCACUCGAACAAUCUAUUUCCAUCCCACACUUGAAAAGCCACAAACAGAGAUGUUCACUCGCUCUUUCUUUGGUUCUUGUAUGUGCAAGUGGCUGCUAGUACUGGCGCCUUUUUCUUAGCAUAAACAGAAGUGAUACACGCUUACUUCGAUGAGCUCCCACCUGAAGUAUCCUUCUCCCUCUGCACUCCCACCCGUUCUUUGCUUGAGUUUUCUUCCUAUUCACAUCAGUUUCUCAAUGAGGAGUAUUUGAAACUGAGCAAGAACAGACAUGUGAGCACAAGGAAAACCAUAGCUCCAGGGGUGGUCACUCUUGAUGAUGAUAUUUUGUCUAAUCCACAUCAUACCUACAUUGUUGGUACGCUUAGUACUUCCUCAUGAAGCAAUAAAAAAACUGCAUAUAAAAGAAACAUCCUUAAAAUAUAGAAGAAACCACAAGGGCACUUCAAGGCCGACAUCGUUAUGCCCGCAAAGCAGAAGGAAGAGAAUUAUGGAGGAUAUAUCUAGGAAAUGCUACAAGAUUCAAUGAGGUAAAACCAACAUGGCUAAGAAGCUCACCUAGAUUGCAAACCUAGAACAUCUGAAAAGCCAUGAAGAAUAAAUAACCCAGCCUUUGUAAUAUUUAGCAUUCAGCAAGCAAGCUAUGUCUAGAAAUGAGAGACUUUGCUUCGAGGAUUGGAAGCACAUAGAAAAGUGCUCUUCCAAACACGCCUCGGAUGGACAUCAAGUUGAAUGAUUAGCUUAGUUGAACACCCCUCUGUGAUUUGAUUCCAAUCAAAUUGGUCAAAACACGUUAAUAACUUCCACAGUUCAAUGUUAGGAGGGUAAAGAACCCAUGCAUGCACAGGAGUAAGAAGUACAAUGCAUAAAUUUAAAACAUUUAGUGGACCGUGUGAACCACCCAGUUUGUUAUGAUUCUGAUCUGACUACAUCAGCAAUCGAACACACAUCAACAUAUAAGUAAACAGCAUUACAACCUCUUGGUUGAAGAGAUUCAUGUAGAAUCAAAACACACCCUCCAACUUCUCGGUUUGUUCUGGUUUGUAAUGCCUAGCAUGGCAAUCAUGAAAACGGUGACUACAUUCCCACCAAACGCCACAACAAUGGACACCAGUAAGGAGAAGCAAAUCCAAGAAAAGUGAAACUGCCAUACUAUUUCAUUUGAACCAGAAAAGACAAGGUAUCAAAUUUAAAGAAUAUAUAUUACUAAAGCACUCAAAAAUCUAUUUCCAUCAUACACUCGAAAAGCUAUAAACAAAGAUGCUCAAUCAAAAUCCCCUAAAACAACAGAUGCUCUGUUAACUAGUUAACGAACGAAUGAAACUACGUAAACAUUGAUCAUAAGAUUACUUACUUCCAAAAAGAAUGGGCCCAAAAUGGGGCAUAGGGACAAGAGAGAAGUGUGCAGUGAAAGCCUGUUUAAGUGGAGUUCUUCGAUCAUUAUUUGUCUCUACAGUUGUAGUGGAACUUAGCACUUGUGGAUAUAUAUUAAAACCAGUUAGUGCGAGAGAUAGCUCAAUGAUCACCAAGUCGAACUAAAAGGGCUUAACCAAAAAUUUGAAAGGCAAGAGCAUCGGGUGAUCCGUUCUAAAUUUGGCAUCGAAAGUCAUUGCAUCCGACACAUAUCUAAAGAUGCAGAAUUUACAUGCCGAGAAAAGAUUCACCGAUGAAAAUAUGUAGAUAGAAACCCUGAUCAAGACAAUGGCAAAAGAUCAGAAACACCACAAGCGCAAACCGAAAGUGAUUCGUCAAAACCACUAUGGUUUGCAUGUAAAGCGAUUGAAAUGAGCUUCAGAACAAUUCUCAUUCAACCGAUCUUACUGGAAGAGUUUUCCAAUACUCCGAUUUCGCAGUAACCCCAAUGCGGAAACACGCUGCAAUGUCAUCACCAAUUAAAAGAUGCAAAGGAAAAAAAAUGAUAUCAAUAUAACGGAGUGAAUCUAGCCAUCGUCAACAAACGUCAAAUUCCAAGACCUCAAUUUCGCCUCAGAAGCAACUAAAAAAAAAAAAAAAACCUACGGGAAGGGGAAGGGGGAGGAGCCGCGUGGUGUGAAGAGGAGGAACGGCCCGCCGUAGGGACUACGGUGGCGAUGCCGUGGUGGCUCUCGAUCCUCGAAUACAUCAGAGAUCGAACAUCCCAACGACGGUGAUGGCUUGGUGUGAGACGGAGGAGAGGAAGAAAUGGAGGAGUUUCCAAGAAGUGUAGCAGAAGGGACGGGACAACAUGAAAUUGAAAAGGGAAAAUGUAAUCCCGAUUCAUUUGGGAUUUUUUUUUUUUUUGGCCCAAUAACAAAUUUCAAACAAAAUUGCUUCAAUUUAAAUCACUAGAAAAUGUCCAUCACAAUGAAUAUUGACCAGUUGGCGAGUUCAAAAUCUUAUUUGAUAUUAAGAUGAAUAUUUCACGAUGAUCUCAUUUUAGAUUUUUAUUUGAAAUUUUUCUUAAAUGAUGUAAUGGCUAUUUUAGCCGGAAAUGCUGACUCAUGCAGUCCUCCAACAUGAAUGAAAAUGGUGGCAAUAUAAAAAUGGAGGAGCUGGACUUCAAAGCAUAAAGACUUGUUGGGUUAUGGUUAUUGAUCUUUCGUUAUUUCAAUUUUUGAUGGUUUCGCAUGAGAGAAAGGAAAUGAAGCGAUGGAGAAGUUUCUAAGGAGCGCAGCGGAAGGGACCGAGAAGAGGAAACUGGAAAAUAUAUUUAAUCCCGAAAUUUUCUUUAAUUUUGUUGUAUUCUAAAUUUCAAACAAACUUGCAUCAUUUAAAUAGUAAGAAUGUCAAUCGCAUCACGAUAAAUAUUUGGUCUGUGAACGAACUCGAAUCUGUAUUUGAUAAUUUCUUUUCGUUAAAGGUCUUUGUUUGAUAUUAAUUGGAUCAUUUCAUGUUUUUAUUUAAAAUGAAAUCUAUUUUGCAUUUUUUUUAAUAAAUAAAUGACUUGAUUUCAGCUCUCUAUUUGGAAAUUUUCUUAAAUUGUGUAAUGGCUAUUUUUAGCAGCGGAAAAUGCUGGCAUCGUGACCCUGCCCUUGUGCAAGGGCGUUCUCUGCUGUCCUUGGAAAUAUAAAAUGGAUGAGGGGGGUUCUGAUGGUGGGCCCCAUCAUUAUUGUCUGUUAACAUGAGGUGAAAAUCUCCGUCCAUUUCUUUUUCUUGAUUUUAAACUUCCUUGCAAAAUGGAGGAGCUAGUUUGCACAAAGACUCGUGGACUUCGACUUGGAAAAGCUUUUGGACUGUUAUCAAAAGAAAAAAUUGUUGGAUGAUGAUUAUUGAUCUUUUGUUAUUUCCAUUUGGAAGGGUUUUGAUACUUUAUAAUCUUUUAUCUUGAAGUCUUCUUCUUUUCAACUAGAAUUAUAUGCAUAAAAUAAUGAUUUCAAAAGAUACAUAAUUUUUAAAAGGCAUUUGCUUGUAAAAUUUCUUGCCUUGAAUCAAAAGGAGGGUUAGUGCAAUCCAUUCGUCCCCUCGAAUCCAACAAGAGGAGGGGGAGGAGCUAUGUGGUGAAAAGGGGAGGAACAGCCUGCCGUUGGGGCUACGGUGGUGUUGCCGCAUUGCUGCCAAUCCUCGGGUACAUCGGAGAUCGGACUUUUCAACAGUGGCAAUGCUGGUGUCAAGGGCAAUAGCAAUGACUUGGCGGAAAAAGGAGGUGGGGAAGAAAUGGAGGGAUCAAAAAAAGUGAAAUUGGGCCCACAAGCUUAGACUUUUUUUUUUUUUUUGGUUAGAAGCUUAGACUUUUUUUUUAGGCUAAUUUGGCAACUUUAUAUCCUAACUUAUAAAGCAAAAUCAACACUUUUCUUUUUCUUGUUUUUAAGCUUCAUCUAUAUGAAAAUGGAGGAACUGGACUUGAACGAUUUGCAGAAAAUUUCUCGACUUUGACUUAGAAAAACUUUUGGACUAUUAUCACAAGAAAAUUUAUUAGAUGAUGAUUAUUGAUCUUUCAUUAUUUCAAUUUUGAGAGCAUCGAUGCUUUUUAGGAUCUUGUUUCUCUUGAGUUCUUCUUCUUUACAAUCACAAUUGCUUGCAAAGAGCAUUCAUACGAUACGCAUGGCAAAGCAAUUACCAAUCAAUGCUACAUUUAUUCAUGGUUAGUCAAUUAAAAUUUUUUUUACACAAUGUUGAUUAAGACUUUGUUCAUUCGCGAAAAAUAUUGUGUUUCUAAAAAGUGUUUUCCAAGAAACCAUUUUUUAGAAAAAUGACUAUUUUUUUGGCAUUUGUUUGAAACUUGUUAAUGAACUAAAAAAUAUUUUCCGCUGUUUGGUUUGGAAAAUUCAAUUUGAUUUCCCUUUGUGCAUUCAUUUUAACAUUUUUUUUUUAUUUUUUAAAAAAUCAAUAUCAAAAUUUUAAUUUUAAUUUUAAUUUUUUUUAUUUUAAUUUUUUCUUUUGUUUCCUUUUAUUUUUUCUUUUCCUCCUCCUUUUUCUUGAGUUGAUCACCAUGGCCACGGUGAUGGUCGACAAGCUUGAGGCCUCAAGCCUUGCCAAGUUGAUAAGCCAAAGGCUCAUACUCGCUAACCUGGCAAGGCCCGAGUUUGAGGGCUUGGGUCUCGCUAAAUCAACAAGCGAGCGAGCUACUCACCAUAGGCUUGCUUGAUUGGCAAGCGGUGAGCCUAGCUUGUCAAUCUAGCAAGGCCCAAGGUCAGCAAACUAGGGACUUGCCUAUGGCUGGUACAAAAGAAAAAGAAAAAAAAUCAUUUUUUAAAAAAGAAGACGAAGAAAAAAAGAAGAUAACAAGGAUAACAUGAGUGUGAGAUUAAGAGAGAAUGAGUGAGAAAAAUAUUUUUCCAAACUUAAAAAGUAAAAAUUUUCUCCUAUUAUAGAAGACUUUUUUUGGUUGAUGAAAAAUAUUUUCCCAAUUUAGUUCAUUUUUCUGUGGAACGAACAUUAGAACAUUCAAAAAACGUUUUCUGAAAGUUGUUUUUAAAGAAAUAAACAAAACUUAAAUUCCUCAUUGUUCCAUUGUGGAAAAAGGAUUUCAAGUCAGCCCCCUUACCCUCGGCCAUGCUGCCAAAUGAUAUCAUAUCACAAGAAAGUCCCCCAACGUGGAAGGAGCAGCCUUACUAUUUCUAUUAUUAUAGAAAUGGGAAGUAGUCUAUGCAGAUUGAGCCAUUUGGAGUUAGUUUUUCAUGGUCUUACACUUCCAAGACCUCUCAUUACUCCUAAAUUAGCCCACAAAUUCAAUUUAUAACUAUCCUUUUUUCAAAAUAGUGAUCCUGCAUCUUUGAUGAAUUGUCUAAUAAGAUCUUGAGCUUAAACGUGAUCGGUAUACCUAGAGCUCAACUAUGAUUGCUAGGACUAACAAUACCAUGACUGCUUUAGUAGUUGAUGUCCACUCAUUGGAGAUUUUUUUUCGUCUAUAUUGUGUUUAUACAUAAUCCAAUAGAAAACUAAAAUGAUACUCAUUAAUAACAUGAUUUAGAAAAUGAUGUUAGCUAUUAAUAUCUUUCAUCCUCGAGCACUUUCAAACAAAUAAAUUUAUCCUUGGAUUGCUUUGACUUCAAAUCAUUACCAUCUUGCUCUUUGCCCUCUGAUUUUAUCUUUGGAUUUCUCAUUUCACUUAUAUAAUUUCAUAGCUUGGUCGUUCAAGCAUGUAAAUGUGCAAAGUAUUCCGGAUGGAUCUAUUAAGCAACAUAUUCAAGAAAAGCAAAGAGCAACUCUUAGGGUUCCGACAGUGAAGUUCAUCAAGAGCUAUAAAAUUGUCAGAGGGGCUCUGUCUCUAUCCUUUUCUUCCGGUUGAUGUGCAUUUUAGAGAGAAACUCAUCUGCGUGUAGGCAAUGUCUGCAUGAACGAAUGAACAAAGAUAAUCACCCGACAGCCUGCAUUCUUUGCAGCAAUAGCUUCUCAAUACCAUAUGCUCAUCAUUACUCGUUACUCGGAUACCUCCACGUANNNNNNNNNNNNNNNNNNNNNNNNNNNNNNNNNNNNNNNNNNNNNNNNNNNNNNNNNNNNNNNNNNNNNNNNNNNNNNNNNNNNNNNNNNNNNNNNNNNNAAUUUUUAUAUAAAAAAUAUAUAUAUAUAUAUAUGCAAUGCUUAUGUCCAUUUGUUAGAUAUAUCAUAGUGACAUAGAUCAACAAAAUGGACAAAAUUGCAACAUAAAUAUAUGUAAGAUAAUAAACUUUAUAUAUCUUACUAGCAUUGAAUUUAAUCUUACAAUCAUUUUAAUUUUAUAUGUAUAUUAAUUUUAAUUUUUCUAUUUAUCUCUCUCCACACAUGUAAAUAUUUUCUUCACAUGCAUGUGUAGAGGUAAGCAUGGUCUGGAUGUAAGCAUGGUCUGGAAAAGCGAUUUCCACCUUGGAAUAGGUGAUUGCCUGUUGGUUCCAUGACCGUCGAUUCAGUUUGAUUCUCAAGUAGAUCCAUGAAAUUGGUCCCAUCGAGUUUCACGCAUUCAAUGUAACAUUUUCCAAUAAGCCAAAGUAAAGUAAAAAAUAAAGAACUUUCCUAUUCUUAAUAGAAAGAUAAGUAAAAAGAUUGGACUCAUAUUAAAAUUUGAGAGUCAAUGCCGUGAGUUCAUGGGCAUUGAACUUGUGAGAGAUAGAGAGAUGACUUAUAUGAGGUGAGAGUGAGACAAGACGAGCAUUCAGUUAUUGGGUGUCGAGUUUCAAAUUAGGGAUUUUAGGGUUUUCAUUUUUCUUAAAUUUUUUUUUUAUGGAAAUUUUUCUUUAAACUUAAAUGUAUAUAUUUAUAUAUUACCGGUAUGGUCUAGGUGAAUGAGUACAUGGUUCCAUACUUAGAAUAGGGAACCGGAUCGGUACCAUCUAGUUCCCGGUUCUUUUGCACACCCACAUGUAUGUGUGUACUCUUUUUAUACCAUGGGAAUAAAGCAACCUUUUACAUGGAUUUAAGAACCUAAAUCACAAUCAAUUUGAUUCGUCAUUUAUUAUCACGAACCAGCCUCAAAAGCACAAUGAUAAUGAUCAAAACUAUAUGGGGGAUGAGCUAUAAAUUAUAUGAAACUAACAAUGCGUCUAUCCUAAAUGAAAGAAUAGUGAAUAAGCGCAUGGGAUUCUUUUUUAUAUACUCUCAUUUGCCCUGUUUCUAUUUGGCCCAUAGGAAAAGCUUGCCCUGUUUCUUNNNNNNNNNNNNNNNNNNNNNNNNNNNNNNNNNNNNNNNNNNNNNNNNNNNNNNNNNNNNNNNNNNNNNNNNNNNNNNNNNNNNNNNNNNNNNNNNNNNNNNNNNNNNNNNNNNNNNNNNNNNNNNNNNNNNNNNNNNNNNNNNNNNNNNNNNNNNNNNNNNNNNNNNNNNNNNNNNNNNNNNNNNNNNNNNNNNNNNNNNNNNNNNNNNNNNNNNNNNNNNNNNNNNNNNNNNNNNNNNNNNNNNNNNNNNNNNNNNNNNNNNNNNNNNNNNNNNNNNNNNNNNNNNNNNNNNNNNNNNNNNNNNNNNNNNNNNNNNNNNNNNNNNNNNNNNNNNNNNNNNNNNNNNNNNNNNNNNNNNNNNNNNNNNNNNNNNNNNNNNNNNNNNNNNNNNNNNNNNNNNNNNNNNNNNNNNNNNNNNNNNNNNNNNNNNNNNNNNNNNNNNNNNNNNNNNNNNNNNNNNNNNNNNNNNNNNNNNNNNNNNNNNNNNNNNNNNNNNNNNNNNNNNNNNNNNNNNNNNNNNNNNNNNNNNNNNNNNNNNNNNNNNNNNNNNNNNNNNNNNNNNNNNNNNNNNNNNNNNNNNNNNNNNNNNNNNNNNNNNNNNNNNNNNNNNNNNNNNNNNNNNNNNNNNNNNNNNNNNNNNNNNNNNNNNNNNNNNNNNNNNNNNNNNNNNNNNNNNNNNNNNNNNNNNNNNNNNNNNNNNNNNNNNNNNNNNNNNNNNNNNNNNNNNNNNNNUCUUUCAAGGAAAAUUUUUCAGUCACAAAACAGGGGUCGAUGAGUCAAAAAGACAAAGCUCAGUUGAAUAGGCGUAUAAAGAGUUAACAAAGAAAAACAUGGGAGCGAUUCAUACAAGGUUUCAAAAUGGAACACAUGCAGAGACAUGACGAAGUUCUUUUUCACGAAAGGAAUGAGGACUGCACUUCUCGCAAUCCUCCGACUGCAGGGUCACGUUCUUUCCAACCCCGUGGUAUUCAAAAAGAAAUGGUGGAUUUCACUUUCCUCAGACAAACUCAUUUGUUUUAACGAUAUGCAUACUUGGAGAGGGAUUAUUCCCUGGCAUGAGUCCUACCGUAUUUGAUUAGAGAAUGAAUGUCAUGAAAAUUUUUCAAUCACAAAAACAGGGGUCGAUGAGACAAGAGGGGCAGUUCAGUUGAAUAGGCAUAUUGUUGGGAAUUACUAAUCCCCGAAAUACGGAUUCGACACCGAAUCGAACCCCUAAAUCAAUGCGGAAGACGAAGCCCGGGAAAACACGCAUCACCGAUCAUAAAGCACACCACGGAUUCGAGCGUACCUUGUUAGCCACAGAUUAAACACCAAUGCCGAAGAAGAGGAAGAAAUUCUGGCCCCAAUGAUGUCAAUUCGCCCUGAAGGGGAUAUGGCGUCGCCUUGAGCGUUUGGGAGAAAAAGAGAGGGAAAGAAACGUACGUUAUGUUCGUUAUGCCAAGAGGUGUCUUCUCUCUCUCUCCUUCCUUUUAUACCUUUCCCCAUCCACGGGCCCUAUUCCCGUGGGCCGGGCCUUUUUUGGCCCAACUUGAGCGGAUGGGCCUUAAGCCCAUCUCAUAAAUCCAUCAUCUCCCACUCGCACAUGGUGGUCCAAAACCAACAUGGGCGGACAGGUCCUACUCAGCCCCAUCAGAGAAAAAUCCAGCAUAGACUCUCACUUAACAUGGUGGGCCAAACAAAAUCCUCUUUUCCUCUCUUCAACAUUCAUACCGGUGAAUAAUCCGUGCGACCAGCAUACUUUGAGAGCUCGUUGCCAUACAUCUGUUAGGAAUAUAUAGCAGCUCAUAAUGGGCAUCACAUCCUGAGUAGAUUUAGUAUGCAGUACCCUAGAUCGAUCGAUCACAUUUAUAUCUCUCUUGAUCUCUUUCAAACAAUGAUAUAUUGUAUUCACAAUUAUGAUUAUCACAAAAACAGUCAUAAUUGGUUAACCGGUGAAUACAAAACUACAAUGUGAUUCUCCAAAAUCAAUCUUCCUCUUCCCUUCAAACUCUCAAUUUCAGUUCAGCUUGCUUUUCUAGAAAUGCCCCAUUAGAUCGCAUCAAACUCAUGACCAUUGGCAACAUCCUAAGAUAGCAAACACUAAAUAGAAAUCUUGAGAAUAAGUAAGAGUCAUGAGGGGACUAAAAAAUUGAGGAACUCUCUUCCUCAAGAGUCUCACACGACAUAAAAAAGUUGAGAUCAAACUUUUGCCACUCUUAUUGGUCGUCUCAUGCAUACGUAGUAUGAAAUACGUAUUACGGUAUUAACUCCUUUCCCAUGGAGCGUAUGUCUACACAUUUCAAUACCGUACAGAUGAUAGUUCAGACAUACCCAAUGUCUAACUUGAGUUCACGUAUCUACUCAUUUACAAAAUUCAUCAGAACUCACAUCUGGCAUCAUAGACAGAUAAAGUAAAACAUGUGGGGGUGUUUUUUACUUUCGGACAUAGUAAGUAUUAUGUCCUCAUCUUAACACUCAGUUAAGGCGACAUGCGUGUUUUAAGCUUGAGCUCUCGAUUAUCACCUAGAUAAUAAGCUUAAAAACAAUCUCAUCUCUAUUUAUCACACAGUAAAUAGAGGCGAUUACCCGUGUGAGUGGGCUAAUCUUAUAUCUGUCCGACAUACUUCUCAACUUAAAGUAAUGCACUAAGCAUUAAGAUGCAUAAAGAUCAAACAAAGAUUCAUAGGCAUUAAUGAUGAAAACACAAAUUCAUCAAAUUGUGAACACUUAGGGAAAUUACAAUAUUUAGUACAUCAGUCUCUACGCAGUCCUAGAGAUUUCACAUGGCCACAAAGCACAUCUCUAGGUAUUGGCUUUGUUAUAGGAUUUGCAACCAUUCUAUGCGUAGUAUAUACUCUAAGUUCACAUCCUUUCGUGCAACCAUAUCCUUGACAAAAUUAUACUUGGUAUCUAUAUGUUUGGUCUUGCCAUGAUAUUUGGAUCUUUAGUGUACACUUUUGCUGCUUGAUUAUCAUAGUUUAACUAAUAACAAAUCUGUAGCAGUUCCAAUAACACCUAAAUGAUCCAAUAAUCUCUUAAGCCAAAUAUCUUCUUAUACUGCUGCUGAUAAUGCCACGAACUCAGUUUCCAUCGUGGACAAGGCUAUACACUUUUGUUUCUUACUGCUCCAACAUAUGGUGCCAUUAUUCGGUAAGAGAACAAAUCCAGAGGUAGAUUUCCUUUCAUCUAAAUCUCCUUCUCAAUCAGCAUCAUAAUAGCCUUAGAGUCGCAGAUCCUUUCCUCAAUGACUCAGCAUAUAAUCAGCAGUUCCCUUUAGAUACCUUAGUAUUCUCUUAACGGCUUUCCAAUGUGCUUGACCUGGAUUGGAUUGGUAACUACUCAUCAUUCCAACUGCAAAGCAUAUGUCGGGUGUUGUACACAUCAUAGCAUACAUCAAGCUCCCAACAUCACCAGCAUAAGGAACAUAUUUUGUUUGUUCCUUCUCUUGUGGAGUCCUUGGACACAGUCUAUGGCUCAAUCCUUCACCUUUUGCAAUAGGAGUGUUUAUGGGUUUACAAUCCCAUAUCAUUCAUCUCAAAGUUGGAAGACAACUAUCUCUUGACAGUAUUAACCAACUCCAUAUUGCUUCUGGCAAUCAGUAUAUCAUCAACAUAUAAUGAUAUGAUCACAAAUUGAUCCUUGGAUCUUUUGAUAUAUACACAAUGAUCCUCAUCAAUCAUUGUAAACUCAUAUGCCAUUAUGGCAUUAUGAAAACGCAUAUACCAUUGUCUUGACGACUGCUUAAGGCCAUAUAUCGACCCCCAAAGUCGACAUACCUUUUCUUCUUGGCCUUUCACUAUGAAACCAACAGGUUGUUCCAUAUAUAUUUCAUCCUCUAAUUUUCCAUUGAGGAAAGCAGUCUUUACAUCCAUUUGAUGUAACUCAAAAUCCAUACUAAACACUAUUGCCAGAACUUUGCGAAUCAAGGUAAAUCUUACUACAAAAGAAAAUGUAUCUUCAUAAUCAAUUCCUUCCUAUUGAUUAUACCUCUUCGCCACAAGGCGAGCCUUAUGCCUUUCUAUCGAGCUAUCAGCCUUUCGCUUUAUUUUGAGAACCCAUCUGUUCCCAAUGGCUCUGCGUCCCUUUUGGAAGAUCAACCAAUUCCCAGACUUGGUUUGACUUCAUUGACUCCAUCUCCUCUUUCAUUGCAUAAAUCCAUUUUUCCUUACUAGGGCAGUUAAGAGCCUCAUUAAUAUUUCUCGACUCAUCCUCAUCUUGCGGAGCAAUCAUAAAAGUUUCCCCUUCAAUGUCAAAACGUCAACGGGGAAUACUUUGGCGACUUGUUCACCGUAUGGGAGAUUGUACACUUAGCACAUCAUUCCCAUUAUGCUCCCACUCGGAUUAGAUAAUGACGAUAUCAUCUCAUCAUGUGGUUGUAAUUGAGAAUGAGUUGAAUUCAAUUCAUCACAUCUCAUAUUACUCCCACUUGGAUGAACUCCAUUAAUAUCAUUAUCUUUAUCCAAGGUUUCAAAUAGGAAGUAAUCUUCACCUAUUUCGCCCCUCUAAGGAAAUUCAUCCACUAAGAAUGUGACAUCCCGUGAUUCAAAAUUCAGUUAUUCUCCCACUUUCCUGCUCACCUAUGAACACAUACCCUUUCGAGUGUUUGGAGUAUCUCAUUAAAAUACUCUACUUUUAUCUGGGACUCAAUUUCCCAAACUUGUGAGAGGACAUAUGAGUAUAGGCAGCAUAACCCCAUGGCUUAAGUAAACUUAAGUCUGGUUUCUACCUAUCCAUAACUCAUAUGGAGUGGAACUAACUGAUUUAGAAGGCACCCGGUUAAGUAUUUGGGCAGCAGUUAGCAACGCAUCACUCCAAAAAAAAAAGUGAUGAGUAAGUUAGCAUGCGCCAUCAUGGACCUAACCUUUUCCAGUAGGGUUCUGUUUCUUCUCUCCGCAACACCAUUUUGUUGAGGAGUAUAUGGAAUAGACAACUGUCUUUCUAUUCCUUUUUCAUCACAUAAUUUUCUGAACUCAUCAGAUAAAUAUUCUUGACCUCGAUCGGAUCUCAAUACUUUUAUUUUCUUGUCUAAUUGAUUCUCUACUAGGUUCAUAAACUUUUUGAAACAACUUAUGCUUCAGAUUUAUGAGAAAUCAAAUAGACAUAUCCAAAUCAAGUAGAAUCAUCUAUAAAAGUGAUGAAACAAACAGCCCAUUGCCUUCCUCUCAUAUUCAUUGAACCACAGACAUCAGAAUAGAUUAAAUGCAGAGGAAAUUCAGCUUUUUUACCUUUUCCAAAUGGUUUCCUUGUCGUUUUCCCUUCUAGGCAAUGCUUACAUAUAAGCAAAUCGACUUUUUCAAUAUUGCCCAACAAGCCCUCUUUGGCUAGUCUUUUCAUAUGUUGUUGGCCCAUAUGACCAAGUCUAGCAUGCCACCAUAUUCACAUCAUUAUCAUAUAAAGUAGAAGACGUGAAACAAGGGAAUAACAUAUUGACAUCACCACAGUCAACAUUUAGUACAAUAAAACCAUCCAGAAAGUGACCAAAAAUCAUAGUAGUUUGUAUCCAAAUACAAAUCUACACAUCUAUUAUGGAAGUUCAUACUAAAAACCAAGCUUAACCAAUGCAUCAAAACAGACACUUAAAUUUCGACGAAUCUCCGGAGCAUAUAGAACAUCAUGUAGGAACAAGUUGCGUCCACCACACAUGUUCAAUUGGCAGGUGCCAAUCCCUUUAAUUUCAGCUCUGGAGCUGUUUCCCACAUAGAUCCACUUAGUUCCAGUUGGUAUCGUCGGAAUUCUACGAAGGAUCCUUUAUCCUUUGCUACAUCGUCUGUUGCUCAUGAAUCUACAGUCCACAAAGGAUUGGAUUAAGCUAAUAAUACAGAACUUGACACAUAAUCAAAGUUCUCAAAUGUACAAGAGGUGUUUACCUUUUUCGGCUCACAACAAUUGCGAGCAUAGUGACAUUCUUGUCACAAUUGUAACACCUCACCCUUGACAUUUUCUUCACUUGAGGACGUUUUCAUCUCUUGUGUUGGUUAACUCUUGAUCUCUUGCAAUAAGGACUUGAUCCUUUGCUUUCCCACAUAUUGAACGAAUCAAUACGUUUGCGCUUAGAGCUCAAAGCCCUUUCUGAGCUAGAACCAGCAUAGCCUAUGUCUAUUUUCGGCUCAAAUGCCGAUAGCCAGUCCUCUACUAGCUCAAGGUGGCGCACAACAUCCUCUAGAUCUUCCAUUAUAUGGUCAAGAGCUUCUAAUGCUUCUUGCUUUUCCAGCACAUAUUGAAUCUUCAUAUUCAAUAUUUCACAAUUGUUGCCGUUCAUAUCAGCAAUAACGUUCUUAGUUGCUGAAAAUAUCGAUCUGAACACAUCAGACAUACAUGCACGAAUUAUUAAUGCCUAUCAUUUAUGCAUCCACUUUUACAUAGACCCAUCAUAUUAAUGAAUAAUUUUAAGUAAGGCUUCAGAAUCAAAAGGUCACUACAUUUCCAAUCAUCCUCCAAAAAUCCUAACUUAAAACCAUCAUUAAUAUGAUUGUCAUAUGCAAAAUCAAUUCUAUGAAGUUACAAAAACUUCUAAACUACCCACAGCUAAUUACCCACAGCAAUCAGCAAUUAAUAGAAAGCAAAUAAAAUCUAAACAUCGAAUAAAAUAACAAUGCUUUGACAUGAUACAACUAACAUAUCGGUUGCUACAUCAACAACAAUCAAGUAGUAAACAUUACAUAAUUAAUCAAAGAAAUAAUUAGGGAAAGUCCCUUCUAAUCUAUCAGUCAAAACAUCUGAGAAAACCGAAGGCACAUUUGCCAACCAUGGAAAAACUUUUGGAGAGCUCUUAUGUCGCCACCAAGGCGCAUUCGCUCUGUGCCAUGUGGCGCUCAAUCUAAGGGUUGAAGUUUUGGCCAACUCAAUCCUAUAGUAUUCUCUUACAAAAGUUUCCACUAGACCUCUAUAACCCGGGACCACGUUGACCUCCCAUAGCUGAUCUAACACUGCUUGCCAUUCAGGUGGAAGAGUGUUCAUCAAAGCUGGCACCUUCUCAAAGUCCGGCAUAAGAUAACCAUUCCAGAUGAUUUCCUGUAUCAUCUGAUUGACCUUGACCAUAUGUGAUACUAAAUCACCAUUAAGCCACCGAUAAUCAGCUAACUCCAUUGUCAGCCUUUUUAGUCUAGCUCUUCCUUCGUCCGUUGUUGGGACUGCAGGUAUCCGUGCAUAACACAUCAUAGUUCCUGCAACAAAUGCGGAACUAAAAUGGAUCACUUAUAAUCCAUAAUAAACAAAAUGGAAAAUACAUAAAUUUCCAUGAUUCAUGCAACAAAUGCAGAAUAAAAAUGGAUUACCUAUAACCCACACAGACAUAAUUGAAAAAAAAGAAACAAAUUCCUUUUUUUUUUUUUACGGGUCAACGGUCAACAGUCGUCGGUCAACGGUCAACGGUCGUCGGUCAACGGUGGUCAACGGUCAACGGUCGUCGGACCGGACAGACCGGUCGGACCGCUCGCGCGGACCGAAGCACGUGCCGCGCGCGUGCGGGGGAUGACGUCACGAAGACGUCAUCCGCACGUGCCUGCCACGUGCCUUGGUCUCCGGUGGGUCGGGUUGCCGGCCGGUGACCGUCCGGCAAAACGACGUCAGUGAUGACGUCAUCGGUGACGUCAUCCGAACGGUUACCGACCGUUGGAUGACGUCACGGUGACGUCAUCCGAACGGUUACCGACCGUUGGAUGACGUCACGGUGACGUCAUCACGUGACGUCAGCACGUGUCGGUCCGCGGACCGGCGCGUGCCGUUUCGCCGGUCGCCGGCGCGCACGUGCCGGUUCGUCACCGGCGCGUGUGGCGCACGCGCUGGCCAUUGCCAGCGCUUCGGGCGCGUGGUGCCCACGCGCAGCGGCUUGUGGCCGCGCGUGUGGGGCGUGCGGCGUCGUCCGGCGACGCACAACAUGUCGCCGGACUCGUCUCGACGACCUCUUUCACCCAGUGCUUUCAGAAUUUAAUUUCGACUUACGAAAAAUCAGAAAAAUGGCCGAACAGCGCUCGGGUGUCGGGAUUUUCGCCCGGUUCCGUACGGCCGAAGGGAUUUCGCGAAAAAUCAAUCAAAAACAUCAGAAUUGAUCGGGAAAAACGUGAACUAGGGCUCUGAUACCAAUGUUGGGAAUGACUGAUCCCCGAAAACCGGAUUCGACACCGAAUCGAAUCCCUAAAUCAAUGCGGAAGACGAAGCCCGGGAAAAACACGCAUCACCGAUCGUUAAGCACACCACGGAUUCGAGCGUACCUUGUUAGCCACAGAUUAAACACCAACGCUGAAGAAGAGGAUGAAAUUCUGGCCCCAAUGAUGUCAAUUCGCCCUGAAGGGGAUAUGGCGUCGCCUUGAGCGUUUGGGAGAAAAAGAGAGGGAAAGAAACGUACGUUAUGUUCGUUAUGCCAAGAGGUGUCUUCUCUCUCUCUCUCCUUCCUUUUAUACCUUUCCCCAUCCACGGGCCCUAUUCCCGUGGGCCGGGCCUUUUUGGGCCCAACUUGAGCGGAUGGGCCUUAAGCCCAUCUCAUAAAUCCAUCAAUCGACAACAGCAUGCACUCUCGAACUCGAACUUGCUCGCACGCCAGAUAGAGCUCGCUGAUUCUCUCUCUCUCUCUCUCUCUCUCUCUCUCUCUCUCUCUCAUCUCGAACGGGUAUCCUUGGAAACAGAGUCCAGCUUUGUCAUUCCAUCAAACACCUUCCUUGCAAACUCGACAUAUUUUUCUCCGACCAGAUUUUUUUUUUCACAUCUGUCUCUCUACAUAAACAUAUAUCUAUAUAUGUGUAUAUGUAUAUGUAUAUCAUUCCCACAGUGAACAACACCAUCAGAUUCCAUACUCGAGUCGCCGCCACUCUGAUUCAGGCCGUCGCUUUCCUAUCCUUGUCCGUGUCUGGACCAGAUUUAUCUUUGGCCGGCCCAUCUCGGGCUCACGCCGCCGUCGCCACUGAACCAUUAUCAGGGCCGUUUCAUUUCCGAGACGAAUUUCGAUUCACUCCAGAACAUGUGCCGUCAACUCUUGCUUCGUUCCGUUCGCUCCCACUUCAUCGCCGGAUUCCACCGUUUCGCCCGUGUACGAUGCGGGGUGGCGUUCGCUGUUUACAAGAGCCUUUUAUCCGAUUGCCAAGGCUGAGGUUGGAUGGAUCAACAUCAUCAUCAUCAUCUGGACACGAUCCGCCGAUUCGAAGGAUGAGAUUCUUUGGGUUUCGCUCUCAGCACCUCCAACGGUCCCGCGUCGCUUCGUCAACCAUGGCAGCGGAGGCCAAUCUGAGUCGUUGUCGUCAUCCGAGACGAUACGCCAAGCUUGAAGAUUGGCGGCGGCGAGCAUGAACAGAAAAACAAACGAGAAUAAAAAAUUAAAAAAAAAAAAAGGCGCGAAGCGAAGCGAAGGAGUGGAUGGAGAUCAUUCGGAUUUUGUGUGGGAGAACGAGACAAACAGGUGAAGCCGGUGGUUGUUCUUCGGAUGAUUAAUUGAGUUUGAAAGUAAAAUAAUGAAAAAGGAAAAAAAGAACCUACUGUCCUCUUCGGAAAAGCCGGUAAAAAAAUUCAAAUUAUAUUCAAUUUUCAGUGCAUUUAUUUUUCUUUUUUGUUACGUCAAAAGCUCCAAAUUAUUUCUCUUUAAUUUUUUUUUCUUGUAAUGUCAAAAAUCCUAAAUUUUUAUCAAUAUGACGCAUUCACUUUCUGUUAAGAUUUCAUCUAAUAAUAUUUUUUUUUGGUGAAAGUUCUUAUUUCAUUUUACGUCAACAUCAUUUACCUUUGGUCAUACAUAUAGAUAAAUUUUUUUAACGAUACUCAUUAAUAGAGAAUCAACGAGUCAUAUAAGUAUAAUUUGAAAUGUUUAAUGACAAAAAAAAAAAUUAAGAUAGAUGUGUUAGAAUAAACAUAGUUUGGGAUAUUUGAUGGCUUUUGCCCUUUUUUCUUAGCUUCAUCAACAAUGUAAGUCACAACUCAUAACCAAUAAAACAUUGAUCUAUCUCAUGGAAGCAAGAAUUUACUUGUUGCCUAUUAGCUGUCACUAGGCUUCCGUCGCCCUUUCCCUCCUAGAUGUCCUUGGUGGUGAUUAUGUCAAGUUGUUCUUGUCUCUUUUACUGUUAGGAAAGUGCUUUUGUCUUUAGAUUUGCUUGUACAUUGAAUUUGCAACUUGAAAUAUGCUUUUGUAAAUCUCGUGAGUCUAUCAACCGCAGCUUGUUCUCACUUGAAUAAACAAUGUUUUGAUAUCACUUGUGAAAAGAAAAUUCUAUUUUUAAUCUCUCACGACUUCAAUUCAGUAGAAAUAUAUUUAAUUUUGACAGCUAUUUCGACUUGAGAUUUCUAUUUAAAUUUCCUCUUAUUGAAAAAUUGACCCAAUGUCAUUUAUGGUUAAUGGCGUACGACGACGAAUGGCGUCGGAAAUGACUGGAUUCCAAGAUUUCAAAGCAAUCUUCUGCUGGGAAUGGAUUGUGGCUUUAUUACCAUAUAGGGUGGGCUAGAGAAGGCGACUGGGCUUGAUGGACCUAAGACGAAAUUUUGUCUCGUGAGAGCUAUGUGAUUGGGCCACGAACCAGAAAAGCCCCCAUUUUUAACCCCCAUCAUUUUCUAAUUUUUUUUAUUCUUUUUUUUUAUCUAUUCUUUUUCACUCUCUUUUGUUGUUUUUGCUAUUUUCUAUUUUUGUACUUUCAUAGAGACAAUGCUUUAAUUGUUGACAAAAAUUCAGGUGUUGAUGACUCGCAUGAUAACACUAAGGUUUAGUGCCAUGGGAAGCUCAGUAUUUUCAUAAAUUGAUUGAUUAACAAGUGCAUUUUGCAUUGACUAGCACAUUCCCCAAAAAUAUUUUCAACAAAACCAAAAAUCUUAAAGAGGGCGGGAAGAAAAAGAUCAUGCCCUCCUAAAAUUAGCCAAAUUUAAGAGUAUAGGAAUCAAAAUUAAAUUCUAUAUCAACAACAAUUUUUUUUUUUAUUAAAUUGUUAUCCCCCAUCUCCUUGCAGACUCAACUCUAGCUCUGAUGCACGUGAAGCGGUUUGAAUGUGAUCAUUCUCAUUUUUGAACCCAAGAUCUACCACUCUUUGGAAUGGAGGGGUAUAAGAGAAAGCUUCUCUUGGUAGUGCAAAAUCAUGAGCAAAAUCAUGAGAUAGGGCUUUGCUUCUAAGCCAAAAGAGGGUCAGCUAGCAAGUCCAAGUUGAAGAUCGGUAGCAUGGAGCUUCUUCUGUCAAAAGCCCUAAAUCCAUAAUGUUCAAGCAUUGCACUGCCAAAUUAUGGGUAAAUUUGAAGAGAUGAGGCUUCCAGACUAUUCUAUGUGCGUUGCUUCAACUAAUUAAGUACAAUAGAUUCUCUGAUUUUUCUUCAAACGAAGGAUUUUAUCAAUCUUCUCUUUCUGGUGGUUACAACUAAAGGUGUCAAUGAGGUUGGUUUUCAAUGGGCUUGUUGUCAAUGCAUGUUGUAAAUCUUGCUAUGAGAAUGAGUAAUUUGCUUUUGAUGCUUGAUUGUGUAUUGCUUCGCGAAAAGACCUAAUGCAAAGAUACUUAAUGUUUUAUAGAGAGAUGAUUGUGGAUUUAUUCGAAUAGAAAGAGAAGGUUCGACUAACAGAGGCUAGAGAAAAAGCGAGAUCUUGAGAGGAUAACGAAUCUUGAAGAGAAGAUUUGGAAGAGCAAGUUUUUUGAAGAGCAGAUAUCUAGAGGGAGAUCUUGCUUCUUAUGAACCUGAGUCAGGGAUGGAAUGACUGCGUGAUUAGAAUCUGGUUUGAGUUGGAUAUGUCAAAGAGAGAAGCAAAGGAGAGGACUCAUGUUGGAAAGAUAGUUUUACUUGUGACGUUUAUACUAACAAUCCUAAGUGUUGAAGUAAAAAUAAAAAGUUGUUUGACAAUCACUAAAUAUUUGGAAUUCCUUUCCAAACAUAGAACUGUGAUCGUAACUGGCUAGCCAUAAUCAUACAAUUGGGAAAUUCUAAUUAUUGUCAAUUGUUUGAAAGGUCUUGUGUUGAUUGCUUACUGGCUAGGUGGGGCUUUACAGCUUUGCCCUAGGAUUGGCAAACGGGUUGGCUCGGCUUGAGCACGACACGACCCUCGCCACAUGGGUCAGUAGCCAUUUGGUUGGCCCGGAAUAAUUAAAAAUGGCUCAAAGGACCAGGCCCUUGGAGCAAAGGAAAAGUUUUUUUUUUUUUUAAAUGCUGGCAUGAAAUGAGCCGUUUAGUUUAGUCAUUUAGAAGUCUGGACAUGAUUUGGCAAAAAAGUCAUGAAUACUCAGAAAAAAUGGAAGAGUCCAAUCUAACGUAAAGGAACUUCUACGCAUUCCUUUAUUAUCUUAGCAUUAAAUCAUUCAUGAGCUUUAAAAAAAAAUGUUUUAUCAUAGAUAUUACUUUAAAUUAUAUUGUAUUGGACAAAUCAUAAUAUUUAGGUACACACAUAAUUGAGCAGUACAAAUAGAAUGAAUAGCAUAAACUCAUUCAUGAAAUGCAUGCUGACUCAACAUAAAUUUGGAUACAGUGCACUCGCGAAUUAUUCCUAAAAAAAGAUCUGAUAGUAACAGAUGCACCAAACCACUUGACUUCGCUUGGGAGCACAUGAGAUUUGCCACAUAAUUAGCCAAAUCAGUUACACCAAAUGUUUCAUAAGAUCCAUAUAAUUUCAUAAUUUAAUACUACAUAACUUUGUUAUGUCUUUAGCUCAUUCAACAAGAAUCGACAAAGUGAAUUGGACUAUAUAUCUCCUGGAUGAAAAACAGCCUAAAGUUCUCCUGGGAAGCAACUUCCACAUGUCGCUUGUUGGUGGCCUAUGUUCCUGGAACCAUUGUCUCUCCUUUUUUCGCUUCCCUUUAGGCUCUUACUAUCAAAUAUAUUUGCCUUGAUCACCGAACAAUCUAUUUUUCCUUUUUUCAGACUAUAAUGAUCUAAUUAUCUUCAUAGGAUUUCCAAUCGAUAGAGCUUUGUCAUUGGAAAAAAGCUAUGUGCAUUGCUUAGGUCCACAAGAUGCAAUAAUUUGACUAGACAUUAGAUAUAUGGGGUGUCCCUACUCUCUUUGAGUCCACAUUCAUAUAGUUAAGGCUGUGAAUGUACAUAUUAUUGUGUUCCCUCAUUCUAUGUGCUUAUAUUAUGGUCUUUCAUAUUCAUAUAUUGCUUGUUCAAAUAUCCAUGUGGGUAGACAAUUCUCUUUGUAUUAUUCAAGGGAUAUAUUGAGGGAAGUAAUUGAAUCGCAGUUUUGAGUCAUUCACACAUCAUGCAUGAUGAAAUUGAGGAUCCAUCCCAUCUUAUCAUAAAGAUAAGGACUAAAUUACAUUUUCAUUUUUCUCUGCCAAGUUCGAAUUGCAAUCACAAAAGUUUGGUAACGUUGCUUGUAGUUUUAUAAGUCUUUUUUUCUUUUUCUCAUAUCGCCAUCUUUUAAUUGGUAUUUAAUUAAAUCACAUCUUUUAAAUAUGACACGUACUUGAAAAUAUGAAUUCCUAUCAACAAUAAGCAUCACAUGGUGAACGAUUUGAUUAUUAAAGUUAUUGUUUUCAAGAAGGCAGCAAUGCAUUAUUACCAUCGUCCCAUGACUGUACCAUGCUUGCAAAGUGAGGUCCAUAUGUACUCUUUUGUCUAAUAGAGCUUUGUGGUUGGAAAAUAGCUUUGCGGUUGGAAAAUAGCUUUGCUAAUUCCUUGAACCCCUCAUCGCUCCUUUUGUCACUUCGCUUUAGUGACGCAUGGUCAAGCAUCUCUGCCUCACAAAAAUUAAUGUGUUUGUCCUUUCUUGGACUUUAAUGAUAUGAAUAUCUCCAAAGGAUUCACAAUCAACUGUCCUGUACCAAUCGUAACAAAGUGUACUACGCAUGAUUCAAGUUUACACAACAUCUUUUCAACCAUUAUCUACUAUUCUUGAAAAGAAGAGUAGUUGCAUGGAUUUAAACCACAAAAAUUAAUGUAAUAAAGUAAUGGGCUCAAAGUUACUUGUAUGAUCUCAGCCAUUGAAUGAAAGAAAAUUGACGUCGAUUGUUGGAUUUGGCAUGACCAUUUUGUCCUGCCAAACCCUGCUGCAGAUAUCUGACACCAAAAGUAGUAAGCAGUGUUAUAUCCUCAUUGCGCUAAUUCAAUUUGUAAACCAUAGUAUGGAUUCUUUAGCUUUAACCUUCUGAAAUGAGGCAACUACAACUAAAUUUCAAUGCGCAGCACACUGCUUACGGAAACUGAUAUUAUCAAGUUGCAGAAUUAAAACUCCGUAGUUUUCUUCCUUUUCUUUAUGCACUUCGGUUUGACUAUGAGUUAUUGUAUAAUAAAGAAUUAAUUGCAAAAAUUUUCUUGAGAAGCUGUGGAAAUGAUCUCUCCAACUCAAUGCUUCUCAAGGCUCUGGUCAGUUCAACCUGGACUGUAAAACUAGAAAAGCGAAACAAUAACAUCUUCUUAAUGAGGAAAGGAUGUUUGGGAUUUACGGAGUAUUACUUCAUUGGUCAUGUUCACCUCAUAGUUUUCAAAUAUAAAGGGAACUCCCCUUUUUGCCUAAUAUUAUUCAACGAGAGUGCGUAGAGCUAUUAUGAUAAUAUACAACUGUACAAAAACACAACUAAUUUAAACUAAGCAUGCAAUUCGGUGAAAUUGUGAACAUUCCCAUGGCUACUUAAUACGUGCAUGAGUUCAAUCAAACAUCGGCAUGGCUUUGGCGAUUUAUUACAUGAGAUUAGUGUAGAUUGACAUGUAGCUCCAAAACUAUGGCACCCCAUCAUUCAAUUGCACUUUCUGCAGGGUCAUAUUAGUAUAUAAAAAAUAGCAAUAUGGACUAGUCACAUAGUGAUAUGAAAAAAAUUAAUUGAAAUAUGAAGAACAAAAAAGUGUAGUAACAAUUAGCCUUAUCCAAGUCACAAAUCAGGCUCUGUCCAGUUGUGACUCGUCUAGUGAUGGCCAUGAUAAGAACGAAGUUCUUAGUCUCCGCGCAUAAAAAUUAAUCGAUGAAAGAUAAGUGUUCGAUCUCCAAAGAAUGCGAAAACGUGAGUUAGACUUUAAUUUUUUUUUUUUUUUGGUCGAACGAGCGACUGGUCUGAAGAUAUCAUCUAGAAUGAGACGGGAGAAGGCUCCAAAUCCUCCUCAAAUCGAUUGCACGCGUCCCUUUUCCCUCUCGAUGUAUCUUUUCCCCCCUCGGCUUUCCACGGAUUCCCUUUCUAUUUCGGUGUCUGCAUAACCCCUGGUCGCGUGUCUCCCCGUGUGAAGAGGUUGAUUGGUCUAAUCAUACCAGGAUCUCUGCCUUUUUUUCCUCAAAAUGGACGAGAGAUCUUUGGUAUCCCUUGCACGCGAAGCUGAAUGGUGCUUCUUACAAUUGCCAAAAAGUACGUCCCGCGUAUCGUAAAUAAUUACUGGAAAAUCAGGAUAGUCCGCUAAACACGGUUUUUUUUUUUUUUUUCUUUUGGCUUCGAGAAAACGUGAAGGCCUCAUUCCUUUUUCUCUUUUUGCCAGAGAUCCUAAGAAAUUAUGUAGACUCUGAAACAGAUUUCUUUUUUCUUUUUUUGCGCUGGGGAAUGUCACGUUAAAAUAAACGGUGUCAACAACCACAAUUGUCCUCCCCCCCCCCCCCCCCCCCCCCCGCCUUUUUUUUUUGGGGUCAAUUUCGGCAUCCCCACGUUCCACAAAUGCCUUGAUUCGAACUCUGCCUAAGCAAGGAAUCAUGCCCAGGUAUGGUAUGAUUCCACAUUAAUCAGUAACAUGAUGACUUAAAAUUCUUGCUUGAAAUUUUGAGUUUAUUCUUACAACUAUUGUUGGGAAAAAAAAAACCGAAAUAACUUCAAUUUUUCCUUAUAAACCAUUUUUUUUUAAAUUUAAAAAGGAUGAUUUGAGGGGCUUUCCGUCAAAUAUGCAAAAAUUGGAGAGGCACUAUAUGAAAAGUCAAGACUUAUUUUCUGAUAUAGUCCACAUUAAUUACAUAUAAGGGUCUAAGUUAGUCCAAGUAUAAUAUGUCAAUAGGUAGAACACUAUCAAAAUUCAAUAAAGAUAGAAUAUAUAUACACACACACAUAUAUUUAACAUGGCCAUUUUAUGUUUUAUUGUGUGUUUUCUUUAUUUUUAAAUUAGAAUUUUAUGUUCUUUUGAAAUAAAAAGUCUAAUGAUAGAAGUUAAAAAAAGUCUUAAACAUAUUGCAAUUAUGUCCAUUCAAUUCUAUUUUUUUCAAGCAAAUUUAGUCUCAAACUUUUUGCGUUUGUGCCAAUUCAAUAAAUCUGAGCAAUUUUGGCCGGCUGACGUUGACGUGAUAUUGCUAAAGCUGAUGUGAACUUUCUUAAACAAUAUUUUAAUAAUAUUUUAAUUUUUUAUAAUUUUCUUUUAUAUUUUCUUUUCUUAAAAAAAUUUCCCCCUUUCUGUUAGGGCCACGACAACCUAGCUCACCCAGACUGGGCAAGGGUCAAGAUGUCCUCGCCCAAUGCCAGUGAGGGCAUCUCGGCCCUCACCUACCGUUGUUGGCCCUAAGUGAAAGGGGAAAAAAUUAUGUAAAAGAAAAAAUGAUAAAAACAUUCAAAAAUCAUUAAAAUAUUAUUUAAAAGAGUUUGCAUCGAUGCCGGUAAAACCACAUCAGUACCAACAGACCAAAAAUGAUUGGAUGGACUAAACUGGCACAAAUGCAAAGAGGUUUAGGACCGAAUUGGUUAAAAUAUAUAUAUAUAUAUAUAUAUAUAUAUAUAUAUAUAUAACUGAAUUGACACAAUUACAAUAGGUUUAUAACUUUUUUUUGAUUAUUUUUCCCUAUAUAAUAUAGAAGAGAAACUGACUGGCUAAGUAAUGAAUCAGUGAAGACUUGCAAAAUGGCACACAAGUGAAAACUAAGAUAGGGAUUUGAUAAUGCUUGUUCCUUACGUAGGGAAUGAUAUGAUGAUGGCAUUCAAAACUCUUACUCUAUACUUUCGUUUCCCAUGAUAUUCUUUUUUAAGUUAUUAUUUCCAAGAAACUAGCCAUGCAUUAUUAACCCAAUGCUAUGAUUGAACUAUUCGUGUAAGAAUGGGGUCCACAUGUAUUCUUUUGUAAGAUAAACUCUAUCACUGGAAAAAAGCUAUACGUGUUGCUCAUGUCUAGGAGAUGCAAUAAUUUGCUUGGACAUUAGGGGCGCAUUUGGUACGAUUCUGUUCUCAGUAAUAAUUUUUUAUCAGAAAUUGUUUUUUUUUUUCCUGUUCCCAAAAACAAUUUAUGAGUAUAAGAAUAUGUUUGGUAACUGCACAAAUUUUCUAUUCCCCAAAAAGAAAUGCGUUUGGUAGAAUUGUAUAAUUUUAAUGUUUCUUUUAAUUUUUAAAUAUUUUUAUUAUAUUUUUCCUUUUUUUCUUCUUUCUUUUUUCUUUUUUCUUUUCUCUCCUUCUUCCUCCUUUGUGGCCGGUCGUCGGCGGCCGGCUAUUGGUUGGGUGAGGUCCAACGAGCUCGCCGGAGGCUCGCCUGGCCACCGCGAGACUUGGCCUCGCAAGAUCUGGGUGAGGCCUGACCUCGCCCAGGCCUGGUGAGGCGGAGCUCAAGCUUGCCCAGACCUGGCGAGGCCGAGCCUUGUUGGUGGUUGGGCGAGCUCGGGGUCAUUGGGGGCCGGCAACGCUUUGGUGAGGUCGUCAGCCCUCGUUGACUGGUUGUUGGCCAUGGCUGAGGUCGGUGACUGGCCAAAAGGAAGAAGAAGGUAAGAAAAGGAAAGAAGAGAAAAGAGAAGAAAAAAGAAAAAAUUGUUUCCAGGAAUAAGAAACUACUUUUUGGACAUGCGAACCCCUGGAGUGCCUUAACUUUGCACAAAGGGACAUUUAAGUGCCAUAACUUAUGAAAGGUACACUUAAGUGCCAAAAUUGGAGUAAAAGGGAUCACUUGAGUGCCAAUCCGGCUCCGGUGAAAGUCCGGCCAAAAUGCCCACGUGGCAUUUUUCCGGCAAACCGAGCUCAAAACGACGCCAUUUUGCACGCUAACGUGGCCAAAUAAUGAAAAAACAGCGUCGUUUUGGGCUAACGUGGUAAAAAAAAUAUAAAAAAUAAAUAAAUAAAAUUUAGUUAAAAUAUUUAAAAAUAAUAAUUUUAAAAUUAAUUUAGUUAAAAUAUUAAAAAUAAUAAUUUUAAAAUAAAAAAAUAUAAAAAAAAUGGGGGGGGGGGGGGGGGGGGGGCUGGGUCGGGCCUUCUUUUUUAGACUGCUAAUUGAUGGAUCUCGCAUGGCCUCGUCAUAGCUGCUGACGGAAUUAUCGGAUUGUAGCAUGUUUCACGAGAGCAAUGCAUUCCUAGAACUUUUAUUUGGCAAGUCCAGUCCCUAAUUUUUAACAAAAUUUCCACCAUCCUCUUCUAUAGGGAUCAAUAACAGAUUCCUAUGCGUGGGAAUGCCAUGAACUGACCAGCGGAACGGCCCUGCACGAGUUCCACAAUCUUGCUACACUCAUCCAAACGGUGGGUCGCUGCAGAUCAUGACUUUCCAGAUAUAACCCAUCUACCAUUUCAUCAUACAACUCUGGGACUGAACUGCACCAGGUUUUCACAUUUGUCAUGCCCUAUAACAGUUUAGCAUAUAAAUUCUAUCAUAAACCACAAUCUAGCUUCACACAGUCCAACAAGAAUGCGUACAUAGAAUUCAUUUUUUGCANNNNNNNNNNNNNNNNNNNNNNNNNNNNNNNNNNNNNNNNNNNNNNNNNNNNNNNNNNNNNNNNNNNNNNNNNNNNNNNNNNNNNNNNNNNNNNNNNNNNNNNNNNNNNNNNNNNNNNNNNNNNNNNNNNNNNNNNNNNNNNNNNNNNNNNNNNNNNNNNNNNNNNNNNNNNNNNNNNNNNNNNNNNNNNNNNNNNNNNNNNNNNNNNNNNNNNNNNNNNNNNNNNNNNNNNNNNNNNNNNNNNNNNNNNNNNNNNNNNNNNNNNNNNNNNNNNNNNNNNNNNNNNNNNNNNNNNNNNNNNNNNNNNNNNNNNNNNNNNNNNNNNNNNNNNNNNNNNNNNNNNNNNNNNNNNNNNNNNNNNNNNNNNNNNNNNNNNNNNNNNNNNNNNNNNNNNNNNNNNNNNNNNNNNNNNNNNNNNNNNNNNNNNNNNNNNNNNNNNNNNNNNNNNNNNNNNNNNNNNNNNNNNNNNNNNNNNNNNNNNNNNNNNNNNNNNNNNNNNNNNNNNNNNNNNNNNNNNNNNNNNNNNNNNNNNNNNNNNNNNNNNNNNNNNNNNNNNNNNNNNNNNNNNNNNNNNNNNNNNNNNNNNNNNNNNNNNNNNNNNNNNNNNNNNNNNNNNNNNNNNNNNNNNNNNNNNNNNNNNNNNNNNNNNNNNNNNNNNNNNNNNNNNNNNNNNNNNNNNNNNNNNNNNNNNNNNNNNNNNNNNNNNNNNNNNNNNNNNNNNNNNNNNNNNNNNNNNNNNNNNNNNNNNNNNNNNNNNNNNNNNNNNNNNNNNNNNNNNNNNNNNNNNNNNNNNNNNNNNNNNNNNNNNNNNNNNNNNNNNNNNNNNNNNNNNNNNNNNNNNNNNNNNNNNNNNNNNNNNNNNNNNNNNNNNNNNNNNNNNNNNNNNNNNNNNNNNNNNNNNNNNNNNNNNNNNNNNNNNNNNNNNNNNNNNNNNNNNNNNNNNNNNNNNNNNNNNNNNNNNNNNNNNNNNNNNNNNNNNNNNNNNNNNNNNNNNNNNNNNNNNNNNNNNNNNNNNNNNNNNNNNNNNNNNNNNNNNNNNNNNNNNNNNNNNNNNNNNNNNNNNNNNNNNNNNNNNNNNNNNNNNNNNNNNNNNNNNNNNNNNNNNNNNNNNNNNNNNNNNNNNNNNNNNNNNNNNNNNNNNNNNNNNNNNNNNNNNNNNNNNNNNNNNNNNNNNNNNNNNNNNNNNNNNNNNNNNNNNNNNNNNNNNNNNNNNNNNNNNNNNNNNNNNNNNNNNNNNNNNNNNNNNNNNNNNNNNNNNNNNNNNUGUUCAGGACAUAGAUCUGCAAAACGGCGUCGUUUUGGGCUUGGUUCGCCGGAAAAAUUCCAUGCGGACGUUUUGGCCAGACUUUCGCCAAAUUGGCACUCAAGUGAUCCGUUUUUUUUUCCGAAUGUGGCACUUAAGUGUACCUUUCGUAAGUUAUGGCACUUAAGCGUCCCUUUGUGAAAAGUUAUGGCACUUGAAGCGUUCUUUUGCCCUACUUUUUGUUUCUAUUCGCAGGAACAAAAUUUUUACCAAACACGUUUCUAUUAUUUUUCCAUUCCCUGGAACAAAAGAACCGAAAUAGUUGUUCCGAGAAACAGAAAUAGUUUUUACUAAACAGGCCCUAAGUAAAUGGAGGUGUCCCUAUUCCUUCUCAUGUCCCCAUUUAAUAAUGAUGUGGCUAGAUCUAUUACUACCUCAUUCAUUAGUAAUUUGACUUGAGAUUAUAUUAUUUUCCAAAAGUAUAGUCUAUGAGCUUUCAUAUUCAUACAUUGCUUGUUCAAAUAUGCAUGCAAGCAUACAAUUCUCUUUGCAUUUUUCAAAGGAUAUAUUGAGGGAAAUAAUCAAAUUGCAACUCUUGGGUAUUUAGAUAGAUCAUGCAAGGUGAAGCCAUAGAUCCAUCACAUCUUGGUAAGAAAAAGGACUAAAUUGCAUUUACCUUGCUCCCUGCUAAAUCCGAAAUAUAAUCACAAAAGUUUAGUGGUGUUGCUUGUAGUUUUAUAAGCCAUGCAUUUUCUUGCAUCACGAUUUUUAAAUUGGUGUUUGAUUAAAUCACAUCUUUUACCACAUCUUUUACAAAUGGUAAAAUAUGAUAGCAUUCAAUACUCUUAGGGCAUGUUUGGCAACUGGCCAAACAAUAAAAAUUUCUAUUCUUUUGUUCCCGAAAGCAUAUUUGAGAUAGAAAUCCGUUUUGUAAAUUUUUUGUUCUCAGGAAUAGAUUUGGAGUAAAAUCAAGAAGUUUAAAAAACUUGAUUCUUUGUUUCCGAUAAUAAUUCCAUAAUCAAGUCAACUUGAAAUUUAUUUAUUUUCUUUUCUCUUCUUCUUUCCUUCUUGUUUUUCUUCCUUUUCUCUUCUUCUUUCACCACCAGCGCCAUCGGCCAUUGCUGCUGCCGUCAUCCACCACCAUCGGUCACUAGCGACUAAUUGAGCGAGGUCUAGCGAGGCUCGGCCUCACUGGCGAUCAGGUGAGCCUCGGCUGGGCCUCUUCUAGCAACCGGCGAGUCUCGCUUGGCCAAGGAAGGCUCAGCCGACGAGGUGCUUCCUCGCCGAGGGUUGGCAACCCUUCAGUGAGGUUGUUGGCCCUUGUCUGGCCGGUCGUUGGUCAUCCCAAAGCCGGCGAUCAGCCAAAGGUUGAAGAAGAAGAUAAAGAAAAUAAAAAAAGUAAUAAAAUGAUUAAAAAAUUAGAAUAAAAUUGUUUGAAUUAGAAAUUUUGAGGAUGUUGCCAAAAAAAAUUCUAUCCCGGGAAUAGAAAUUUUGGGCAAUUACCAAACGCCUUUAAAUGCUUAGAAUUUAUUCCGAGAAACAAAAUCAAAAAGAAUAAUUUCUAAUAAAAAAAUUAUUCCCAGGAAUAUAAUAUUUAUCAAAUGCACUCUUAGUCUAUACUUUUGUUUUCCAUGACAUCAUUAUUAAAGUUAUUAUUGCCAAUAAGCCAGCCAUGCAUUUAUCACCACAAUCCCAUGAUUGAACUAUACAUGUAAAAGUGGGUUCCAUAAGUACUAUUUUGUCUGAUAGAGCUCUCUUGUUGGAAAAUAACUUCGCAAGUUGCACACACUUAGAAUAAGUAAUAAUGUAGCUAGACAUUGAGAGCGCGAAUACUAACCAUUAUGUUAAAAAAAUCAUUUUUUAUUCCAAAAAUAGAUUUUCUAUUAAGAUUCUUUAGACGAUUUUUUUACAUAAAAAUACAUGUUUAAUAAUAUGAAAUUUCUAUUUCUGAAAUAGAAAUUUGUUUAAUAUCAACACAAAAUUUUUCCCUCUUGGGCGAUGACAACGGAUGAGGAACAUCAAGCGACAGACAACAGUGGCGGCUGGUGAACGUCAAAAGAUGGAUGGCCACCGGUAGAUGGAGACUAACGACUGGCGAACAGCAGUGGUGGCCGAUAACUGGUGGCAACGGACGAUGAUCGGUGGUGACAGACGGCAGGCUAUGAUAGGUGGGUAAUCGUCUAGUAACAAUGAUAAGCGAUAAGAAGUGUUUUUAUUUCUCAUUUAUAUUCCAGAAAUAGAGAAAUGGAAAAUUUUUGUUUUUCAUUUAUGUUCCAAACCUAAUUCUGUAUUAAAAAUUUGUUAUAGAAAUAGAUAAAUGAAAUUAUGUUACUAAAUAGAUUUAUGUUUCAAAUAUAUUCUUAGAAACAUAAAAUUAGUUCUAACCAUAAUAAGAAUAGUUGUCAUGUGCGCCCUAAAUCAUGGGAUGUCUCAUCUCCCUCUCGAGUCCAAGAUGCUUUUUGUAAAAACUAAAUAGACGAAAGCGGAGCAUCAAACACGAGAUUUUGGCUACAAUGUGGAAACAAAUUAAUAGAUUACUGAUAAGCCAAAAUGAUUAUAACGAGAUCUUUGGCAGCAAAAUAUGCAAAGAAAUCAUGAAAGUUUGAUUGUUAGGUCCAAGCACGCCUCAUGCAGCAAGCAACCACUCAGAUAUUAUCGACUUUUUCCAGUAAAUAGUUGUUGUGUUUUGACGCGGCCCUCCCUUCUUCAUCUCUCUUCGAUCUUCCUCAGUUUCACUCUUUCUUCUUUCCGGCAUAACCAUUCUUCCUUUUCCAUUCUUAUUUUUCUUCAGCAUCUGCUCCUCCUUUCUCCUAUCAUCCCAAGGACACGGGAGACAUACAACACGGGCACAUUUCACACUAGACAAUAUACAUCGCAUGUAUAUAUGGUCCACAUCAUCAUUAACUCUGUUUGCGCUUUUGACAAAAAGAAUUUGAAAGAAUUUUAUACAUAUAUUGUACGUAUGCAAUUGGCAAAAAAAGAGUUCAAGGAUAUACUGACAAUUUUCACAAAAAAUUCAAUCACUACGAUGCCUAAAUUGCUUAUUAAUUAUCAAAUCCCGCUCCAAAACUAGUUCGAGCCAUCAUCUAUUUGUUUUGGAAAAUGCAAUGAAGGAAAACCAUUUCUUUUACCGGUCUUUUGCUAAAAUAUGCAUCCCAACUCACCGGAUAUUAUUGAAUAUCAUUUGAGGUACAUGCAUUUUGGUGAAUAAGGGCAUGUUUGGCAACUUGCCAAACAAUGAAAAUUUCUGUUCUUUUCUUCUCAGGAGUAGAUUUAAAACAAAAAUCUGUUUGGUCCCAUAAAUAAAUUUAAAGUAAAAUCGAGAAGUAAAAAAAAAAAAAUUUGAUUCUUUGCUCCUGGGAACAAUUUCAUAAUCAAGCCAACCUAUUUUUUUUCUAUUUUUUCUUCUUUCUUCUUGUUCUUCUUCCCUCUUUCUUAUUCUUCAAUUGCUGCCACUGCUGCCGCCCUCCAUUGCUACUCCCGCCGUCCACCGUCCAUAGCUGUCGGUCGUCAGAAGCUUGCCCAGCUGUUGGCGAGGCUUGGUUGAGCCAUGGCUGGGCGAGAUUUGACCUCGCCUAGCCACCGGUGGGGCUUGACCUCACCGGACCACCGCGAGGUCGGCCUCACUAGAUCUGGGUGAGGCCGCUCUCCCAGCCAUGGCUCGGCCAAGCCUUGCCUAGCUACUGGUGAGGCUCGACCGACGAGGCACGAUCUCGCCGAGGGCCAUCGACACUCUAGUGAGGUCAUUGGCCCUCGUUUGGCCAGUCACCGAUCAUCCCAAGGCCGACGACCAGCAACGUGAAGAAGAAGAAUAAGAGAAAGAAAGGAAAAAAAGAAAAGAAAAAAGAAAAAAAGGAAAAAAGUAAUAAAAUUAUUUAAAAAUUAAAAGAAAAUGAUUUGAGAUAGAAAUUUUUAGGACAAUGCCAAACACAAUUCUAUUUCGGGAAUUGAAAUUUUGAACAAUUACCAAACGGCUUAAAAUACUUAUAAAUUGUUCACGGGAACAAAAUAAAAAAUAAUCAUUUCUGAUCAGAAAUUGUUCCUGAGAAUAGAAGCAUUAUCAAACGCGCCCUAAGUGCCUAGAACAACUUUUGGAAACCACUUUGUGGGCCAAUGCCAACACGUCCCUUUGAGCUUCGUUGGUGUACCAUCAAGUUCCUAUCAUUUUUCGUCGAAGAAGAUGAGUUUGUCCAAGAACCCUCAAAUGGUGUGACCAUCCGUGUGCAUGGAGUCCAUUCAAAAGAUCAAUGAUAUGAAUCUACCGGGUCCAUCGGGAUAGACUCUGAAGGGUGCGAAAUGGUUGGUGUACCAUCAAGUUCCUAUCAUUUUUCGUCGAAGAAGAUGACUUUGUCCAAGAACCCUCAAAUGGUGUGACCAUCCGAGUGCAUGGAGUCCAUUCAAAGAUCAAUGAUAUGAAUCUACCGGAUCCAUCGGGAUAGACUCUGAAGAGUGCGAAAUGGAACAACUCAUCAAGAAAUUUGAAAGAGAAAAGAACAAAAGUUUUGACAGCUCAAUGAAUACUAUGUAAGGCAUCUUGUCUUGCACGAUGCCUCAUAGGCCUAUAUUAUUGAGUCCACUAUGCAUUAUUGGUGUGGGACUUGCUCUCUCUUUCUUAGAAGAAAAAUCAACGAAAAUUGUCGAUUGAUGUUGUCAUUUGAGAAUAAUAGGAAAAAUUACAUUAAAGUCAUAUAAAUAAGUAACUUUUAAAAGAGUUAGAAUAGAGAGACGUUAACAAAAUUCCAACCAUAACAUUGUAUGGUAAUUUUAUGAUACUUAUUUCACAUUCUAAUCUAAUAAUUAUGGUUGGCAUAAAAAUAAAGCAACUUCAACUUUAUUUUGUGGACUAUUUUUCUUCUCCUUUUUUUUUUCACUUAAAUGAAUGCUUAGAGGGGCUUUCUGUCAGUAAAUCUGCAAAAGAUGAUAUAUGAAAAGGUCAAGACUUAAUUCUAAGUAAUGGUUAAUAUUAGUUAGAUAUAAUAAUAUAAAUUAGCCCAAGUCUAAUGUGUCAAUAAGGAGAACAUUAUCAAAAACUGCUAUUAGAUAUAUAAUCUCUAUAAUGGAAAAUCAUUGAGAUCACUCAUCUCUUAAACUUUUAAUAGGACAUCACAUAUCCACACGCUAUAAGGGAUUUUUUUUUUUAAGCUUAUAAGGGAUUAAUUGAAGUGAAGGGAAAGCUUGCUUAAUUGGGCCUCGGGAAUUGUCGGUUUUAGCUUAAUAAUUAGGGACUCUGUUGCUUAAUUCAUCAUUGCUUCAGGAGGGGUGAAGUGGGAAAGCAACGUUCCUCGACAGUAAAAGAAAAGGCCAGACAAGUGAGGGUCCCUGGUCAGUUCAUACAUUUGCAACUACCUAGAUGUUUGUCCAGUAGCGGCGGACGAAAGGACGUAGAGGUAUACGUGGGUAAUGGUGACUAGUCGAGUAAAAGAAGAGUAAGAUGCUGAAAACCAUCUCAGCUCCCACAAGCUAAGUAGCACCAACACGAACAUGUGACAUGUGACGACACGACACAUCGUUUCUCAAAAUACAGAAAAUUCCAACAUGUUGGGACAUGUUGUAUAUUAAAUGUAUAUUUUUAAUUAAUCAAUCAAAUUAAUUUGAUUCAAAUUCACAAAUAAAUAUAUAAUAAAAAAGCCUAGAAUGAAUUUACAAUAAAAAUAUUAAUCCAUAAUUUAUUAAUAUCAUUUAUUAUUUCAAUUUGACAAAUUCAACUCUAUUCCAGUAAUCCAUAAAAUUUGGAGAAAAAAACAAGUAACUCACAUUCUGAACUCGAGUGUCAAACAUGUCAGAAGAGGAGAAAAAAAAAACUUGGGAGUUAAAUUGUGUAUUAGGGGAAGCAAAAGUCAGAAGAGAAUAUUUUUUUUUUCUUUCCCCAUUUAUUAGUUUUAUUAUUUUUUUCAUUGUUUCACAUAUAUACAUUUUGACCCCACAUUUAUUGAAAAUUUCUAAAAUUGACCUUGCGUUUCGGAAUCACAUGUUGAAAACUCACAUGUCGGGGUUUCGACUCGAAUGUCAGAGAGUGUCAAGAAAGUUGAUUAGGUGUCGGAUUUUCCGAUACGUGUUGACCGAGUAUCGAAGAGCGUUCGAGAGUGUUGAAGAGUGUCGGAGUGUCUAACACGACACAAAAACUCUUAGUGUUGGUGCUUUCUAGCCUGCAAGUACCCUCAAUUACUCUUUCUCUCUCUCCCACUUACCCUAAUUAAAGCAAUCUAUUGUAUUUUAGAUGGUUGUCCACGAGCAGUGAAAAAAAGGACGUGGAGACUCGGACAUUAGUGAUGGGGACUGAUCAAGGAACAGUAAAUUGCGAAAAAAUAUCAUCCAUUUUCAUAUAUAUAUUAGGGCAUCUAUUCCUAUCAAUAGAUUGUUUAUCAGUCCAUUACCGUUCUCGUCUUGAUGGAGUGACCGGCCUUUUUUGUAUUUUUGUUAUUGGGCAGUGACGACGUGGGGGCAGUCUGCUCACCACUUAACUUCUCAGGUGGAGCUCCAGGCAUAUCCCAUCUCCUUAUUCUUCCUUCGGUUUUUGAGUCAUUCGUAAAUUUCUAAACGCUGGAUAGUUAAUAUUAGAACUCAGUCGUUUUUUACAAACUUUUCCAGCAAAAUAUUAUUUUUCGAUGCUUCCUGUCCUUCAAAAAAAUUAAAAGUGAAAGAAAAAUUAGGUUUAUAAAUUAUGAAAACCCCCCGUAACUAGGCAAUAAUUGUAAGUUUUCAAAAAAUUUUAAAACCAAUUUGUGAUAACUGCAAUAUUUGAAAAAUAAAUGUUAAAAGUAAAAGCCUCGCAAAAUAGACUCCAAUCAUUUAAGAGGAAAGAGGGAAACUCCAAUUGGAAUGAGAGCCCACAGAACAAUGCCAGUAGUGACUUGAAUUGUUUCCCAUAUUAAUCGUGUCAUGUAAAGAGUAGCAUUAUUCAAAAAAUAAAUCGGUUUGAAAUGAUUAAUUGACUUAGAAAUUUUGAUCUAACAAUUCUACAUGAAGUUACAUCUCAUGUGAAUUACAAUUGACAUUCUAACCUAACAAUUUGCUUAAUUAUAGUAUUACUUUUAUAUUUUAAAUAGGGUUAAUACCGCAAAAAACCCUAAACUAAUACACAUAUGAUAAAUUUACCCCAAAUAAAAUCCCCAAUUGGUAUAUACGUGACAAAUUUAUUCUCCAUUAGUUCCAUUAAAAUUUUAUUGUCGAAUCAUUGAACUAAAUGACACGCGGUAGUUAAUGGACGCAUCAGUUUGAGGUUUUACCCUCCAUUUAUUCCAUGUGUAUUGAUUUGGGGUCUUUCAUGAUAAUAAUCUAAUUUAAAAGAAAUUAACUAAGGUAAAAUUUUCACAAAUAUACUAAUUUGGGAUUUUUGGAGGUAAAAAAAUUAGUUUAAGAUAAAUAUAUGACAAGUGUAUUAAUUUGGAAUUUUCGAUGAUAAAAAAAAAUCAAUAUAUUAAGAUUUUUCGUUAUAUUAAUUUUUUAGAUAUGAUUUUCAUUGACCCCCACAGGAGCGGGUUUGGGGCUGGUACCUAAUUCGUGUUUCUCCAUUAAUGAUGGAGGAAAGGAUGGCAGGAUGGAUCAAGACUAGUACAUCAGCCGUGGAAAAGGAGGAAAGGAGGGAUAGCCCAUCAAUGUUUGUCCAUUAGCAAUGGAGAAAAUGAUGGAGACAGGGACCUGUUGACUUGUCAGUAAAGGAACAAUAAUAUAGAAAAUCAUACAUUUCCAUGCUCAAGGAAUUGACUGGUGUUUAGUUAAGGCCUAACUAAAAUUAGGUCAAUGGGCUCCAUAGUAUCUACCCAUUUCCUCUUUUUUCCUUGUGGUUCGGGUGUUUACUAGAAAAUUAUCCAUGACUGGUAGGAGUGUGCAUCAGGAAUCGCUCAGACCAGAGCAGCCCAAUCGGUUUUGAGCGGUUCCCAAAGAGGGCGAUUUGAUUCUCAAUUCCUGCUUUUGGAAUCGGUAGCCGGUCGGUCCGAUUCCUGGUUCCAAGGUGGGAAUCGGACCGAACUGGACUAGUUAAUUAUAUAUAUAAUAUUUUUAAUUUCUUUAAAAAAAAUCCUAAUUCCUAGAGAUUUCUCCUAUUUUUCAAUUAAUUUUGGCCCAAAAUAGUAAAUUUACCGGUUCCACCAGAUUGGUCAAUCGGUCCGAUUCCCAGUUUCAGGAUCAAUUGAUCUAGUUUGCAGUCUCGAAAUUUGGGAACUGGUCCUCCCGAUCUGAUUCUCGAUUUCACCUUGAAACCAGAUCAAACCGAGAAGCAAUUAGUCCUAAUGGCUAGUGUUUACGUCUUAAAAUAUUCAUUUGUGAGUCAAAACUUUCAAUUGAUUACUUAAUUUUUUUACACAAGAUUUGAUUCUAAAAAGAUUCCACGCAAUGUUCGAUCAUCACUUUUAUCAACUUCUAGUUCUCUUUGUUUGCACUAACAUUAAAAAAAAAAAACAUUUUUCUGCAUUUUGCUUUCCCUCAAGAAAAUUAAAAUUGGAACAAAAUAGGUUCAUAUAUUAUGAAAAAAUAUAUAACUCUAUAUGAAAAUAAUUGCAUAUCAACAAAAUUUUAAAAAUGAAUUUUUUAUGACUGCAAUACUUGAAAAAUAAAUGUGAAAAGUAAGACUCUAGAUAAACCCAAGCAUUUGAAGAGAGGAGAAGAGGGAAAGAAGAGGGGGGGGGGGGGGGGGCUUCAAUAUGAAUGAGAGACCAACUUAGUUGUGGGACGCAAUUUUUUCUAAUAUUAAUUUUGUUUUCAUGUAAACAGUGGCAGUAUUCAAGAAAGUAAGCUAGUUUAUAAUGUUGAUAAAAAAAAAGCAAAAGUUUAAUUUCCUAAUCUAAAAAUUAUAAUUGAGGUUGCGUCUAACCUAAAAAUCACAUUAGACAUUACACUCUAACAAUUAGCUUGAUUGUAAUGUUACUUCUAUAAUUUUAAUAUGAUUUCAUGGACCAGCACAAGGACUAGGUUUAAGAGUAGUACUUAAUCAAUCGUUAUCCUUGGAGGAUAGGAUGUAUGGCUACAUCACAUUUGUCUAAUCACUGUUUGUCUAUAAACGAAUAAUUAUUCAAAAAGUCUUAAACCUAUUGUAUGACAAUCAAUUUAAUCUUAAACUUUUCAAUUUUGCCAAUUUAGUUCUAAAACUUUUUAUGAUUUACCAAUAUAGUCCUUCCGACUAAUUUUGGUCGGAAGUCACUUACUUGGUGAUUGUAUCAAUUAAGAUGACUCGAAUUCACAUUAGCGAUUUUCAUCAAAAGUUGGCUGAUAUUGACUACAUAAACAAAUCGUUAAAACAUUUAGAAUUAAAUUGGCAAAAUUAAAAAUUUUAGAACUGCAUUAGCCAUUGUAUAAUAAAUUUAUAACUUUUUGAAUAAUAUUUCUGUCCAUAAAUAGUGGAGGAAAGAAUGGAUAUCUAAUCCACCUUUGUCCAUGAGCUGUGGAGGAAAAAAUGGAGACUCACACAUUGGUGAUGGUGACCGGUCAAGGAACAAUAAAAUGCAAAAAAAUCAUCCAUCUCAAUAUACAUACAUAUUGAGAAAAAAAAGAUAUACAUACAUAUUUAAAAUGGUGACUUAGAAAUAAGCACUAGUACCAAAUUGAUGUUUAUAUUGCUCGAUUGUUUAUAAAGUCCACAUUGUUGUCUUGAUUGAGGCGACUGAAUGCGGUCCUUUAAAAAAAAAAAAAAACUUUUGACUAGUGGCGACUUGGAGCGGUGUCCUACGAGUUAUCAGCUUCCUAAGGAAUUCACUGCAGAGGAAGAUUGGGAAAGAUACUUCCAAGUCACCGCUGGUCUAGCUGGCCUCUCCCACCAGGGGCCAAGUUGUACUGCACACCACCGAGUCCAUCUUCACUUACCAUUACCAUGCUGUAAUAAAAGGGAAAUCAACCUUUUUUUUUUUUUUAUAUUCAGGAUCCGGCCUAACACACCUUACGGGUGCUGACGGCUGCCGCUGGCUCGACAUGCCCAACAGAGACCACCGACUAUACCUGGAGGGAGAUUAGCACAAGACCCUACCACCAUGACCCACCACUUAAGACAUGUUAGCAAUGCGGAGAUUCGAACUUAUUCCCUCGGCGCUGAGAUAGUAGACCCCAACCAGCGCAGCUGUUCCCCGGUGGGUAAGGGAAAUCAUCUUUUUGUCUUGCAAAAAGAGAGAAGAGGGCAGCUGUAAGAGAAAUUCACUUCAUGCAAGUUUCGGCGAAGAGAGGCCGUAUACACUGUACAGCAAUAUGGAAAAAAAAAAAAAAUUGUGAAGAGCUCGGAAGAGUAAAUUGAUAUUAGUAACUAAACUGAAGCAUACAAUAGAGACGGAACUUGGGACAUGUGGGUUCUAAUCUAAAGUCAGAACAUCAAAGGCCAUGGCUAUCGCACUCACCCCAGCUGCCGUGCACUUCACUAAAUUUUUUGGGAUUUCAAUAGUUUCAUUCUUUUUAUUUUUUAAUAGCCGAGAAAUGAAAUUUAACCACCACCUACCUUCAUUUCGAGUGGUUGACAAUCAAAACUGUCCAAAAUGUGUUUUUAUUCUAAGUUGAUAUAUUUUAUUAAUCUUGUUUUUGGCUUUAUUUUGGUUAAUCAUUAUUUGAUUCAGUUAUGAUUUUUGUUGAUAUUAUGAUGAUGAAAAGUAAACACAACAAAAAAAUAACACGUUUUUGUUAUUAAUGAGAUUUUUUACAACAUAUGGAAUAUUUUGCCACAUAUGAAAAUCUUUUACCCUAUAAUAGAUACAUUUACCAAGUACAAGUAGUUUUUAUUAAGAGUAACGUGCAACCUUAUUAAUGUGUUAAAAAUUAUUAGCAUGGACUUCUUGUAAUAUUUUUCAACGGCAAAAGAUGUAACUUCGACGAUAGAUUAGAUGCCCAUCUCAAAAUGCAACAAAAAAAUUCUUGAGGAUGUACGGACCAAUCAUAAAGGGGUAUUGCGUUUCUUUGGAUGCUAUUAGAAAAUUAAAUUUCACGUGUGAUGGGUUGUUCCCAAAUUUGUCCCUAUGUAGUAUUUCCUUGACAGACCAAAAGGGACAAAAUGCUAAAAUACCUAUCUUGUUAUGGCUAACUUUCUAUGUUUCACAUUUUUAGCCUGCGGUAACUUUUACUUUGCCUUCUUAUUUUUUCCAUUUUCACUUGCGGUAUUUCUCGGUGUGAAAAAAUGCUCUGAAUUUGAUUGUAUUCGGUGUGAUUUUUUCUUUUUGGGAAAUCAUACUAUUCGAUAUAAAAUUAUGCACUAACUUCACAAAUAAAUUCAAUAUGAAAAUCUAUCUCUAUAUGAUUUUGUAAUUACACCCUCUACCCAAAGGGCUACCUUUAAGAAUUGAAUUUCAGCACUCUCCAGAAAAAAAAAAUUGUGGCCAUCUAAGCUCCACAUCAAAUUAUAUUAUGCACUACUGACCAAAUAAAUUAUUGAAAUAAGUACAUAAUUAAUUUUAAACUUAUUAUAUAGAAACCGAUCGAGUCUUAAAUUAUUUUUAAUUAAACCAACGUAGUCGUCAACCUUUGAGAAAAAAAUGCAAUCCAGUCAUUCCUCCUAAGUCACACUUGAUAUAUUCAAUGUGGCAAUCCAAUCAUUAUUAACAAUCCUAAAUGCAAUGCCAAGGUGUAACAUGGACUAUUUCAACAAAAUGAUGCCACUUUUAUCGAUUUUAAUGAUAUUUCGCACAACUACGUUUUUGGCUUGAUUUAGUAAUCAAAAUGGGUUGAAUAUGAGUAUUGCAUACCUACAAAGAUUCAUGUAGAGCUGCGCUUUGAUGUUUUAAACUUAUCUUGAUUGAGUUUUAAAAUUUUAAUUAUGCAACCUGACACAUUAAAUUGAGUUGAAAAAUGAAUUUGUAACCCAUAUUGCUACUUCUAGACGGAACUAUGUGUCAGUGAGUGUGGCCUAUCCUUGUCCAUUUGUUCUCUUAUUAAGUCGAGUCAUUAUGUUAUUUUGACAGCUGGUAAUUAUAUGUUUAUUUUUUUCUUUUUUUGGAAGCCACAUAUGAUGCGCGUGCAAUUUAAAUUUUAGAAAAAAGAAAAUCAAGCAAAGAGAUUGUAUACAAUAUUCUAGCACCCAAUCAAUUUUUUUUUUUGUAUAAGGGGUGACCGGUCAACUAAAGGAAUAAUAAAAUGAAGAAAAUCAUCCAUUUCUGUUGGUCAUUGUUCACAAGUCGUCCAUUCCAUUUUUGUCUUCCAUGCUUAUAUUGAUUGCUCUUCGCCAUUCCCUUCCUUCGUCCUUUUGGGCAAUCAAAUGACAUCGCUUUCGUCUCUCAUCGUUCUUGCUCUUUCGCUCUUUCUUCUCCUGAGCACCACCAUUCUUCCUCCUCCUCUUGUUCUUCAGUAUCUGCAUCUUUCUUUCAUCAUUCCCUCUGCCUGUCUCUCUGAUUUCUCGCUCUUUGUUUUUUGGACAAAAAAAUCAAAGAAAAAUGUCGAUUGAUUCCGCCAUUUUUAUUGCAUGUGAUGUCUUGAAGUGCCUAGUUGCUCCCAUCAAGCGCGGAUUCGGAUACGUCAUGUCCCCCGAGAGUAUGCCAAUAAUCUGCGGGAGGAAGUCAAGAAGUUGGAGCACGAGGUGGAGAGGCUCCAUCACGCCAUGGAAGUGGCCAGAAACAAUCUUCAUAAUGUCUAUAGUCGGGCCACAGAGUUGCAGGCAAGUUCUGAGAACGCCUUGAAGGAGGCGCAAGACCUGUUGGGCGAUUUUGAAAAGGCGACCAAGACUUGCUGCUACGGAACUCUUCCCGAACCCAAUUGUCGUUAUCAGUUUAGCAAGAAGGUCAAGCACAAGACCGAAGACAUUAACCGACUCGGUGGAAAUUGCAGGGAACUCCACAAGAUCUCCUAUAGCCGUCCACCUCUGGGGAAUGCCGCUGAACCGACUUCGGCUAGGAGAGAAGGCAAAGAUGUCAUCCGGUCAACCACCGCAACAGCCUCUGCGUCGUCUACCUCAACGUCGAUUAAGCCUAGGGAUGAUGGCAUCUUCGAAUCUAGAGCUUCUGUCAUACAGGAGAUCUUGGAUGCUCUUGCCGAUAACCGCUAUAGCGUGGUCGGGGUUUACGGGAUGGGUGGGGUUGGCAAGUCCACACUUUUGGCCGAUGCAAAAGAAAGAAUAAGGGAAAAAAAUUUGUUCGAUUGGGUCGCUAGGGGUGACGUGUCAGAAAAUCCAGACAUCAGGAGGAUUCAAGGGGAGAUUGCAGACGCCUUGGGCCUGAGUGACAUAAAGAACAAAGAGUCCGUAAGCGGGCGAGCGGAACUUCUACGAUGGAGGUUGGAAUGUGAGGAGAAGGAGAAAAAGAAGGUACUCAUAAUACUAGACAACCUGUGGAAGGGACUCGACUUGAAUUCAGUCGGCAUUCCUUGCGGACAUGACAACAAAGUCAUAGGAUGCAAGUUGCUUUUGACGUCGAGAAAUUGAGAUGUCUUGCAAAGGGAUAUGGGUUGCGACAGGGACUUCCUCCUUGAUGGGCUGAAGGAGGAAGAGGCAAAAGAAUUGUUUGAGAGGAUUGUGGGAAACAAAUUUCCCGUUGACGAGUUCAAACCCUUAGUGGAUGAAGCACUCCACAAAUGUGCAGGUUUGCCUUUCCUAAUUGUCAAUAUGUCAAAACGUUUUAGACAUGCUGAUUCAUCAGAAUGGAAGUAUGUUUUGAAACAAAUCAAGUUGUCUAAAAACAAAGGACUCGGUAAGAUGAUAAAUAACAUGUUGCAAUUGAGUUAUGAUCACUUAAAUGACGCGGAGAAGUCAUUGUUAGCACUCUGCGUUGCUUAUGGCACCUCUAAGCCAUCUCUUGAAGACUUGGUGAGGAUCGGUGUGGGUUGGCGGCUAUUUCGAGAAGAUAACACCAUGGAAGAAGCUAGAGGUAGUUUGAGAUCACAGAUUUGUAUCUUCAAGCCUCCUCCCUUUUGUUAGAGGGUGGAGACGCUUAUGAUUUCAAGAUACAUGACUUGGUUCGUGAGUUUGUUGCCUCAGUUGCUUCAAGAGAGCAUCCUCUUCUCGUGUUGAAAGAUGAAGAUAAGUCGAUAAUAGAGUUGUCGAAGGACAAGCUCAAAAGUUGUAGGGCAAUAUGCUUUCCCUACAUUGGCAUGAAGGAGCUUCCUCAAGAGUUAGGGUUCGUUUGGAUGGGCAUUUAGAAAGCCCUUCCAAGCCCCAAAGCCCUUACACCCUAAAUAGGGGUGUUGGCAAUCAUUCCCAAGAGGCUUUCAAGUGAAAGUUUACCCUUGGGAAUGCUGAAGGCCUCUUUAAUAAAAAUGGUAAGUUGCCUAUUUUGGCCUCAAAACUUUAUGGAAAAAUCACUUUUGCCCAUUUUAAAAACCAAGAAAACCCUAGUUCUCGUUUUUCUUCCCACCCUUCCAUCACUCUCUCCCUCGACCGCUUCUACGCUCUUCGCUUGGUGGGACUCCCUCACCUGCUGCCACCGCCGCUCCACUCGAUUCCCGCCGCAUUGGUCAAGGCCUUCACCGCCUCUCCCUCUCGAAGGUAUGGUCGUUGUCGUCGUCGAUAUCAUCGACCACUUGGUCGUUCUGUGCAAUGGCGUCCUGAGUGUGCCGCGCCGUGCCUUGUCGUUCGGGAUUAGGUCUUCGUGUGCCAUUUCGAGUUUGCUCGUUGCGGGAGCGCUUGCGUCCUUGAUGUUCUUUUUCUUUUGUAUUUGAGGGAAAUGGCGGUGGUGGGUGGUGUUUGAUUUUUGCUUUGUGGGUGGCUGAAUGCUUCCGAUUCGUUUGUCUUUUUCCGCUAUGGGGGUUCUUUCAAGAUGAUGCUGCUGCUCCGAGAAACAGUGGGGGAACUCUAGGUGCUAAUGUGACUUGUCUUACUUAAAGUGGGAUGGGUUCUGUUUUAGCUGAGAAUUGGAGGAAGGGGGAAGAGACGGAUAUUCCUGGUUCUUCGUUCCUUUCUGGCUUCUGGCCGUGUCUUGUUACGGUAGGUGAAUUGGUAUUGAGACGACACCAGUGCAGUGCCGAUACGGUUUUGCUGGAUGGAGAGGAUGAAGAGAGUAACUGGAAAACGGUGAAGUUGUGGAUCAUUCACCAUAAUUGUAAAAUUCCUUUUCUUUCAUUUAAGUUAGCCUCUAGAUGUUCCUUGUCAUUUAUUACAGUCAUCCUACAUAGGAAGGAGGCAGGAUUAUAGCAUAAUCCUACUCUUAAUAAUGGACAAUAUUGGGUCAAGCUGGGCACGUAGGCUGUUUGUAGAAAUGUGCUAGGAAAGGUUACCUUUUGUUGCUAUAGCUGUUGAAAUUUUACUUGUAUUUGGAUAAGUUGCCUUCAUGUCUUGGAUGCUUAAAGUCAUUGGUUUGACCCAUGUAGAAAAAAAUAUUGUAAAUGUGCUCACUGUUCAUUACACCAUUGUUAUCUAAUUUCUCCUCUUCUGCAACUCUUCUGCAACUCUUUAGCUAUAGAGUUUGAGGAUUUCUGAAAUACUUAGCAACUUAAGUAUCUUGUCAUCAAGUACUUAUAUCACGUGCAAUUUUGAUAUGAUGUGCCAGUUAAAGACUGUCAAUUAAACACAAUCAAUGUUCUGUAGAUUGCGAAAAAAUUAUUUUCCAAAGUUUUUCGUUUGCAGAAGUUGGGUAAGCAUGGGAUUUAAAAUUUUACUUUGCUGUCUUAGAGUAGAAGUUGGGCCCUUAGGAUUUACUUGUGAAUAUCGAGGUUAGAAUGAAACACUCUUCUGGUCUUUAGCUUGUAUGCCAAGCAAGAAAGCAACAGAUUUAUUAAAUUAUUUAUUUAUUAUUAUUAUUAUUAUUAUUAUUGUAAAUUUUUAACAAAAGCAAGGCGCUCUGUAACAUUCUAGUAGUCGAACUAUUGAUCUGCAAUUCAGGCCCCUGAUCCGCUUAAAGUCUUGCUAAAUGUGGAGUGUUUCUAGCCUACAUUCUUUAGGAACCAAAAAUGCAUGGUUGAAAUUAAUUUAUGCACAUUUUACCUUAUAGAUGUAAAAUGAUGACUUAAAACAGGCAAAUAGAAACAUUAUGGAUAACUGAUUGAACAGAUAAUAAUAUCUCGGUACUUAAUGUGCUUUCUCAAUGCAGCUGAAGCUCAAUAUAUUUCAUUGCUUGUUUGUUACUUCUCCAGGACAAACUAGAAGAUUGGCUACAAAAGGCAAAAAAGCUUCUUCAAGACGAGUUGGAGAACAAAGCUAAAAACUUUGAUUUCACUAGCUGUAUGUUAUAGUGUUAUAGUAUUCUCUCUCUCUCUCUCUCUCACACACACAAUUUUGGAGUGCAGGACACCUGGAGUGCCAUAACUUGGCACGCCGGGACACUUAAGUGCCAUAACUUUAAAAUGGUACACUUAAGUGCCAUCAUCGGAGUAAAAUGGUUGAAAAAGUGACGAUUACCUUUAGUUGUUACUUUUAACUUCUCUCAGAUGUAGCCCGCUCCCCCUGCGAUUCAACUGGGUUGGAGUUAUUAUUCUGAUGACUGAUGGAAUCAUGUGUUGGUUGUUUUUUUCUGGCUUCAAUUUCACUUGAUAUCUCUAGAAAAGAGACAGCAUAUCUCAUGAUGAUUCCAGCAAUUGCUUAAAACGUGACCAUAAAUGUUGUAUCACUAUACGAAUUGUUCUUCACAUCUUGCAAUAAGAAGAGUAUAUUUGGAUCCCAAUUUAUAUACAACGGAUCCUGAUAAUGUAAAUGGGGAGGGUAAUGUUUCAAAUGAUGAUGAAACAUUUGAUAUGGCACGUUUACGUGAUCAAAUAGCUAUAAAUUUAUGAAGUAAUUAAGGAUAUUUGUAAUUUUUAAGGAUAAUGAACUUAUUUUCUCAAAGCAUAUGUUAUCAUGUUUUUAUUGUAUUGAAAGUAUUUUUAUUCUAAUUGAGAAAGAGAGUACGUAAAUUUUUUCCAUUUGAUGUUUUUUUAGCAAAAAAAUGAAUUUUAAUUUUAAUAAAAUUAUUUACACAACAUCUUUAAAAUUUUUGUCAAAUAUAAAUUAAAAAAGUUGCAAACAUUAUUUUUUUUAAUUUUAAGCAAAUAAAAAUUAAAAUAUUUAGAUUAAUCACCAAAGGGGCUUUACAAAUGUGUUUUCUACCAAACAACAUUUCUCUCAAAGUUGCUUUUCAAAGCAGAAUUUACUAAACAGUCUUUGCAUUCCCUCCAAAGCCCUUUAGUCUAAAUUGCUUUGCAUUUUCCCAAUAAGCUUUCCAAAUGCCGAACCAAACGCACCCCUUUUGUUAGAGGGGGCUAUUUCGAGAAGAUAACACCAUGGAAGAAGCUAGAGGUAGUUUGAGAUCAUAGAUUCGUAAUCUUCAAGCCUCCUCCCUUUUGUUAGAGGGUGGAGACGCUUAUGAUUUCAAGAUACAUGACUUGGUUCGUGAGUUUGUUGCCUCAGUUGCUUCAAGAGAACAUCCUCUUCUCGUGUUGAAAGAUGAAGAUAAGUCGAUAAUAGAGUUGUCGAAGGACAAGCUCAAAAGUUGUAGGGCAAUAUGCUUUCCCUACAUUGGCAUGAAGGAGCUUCCUCAAGAGUUAGAUUGCCCUGAAUUACAAAUCUUUUUGUUGUUCACAAAUAAUGAAUCUCUUGAGAUCCCAUAUUCAUUAUUUUACUCCAUGAGGAAACUCAUGGUCUUAAAUCUUACUAGGAUAUGUCUCACUUGCUCCCCUUCGCCAUUUCAGUUCCUGGAGAACUUACAGACUCUAUGUCUUGAUGGUUGUUCAUUAGAUGAUGUGGCCAUUCUUGGGCAGCUAAAAGGGCUACAAAUUCUUAGUUUUGUGAACUCCAAAAUUCAGCGAUUGCCAAAAGAAAUUGGGCAACUGGUAGAGCUGAGGUUGUUAGACUUGAACUCUUGUUCAAAACUUCAAAUAAUUGAACCUGGUGUGCUUCGAAAAUUGAUCAAAUUGGAGGAGUUGUACAUGAAUAAUAGUUUUGAUCGAUGGAAUGCAGUGGAGCAAACUCCACUAACUAAUGCCAGUUUGAUUGAGUUGAAUAACAUGAAGAAUCUCUGUACUUUGCAUGUGUCAAUUCCUAAUCCAAGUGUGCUCCCAGGGGACCUAAAUGUUGAGAAAUUAACCAAGUACAGAAUUCAAAUAGGUGAGUGGAGCUAGUCGAACGAGUACAAUGGAACAAGGACAUUGGAGCUCAAGUUGGAUCCAUUAAGCAAUGUUCUUCGAAAAGGAUGCAUACAAAGUAUCUUAUGCAAAACUGAUGAUUUAUUUUUGUAUGGGUUCAACGGAAUUGAGCAAAGUAUUUACACAUUAUCCCGAAAAGGUUUUCCAAAAUUAAAGCAUCUUCAAGUCAAGAAUAGUCCCUCCAUCCGUUACAUUCUCCAAUCACCAUCCCAUGAGGAUUCUAAGACAUUGGAGACAUUCUUUCUCAAAAAUCUCAUCAACUUAGAGAAGUUAUUUCAUGGCCAUAUUUACUCCAGGUCUUUCAGUGCAUUAAAAGUAGUACAAGUUCAAAGUUGUGACAAGAUGAAAGUUUUAUUUCCUCUUUCGUUACUAAGAGAACUUCCACGGCUAGAAGUGAUCAAAGUUAUUAGGUGCAAGUUAAUGCAGGGGAUUGCAAAAGUUAAUGAUUGUGGCGAAGUUGAGUUGUGUAAUCUGCAUGUAUUGGUAUUGUGGGACUUGCCUCAUGUCAAGAACUUUUUCAUAGCCGGGCCAGCUCGUUCGAGUAGUACUUCAAAUGACCCAGUGGACACUUAGAUUGCAUUCUUCAAUGGGCGACAAGUAACUUUCUAUAAAAAAUAAUAUGAUUUAUUUAUUUAUUUAUUUAUUUUUCCUUCAUUUGCUAAUUAGACAUAACACAUAUAAUGAUGCUUAUUCAAUUUGUUAUUUUUAGUUUAUUUUCUUCUUAAUUACCUUAUCCAUUCAUGCCUUCUCUGUAAUAAGAUAAACCAAUCUUCCAUUUCUCUUAAUUUUGUAGAAAUACAACUGAUUGUAUGAAAUGCAUGUAAAUUUAGUUUGUGAUAGGUUCCAAGUUAUUUCAAUUUACAUGUUGCAAGUAUAUUUAUAUUAAUAAGGUUUCAUCCAGAAAAAUUAAAGGAAAUUUUGGCAUUAAAGUAAUUCCAUAAGUAAAGUAAUUUAUAAUCUUUCAAAAUGUGUUCCAUUGAAUUUAGUUAUCAAAAUUUGUUAGUAUCUGCAAAAUGUAUAAUAUAGGCAACUCUCUUAAAAGCCAAUACAAAGAAUGCAAAGGAGGAGUGAAUUUUCAAAUAAAAGUAACCAUGCUAAUCUAAUUCAUGCAUGUCUUUUGUGUACCAUGUUGAAAGAAGCACUUAAUAAUUGCAUAGGCCCAUAGUUGCAAGAGUACAUAAUUUCGUGCAUUUUUUUUUUAUAGUGAAAGUAGGCCUUUGCAAUUGUAUGAUUUUCCAUUAUUUCACAACAAAGUAGUCAUUGCAAAUUCUGAGUUCUUGCUCUUGGAGUUCCAAAGUGAUCUUUACCAUUCCUUUACUCCACACGGCAGAAUUUGAAAUCACUUGUGGUGAACGAAAUUACUUUGUAUAGCUCCAUAUCUCUUAUCGACUAGAAAAUGUAUUGUGAAGUAAAUAAUGAGUAAGAUUCACCUUAAAUGAUCAUCUUAUUUUGUGAUCACCCUUACAUAAUCCUUUGGCCUGAUUGGGUCACGUGAGUAAGGUCAAGUCGUUAUUACGUCAAAUAAUGGAACUUGAUGCCUUAAUGGAAAAUCCACUAUCUUAAAGCCCAAUAAUUUUAUAGGGACAUACUUCAAAUGUUUGGAUGGGCCUUGUAUUUCAAUUUGGCAACUUUGUAUGUCUAGGUUUAUUUUCCAAAGCUUCAAGUGCUCCACAAUUUAAUCUCAAGAAAUUUGUGGUGAAAUUUGAGUUUUAUUUUUGUUGAGUCCAUCCAAUUAGAUUGUAACUUUUAUGUAACUUCAGCAAUAUAUCAGGAAUAAUUGGCAGUUGCCCAAUCUCGCAAGACCACACGUGGUCAUUGCAGUUUCUCUCCAUGGUGAUCUACGAAUCUAAAUACUGAGGCCUUUAACUAAAUGUCUUUGCGUUUGACCUUUAUCGUAUGUAUAGAUAUAUUGUACACAAAUCCGCAAUUUGUGUUUAAUAUGUUGUUAAAUUGGUUAUUGAUAGUGAUUCAUUGACAUUAAAAGAAGUUUAGUGAACUAAGGAUAAAUAAUUGUCCAAUUAAGGAAAGCGUGCAGCUAUUUAUAUGGAAAGUAGUUGCUGCCGAUAGAGCCUUUUGGCUCACUGCAUAAGAUUGCCCUUUAAUUGUGGUGCGAUUAUAGUUGAAGUUGAUGGUGGGGCCCAAGACUCAUGCCAUAUAUUCCCCAUUAGUAAAAUGUCGUGGAGAUUUAAUUUGAUGGUGGGUCCCUCAAGGUAGCGUGUCUAAGUAUCUCCACUUCAAUCUCGACUUUUCUACUUCGCACGCAAGAGAGGAAUUAGAUUGGGAGGGUUUGCGAAGAGGCUUUGGGGCUUUUAACUUUCAAGGGUUCUUAAUCUUCGUUCAAGAAUUUUACACUUGCCUUGAUGCCUUCUCAUUUUGGGCGUAGAAAGUAGGGCUGCAAAAAUCUAUGGGAUUAUAAUGAAACGUUUCUAAUAGUUGUAUAAAUCUCUUUCAAUGUUGUAAAGAGGUGGAGCCACUGCAAAAAUCUAUGGGAUUAUAAUGAAACGUUUCUAAUAAUUGUAUAAAUCUCUUUCAAUGUUGUAAAGAGGUGGAGCCGCUGCAAAAAUCUAUGGGAUUAUAAUGAAACGUUUCUAAUAAUUGUAUAAAUCUCUUUCAAUGUUGUAAAGAGGUGGAGCCGACAAAAGUUGCAGUGGAAGGUUGGAUUGUCGGGGAUGACAGUAUUCGAACAAAGAAACACACAUAAGUUAAACUUGUUGUAACAGAUGGGAGCAAUGGGCGAUGGCCAUGUAGAUGGGAGAUUUCGAGUAACUUUGCAGAAGAAAGGAUUUUCUCAAGUUGAAGCAGUGAACUUUUGAAGAGGACUAGUUACUCUUUGCCAAAAAUUAAAAAGAGAAAAGAAAAUAAAGCUUUCCAUUGUAAGUUAUUCUUCAAAAGUAAUAAAACUGGCUCACUAAUCAAAUUAAUUUGCACAAUCAUUUUCCAAGUAAAGAUUGGAGCAAGAUUUGUUAUAUUUUUUAGCAACGACACUAGUAUGGAGAUUUUCUUAGUCCUUUUUUUUCGAUUUUAUUCCUUUUUCCCCUUUUGUACAACUUAAUGAUGCUCUUCUUGGUGCAUGUAGAUGUUAACAUUUUGGAAGUUUCUGAAUUCGUGAUUUAACUGAAUCACCAAUUUAAUGAGUGAAUACUGCAGGUUGCCUUUUCGAAAUUGGAGACAUUAGUAAUCCAGGGCUUGGAUAAAGUCGAGUUUUUGUUUUUCCCAUCUAUGAUUAAAUCUCUCACACAACUAGGAAAUCUACAAGUAUCUUAUUGCAAGAAGAUGGAGACGAUCAUUAUGGAGGAACAAUGGUUGGGAUUGGAAAUAUCAAAAACUCUGGCAUUCCCGAUGUUAAGUAACUUAAAAUUAAAUUGUUUUAAAAGUUUGAUGAGCUUCUCUUGCAAAAAGUGUAAGAUUGAUUUUUUUUUUCAUCACUAAAGAUCUUCUUGUAGGUAAAUUCAUCCUUGCAAUACAAAUGGUGACAUUAUUUUCAUCCAUUGAAAAAUUUAUGAUAGGUUCACGAGAAGCUUGGUGUCAGGACCGCAUCAAAUCAUGCUCCAUUGCACUCUUCAAUCAAGAGGUACAUGAUUAAUGUUACAUCAAAAUAUUAUAUAUAACAAAAGUAUUAAAUAUGCAAAAGACAAAGCAUGGCCAAAAUAAGAACUAACUAAAUAACUUUCAAGGUGUACUUUGGUUAAAAAUAUUUUAAAGAAAAUGAGUGGUGCACAAACAUAAAUAUUGAAAGUCACCCACAUGUAUGAGUAGCAAUUUUUUAAUUGUCAUUUCUCCAGAAAUAGUUUUCAUAAAGAUAGUUAAACAUAUCUUAUGGUACUAGCACAAAGCAUGAACGAGUAAUACAAUUGCCAAACAAGAUCUCCAAAAGCUUUUUGAUGCUCAUAGGAAACUUAAAGCUCUUAGCAACCUUGCAUGUAUGGCAUUGACAUUGCACGCAUCGACAUUUGUGCAACUUAAGACAGAAUCACCAAUUUCAUGAACUCGUAAUUUACACCUUGACACUCAUCUACUUCAAAGUUCAUGAUUAAGUCAAUCACCAAUCCCCUGAGCGAAUAUUGCAGGUUGCAUUUCCUAGCUUGGAGGCACUAUAUAUCACUAGCUUGGAUAACAUUGAUAUGAUAUGGGACAGUCAAAUCGCUGCGGAUUCUUUCCCCAAGCUAAAAAUCCUUUGUGUGGUUGAUUGCAAUAAGCUUGUGAACAUAGUUUGUUGUUUCAUUCUAAGACGGCUCUUGAGCUUGGAAAGAUUGAAUGCAAGAAGCUAUGUUUCACUUGAAGUUGUUUUUGAACUUCAGCCAUUGAAUCAUCUAGAUGGACAUCCCAUUGCUCUUCCAUUAAAAGAGCUAACAAUAUCAUAAUUACCAAAGCUAAAGUGUGUAUGCGAUAAGGAACUUUACCAUCAAGUUGAAUUCCAUUGUCUACGUUCUAUUAGCGUUUCAAGAUGCGAGAGCCUCACCUCUUUGUUUCCAACCUCAAUAGAUAGAUACCUAAUCCAACUUGAGAAGUUGGCAAUCAAUGAAUGUGGCAUUGUAGAAAUCAUCGAAAGUGAAGAAGGACUAGCUCCCAGGUUUGUAUUCCCAAUGUUAACCUCCCUUGAGCUUGAGUGUCUAAGAGAGUUGAAGUGCCUCUACAUCGGAACACAUACUUCAUAUUGGCCAUCAUUGAAAACCUUGAAGGUGCAUGGCUGUGACAAAGUGGAGAUACUUGUAUCGUACUCUAAGAAUGAGAUGCCACUUGAUAAAUCGCCUCUCUCCUUGAUAGAAAAGGUACGAUCAAAGAUUACUUCUUUUGCUUUAACGGUGCAUAUUUGAAGUGAUGAUUAAGAUCACAACCAAGCAUCUCAUACAAGUAGUUCUACAUAAGAAAAUGUAAACUGUACAACUCACCUUCAAUUUAUGGAAAUAUUUCAACAUUGAAACAUCACAUGUUCAUCAAUAUUUGACUGAACAUUCUUGUUAGAUGUAUCAAAUGCAUUUUUAAUGAUCCCCUUUUAAUAAAGUUUUAGGCUAAUUCCAAUGGUUUAGCUCUCUCCUAAGUGCCACAAAGAUGAAAGCACGCGGCAUGUGUUGUGAUCUUAGCAUGGUACGAGUGUGUUGUCUAAUUUGAAUCCUAUAAAGAUUACCGAUGUUUUGCUAAAAACGCAAAGAUUUGACAUUAUUGUUGACAUUAAUCAUUGAAAUUAUGCACGUGCGACUGUAAUUGAUGCAUAAGUUAUUUUCACAAGGGAUUUAUCUUUAGAAUCGUGAAUGCAAGGAGUUACUUAAGCUCAAAUAUGGAUACAAGUUGAAUAUAAAGAUUAUUGGUAAUGUUUAUUUGAUGUGGGCACAUUUCUUUUUAUUGAAGCACAUGAGACUCAACAUUUUAUAAAUGUAGUUAUUGCGCGCAACAUGCAGGACUUAUAUCAUAAUACAUGAAUGCUCUUUUAAUUAAGUUUGCUUUAAAUUCUGAUUUGACUAUUUUCUUAGGACGCAUUCCCUAAUCUCCAAGAGUUAAAAUUGGAUUUAUCGGAACGGAAGGAUUUAUGGCAUGGGCAUUUUCAUGAAGGAAAAUUCUUUUGCAAGCUUAGUUUGCUUAAGCUUCGUCAUCUCUCCCAAGAGUCUUCAAUAUCCACAUGUCACUUUGUUGAGAGUUUAACCAACUUGGAAGAGUUGGUUGUAAGUGAAUCUUAUCUAGAAGACCCAAGCAACAAUGAGGAAGCCAUAGAAGGCACAAGUCAUGAGAUGAAAGUAAUAUUACCCUUUUCAAGAUAUAUUCAACAUCUGCAAACUCUAGAUGUGUCACUUUGUGAUGGGUUAUCAAAAAUGUUUACACCGACAAUUGCUGAAAAUUUGGUGGCACUCACAAAAUUGAGGAUAAGUAAUUGUAGAAUAAUGACAGAAGUCAUUAGUGAUGAGAAAUGUGGGGAUGGCCGUGUGGUGGCUUUCAAUCAACUGAAAUAUAUGGAGCUUGAUGAGUUGACAAGGUUGACAAGUUUUAGCUCAAGUAGAUACACUUUGAUGUUCCCACUCUUGGAAGAUGUCAUUGUGACUAAGUGUCCCAACAUGAAGUUUUUCUCUCAAGGACCCACAAAGGCAUCAAAGUUAAAGAGAGUUCAAGUAUCAAAGAAUGCGUGGUUUUGGGUAGAAAACCUCAACAUCACCAUCCAAAUUAUGUUUGAAGAAAUGGUAUGCACCAAUUACCAAAUUCCAUGUAUUUGGACAGUUUUGACCACUAACUGAAUAAUUGCUUUUUGCUAGAAGUUUACACUUAACGAUGCAUUUUUUUUUUUGACAGGGUACGCUUGUUGGAGUAGAGAAAAUGCUAUUGUCUGACUUCCCCAAGCUGAUUGGGAAAUGGCAUAACGAACUUAAUCCCAUCAAGUCAUAUUGGCAAUUACAAUCGAUGGUGGUAGAUAAAUGUCCGUCAUUUAUUAACGCUAUUCCAUCUAGAUUGAUGCUUGUCCUAGACAAUUUGGGCUUUUUGCAAGUGCGUGACUGUGAGUUGCUUGAAGAAAUAUUUGAUUUGGAAGGGCUGGAGGUUGUGGAAAGCACUCGAAUACUACCUCGGCUACAAGAAUUGAACUUGGCCAAUCCACCAAAAUUGAGGCAACUAUGGAACAAAGAUCUUCAAGAAUCGAUACACUUUGAUUCUCUAGGUAUUCUCAUCCUUUAUAACUGUGGCAACUUGGGACAUGCUUUUGCUCCAUCAAUGGCUCGGUGCCUUGCCAAUCUUGACAAAAUGGAAAUAAAGGAGUGUGGUCGGAUGGAAGGAGUGAUCGUAGAGGAAGAAGGGCAAGGAAGCGCAAUUGAGAAGAUUACGUUCCCGAAGCUCAAGCGGAUGAAAAUGGAAUGCUUGCCCAAUUUAACUUGUUUCUUCUCAGGAAAAAAAUCAUAUGCUGGAAUGCCCCAAAUUAGAAGAGUUGAGUAUUGCCCAUUGCCCCAAGAUGAGAAGUUUGACUGGGCAAUCUUGGAUGGAGGAUGACCAUGGCAUCUCUUCACUUUUUACUCCCCAGGUCAGUCUUUCUAACAAAUGCAUUUUUGGGUGUUUCAAUUGGAACAUAUUCUCAUAGUAUUGGAUGAUGCAUGGUAUGAUACAAAUUUUGUGCUUUGUGCGGGUUUAUGUAUGUAAUCUUUUGAUAUUUAAUACGAAGAUUAAAAAUAUUCUAAUCCUUAAAAAAUAUAACUAUGAAUUGUACAUCUCAGUAUCCUUUUAGAAGUGUUGAGUUGGUGUCAAUUCAUGAAAUCAUAUCAUGUGUAGUACCUUAGAAUUAAUUAACAAGGUUCUUAGGAAAGUUAUCACAAUAACCAUAUAAAAACAUUCAAUUUUUGCAAUUUCAAGUAUAAAGAGCUAAACAAUAAACAUAGAAUAGCAUCUAAAAAUGGCAAAAAAAAAUGUAGUAUCACCACUUCAUAUUUUCUUGUGUAGAAGCAAACUAGCAUCAUUCUAUUAAACAUGAAUAAAAGGGGAAAAGAAAGCUUCAUAAUGUAAAAGCCUAGUUCACAAAUUGCUUAGCAAUUACAGCUCAUUGUACCUUAAUCAUCUUCUCAAUCAAUGAAAUUGGAGGAAUUAGAGAGAGCUGCUCUUUUAAUUGGAGUGCUCUAAACUUCAAUAAUGAUCAAUGCAAUGAACCUUUUUAUUUCCUAAUAAUUACCAAUGCCUAAGCUAGGUCUUGAUAAUAAAAUAAAUAUCAAUAAAAAGGUCCAUAUGCAUAUGCAUGAAGCGGUUCAUCUUCUUUGUUCAUAAAUCAUACUUGAAUUAAAUACAUGUGUUAUACAAGAAAUAUUAACUCUACAUUAUCUUAUUGAGUGAUAAUCAGUGGGAUACUGAGCACAAUCUAUGUUUGGCAAAAGAAAAUGCAAAUUAUUUUUUCUAGAAAAAGAAAUGGCCAAAAAAAAAGGAAAAAAUAAAAGAGAGAAAAGGACAGCUGGAUAAUAAAUAGUAGCAAUUCUGUCGGCGGUUGUUGCCAUUGCAAGCCUUAUUUCAUAACUAGAUGACAAUAUUUAGUAAAUGUCCUAGCUAAAAUAAAAAUUUUAAAAAUCGGAAUAAAUUAUCCAAUCAACAUUACUAUCGAAGAGAAAACGUUAGGUGAAUUAAAUACACAAUGUAGAAUUCGUAUCGAAUCAUCUGUAGAUUGACACAUGACAAAGCCGGGGCCACCUAUCAAGUGAACCAUCAAAGUUUUUGCUCCCCCUCUUCAAUGACGCCCCAUUACCAGAAAGCUCUGCUGUCCCCUUUCUGGCGUGGCUUUGCUCCCUCUCUCUUUCCUCCGCAAAGGUGCAUCUCUAUGCGUGAAGCACACCACUGGCUUGGCCUCCGUCGGUUGCGGUGCGCUCGCUCGACAAAGGAAAAAAAAAAACAGAAAAAUGAAGAAAUUAGAUAAUGUCUAUUUGGUGUUUUAGCUUCUCCCCCCUUAAGAACUGUUCUCUCUGAGUCAUUUCGUUCCACCUUCAUCCUCCUCGACUAGGUAAAAGAAAAAACAAAAGAAAGUGAACCAAAUCUACAGAGUCAAGUAACAAUAAUUCUUCUUCCUCCCCUCCCACCAACCCCCUCCUCUACGUUCUUUUUUUGGGGUGAUUGAUUGGGUGGUUUGUCCAAUGGUUGAAUCGGAAGCUUCGGAAUCGCUUCUUUGAAAGCUCGCCUCCUCUCUAUGCGGGUGCAUGCAUGGGUUCCGAGCGAUUAUGCAAACUGGAGCUUGUUGGUUAUGGCGGGUCGAAGUGGAUCUCCAAUGCGGAAGCGAUUUCGGCGUCGAUUCAGUUGGGGCGUUGAUUCCAGCGAAGAAAAAUUAAAGAAUCUUCUCUUCAGCCCUCUCUCACUCCUUCGUCCACAGCCGCCCGACCUCCGCCCCUCGUUUGCUAUCGCCAACGGCGGAGUCACCGGUGCCUUGAUUAGGCUGACUCCCGCUAUAGCCAAGCCAAGCAUGGUCGGCUUCCUCUAUUUUGGCCAUCUCAUCGUUCUACAGAUCUUGAAAUCUAGCCGUCCAUAGCGCCAAAGUUGCAGAUCCGAAAGUCGACCAUCGUCGCUUGCAGCCAUGGACGAGCCGUUGUCACUGGAGCCAUGGUUGCGGAUCUGGAAGUCCCUUUGCGAGCAACGACGGCUUAUGGACUGCCAUUGUCCCCUCUAUCGUCGCCCGCGGUCGGCUCGUGGUCGGCCUCGUCCAUGGCAGAGCCACCUCUCCAUCGUCACAGCUGCUCGUGGUCGUUGCCCGUCCAGAUUUGGACUAGAGUCGUGCCUCCAGAUCUUGUAUCGUCCAUGGACGCAAGCCUAGCUCGUCCAUGGCUCGCGAGGAGGCUCCUCCAUAGAUCUGGCGAACGCAGCAUGUCCAUGGCCAUGAGCCUUGACGGCGAGUUUGAGAUCCCGACGACUAGGGACUGCGAGAUCAAACAGCAAAAGAAAAAAUAGAGGAAUAGAUGUCAAGGAAGAGCGGCCAUGGACAAGACGUGGCCAGAGCUUGAACGCGGCCAUGGACGAGAUGGCGUCAUGAACGGGCAAACCACAAAGACGAUGGAGAGGGUUGGACGCCCGGCAAUGGUCGCCUUGGACACGGCGCCGGCAACUCCGCCGGUGGCAACUCCUGGGGGAGGCGGGAAGGUUGGGCUCAAUGUGGCUGGAGAUGGAGGAGAAAGCGUAGAUGGAGAAGGAAAGUGAUCCAUUAUGUCGCAUGAAGUUCUCCGAAACCCAAACCACACCCCCCCCCCCCCGCGACGGAAAAAAUGCUUGUGUUUUUUGUUAUUCUAAUAAUUUUGCGCAAUUCUUCUUAUUAUUACCUACGAGUAGAAUGUUUAAUCAUAACGAGUAUUUAUACAUUUGUUUACUCUUUAAUCGUAAGAGUUAUCAUUAGUUAUAUAUUUACUUCUAAUGUCAUUUGCAUGUAUAAGCUGUCAUGUAAUAAUAGGUAUCUCCAUGUUAUGAGAAUAUUUUAAAAAGUCAUUAUAACACUCAAUCAAAAAUACUAAUAAAUUUGGGGAAGUAUAAAAACAGUGUCAAAUAUGAGCUAUCAUGUAAUAAUAGAUUUUUCCCACAUUGUUAGAUGAAUUCAAAAACUCAUCAUAAUCCUCAAUUAAUAAUAUUAAUAGAUUUAACUAAGUGUGGAAAGUCACCCUGAUUUUUGGUUGUAACAAGUCGUAAUUGCCUUAAUUUUAUUGUAACCAAAUGAAAAAUAUCAAUACUUGCUUCUCAAUGGACAAUACGUUAGAGGUCAUAAUAUAGUAAAAAAACAUAGUUGAUUUUCUCCAAACAAACAAAUGUCAUACACUUUCGUUUUUUAUUUUUAUUUUUUUAUUUUUGCCUCCACACCCAAACAAAACUCCAAGUCCUCAACACAAGGCAUCAAUCAAGAUAAGAAAUUGGUCACCAGUUUUUGCCAGCAGUUAGGUCACUGACCCACCGCAAGAUUCUAUUUUUAAGCAAGUUAUUAAUGGUCCACUAGGUCUUGAUUUAGAUCUUAAUCUUUUCAAUGUAGAACUAGUAAAUUGAUCCAAUUUGCAUUUUCUGAGAUUGUAACAUACGUUAUUUAUUCAAGUCAUUAUGUUGUCUAUGCUUGUUACGAAUUUAUUUUCUUUCAAUACAAAAUUUUAUGUACAUAAAAAAGAUAAAAACUUGUAAACAAUUGAAGUUAUUAUUAUUUUUAAUCCAGUUUGCCAUCAAAUUUUUAUGACACUUCUCAUUAGUGAACUUUACUAAUUAGAAGUUUCAUAAGUAAUGUUUGCAAUUAGUAUUAGUGUCAAAUAAUUAACAGUGCUCAUAGUUGCAGAAGACACAUUGAAUAGAGUCGGACUCGAGUUGCCAAUUAAUUGUAAGUGAAGACGCUCAACUCUCACUUGUGCUCCCAUUCCGUGGCUUGUUGAUCUCAGCCAUUGAUCUAUAUAAAAGGUUAGCUUUGGAAUGUAUCACUCGAUGCACAAAUGAUUGAUGAUGAUCAAGGCACCAUAUGGCGAAGGGCAUCCUCUUCCAAGUCCAUGCUAUAACAAGACAAUAAACACCAUAGUUCCAAGUAAUUUUACCUCUGUACCUAUAUGAUACUACGAUAAUGUUACCAAUUUGAUUUUGCUAAUAAGUUUAGAUUUUUCUAAAUCUACUAGGGAUGAAAAUGGGAGUUAAUUUCUUUGAAUUGAUAAGAAAUAUAUAUAUAUAUAUAGAGCCAUCUUAUACCUAUCGUUGGAGUAUCAUAUAAUCUUGCACUCGCUAGCGUGGCAAUGGAGCCGAAAUAAGGAAGAGAGAAGAAGAAUAUGUGUAAGGGUAAGCACAUUCCAGAUUGGGCUAGUUCGCCCCCUAACCCUAGGACCAACCCGCACAGUGCUGGUUCUCAAUUUUUAGGACUGAUGACCGAUCCUAUUGAACUUAGGACUGAGGACCGGACUGACCCAAUGGGUUUGGUCUAGUUCCAAGGUCAACCUAAGACUAAUUAAUAAUUUUUUUUUUGGUACUCCUUAAAAAGUUAUUGAGGACCGAACCGAUCCAAUGAGUUCAGUUCGGUUUCAAGGUCAACCAAAGAUCAAUCGAUAAUUUUUUAUUUCAUUUUUUGUACUCUUUAAAAAAACGAUUGAGGAUCGAAUUGACCCAAUGGGUUCGGUCCGGUUUCAGGGUCAACCCAAGACCAACCAAUAAUUUUUUAUUUCAUUUUCUGUACUCCUUAAAAAAGGGCAACCGAGAACCAUACCGACCCAAUGGGUUCAAUGAUGAACAAGGUUAGCUAAGAAAUGCAAGUGGUGAGGGUCAAGUGGGGUGAGCAUAGAACAGAAUGAGCAUCGAAUGUUGAGCAAGAAGCAACAAGCCAAGUGAGCAUUGAGCAGCGAGCGGCAUGAUUGACCCAAAGCAAGUGAGGCGAGUGUCAAGUGGUGAGCGGAGAAGUUUCUUUCGAUUUUGGUAAAUUGAAGACUAAGAGGACAAAUAAGAUAGAAGAAAAUGAAUACUAGAGGAUGAUACCAUAAAAAACUGUUUAUGCCUUUUUGGACGCCAUGAGGAUUUCUCACAAAAACAUUUUCCUCAUUUGUAAAUAAUGACUAUUGACGCUGUAAAAGACUUUAAAAAUCUAAGUUAUUAAAGAAUAAUGUAAAAUCACUUGAACUCCUCACUAAAUAACUUUUAAAUAUUGUUGACACAAUUUAUUUUAAGGUUUUUUCUAUAUAAUUUUUUUAUAAGUAAUAUUUUAUAUAUAUAUAGUCAGGGUUGGUCUGGGUUGGAUCGACCCGGAACUCUCAGGACCGAUGACCAAUCUGCACAGUGUUGGUCCAUGAAUUCUAGGACCAAGGAUUGAUCCAAUCUCCUUGGGAACCAGACCAAGACCGGUAGGGUUGGGCCGGUCCAGGGUUGAUCUUGGACCGAUGCUCACCCCUAAAUAUGUGUAUAUAUCCUGAACGGAUUGAACACAUGCGUCAAAGCUACUUUAAACCAUGCUUCAACUUCAUUCAUUCCUUGAAGCAAAUAAAUCUAAGAAAUUCUUACCUCAUCUAAUGUUGCCUCGAAAGAUCAGUGCAAGCAACUUUGAUAAUGAUUAGUGCAAACAAAUUUGACAAAUUGCAUUUUCAACUUAAGUCUCUAAAUUUGACAAUGAUUAGUGCAAGAAACUUUCUACUUCUUAACAUUCACCUAUACACUCAAGUAAAAUGGCAUUUUUUCUAUUUGUGAUUGGCAAACAUGAAAGAUGGGAAUCUAAGAAUUCAUUGUUGCAACUUUCCGAAAAUUUAAGGGGUAAGGCAUUGCUAGUCUAAAUGUCAAUUAAGCCACUCAAAAGCCGAUGCUCAAUUUAGUAUUGAUUAUAAAUGCAUUUAUCAUUUCAUGCUUGUUGCAAUGCAAUAUACUUGGCCUUAGUCAUCUAUCAACUAAUAUGAAAGCAUUAACUAGCCCCUUCCCAUUUAUGUCACUAACAAUUUAUUGUAUUCUUUUAACUCAAUUAAUCACAUUUAUUGUUUCAUUUUUUUCAAUAUGGUAGGUACAAUUUUCUCAGCUUGGGUUGAUGGUGUUCUCCCAUAUGGAUAAUUUAAGCAAAAUAUGGACUAACGUUCCUCAAGAAACUCUCACUUUUGACUGUUUAUGUAAAGUGAAGGUUCAAAAUUGUAAGAGCCUUGAAAAUCUAUUUCCACAUCGGGUGGCUACAAGUCUAACCCAACUUAAGAUACUUCAAGUGGAGUCUUGUGGGAUUGAGGAAAUAGUCACUAGUGGAGAUGACACUCCACACUCCAAUGCUACUCAAAUUCUUUUCCCGAAACUAACCUCUCUGGUGUUACUAUGAUAUGCCUCAACUCUAGAGCUUUAGUCCUAACUUGCCCUUUUUGAAUUGGCAUUUCUUGGAGAAAUUACGAGUGACUCACUGUGACAAACUAAACAUGUUGUCCUUUGCGGCAUCCAUGAACAGUUGGGCUCAAAGAAAUGAUCAGCAAGACCUUCUAGACCAAGGAGCACACUCUUCAUUUGAGAGGGUAUGAUUAUAGUUGCUCUCCCUCGGUUUUUACUUUGUUCUUUAAAGCACUCACUAAUCUCAUGUCCAUUGCAUGAUCACAUCACGUUAUAAUGCUAUAGAAAACUUGAUCUCCCUUGCCUAUUAGUUUGUCGAGGGCAUUAAGAUAUUUCGAAUAUCUUACGUAUAAUUUCAUUUGUGGACAUGCAUAAGAUAUUCUAUUACAUAGAAUUACAAAAAUAGUUACAAAUUUUCUAUUGACAACACAAUAUAUUCCUAAUCUAAUCUAAUGGCGCUCUAUGGGGAAAUCAAUAAGAAUCUGACACGAGAUCCUCUCCAUUAUUGACACAUUUCUCACAUUUGAACUUUUCUUUUCUUUUUAUUUUUCUGAAAAAUUAGACAAAAAUAAACUAAAACAAUUUCUUUUUAAAAAAAAUAAUAACAUUAGAACCUUAACUCACUAUAUUACACUUUAUCCUUUAAUCCGUCCAUUAUAUUUCACUACAUAAUCACAUCACAUUAUAAUACUAUAGAGAUCUCGAAACCUCUUACCUAUAAACUUGCGGACAACAUAAGAUGUUUCUUAUAUUUUAAGCACACUUUUAAGUUUGUGGGCCCCAUAUGUUUUUAGUAACAUCAUGAGUAUAUUCCGUUACAUAAGAUUGCAAAGAUGACAAUUUUUUUUUGACGAGAUAAGAUAUUUCUAAUAAAAGAUGAAUUUGGUGAGCUGGAAGGAUCUUGAAGUUAGAUUCACCCUACCAACUUAACCAUACCAACCUCUACUUGAGACUUGUAUGCAUGGAUCUUUAUAUUUAAUUAACUGUAAGAAGAUGACCACUUUCCAUGUAAAUCAUCUAAAUUAGGUUUACCUUUUACAACACAUUGUUCAUUGUUGUUGAAUUUACUUCUUUGGUUGUAUUGGCAAUUUGACAGGACUUUCCCAACUUAGAGAGACUUUUAUUAGUUGAUAACCAUAUUCAUAUGAUACGAGAUGGAAAUUUUCCUAAGGACAUCUUUGGCAAGCCAAAAGCACUAACACUAGCAUGCUUUCAUGAUGAAGAGGCUGUCUUUCCUUCUGGAUUCCUCCUAGAAAGAUUUCAGAAUUUACAAAGUCUUGAGGUAUUCUGUAGUUCCUUUGAAGAUAUAUUCCCUAACGAAGGGCUUGUUGAAGAGGGCAAACAUUUGGCACUUGAAAAGAGAACUUAAGUUAAACCAACUACACAACUUAAAGGAUGUAUGGAGAGAAGACUCUUUAGUGUUGAAAAUUCUCCAAAGCAUAAAAAAAUUGGAGGUUUGGGAUUGUCCCCGUUUGACGACAAUAUUUCCAACCGCGACAUCCUUCCAGAAUCUGACGGGGUUAGAGGUGAAGAAUUCCUCUGGAUUGGUACAUCUAAUAACGGCUUCAGCGGUCACAAAUUUAGUGCGUCUCACUUGGAUGACCAUAAUAGGAUGUGAAAGAAUGAAAGAAAUAGUGGCAAACGAUGGAGACAGAGAAGGAAAAGUGAUUUGUUUUAAAAAGCUAAAAAGAUUGACACUCCAACAUAUGCCAAACCUAGAAUGCUUCUCCUCCAUCACGAAUUGCACCUUUAGGUUGCCAUCCUUAUAUAGUAUUGUAGGAGAAGAGUGCCCGAAAAUGAAGAUAUUUUCUAAGGGUACACUGAGCACACCAGAACUGAGAAUUGUGUCACUGUUUAGAUACAAGUGGGACUGGAAUCCGAAGAAGGGUGAUGAUCUCAAUACAAUCAUACAAAAGUUAUCAGCAUAAACAUAUGCACAUAGAAUUGGUAAGAUCCAAUUGACAUCAUUCUCUCAUAUAUUCUUUUUUCCUUUUUAUUUAUUUAUUUAUUUUGGCAGUGGUGUAAGUUAGCGGAGCGGAGCCGUAGGGGAGAGAUUCUUCUCACUGGAGCGAAAACAAAGCGUCGGGAAUGCCAGGACAGAGAGAAGCGAAGCUGCAGCACUUAGCGGAGCGGAGCCAAGUAGGCGAGAGAGAGAGAGAGAGAGAGAGAGAGAGAGAGAGAGAUUUAGCUAGAUGAAGUGUUAUCGUCGUCGCUGUCGCUGGAGAGAAGAUCGUACUCUCUCUCCUCCGCCCUCGAACCCGGUAAACUCGUAAGUUCUUCCGAUUUUGGUGUCUUAUUGCGCGUGAAUUAGUUUGAAGCUAGAAGUUGGUUUCGUAGAGACCUUCCUCAAUCCUCGCCUUCUUCUUCUUCAGCUAGGGCUCUCUUCUUCAAACUAGCAAUUUUAUUGCCCUAAUUCCACAUCUUCCGUGCUUUCCUCACGACCAUUGGCGAGAGAAACGCGUCUACGUAGGACAUUUCUGCAUGUUUGAGCUCUCAUCGAUGGAAAUGAUAUAGGAAGAGAUAUCUCUCGAGCAUCAUUAAACUUGAAAAUAUUAAGAGAGAAUUCCAUGCCUUGUCAAAUAUAUGAGGGAGUCACUUUUACGCCUUGUGUUUAACAUGUCUUUCCCGUUGUUCUUUUCAAAUUCUAGAAUAAUUUUUAAGAAGCCCUUCUUCCUUUUCUUAAUUUUUAAGAUGUUGCAAUAAUAAAAUUUAAAUCCAAUUUAUGCUAAAAUCUUUUCAUAGCAAGUCAAACUGAUGAAGUGUACUUACACUGCCUCUUCACAGAACCAUCCCUCUCACUGAUUCGCUUGCCAUCCUCUUGUGGUUGAAUACAGGUACAGUUACGAGCAUUCUUUUUCUAUGGUUUCAUUUUGCUCUUGACUCGAGCCGCCGCCGUCGCCUUGCAUUUCUGCUAUCUAGAGCAAUAGCAUGGAUUUAACUUCAGUCUUCAUUCGGUUCCUUUCGAAGAUUAGUUUCUGUCAACCGUAUUCAAAAUUUGAUUUGUACCUAUUUCGCUUCGACAUACUGCAUGUCUGGUCAAUGUGAGGGAAUUCCUGGUGUUCGUCUUUUUUGGCGGGGGAAUCGUUAUUGCAAAAAGGGAAUGGUGACUUCGAGCUUCUACUACUGAAAAGGAUAAGGUUGUGUUCUUAGAUGUGCAUCCAUUACAGAAGGCUUUCAUAGCCUGCAUUACUUGGUAUAAUAAGUUUUUGGAUAGUGGAUGUAUCUAGAGUUAGGUGGUCCCAUUGGUCAAUUGUUUGCCCUUAUUGAAGUCGAUGCAAUUAGGAUGGUCGUAUAAGGUGUGUGCUUCGAUUUCAUUGGUUACGGGAGAAGAUGUCGAUGCGAGUAGAAUCAUGUGUAGAAGAUGUGGAUAUGCAUGGUGCACUUGAAGAAAAGCAACCUCGACUGGUGUUUUGGUUGGGGAUGUCUGCACUGAAGUAGUAAAGCUUCUUAUCUCGUUCUUGCACAGCUUCUGAUAUGAUUGAAGAAUCUGGUGUGCUCUUGCACUCCUUAAAUUGCACCAGAUUUUGCGUGGUAAAAUCACGAGGCAUAUGCAAUCGACGUUUGUAGAGGAUUAGGGAUAUGCGGAUGAUGAAGCCGAAUGUACAUUUAUAUUUUCUUGCUGUUGCGGCUAAAGUCGGAUUUCUCUCUGGAUUCCCUCGAAUAGAGUCUGUCCCUGGCCCUCAAUUGCCUCAGAUUGAGGCAUCCUGAGUUGGUUCUUUUAUGUUCCCAUGCGCCCCAGGCCUCUCACUGCUCUUACAUCAGCCAAUAAAUUUCAAAUGGGGCAUCCCCUUUUUAAAGGUGGUGAUGAGGCCCUCUUAUGUUAAGUAUGGCUUGGUAUGAUCCCAUGCUUAUUGACCCAAACUCGCAUGUCUGAAAAUUAAACUUAUGGAUGCUGUUUAUAUCUUUGCUUAUACUCUAGUGUAUUUCCAAGUUGACCUAUUGACCUAAUGUAGUAAACAACAUGACAUGUUGUUUUCCUUGAUGUGUUCAUGGGUAUAUGUUUAUAACUAGGUAUAUAUCUUAACAAUGGAGUAAUUGAAGGAGGGAAAACAAUGACAGGACAGUUAUUGGGACAUAAGCUAGUGGUUGAGGUUCGAAAGAUACCUGUUGUCUCCUUAUUGUGGAUAGAUGUUUUGGAAAGAUAUUGCUGUGGCAAGUCUUAAGAAUUAGAAUCAAAGUCUUCUUAUACGGAGAAAUUUGACGUUGUUAUGCAAUGCUGUAAAUUUAGAUUAUAUAUGUAAAUCAUCACACAGGGAGACUAGUUGAUAAGGACAAGCAAAUUGCAGAGAAUGUCGCUACCUCCGUGACUAAAGGGAAAGACUUGAAAGAUAAGGAGGUGGCUAGUUAUGAUUCUGAAAUUUCAUUGUGGAUCUGCUGACAUAUAUUUUAAUGUCAAAUAGGAGAUACUGUCUUAUUUUGUGACAUUAAGCUGAUAUUUGAAGGGGGAGGGGGGAAGAUGAACUUACUUUGUCAAAUUGAAUCAUUAAUUUGAUAAAAUUUAAGCUGCACUUGAAAGAAUUGAACAGAUUACAUUAAAAUUUUCAUUUCCAUCCGUGUUCUGGUCAUUGAUGUCUUUGCCUUUUAGCCUGCACUUGUGUGUGGUCUGUUUGGUUGAAAUGCAUGUGUUAAAUGAACAGAGGACAUGGAAGGCUUCUACCCUGUUGCCCUCUAGGAGCAUAUAUUUUGACAUUUUGACUUUGGAUUGCGAGAUGAGAUUGAUGACUUUCAUAAUAUGGUUUAUUGUUGAUUAAAACUCCUAGAAUUAGCAAAACCUGCCUUAAUUCACAUUGUGUGUGAUUUUAUUCUCUCAUUCGUGGAUGCUUAUGUUUUGGUUUUUCUUCACCAUAUGUUGGUUUUUUCUGCUGGUUGGCCCGCAUUUGCUAGAGAAACUCGUCUGCAUGUAGGAAUGUUUGUGAGUUUCAGCUCAUUGAUUGGGAGAAUGUUAUGUUCAGAGUCUAAAUUUUCACUAGUGUUGGUAAGGACUGGAAGUGUACUUUAGCUGAUCCAAAAUAAAUUCAGUACUCCUAGUAAUACCUCCUUUAUUUUGUCUUGAUGAAUCAAUGAAGUUUGCUUCUAUUUCGAUUGGGUUUGUGAGGUUCAUAAUAAUCUAGAUGCACGCUCAUUAAUGCCACAUUCCAAAGCAAAAUGAACCAAAAAGGAUGUGCUUUAGGAUGUCCUACUUGAUUUAUGCAUUCUUGUUAUAGGCAUAUGAUGAUUUAUGGGUUUUAUUUUUCUCACAGAGAUUACCAAUGAGGUUCAUGAAAAAAUAUGUUGAGAAUCUCUCUAAAAGGAUGCUUCUGAGAGUGUCAAUCAGUGCAAUUUAUUGGCCUGUGGAAUUGGAAAAAUGUGAUGAGAUGGUUUUGUUAUCAAAGGGUUGGAAUGAGUUUGCAGAGCAUUACUCUAUCUGUGAGGGCCAAACUUUGGUCUUGAAAUUUGAAUGGAUUCCAUUUUCGAUGUAAACAUAUUUGAUAAAAGCACAUUUGAGAUAGCAUAUCUGGCAACAAAUGCUGAUGUGCGGAACCAAGCCUCAACAAUUGUGGAUUUGUCUGGCCGAAAGUGAAUGCAUUCUCCCAAGUGUCCUCAGCUUUGAAAGGCAAUGGAAUCUCAUCACGUUUGCAAAGUUCAUGGCAGUUCCUCUGUACAAUCAUCAGCUUGGAGUUUGGGGAAAGACGGAAGUUUGAACUGCUCAUCAUGAGAUUUUCGAGGUGCGAAUCUUAAUACAUUAGCUAAUUCUCCACUUGACUGUGUUGUUCUCAUGUUUGAUUUGAAUUUUGUACAGGGACAUUCCACGUUGUUAGGUUAAGAGGAGACUGUGUUAGAGCUUAUUCAUCCUCUUAUGCUCCGUUCGUUUUGCGGAAAAUAACUUCCGGGAAAAUAUUUUCCUGAAUUUCCGGUGUUCGGACGGCGGAAAAUACACGGUCAACGGAAAAUAUUUUCCGGUCAACGGAAAAUUCCUUAAGGAAUUGCGGAAAAUGACUUCCUCUUUUGAAAAGAGGAAGUCAUUUUCCCCAGCUCACGCUCCAGCUUCCUUUCUUCUCGUUCUCUCUCUCUCUCUCUUGCUCUCCCUGCUGCAAUGGGAGCCUCUGCCCUACCCGGCCGCUCCUGCCCGCCUACUCUGUCCGGGGCGCCGCCGCCGCCGCCGCCACACUCCGCUUCCCCGGCGGCUCGAAGCCGCGCUCCGCUUCCCCGGCGGCUCGAAGCCGCGCUCCGCUUCCCCGGCGGCUCGAAGCCGCGCUCCGCUUCCCCGGCGGCUCGAAGCCGCGCUCCGCUUUCCCGGCGGCUCGAAGCCGCUCGGGAGGAUCCGGCUCAAGAGGGAGCACCGCGGCGGCGCCGGGAGGCUCGCGGGGAGCCCGCCGUCCAGGCCGCUCGUCGUGCGGUGCGAGGCUUCCGGUGGACGGGUGAGCCUCACCGGCUUGGGGCGGAGCUCUGGCCUUGCCAGAUCCGGCGAGCUGGGCGGGGCUCGAGCCUCGCCCAGCUCGCCGGAUCUGGCGACCGGAUCUUGGUCGGCCGGAUCUGGCGACCGGAUCUUGGUCGGCUCGCCAUCGUCAGGCGUGUGGCGGUGGAGGAAGGAGGAAGGAGAUCGUCAGGCGUGUGGCGGUGGAGGAAGGAGGAAGGAGAAGGAAAAGAAAAGGAAAAAAUAAAAAGAAAAAUAAAAAGAAAAAUAAAGAAAUUAGUUAACGAACGGUGGAAAAUAUUUUCCACUCAAAAUUUAAGUUUCCACCGAACACCGGAAAAUAUAGUCAUUUUCCUGGAAAAUGACUUCCCGGAAAAUAUUUUCCGGAGAUGGCUUAUUUUCCGUGAAACGAACGCAGCAUUAGUGUUUCUCUGUCUCUAGCUCUCCUGUGCGUGCAUAUGGAUGUGUUGGGGGAUCUCGUAAAUGUCAAGGUCAUAUCAAUUUUGAUUGUGCUGAAAAUGAUGUUGGUGUGCUUAUAGGCCUUGGAAGCUAGACCAUUGAAAAGACUUAGAUCUACUGAGAUCUCUUGAAUUUAAAUCACAUAGAGUCGCUAGACUAUGUUUGCUCUAGAAUAAUCGUGCCAAUAGUUUCUGUUUUUAUCCUUCACACGUUUUGAAAAGCAUCCUCAUGCUGUCUUGCUCAAGAAUCAUUGGUUGUUUUCUUCUUUCUGAUGACAAAAUUGUGAAAUAUCUACUUGAGCAGAGUUCCUGGUUCGUUUGGAAAAAUGCACAUGAAGAGAAGCCCGCACACCACAACUCUCAUAUUUCAAGACAAAGCAUUGCCGUUGAAGCUCAUCAGCCACGAACAUUAUGGAAAGUCAUCUGCCUGUUGGGCCACUUUCACAAGAGAAACUUCUCUGAAGGUGGAAGAGGUGUGUGUUCGAGCUUUAUUAAUAGGGACGAUAUCAUGUUCAGAGUAUCUAUCUUCGGAACCACUGAUACGAUUUGGGUGAAUAAUACUAUGCAAUACGAUGCAGCAGAGGAAGCACCGCUUUUAGCUCACUUUUGGUGAGAACAGCACUUAUAAAAUUGCUAGGCUGAAUUCGGCAAAAUGGAUAAAAGCAUGAAUUCUGUUCCAAUGAAUGGAAUGGUCCUGAAUGUGUUCGAUGCCUUUCCUUAAUCCUAGACCUAAUAAUCACCAUGUGGGCAGGAGUCGUGAGUUGGAGGAAGCUGAUUACUAUUGUUGAUUCUGUAACUUCCUUUUCAUUCGACAUUCUCUCAAAUUAGGUGAGUCUUUAAGGUUUCUGAUGGCUCAGCCUAGCCUUUAGAACUGUAAAGUGAAGUUAUGUCACGCUUCCCUUAAGCCAUAUAUCAACUAUGAUUUUACAAGCUUCGGGGAACUUACAUCAGAUUCUUUGCAUUGUCUGUUUUCAAUUUUUUGAAGAUUUCGUGAUCAGUCUUUUCAUAUGUAAUGGACGAGUCAUUUAUCCAGGUCAGAGUUAGGACAACUAAACUAAGCAAAUUACUACUUCGAAAAGAGACGAGCAUGUCCAGAAUCUGCCAAUGGUUGCUUACCCUUCCGAACAAAAUAAGGCCGGAAAAGAGGACGUGGGAGACGUGAAGCUUUCUCGAUCCUUCUUCUUAUUCCUUGGGAGCGAAACUGGGGGAACCUCUGCUGCACUUCACGGAGGGUGGAACGAAAACGAAGCGUCGGGAAUUGCGAGAACUGAGAGAAGCGAAGCUGCACUUAGCGGAGCGGAGAGAAGUUGUAGGGGGGGAGGGGGGCGAGGGAGAUUCAUCCAGAUGGAGGGUUACUGUCGUCGCCGUUGCCGCUGGCGGCGGCAGAGAGAAGACGAAUGUGCGACGCCGGAGAUGGCAUAACCGAGUCUGAAUGGACAGUCCCCCACUCACUUCAUCAAAGAGGAAGAUCAUACUCUCUCUCUGACGAAUCGUAAGUUCAUGCUUCUGUACCCUUCAUUUCUCCCGUCUGCCAGAAUUUCUUCCGAUUUUCGUUUCUUAUUGCGCAUAAUUUUUCUUCCGAUUUGCCGAAAACCUUUCCUCAAUCGUCGUCGUCUUCUUCAGCAAGGGCUCUGCUUUCAAAAUACGUUCCACAGUCGAGUCUUGUCCCUGUAAAUUUCUCAACCCACUGCUUCAGAUCGUGUACCAAUAGAGGUCCUCAAUCGUCGUCGUCUACAUCUCGUGUGCUUCUCCUGUGAGUAUAUGCAUGGUCUUUCUUUAUCACACUGGCUGCUUUCAAAAUGUGCAUGGAGCAUUUAGUCAGAUCAUGACCGGCAAGAUAAGGAGCUAAUCCACACAAGCAUGUGGCUUCUUCUCUGCCGGUACGCAAGCAUUUGUGAUAGAAUCACGUCUGUGCAGGAGAUUUCUUACGUGUGUGAGCUCAUUGAUGGAGAUGAUAUGAGGAGUUGCUUUUACGCCUUGUUCUUAAUAAACUCUGGAGUACUCAUCGUCAUGAGAAUUUGGAGGUGUGACUUGCGGUUUAACAUGUCGAGUUUCUACUUGUGUAAAUCUCUUUCCGUCGUUCUUUUCAAAUUCUAGAAAAAUUCCUAAGAAGCUCUUGUUUUUAUCUCGAUUGGUUACGUCAUGAUUUGUACAUAAACUGUCACUACAGUUGUCGUUUUUCAAGUACAGGGAGGAUCAAACAGUUAGAAGAUUUGAAGCACCCGAAGCUGGUUUUUUAUGGUCCCACACACCCAAGGCCUCUCACUGGUCUUAAAUUGGCCAAGAAAUUUCAAAUGGAGAAUCCCUUUUUCAAGGCGGUGAUGAGGCCAUCUUCUGUUAAGCAUGGCAUGAAGAUCCCAGGCUUAUUUACUCAAACUGGCAUGACUGAAAAUCGAAUAUAUCAAUGCUAUUUAUAUAUUUGCCCAUACGCUAAUGUAAUUCCAAGUUUACCUCAUUAUGUAGUAAACCACGACAGAUAAAGCCUCUGGCAGUGGCUUUUCCUAUUAGAAUCAACAACAUCAUGCCCUCUCGAACUUGAACGUGCUCCCACCGUCAGAUAAAGCUCGCUAAUUCUAUCCUUAGAACAGAGUCCAGCUUGGUCAUUCCAUCAAACACCUUCCUUACAAACUAGACGGAUUUUUCUCCGACCAAAUUUUUUUUUUCGCAUCUCUCUCUGGCUCUGGAUUCCCUGAUUCAUCUCCACCAAUUCAGAUCAUCCCCACAGUAAACCACACCAUUAGAUUCCACGUUCGAGUUGCGGCCACUCUGAUUCAAGUCCUCGCUUUCCUGUCCUUGCCCAUGUCUGGACCAGAUUUAUCUGUCGCCGGGCCAUCUCGGGCUUACGCUGCCAUCGCUGCUGAACCAUCAUCAGGACCAUUUUCAUGUCUGGUUGAACUUCCGAGUCAAAUUACAAUUCACUCCAGAAUAUGUCCCGUCGACUCUUGCUUCGUUCUGCUCGCUCCCACUUCAUAGCCACCUUUCGGAAUUCCAUUGUUCCGCCCAUCUAUGCCACAUGGAAAGGGGGACGCGGGGUGGCGUUCAUUGUUUACAAGAGCCUUAUCCGAUUGCCAAGGCUGAGGUUGGAUGGAUCAUCAUCAUCAUCAUCUGGAUACGAUCCGCCGAUUCGAAGGAUGAGAUUCUUUGGGUUUCGCUCUCGGCACCUCCACCGGUCCGGCGUCGCUCAUUCAACUGCAGCAGCCGAGGCCGAUCUGAGUCGUUAUCAUCAUCCGAGACAAUAGGCCGAGCGUGAAGAUUGGCAGCGGUGAGUACGAAGAGAAAAACAACAUAUAAUAAAAAUAAAUAAAAAAAGGCGCGAAGCGAAGGGAGGGGGUGGAUGGAGAUGAUUCGGAUUUUGUGUGGGAAAACGGGGCAAACGGGUGAAGCCAAUGGUUGUUCUUUGGAUGAAAAAGGAAAUGAAUUUGAAAAUAAAAGAGAAUAAAAAGGAAAAAUGAACCCACCGUCGUUUCUGGAAAAAGCCGGCAAAAAACUCCAAAUUAUAUUUAUUUUUGUCGCAUUUAUUUUUCUUUUCGUUACGCAAAAGCUCAAAAUUAUGUAUAUGGCAUAUUUACUCUAAUUCUUAUGAUGUCAAAAAUUUAAAUUUGUACUAAUAUGACAUAUUUAUCUUUUGUCAAGAUUUCGUUUGAUGGAUUUUGUAUUUUUUAUUUUUGGUUGAAGUUGUUCUUAUUUCAUUUAAUGUCAAUACCAUUUACAUUCUGUCAUUCGUAUAGGUAAUUUUUUUUUAACGAUACUCAUUGACAAAGAGUAAAUAUAUCAAAUAAAUAUAGUUUGGAGUCUUUUGUGGCAUAAAAAAAAAAACUUAAGAUGGAUGUGUCAUAGUGGGCAUAUUUUAGGAUUUUUAGUGGUUUUCCUCCUUUUUUUCUUAACUUCAUCAAUAAUCAAACACAACUCAAAACUGAGAAUGCAUUGGUCUCUCUUGCUUGUCACCUAUCAGCCAUCGCCAAGCUUCUGUCACCCUAUCCCUCCUAGAUGUCCUUGGUGGUGAUUAUGUCGGUUGUUCUUGUCCCUUUUAUUGUUAGGAAGACACUUUCGAUUGCUUGUAUAAUGAAUUUGCGGCUUAAAAUUCGCUUUCGUAAAUUAUAAGCGUAUGCUGUCUGUGACUUGUUCUAGUUUGAAUGAACAAUGCUUUGAUAUCACUUGUGAAAGGAAAAUUUCAUUUUUCUUUUUUGCAACUUCAAUUCCGAAGAAAUAUAUUUAAUUUCCACUGGUCUACCAGCUUGAGAUUUCUAUUUAAAUUUCCUAUUAUUGGAAAAUUGACCCAAUGUCAUUUCCGAUUAAUGGAGUACGACGACUAAUUGUGUCGGAAAUGAUGGGAUUAUGAUUUUAAGCGAUCUUCGGCUAGGAAUGGGUUGUGGCCUUAUUAGCAAAUAGGGUGGGCCAAAGGAACUGCAGCCGCACUUACGACGAAAUUUCAUCUAGGGAGAGCUAAGUGAGUUGGGCCACGAACCAGAAGAGGCUCCCGUUUUGAACACCCAUCAUUUUCUAAGAGUUCUUAUUUUUUAAUUAGUUUAUUAUUUAUUUAUUUAUUUAUUUUAUCCAUUAUUUUUCACUGCUUUUUGUUAUUUUUGCUAUUUUCCAUUUUUGUAAAUUUACAAGGACAGACGCUUGAAUUGUUGAUAAAAAUUCAGGUGUAGACAACAUAUGUGAUAACACUAUAGUUAGUGCCAUGGAAAACUCAAUGCUCUUGUAAAUUAGUUGUUUAACAAGUGUAUUAUGCAUUGACUAACACAUUCCUUGUAAAUAUUUUCCACAAAACCAAAAAUAAUAGUAAGGAUAAAAAGAAAAAGCCCCUCCCCUCCUUAAAAUUAGUCAACUUUAAUAGUAUAGAAAUCAAAAUUACAUUCUAUAUCAGCAUUACUGAAAUUUUUUUGUUAAAUCGUUACUCCCCCAUCUUCUUGAGAACUCAUCUUUAGCUCUAAUACUGUGAAGCAGUUUGAAACUAAACAGUAACUAACGUAUGAAGCUCCUUAAACAUUAAUUGUUAGAUUACUUACUUCCACGAAAACCAGGACAAAAUUGGGCAUGGGGACGAGAGAGAGUGCGUAGUGAAAGCUUGUUUAAGUGGAGUUUGAUCAUUAUUUUCCUCUAUAGUUGCAAUGAAACUUAGCACUCAUGGACAUAUAUUAAGAUCAGUCAGUGCAGAAGCCAACUCAAUGAUCACCAAGUUAAACUAGAAAAGGCUUAACUAGAAAUUUGAAAGGCAAAAGCAUCACAUGAUUCGUUCUAAAGCAAGCUCCAAAAGUGAUUGCAUCUCUUAAUAUUUCUAAAUAUAUAGAAUUUACAUAUUGAGAAAUGAUGAUGAAAAUGUUGUAGCUAGAAGCCCAAAUCAAGGCAAUGAGAUACAAGCUGGUCAAAAGCCAUAACUGUAAAUCCUACUAGAUUUCAUUUCCACUAUGGAUAUAAUAUGUUCCUUGGUGGGUAGCAUAAUAAUUCAAGAGUGACAGAUUCUACAUUGAAUUGAAUAAAAUAAUCCAGCCCUAGACAUAAGACCAGGAACCACUAUGGUUCGCUUGUGAAGCCACCAGAACGAGCUACAAAACGAUUCUCAUUCAACUGAUCUGAUCUAAUACUUUGGUUUUGCAGCAAUCCUGAUGUCGAAUCCUACGACAACAUCAUCACCAUUGAAUCUAGCAUCGAUCGAAAGUGAAUUGAUAAAUGUCAAAUUUCAAGACCUUAAUGUCGUAUCGAAAGUGGCUUAAGAAAACUGACGGGAAGAGUAGGAGGGGGGAGGAGCCAUGUGGUGAAAAGAGGAGGAAUGGCCUGCUGUUGCAACUACGGUGGCAUUGCUGGGGUGGCCCCCAAUCCUCAAAUACGUCGGAGAUCAGACUUCCCAACGACAGUGACAGUGGUGUCAAGGGCAGUAGCAAUGACCUUGGCAUGGGAGGGAGGAGAGGAAGAAAUGGAGGGGUUUCCAAGUAGUGUGACUAGAGGACUAGAAAAUGUGAAAUCAGAAGGGAAAACCUAAUCCUAAUUGAUUUGAGAAUUUCAGUUGGACCUAUGUAUUGUCUGACCUUCCAGUCUAAUACAUGAAUACUACCAAAUUAUAAAUUUUGGACAAAAUUACCCUUAUUUAAGUCGUCGGAAAAUGUCAGUUGGUGGCCAGCACACGAGCUUAGACCCUAAUUUGAGGCUAGUUUGGCCACACUUUAUGCCCUAGCUUAUAGAGCAAAAUUGACACUAUUCUUUUUCUCCAUAAAGGAAGCUUGCUAGAUGAAAAUGGAAAAGCUGGACUUGAAAGAUUUGCAGGAAGACUUCUCAGCAACUUUGACUUAGUAAAACAUUUGGACUAUUAUCACAAGAAAAUUUAUUGGAUGAUGAUUAUUGUAUCUUUCGUUAUUUCAAUUUUGAAAAGCUUGAAUGCUUUAGGAUCUUAUUUCUCUUGAAUUCUUCUUCUUUACAGCCACAAUUGUCUGCAAAGAGCAUUCAUAUGACACGCACGACAAAGCAAACAUCUACUCAUGGUUAGUCAAUUAAACAAUUUUUUACACCAACAUCUACUAAGGCUUCGUCCAUUUCGUAAAAAAUAUUGCGUUUUUGGAAAAUAUCUUCUAGGAAAUCACUUUCUAAGAAAAUAAUAAUAUUUUCCAGUGUUUGCUUGAAACUUAAAAAUGAAUUAGAAAAUAUUUUCCACCGUUCGGUUUGAAAAAUUCAAUUUGAUUUCCCUUUGUGCACUCAUUUUAACAAAUUUGUUAUCUUUUAAAAAAUCAAAAUUUCAAUUUUUUAUUUUCAUUUUAUUUCAAUUUUUUUCUUCUUACAUCUUUUUGUUUUCCUUGUAUUUUCUUUUCUUUUCCUCCUCCUUCUUUAGUUGAUCAUCAUGGCCACAGUGACAGCUGAAAAGCUUGAGGCCUUGAGCCUCACCAAAUUGGCAUGCCGGUGAGCCAAAGGCUCACACUCACUAACUUGGAGAGGCUCAAGCUCAAGGCCUUGGGCCUUGCUAGAUCGGCAAGCGAGCUUGCUGCUCAGCAAAGGCUUGCUUGAUUGGUGAGCAAUGAGCAUAGCUUGCCAAUUUGGUGAGCCCUAAGCUUGCCUAUGAUUGGUUGCUAACAACCGGCCUAGACACAAGGAAAAAAAAAUCAAUGUAAAAUUAAAAAAAAGAAAAGAUAGGAAGGAUAAUAAGGGUAUGAGAUAAGAGAGAAUGAGUGAGGAAAAUAUUUUCCCAAACUUAAAAAGUGAAAAAUAUUUUCCUCUAUUUUAAAAGACUUUUUUUUCAUUGAUAAAAAUAUUUUCACCGUCUACUUCAUUCUUAUAAAAUGAACGCUAGAAAAUCUGGAAAAUAUUUUUUUGAAAGUUAUUUUUCACGAAAUGAACUAAGCUUAAAUUUCCAUCAUGAAAAUUGGAUUUCUAGUCACCCCCGUUGCCCUCGACCAUGCUACCAAAUGAUAUGAUAUCACAAGAAAGUCCCCCAACGUGGAAGGAGCAGCUUUACUAUUUCUAUUAUUAUAGAAAUGGGAAGUAGUCUCUAUACAGAUUGAGCCACUCUGAGUGGGUUUUCAUGGUCUUACACUUCCAAGAACUCUUAUUACUUUUUGAAAAUGGUGAUACCGCAUCUUAUAUGAAUUGUCUGGUAAGAUCUUGAGCUUAAAUCAUCACCGAUAUACCUAGAGCUCAAUUAUGGUUGCUAGCACUUACAAUACCAUGACCGCUUUAGUGUUUGAUGUGCACUUGUUGGAGAUUUUUUUUCUUCUAUAUUGUGUUCAUAUAUAAUCCAAUAGAAUACUAAAAUGAUACUCAUUAAUAAAUGUAUUAGAAAAUGAUGUUAGCUAUUAAUUUCUUUCAUCCUCAAGCACUUUAAAAUGAAUAAAUUUAUCCUUGGAUUUCUUCAACUUCAAAUCAUCAACGUCUUGCUCUUUGCCCUCCAAUUUUAUCUUUGGAUUUCUCAUUUCACUUAUAUAAUUUCAUAGCUCGAUCAUUCAAACAUGUAAAUGUGCAGAGUAUUCCGGAUGGAUUCAUUAAGCAACAUAUUCAGGAGAAGCAAAAAGUAACUAUGUACUUAUCACUACUUGUGACUCGGUAACUAUAUCAUUUUCUUCUAUACAUUUAGUGUUGAAAAUCCACAAAGACACUACCUUAGAUCUCCAUGAUUUCUAUUUCCAGAGUCCCUAUGCUAAUCUUGUUAUUUAUUUUUUUGUGAUCCCACAUUUUUUACCCAAAUUUUCUCUUAAAGUUGCGACUGCUCGAUCCACGCUUCGUACCAUUUCGUGACAACCGCCCGUCUUGAUGGGAGACGAUGUAUAAAUAGGAACGUACGUUCAUUUCUGACGGGCGAUGACAAGGUCUAACUCAAACUCUCUCAUUCAGAAUACACCAUCAGUACGAGAGUGAAUUGGGUAGUAGAGUGUCACCAAUUUUAUUUGAUUUUAGGUUUUUUGACGAACACGAACAAGAACAAUGGCUGGAGGUUUGUCUUUGAUUGAUCCUGGCUUCCGCAUAUGAAUUAUAUUGUCUUAUAUUUGGUAUCAGAGCCGUUAAAAGCCUCUGCCUUGUUUUGUUUUAUUUUUGUGUGUUUUUGGUGUAUUUUCGGCCAUUUUUGAAGAUGAACAGUAACUUGGAUUUUGAGGACGAGAGAGAAACUCGCAAAUUCCAGCAAAAUCCGCGCGACCCACCCCUUGAUUUCGGACCCGCACGGUCGCACCAUCAUAAGGAACAAUAGCCAUGAGUUAUUUCGGCAUAUCAGUGUUUGCCAGAGGCUAAUCGGAUAGCGGAAGUCAUGGUGGUUAAGGAUUUGUGUUUUGGGAAUUUUCUUAUGAUUUGGGGUUUAUUUUUUCGUCAUUUUUGCCGAAACUUGGACCUAUGUGGUCGUGCUGGCAUGUUCUUCAAAACCCAUUAUUUAUUUUUGUCUGAAAUGGGCUGCCGGAGAAGAAACGGCUGGCGAAACCACGGCGGAAUGGCGAAAAACGGCGAAGAAAACGCUUCUGUUCGCCAGGAAGAAGGCGCGUGGAGCCCACGCGCGCGCUGCGGUUGCAGGCGCGUGGGAUCCACGCGCCACGCCCUCUCACGCGCGCAGCAACCGUUACGCGCGUGGGAUCCACGAGCGCGGCAGUUGCCAGGAGCGUGCAUUGCACGCGCCUGCGCGUUGAACUGCGCGCGUGCGGACCACGCGCUUGCCGCGGGAACGGGCACAUGCCAGGCACACGCCUGACGUCUCCUCGGCGCCUCUUUUUACGAUUUUGCCUCAAAUUUUUUAAAUUUUUGCAAUCAUGCCCUUGGCCAAUUUAUUUAUUUACUGUUCUGCCCUUGAUGUAUUUAUUUAUUAUGUCAUUUCAUGCAUUUUUAUGAAUAUUUUAUGCAUGAAAUUAAAUGUCCAAUGGUCCAUAUAUUUAAUUAAUUAGGGAGUGGCCACAGCAUCUUUAAUUAAUUAAAUUAUAUAUUAAAUGCCUUCGGAUUAUAUUUAGAAAUGAACAUUGAUUGUAAUUAAUUAUAUUAAUAUGAUGAACUUUAUCCCACAAGAAUUUUCAUUAUAUUAAUAUGAUUAAUUAGGAUGAAAUAUCAUAUUAUUUUUCUUAAUUUACCCAUAGGGAUUAAGAAAAGGCAUAUAAUAUGGUAGUUUCUUCAUGAAGUAAUUAUGAAUCUAUUUAAAUUAAAAACUUAGCCCACAGGUAGUUUUUAUGUUAUGUGAUUCAUAUUGUGACAUGUUUACAUUGGUAAAACAUGAUUUAUUUAUAUUUGCCUCAAAUUUUGUAACAUAAGCAUGAUUAUUUGAUAUGCAGUUUCGCAACCUGUGAAUUUCUCUGAAUUUAAGUUUGAUGUUCCUAUACUGAAUGGUGAUAACUAUAAAGUUUGGAAUGAGUCAGUUCUUCUUCAAUUGGGGUGGAUGGACAUUGACUAUGCUAUAAGGAAAGACGAACCACCUGCUCCUACUGAUUCGAGCACUCCAACUGAGAUAGCUCUUUAUAACCAAUGGGAGCGGUCCAACUGCGUUUGUGCCAUGUUUAUAAGAGCUAAGAUAUCUCCUAGUAUUCGUGGUUUAGUUGCUCAGCAUAACAAUGCUAAGGCUUUAUUGGAGGCCAUAGAUGCGCAAUUUGAAAGUUCUGAGAAGGCGCAUGCCAUGACCCUGAUUAUGAAGUUUUCAUCAUUGAAGCUCAUUAGUGUUAGAGGUGUGCGUGAGCACAUCAUGCAAAUGAGGAACAUUGCAACUCAGCUUAAGAACCUUGAGGUUGAGAUAUCUAAAUCCUUCAUUGUGUAUUAUAUUCUGAACACUCUCCCACAACAGUAUGCACCUUUCAAGAUCUCUUAUAACACACAUAAGAAUAAAUGGUCUAUUAAUGAACUCAUGACCAUGUGUGUUCAAGAGGAAGAAAGACUAGUUAUGGAAUUGGGAGAAAGUGCUCAUUUGGCAACACAAGGAAAGAAUAAGGGCUAUGGCAAGUAUAAGGGAAAAGGUAAAAUACCUCCCCAAGCUGACAUUAAGAAAGAAUCCAAAUGCUUCUUUUGUAAACAAAAGGGGCAUAUAAGGAAGGAUUGUGUCAAAUUUAAGGCCUGGCUCAAGAAGAAAGGUAAUCCAAUCUCUUGUGCUUGUUAUGAAUCUAAUAUGACUGAUGUAAGUCACAACACUUGGUGGAUUGAUUCUGGAUCUACAAUCCAUAUUUCGAAUUACUUGCAAGGUUUUCAAAACCACCGAAAGCCAGUGGGAAGUGAACAAAGCAUCUAUUCAGGAAACAAGAUGCGUUCGCAUGUGGAAGCUAUUGGGACAUAUAGACUGGUUCUCAAUAGUGGUUUUGUUUUAGAUUUGGAAAAAGACUUCUUAUGUUCCUAGUUUUUUCUAGAAACUUAAUUUCAGUUUCAAGACUUGUACCUUUGGGAUACUCUUUUAACUUUUCAGAUUCAAAUUUUUGUUUAUCAUUUAAAUCUGAAAUUGUUGGGACUGGUAUUUUGUUUGAUGGUCUUUUUCGAAUUAAUUUACAAGACAAUGCCUAUUAUGAUGCGAUGCAUGUUCAUGAUAAAGCUGGUAUAAAAUGAUGUGUUGUGAAAGAACAUUCCUCUAUGUUGUGGCAUCGGAGAUUGGGACAUAUCUCCAUAGAAAAGAUUAAGCGAUUAGUAAAUGAUGGAGUACUCAGUACUUUAGAUUUUACUGAUUGUGAUACUUGUGUGGACUGCAUAAAGGGAAAGUAGACUAACAAGACAAAGAAGGGUGCCAAGAGGAGUACAAAAAUAUUAGAAAUCAUACACACGGAUAUUUGUAGUCCGGAUAUGGACUCAUGUGGUCAGAAAUACUUCAUCUCCUUCAUAGAUGAUUACUCACGUUACAUAUAUCUCUAUUUGAUUUAUAAUAAGUAUGAAGCAUUAGAUGCCUUUAAGGUAUUUAAGGCGGAAGUAGAGAAACAAUGCAAUAAACAAAUAAAGAUCGUGAGAUCAGAUAGAGGUGGAAAAUUCUAUGGUAGAUACACUGAAGAUGGACAAGCACCUGGUCCAUUUGCAAAGUUUCUUCAAGAGCAUGGGGUAGUUGCCCAAUAUACUAUGCCUGGUUCUUCGGACCAAAAUGGCGUAGUGGAAAGAAGAAAUCGGACCUUAUUGGACAUGGUGUGUAGUAUGCUUAGCAGCUCCAAAUUUCCUAAAUCCUUGUGGACUGAAGCACUUAAGAUGGCAGUGUACAUAUUAAACCGAGUUACGACCAAGGCUAUCCCAAAGACACCUUUUGAGUUAUUUAAGGGUUCGAAACCGAGUUUGCAUCAUGUGCGCGUUUGGGGAUGCCCGUUUGAAGUGAGAGUUUAUAAUCCACAAGAAAAGAAGUUGGACCUAAGGACCAUAAGUGGGUACUUCAUUGGAUAUGCCGAAAGGUCUAAGGGAUAUAGGUUUUAUUGUCCAUCUCACACCACCCAUCUCACACCACUAGAAUUGUGGAAUCAAGAAAUGCUAAAUUUCUUGAAAAUGACUUGAUCAGUGGGAGCGAUCGAUUGAAAGACGUUGAUCCUAAGAAAGAUCAUACAGAUACUCAACCUUCCACCUCAAGUUUAAGAUUUGUUGUUGCUCAUAAUGUCCCUUCAGUUCAACCGGUUAUUGAACAACCAAUCGUUGAAGUUCCACAACCUGCUGAUAUUGAUCUAGUAGAUCCAGUUGUUCAGCAAUUACCAGAAACUGUUGAACAACCAGUUGAGCAACAUGCUCCUCAAGAGAAUGUUGAUGCAACAUUGAGAAGAUCUUCUAGAAUAAAGAAAUCGACUAUUCCUAGUGAUUAUAUUGUGUAUUUACAACAGUCUGACUACAAUAUUGAAGCUAAGAAUGAUCCCGAAACGUUUUCACAAGCCAUGGAUAGUGAUAAAUCCAAUUUGUGGUACAAUGCCAUGAAGGAAUAAAUGAGUUCAAUGGCAUCUAACAAAGUCUGGGAUUUGGUUGAGUUACCUAAUGGUGUGAAGGCCAUUGGUUGUAAAUGGGUCUUCAAAACUAAGAAGGAUUCAUUGGGUAACAUUGAAAGAUAUAAAGCUAGACUUGUUGCCAAAGGAUUCACUCAAAAGGAAGGAAUCGAUUACACGGAGACCUUUUCUCCUGUAUCUAAGAAAGAUUCCCUUCGUUUUGUUUUGGCAUUGGUUGCCCAUUUUGAUAUGGAAUUACAUCAGAUGGAUGUGAAAAUGGCGUUCCUCAAUGGAGAACUAGAGGAGGAAGUUUACAUGAAACAACCUGAAGGAUUUUCUUCUAGUAAAGGUGAGCAUUUGGUGUGCAAGCUUAAGAAAUCUAUAUAUGGCUUGAAACAAGCAUCCCGCCAAUGGUACUUAAGAUUCCAUGAAGUCAUCUCUUCAUUUGGUUUUGUAGAGAAUGUCAUGGAUCAAUGUAUAUACCAGAAGGUCAGUGGGAGCAAAAUUUGUUUUCUUGUACUGUAUGUGGAUGAUAUACUACUUGCAACCAAUGAUAAGGGGUUGCUACAUGAGGUGAAACAAUUUCUCUCUAAGAGUUUUGACAUGAAGGAUAUGGGUGAGGCAUCUUAUGUCAUUGGCAUUAAGAUCCAUAGAGAUAGAUCUCGAGGCAUUUUAGGACUAUCUCAAGAAAACUAUAUCAAUAAGGUCCUAGAGAGAUUUCGGAUGAAAGAUUGUUCACAAAGUAUAUCACCCAUUGUAAAGGGUGACAGGUUCAAUUUGAACUAAUGCCCGAAGAACGAUCUAGAAAGGGAACAAAUGUACAACAUUCCAUAUGCUUCUGCUGUUGGAAGCUUGAUGUAUGCUCAGCUUUGCACUCGACCUGACAUUGCUUUUGUUGUGGGAAUGUUGGGAAGAUAUCAGAGUAAUCUAGGUUUAGACCACUAGAGAGCUGCAAAGAAAGUGAUGAGAUACCUUCAAGGUACCAAAGACAACAUGCUUAUGUAUAGACGGAUUGACAACCUGGAAGUGGUCGGUUAUUCAGAUUCAGACUUCGCAGGUUGCGUUGAUUCACGAAAAUCAACAUCUGGAUACAUUUUCAUGUUAGCUGGCGGAGCCGUGUCAUGGAGAAGUGCCAAGCAGACUUUGACUGCUACUUCCACUAUGGAGGCUGAGUUCGUUUCUUGUUUUGAGGCUACCUCGCAUGGUGUAUGGUUGAAGAGUUUCAUUGCUGGGCUUAGAAUUAUUGAUUUAAUUUCUAGGCCAUUAAGAAUAUAUUGUGACAAUUCAGCUACGGUUUUUAUGACUAAAAAUGCCAAAAGUGGCAGUCGAAGUAAGCAUAUCGACAUUAAGUAUUUAGCCAUAAGGGAACGUGUUAAGGAGAAUAAAGUGGUCAUUGAACACGUUAGUACUGAAUUGAUGAUAGCUGAUCCUUUAACUAAAGGCAUGCCACCAAUGAAGUAUAAGGAUCAUGUAACUAGUAUGGGAAUAGGUCCCAUCAUGUAAUUUGUCGUCAUAUGAACGAUUUUUGUUGUAUGAAACUCUUAUUCAGUUGUAAUGUUGAUUCUCAAUUUUUGUGUACACAUUUUGUUGUUUAUGAGAAUAACAUUUAUCCUUGAUUUUGGAAUAAACAUGGGGUUUAUUCAUUAAGAUAUGUUGUCACAUAUAGGCUUACAUUAAAGAAAUAAGACGCAUUGUGAUACAUGGAAGAUAUUACUCACUCUUAGAGGACAUGUUGCCAUGAUUCAUGUGUUUUGUUUCUUUUCUUUAAGCAUAAAGUUUUCGUGGAAUUAGUUGGAUAAUCUGCAUGAUGAAAAUGAUGGGAUCAAGUGGGAGAAUGUUAUUUAUUUUUUUGUGAUCCCACAUUUUUGACCCAAAUUUUCUCUUAAAGUUGCGACUAUUCGAUCCACGCUUCGUACCCUUUCGUACGUUCAUUUCUGACGGGCGAUGACAAGAUCUAACUCAAACUCUCUCAUUCAAAAUACACCAUCAGUACAAGAGUGAAUUGGGUAGUAGAGUGUCACCAAUUUUGUUUGAUUUUAGGUUUUCUGACGAACACGAACAAUAACAAUGGCUGGAGGUUUGUCUUCAAUUGAUCCUAGCUUCCGCAUAUGAAUUAUAUUGUCUUAUAAAUCUGCCAUCAUAAGAUACAUGUAUACAAAAAAAUGCAGCAAAUGGCCUAUCAUCUAUGAAGAAGGGUGCGUUUGGGAAGACUUUUGGGGAAAGUCUUUGGGAAAAUGCAAAGGCCUUUGAGUUGAAUGUGUUUUCCAAAAUGCAAAUUGUGUUUGGUAAAUUGUAAUUUAAAAGCCAUUUGUGAAGUACCUUUGAGUAAAAUGGUGUGUGGGGGACAAAAGGCUUUUGUGAAAAAAAAAAUAUCAAAAGAAAAAAAUAAAAAAGAAAAAAAUGAAAACCAGCAAGGGCAGGCGGCAUCCGGCGGCCGGCGGCGACCCUCGGCGAUCUCCGGCGACCCCGGAUCUGGGCCGGCGAGGUCGUGCGACCCCGUCGCGACCUCCGACGACCCCGGAUCUGGGCCCGCGAGGUCGCACGACGCCGUCACGACCUCAGAUCUGGGCCGGCGAGGUCGCGCAACGCCGUCCGCGACCUCCGGCGAUCCCGGAUCUGGGUCGGCAAGGUCGUGCGACGCCGUCGCGACCUCCGGGUACCUCGGAUCUGGGCCGGCGGGGUCGCGCGCGUCGCGCGACGCCGCCUCGACCUCCGAGAACCCCGAUUGGCCGUUGCGAGGCUACGCAACCCUCGCCUGAGGUCAAGGGACCUCGGCGACAGCCGCGCCUGGGUCGCGCGACCUCGGCGAGGGUCGCGCGACCCCGGUCGGCCGUCGCCAAGGCUACGCAACCCUCGCCUGAGGUCACGCGACCUCGGCGAGGGCCGCGCUUGGGUCGGGCGACCUCGCCGGCGGUCGCGACACCUCGCCGGUGGUCGCGCAACCCGAGCAGCUGCCGCCGGGGCUACCUUCGACGAAGAAGAUGAACAGUGCUCUUCACAAGGGCAACAAACGGAAAAACAAAUUGUUCGUAAGGAUAAUUUUGGAAAAAAAAUAUAUAAACAGUAACCUCAGCUUACCGAGAAAGCUGAAAUGCCCAAGGCAGGGGUACCCCUGCCUUGGGCUUUCAGCCUUCAAAAGGCAAAUUUUGAGCUGAAGAUACUUGCAAAUCUUUUUGCCAAACACCCAUUUUUAGCCCAAAGGGCUUUGGAAGCCUAAAGUGGCUUGGGAAAGCCGAAUCCAAACGCAGCCGAAGUUGCCUAGGAGUGAGCUUUUGGAGCUCACCAAUUUCCUACCCCGCGUUAGAACAGAAUGAACAGCACAUAAUAUUGAUAUUAAUAACCAUGAAGCAAAGGAGACCCAAGAUAAUUAAUUCAACCCCUAGAACAGUAGAGCACGUGAUUAACAAAUCAAAUUUGACAAGAUGAAUCAUUGACUAAUUACACUUGUUACCAAAUGGGACAAUUUAGAGAAUAACGUUUAAGCUAUGCAAUGAUAGGUCACCCAUCAAAGUUUAUGAGGGCAAAGAGUCAUUAAAUAGCAAAGCUAUUACUACAUCGGAACAAGAGAGGCUUGUCCAAAAUUUGCGAAUGAUUGCUUACCCUUUCAAACAAAAGAAGGCAGGAAAAGGACGGAGGAGACGUGAAGUUUUCUGAGGCUAAUACCAAAUAUUACAAGCCGAUAAAAUUAGUGUAAUAACAAUCGUCCCAUCCUACGCCAACGUUAUUUUAUUGAGCAUGUGUCAUUGAAUUAUCUCAUUUUUCUGUGCUCAUGUUGAUACCAUCAUCAGAUCAAACUGAAAAGAAGUUUGAAUGCAUUGUCGUCAUGGAGUGGAUAGUUUGCGUGGAAAUUUACUCAAAGCAACGUAACUAACACACUGCAUUAAGAAAUUAGUGACUGCCAAUCUGAAAAAAAGCAGAGGAUGAGGAAGUACUUUGGUUGGAGGAACUUACUAGUGAUGUUAUACAGUUCAUUUCGCCAACUCUCACUUCCCAUGCCACGAACGAUUCUCGUGUCUGAUAGAUCUUGAGGGUGAUGAGUGAUCUAACGAAGCCAGAUCCUAUAAAGAUUCCCCUAGGGUGGAUGGUGACGUCUUCACUCAGCCUGGGAGUGAUGGGUGGCAACUCCUCUUGUAGCUCCUCUUGAAACUAUAGGGAUGACAUAUCUUCGGCCGACAUGAGUCCAUCUUUGCUGGAGAAUUUGUAAAGUAGUCAAACAACUGCUCUAUGAAGUACACUCCACGAUAUGCAUGAGAACAUAGAAAGCAAUGCUAAUUUCAACUCCACGGGCCUAUGACUAUAGAAUCGAGGACUUAAUUACACUAAUUAAUCAGUUGGUGCCAUUUCGGUGUCUAAUGUUGUUCAUUUUACAAAAAGAUAUUUAUCAAGUAGUUUGAAUUGAUUUUAGAUCUAUCCCUAAUAUGUGAUUAUGUGGGUGCGCAAUUAUUAUAAUAUCAACUAGCAACCAAGGACAUCGAAUAAAUUGCAUGGCAAAAUGAGAAUUUAACGCUAAUAGAAAAGAAAGAUAUCAUUCUUAACUACUCUAUUAUCAAGUGAUAAUUCUUGUCAAAAAAGAAAACAUUUAAAUCCUAUGGCAAAGCCCAAAGAGUUUGUUUGAAUAUUGAGCACGAUUUUUUUAUCAAUGAUUUUCCACAAUUUUAAGAGAAGACUUCCCAAAAGACUAUUUUAAAGCUUUUUCCAAGGAAUUCUAUUUUUCAGAAGCUUUUUCUAAUUUUUCAGAAAAUUUAAAAUUUUUAAUUCUUCUAAUUUGUAUAUCUUUUUUUUUAUAUAUAUUUUCGAAUCUUUAAUAAAAAUAAAUUUUUAUUCUGAAAUAGGGACUCUGGCUAGGCCCCAAGGGCCGGUCAAAAGCAGGCUGCCGUCUGAUACCUGGUGGGUUUGGCGAACCAGGCUUUCAACAAGCUCAAUUUCAAACUGAUCUAAGCCCACCUUUUGAAAUAAUUAUGCUAAGCCCAAGCUCAACUAAAUACCAAAAUCAGCCCACAUUUGCCAAGCUUCAACUUGAGUCCAACGCCCACUAAUCCCAUCGCCUAAUAGGUCAGCCCAAAAUCUCUGAUUUCACUUCCUCAUUCAUUCUGCCCUCCACGCCCCUCUCCACUGUUCCCCUCUCUUACGUUGUUCAUGUCCUCAUCUUCCGGCUCGAAGACAGCGACGAGCGGGCAAGCUCGUGACAAAUCGGGCUAUAUGGUAUGCCGCCUUGGUAUCUUUGAGCCAGGAUCCUCGGGCAAGAGAGGAUCGAACCGAAAAGGAAACUCACCGGUGACGCAGAGAUUUGGGAGCGAAAGACAGUGUGCUCGAGCGCGUUGGUCAGAGGUCGUCGGAGAGGGUUCAAGCGCGGCAAAGCUGCUGGAGAACUCCUUCUCACUGUCGAGUUUCACUCUCCUCCUCAACUCUCGCUUGGAUCUCCCUUUGUUCUCCGAACCUUCCUCGUUCGAUUCUUGCGGCCAUGCAAGAGAGGAGCGCACUUGACCGGCCCCACCUCCGGUCCUUCACCGCUGCGACGUCACCUCCUCCGCCACCAGAACGCUACCACUGUCGAAGAUGUCGAGAGCGUAGUCGGUUCUCUCUCUCUCUCUCUUUCUUUCUCCAAGAACCAGCCUCCCUCUGGCUCACCUUCUCUCGAGCUUGCUCUUUCUCUCUAUGCGGCUCCCACGAGCAACUCUCACCGUCUCCUUCUCAAGCAACGCUUGCCAUCUCUGGUUUUUAGCCGAACCCCUUGAGAAGCAGCCCUCGCCCUUUCUCUCCAUCUGUUUUCAGCCGAUCAAGAAGCCUUCUCGAGCUCACUCCCUCUUUCUCUCCUAGUCUCACUCACCGGAUCUCUCUCUCUCUCUUCUCUCCUUUCCCCCAAUUCUCUCCCGAGCUUGAGGAAAUAUCCAGUGGUUUGCUCUCACCACGUCAUCAGCUGACAUGGUGAGCAUUGUUUUGCUUCCAUCCAAUUAUAGCUUGGCACAUAUUUGCUAACGUGGAAUUUGAAAUGGCUAUUAGAACACUUAGAGGGGGUGAAUAGAUGUGAAAACAGAUUUUACGAAAUGUAGUAAAAAUGCUUUACUUUUAAACUGAGUCUGAUUGACUACAAACUUUGUGGAAGGAUUAUGAUUUUAACAACUAUUUCAAAACAUAGAAGUAUAUCACAGUAAAUAAAGUAAAUGAGUUUAAGGAAGAGAAAAAUAAACACAAGAUUUAUAUUGGUUCGGUUUAGAUCAAGUUUACGUCCACUCUUCCACGCUGACAGCUUUCUGGCUGUUUUCCACUAUAAAUCGAAAGAGAAUAUUACAGCCCUGUGAUCUCGACUUUUCAGUGAGGUGAUUCUACUACUCUCACAAAAUUACUCUCUAGAGUUUCUCUCUUUCGAAUAUAAUUUUAAGCACUAAAUAAUGAAGGACAAGUGAUUUGAAAGCUUCAGACUUUGGAAUUCUUUUUUCGUGCUCUCCUCGAAUGACUUGAAAAACCUCCUUAAAUACUCCUCCAUGCCUUCUCGACCGUUGGCAUCUUCCAGAGAAAUUAUUCCAAUCAACCCGUUGGACAGAAUCAAUCAAGGAAAUCUCAAGCCAUUUGAAAAUUGAGAUGAAAGCCCAUAAAUCAUGUUCACCCAUACAAUUAGGAUCUUGGUUUCUAUAAGUAGAUUCUUUCCAAAUAAGCUUACCUUCCAAAAUGAUUUGCUUUUUCGAAAUUGAUUCCCAUUAAGAUAACAAAUAUGGUAAGUGAUAUUUCCAACCAGAAAGCCUGAUAUGUCCUGUACGUACUGAAGCCUUGAAGGAAGAAAAAUAAUCCUGAGUUUGAAUAAGUUUUCAUUCUUCACUUACGUUUAGUCUGGAAUUUGUUAGAGUGGACAGACUUCUAAUGUAAGAUAGACUUUGACACAAAAGUCUGACAAUAUUCAGAAUAGAACUUAGAUAUGUUUUGUUAGUUUCGAAACAUCGUAGGAGUUUUCUCCAACAUAAUUAAAUGAAAAAAAAAGUAGAAAUUCUCUCAUUCCACCACUUUCUCUCUCUUCCUCCUCUAUUCCUCCUUUGUCCACACCACCAGCUUGACCUUUGCACCUCCCGUUGUCAUCGGCGUCAACACCGUCUCCAGGCCAGCUGCACAUCCAAACCGAGUCACCCUCUCUGUCAUCUUCCUCAAUUCCUCUUCGACUUCGUCUUUCUCCUAAUGUCUAUUUGUCUUCAUCUUCAGGUCGCUAGCCAGAUCUGGUUGCAUCGUCUUCCUGCUGUCACCAUGGUAGCUUGGGGAGAAAAUAUUACUUUUUAGUUUUUAGUUUUCUCCCCGACCACCUCACCGCUCGGGGAGAAAGUAUUCACUGGCCUUGUCUUCCUCCCAACGUCUGUUCGUCUUUGUCUUCCACCAUGGCCAGAUCUAGUCACUUCGUCUUCCUCCUAGCGUUUGUUCGUCUUCAUUUCCAUGCGACCGAGAUGCUUAGAGAAUCGCUAGGCGAGGUAUUGGUCAAGUUCUAUCCAUUUGCAAGGAGACUCAUCGUGGGGAGUGAGGGGAAGAUUGUGAUGAGAUGCACGAGAGAAGGUGUCCUGUUCAUCGAAGGGAUGUCGGAGGACGACGUUGGAAUUUUGGGCGACAUCAGCGUCAUUGAUCUGCCAACACUGCAAAAACUCAUGAACAACAGCGAUGGAGCCUAAAUCAUAUUGGAAAAAACCUUUGCCGAUAGUGCAGGUAAUGUUUUUACGAAUAAGACUUGAGAUUAUAUUGUGUACCAAAUGUAUAGUCUGAGAGCACAAAUUUUGACAGGUUAACAUGGAUGACUUUAGAAUGAUGCACCCUUAAGGGUGCAAAUUAUAAGUCCUAAAUUUAGCAAAUACUUUCAAAUUUCAUUAUAUGUGCUUAUAUUAUGGCCUUUCAUAUUCAUACAAUGCUUGUGCAAAUAUGAUUGCGGGAAGAUAAUUUUCUUUGCAAUUUUGCAUGGAUAUAUUGAGGGAAAUAAUUGAAUACAAAUCUUUAGUGUUCAGACAAAUCGUGCAUCGUGAAGCCAAGUAUCCAUUACAUAUUGUCAAAAAGAUAAGAACUAAAUUACAUUUACCUUAUUCUUUGUCAAGUCUGAGAUGCAAUCACAAGAGUUUAGUAGUGCCACUGGUAAUUUUAUAGGCCAUUUUUCUUUUGUUGCAUCCAAUCUUUCGAUUGGUGUUUACUUAAAAAUAUGAGUUCCUAUUAAUUGAUAAGUAUCACAUGGUGAAUGAUUUGAUUUGAUGAUAGCAUUCAAUGCUCUUAGUUUAUAGUUUCAUUUUCUAUAACAUCCUUAUUAAAGUUAUUAAUUUUUUGAGAAAGCAGCCAUGCAUUAUUACCCCCAAUUCCAUGAUUAAACCAUUUGUGCAAAAAUGGAUCCAUAUGGAUUCGUUUGUUGGUCAUUGGAAAAAAGCUAUGCAUGUGGCUCAUGUUUAGGAGAUCCAAUAGUUUUGACUGAAAUUAGAUAUUGGGGUGUCCUCACACCCAGUCGAGUCCACAUUUGAUAAUGAUGAGGCUUGAGCUAUUACUACCUCAUCCAUUGAUAAUUCGGGACUCUAGCUGCCCCACCAAACAACGAUAACGUUUAUCUAAGAUUAAAUAGCAUCGUUUCAUGUAAUUUUAGUUCAUAUCACACCAUCACCCUUACAUAUAAGAUAAUCGGUCAUGAUUAGACUGACAUGUGGAACAAAUGAGACAAAACUGGGCUGAGAGAACUUGAUUACAUUAUUCCUCAAAGAGUUAAGAUUAAAUUGGUUCAAUUGAAAUGUUUAAAACUUGAUUACAUUAAGUAUAAUGUGUUUAAUACCGCUUGUGCAAUUUUCUUAGCAUACCAAAGCACUAGUACCUCGAAAUUUGAUGAAAAUAGAAGAUUCUUGUGUAUGUCUUCAUAUUGAAAAUGACACAAUCUUAACCUCGCAAAUUUCAUAAUAUCUCAAAUAAAUUGAUAAUUUGCUCUUGUCAGUUUUGAUCGUCUAAUUUGAUGUCCUCCCUUGAUCAUAAAACUCUAUUUCCACAUGUGAAAAACUCUAUGCUAUUGGAGUAAUUAGAUAAAGUGAUGUUUCGAAGAUAUUUGGGUUUCAAUAUUUAUCAUAUGGAUCUCAAGUGAAGAUCACAUAAUAGUAAGUGUGAGAUCAUUUGGGCUUAUGAGGAUAGGGUUCAUACAAUUAAAAAACCAUUUUGUUUCUGCAAAAUUUGGCUCCGAUGGCAAUAAAGAACAUCCUUCACUCAUCUGUCAAGAUCAAUAUGAUCUUUUCUAUUUUAUUGUUUUUACAAUUGUUUAAGUUGAAAUAGCUCAUCUUUUUUCAUAUUAUCUAAUUUUUCUCAUUCUUUGUGUUUAUAUUUUGAUUUUUCGUAUUUAUACAUUGCUUUUUCAAAUAUGCAUGUGGGUAGAUAAUUCUCUUUGCAUUAUUCAAGGAAUCUAAUAAGAAAAAUAAUUGAAUUGCAACUCUUAGGCAUUUAAACAAAUUGUGCACGAUGGAGCCAAAGAUCCAUCACAUCUUGUCAAAAAGUUGAGGACUGAAUUGCAUUUACCUUAUUCUCUACGAAGUCUGAACUGUAAUCAUGAGAGUUUGGUAGUGUCUCUUGUACUUUUAUAAGCCAUGUUCUUUUCUUUUUUUUCCUGGUAUUGCUAUCCUUUGACUAGUUUUUAGUUAAAUCGCAUCUUUUACAAAUGGCAGGUACUUAAAAAUAUGAGACCCUAUCAACGAUGAGCAUUUUAUGUCACCUGAUUUGAUGAUGGCAUUUAGUUCUCUUGUUCUAUACUUUCAUUUUCUAAUGCCAUCAUCGUUAAAGUUAUUAUUUCCAAGAAGGCUACAAUGCAUAAUUUCCCCGGUCCAAGAUUGAACCAUGUAUGCCAAAGUGGGGUCCAUAUGUACUCUUUUGUCUUAUAGAGCUCUAUCGUUGGAGAAUAUCUUUGCAUGUUACUUAGGCCCAAAAGAAGCAAUUAUUUAGCUUGACAUUAAAAGUCAAGAUAAUACAUGAAAAGUCAGUACUUAUUUUCAACAGAUGGUAUUAAUAAGAAGAACAUUAUUCAAAAUUGCUAUUAAUAGAUAAUCUCUACAUUGGCAUGUCAUCGAGAUCAUUGAUCUCUUUAAUUCUUAAUGGGACAUCACAAGGUUUAUUUACUUCUAUCGUCUUGAUGGCACGGUAGAGACACGACGUGGGAGGAUUCUACAGUAGAUGAUUUGCAUCUCAUGUAUUAAAAAGGGAUUGAAAAAAUUAAAAUAUACACACACACGUACACAAUGUACAGGCACAAUUGGCCAAGAAAAAAGAGUUCAAAGACCUACUGACAAUUUUCGCAAAAAUUCAAUUACUACUAUACCUAAAUUCCUUAUUAAUUAUCAAAUCCUGCUCCAAAUAUAGUUUGAGCCAUCAUCUAUUUUUUUGGAAAAUGCAAUGAAUGAAAACCGUUUCUUUUAUUUCACAUGUUGCCCUAUUAGUUCGUGCAUGAUGCGUUGAGUCUGCAAACUACCUCUACUUUGUGGGCCAAUGCCAACACAUGUCCCUUCGAGCUCCGUUGAUGUACCAUCAAGUUCCUAUUAGUCUUCCCCGAAGAAGAUGUGUUUGUUCGAUACUCCUCAAAAGGUGUGACCAUCCAAGUGCAUCGAGUCCAUUCAAAAGAUCAAUAAUAUGAUUCUAGUGGAUGCAUCAGGACAGACUAUUGAAGUGCGCGGAAUGGAACACCUUGUCUAGCAAUUUGAAAGAGGAAAGGACGAAAGUUUUGAUAGCUCAAUGAAUACUUCGAGCGAAUAGAAACACCUUACUGUGGGUGCUGUGUAAGGCAUCUUGUCUUGCACAAUGUCUCAUAGGCGUGCAUUAUUGAGUCCUCUAUGCAUUAUUGGUGCGAGACUUGCUCUCUCAUUCUCAGAAGAAAUGUCAAAGGAAAUUAUCAAUCGACUCUGGCGUUCGAAAAUAAUAAAUAUAACUACAUUAAAAUCAUAUCAAUAAGUAAUUUUUGAAAGAGAAAGAACAGAGAGGUAUUAAAAAUAUGGCAAUUUUAUGAUAAUUAUUUCACAUUCUAAUUUAAUAAUUAUGAUGGGCAUAAAAAUUAGAUAACUUCAAAUUUAUUUUGUGAACUGAGUUUUCUUUUUUCUUUUUUUCACUUAAAGGGAUGCCUAGAGGGGCUUUCUUUCAACAAAUCUGCAAAGAUAAUACAUGAAAAGUCAAGACUUACUAAUGGUUAAUAUUAGUUAGACAUAAGGAUCUAAGUUAGCCAAAGUCUAAUGUGUCAAUAAGGAGAACAUUAUCAAAAACUGCUAAUCGAUAUAUAAUCUCUAUAAUGGCAAAUCAUCAAGAUCACUCAUCUUUUGAACUCUAAAAGGUACAUUACAUACCUCAUGCAACAAGGGUUAACUGAAGUGAAGAGAGAAGUUUGUUCAUUUGGGCCUCAUCAAGAGAGUUGUCAGUUUUAGCUUAAUAAUUGGCAACUCAUUAGCUUAAUGAAUCGUUGCCUCAAGAGGGGUGAAGUAGGGAAGUAAUGUUUGUCGACUGUAAAAGGAAAGAGGCUAGACAAGUGAGGGCACCUAGUCAGUUCAUGACCUAGAUGUUUGUCCAAUAGCGAUGGACCAAAGGACGCAGAGGUAGACAUCAGCGAUGGGGACUAGUCGAGGAAAGGAAUAGCAAAAUGCAGAAAUCCAUCUCAGUUGUUGCAACCACCCUCUAUUACUCUCUCUCCCUCUCCCACAACUUACCCUAAUUAAAGCAAUCUUUCAUAUAUUUGGAUGGUUGUCCACGAGCAGUGGAAGAAAGGACGUGGAGACUUGGACAUUAGUGAUAGGAAUUGAUCAAGGAAAAGUAAAAUGUAAAAAAGAAAUCAUCCAUUAUGUAUAUAUACUUACAUUUUAUGAGUCAUCUAUAUCUAUCACUGGGUUGUUUAUCAGACAUAUAUUGUUCGUCUUGAUGGAGGCAACCGACAUAUAGAGGCCCUUUUGUAAUUUUUUUUUUCUUUUGGCCAGUGAUGACAUGGGGCAAUUUGCUUACCACUCAACUUCCCAAGUGGAUCUCCAUCCAUACCCUAUCUCCUCUUUCUUCCUUGAGUUUUUUUAGUCAUUCUUAAAUUUCUAAAUCGUCGGAUAGCUAGUAUUAGAACUCAGCCGUUUAUUGCAAAAUGUUGCUGUUUUUCAACACUCCCCAUCCUUCAAAAAAAUUAAAAGUGAAAGAAAAAGUAGGGUUAUAAAUUAUCAAAAGCCACAUAAAUUUAUUUAUCAAUAAGUGUAUAUUUUUGUAAAAUUUUAAAAUCGAUUUGUGAUAAUUGAAAUAUUUGAAAAAUAAAUCUUAAAAAUAAAUUACCCAAAAUAAACCCAAGCAUUUGAAAGAAAAGGGGAAAACUCCAAUUGAAAUGACAGAGCACGAAACAAUGUAAGUGGUGACUUGAAUUGUUUCCCAUAUUAAUGUUGUCCUAGAAAAAGUAGCAUUAUUCAAAAAAGUAAACGGGUUUAGAAUGUUUAAUUUACUUAGAAGUUUUGAUCUAAAAUGUUAUUGGUGACUUCAAUUGUUUCCCACAUUAAUUGUGUCCUGUAAAGAGUAGUAUUAUUCCAAAAAGUAAACUAGUUUAAAAUGUUUAAUUUACUUAUAAGUUUUGCUCUAACAGUUCUAUAUGAAGUUAUGUCUAAUAUAACAAUUACAAUUGACAUUCUAAUAUAAUAAUUUGCUUAGUUAUAAUGUUACUUCUAUGACAAAAAGAAAAAAAGAAAAAGAAAACCCAAACUAUUGAACUCCCAAUAACUUCGACACUUUCACAUGUUAAUGGACUAAACUGGCUUACUCCAAGAUUGUGAUUCAUUAUCACUAAAUGCUGCUUGAGCCCACACUAUUCAUGCGGUGUCAAACUCACACCUUAGCAACUAGUCAAGCACAACUGUUGAUAGUGAUUCCCUUCUCUUUCACUUUUACUUCAACAAUUUAAGUUCUAUUACUUAGCACAAAACUCUGCUGCGCUACUCUGAUAAAAUCACUUUCGACACAUUCUUUCUCUGAUUAGUGCAAGGUCCAUUCUACUCCCAUUCUUUCCUGGCCACAGUAACGAUGUCCAUGCCACCUUAGACUUCCACUAACAGUCCUUCACCUGAUGGCCACGCUGGUCAUCAUCACAAUAGGUUCUAGUCAUAUUCGGACACUGGAUUCAUCCAUGCUUCCUUCUACAAUUCUGACACUUAUCAGGUGAGUCUUCUAUCUCUUGCCAAGUGACAGCACACACUCUUUCUGGUUGUCCCAUCGAUCUGCUAAAACCACUCUCGACCUCGAUCUUUUCCCUGACCGAUUUUCAUUUCUGCCUGAACUGGAUCUAUACCUCGGCUCGAAUGCAAUGACUUCUCCUGGAUCACAUCUCCACUUUGGAUCUCAGCAGGUGAAGCGACAACGGCAGUUGCAACACUGACGGCGGUUCGAUCCUGAGCCUCCUGGCUCAUCCAGUUCCCAAGGAACACUUGCAUCUGAAUGAUCCUAUCGAACUUAGGAUCAUUCGACGCUGCUACACUAGUACCAACCUGCAGUGGUACUCUUACACUCGAGCUGGCCAAAGCCAAUACUCUGCCACAACCACCUCGGGUACCGACAAUUGUCAGUGCUUUAUCCCGAGUCACAGAGGACAUUGUCCUCUUACUAGGAGUUCUUAGCUCCUGCUCGCUCAUGGUUCAGUCUUUACACUGAAACCCGUCUUCCACAUCCACACUGGAUUAGAAGAUGAACGAUCCUCACACGACGAUCAAUUCUAACAUCCAGCUAACACAGACAUGCACCAGCAUGAAUUUAAAGGCCUUUCCUACUAACUAUCCCAUGGUCAACGCUCCUUAUCACUCCAAUCUUCAACUUCGCUCUGAUACCACUUAAACGGGAUGUCACGCCCCGAUCCUCGGGCACGCACACAUCCUUCUCACUUGGUCGAUUUUAUAACGCGAUAUCCCAGGACAAGUAUCGCCAACCCUUUAGUUUAUUAAGCACAUGCGGAAGCAGUUAAAAUCCCCAGACAAUAAAACGAUGGGAUAGAAAAGCAGGGCCAUAUUUUUCAUAUUGAAAUUUAUAACCAAACUUUUAUAUAAAACACAAACCAAUUCAUAACUAUUCACUUCAAAAGAAAUUCUCAAAAGAAGAUAGAUUCUCAGCCCAUCCAGGCCAUACUCAAGGCCCCUCUCCGGAUUAUCUUCUUCUUCCAAAAUCCUUCUACUCAGGUUUCACCUCCGAGUUCUCUUUCUCAGAUUCCUCCUCAUCAGCUCCUCAUCGGGGUCCUGAAAUGUUUUUCCCCAAAUUGGGAUGAGACUACGUCUCAGCGAGUUCUACCCCACUAAGCCCGAUUAGUAAACUACUAUACUAAAGGCUGCCUAAACACGCACAGGUGAGGGGACUUACCUUGGCCUCAGAUCCCACCUGCAAGUCAGUACAAUUCACAUACCUUACGUAUAGAAUCGAUACAUCCAGCAAUUGAAACGCAUCACUCAACUCAAUAAAUCACAAGGGUCCAGAUUAUAGGGCAAAAUCGUUAUGACACGUCCCAUUCCAUGUCACACAAUUUUGUCUCAUAAUCUGGCGCAUCAAACUCAACCAUCAUGCGUUCCAAUUGUUAAUUACACCCCUCAAGGGUAUGGCCAACUCUAUUGGCGGUCUUCUGGCAUUGCCAGGCAUCGCCUCCCCCCAUGGAGCGCGGCUUCGUCAUUACGUCGACGGCAUUCCCGAAGGAGCAUAGGGUCCAGAAUCAACUGCGACCGGCUUCCCGUUGUCCAGGGGGUAUCCCAAAUAGGGAUAACGUCCAGCUCAACAGCCCGGGACGAUUUCUCAUAACCAUCACACGAUCACUCAAAUAUGGCCCAGGGCACCGUGCAUUGCACUCAAAUGCUUUAAAUUAAAAAAAUGGUGAGCCUGGCCUUUUUCUUCGUAUUAACAAUUCACCUGAAAUUACUCGUGCGUGGGUACACGGUCAACUUGAUCCAGAAAAAUUGAUAUUCAUCCUUUUUGAAAUCCCACUAUUUCAUAUAGUACUAAAAACUAUUUUUGGUGUCAAAACCCGACACCUGGGAUUUUCUGAAUAAAUAUCAAAAUCCACAAAUUUUGGAAUUAAAUACCAAGAAUCCAAUCAGCACUCAAUUUGCAUAAUUUAACACUCAAUUGCAGAAUUUAACCACGCCAUUUACUAAUCCAUAAUUCAGUCUCAAUCAAUUCCAAUCAAUUUAGAGUAAAUCUCUAAAAUAUCACAAUUUAUUUAAUUCCAUGCAACGUGGAGCUCAAAUAAAUAAACGGACUACGCCACGAAGAUCAGCACGAGAUUUCGGUCGUCGGCCAUCAAAAUCUUAAUUUCCGAAAAAUAAAUAAUUAUUUAAUUAAUAUUAAAAAUUCAAUUUAGCUCAAAAUAAAGCCUGAUUAAAUAAACGGACUUCACCACAGUCAUCAGCAUAAUAUUCCGAUUCCAGUCCAUCUCAGUUAAAUUUUCGGAAAAAUAAAUAAUUAUUUAAUUAAUAUUAAUAUUAAUAUUUAAAUACUAAAAAUAUCCACUUAGGCCCGAAAAGCCUAAUUGGAGCCCACUAAGGGUCAGAAAAUUCCCGAGAUACUUCCAAUAAAUAGUAGACCACGUCUACUUGCUAAUUGCACAAUCAAUUUAUCUAAAUCACAUCACAAUUGACUAAUAAUUGCUAAUUUCUUCUAAUCUAACAACCUAAACGUAAUUAAUUAAAACUAAACCAACCUUAAGCAUAAUCAGCCAACUAAUCCUGGAUUAGUGAGAUUACUCACCAAAUCGCGCGCAAAUCGGAUCAAUCCGACGGCGGCGGCGCGAGGAACGAUUGUCCCCAAAGCACGGCUCGGGUUCGGGGCCCGGAAACGGCCCAAAACGGGCCAAAACCUCACUGCAAAACCCAUUUUCUGCACUCUCUGUGCGCGGCUGAAUAAGGGCGAAGGAAGGCGGAUCCGAAGCUUGGUUGGGUCGGAAAUGGACGGAGGGGUCGAACCGAACCAAGGCGAGGCUUCACGGUGGCCGGAGGAGGGGUGGACGGCUCCGGCGGAGCUCCACCAGAUCUGAAGCUUCGCUGAAACAGAGGGCUGAGCGAGGGAGAGGCAGAGGCAGGCGGAGCACGGGACGGCGAACGGCGAGGCGACGCGGGCCGGGAACGGCGUGUGGCGGCGAGGCGGCGUGCGGCGCGACUGCAGCUCCUUCAAGCAACGCCGAUCGUUGCUUCUGCUCCUGCUGGUCGGUUCUGAUCGAACCAGAGGAAGGAGAGAGAGCAGAGGGCGCGCGGACAACCGUGGAGCAGCGGCGGUAGCUCCGGCUUCGGUGGGCAACGACGGCGACGAGAGGCGGUAACGGGCGGAGCUUCUUCGGCUUCUUCGGCUUCCAUGGUGCCGAGCAACCAAAGAGAAGAGGAAGAAAGGGGGUUCGUCGACGGAGGAGGAGAGAAGAAGAAGAAGAAGAGAAAACCAAUUUCUCUUUCUUUUCUCUCUCUCUCUCUCUCUCUUAUGUCAGCCACCAGCUGUCUUCCACUUCAUUUUCCUUGCCAAAGAUGCCCCUUCUAGAAGCUUUAGAUAGGCCAAAAUGUGGGGGUAGAGGUGGCAUACGAAUUCGCUAUUUUUCCCUCUUCAAUUUUACUUAAAUUGGUUCACUUCUCAACAAACAAAAUUUCAAUUGAAGCCUAAAUAAAUCCAUCAAGGCAUCCUUGUCCAUUUCAUGACUUUUCCCGUCAUAUAAUCUAACUUGCAUCCCAAUUUCGAAUUCAAGAACGGUCCUCUGAAAUUUUCGAUGAAAAUGGCCCUACUUAUCUAGUCGAAAUUAGGACUCGAAAAAUCUGGAUGUCACACCGGAUGUCCGGUUGUAUCUUGGAUACAUGCCCGGAGAUGCCUCGCGAUGCUAGGAUUUGGGUGCGGGAUGCCCGGACAGGGAGUGUAAAUGCCGGAAGCCCUGUCGGAGGUUUUUGCCCGAAGGGAAUGCCUCGUGAUGCUAGUUGAGAUGCGAGAUGCCCGGAAUGUGGGGGGCCGGAAGCCCGGUGGCCAUGGGAUGGCUGAGUUUGCUGGGAGCCCUGUCGGAGGUUUCUGCCCGAAGGGUUGAUGAUGAAAUUGAUGAUGAAAUUGAUGAUGAGAUUGAUAAGGGUGAUGUGGUGAUCAAAGUGGAAAGAUAAAGAUGAAAAUUUAAACCAUGACAUGAUGAUAUGCAUGAUGAUAUGCAUGAUGAUGAUGAUGAUGAUGAUGAUGAUAUGUGAUGUGAUAUGAUGAUCACCCAUGAUAUGAUAUGCAUGAUGAUGAUGAUGAUGAUGAUGAUGUGUGAUGUGAUAUGAUGAUCACCCAUGAUAUGAUAUGAUGAUAUGCAUGAUGAUGAUGAUGAGAUGUGAUGUGAUAUGAUGAUGCAUGAUAAGUGUGUGCCUGGCUUCAAGGUAAGUAAUGCCUGCAAUGCAUGUGUAAUUUGCAUGAUGCAUUGAGUUGUUAUUGGAUUUUCCUAUCUGCUGAGUGAUUGUACUCACCCCUUUUGGGGAUAACAUUUCAGAUUAGCCAGUAUGCCGCUUCCUGCCGUCACGCGUGGUGUGUUUUAUGGUCUACCGUCCGAUGUAGAGGUCGAGUGUGCGGAGAUAGAUUGUCCUUCUGUUCCCGGACUGACUUUUAUCCGAGUACGUUGUCUAGUGAUGUAUGACGUGGGCCUGGCUGGGGGUCCUGUUAUUCAGGAGUUCAUUUCUGUGCAUGUUCGUCGGGAUGGAGCUAUGCGAGGGAUGUUGCCACCGCCACCGCCUGAUGCACCGGGUUGGAUGUGAGACCUGUGCGCGAUGAGUAGGAGCUGGAUCUUUUUGAUGUAGAUAGUUGACACUUUCGAUGGGGGUUCGUACUCGUGUGAUGUUGAGGGUCGAGAGUUUCUUUUUGAGGUUUUUGGCAGGUUGUGGCUGAGUCCUAGCUUUUCCUUGUUUUGUACCGAUCCAAAGUGUUGUAUAUAUAUGUAAGCAAAGUGUCGAAGCUGUUUAUAAAAUUCUGAUGUUUAGCUGGUGUGUAUUGAUAUCAUGGAUUGGUAGGGAGAUAGAUGGUGAUGUUUAAUUUGCUUCCGCUAUGAGUUGCAUUGGGACCAAUCGUUUAAAAAAAAAAUGCGUCUGCAAAUCAGGACGCUUGUUCGAAAGAAAGAAAGGUAAUAAAGUGUAACAUCAGAGCUUGUGGCGAUCGCCGAAGGGUUCGGGGUGCUACAUAUCUAAUUUUGCAUUAUCAAAAGAUCAAUGCAAGCAGCUUUGAUAAUGAUCAGUGUGAACAAAUUUGAAAGUUCAAGAAUCCAAGUAUUCAUCAUUGAACUUUCUAAAAAUUAAAGGAAUAAGGCAUUGCUAGCAUAAAAUGUCAAUUGAGGCACUUAAAAUUCGAUGCUCAACGUACUAUUGAUUAUAAAUGCAUUUAUAAUUUCAUGCUUGUUGCAAUGCAAUAUACUUGGACUUAGUCAUUAGUCAGCUUAUGAAAGCAUCAAUUAGCCACUCCUUUUUUUGGUCAUUGACAAGCGCUCGCAUUCUCAUGAUUGUGAGAGUGAGGGAAGUUUAGAAAUUCUUUCUUUGAGGUCAUAACUCAAUGUAAUUACAUUCAUUACGUCAUUUUUCUCAAUAUGCCAGGUACAAUGUCCCUAGCUUAGGUGGAUGGUUCUCUCCCAAUGGACAAUUUAAGCAGAAUAUGGAGUGGCGGUCCUCAAGAAACUCUCACUUUUGACAAUUUUAUGGAAAGUGCAUAUUCUAAAUUGUGGGAGCCUUGACAAAGUGUUUUCGCAUUGGGUGGCUACAAGUCUAACCCAACUUAAGGAACUUCAAGUGGAGUCUUGUGGGAUUGAGGAAAUAGUCGCUAGUGGGAAUGAGACUCCACAUUCCAAUACUACUCAAGAUCUUUUUCCAAAACUAACCUCUCUAGUGUUACAUGAUAUGCCAAACCUCAAGAACUUCUGCACCAACUUGCCCACUUUGAAUUGACCAUUCUUGAAGGAAUUGCGAGUAACUCAUUGUGAUAAAGCAAACAUGUUGUCUUUUGUAGCAUCUAUGAGCAAUUGGGCUCAAAAAGAUUAUCAACAGGGCC